UUUCUUGGUGCAACUGGGCAGAAGUUUCUAUCUGUGUAUUGCUCGUGUGGCACGUAUAUUGAUUUUUUUGACAAUCCUCCUAACAGUUUACUUGGUGACACCCAAUAACAUAUCGUUUGGCUAUAUUUUGCUCCUCCUAUGUUGGAUCAUGGGAAGACAACUCGUUGAAAGGACGAGAAGACAUUUUUAGUUUCCAUUAAAAGUAUAUGCAAUCACUGUGUUUAUCUUCUUAUACAGCUUGAGCAAUUUCUCCACCCUUGAGAUGUGGUUGUCGGGGUUGAUUGAUCUUCAGUUUUACUUGGCCUACAACUCAGAAGCUUUGCUAUUGCAGAAUAUUUGGCAGUCUAUUGCAAUACUGAUUGUGAUGCAGCUUUACAGCUACGAGAGGAGACAGAGCAAGUAUAUCCAAUUUGGUGACUCCAAACUUAUGGAAUUUGGAGUACUUGGAUUUAUUAAGAGUUUCCUCAUUUGGCACAGUGACAAGAUAGUGUCUAUAUCAAAGUUCUAUGCAUCAUUGUCACCAAUUAGUCUCUUUGGUUUCCUUUAUCUGCUCGGUCUUGUCAUUUGUUACCUUUUACCUAAAGCUUCUCGAAUCCCAUCAAAUUUUAUUACUUCUUUAUACAGGACUUCUGGUGAUGACAGAAUAUCUCUUUCAGAUGUGGGGUGCCCAGGCAGGAAUGUUUCCUGGACAGAAUGACUUUAGUUUGGCCAAGUUCUUGGGUUUUGAGUUAUUUCAGUCAGGCUUUUGGGGUCUAGAAUUGGGUUUAAGGGGGAAAAGUGCUGGUGUUAUCUGCUUGUAUCCUUCAAUACAAUGUCUUCCGUUGGUUGCAAAAAGUACCAACUCACAUUUUGAGCAAAUAUUACACCAAAGAACCUUGCCCUCUGUUUGUAUCAACAGAAGAAGUGUUUAGGGAUUUUUCUAAUUCAAACGGGGAAAGCAACCGCCUGCAGAUUCUCCUGCAAUUCCUUGUGAAGCAUAAGGCGUGAGAAACAAUUUGUCUUCCUCAGCCUCUGGUUUUUCUCAAGCAUCAAAUAAUGUACCCAAAACUGGAGGCUCUGGGGGUGGCAGUGCUAGAAAAUAUUCCUUUGGAUAUAUUUGGGUAAGCACCAACGAAAGCCACAAAUGGAACAAGAAAAGAAUUAUCACCAUGAGAAGGGAGAGAUUUGAAACGCAGAAGACAAUCUUCAUAGGCUAUAUAAAUUUUUGGAUGGAGAACAUGUUUAAUCUCUUGGGCCUCGAAAUAAACAUGGUGGCCUUGCUCCUUGCCUCCUUUGCUUUGUUAAAUGCCAUUCCAAUGCUAUAUAUUGCACUUCUCGCUGCUUGCAUACUUCUGAAUCGCAAUGUCAUUCGGAAAUUAUGGCCAGCACUUGUCUUUUUGCUUGCUUCCAUUCUCGUCCUACAAUACUUUGUCAUUUGGAAGAGCACACCAUCUGCCAAUUCACAAACAUCAAGUAAGGCUGAGUCUGUAUUUCCUUUCGAAUUUUAUGAUUCUCCUGCCAGUAUGAAUGCUGAAAGUCUUCAUGUGAUGAAUUCAGCUGAUCAUUCAUUUGACUUUUCCGAUUGCGAGAUCAAUGAGGCUGAGAAGGAUGGUGGAGGUUCUUUAUAUGAUUCAGAUAAGAGAGCCAGAGGUCAAGCUGAGGAUAACUCUGUAGUUUCUGCUGUGCAGCUUUUAGGAGAUGGCGGUUAGUUCUCUUGUAACCUUCCCCGAACAUCAAGCCAGAAGACAUGGAUGCCAGGGGCAUACUCAAGCAGUCUCCCCUGCACCCGAUCAACGGCCAGGAUCACUUGACGAAGCAGCAGAAGUUCGCCAGAUCGAAGCUCCGGGUCUCCAUCAACCUGCCGGACAACGAAAUCUCCCUCCUCCGCAGCCGGCGGAACCUGAGCUUCAGCGAAUCGUCCGCCGGCGCCGGCGCCAGCGCCGAACCUCCGACUUCUCCUUCUUCAUCUCCCCACUCCUCGUCCUUGGCCUCAGCGUCGAUCGGUCGGAUCUUCAAAGGGAAGGCUCCGGCGACGGCGAGGGGGAGCCUCGAGAACGGCGGUAGCGGCGGUGACCCCGCGGGGGGCGGCAGGCGUAUAGGAGCACGAGGACGGUGGUGGAGGUGCUGCGGGAGCUGGACGCGGACAUAGUGGCGCUGCAGGACGUGAAGGCGGAGGAGGAGAGGGAGAUGAAGCCGCUGUUGGAGCUGGCAGCGGCGCUGGGGAUGAGCUACGCGUUCGCCGAGAGCUGGGCGCCGGAGUACGGCAACGCCGUCCUCUCCCGGAAGGUCCAAAAGAUAUUCGACGACACCGAUUUCAGGUCCGUCAUUUCGUUUUAUUUUAUUUUAUUUAUUAAUUUAUUAAUUUCCAUAUAAUUUUUACCUGUUAUUCUUGCUAUCAUUUUCGUAAUUAUGGUGACGAUGAUAUGCUCUCUUUCUCAUUGAGCAAGUGGUCUUCCUAGGCGAUUUCGAAAUUUAAAAGAUAUUUUCAUUUAUUUAUUGAGGCGUCCACCGUUGAAAGCGAAGUUUGAUAAUAUAUCAUAAAUUAAUAUUCCCUCUUGACAUAUUAUAUAAUUUUUUCUUACAUUUUUCCAAGUGAAAAGAUUAAUUGCGCAGACCCAUCUACAACGGUGCAAAUCCACUUUGGACAGUUGAAAUUUUCGUUAAAAUUAAGGUAAGGUGGAUGUAAUAAAAAUUCACAAGACCAAAAAAUAAAAGCAAAAACAUAAGCUUUUGCCUAGCCAUCAGAAUUUGUGGAUGAAAAUCUUGCUGUCACUUGGUUUAUAUUUUGUCUUUUUUUUUUUCCCUCCCCUUUUUUAACUGUUCUAUUUGGAAUUAUCUGAAUGGAGUUGUCCAGGAACUGAUCUGGGAAGAAUUUGGAAUAUUAUUCACGAGAACCCUACCACCAAAAAUUCAAGAAUUCCCCAAGGCUUUUCUCCCACAGCCUGUUUGCCUUUGUUCAACUUACGGAAAGCUAUCUGCAACAACUAUGGUGGGCCUUUCCAAGGAUCCCAGCACCAGCUGGAGCAAUGCCAGUCAGAAUUAAAAUAUAAAUUAAAUUAAAAAAAACCCAUUAUUUGCUUUCUAUGAUCUUAGAUAUGGGUUCUCCCAAAGAAUUGUCAUUUAUCAAUAAUAAUAAUAAUAAUAAUAAUAAUAAUAAUAAUAAUAAUAAUAUCUUCGGUUAUAACUAUUCGAAAUUCGUGCGAGUGUGUGUGAUGAAAGACUGUCUUGGACUUCUUUCAUUCCUCCUUUUUUCAUUUCUGGUUGCAUUUAGUGGGUUGAUGAGAGUCACCGUUGAAGAUCAUUUUGUACUAAUUGCUGAUAUAGUCAAGAGAAUGCUUAGGAACUGCUAAAUUACAUAUAUAUUUUUUGCUCUUUAGUAUUUAAAUAAGGAGUUGGGAAGAUAAACGAAGGAUAAGAUCUAUGACGUACAUUAAAUGAGGGCAGGGUAAGGUGUAUGUAGGUGGGACAGUAACGUGGGGAGGAUUUUGCUUUUGCUUUAUUUUAUGUAUUUGCCAAAUCAGAUGCUUGACCUGAAGACUGUGCAAGGACUACUCAUCUUCAAGGAAAACUACAUUUCUCUCAAGCGAGACAGACCAGAUAGAAUUAACUUGUUUGAGACAGCAAGCAAUUGCUCGUCAUGGAGUCAAUUUCCGAGACUUUUGCGUUCGAUUAAUUGAGCCACGCCUUAGAUAGUGAAGGGAUUAUGUGCUUUCGUUGCGCGAAAAUUCAGAAAAAGAAGAAAAGGGUGAAUUGAAAUAUAAUCGAUCGACGUAUUAAAUUGACUAGGAAUCAAAGUGGCUGUGAAGUUGAUAUGUUUUAUUAGGGAAAAGUACCAAAAAAGUCUUAAACCUAUUGCAUUAGUACCAAUUCAGACAUAAACUUUUCAAUUGAACCAAUUCAGUUCUAAACCUUUUACUAUUGGUACUAAUUCAGUCCAUUCGGCCAAUUUUGGCUAGCCGACGCUGACAUGGACGUCGGCCGGUGGCCGGACGCUGAAGUGGAAAUUUUUAUGAUUUUUUUUAAUUAUUUUUUCGAAUUUUAUUAUUAUUAUUUUUCUUUUUUCUUUUCUUUUUCCUUUUUUUUUUUUUGUCUUCUUCCUUGCGUUGGCCGGCGAGGGCUUCGCAGCCCUCGCCUGCCGCCGGCGAGAGUCGCGGCCCUUGCCCGGCCUCUCCCAGGGCCGUUGGUGAGGAGGCUUUGCCCGGAUCUAGGCAAGGCUAGCCUCGGCCGCGGCCCUGGGCGAGGCCGGGCGUGGGNNNNNNNNNNNNNNNNNNNNNNNNNNNNNNNNNNNNNNNNNNNNNNNNNNNNNNNNNNNNNNNNNNNNNNNNNNNNNNNNNNNNNNNNNNNNNNNNNNNNAAUUAAAAUCAAGCAACGGGUCACUAAAGCUGACCUUCACCAAUUAGUGCACCAUCAUUACCCUUUGACUAAUAUCGGUUCGUUUUGAUUUGUACGUGCGGUAGAAAUUUCCUAGAAGGAGAGACCCCUCUUAAUGACAUCCUAUGUAUUGAAUACGGCCAUGGAAGUUUAUGCAACUAUACGACUAUAUUAUUUUUACAAAAAUCUAAUUGCAUCCCUUUGGUAGCUGAACCCUCUACACAUUUUUCAAGGGAGAAUUACAAAAAAAAAAAAAAUCUUAAAAUUUAUUGCAAUUGUACCAAGUUAGUCAUAAACUUUUUUAUAAUUGUAAUAAUUCAGUCCAUCUGGCCGGCCAACGCAAGGAAGAAGAUAGAAAAAAAAAAGGAAAAGAUAAAAAAUUAAUAAAAAAUUCGAAAAAAUAAUUAAAAAAUCAUAAAAAUUGUCACGUCAGCGUCUGGCCACCAGCCGGCGUCCACGUUAGUGUCAGCCGGCCAAAAUUGGCCGGAUGGACUGAAUUGGUACCGAUAGUAAAAUGUUUAGGACUAAAUCGGUUCAAUUGAAAAGUUUAGGACUGAAUUGGUACCGAUGCAAUAUGUUUUGGACUUUUUUGGUACUUUUCCCUAUUUUAUUACAUAUGAAUGUUCUGAAGGCAACAAUAGAAGUGCCCCAUGUUGGGGAAGUGAACUUCCAGUGCACCCACCUGGAUCAUCUCGACGAGAACUGGCGGAUGAAGCAAGUCGGCGCCAUCAUCCAGUUGAGCGACUCUCCCCACAUCUUGGCCGGUGGCCUCAACUCUCUCGACGAGACCAAUUACUCGCAAGAUUGGUGGACCGACAUCGUCAAGGUAUGUACAUUUCUAUCAUGUUUGAUGUGAUAUUCGUUAGCACGUCAAACUCGAUUACUAAAUAGCUUAAGCUACGGCGAUUUUGUAAUCAUGGGCACCUGUGUUUGUUACAAAACUAUGAAGAGAUGGGAAAACCGACCCCAAAGGUUGAAGUCAUGAGGUUUCUGAAGAGCAAGCAAUUCACGGAUGCUAAGGACUUUGCCGGAGAAUGCGAGUCCGUGGUCGUCAUUGCCAAAGGACAAAGUAAGAACUCACUUGUUUGCUUUCCCAUGUUUCGAUUUUUCUUUUUCGCUUUGUCAAAUGGCUAAUCUAAGGUGCUUUUCGAGCACAAUGCUCCUUUCCUUUCGCUCUAAGAUAAGAUGAUUGGCUUGAAUGGACAUAAAUUCAUAACAUUUGAAGCAUGAUGAUCAUGUUGAAUAUGUACAUCCGUUGUUGUCAUCACUUUGUCGAUAUCAACCUCUGAUGUGAAAAUCCGUGGUAUAAAAAUUGAAGUCCAAAAUAUUUUUUUCGGGUGAUUACUGUCUGAACAUGUAAUUUGAAACUGUCUAUUCUAUUGUAGGUGUGCAAGGGACAUGCAAAUAUGAAACGAGGGUGGACUACAUACUAGCGUCAUCAGAUUGCCCAUACAAGUUCGUUCCAAGGUCAUAUUUGGUCCUGUCAUCGAAAGGGACAUCAGAUCACCACAUCAUAAAGGUCGACGUAACGAAAUGCAAAAACAACCCUCCCCAUGAAAGUAAUGGCAACGACAAUAAAAUUACCAAGAAAAGGCGACGACAGCGUAAGCACCAAGCCGUUGUAAAGAUCUCCGGCAUAGCUCCUCCUUCAAAGGGUAUAUGGACAGCGAACACAUUAAGCAAAGUCGAAUGACAUUAUGUCACGCCCCGAACCUCGAGCGUGCCAACAUCCCGCCAUGGUCAUUCAAAUGCGACGUUCCCAGGUUAAGUCGCCGACCCAAUCAAUUCUUUAAUGCACAUGCGGAAGCAUAUUAUAAAACCCCUGACAAUAAAAUAUGGGAUAGAAAAACAGGAAGCAAUUUCACAACAAUACACUUUCAUAAAUCAACGGAGUUACAAACGAAGGCCUAUAGCCAAAAGUCUCCAAAAGAUCGGCUCUUAAAAAGGAACUGUCCUAUAACCUACAAGUCGGACACGUUCUCUAAUCCUCCUUACUUCACCUCUGCAACUCCUCAAGGCCGGCCAACCAAAGCGAUCUGGUCGCUCCAUCCACAAGGGACCUGAAAAUGUUGGCCCACAAUGGGAUGAGACAUUGUCUUAGCAAGUUCAACCCCCUAAACCCCUAUUAGAAAAAAAAUACGCCCAAGAAUGGCCUAGCCACACCACAUAGAGGAUUUACUUCGCCUCAGUUCAUUCCUGUAGGUUAACACAAUUCAUAUCACUCAAUCACAUGUUCAUAUCACCAACCACAUGCAUGAAUACGAACUUAAACAACCAGAACGCCUUCGCUUUCAUAUAACUGACAACCACAGGGUCCUGAUUAUAAGACUAAAUCGUUAUGACACGUCCCAUUCCAUGCCACACAAUUCCGUCCCAUAAUCCGACACAUCAACAACACUCAACAUGCAUUCCAAUUGUUAUUCACUACCACACAAGGGCAUAGCCUACUCGCAGUUCAGCUAUCUACUGGCAUAUAGCUAGGCAUCACCUCCCCACCUUGGAGCGUAGCUUCGUCAGUAUGUCGAUGGCGUUCCCGAAGGAGCAUGGGCCCAGAAUCAACUGCGACCCGCAACCACUACGUGGGCAUCCCAUAUAGGGGCAAGUCUGGCUCAACAGCCUAGGAUGAUCUCCUCUUAAUUAUUACACAACAAUUCAUAUUCUGCCCGGGACACUUUGCAUUUCAUUCAAUGCUUUCACUUAAAAUAGUGAUCCCGGCCAUUUUUUUAAUAUUAAAAAUACUCCAGAAAUUAACCAUGUGUGUGGGGCAUGUUAAUUUCGAUCCAGAAAACCAAUAUCUCACUUUUUCAAACCCCACUAUUUAAUAUAAUAUUGAAAAUUCAAUUUUUGCAUUAAAAUCCGACACUUGGGUUUUUAUGAAUAAAAUCCCUAUUUAUCACAAUCAACACUCAAUUUGCCACAUCCAUUCAUCAAAUUCAAAUUCUAAAUGCACAGCAGCGAUUCGCACGAAAUUCUGACAAAAUAAGGUCUCGAAAUAAUUUUUGGAAUUUAUUAAAUAAUUAAAUUUAUUCCGAAAAUUAAUUAAAUAAUAAAUCCAUAUUUUUUACGAUCCACACUCAAUUUAUAAUAUCCAAUCAUCAAUUUCAAGAUCUGACUACAUAGUAGCGACCGGCGCGAAAUUCUGAGAAUUUAGGGUCUUGACAAAAUUUUCGGAAUUUAAUAAAUAAUUAAAUUUUAUUCCGAAAAUAAUUAAAUAAUAAUAUUUUAAUAAUUUCGAAUAAUAAUAUAUUAUUAAAUUAUUUAAUAAUUUCGAAAUAUUUAAAUAAAUCAAAAGUAAAUUCCUUUAUGUCAAAUCACCAUUAUACUAAUAUAAACUUCAAUUUAACCUUAAUUAAACAUACUUUAAAUUAAACUAACCUCUUAAUCUAAUUCACAAUUAAAUAAACUAAACUAACCACAUAAGCUUACUUAACUUAGACUAAGCAUAUUUAGGGCAUCAUUAACCCUCUAAUCAAGAUUUAGUGAGUUAAACUCACUCAAAUGACGAGCCAAGCGGACCAAAACGAUGGGGACGCCGAGGGGAACAACUUCCUUCAAAGCGGGCCAAGCAUCCGGGGUUGGGAAGCCAGCCAAAACGGGCCAAAAUCGGGCUGAGAAACCCACUAAAACUAGCUGCUAUCCAAGCUCGGGGGAGGACUGUCCGGCGGCGAUUCGGGCGCGGGGGUGGCAGAGAGAGGCGGCGGCAACUCGGGCGGUGGCUCACGGCGGCCUAGCAGGAUCUCCGGUGACGGCUAGCAGCUCGGGACAACGGAUGAUGGUUGUUGGCUCGCAGACGAAGCAGGGACGGGAGGGCAGAGCAACUCGCGCACGGGACGGCAGCGAGCGGGCGCGGUGCGCGGGCGACGACGACAGCACCGUCGACGGCGGCAACGAACAAGCGGACGGAGGGGUGGACGAAGGGGGCGUCAGGCUGCUGGUUCCGGUCGAAGUUCCCCCCUCUCUCUCCUCCAAAGUCCAAAGGAAGAAGAUGAUGUUGAUGGGUACUUUUUUAGGGCCAAUCUACACCAUCCACUUGUCCAAAUCUCCUUCAAUUUGGCCCAACCACCAUGACAUCACAUGAUGUCAUACUCCACUAUCCAAAUUCUUCCACAACCUUUCUCCAAUAGGUCCAAUUUCCUUUUCCGCCGAGGCAUGAAACCUUGUAUAUUAAUUUCUUUAAUUCCAUUCAAUUCUCUUCCAAUUGAGUCAAAUUGAAGUCCAUAAAUUAAUCCAAUGUCACCACACUUUAAUUCACACCCUCACUUGUCCAUAGAACCCUCUUAAGUCCCAAAAGCACGAUCAAGGGUGGGCCUACUAAUUUCUCGAGCCAAAAUAGCCAUUCUCUGAUUUAAUUGUUGAAAAAAUUCUGAUUACAUGAAAAAUCUUCCGAAGAUGAGUCAAUGAUCCUAAAAUGAUUUGUGACACACUAGGACUUCCAAUUUCUAAAUUCGAUAUUAAUUUCACGAUUAAUUUCACUUUGGCAUGAUACUAGCGCAUCCUGAUCUACCGGGUAGCCUUUAGAAAUUUUCAUGCAUUUAACCUGUGGUUGAUCAAUUCAAGCCACAAUGUACAUCUUUGAAACAUUUGCGACUUUCGGUUGUCGGGGUAAAAUCAAGGUUUCAAAUACGGACACAGGGUACCCAAUCGACAGAAAAGUCAGUCCAGUGCCGAUCAACAAGAAUUGUGCGAUCUGGUGGAAUCACCCACACCUGAUCACAUGCCUCUGUCGAGUCAACCUAUCUCCGGUCUCUAAUCGAUUUUUAAUUGUGCCGUAAUGACCCUUGCAGAUUAGCUCGGUCGAAAGGUCGCUUCCUGAUCAAAUUCUCGAGUCUGAUGCAUUAGAAUCUCUUAACGGCUUCACCUAAUAGACUAGUUUUCACAUGAGUGGCCGACCCAAGGAAAAUAACUAUAUGCGUACCAACGACAUGCCCAUCUCAAUUUAUUGAAAAUAGAAUUGGAAAAUCGGGAUGUCACACAUUACAUGUUGUUGCGAUGGGGCAAGCGAUCGAACAAAAUAUACACGGAAGAAGAAAAAUAAAUCGGACACCAGAUUUACGUGGUUCAGACGUAAAGACCUACGUCCACGGGGAGAGCAUCAGUGAAUUUCACUAUAGAUCAAGCGAUACAAGGAGAUUACACACUCGAGUCACUCAAACACUCUCUCGGUGUUUCCCAAGCCCCAAUUACACCCAAUAACGCACCCAGUGUUUAGCCCCGAAAUUCCUCGAAAAUAAUCUCUCAAUCUCACGAAGGAAUUACAUGCAAAUCUUACCUCAAGAUUUAAUCGACUACAAACACUAAACUUCUUGGAUGUAAUUGCACAAACGAAAAACAAUAAGCCCACUUUCAAGCACUCGAUAUUUGGUGCUUCAAGUUUGCUUGCAUCAACAACGGCGGAACAAGCACUCACGCGGCGCUUCAAGAUGUGGCUUCGCUGAAGAGAGUCCUAUGAGCAAAAGUUAUAUAUAUAUGACCGCCAGAGAAUUGCAUGCAUGGAAGAAAACCGAAUAAUCCAAGAUUCGGUCAACAAAGAAGAAAGAUUGACUUUCCUCUUUGGUUCCAAGCGGCAGAGUUGGAUGCUGCUUUCUUCGUAGCCUUAUUUUUUUCUCAUUUUUUUUUAAUUAUUUCAAAAUUCAACUUUUCGCUUGGGGCUUAAACUCGAGUCAUAAAUUUAACAAUCUCCACCUUGGCUCGACGUUUGAGCCAAAUUACAAUCGCUUCGUAAAAAUUCAAAUUCUGCCGCUACUUUCCCAUAGCCCUCGACGGGCUCAACUGCCACAGAUAUUAUCCAAGUCCAAGCCUCGCUUGAACUUUGCUAUAAUCGAGGACCUCAUCAUAAUACCAACUCCACAUGCACCUUUAACUGCUCGACAAGGAUUUUUCGACACAACCUCCUCAAUCACAGAUAAAGUAAAACCAUUAUUGCAUCUAUAUUUGUCAGGAGAUCAAAUACAUACCUUGUUAAUUUCAGCAGUUACAGCAACUGUUGGCUCUAUAGGCUCCACCUCACUAUGAGCACCAUCUGUGUUGAUUACUUUGCUAGUACUCGUACUCGCUACCUCAGGAGUUUUUGGUUGCAACUCCACCUCAAGCUGAACACCGUUCAGAUCUGUAUUAACACUGCCAUAAACACUCCUAGCUAGAACUAUCGAAGACUUCUCAAUAGUAAGUUCUCUACUAUCAACAGGUGAAUUUAUAUCCGGGCACCACAACUGAUCGCCCCACUCACCUUGUGCAUAGCCAUGGAAUAUGCACCUUGCCCUCCUAUCGAGCUUACCAUCACUCACUCGAAAAUAACACGGGCAACCAAAUAUUCUAAGAACAGAAUAAUCGGCAACAUUACUUGAUCACACUUCUUCAGGAGUCUGCCAUUCAAUAGUAGUUGAUGGGGAUCUAUUCACUAGGUAGCUUACCAUACUUAGCACAUCAGCUAGGAUUCUCCUAGCUAUACCAGCACUAGAGAUAAUUUUUCGGGCCAUCUCUAGUAAUGUUCUGCUCAUCAAUUCUGCAAAUUGUUGUGAUUUACUAGCACUAGUGUAGUGUUUCACUAUGCUCUCUUUCAUGCAGUCAGCUCCGAGCAAAACUCCAUGUUAUUGUCAGUCCGCACAUGCUUGAUCGACUUACCAGUCUCUGUCUCGAUCAAAGCUCUUGACUGCGAGAUCCUGACACCAGCAUCAAACUUGUGCCUUGGCACAAACACCCAAGUCUUCCUCGAGCAGUCAAAAGACUCUCGAACAGAUGCAUCCGACGUCUCCGCAGCGAAAUUUAUCACUGUCUCACCUCGAAGUUUAUACAGGCCAUCGUGCUUGAUUUCUUUCAUUAUCACCAGGGCACCUCGAACAACCUUCAGAAUUCCACCUUUUGAAGAAUAUUUGCAACUAGCUGAAUCUAGGGCACCCAAGGAAAUUAAAUUAUUUUUCAAUUCUGGAACAUGCCUCACUCCAGUCAAUGUCCUCACGAUACCAUCAUGCAUUCUGAUUUUAACAUCACCAACACCCACAACGUCGUACUCAGCAUUAUUCCCUAACUGGACUUUACCACUACCCGCGCACUGAUAAGUGAUAAACCAGUUUCUAUUUGGUGUGACAUGAAAAGAACAACCAGAAUCCAUAACCCAUCCAUCAAGUGAUGAAUCACUAGUGACAGACAAGACAUAAUCGGCAUUAUCUGCUACAGCUGCAACAUUAUCUGCAGAAUCAACUAUAAUUUCCUUACCAUUAUCAUUCUUCAGCUUAAGGCAAUCCCUUCUAAGAUGCCCUCUCUUGCCACAGCUCCAACAGACAACAUUAGCAGUCCUAGAUUGACUACGUCUGUUCAUAUUAGUACUACCAUUACCCAUGCGUGUUACAGAUCUUCCUCUAUUUCCACCUACUAGAGCAGUAGAUACAGAUUCGCCAGAUUCUUUUCUACGAAUAUCCUCGCUCAGAAUUAAAUCUUGAACCCCAUCAAACGUCAAACUUGUUGACCCAAAGGAAUUACUAACAACAGUAACGGUAGUAUUCCAACUAUCAGGCAAUGAAGAUAAUAGAAUCAAAGCACGUACCUCAUCUUCAAAAUCAAUCUCAACUGAACUCAAUUGACUAACAAUCACAUUGAAUUCAUUGGUAUGAUCUGCAACUAACGCACCUUCUUUCAUCUUCAAGUUAAACAGACGUCGCAUCAAACAGACCUUGUUGAUCGCAGAGGGCUUCUCGUACAUAUCCGACAAGGCUUGCAUCAAAUCAGCAGUGGUCUUCUCCUUCAGGAUAUUAAACGCGACGUUACGAGCCAACGUCAGCCGAAUAACACCCAUAGCUCGUCUAUCCAGCAAAUCCCAAUCAGCUUGCUUCAUCGUCUCUGGUUUCUCCUCAAAUAAAGGCAAGUGCAGAUUCAUCUGGUAAAGAUAAUCUUCAAUCUGCAUCUUCCAGAAACUAAAAUCAUUCCCAUCAAAUCUGUUGAUUCUCACUUUUACUUAUUCUGUCGCCAUCGAUUCGCUUCAACUUAGCCAAGCUUGGCUCUGAUACCACUUGUUGCAAUGGGGCAAGCGAUCGAACAAAAUAUACACGGAAGAAGAAAAAUAAAUCGGACACCAGAUUUACGUGGUUCAGUCGUAAAGACCUACGUCCACGGGAAGAACAGCGGUGAAUUUCACUAUAGAUCAAGCGAUACAAGGAGAUUACACACUCGAGUCACUCAAACACUCUCUCGGUGUUUCCCAAGCCCCAAUUACACCCAAUAACGCACCCAGUGUUUAGCCCCGAAAUUCCUCGAAAAUAAUCUCUCAAUCUCACGAAUGAAUUACAUGCAAAUCUUACCUCAAGAUUUAAUCGACUACAAACACUAAACUUCUUGGAUGUAAUUGCACGAAUGAAAAACAAUAAGCCCACUUUCAAGCACUCGAUAUUUGGUGCUUCAAGUUUGCUUGCAUCAACAACGGCGGAACAAGCACUCACGCGGCGCUUCAAGAUGUGGCUUCGCUAAAGAGAGUCCUAUGAGAUAUAUAUAUAUAUAUAUAUAUAUAUAUAUAUAUAUAUAUAUAUAUAUGAGACCGCCAGAGAAUUGCAUGCAUGGAAGAAAACCGAAUAAUCCAAGAUUCGGUCAACAAAGAAGAAAGAUUAACUUUCCUCUUUGGUUCCAAGCGGCAGAGUUGGAUGCUGCUUUCUUCGUAGCCUUUUUUUUUCUUAUUUUUUUUUAAUUAUUUCAAAAUUCAACUUUUCACUUGGGGCUUAAACUUGAGUCAUAAAUUUAACACAUGUAUAUCGCCCUUUUCUUUCCACUCUUUUCUUAGUUGCUUCUCCUAUUUUUGCCGUUGAGUGAUCUUAGGCAUGCUGGCUUCGUCAAUCUCUGUGUAAAUCUACGAUUGUUUUGUGCAUCUUGUCUUCUGUUUUUGUUUGUUUGUUUGUUUUGUUAUUUUUUUCUUUUCAGUUUAGAGUUGAAGAGGGGAGGGUUCUGGUGUGAUGGCUUCCUCACAUCUGUAUAGAUUUCGACAUGACAGAAGCGAAUUCUUACGUUUCAACUGGGCAUUGGAGCUGAGCGGUUCUGGCAAGUUCUUUUUCAGUAUUUUAUGCCUUUUCUUUUCGCUUGUAAUCUUAAUUGCAAGAUUCAGAUUAGUUUUGCCGGGGUGACAUCUCAAGUUGACUUUGCUGAGAUUGAGUUUAGAGAAUGCGAUCAUGUAUCUUUAAAUUUAACCGAAAAUUGAAAAGUUUUAGAUUAAAGUCCUUGGAAUAAAAUUGCAAAUUUCGAAAAUUGAAUUUUUUUUGUUAAGUUCGACAUUUGAGGGAUUUGAUAAAAGACCCAAAAGAUUUCAAAUGAAAUACCUUUAAAAAGCAAAUAAGGAAAAAAAAAAAAAGCUGUGAAAUCUGGUAAUUAUGAAUUCUAAACAUCCGUGACAGUAUUGCUCAAAAAAAAAAAAAAAAACAUCGGUGACAGUAGUCAAUGUUUUAAUUUUUUUUUCUCCGGUCUUGAAAUUAGCAUUGGAGAGAAGAAAAGUGGUAAGUUAGUGCAAUCUACUUCGACAUCUUAACAAAUACCUUCUGUGAUCUCUAAAUGGAGCCUUAAUGAGCAUUAUAAGUAAAAGUGUAAUGAAAAGAGAAAGAAAUAGAUUUUCUAUAUAAUAGACAUUGUUGGCUGAUGUAUCAUGCUAAUUAGCUUAUGAAUAAAAAACUGCCGCUCCCUUAUAAUGGUUAGCAAACUGCGCCCCUUGCAUUAGCAUAGUAGAGGAAGCAAGUAUCUCUCAGUUGGCGUAUACUCUUCAAUUGAUCCUCCUUGAUGUAAUUUAUAUGGAUUGAAUUAUUUAUUUCGAUUUUGCUUGGGAUCUCAAUUUAGAAAAUCAUGGGAUCUAAAGCUCAGAUAACAACAAGAGGAAUUAAAAAAAAAAAACAGUUAAGACAUUGCGUCAAUAUCGUUGACCGGUAAGAAUCCCAGUACUUGCGACCUUGCAGGUCUGCUACUCGGGACCUCACUAAUAUAUGACAUAAAAAUAAAAAUAAAUUUAAAAAUUUUUUUUAAAUUAAUCAUUAAUAUUUGAUAAUUCUGCCGUUUGUUUAAGGGCUAUGCUAGUAGGUCACAUGACACAUCCAAUGACGUUUUCACUGCACAUGUUCAUGUUUUUUUUUUUCUAUAGUGAUAUGGUCAGUUAUUAAAAUGUUGUAUUUUUUUCCCUUUUUGUUGCGAAUUUCCCUUCUAUAAAUCAUGAACACGAACACGAGCACAAAAUUUUUUCGUCGAAAUAAUUGGUCUAUUCAACACCUGCUGAUACAUUUAAUUGUUUUCUAUAUCAUGAAUAAAUUAUUAAGUGAUGAUUGGACAAAUCAUUAAAUAGAAAAAUCUCUUGACAAAAAGUAUCCUAGAUUAUCUCAAGCGAAGAUCUAGACAUACAUUAUUGUAUUUUAGGGUACAAGAUUGGCUGUCUCUUUGUCACUGAUUUUGUAAGUGUCCUAUUGCCUUUGGAUGGUAAUUCUUUUUGUAACUGUUCGACUUUAAAGUCGGCAAUGACCAGGAGUAACCAUCUUUGAUCAAGCCCUCUUAAGUGAACACUUAAAAAGAAUUAGUCUCUUAAUCACUGGAAUUGUGUUAAAUCAAAGGUAUUGUUUGUAGAUAUCAUGAAUAAUGGAAAAUUUUCCAAAAAUGUCCUAAAUCUAUUGCACUUUAGCCAAUUAAGUCAUAAAAUUUUUAAUUACGUCAAUUGAAUCCUAAACCUUUUCACAUUUUGCCAACUAAGUUUAUUGGGCCAAUUUUAAGAAAAAACCACUGAUGUGAACACCGGCCAUCUUAUGUAGGAUGAUAGAUACUAAUGUUGGCAAAUUCUUAUAAUUUUUUUAAAAAAUGGAUUUUUUUUUUUAUUUUUUUUUAUUUUACCAUGGCUUGUGAGAGUCGUCAGGUCCUAGCAGCUACUAGCGAAGACUCAGUGACCCUCGCCGGACAUGGCAAAAAAAAGUAAAGGAGGAAAAGAGAAGAAAAUAAAUAAGGUUCGUAAUGGUCAUGAGUAAACGGUCAGGAUGAGCAACGAUAUUAAAAAGCACUCGUGUAGUUCUUCGCCCGUUAGUAUGCUAAACAUGGAAAAUGUCGAAUCAACAUCAAUUUAACACUGUCUUUACUCGAAUAGCUACAGAACUAUGUAAGAAAACACAAGGAACAAGAAGAGAAUCCUGAAGCUCUAGACACGGCAUGACCAUGAAAAAUCCACCGAGAGCUGGUUUUUGUCCUCGGAGUAGAUGUGAAAAAUGUGGCAGAAUUAAAGAAUAAGCAGAGAUUCUUCGUAUCUAGCACUGUAAGCUUGCUCGAUGUAGAGUGAAACAAAGGGACAUUGCAUAGAAUUUGUACCUAUAUGAAGUUCACGAUGGCCGGGAGCAAUCCGCGCCCCAUGACCUCAACUUAAGUGCAUCACCGUAUCAAUAAUCAGUUCUUCCACAAGUGGAAUUGAUACGCAAUUUAUGCCCGAAUUGUCCUCUAUUCACCUUUCACUUGGGGACGGUUUUCCAUGAAUCUCUUCCAGCUCCUCGAGCCUGUUAUUGAGGGCUCUUCUAAGUGAGGCCAUCUGUAUAUGAUCGUUUGCUUCUGGAAAUCGGUUUAUGGAGACCUUGAAGUUCAGCCUAUGAAUUUUGCUGUACACUAGACGGGUCCUGUUGCCGUACUGCGAACACUUAUGUGAGGUUUCAAAUGUUCUCGCCUUCCUCUCAUGGUGCAGCAGAGCAACAAAUGUCAAAGGAAUUGGAAGAGACAGUUCCACAGCCUCCUGUCACAAUGAAUGGUCUUUCUCAUCAGGAUGAUUCUCCAAUGAGCGUGAUGAACUGCAGGAAUAAGUAAGAAACUCGAUUCUUGAGAUGUUUCUGUCUCAUAUCGUUUACUUUUUCUCCAUUGCGUCGAACAUAGUACCUACUCUAGUGAUUAGCUUAACUUUUCAUUUCAAUCUGAAAGCUACUUACCUACAUUUAUAGGAUUCUUAAUAUAAAUUACCGGCUUGUGCACACUAUCUUACUUGGCGAAUUCUGUCAUCUGCACUAGUUUAAAUACAUGCAUCAUUCGAGAGCGCAAGUGCCUUUGAUGGCUUAUGGCCUGAGGCAUGGCGUAAUUGUUUUUUUGCCUCGUCAAAGUGUUGCUUCAGAGGACCUGAAUAUUCUUUUGAAAGUGAUGCUUCAGAGGACCGGAAUAUUCUUUUGAUAGGAAUCGUCUGUUUAGAUGAUCAUAAUUGCUAUCAUUGGUAGAACACACUACCAAUAACAACAUGAUAGUCGCUGUGUGCAUUCUAGUCGAACAACGUAGUUUCAACUUUGGGUUGCGAUGCUAACUGUGCUCGCACUUGUGGUUCUAAAAUGUUGAUGAACAGAGCUGAAUCUGACAAGCUACUAGCCAUUCCUGUCGGUUUUGUUGGAUCAGAAGAGGUGGUAAGGUCUGCUCCACAUCUUGUACCUGGCGGUAAGCUUGCUUGUCCUUCAGUGGAAGAACAAGGAAUGAGAAUAAAUGCUGCAUUAGACACUGCACAUGCACCAAUUUCUCAUCUCUCGAACCUCAUUGCCAACGGUCACCGGGCUGCAAACUUCAGGGGACCUUUCCAACCAUCAGACUUUUAAGGCUCGAAGUUUGAGCCACUUGGAUUCAUACCCUAUCCCUUACUUUCUCUGAAGGUAUUUAUGAUAUUUAACACUUAGCUCGACAUUCUGCGUUGUCGAUUGUACUUGGUUUGGACUACCUACUGGUGAAUCUCUUCAUGUAAAGGUUUGGGUUGGAAUAUUACUUGUCAGCAUAGUUUCAUAGACACGGUAAUUCUGUUCUUUUACCCAUCAGUGCAUUCGACUCGUGGUGCAACAAAUCUGAAAAAAGCUUUUAAUAUGCUAUUCGAGAGUCAGCUUUCAGCAGUGAUCUUGAACAAUUUCGUGUUCUCCAAACCGAGACUUGUUUAGAGUCAUUGAAAGCCUUCAAUUUAUGACGUUGUACUAGGAAGGUCCUUUCUGCUUUAUAUGUUUCUAGAUACUUUAAAAACCAUCUAAAGUAAUUGAAAAGACCAUGCGCAAAAAGUUAAUUGCUGUUGUACUUGGCGAGGUGACCCAACUUCUCUAUGUAUUCUUACUCCUGAAGAAUGGCGUUGUUUGUAGCUUCCAUUCAGGAGUACCUUGCUAAUUCGGCAUCAGGUCAAGUGUCACGCCCCGAACCCCGAGAUACGUGAACAACCCGCCAUGGCAAUGUAAAUGCGACAUUCCCAGAUAGUGUCGCCGACCCCAUUCAAUUAUUAUGCGCAUGCUGAACGUACUAAGAAACCUCUGACAAAACUUACGGGAUAGGACAGCAGGAAAAAUCAAUUCAAAAACAAACCAACAUACUUUCAUAUAUCAUCUUUCCAGAGUUUACAUACACCAACAGGAUCAGAGACUAUAUGCACCAAAAAUGGGUCAAAGUUCAUGUGCAUCAAAAAGGGUCAAUCUGCACAACAGGGAUCGGUCCACCAAAAAGAGGGACGGCCCUAUGACUACUAGUCGGACUCGUUCGUCGAUCCCACAUCUUCCACAUCUGACUGCACUGGGUCCAGGGACGAUGGUUGUCCACCCUACAUUAGAAAGGUCAGCUACACCUUCACCCAAAUAGCAUCCACCACAACAAGUGGAAUAUCAAAAAUUAACACGAAGAAAAAAGUACAGCGUUAAGCCAAGAGGAUUCACACGAAACUCCAAUUAUCAUGAAUGCCAAACGACAUCCAUUGUCAUUUAUAGCAUAUGGACCUAAGAAUUUUAAACGAAAACACCANNNNNNNNNNNNNNNNNNNNNNNNNNNNNNNNNNNNNNNNNNNNNNNNNNNNNNNNNNNNNNNNNNNNNNNNNNNNNNNNNNNNNNNNNNNNNNNNNNNNNNNNNNNNNNNNNNNNNNNNNNNNNNNNNNNNNNNNNNNNNNNNNNNNNNNNNNNNNNNNNNNNNNNNNNNNNNNNNNNNNNNNNNNNNNNNNNNNNNNNNNNNNNNNNNNNNNNNNNNNNNNNNNNNNNNNNNNNNNNNNNNNNNNNNNNNNNNNNNNNNNNNNNNNNNNNNNNNNNNNNNNNNNNNNNNNNNNNUACGGACCUGUAAUAUUUUCCCCACAACGGGGGGGAGACCAUUAUCUCAGUAAGUUCACCCUCUGAAACCCCUAUUAGAAAGAAAAAUACGCCCAAGAGUGGGUCUACCCACACAUCAUAAAAGACUUAUCUCGUCUUAUUUCCUUCCAUGCAGGUUAGUACAGUUCAUAUCACUUAAUCACAGCUAGUAAUAAGAACUUAAAUCAUUGAAAUGCAAUCAAUUUCACAUAAUGCACAAUCACAGCAAGAGUUCCAAAUCAUUAUUCACCGCCACACAAGGGCAUAGCCAACUUGCAGUUUAACUAUCUACUGACAUUAAUGCCCAGGCAUCGCCUCCCCCCUUGGACCGCGGCUUCAUCACCACAUUGACGGCAUUCCCGAAGGAGCAUGGGUCCCAGUUGGCCUAGCCUCUACUGCGACCCGAGCCACGUCACUCUGUUAACGGCGUUUCUAGAAGAAUAAAGGUCCAGUUGGCCUAGUCACUACUACGACCGAGUCUUUUAACCAGCACACGACAAUUCAAUACUAAUCCCUGGAUACUUCACAUUUCACUCACAUACUCCAAUUACAAUAUUAACCCUUAAAAAUCCAAUUUCGGUGCCAAACCUGACACUUGAGAUUUUCUGAAUAAAAUCCCUAUUUUUUUUCACAAUCAACACUCAAUUUGUGUUAUCCGCUCAUUAAAUUCAAAUUCUAAAUACACAACAGCGAUCAGCACGAAAUUCUGAGCAAUUGAUGUCAAAAAUAAUUUUUCGAAUUUUUUUAAAUAAUAAUAUUUUAAUAAUUUUCAGAAUAUAAUAUAUUAUUAAAUAAUCCAAUAAUUUUGAAGCAUUUAUUUAAAUCAGAAAUAAAUUCCUUUAAGUCACAUCAAGGCUUAUAUUAAAAUAAACAUACUUAACUUUAAACUAAACACACUUUAACUUAAUUAAACACUUUAAUCUAAUCCACAACUAAAUAAACUAAUCUAACCACCUAAUCUCAAUCAACAUAAGCUAAACACGCUUAAGGCAUCAUUAACCCUUUAAUCAAGAUUUAGUGAGCUAAACUCACAGAAAUCGCUUUCCGACGAGUCCCCGGCGAAGAGCACGAUGAUGUUGACGACAAAUCUACACGGAGCAACACUAAAUGAGGACCGGAAGGCACCCAAAACGGCCCUCAAAGAUCCGGACUCGAGCUGGAACUCCGGUUGCUGUUUGGGGUCGGAUGGAGGCGGCUUGGCGGUCGGUUAGGCGCGAAACCGGCGGAGAGGGGCUGCGGCAGCUCGGGCAACGACCGGCGGUGGCUCGGGCGGUCUUGGCUAGCUCCGACAGUGGUUGGCGAACGGUGAGCAGCGGCUGGUGGCUUCGGACGACAACGCUGGACGGAGGACGAAGGCGGAACAGCUUGCACGCGGGACAGCGCGCGCGCGGUCGUGCGCGGAUGAGUGGCGACGGUGAACUCCGGCAACGAAUGGCUAGCGGUAACGAGCGAGAGGGCGAAGGGCAGUCGGCUAGCCUGGUCCGGUCGCUCUCUCUCCCCCCCCCCCCCAACUCGUUGAUUUCUGGAGUUUUAAUUAGCCUUGAUACGGUGAUGGGGAGAUGUAUGCGAGGAGACGUGAGAAAGAUGUUCAGUACCAGUUUCUAAAUAUGAAAAAUGGAUUCUUGCUAAGGUGGAAGCUCCACUACCUGUGAUGAANNNNNNNNNNNNNNNNNNNNNNNNNNNNNNNNNNNNNNNNNNNNNNNNNNNNNNNNNNNNNNNNNNNNNNNNNNNNNNNNNNNNNNNNNNNNNNNNNNNNCACAUUUGCACCCUCCAUAUGUCACCACCCUAGCCAAUCUUGCCCCACGCCAUGACAUCACUUGUGAUGUCACAAUCCACUAACUCCAACCUCCCACAACCUUAGUCCAAUAGAUUCAAUUUCAUUUUCCGCCAGGGCAUAGAAUCUUGUAUAACAACUUCUUCAAUUCCGCUUGAUUCUCUUCCAAUUUAAUCAAAUUGAAGUCCAUAAAAUUAAUCCAAUGUUCCUAAUAAGAUUUGUGACACACCAUGACUUCCAAUUUCAGAAUUCGAUCUCACUUUCACGGUUAAUUUCAUUUUGGCACGAUACUAGCGCGUCUUAGUCUAUUGGGCAGCUUUUAGAAAUUUUAAUGCAUUUGACCUGUAGUUGAUCAAUUCAAGCCGCAAUGUACAUCUUUGACACAUUGAUGACUUUCAGUUGUCGGGGUAAUCUCAAGGUUUCAAAUAUGGGCACAGAGUACCAAAUCGACAGAAAAGUCGGUCUAAUGCCGAUUGACAAGAAUUGUGUGAUCUGGUGGAAUCACCCACACUUGAUCACAUGCCUCUGUCGAGUCAACCUAUCUCCAGUCUCUAAUCGAUUUUUAUUUGUGCCGUAAUGACCCUUGCAGAUUAGCUCGGUCGAAAGGUCGCUUCUUGGUCAAAUUCUCGAGUUUGAUGCAUUAGAAUCUCUUAACGGCUUCACCUGAUAAAUUAGUUUUCACAUGAGUGGCCAACUCAAGGAAAAGAACUAUUUGCGUGCCAACGAAAUGCCUGUCUCAAUUAUUGAAAAUAGGAUUGAAAAAUCAGGAUGGCACAACUCUUCUCCUCUUAUAAAAAUUUCGUUCUCGAAAUUUAAACCAUUACACUUCUUAAGCAAAAAGGUGGGGGUACAAUUGUCUCAUCGAAUCUUCGAUUUCCCAAGUUGCUCCUUCAGUAUCGUGGUGUUGCUAGACCACUUGACCAACGGGAUGGUCUUGGUGCGCAGAACCUGCUCCUUGCGAUCGACGAUCUGAAUCGGGCUUUCAACGUACGACACCUUGUCGUUCACAUCUAAUUCCUCAAAAUUUAGAACGUGUGUCGGAUCAGGUUCAUACUUCCUUAACAUCGACACGUGAAAGACAUCAUGCACUUGUGCUAACCUCGGCGGUAGUGCAAGACGAUACGCUAGAGUCCCUAUUCUUUCCAAAAUCUCAAAGGGACCUACGUACCUCAGACUCAGUUUCCCCUUUUUGCCAAAGCGGGAAGUACCUCUCAUUGGUGACACCUUCAAAAAGACAUGCUCACCAACUUAGAACUCCAAUGGCCUUCGACGCUUAUCUGCAUAACUCUUUUGGCGGCUCUGAGCAGUCUUUAAUCUGUUUCUGAUAACUGCAACUGCCUCCACUGAAUGCUGAACCAACUCUGGACCGGUGAUCUUUCUUUCCCCGACUUCAUCCAAACAUACUGGCGUUCUGCACGCUCUGCCAUACAACGCUUCAAAAAGGGUCAUUUGAAUACUCUGCUGAUAACUGUUGUUGUAGGCAAACUCGACUAGAUGAAGCUGUUCCUCCCAGCUUCCUUUGAAGUCCAAGACGCAAGCUCGCAGCAUGUCUUCGAGAGUCUGAAUUGUCCUCUCAGAUUGGCCAUCAGUCUGCGGAUGAUAGGCCGUACUAUACUGUAGCUUCGUUCCUAAAGCGGAUGGCAAGCUCUUCCAAAAAACGGCGGUGAACCUCGGGUCCCUAUCUGACGUAAUCGUGACCGAGACCCCAUGCAUAUGAACCACCUAACGUAGAUACAGAUCUGCGAGUCUAUCCAAACUCAAGUCCUUUCGCACUGCCAUGAAGUGAACCGACUUUGUCAGUCUGUCAACUACUACCCAAAUCGAAUCAUUUCCUCUCUGGCUCCUUGGUAGUCCCGUCACGAAGUCCAUCGUGAUAUGCUCCCAUUUCCAUUAUAGGAUCUCAAGGGGUUGCAGAAGUCCUCCCGGUUUGCAUUGCUGAGCCUUCACCUGCUGACACGUCAAACACUUGGUGACAUGCUUGGCGAUGUCCGCCUUCAUGCCACACCACCAGUAAUGUUGACGUAGAUUUUGAUACAUCUUGGUACUACCAGGAUGAAUGCUGUAACUGCUACGAUGUGCUUCUGAUAAAAUCUCCUCUCUAAGCUUCACAUCGUUAGGUACAACCAAUCGUCCUUGGAACCUCAAUGUUCCAUCCUUAGAAAUCUGAAAGUCAGCUUUCUUUUUCUCUGCAUCCUCUUGCAGGAUUUUCUGAACAUUUGAAUCUAUCUGCUGAAGUGUUCUGAUUCUAACCUGCACUUCCGACUCAAUUCUAAGGGUGGCCAUAAGACUCGAAAUGUGGCCUACCUCACAUUUGAAAUCUGAAUCUCGUGCUCUCUCAAUUAGACCCCAUUCUUUGAGUACCAUUUGAGCAACUGAAGACUUCCUACUCAGUGCAUCAGCGACCUUGUUCGCCUUUCCGAGGUGAUACAAAAUCUCACAGUCAUAGUCCUUUAAGAGCUCUAUCCAUUGACGUUGUCUCAUAUUCAACUCCUUCUGAGAGAAUAAGUACUUGAGGCUCUGAUGGUCAGUGAAAAUCUGGAAUCUUUCUCCGCACAAAUAAUGCCUUAAAAUCUUCAGGGCAAAGAUGAUCGCUGCAAGCUCUAAGUCAUGCGUCGGAUAAUUCAACUCGUGAGGUCUCAACUAACGGGACGCAUAUGCAACUACCCUACCAUGCUGCAUCAAUACGCAACCCAAUCCUUUAAACGACGCAUCACUGUAGAUCUCAAACCCUCCUGGACCCGAUGGAAUAGGAAGCACAGGUGCGGUAGUUACUUGAAACUACUCUCGCACUUAUCUGACCACACAAACUUUUUUUCCUUCUUCAGUAGUCUCGUCAUCGGCGAUGCUAACACUGAAAACCCUUCUACAAACCGUCUGUAAUACCCUGCUAAACCCAGAAAACUUCUGAUCUCUGUUACUGUCGACGGUCUCGGCCAGUUGAUCACUACUUCAAUCUUGGCUGGGUCCACUGAGAUUCUUUCUCCAGAGAUGACAUGACCUAGGAAAGCCACACGAGUUAGCCAAAACUUGCACUUACUGAACUUGGCGUAUAGCUCGUGAUCUCUCAAAGUCUGAAGCACUAUCCUUGAAUGCCUUUCAUGAUCCUCAGUACUCCUUGAAUACACCAGGAUGUCGUCAAUGAAAACAAUUACGAACUGAUCCAAGUACUCUCUGAAUACGCAGUUCAUCAGAUCCAUGAAAGCAGCUGGGGCGUUCGUCAACCCAAAUGGCAUCACAGUAAACUCAUAAUGGCUCGAGUGCGAAACGCCGACUUCGAUAUGUCUUCCUUCUUGAUUCUUAGCUGAUGGUACCUUGUCCUCAAGUCGAUCUUAGAAAAUAUCGACGCUCCCUGAAGCUGAUCAAACAAGUCAUCGAUCCUCGACAAUGGAUACUUGUUUUUGAUCGCCACCUAAUUGAAUUGACGAUAGUCGAUGCACAAGCGCAAUGAGCCAUCCUUCUUCUUCACGAACAGAAUUGGUGCUCCCCAAUGUGAUGCACUAGGACGAAUAAAUCAUUUAUCCAACAACUCUUGCAUCUGUACCUUCAGUUCCUUAAGUUCUGACAAGGCCAUCCAGUAAAGAGCUUUAGAGAUUGGCUUGGUCCCGGGGGCUAACUCAAUCACGAACUCUAUCUCUCUCUCUGGCGGCAAACCUGGUAAUUCUUUCGGGAACACGUAUGGGAACUCUUGCACCAUUGCAAUAUCUUCAAUCUUCAACUCCUCCACUAUCGUGUCCACGACAGUCGCCAAGUAACCUUGGCAACCCUUGCCUAGCAAGCGAGUUGCUUCGAGUGAUGAGAUUAAGGAAACCGAGGGUCCUCCUUGACUCCUAAUAAAUUCGAAACUCUCACCCCCUAAUGGGUUAAACUGAAUCGCUUGGUGAGCCAGUCCAUGCCAAUUAUCACAUCAAAAUCAAACAUGGCUAGGACUAUCAAGUCUAUCCUCCCUUCUCGCUCACUAAUCAGUAACUUGCAACUAAGACAACCCACUGUAGCUAACACCUUAUGCUUCAACGGAGUAGAUAUGCUAAUCACAGACUCCAACAACUCAGGAAUUAAUUCUACCAACUUAACAUAUCUUUCAUCUAUAAAUGAAUGAGAAGCUCCAGGAUCAAAUAAAGCAUAAGCAGGUUGGUCGUUCAGUAAGACCAUACCUGUGAUCACAUUAGGCGCAUCCUCCGCCUGUCCUCUGGUGAUCGCAUAAGUCCUUCCUUGAGUUGGAGGUUGGUUCAAUCCACCAUGCGGCAUGAUCUGCGGCGCGAUUCCUCUAUUCUGACCCAACGAUGGCGGCGGCGGCAAUUGACGCUAUCCCAUCUGUUUCCUGAGGCAAUUCCUGGCUAUAUGACCCUGCUGGCCACACUCAUAACAGGCGCCCGUCCUAGGAGGACACGGGGCUGAACCAUGUCGUCUUCCAUAUAGACGACACACACCAUUUGGUCUCGGCGCUGGCUUUCCUGUCUCACCCUUCCUGUUGAGUGGAACAUGAUAUCUUCCUCCAGACAUCGAUCUCUUCCCAAACCGGUUACCUUCUCUAUUCGAAUUAAACUGCGACCCAGAUGUGGCAGCUCUCUAAUUCUAGUCUUUCUCAAUCAGCUGGGCCCGAUUAUAAAGGUCCUUGUACUCCUUUAGCUCUAAUGGUACCAACAAGCUCCUCACAUCAGGUCAGAACCCAUCUCUAAACCUUCGAGCUCGGUUUGACGGUCUUUGAACUAACUCGGGGGCAUACCGUGAUAGUUCAACGAACUUCACUUCAUACUGAUCGACUGUCAUUGUACCUUGACGAAGGCACUGAAACUCCACCAUCUUCACCUCUCUAGCACAAUCAGAAAAGUACUUCUCAUUGAAGACCUCAAGAAAAGCAUUCCACUCCGGAACUACACUUUCAGGGAACACUAUCCCUUUAUUAGUCUUCUGCCAUGUAGCUACGAUCCCCCUCAACUGAUAGGCUGCCAAAACGACAUUCUCUGCUUCAGUGCACAUUAGUAACUCAAAGGCAUUCUCUAACUCCUGAAUCCAUAGUGCUGUAGCUUCGGGAUCUCCUGCUCCCGUGAACGUCGGUGGAUUCAACCUCAUAAAAUAUUCUACCAACUUAUGCUUAGGCCUCCCAGCGGCCACAUUCUCAGGUGGAAUUUCAACAGGUUCCACUUAAGGUUCGACGAUCAGUACGGUGGCAGCAGGUGCGGCGGCAGGGGCGGCGGUAACUGCAACGGUAGCAGCAUUGGCGGCAUUAGCAGCAUUGGUGGUAGUGGCGGUAGCGACUGAAGCGGCGGCUUGCUGGUCCAAUCUGUCACCCAUCAACUCAAGCAUUUGCAUGAUUCCAACAAACCUCGGAUCCUCGGGGGCUACUGCAUCGUCUAUAGGCGAUCCUGCACCACUCGCACUGGCCUUAGCCUGUGCUUUUCCUAGGGCACCUCGGGCACCGACCCUCAUCGGUGACCCACCCCGACUGCUCUCUUCCUAACAGCUCUCGGCACUCGGUCACUCAAGCUACAUGCUCAAUAUAGAUGCCUAAUUGCAAAUUCCAAUACCACAUUAGAAUCUGAGUGACCUCACAAACAAGUUAACAAAUAGCUAACAAUCACUUGCAUCAGUAUAAUAAAAGCCUUUCCUACCAACUAUCCCAUGACUCCCACACACCUUAUUACUCUAUACAUGAACCAUGCUUUGAUACCACUUAAACGGGGUUGUCACGCCCCGAACCCUGAGACACAUGAACAACCCGCCAUGGUCAUGUAAAUGCAACAUUCCCAGGUAGUGUCGCCGACCCCAUUCAAUUAUUAUGCGCAUGCGGAACGUACUAAGAAACCCCUGACAAAACUUACAGGAUAAGACAGCAGGAAAAAUCAAUUCAAAAACAAACCAACAUACUUUCAUAUAUCAUCAUUCUAGAGUUUACAUACAACAACAGGAUCAGAGACUAUAUGCACCAAAAAUGGGUCAGAGUUCAUGUGCAUCAAAAAGGGUCAAUCUGCACAAUAGAGAUCAGUCCACCAAAAAGAGGAACGCCCUAUGACUACUAGUCGGACUCGUUCGUCGAUCCCACAUCUUCCACAUCUGAUUGCACUGGGUCCGGGGACGAUGGGUUGUCCACCCUACCAUCAGAAAUGUUAGCUACACCUUCACCUAAAAUAGUAUCCACCACAGCAAGUGGAAUUUCAAAACUAUAGAGUGGACCAAUCCUAAAGCCAUUAGCCCCAAAACGGAACCAUGCCUUAAACCUAUGCGGUACCUUGACAUCCUCAGUCUCCUGAAUUCAGACGGUGGUCCUGAUCAGCUCGUAAACCCAAUGGCUCCCAGGGUCAGGAAAACUGUGCACCUCCUCGACAAUAUGCACUAGGAUGCCAUUCUUCUCCGGAGGUCCUGCCAUCUACGGCCCUGUAAUAUUUUUCCCACAACGGGGUGAGACAUUGUCUCAACAAGUUCACCCCUCCUAAACCCCUAUUAAAAAGAAAAUACGCCCAAGAGUGGUCUAGCCACACAGCAAUAAAGACUUACCUCAACUUAUUUCCUUCCUGCAGGUUAGUACAAUUCAUAUCACUCAAUCACAUGUAGUAAUAAGAACUUAAAUCAUUGAAACACAAUCAAUUUCACAUAAUGCACAAUCACAGCAAGCGUUCCAAAUCAUUAUUCACUGCCACACAAUGGCAUAGCCAACUUGCAAUUCGACUAUCUACUGACAUUAAUGCUAGGCAUCGCCUCCCCCCUUGGAGCGCGGCUUCGUCACCACGUCAACGGCAUUCUCGAAGGAGCAUGGGUCUAGUUGGCCUAGCCUCUACUGCGACCCGAGCCACGUCACUCUGUUGACGGCGUUUCUAGAAGAAUAAAAGUCCAAUUGGCUUAGCCAUUACUGCGACCGAGUCUUUCAACCAGCACACGACAAUUCAAUACUAAUCUCUGGAUACUUUACAUUUCACUCACAUACUCCAAUUACAAUAUUAACCCUUAAAAAUCCAAUUUCGGUGCCAAACCUGACACUUGAGAUUUUCUGAAUAAAAUCCCUAUUUUUUUCACAAUCAACACUCAAUUUGCGUUAUCCGCUCAUUAAAUUCAAAUUCUAAAUACACAACAGCGAUCAGCACGAAAUUCUGAGCAAUUGAUGUCAAAAAUAAUUUUUCGAAUUUUUUAAAUAAUAAUAUUUUAAUAAUUUUCAGAAUAUAAUAUAUUAUUAAAUAAUCCAAUAAUUUCGAAGCAUUUAUUUAAAUCAGAAAUAAAUUCCUUUAAGUCACAUCAAGGCUUAUAUUAAAAUAAACCUACUUAACUUUAAACUAAACAUACUUUAACUUAAUUAAACACCUUAAUUUAAUCCACAACUAAAUAAACUAAUCUAACCACCUAAUCUCAAUCAACCUAAGCUAAACACACUUAAGGCAUCAUUAACCCUCUAAUCAAGAUUUAGUGAGCUAAACUCACCGGAAUCGCUUUCCGACGAGUCCUUGGCAAAGAGCACGACGAUGCCAACGACAAAUCUACACAGAGCAACACCAAAUGAGGACCGGAAGGCACCCAAAACGGCCCUCAAAGAUCCGGACUCAAGCUAGAACUCUGGCUACUGUUUGGGGUCGGAUGAAGGCGGCUUGGUGGUUGGUUGGGCGCGAAACCAGCGGAGAGGGGCUACGGCAGCUCGGGCAACGACCGGUGGUGGCUCGGGCGGUCUUGGCUAGCUCCGACGGUGGCUGGCAAAUGGCGAGAAGUAGCUGGUGGCUUCGGACGACAACGCUGGACGGAGGACGAAGGCGGAGCAGCUUGCACGCGGGACAGCGCGCUCGCGGUUGUGCGCGAAUGAGCAGCGAUGGUGAACUCCGGUGGCGAACGGCAAGCGGCAACGAGCGAGCGAGCGAAGGGCGAUCGGCUAGCCUAGUCCGGUCGCUCUCUCUCUCUCUCCUCCCCCCCCCCCCCCCAAAUUUCAAAUUCCAAGGCCCCUUGAAGAAAAUGAUGGAGACAAGGGGGAAGUGACAUCCCACCUUUUUGUGAUUCAAUCUCCACCCACCACGUGUCACCACCCUAGCCAAUGUUGCCCCACCCCAUGACAUCACUUGUGAUGUUACAAUCCACUAACUCCAACGUUCCACAACCUUAGUCCAAUAGGUUCAAUUUCAUUUUCUGUCGGGGCAUAGAAUCUUGUACAACAACUUCUUCAAUUCCACUUGAUUCUUUUCCAAUUGAAUCAAAUUGAAGUCCAUAAAAUUAAUCCAAUGUUCCUAAUAAGAUUUGUGACACACCAUGACCUCCAAUUUUAGAAUUCGAUCUCAAUUUCAUGGUUAAUUUCACUUUAGCACGGUACUAGCGCGUCCUGGUCUACCGAGCAGCUUUUAGAAAUUUGCAUGCAUUUGACCUGUGGUUGAUCAAUUCAAGCCACAAUGUACAUCUUUGACACAUUGGCAACUUUCGGUUAUCGGGGUAAUCUCAAGGUUUCAAAUACGGGCACAGGAUACCCAAUCGACAGAAAAGUCGGUCCAAUGCCGAUCGACAAGAAUUGUGCGAUCUGGUGGAAUCACCCACACCUGAUCACAUGUCUCUGUUGAGUUGACCUAUCUCCGGUCUCUAAUUGAUUUUUAUUUGUGUUGUAAUAACCCUUGCAGAUUAGCUCGGUCGAAAGGUCGUUUCCUGGUCAAAUUCUCGAGUCUGAUGCAUUAGAAUCUUUUAACGGCUUCACCUGAUAGACUAGUUUUCACAUGAGUGGCCGACUCGAGGAAAAGAAUUAUAUGCGUGCCAACAAAAUGCUUGUCUCAAUUAUUGAAAAUAGAAUUGGAAAAUCGGGAUGUCACAUCAAGGUUCACUGUCUGCAAUAUCUUAGUGAAGUGGAUAUCAGGCGUUCCAUAUCACAUCGGUGUCUGGAGGAAUGUUUGCUAAGCAAGAAAACUCAUGUGCAGGGGACAACGGUGAGGAAUAUAGUACUUGUUUGGAAGAAUGUAAGGCACCAUCUCAUGACUUAUCAUCCAGUGAAUGCACAAAUUCUUACUCAUUGAGAUAUUGUGCUCUUGUAAUACAUCACAUCCUCUAACAUGACAUCACGUGUUCAAUUUCUAUUCAUCGUAAAGGCAAAAAUUGAUAGCCACUCUGUCUAUCCUCUUUGACGUGCGCCAAUCGUUCAUCGGGUAGAUUAGGACCCAUCUAGAAACAAGAGGUCGAAGUCAGAGAUUGCUUGAGCAAGUAGCUGAUGUCAAGCUGGGGUUGAAGGGUGGGGGUGAGAGCUUUUGAUGGAAACGAGAGAGAUUCGUUGCUCAAAAUGCAAACAUUAACAUGAAGAAAAAAUUACAUUGUUAUGCCAAGAGGAUUCACACAAAACAAAAAUUAUAAUGAAUGCCAUACGACAUUCAUUGUCAUUUAUAAAACAUGGACAUAAUGAGUCUAAUAGAAAACACCGAUGCUAUAUGAAAAACAUAUAAAAGCUUCACAGAUUACAUUAUCAAUGAUGGUACAUGCUGAUAGUGUUAAUUAUAUUUCACAUCUCAUUUCUACAAGAGGAAAACAAUCACACAAUACAUGAUUUUGUAAACUCAUUGUCGUGGUCAAAUUGGUAACUGCUAGAAAUUAUCGGAGCACUUGACAAAGAUGAGACCAUUUCAAGUUCUAUCUCAUUGUUGUCAUCAUCAAUUGGUGCCUCUAUCGGAUAUAAAAUUGGUUUUGGAGGUAGUUGCAGUUUAUCGAUAUCUCCUUCAAGCAUAUCUAGAACUUUCCUCAUUGACGGCCGAUCCUUAGGGUUCAGCUGUACGCACCAUAGCGCAACGAUUAUCAUCUUCCUUGUUUCUCUUUCCUCUUCUAUGACUUCUACCCUCUCAACCUCCUUUUCUUUGCUGAAAUGAUCAUAAACCCACAAAGGAAAGUAAAUUUGACUUGAAUGCUCUGCAUGUGCAUUUAUAUUUCUCCUUCUACCGGCCAUUUCCAUUAACAUCAUCCCAAAACUGUAAACAUCGGCUUUAUAAGAAAUUCCACCAAUGUCUUUGUAGAAUAGCUCAGGCGCCAUAUAACCCAAGGUUCCUCUUGCUGCAGUCAACGGUACUAUGCUAUGACCGAUGGGAUAACGUCUUGCAAGUCCAAAGUCAGAAAUUUUCGGAGUGAAACUUUGGUCUAGGAGAAUGUUGUGAGGCUUGAUGUCAAAGUGAAGAAUUUGCAUAUCACAUCCCCGAUGUAGAUACUCUAUCCCUCUAGCUAUGCCAAGAGAGAUCUCAUGCAUUUUCUUAUAAUCAAGAGGAUCAUCACCAUCCUUAUUCAAAAUGUGUUUAUCCAAAGAGCCAUUCGGCAUGAAAUCAUAGACCAGAGCUUGUUUGGAGUAAUCGAAGCAAAAACCAACAAGUUGCACUACAUUGAUGUGGUGGAUCCUUCCAAUUGUGGCCACUUCACUAAUAAAAUCCUGGCCGUUAGAUUCUGGUUUGUUCAAAAUCUUAACCGCAACUUCAUUGCCACUUCUAAGGAUUCCUCUAUACACAGAGCCAUAUGCCCCCUCACCUAAUUUGCAUUUGAAUUUUUUUGUAAUCUUCUUGAUAUCCGAGUAAGAGUACCUUAUGGGCGAAAAGUUGUUGUGAACUUGUAGGAAUUCUUCGAUGUUUGCGUCGAUCGCCCGGUGCCUUCUCAUCCACUUAUAGAUUAGAAGUAUCAACACACAUGGAGCUCCAAGUAUGAAUUUUGCUGGGACGUAGUUGGCUACAUAGAAAUUGUCCAUAGAUUAGCGCCGUGCAAUAAUUUUUUUGUAAACAUAAUUGUUUUUAAUCAGAGUGCUUCUUGAGAUCAUCAUAGUUGUGAGGAGAAAAGGCCCAGCAGUCAUACCCAAGAAAAAGGCGAGGUGCCGACCUACAGGUGCCGCGUACCAAUGCUUGGUCCACGCAGAAUGAGGGGUGCCUGCAACAGAUUAAUUAGAGUCGGUGAUCAAUCAAUGAAGAAUUAAAUUUAUCAUUUUAGCAGUUAAACAUAAAUAUAAUUUACUCUCCUUGACAGCGCUCAGAUCACAGUUAAUUCAAUUCACCUAGGGAAUCCAUGCCAUCGUAGCAUGAUUCAUAAGUUCACGUCUCGCUCCGCGUAAUUCUAAUUUACAAACGUCAUUCAAUACGCGUGCAGUUUAUUCAACCGCAUAACAAUAACAGUCAUGCAAGGGACACGAGCAACAAUUAAAUCAACCAUUUUUCCCCAAACAAAAAUGAAGUAACAAUGUCAAAUCCAGAAAAGCUCCAAGAUUCGUAAAAUAAACGAGAGCAGUGCAUGCCGACCCUACUAAGAAAUCUAUUUAAACUUUUCUACUUAAGUGAUGUGGCAAUUUUUUCUAUUAUGUUUUUAAUGAAACUAGUGUCUUAAUGUGUGGAUUUCAUUAAAAAUACCCAAUUAAAACCUGCCACGUCACUUGGUAAGUAAAUUUUGAUCAGGUCUCUUAGUGAAGCUAGCAUUUAAGGAAAGGAGGAGGAGGAAGAAGAGAAAGAGAAAAAACAGCUUAGGGGAACGUCGCUUACUGAAAUAAUAGCCGCACUUCUCCCUUCGGUUAAUAAAACUUAAGAAGUGACAUGGAAAGAACAUUUUCGCAGAAAUGUAGAGCGGAUAGGUGAGAGUGAAUCCCUCGACCAUCUUGCUGUGGAGGUCCUUGUAUGGUAAGCUCCCAUACUGAUCCCCUUUCCGCCAUGAGAUUUGAUCCGAUGUGAAUGCCAUCAUGGUUACGGUGCAAGAGUCCUUGAUAUCCCCUACUUGUAAUUUCCGUAGUACAGCGUAUGAGUACACCUUCAUUUGGGAAAAAUGAGUUGUGUCGGCAGAGUAUGCGUCCUCAAUACAUGGUUUGGCAUCAAUAUAAGAAGUAGAAGUAACAGGUUGUGAGCACUUCAUGAAGGCCACAGUGACAUUGCCAUAUGGAAAUCCAUAUAAAUCAGCAAAUGGAUUAGUGAUAUUGAAGUACGUCAAUGGGUAACGAGGAAGGGAUGAACAAUUACCCUUCUGCAGUCCAUCAUCAACCACUGUGAUGUUACCAGAGAAGUCAUUUUGGAGAAUAGAGAAAUAAUUAAUCGACUUCACAUAAUAUCGGCCAGCAUUUAAAUAUAGAACAGUGUGGUUAUUUUCACAAACUAGCUCAUACCAAGAGUGACCGCAGUCUUUUGGAUCGCUUUUCAAUCGAAAAGGAUAACUUAUGUUACGGAUCUCACCGCAAGAUGAAGAGGCACACAAGUGAUUCUUCUUCGCAUCGCAGCUCGUUCCUAACAAUAGCAGAACAUGCAAUAUGAGAAGUAAAACACGGAGCAUAAAUAUCGAGCUGAGAGAAAUAAUCAUCUCUUUAUCGUUUGAUCCGAUGCAAUGGAAGUUUUAGCUCACUUAGUGAUGCGAGGGAUGCUUAAUAAAGGGUUGGGAGUCAUCGGUCAUCGAAAUGUCCAAGUCAACCCUAAAACAAAGUCUAGCGAAGAAAAACUUAAAAAGUACGGCCCCGCAAAAACACGAUCUCGAGUGAUAGAUAGCUUUCACAUUCAUUAGGGAGGAAAUUUCUCUGCAUUUUCCAGAUAGGAUUUUUCUUGGCAAAUUAAUUCUCUCUAGAAAUUUAUUUUAGUAUCUUAAAAAAGAAUCGGUUUUAAUGUUUUGUACCCUAAACUCAAUCAAAAUCUAUUCAAACGAGGCAUCUAGCGUUCUAUUUUAUUUUCAAGGCCAAUAUUUCAUAAGUGUCGCUUCGUUAAAUUUUGAAGACGAAAAGGAAAAGGAUGAUGUAAUUCAUUGUAUAAGGUUUUUCAUUUUUGAGAAAAAAAAUUAGUAACCAAGAAAGAGGAUAAUGUUAAAUAAUGGGUACAUAGAUUUUAACUUUUAUAAUGUCGCUUUCCGCAAAAAUAGAAAGAAAAUAAGGAACGGGUGCUUCUUGCUUAUGGAUGAUGUGAAAGAUAGCAAUAUGGUAAAUUCUCAACUAGUGAUGGGACCGACACACCUUGAUUAGAAAUUCACUUGCGUUGUCGUGGAUCGACACACGCAAGGACUAUAGACGCAACAUUUGAAUUCACAAAAAUAAUGUGAUGUUUACUUAUUCACUAUGCUUAAAUUUUAAAAUCACUCUCUUGUAAUUGUGCUAUAAUUAUGAAUAUGACCGUCGUCUCUUUUCCAUAAUUGAAUCACUUAAUGAAUGUACAUACUGAUCUCAACGAAAAAGGCAAUACGAUCAUUUCUCAGCCAACGAUCAAUUGAUGUGGGUCUCGAUUAGAAAUUCACUUCCUUCGUCAUUCUUGACACGCGCAAAGACUAUAGGUGUAAUAUUUGCAUACACAAAAAUAAACUAAUAUGUACUUAUUCACUGUCAAUUGAAAUAUUAUUCUUGUGGAUCAGUCAAUCACUCGCCUAUAAAAUAAUCUCAUCUUUUUCUCCCAAUAAAUCGAACUGACCUAUUACAAUAUCCAAUUGGAACGUGCCACAUCACUCAGUAAGUAAAUUUUUAUACGAUCCCUCAGUAGAGCUAACAUUUAAGAAAAGGGUGAGGAUGAAGAAACAAACAAAGAAAGAACUGGGAAAGUGAGCUUUCGGGAAUCCUGGUGUCUGCACCUCUCCCUUUGGUAUUCAAAACCUAAGUAGCAAAACUCGAAACUUGUUGGUGGCAAGAGUUUAUAAUAGGAGAUAGUGAAUCCCUCGACCAUCAUGUCGUGGAGGUCCUUAUACAGUGAGCUUGCACGAUUAUACCGGUCCUUUUUCCACUCCGGAAUACAAUGCGGUAUUAAAGCCUUUAUGGUUAUGGUGUAAGUAUCCUUGAUGUCCCCUACUCGGAGAUUAAACUCAUGUACAGCGUAUGAGUACACCUUUAUCGGAAGGAUAUGCUCCCUCAAUACAUGGUUCAGUAUUGACUUACGAAGUAGAAGCAAGGGGCUGUGAGCACUUCAUGAAGACCACCGGCACAGCUAACGAAUCGUAUGGAUCAUUAUCACUAAGUUGGAGAGCGCCAAUGAGUAAUGAGGGAGGGAUGAACAAUUACUUUUUUUGCAGUCGAUCAUCAACCACCGCUAUUUCGCCAUUGAAAAAACAUUUGCUGAGAUUGGAAUGGUACUAAAUUGAUUUCACAUAAUAUUGGCCGACAUAUAGAUAUAGAACAAUGCGAUUAUUUUCACAAGCUAGCUUAUGUUCAUAGCGUCCGCAUCCUUUUGGGUUGCCUUUCAAUCGAAAGUGAUAUGUCACGAACCUCGCCACAAGAUAAAGUGGCAGACAAGUAAUUUUUCUAUGCACCACAACUCGUCCCAAUAGCAGCAGAAGGGAAAAGUACCAAAAAAGUCCUAAACCUAUUGCAUUGGUACAAAUUCAGUUCUAAAAUUUUCAAUUUGACCAAUUUAGUCAUAAACCUUUUGAUAUUGGUACCAAUUCAAUCCUUCCGGCCAAUUUUGGCCAGCCGGCACUGAUGUGGACGUCGGCCGGUGGCCGGACACUGACAUGGAAUUUUUUUUAUAUUUUAGUUUUUUCGAAUUUUUUUAUUUUUUUAUUUUUUUAUUUUUUCCUUUUUCCUUUUUCCUUUUUCCUUUUUCCUUUUCUUUUCCGGUAGUGGUUGGCGAGCCUCCGGUGAGGCUCGCCGCCACUAGGCGAGGGCCGCGAAGCCCUCGCCUGGACUCUCCGUGGGCCGGCGGCAAGGCCAUGGCGGCUAUCGUCAUGGUAGAGGCGAGGGCACGUCGGUGAGGGUCGCGGCCCUCGCUCGGCCUUGCCUAGGGCCACGGGUGAGGUCGAGUGAGGACUGCGACCCUCGCCGGUGGCUGGCGAGGGCUUUGCGGCCCUCACCUCCGCCUAGCGAUGGCCCCCAUGGCCUCGCCGGCAGCCCUGGGAGAGGCUGGGCGAGGGCCGCAACCCUUGUCGGCUGCAGGCGAGGGCUUCGCGGCCCUCGCCCAGUGGCCGGUGAGCCUCACUGGAGGCUCGCUAGCCACUGUUGGAAAAGAAAAGGAAAAAGGCAAAAAAACUUUAAAAAAAUAAAAAAAAAUCGAAAAAAAAAAAUCAUAAAAAUUGCCACAUCAACGUCCAGCCACCAGCCGACGUCCACGUCAGUGCCGGCCGGCCAAAAUUGGCCAGAAGGACUGAAUUGGUACCAAUAUCAAAAGGUUUAGGAUUAAAUUGGUCCAAUUGAAAAGUUGAGGAUUGAAUUGGUACCAAUGCAAUAUGUUUAUAACUUUUUUGGUACUUUUCCCGCAACAGAACAUACAAUAUGAAAAGCAAAACAUUGAACAUGCUUAUGGAGCUUAGAGACUUGAUCAUCUCUCUAUUGUUUGAUCUGAUGCAAUGAAAGUUUUUGCUAAUCGGUAAUGUGAUGGAGGCCUAGUAAUAUGAAUGGAAAGAGCCUGGAGUCCUUGGUCAUACAAAUGUCUAAGUCAACAAAUAAAGCAAAGUCUAGUGAAGAAAAAGUGGAUAUCGCAUGNNNNNNNNNNNNNNNNNNNNNNNNNNNNNNNNNNNNNNNNNNNNNNNNNNNNNNNNNNNNNNNNNNNNNNNNNNNNNNNNNNNNNNNNNNNNNNNNNNNNNNNNNNNNNNNNNNNNNNNNNNNNNNNNNNNNNNNNNNNNNNNNNNNNNNNNNNNNNNNNNNNNNNNNNNNNNNNNNNNNNNNNNNNNNNNNNNNNNNNNNNNNNNNNNNNNNNNNNNNNNNNNNNNNNNNNNNNNNNNNNNNNNNNNNNNNNNNNNNNNNNNNNNNNNNNNNNNNNNNNNNNNNNNNNNNNNNNNNNNNNNNNNNNNNNNNNNNNNNNNNNNNNNNNNNNNNNNNNNNNNNNNNNNNNNNNNNNNNNNNNNNNNNNNNNNNNNNNNNNNNNNNNNNNNNNNNNNNNNNNNNNNNNNNNNNNNNNNNNNNNNNNNNNNNNNNNNNNNNNNNNNNNNNNNNNNNNNNNNNNNNNNNNNNNNNNNNNNNNNNNNNNNNNNNNNNNNNNNNNNNNNNNNNNNNNNNNNNNNNNNNNNNNNNNNNNNNNNNNNNNNNNNNNNNNNNNNNNNNNNNNNNNGACGAAAAGGAAAAGAUCUCAUAUUCAUCAUUUAAGCUUUUAUUUUGACAAAAAACAGAAAUUGAUAACAAAAAUAGACUAUGAACAAGAAUAUUAACUUGUAUAAUGUUGCCUUUGGCAAAAGUAAAAGGAAAAUAAGAAAUAAGUGUUUCUUGGAUGGUGUAACACGUUAUGAAAGAGAGAAAGUAAUACGACAAUUUUUAGUGGUGAACUGACGCGUCUUAACUAGAACCUCACUAACUUCGUUGUCACGCAAAGACUAGAGAUGCAAAUUUCCAAGUCAACCAUCAACACAAAGUCUAGUGAAGAAAAAGUGGGUCUCAUGUGGAAAUUGCAGCCCUAGCAGUCAAGGCGACAAAAACACGGUAUUGGAAUUAUUUAUGCAUGGCUUUCACAUUGAUUAGAAAAGAAACUUCUCUGCAGUUUCCAUAUUGACUUUUCUUAGUACCAUAAAUAAGAAUCGAUUUGAAUGUUUUGUAUUCUAAAAUGAAUCAAAAAUCCUUUCGAGUGAGGCAUUGGCAUUGUAUUUUCUUUUCAAGGCUAAUAUUCCAUGAAUGUCGCUUAUUAAAUUGUGAAGACAAAAAGGAAAUACAUAUCGUAUUUUAUUGUAUGAGCUUUUUCAUUUUUAACAAAAAACAAAAAUUGGUAACAAAAAUGGCUUAUUGAUGGGAAUAUUAACUUGUAUAAUGUUGCUUUUGACAAAAGUAAAAGGAAAAUAUGGAGUAAGUGCUUCUUGGAUGGUGGAAUAGGUUAUGAGAGAAAGAAAGCAAUGCAAUAAUUGCUAUCGAGGGACCGACGCACCUAGAAAGCAAUACAAUAAUUGCUAUUGAGGGACCGACCCACCUAGAAAGCAAUACAAUAAGUGCUAUCAAGGGACCGACGCGCCUUGACUAGAACCUCGCUAACUUCGUCGUCACGCAAAGACUAUAGAUGCAAAAUUUGAUUUUAGAAAUAUAAAGCGAUGUUUAUUUAUUUACUGUCAACUUUAAUAUUUCAAUCACUCUCCCACCAUUGUGCUAGAUCUAUGAACAAUAUUAUUAUCUCUUUCCUAUAACAGAACCACUUAAUGAUUGAACUGAUCAAUUUCAAUAAUACUGUCAUUUUGUCAAAUGAAAGAAAUGUUGUUGCCCUUCAUCAUCAUCUUCUAUAUCUGAAUGUGUGAUAUUGAAGGUGUCAUGUAAGCUCAAAUGAGACUAUCGGUCAAUUUACUAUUGUGAACAUAAUAUCAAAGAGUUUCACAUAGAAAUUCUUCUCAGCGAAACAGACACGCCUUCAAAUAGUUGUAAUUAGCACUUACCAUAUAUUUUUCAAGCUAAUGCGUACACCUAAGUAUAAUUGAAGAGACUGAAAUGGAUUUUCCAUAUAAUACAGAAAACUUUAUUUUAACUGACGCAUCCAAUGACGUUUUAACUGCACAUGUUCUCGACCAAUAACAAAAAAAAAAAAAAAAUGCACAUGUUCUAUUUUUUGUAGUAAUAUUAUUACUGAUUACGUUUUUAGUUUUCUUUUUAUUGCAUAUUACCCUUUCUGGAAAUUGAUUUGUUCCGCGAGCAGUUCCACACGCAAUGAUACCUUAGUUGCUUUCUAUAUCAUCAUUAAAUAUUCAGCAAUGAUUAGUCAAUUUUUUAAGUAGAAAAUCUCUUGGUGAAAGUAUCCUAUAUUAUCUCUUGCACGUACACCAAAAGAUUUGGACAUAAAUUAUGCAAAUUGAUGUAUCAACUAUCAAUUCAUUCAGUGCCAUAAAAUACUAUAGAAAAAUAAUAAUCUGUUUCGAAGUGUAAAAUCUUUCAUUUUUGACAAAACUGAAAUUUGUAACUGAAAAGAUUAAUAACGGCACUAAAGACUAUCGUUGCACGUUACAAGAAAAGAAUAAAGGCCAUACAAUAAUUUCUCAACCAGCAAUAGAUGGACGCGAGCCUCAAUUUGAAAGUCACUUGCUUCAUAAUUGUCCGACACGCACGAAGACUAUAGGUGCAAUAUUCGCAUUCAUAAAAAUAAAGCAAUACGCGCUUUUUCACUAGCAAUUGAGAGUAUUAUUCUUGUAAAUCAAUCACUCACUCUCCUGUAAAAUAACCCCAUCUCUUUCCCGCAAUAAAACUGAAUGAACUGACAGAUCUCAACAAUAACGUCGUUUUAUCAAACAAAAGAUGCAGUUACCUGCUUCAUAAUCAUUUUCCAUCUCCGAAUGUGUGGUAUUGCAAGUGUCAUGUAAGCUCAAAUGGGACUACAGGGAAGAGUGCUGCCAUUUUCAUUCUCUGUUGAUAGCUACUUGAAUCUGCUCAAGACUCCUCCCUUUCGUUUCAAGGACCACCGUGAUCACGAACACCAUCCCUGUGGCGUUAAUCACCGCAUAAAGAAGGAAGGUACCUGUGAAGCAAGCGAGCAGAGUUAUUUGCUUUUGACAAGUUUUGCGGAAGCAUAUUCUGACAUUUUUCUCAUGGGAAGAAUGCUUUAGUAUGUACUACCUGUCUAUUAAUCAUUCUGCAGAAAGACCCGCUUAGCUUUUUUCUUUUUUAAAUGAAACGUCGGCUCAAUUUUGGUGAUAUUCAAAUCUAGGUAGAAGUUGCUGUAAAUGCGUUGAUUGAAAUAAAUGGUCUGAAUAUGCAUUCAAGAGCAUGAAGAACGGAGUGACACACCUCCAGCUCCAAAUAGGAUUGAAAUGUUCAGGAAAAGCUAAGUCUCAAGUCUGUAGUUUGGUCGAAUUCGCGCAACAGUUCAAAGAGUGUUUUCAGCAGAGUCGUACCGUAGGAGCUCCAGCUCAUUAAGUAGUUGAAAGUGUAGGAAACUGCCCAAGCGCCGAACCAGUUCACUAGUGUUGCGAAACCUCCAGCUACUCCUUUGAUAUUAAUGGGGAAAAUCUGAACUCCAGCACACAUUACAUGAUUGGCAAAAGAAUUUUGAAACUCUUGUACUAAUAACACUAGUUAUUAUUUUGAAAACAACCCUUUAAUUUGAUAAGCAUGAAACUUCGGGGGAUGCUUAGGAUUACCUCGGACAUCACGACCCAAGGAACCGCGCCCAUUCCAGCCGAAAAUGCUGCUAUGUAUAGCUGAGCAUUGGAAAAAACAGAACAGAAAAAUUUGUAGUAGGGAGUUGUUGCGGUGGCCAACUGGAUAGAGCCAGAAAGAGAUCAAGGCAGUUGAGAUUAUUACCAGAAUGCCGGUGACGGCAAGUAUCGGGACAGCAUCAGCUGCCAGAUCAUGAACCUGGCUCGGAAGAUCCUCAAAAAAUUACUGGUUGACAAGCAUUGCAAAGCAGAAGGAAGAUACUAGGACUGAUAGUAAUUACCUUUAGAAAGAAUGAAAGGGCAGUUACUAUGCAUCCCAGGACCAAUCCUGUCCCCAAGAUCUGCGAUUGAGAGAGAGAGAGAGAAGGUUAUGGGUCAAGUUGCAGAACUUGCGAAAGGGCAGAACCAGAAAAGCUUUGUUACUAUAGACAUGAUUUCUUAGCUUUCAUCUAUUUUACCAAGAGAAGGGGCUUUCUUCCAGCUCUAUCGACCAGUGCAGCGCCAAUAGCCGUGACAAUAACCUGCAAAAAUUUACUCUUUAAGCGUGACGAGUAUAAAACUAGAUCGNNNNNNNNNNNNNNNNNNNNNNNNNNNNNNNNNNNNNNNNNNNNNNNNNNNNNNNNNNNNNNNNNNNNNNNNNNNNNNNNNNNNNNNNNNNNNNNNNNNNNNNNNNNNNNNNNNNNNNNNNNNNNNNNNNNNNNNNNNNNNNNNNNNNNNNNNNNNNAAUUGCAUAAGUUAUGGUUCCAACGCUGGAGGAGAAACCUGAGGAGAUUGUACAAAUGCGAUUAUAAAGGCGAGACUAAUACCUUGCUUGUGAGAUUCAACACUAAAUUAUGUGAACAGCUCAUUCAGUGAUAAUUAAGUAGACCAAAAGCAUUCGACAUUGCGAAUUUUACUAACCCAUUUGAAUAUUAACUGGAUUAUAUAAAUUGGAACCCCUGCUUUGCUUUUUAUUUAGCUUUUCGUUCUGGAAUCUUAAAAUGCAAAGCAUACUUUAAUUUUUGUGGUGCCCAAGAGCUUCUUGCUAUGAACUGCAUACCUGCUUCCUCAAAAAUAUUGCUUGUAUAGAAACAGAUGCCAUUUAUCCCUCCGAACUGCUGGAUGACCAUCAAUCCAACACCAAUCUGGCCAAAAUUUAACAAAUUUGUCAGCAAAAAGAACAACAAUGGGAAAUAUCACUAAAAGUACAACUACCGCAUAUUCCCAAUCCACAGGGCAUUCCAAGAAAGCAACGAAGGAGGGACUUUAUUGGAUACAUAGCAGUAAAUACAGAGAGAAGAUUACGAUGACAGAGCUCAGAUAUCUUCUCUGAAAUAAAUCGAGAAUGCUGGCUUUCGGGAGCGGUUGAAGAGUUUCGAUGUACCUGUCAAGAAAAACAAAUUCGAUCAUUCUGUCAGUUAUUCGCACUUAUAAAGUUGAGGCACUACGAUGAAACGAGUAUAGACUUAAAACCUUUUACUUGUAUUUCAGCAGCCUCUUCAGAAAUGUCCGCAUCCUUUCCACGGAGUUUCUGCAGCGCAGCUUCAAACUCCUUUUCACGGCCCGUUUUCGCCUGCAUUUGGCAGAAUCCUAAAAUUCAUUCCAACAAUACAAAUCCCUCUCUUCCAACAAUUCAGAUAAGAAGAAUCUGGUGUUCAUCUUGAUUUGUUACCAGCCAUCUAGGAGACUCUGGAAUGAAAAACAGGCCGAACAGUAGGACUGCACAGGGGAUUAGACCUGCAUAAACUGCAGAUGUUCAAGAUGGUUUCAGACUUGGACUUUUCUAUACAACAUUGGCACUAAACUUGAAUUAGGCUACUUUUUCUGUUUUACCAAUUAAUGCCAAAACCCUCCAAGCUUAUACUGUCCCGAUUAUGAAGGAAACGGACACUCCAGCAACGAUCAUAAGCUGUGGAGAGAAGAGAACAUGUUAGGCCCAGUAGGUUCUGUAGGAUGUUCGUAUAUACACCAUCUUGCACUUGCAAGAGGGCAAAAUUUGCUACAAGCUAAGGCCUUUUGCCAAUAGCUCCAUGCUUGCAAUUCUAACCAAGAAUGUUCAUACAAAAUCUUUGCCUGUUUGACAGCAGUCAAAGCUCCACGGAGAUUUUUGGGUGUAAUUUCAGCUAUAAAUAUUGGUACCUGGACAUAAAUUAGAAAAAUAUUAACCAAUCUAAACCGAAGAGAGAGCCUCAUGUUGUCACGGUGAAUCGAGUCCAGCAUGUUGUCGUAGAACAGCUUGCUACAUCAAAUUUAUGUGGUACGAAGUGAGGAAUUACCACAUAGGAAAAGACUCCCAUUCCAUAUCCCGUGGCCAAUCUUCCGAUAUCCAGAGCCAGUGCUCCCUAGUUUACUCAAAAUUAAACAGAACAGAGAGUUGAUGAGACUUGAAGUUCUUAUGCAACUAAUCGAUCUUCAUGUAUGAUUAGGCUUGUAAAUAGGAUAUGGACACACCUCAGCAAAGUAAAUAGCAAGCCAUCCUGCUACACAAAGAGCGCUCGCUAUUCUCAUUGUCUGCAUUUUGAGGCAAAUGUUUUUACUGUCACGUCCUCCGUCCAUGAUAUGACUAAAUCCCAAAGCUAAAACUCUCAGAGUCUUGAACAACACUGUUCUGUUUUACAUUGUGAAAGACGCACUCAUUUGCUGCUUACCCACUUACGGCCAACAAAAUCAGCGAUUGGUCCUCCGGUAAUUGCACCAAUCAUUACACCGAAUGUCAGUAUGGAUCCAAAGACUGAAUACUGUUGAAAGACACAAAGUGUAACUGCAAAUCAGCUUGAGUUCAGUGAGAGCAAGAACUUCAGUUACCAUCUAGCUAACAACGCUAUAAGUCACCGAAUGUCCGAGAAUCUCAGUGGAAAGCUAUUCUGAACAAACCUAUCACUUCGAUCAGAAACCUGAAUGAUAUGCAGUCGCAAUUUUCAGCUGACGAUACCCAAUCUAAAUCUCCCCAUUUUUUGGUUUUCUUGUCCUUAGGUGUCCAACAAUGGAACUCGAUGUGAAAACUUGGUAUACAUUUCACUCGUUACAAUGCAGAAAGAAUAAGAUGUCUAGAGAAAGAAGUAUCUCUACCUCAAAGCCAACACCCUUAUUUUUGAGAGAGUCUCGUUUAUAAAGUUUUUGAUCAUAUAACUCGUCCAUAUUAUGGACCCGGAAUAUGAGCAGAUCUUUACUUUGAUUUUCUUGUAUACAGGCCCCUUCAGUGACAAGUCCAAUAUUGAAUCGAAGCAACGAACAAAGACAACGCGACAUGUGCUUCUCAACACUCGUAGGUAAAUUCGACAUACCUCAGCUGUAGAGAGACCAAGUUCCUCCACUAUAGCAUCCUGAGUUGGUGAUGAAUAACCUGCCUGAAAAAUCCAAUGAGAACAAUUUCUCUUUAGAUUCAAUUAAUCACAUCCUUUUCAUUUUAACCAUUACUAUUGGACCUGGACUUUUCAAAAAGAAAUUGCAUUUCCUACUUACGCAGGUCCCGAAUUCAUGGGAACCACAAACCGCAACGAAUGUGGUGAAAUAGACCAUCCACGGACGACCCUUAUCGGUUCCUUCAUCUUUGCCAGCUCAGUCCUUCUCUUGCGGCACGAGGAGACGCUCUCUUACUCCUUCUCUGUCCCCGGUUUCUUCAUUUUCAAUGUCCUCGUUAAUCGCCAUGCUUGCUCGCCUUACAAAAAUGCUCCUUCGUUCUCUAUCUGACUACGUACGAGGAACUAGCAAAUCUAUAAGCUCCAGAGAAGAUAAGUUCUCUUUCCAACGUGGCUACUCUGCUUGCUUUAUAUGGAUGACUCGAAAUGAGAAACCCCAAGUGCUAAUACGGAAACCCCAUCACCGAUCGGUUUAUACUCGCGGUUUCUAGGAGUCCUCACGGACCUCAGUCUUGCAAACUGGCAAGCAACUCCUUGCUUUUCUGACUCGCCCCCGUUAAUGGUAUUGGAAUCACCAAUGGAACAGAGUCUCCGAAUACAGCAGGAUCACAGGUGUAAGGGGCUGCAUCGCUCUUUAUGGGCAAGGAGUAAAACAUGGAACUGGACUUUCUCAAUGACACGGCUCUGGAUAAAGACAAAGUAACAACCACGGACAAAGUUCUAUCUUUUUGAGCCAGCCACCGGCUAGGAAAACCAGAGUGUUUUUCUAACCUGGAAAGUAAUUAAGUUCUGUCCACUUUUGCAUGGAGGCAUUGUUAUCUUCACCUUUAACCCACGUUUAUUGUGUAAGAAAGAUAAGAUCUCAAUUAAUAGUUUCUUAUCUCUUUGGUGCAAUAAGAAACUAUCAAGAAAAAGAACUGUUCUGCUAGAACAUUAUUUUUCCUUUGGGAAUUUUCUUGACCAAAACCCUUUUUUUCCCAAUUGGACGAUGGGCACAAGAUAAUUUCGGCCGGACCUUCUUCUGGGGACAAAUUAUCUUCCUUUUCUAUUUUUUAAAAGAACCACUGCAUAUGCCAACAAAAAGCAUGCAUAUAGCCUCCUUUGUGGUCAGUGACGCUUUUGAUGUCUGCUCAAAUGGUAAGACUAGAUAGCAAGAAUUUCAAAAAGGGAUGUUUUUCAUCUUUCCAUAGUGGCCAAUUUUGCGGAAAAUGGCAAUUGAUAGUGGCAAGAGGUGUACAGAAUUACUUUCUACCAAGGACGUCAUGUACUGCCGAGGCCCAUGAAUCUAAAGAAUUCAGCCACCAUGAAGCCAGCCGACGGGAAAGAGUUCACAGGCACAACGGAAUGGACCAUAAAGUUGCAGAGCACAUUGGCCAAAAAUAUCCAACCACCAUUCUCCAACUACUUUAUUCGUCCACAUUUGCUGCAUCUCCGUCUUCUUUCACUUCACGAUUCAGAGUAGGCCAACAAAAUCCAGCAAGAAUAUAUAGCUGCGGCCUGCUCGAGAAAAAGAAAAUGUCAAAAAUAUAUCUUACUCUUGAUCUAAUAGCCACUCACAUAUUUUCGUUUUGAUAAAUAUCAUUCACAUACUUCCAAGAAAAAUCCCACAUUGAGAACAUUAAUUUGCCCCUCCAUGUAAACUCAUUUUAGCAUCUUCCUUACGGUUUGAGUAGACUGCAAAAGUGAUUUUUGAAUGGUAGAAUUCAUGUAGAUAUUUUUCAUGUUCAAAAGAAGAGGUGAGUGAUCACAGGAUGAGAAAUAAGGUGUAUUUCGUUAUAUUUUUCUCAAAAAACUUAGACAAAACAAAUAUGCUAAUCUUAUAAGUACAUAGUGAGAUUUGAAUUUCAAAUGUAUUAGAAGAAAAAAGGCAGUAUAAAUGUCAUAACUUUUGUACAACAACCACUUAAAUACCAUAACUUUUUAUUCAAUCAUUUAAAUGUCAUAGACGAUGACUUAAGCGUUGUAAUUUUUCAUUAAUAAGGAAAUCCGACAUGACAUGGCACUUAUGGUAAACAUUAUUUAAAAAUUACAACACUCAAAUGAUCAAUUGAAAGUUAUGGCACUCAAGUAAAUAUAUAUAUAUAUAUAUUUUUUUUAAAGUCAUGACACUCAAGUAAUCGAAAAACAAUGUUAUGGCACUUAGGUGAGCACCGCACGAUAGUUAUGAUACUUGUGAUGUCCUUAUCUCAAUAUCUUAGUAUCUUCUUCCAUUCAUGACACCAAAUCCCAUAAAAUAUAAUAAAAAGCACACGGGAAAAAAAAAAAUUUAGCUAAUGUUACGUAAUUGUAAGUGUCUAAUUAAGUAGAGAUUAAUCAGGCUGAUUCAGGUUUUAGAGGCUGCCGGUCAUUUUUGCUUAACCCUUACUAAACAAAGCUAUGAACAACGAGCGAUUGUUUUAAGCUAGUGGCUCCGUUUAAGCAUCCAAUAAAAAUCAGCAAGAUUAUUUAGCACAACCCUUCUAAUAUAAGAAGUUUUAGGAACUCUUAUCAUCACCUUGAAGAAGGGUAGCUAGGCAAGCGUGAUUAAAACACCCAGUUCAAAGACAAAGCAGCCUUCCCUAAUUUAAAGGGAAGAUAGGUGGACGCAAUACAACUUGCCUCAUAUAUAUAUGACCCCAAAGGCAUGGACUAAAAUAAGCCAUUUGCGGGUCCCUCUUCUGAUAAGGUCAAUCCACUUGUUGGAAUGGAAUGAAUUUGAUUGAUAGAGAAGGUCUAGAUUGCCUGAGGGAGCGGAUAUAUCCUAAUUGCAGAAAUAAUAUAUUAAUUGUAAUAGAGCAUAUGCCACUUUCAUUGUGCAUGAUUGCAUCUAAUCUAAGAGAUCUGGACUCUGUUCUUUCUUUCUUUGUUUUUUUAUUUCCCCUCCAAUCUUCCAAUUUGUAUAGAAAAAUAUGAUCCUAUCAGCAAGAGGAACUUGAAAAAUCGUUCUGCCGGCCUUGCACUGACGAAACAAAAAUAAUAAAGAGUGAAAAGUGACGGAUUAUUACCAAAAUGAAAUUGACAAAAAGCUGAGAGGUUAGGUGAGGUGAGCUGGGAAAGAAAUUUAUGUAUGAAUUAGAUUGUAAAAUAACCUUAGUCUAAAUUCUCGAUAUUUCUUUUGCCAUAUGUUAUGAAAUGAAAAAUCUCUAUUUGGACAAGAAAUUUUUCUUUUCUUGAUGACUGUGGAUUAUAAUAAUACAAUUAUGCAUUACUAUAAGUUUUCACCAACCUGUUCAAUGAACAUGGCUUCAUCCAUAAGGAUACAUCCAAGGAUGCACAAGAAUCAGAUUUCAACCAAGUCCAGAGAACUAAACAAGGCCUGGUUUUCCUCUCUUUAGGUAGACAUCCUGAUUGUGUUGACAAUCUUAUCCACCAGGACAUGUAAUUCCCUAUUUUCAAGAGUACGAUGCCUAAGGAAACGAACAUUUGGUACUCUUCUUUCAUCCUGCUCUUAUAUUUUUACUAAACAAGACAGAUUGCCAUACGUAUAAAGAUGUAUAACUAGAGAAGAUCCAAGAGAAUAUACUAUUAAAGGAUCGACUUAUUAAGACAUGACAAAUGCAACUUGAGUUCAUUAUUGGAUCUACACCUUAUAAAUAAAAAUACAAAUAUAUAUUUCGUUACUUAUAAAUUCCUAUGUAGGCUUGAUAUGAAAAAAAAAAUUGUCCAGGCCAUUACUAUUUUAAUACCAUACACUUUUUAUGCGCAACAAAAGAAACAAAGAAAGAUUUGCAUAUAUUUCGAGAAAGAAAAUCUAAAGAUUUCGAUUUUGCCUGUACGGAUGAAACAACAUCUUUUAUUUAAUUUGAGAGAUUUUUGUUCUUAUCUUAUUAAUCAACAUCUUUGCUAGUGAAUACAACAUAUUAUUACAAUUUUCUUUUUUCUUGGACAGAAAAAAGAGCUUAGGCUCGAAACCAAAGAUAGUAUUACUUUUUAUGUAAUAUAGAUUAUAAAUUCUUUAUUUUAAGGAAGGGCAGGGGUGAAUCACCUAUAAUUAAUUUUUUUACCCUAGAUAUCAACAUAGAGUACAUAAAACAACUACUUGCCCCCUCUGGACUUUUGUGGUUCUGCACAUCGUAUAUAAAUCAAUUCAAUUUGUUUAUGGCAACAUGGAAUAUUCUCUGAGCCACGAACUGUUGCUGUGACCUCACUUCCUCCUUCCUCUUCCUUCCCUCGCUUGGACGUUAGCUCCAGGACAAAACAGAGAGAUGGGUCGCUGGCCGAAGGACGCAAGGACGCGAGGCUGUGCCCGACGUUCGCCCAGGAAUGUCGUGCGGUACGAAGCAAGCUGGUCUCGUCCUUGAAGAAAGGGACAGAAACGAGAUAAAUGGGGGAGAAAGGCGGCAAAGGGAGGGGGGGUCUCUCUGGUCUUUUUGGGUUUGUUCGGCCGAGAUAGAGCAACCAAGAGAGAGAGAGAGAGAGAGAGAGAGAGAGAGCUCGUGAGAGUGAGAAGGCGAGCUCGAGAGAGAGAGAAGGAGCGAGCCAGAGAAGAGAGGGAGCUCGAGGGUGGCUGCUUCUAGAAGGGUGUGGCUGAAAACCAAGGAGAGGCUAGAGCCGCUCGAGAGGGGAGACCGAGAAGGUGGAUAGCGAGGGAGAGCAGGAGAGAGAGGCGACUGUGUUCUCGAGUUCUUCGGGGGAGGCUGGAGACAGCGAGAGCAACAGAGAGAGUGAGAUAUGAGAGAGUGAGCAAAGGGUGAAGUGGAGAGAGAACCGAGAGUGAGCGGAGGGAUGGACUGAGAGAAAGCAGAGACCCAGGAGUCGAACUUCGUUCUCGGACAAGCGUUACCCGGCCAUCCCCAUCAUAAACUGGCGAUCUCCAGCCAACACCCUCGAGCAUGUGAUGAGUUUUCUUUGGGUUCGAUCCACUUUUAUCUCGAUGAUCCUGGCUCGGUGCAACGUCGAGGCGUCCGACCAUAGCUCGUUUCCUUUCAGGCUCACCUUCUGGCCGUCGUCGCCGAGCCGGGUAGGGAUAUUCGUGGUCAAACACUUCUCUCUGGGAACUCCGUUGCUUGGUUUUAUUUAAGACGGAACCGAAACGAUAGCUGGGUCUCGUUUUCCCUAGUCCACCAGCAUGCUCGAUUUGAACGAGCCGUCCCUUUUGUUGAGUUUGAGUUGUCACUUGCUGCUUUCUUUUGAGUAAAUGACUUGGAGUGCUGCCAUUUUCAUUCUCUGUUGAUGGCUGCUUGAAUAUGCUCAAGACUCCUCCCUUUCGUUUCAGGAACACAUCCUUUAAAUUCCCCCCUGGAGUUUCUGCAUGAAAAUUGAUUAUUCACUGGUUUAGUAGCAUGCGAGUAAUGACUGGACUUUAUCUAUUUAGAUAUGGUGGCGGACUUUUGACUAGUUAUGCACCGUUCAGAAUGCCAGAUUCAUUUGCAGAGGUUUCUAGAGGAAGAUUUUGUUCACUGUUUUUCUAAAUUAUACAACAGGUAUUUAUAAUUUGCACUUCUAAAAUGUAAUUUCCUUUCAAUUUCGGCAGAGGAGGAUCGCAUUGUUUCUUGGUGCAACUGGGCAGAAGUUUCUAUCUAUGUAUUGCUCGUGUGGCACGUACAUUGAUUUUUUGACAGUCCUCCUAACAGUUUACCUGGCGACACCCAAUCACAUAUCGUUUGGCUACAUUUUGUUCCUCCUAUGUUGGAUCAUGGGAAGACAACUCGUUGAAAGGACGAGAAGACAUUUUUAGUUUCCAUUAAAAGUAUAUGCAAUCACUGUGCCUGUCUUCGUAUACAGUUUGAGCAAUUUCUCCACCCUUGAGAUGUGGUUGUCGCAGUUGAUUGAUCUUCAGUUUUACUUGGCCUACAACUCAGAAGCUUUGCUAUUGCAGAAUAUUUGGCAGUCUAUUGCAAUACUGAUUGUGAUGCAGCUUUACAGCUACGAGAGGAGACAGAGCAAGUAUAUCCAAGCUGAUGACUCCAAACUUAUGGAAUUUGGAGUACUUUGAUUUAUUAAGAGUUUCCUCAUUUGGCUCAGAGACAAGAUAGUGUGUAUAUCAAAGUUCUAUGCAUCGUUGUCACCAAUUAGUCUCUUUGGUUUCCUUUAUCUGCUCGGUCUUGUCAUUUGUUCUCUUUUGCCUAAAGCAUUUCGAAUCCCAUCAAAAUUAUUCCUUCUUUAUACAGGAAUUCUGGUGAUGACAGAAUAUCUCUUUCAGAUGUGGGGUGCCCAGGCAGGAAUGUUUCCUGGACAAAAUGACUUUAGUUUGGCCAAGUUCUUGGGUUUUGAGUUAUUUCAGUCAGGCUUUUGGGGUCUAAAAUCGGGUUUAAGGGGGAAAAGUGCUGGUGAUAUCUGCUUGUAUCCUUCAAUACAAUGUCUUCCGUUGGUUGCAAAAAGUGCCAACACACAUUUUGAGCAAAUAUUACACCAAAGAACCUUGCCCUCUGUUUGUAUCGGCAGAAGAAGUGUUUAGGGAUUUUUCUAAUUCAAACGGGGAAAGCAAGCCGCCUGCAGAUUCGCCUGCAAUUCCUUGUGAAGCAGAAGGCAUGAGAAACAAUUUGUCUUCCUCAGCCUCUGGUUUUUCUCAAGCAUCAAAUAAUGUACCCAAAGCUGGAGGCUCUGGGGGUGGCAAUGCUAGAAAAUAUUCUUUUGGAUAUAUUUGGGGAAGCACCAACGAAAGCCACAAAUGGAACAAGAAAAGGAUUAUCACCAUGAGAAGGGAGAGAUUUGAAAUGCAGAAGACAAUCUUCAUAGUCUAUAUAAAUUAUUGGAUGGAGAACAUGUUUAAUCUCUUUGGCCUCGAAAUAAACAUGAUGGCCUUGCUCCUUGCCUCCUUUGCUUUGUUAAAUGCCAUUUCUAUGCUAUAUAUUGCACUUCUCGCUGCCUGCAUACUUCUAAAUCGCAAUGUCAUUCGGAAAUUAUGGCCAGCACUUGUCUUUUUGCUUGCUUCCAUUCUUGUCCUACAAUACUUUGUCAUUUGGAAGAGCACACCAUCUCCCAAUUCACAAACAUCAAGCAAGGCUGAGUCUGUAUUUCCUUUCGAAUUUUAUGAUCUCCUGCCAGUANNNNNNNNNNNNNNNNNNNNNNNNNNNNNNNNNNNNNNNNNNNNNNNNNNNNNNNNNNNNNNNNNNNNNNNNNNNNNNNNNNNNNNNNNNNNNNNNNNNNNNNNNNNNNNNNNNNNNNNNNNNNNNNNNNNNNNNNNNNNNNNNNNNNNNNNNNNNNNNNNNNNNNNNNNNNNNNNNNNNNNNNNNNNNNNNNNNNNNNNNNNNNNNNNNNNNNNNNNNNNNNNNNNNNNNNNNNNNNNNNNNNNNNNNNNNNNNNNNNNNNNNNNNNNNNNNNNNNNNNNNNNNNNNNNNNNNNNNNNNNNNNNNNNNNNNNNNNNNNNNNNNNNNNNNNNNNNNNNNNNNNNNNNNNNNNNNNNNNNNNNNNNNNNNNNNNNNNNNNNNNNNNNNNNNNNNNNNNNNNNNNNNNNNNNNNNNNNNNNNNNNNNNNNNNNNNNNNNNNNNNNNNNNNNNNNNNNNNNNNNNNNNNNNNNNNNNNNNNNNNNNNNNNNNNNNNNNNNNNNNNNNNNNNNNNNNNNNNNNNNNNNNNNNNNNNNNNNNNNNNNNNNNNNNNNNNNNNNNNNNNNNNNNNNNNNNNNNNNNNNNNNNNNNNNNNNNNNNNNNNNNNNNNNNNNNNNNNNNNNNNNNNNNNNNNNNNNNNNNNNNNNNNNNNNNNNNNNNNNNNNNNNNNNNNNNNNNNNNNNNNNNNNNNNNNNNNNNNNNNNNNNNNNNNNNNNNNNNNNNNNNNNNNNNNNNNNNNNNNNNNNNNNNNNNNNNNNNNNNNNNNNNNNNNNNNNNNNNNNNNNNNNNNNNNNNNNNNNNNNNNNNNNNNNNNNNNNNNNNNNNNNNNNNNNNNNNNNNNNNNNNNNNNNNNNNNNNNNNNNNNNNNNNNNNNNNNNNNNNNNNNNNNNNNNNNNNNNNNNNNNNNNNNNNNNNNNNNNNNNNNNNNNNNNNNNNNNNNNNNNNNNNNNNNNNNNNNNNNNNNNNNNNNNNNNNNNNNNNNNNNNNNNNNNNNNNNNNNNNNNNNNNNNNNNNNNNNNNNNNNNNNNNNNNNNNNNNNNNNNNNNNNNNNNNNNNNNNNNNNNNNNNNNNNNNNNNNNNNNNNNNNNNNNNNNNNNNNNNNNNNNNNNNNNNNNNNNNNNNNNNNNNNNNNNNNNNNNNNNNNNNNNNNNNNNNNNNNNNNNNNNNNNNNNNNNNNNNNNNNNNNNNNNNNNNNNNNNNNNNNNNNNNNNNNNNNNNNNNNNNNNNNNNNNNNNNNNNNNNNNNNNNNNNNNNNNNNNNNNNNNNNNNNNNNNNNNNNNNNNNNNNNNNNNNNNNNNNNNNNNNNNNNNNNNNNNNNNNNNNNNNNNNNNNNNNNNNNNNNNNNNNNNNNNNNNNNNNNNNNNNNNNNNNNNNNNNNNNNNNNNNNNNNNNNNNNNNNNNNNNNNNNNNNNNNNNNNNNNNNNNNNNNNNNNNNNNNNNNNNNNNNNNNNNNNNNNNNNNNNNNNNNNNNNNNNNNNNNNNNNNNNNNNNNNNNNNNNNNNNNNNNNNNNNNNNNNNNNNNNNNNNNNNNNNNNNNNNNNNNNNNNNNNNNNNNNNNNNNNNNNNNNNNNNNNNNNNNNNNNNNNNNNNNNNNNNNNNNNNNNNNNNNNNNNNNNNNNNNNNNNNNNNNNNNNNNNNNNNNNNNNNNNNNNNNNNNNNNNNNNNNNNNNNNNNNNNNNNNNNNNNNNNNNNNNNNNNNNNNNNNNNNNNNNNNNNNNNNNNNNNNNNNNNNNNNNNNNNNNNNNNNNNNNNNNNNNNNNNNNNNNNNNNNNNNNNNNNNNNNNNNNNNNNNNNNNNNNNNNNNNNNNNNNNNNNNNNNNNNNNNNNNNNNNNNNNNNNNNNNNNNNNNNNNNNNNNNNNNNNNNNNNNNNNNNNNNNNNNNNNNNNNNNNNNNNNNNNNNNNNNNNNNNNNNNNNNNNNNNNNNNNNNNNNNNNNNNNNNNNNNNNNNNNNNNNNNNNNNNNNNNNNNNNNNNNNNNNNNNNNNNNNNNNNNNNNNNNNNNNNNNNNNNNNNNNNNNNNNNNNNNNNNNNNNNNNNNNNNNNNNNNNNNNNNNNNNNNNNNNNNNNNNNNNNNNNNNNNNNNNNNNNNNNNNNNNNNNNNNNNNNNNNNNNNNNNNNNNNNNNNNNNNNNNNNNNNNNNNNNNNNNNNNNNNNNNNNNNNNNNNNNNNNNNNNNNNNNNNNNNNNNNNNNNNNNNNNNNNNNNNNNNNNNNNNNNNNNNNNNNNNNNNNNNNNNNNNNNNNNNNNNNNNNNNNNNNNNNNNNNNNNNNNNNNNNNNNNNNNNNNNNNNNNNNNNNNNNNNNNNNNNNNNNNNNNNNNNNNNNNNNNNNNNNNNNNNNNNNNNNNNNNNNNNNNNNNNNNNNNNNNNNNNNNNNNNNNNNNNNNNNNNNNNNNNNNNNNNNNNNNNNNNNNNNNNNNNNNNNNNNNNNNNNNNUUGCUAAAACUAUGAGAAGUAUUGAUUUAUACUUGCAUACUUUUCUGCUUUGAACUUCUCAGGAUGUGAUCCCACAUAUGGCUCAUGAGUAUGGUUUUGAUUAUGCAUUAAUCACCUACAAGUGGCCUACAUGGCUACAUAAGCAGAAGGAAAAGCAAAGGAUUAUAUGGGCAUAUAAAAUUUUGUUCCUAGAUGUUAUCUUUCCCGUUUCUCUAGAGAAGGUAAGCAUGUGAUAUCUAUGACUUUGCCUUUGACUGUCUACUCAUGCUAUUUUCAGUUCUCUGUGACAUCUAAAUUCUAUUGACCCCUCUUUGCAACAGGUUAUAUUUGCUGAUGCAGAUCAGGUGGUGCGAGCAGACAUGGGAGAACUUUAUGACAUGGAUCUGAAAGGAAGACCGCUUGCAUAUACUCCUUUUUGUGACAACAACAAGGAGGUGGAUGGAUAUCGCUUUUGGAGACAAGUACAUAUUGAAUCGAUUUAUUCUUGUGUUCUAUUUCAAGCAAUAGAAUGCCUUUGCCUUUUCCGAUCAAUCUAUUUAUGUUUUAUUACAAGCAAUAGAAGGCUCUUGCCCUUUCAGAUCAUUGCUGUCUACAUCCCUAAGUAAUUUAUUCUCACAAAAACAGGGUUUCUGGAAGGAGCUCUUUCGCAGAAGACCAUAUCAUAUAAGAUAGAUUUUUUAGGCGGUUCCAUUCUGUCCACGUGAUCCUUUUGGCUCCACUGGUAUCAUAUAUGGGUUUUAAUUAUGAUAUCAUUCUGCAGUGCACUGUACGUUGUUGAUUUGGAGAAAUUUCGAGAGAUUGUGGCAGGAGAUAACCUGAGAGUGUUCUAUGAAUCUGUCAGCAAGGAUCCAAACAGUCUGUCCAAUCUUGAUCAGGUCAGUUGUUGGAUAAUAAACUGCAAAUUCUUCAGGAUGAGAUAUUCUUUGCGAGCUUAUAGCUGUAACUUUCUAAAAAGAUUCUCGCAAGGUGUUAAUUUGUAAAAGCACUGCUUAAAUAUCCGUGAGCAUAAACAUAUCAGUUGUUUGUCUAAGCGCCCUCUCUCAUGCUUCAGGACCUCCCGAAUUAUGCUCAGCACACCGAGCCUAUCUUCUCAUUACCCCAAGAAUGGUUGUGGUGUGAGUCGUGGUGUGGUACAGCCACUAAAUCCAAGGCAAAGACCAUUGAUCUUUGCAACAAUCCUAUGACGAAGGAACCAAAGCUUCAGGUAAGUUCAUUAGGUUGGGUUCUUUUCCACUGCCAAAAUGAUUCGUGUAGUUGUGAUGUAAUUUUGUUUUUGUUGUCCUCUCAGGGUGCGAAGAGAAUAGUUUCUGAAUGGCCUGAUCUUGACUUAGAGGCAAGAACGUUUACUGCGAAAAUUCUCAGAGAUGAAUCUGAGCUUCAAGAAGCAGUGGCUUCAGAUAAGUCGCAGGGUUCACAGGGUGAUGAGUCAUCGGUAGAGGAACUUGACCUUGAAUCCAAGUCAGAGCUGUAAGGCAUGGUUUCAUUCAGCCAUGACAUGAUUGAUCCCAAGUGUAAUCCUGAUCGAGGAUGGAAGGGUAACUAUCAGCAAAGAACGUUUUGGAAUUGCAUCAACUAAGGAAAACCAAGUGGUUAUGGUGUGCGUAUGCUGUCGAGAUUGGGGAUGGAGAUGCACACCAUCAAGAAAAUGAGGUCAUGGGGAGGCUGUGAGAAAGGCAAGGUAGCGCCGGUAGAGAUUUAAAAUUUUCUCAAGAAUUUUAGAGAGAAGCGAGCUAUUCAUUUUGCUUAGUUUUUAUUAAUCGACCGGGUAAUCUUUAUUUUAACUGGGCUAUUUGCAAAUGCGUGAAAUGACGCGCUUGAUUGUGGAAUUUCUUCCUCAAUGAUAAAAUCACAGGUGAAAAGCCAACAUUCCGAUUUUGUUAGAAUGCCCUAAUACACACACUUGGUUAUGUAGUCAAACAGGGAAAAGCUGUAAAUUUUUUUGAUGGAUGAACUUUUUUUUGUGAUGCUUUCGGAGACUACGGAAAAUUACGUACUAGCCAUAAGUGCUAUGUUCGAUUAUUUUAAUGGAGGCAUGGAGUGGGCCUGUGUGUUUUGCUUAAACCUGAUCUCGGGUCUCGGCCCGGCCUAGUUUAAUGACCUCAACCGGUCAUUGCCCCUCGUCCCUUAAAAUGUCCACACCAUGCAGCGCUGGACGUUUGGGCCUUCCUCUACCCACUUCUUAGGCGUUUGUCGUAUGGCCCGGCCCAUUAUUGGGCUUAACUUGGGUCCUCUUAGCCUUUGCAGCCGAACUGACAUCUCCGAAAACUCGGCGCGAAUCCGAGAGGGUCCGGAGGAGGUAGAGAUCGAGAGAGAACGAAUCGAUCCCCCCUCGCGAUUCCCAACCGCCGCGCUCAUCUCCAAUCGCCCGCCAAUGGAGGAAAACCCUUGCGGCGAGAUCAGCUCCAGCGNNNNNNNNNNNNNNNNNNNNNNNNNNNNNNNNNNNNNNNNNNNNNNNNNNNNNNNNNNNNNNNNNNNNNNNNNNNNNNNNNNNNNNNNNNNNNNNNNNNNAGUACGGCACGCCGUCCUCUCCCGGUGGCCGAUCAAGCACUGGAAGGUCCAGAAGAUAUUCGACGACACCGAUUUCAGGUCCGUCAUUUUGUUUUAUUUUAUUUAUUUAUUUAUUAAUUUAUUUAUUUCCAUAUAUUUUUUUACCUGUUAUUCUUGCUAUCAUUUUCGUAAUUAUGGUGACGAUGAUAUGCUCUCUUUCUCGUUGAGCAAGUGGUCUUCCCGGGCGAUUUCGAAUUUUAAAUAUAUUUUCAUUUAUUUAAGGCGUCCAUCGUUGAGAGUGAAGUUUGAUAAUAUGUCAUAAUUAAUAUUCCCUUUGGGCAUAUUAUAUCAUUUUGUUCUUACAUUUUUCUAAGUGAAAAAGAUUAAUUUCGGUAGACCCAUCUAUAACAGUGCAAAUCCAUUUCGGACAAUCAAAAUUUUCGUUGAUAUUAAGGUAAGUUGGAUAUAAUAAAAAUUCGCAAGACCAAAAUUAAAAAUAUAAACGUCUUUACCAAAAAAAGAAUUAAAAAUAAAAACGUAAGUUUUUCCUAGCCAUCCAUCAGAAUUUGUGGAUGAAAAUUUUGCCGUCACUUGGUUUAUAUUUUGCCUUUUUUUAUCCUCCCCUUUUCUAGCUUCUCUGUGUGGAAUUAUCUGAAUGGAGUUGUCCAAGAAUUGAUCUGGAAAGAAUUUAGAAUAUUAUUCACGAGAACCCCACCACCAAAUUCAAGAACUGCCCAAGGCUGUAAGGCUUUUGCCUUCGGACAGCUUACGGAGAGCUCUCUGCAACACCGAUGGUGGGCCUGUCCAAAGAUCCCAGCACCAGCUGUGAGCAAUGCCAGUCAGAAUUAAAAAUAAAAUAAAAUUAAAUUAAGAAAAAAACCCAAUUUUCUUUCUAUGAUUUUGGAUGUGGGUUCUCUAUACAAUUGUCAUCUAUCGUUCCUCUUUUUUCAUUUCCGGUUGCAUUUAGUGGGUGGUAGAGAGUCGGCUUUAAAGAUCAUUCUCCAUUAAUUGCUGACUUAGUCAAGAGAAUGCUUAGGAAGCUGCUAAAUCAUAUAUAUAUAUUUGCUCUUUGGUAUUUAAAUAAGGAGUUGGGAAGAUAAAUGAAGGAUGAGAGCUGUGCGUCCGUUAGAUGAGGGCAGGGUAAGGUGUAUGUAGGCAGGACAGUAACGUGGGGAGGAUUUUGCCUUUGCUUUAUUUUAUGUAUUUGCCAAAUCAGAUGUUUGACCUGAAGACUGUACAAGGACUACUCAUCUUCAAGGAAAGGUACAUUUCUCUCAAGCGAGACAGACCAGAUAGAAUCAACUUGCUUGAGACAGCAAGCAAUUGCUCGUCAUGGAUCAAUUUCUGAGAGUUUUGCGUUCGAUUAAUUAAGCCGCAUCUUAAACAAUGGAGGGAUUAUGCAUUUCUGUUGCGUGAAAAUUAAAAAAAAAGAUAUAAAAAGUUGAUAGUAAUAUAGUCAAUCAACAUAUUAAAUUGACUGGAAUCGAAGUGGCUGUGAACUCGAUGUGUUUGGUUACACAGGAAUGUGCUGAAGGUGACAAUAGAAGUGCCUCAUGUUGGGGAAGUGAAUUUCCAGUGCACCCACCUGGAUCAUCUCGACGAGAAUUGGCGGAUGAAGCAGGUCAGCGCCAUCAUCCAGUCGAGUGACUCCCCCCACAUCUUGGCCGGCGGCCUCAACUCUCUUGACGAGACUGAUUACUCACAAGAGCAGUGGACUGACAUCGUCAAGGUAUGCACAUGCCCUUUUUAAUCAUUAGCAUGCGAAACUCGAUUACUUGAUAGCUUAAGCUAGGGCGUUUGUGUAAUCACUGACACUUUUUGUUAUAGUUCUAUGAGGAGAUAGGAAAACCAACCCCAAAGGUUGAAGUCAUGAGGUUUCUGAAGAGCAAGCAGUACACAGAUGCUAAGGACUUCUCUGGAGAAUGCGAGUCCAUGGUCGUCAUUGCCAAAGGACAAAGUAAGAACUCACUCGUUCGCUUUCCCAUCUUUCAGUUUUUCUUUUUCACUUUGUCAAAUGGCUAAUCUAAGGCGAUUUUCGAGCAUGAUGCUCCUUUAGCUCGAUGAUCACAUGAUCGGCUUGAAUGGACAGUAAUUCAUAACAUUUGAAGCAUGAUGCUUGCGUUGAAGGUAUACACGUACAUGCCUGUUAUUGUCAUUAUUGUGUCGAUAUCAACCUUUGAUGUGAAAAUCCGUGGAAUAAAAAUUGAAGUCCAAAGUCAUUAUUCGAGAGACUACUGUCCGAAUGUGUAAUCCAAAACCAUUUAUUCUAUUUCAGGCAUGCAAGGGACAUGCAAAUACGGUACGAGGGUGGACUACAUACUAGCAUCACCAGAUUGCCCAUAUAAGUUCGUUCCUGGGUUGUAUUCGGUCCUGUCAUCGAAAGGGACAUUGGAUCACCACGUCGUAAAGGUUGACGUAACGAAAUGUGCAAACAACCCUUCCCACGAAAGCGACAGCAACAACAAUAAAAUUACCAAGAAAAGGCGACGACAGCGCAAGCACCAGACAGUCGUAAAGAUCACAGGCACUGCUCCACCUUCAAAGGGUAUCUGGACAACGAAUACAUUAUUAAGCAAAGUCGAAUGACAUCACAUGUAUAUCUUCCUUUUCUGUCCGCUCUUUUCUUGGCUGCUGCUGCUGCUAUUGUUGCUGUUGAGUGAUCUUGGGCAUACUGUCUUCGUCAAUCUCUCUGUAAAUCUUCGAUUUUUUUCAGUUUAGAGUUGAAGAGGGGAGUGUUCUGGGGUGAUGGCUUCCUCACAUCCGUAUAGAUUUCAACACGACAGAAGUGAAUUCUUACCUUUCAGCUGGGGAUUGGAGCUGAACCGUCCUGGCAAGUUCUUUUUGAGUACUGUAUAUAUAUAUAUAUAUAUAUAUUUUUUUUUUUCGCUUGUAAUAUUAACUGCAAGAUUCAGAUCAGUUUUUGUUGAGGGCGACAUCUUGACUUGACUUUGCUGAGGUCAAGGUUAGAGAAAGCGAUGUUGUAUCUUAGAUAUAACUGAAAGUCCUUGGAAUAAAAUUGCAAAUUUCGAAAAUUGAAAUGAUUUUUGUUAACCUGGACAUCCGGCGAUUGAUAAAAGACCCAAAGAUUUCAAAUGAAAUACCUUUAAAAAGCAAAUAUGGAAGAAAAAGAAGCUGUAAAGUCCGGUGAUUAUGAAUUCUAAACAUUUGUGAAAGAAUUCAAUGUCUUCUUUCUUUUUCCUCCGAUUUCGAAAUUAGUAUUGAAAAGAAGUGAAGUGGUAAGUACAAUAUAUUUCGAUAUCUUUAAAAAUAUCUUAUGCGCUCUCCAAUGGUAAAAUAUAGUUUUAAGGGGGAAAUCAAGUAUAGGAAGUAAUUAUUUUAUAAUAAAGUAGAGGAUUACUAAUUGAUCCAUGAAAAAUAGAGAAAAUCAAUUAUGGAAGCAAGCAAGGAUGAGAGAGAGAGAAAGAGAGAGAGAGAUUUUUAUUGAAGCUCUAAGCAUGGUCAAAGUCCAUUGAUGUCCCAAUGACAUGGAAUAGAGUGAUACAGCUAACGAAAAUGUUUUCUUCUUAUUCAAAAUGAGAAUCAUUUUUCUGAUUUCGAGUGGUGAGCACUUUUCUAUCAAAGAUAUUUGACGGUUGACUUUAGCAUUUUUAACAUCAAAAAGAGUUUUAAAAAUAUUUUCAUCGAAAUUCUUUUUCAGCAAAACAAACGGAGGCCUAAUGAGCAUCAUAAGUGAAAGUGUAAUUAAAAGAGAAAGAAAUAGAUUUUCUAUGUAAUAGGCAUUGUUGACUGAUGUAUAAUGCUAAUUAGCUUAUGAAUAAAAAAACUGCUUGUCCCUUAUAAUGGUUGUCAAAUUAAUCAGCAUAGUAGAGGACACAAGUAUCUCUCAGUUGGUGUAUGCUCUUCAAUCCUCCUUGAUGUAAUGUGUAUAUAUAUAUAUAUAUAUAUAUAUAUAUAUUUAUAAUUGUUAACUGAUGGAUAAUGCUAAUUAGCUUAUGAAUAAAAAACUGCUUUUCCCUCAUAAUGGUUGUCAAAUUGCACACCUUACAUCAGCAUAGUAGAGGACGCGAGUAUCUCUCAAUCGGUGUAUACUCUUCAAUCCUUCUACAUAUAUAUGUAUGUAUAUAUGUAUGUAUGUAUGUCAAUUGAAUUAUUUAUUUUGAUUUUGCCCGGGAUCAAUUUAGAAAAUCAUGGGAUCUAAAGCACAAAUAACAAGAAGAGCAAUAAAAAAAACAGUUAAGACAUAGCGUCGAUAUCAUUGACCGGUAAGAAUCCCCGGUGCUAGCGAUCUUGAAGGUUUGCUACUCGGGGCCUCACUAACAUAUGACAUGAAAAAUAAAAAUAAAUGAUUUUGUUAAUGAGUGAGAAAGAUAAAUAAUCAUUAAUAUUUCAUACUUCUGCCGUUUGUUAAAGGGCUACGCUAGUAGUCACACAAGCAUCUAAUGACGUUUUAACUGCACAUGUUCUUCUUCUUCUUUUUUUUCCUAUAGUAAUAUAGUCACUUAUUAAAAUGUUGUAUCUUUUCCCUUUUUGUUGUGAAUUUCCCCUUCUAGAAAUCACGAACAUGAGCACAAAUUUUUUUUGUCCAAAUAAUUGGUCCAUUCAGGCUGAUACCUCUAAUUUCUUUCUAUAUCAUGAAUAAAGCUUUGUAAGCUUGCUCAAUAUGGAGAUAGAGUUUGUACCUGUAUGAAGUUCAAGAUGGCCGGGAGCAAUCCGUGCCACCUGACCUCAACUUAAGUGCAUCGCCUUGUCAACAAUCAGUUCCUCCACAAGCGGAAUUGAUACACAAUUUACGCCUGAAUUGUCCUCUGCUCACCUUUCACUUGGGGACGUUUUUCCAUGAAUCUCUUCAGCUCCUCGAGCCACUUACCGAGGGCUCUUCCAAGUGAGGCCAUCUGUUUAUUAUUGUUUGCUUCUGGAAGUCGGUUUAUGGAGACCUUGAUGUUCAGCCUUUGAAUUUUGCCGUCCAUUAUGAGUCUUGUUGUCAUACUUUUUUUUUUAUCAGUCAUAAUCUACUCGUAUUCUAAUACUCACUCUUAGACUUUUGCCAUGUCUCUUUGCAGGACGUGAGAAUCAAAAUCCAUACUUGAAACUAAUUCGUCCCCACCCCAACCCCCUGAAAAUGUGGGGAUUCGAACCCCCCACCUCCUCUUUCCACGUUGGAAGGGUAGCUACUGGGUUGUUGUCGUAUUCUGAACACUUCAUUAUGUGAGGUUUUGACUGUUCUUGCCUUCCAUUCAUGGUGUAGCCGAGCAACAAAUGUCAAAUGAACAGGAAGAGACAGCUCCACAGUCUCCUGUCACAACGGUCUUUCUCAUUAGGAUGAUUCUCCAGUGAGCGUGACGAAUUAUGGGAACCUUUAGUUUCUCAAACUCGAUUCUUGAGAUGUUUCCGUGUCAUAUCGUUUACUUUUUCUCCAUCGUGUCGAACAUAGUACCUACUCUGGCGAUGAGCUUAACUAUUCAUCUCAAUCUGAAAGCUACAUACCAACUUGAUAAGAUUCUUAAUAUAAAUUACCUGCUUGUGCACACUAUUUUACUUGGUGAAUUCUGUCAUCUGCACUAGUUUAAAUACAUUCAUCGUUUGAUAGCACAGGUACCUUUGUCGGCUUACGGCACGAGGCAUGGCAAAACUUUAUUUGCCUCGUCAAGUCUUGUUUCAGAGGACAUGAAUAUUCUUUUGAUAGUAAUUGUAUGUUUAGAUGAUCAUAAUUGCUACCAUUGGUAGAACACGCUGCCGAUGACAACAUGAUAGUCGCAGUGUGCAUUCUAGUCGAGCAACGUAGUUUCAACUUCGAGUUGUGAUGAAAACUGUGCUUGCGCCUGUGGUUUAAGAUGAUGAUGAGUAGAGCUGAAUCUGACAAGCCACCUGCUAUUCCUAUCGGCUUUGUCGAAUCAGGAGAGGUGGCAGGGUUCGCUCCACAUCUCGUAACCGACGGUAAUCUUGCUGUCCUUCAAUGAAGGCAUAGAGAAUGAGAAUAAAUGCUCCAUUAGACGCUGCACAUAUGCCAAUUUCGCUAGUUCUGAACCUCAUUGCAGGUGGUCCCCAGGCUGCAAACUUCAGGGGACCUUUCCAACUGUCGACUUUUGAUGGCUCGAAGCUUGAGCUACUUGGAUUCAAACCCUGUCUUUACUUUCUCUGAAGGCAUUCAUGAUAUUUAACGCUAUUUAGCUCUGUUGGGAAUAGCGGAUCCCCGAAAACCGGAUUCGACACCGAAUCGAACCCCUAAAUCAAUGCGGAAGACGAAGCCCGGGAAAACACGUAUUACCGAUCGUAAAGCACACCACGGAUUCGAGCGUACCUUGUUAGCCACAAAUUAAGCACCGACGCCAACAAGAGGAAGAAAAUCUGGCCCCGUUCAAUCUAAUGACGCCUUGAAGGAAAGAAGAAAAGUGCCGUUUGCUUACUGUUUCUUUUUGGAAGGGAGAGAGCGCGCGGGAGAAGAGAAGACGUACGUUCGUCUGUUUUUCCAACCGGUACCAUCUCUCUCUCUCUCUCCUCCCUUUUAUACCUUCCCCCAUCCACGGGCCCUAUUCCCGUGGGCCGGGCUUUUUGGGCCCAGCAUGGGCGGACGGGCCUUAAGCCCAUCUCAUAAAUCUAUCAUCUCCCACUCGCACAUGGUGGGCCGAACGGAAUUCUCUUUACCUCUCUUCAACAUUCAUACUGGUGAAUAAUCCGUGCGACCAACAUACUUUGAGAGCUCGUUGCUAUACAUCUGUUAGGAAUAUAUAGCAGCUCAUAAUGGUCGUCACACUCCGAGUAGAUUUAGUAUGCAGUACCCUAGAUCGAUCGAUCACAUUUAUAUCUCUCUUGAUCUCUUUUAAACAAUGAUAUAUAUAUUGUAUUCACAAUUAUGAUUAUCCCAAAGACAGUCAUAAUUGGUUAACCGGUGAAUACAAAACUACAAUGUGAUUCUCCAAAAUCGAUCUUCCUCUUUCCUUCAAACUUUCAAUUUCAGUUCAGCUUGCUUUUCUAGAAAUGCCCCAUUAGAUCGAAUCAAACUCAUGACCAUUGGCAACAUCCUAAGAUAGCAAAUACUAAAUAGAAAUCUUGAGAAUAAGUAAGAGUCAUGAGGGGACUAAAAAUUGAGGAACUCUUUUCCUCAAGAGUCUCACACGACAUAAAAGUUGAGAUCAAACUUUUGCCACUCUUAUUGGUCGUUACGUAUUACGGUAUUAACUCAUUUCCCAUGGAGCGUAUGUCUACACCUUUCAAUACCGUACAGAUGAUAGUUCAGACAUAUCUAAUGUCUAACUUGAGUUCACGUAUCUACUCAUUCACAAAAUUCAUCAGAACUCACAUCUGGCAUCUUAGACAGAUAAAGUAAAAUAUGUGGGGUAUUUUACUUUCGGACAUAGUAAUUAUUAUAUUCUCAUCUUAACACCUAGUUAAGGCGACAUACGUGUUUUAAGCUUGAGCUCUCGAUUAUCACCUAGAUAAUAAGCUUAAAAACAGUCUCAUCUCUAUUUAUCACACAGUAAAUAGAGGCGAUUACCCGUGUGAGUGGGCUAAUCUUAUAUCUGUCCGACAUACUUCUCAACUUAAAGUGAUGCACUAAGUAUUAAGAUGCAUAAAGAUCAAACAAAGAUUCAUAGGCAUUAAUGAUGAAAACACAAAUUCAUCAAAUUGUGAACACUUAGGGAAAUUACAAUAUUUAGUACAUCAGUCUCUACGCAAUCCUAGAGACUUCAUAUGACCACAAAACACAUCUCUAGGUAUUGGUUUUAUCAUAAGAUCUGCUACCAUUCUAUGCGUAGUAUGUACUCUAAGUUCACAUCUUUUCGUGCAAUCAUAUCAUUGACAAAAGUUAUACUUGGUAUCUAUAGGUUUGGUCUUGCCAUGAUAUUUGGAUCUUUGGUGUACACUUUUGCUGCUCGGCUAUUAUAGUUAACCAACAAUGCAGCAUUUCCAAUAACACCUAAAUGAUCCAAAAAAUCUCUUAAGCCAAAUACCUUCUUACACUGCUGCUGAUAAUGCCACGAACUCAACUUACAUCGUGGACAAGGCUAUACACUUUUGUUUUUUACUGCUCCAACAUAUGGUGCCAUUAUUCGGUAAGAAAACAAAUCCAUAGGUAGAUUUCCUUUCAUUUAAAUCUCCUCCCCAAACAGCAUCAAAAUAGCCUUAGAGUCGCAGAUCCAUUCCUUAAUAACUCAACGUAUUAUCAGCAGUCCCUUUUAGUUACCUCAGUAUUCUCUUAACGGCUUUCCAUUGUGCUGGACCUGGAUUGGAUUGGUAUCUACUUACCAUUCCAACUGCAAAACAUAUGACAGGUCUUGUACACAUCAUAGAGUACAUCAAGCUUCCAACAGCACUAGCACAAGGAACAUGUCUCAUUUGUUCAUUCUUUUGUGAAGUCCUUGGACACAGUUUAUGGCUCAAUCCUUCACCUUUUGCAAUAGGAGUGUCUAUGGGUUUACAAUCUUGAAAUCUUAACUCUAAGAAUGUAUAUAACAUCACCCAUGUCUUUCAUCUCAAAGUUGGAAGACAACCAACUCUUGAUAGUAUUGACAAGCUCCAUAUUGUUUCUGGUAAUUAGUAUAUCAUCAACAUAUAAUGAUAUGAUCACCAAUUGAUCUUUGGAUCUUUUGAUAUAUACACAAUGAUCCUCAUCAAUCAUUAUAAAAUCAUAUGCCAUUUUGGCAUUAUGAAAACGUAUAUACCAUUGUCUCGAUGACUGCUUAUGGCCAUUUAUCGACCUCAAAAAUCGAUAUACAUUUUCUUCUUGGCUUUUCAUUAUGAAACCAGCAGGUUGUUCCAUAUAUUUCUUUCUCUAAUUCUCCAUUGAGGAAAGCAGUCUUUACAUCCAUUUGAUGUAACUCAAGAUCCAUACUUGCCAUUAUUGCCAGAAUAAUGCGAAUCAAGGUAAAUCUCACUACAGGAGAAAAUGUAUCUUCAUAAUCAAUUUCUUCCUGUUGAUUAUACCCCUUCGCCACAAGGCGAGCCUUAUGCCUUUUUAUCGAGCCAUCAGCCUUUCGAUUUAUUUUGAAAACCCACUUGUUCCCAAUAGCUUUGUGUCCUUUUGGAAGAUCAACCAGUUCCCAGACUUGGUUUGAUUUCAUUGACUCCAUUUCCUCUUUCAUUGCAUGAAUCCAUUUUUCCUUAUUAGGGCAAUUCAGAGCCUCAUUAAUAUUUCUUGACUCAUCCUCAUCUUGUGGAGCAAUAAUAAAAGUUUCCCUUUCAAUGUCAAAACAUCGACGGGGAAUACUUUGGCGACUUGUUCACCGUAUGGGAGAUUGUACACUUAGCACAUCAUUCCCCAUUAUGCUCCCACUUGGAUUAGGUAAUGAUGAUGUCGUCACAUCAGGUGAUUGCAAUUGAGAAUGAGUUGAAUUCAAUUCAUCACAUCUCAUAUUACUCCCACUUGGACGAACUCCACUAACAUCAUUAUCUUGAUCCAAGGUUUCAAAUAUGGAGUAAUUUUCCCUAUUUCGCCCCUCUUAGGAAAUUCAUCCACUAAGGAUGUGACAUCCCGUGAUUCAAAUUCAGUUAUACUCUCACUUUCCUGCUCACCUAUGAACACAUACCAUUUUGAGUAUUCGCAGUAUCUCAUGAAAAUACUCUUAUUUUUUUUGGGACCCAAUUUCCCAAACUUGUGAGAGGACUCAUGAAUAUAGGCAGCAUAACCCCAUGGCUUAAGAAAACUUAAGUCCGGUUUUCUAACUGUCCAUAACUCAUAUGAAGUGGAAAUAACUGAUUAGGAAGGCAUCCGAUUAAGUAUAUUGGCAGCAGUUAACUACGCAUCACUCCAAAAAGUGAUAGGUAAGUUAGCAUGCACCAUCUUGGACCUAACCAUUCCAGUAGGGUUCUGUUUCUUCUCUCUGCAACACCAUUUUGUUGAGGAGUAUAUGGAAUAGACAACUAUCUUUCUAUUCCUUUUUCAUCACAUAAUUUUCUGAACUUAUCAGAUAAAUAUUCUCAACAUCGAUCGGAUCUAAAUACCUUUAUUUUAUUGUUUAAUUGAUUUUCUGCCAGGUUCAUAAACCUUCUAAAACAACUUAUGCUUCAGAUUUAUGAGAAAUCAAAUAGACAUAUCCGACUCGAGUAUAAUCAUCUAUAAAAAAAAGUGAUGAAAUAAACAGCCCAUUGCCUUCCUCUCACAUUCAUUGAACCACAGACGUCCAAAUGGAUUAAAUGUAGAGGAAAUUCAGCUCUUUUACCUUUUCCAAAUGGUUUUCUUGUCAUUUUCCCUACUAGGCAAUGCUCACAUAUGGACAAAUCGACUUUUUCAAUAUUGCCCAACAAGCCCUCUUUGGCUAGUCUAUUAAUAUGUUGUUGGCCCAUAUGACCAAGUCUAGCAUGCCACCAUAUUCACAUCAUUAUCAUAUAAGGUAGAAGACGUGAAACAAGGGAAUAACAUAUUGACAUCACCAUAGUCAACAUUUAGUACAAUAAAACCAUCCAGAAAAUGACCACAACCAUAGUAGUUUGUAUCCAAAUACAAAUCUAUACAUUUAUUAUGGAAGUUCAUAUAAAAACCAAGCUUGACCAACACGAAAACAGACACUAAAUUUCGACGAAUCUCCGGAGCAUAUAGAACAUCAUGUAGGAACAAGGUGCGUCCACCACGCAUGUUUAAUUGGCAAGUCCUAAUCCCUUUAACUUCAUCUCUAAAGUUAUAUCCCACAUAGAUCCACUUAGUUCCAGUUGGUAUCGUCGGAAUUCCAUGAAGGAUCCUUUAUCCUUCGCUACACGAUCUGUCAUUUCUGAAUCUACAGUCCACAAAGGAUUGGAUUUAGCCAACAAUACAGAACUUGACACAUAGGCAAAGUUCUCAAAUGUACAAGAGGUGUUUACCUUUUUCGGCUCACAACAGUUGCGAGCAUAGUGACCUCUCUUGUCACAAUUGUAACAUCUCACCCUUGACAUUUUUCUUCACUUGAGGACGUUUUCCUCUCUUGUGUUGGUUAACUCUUGAUUUCUUGCAACAAGGACUUGAUCUUUUGCCAUCCCACAUAUUGAACAAAUCAAUACGCUUGCACUUAGAGCUCAAAGCCCUUUCUGAGCUAGAACCAGCAUUGCAAGUGUCCGUUUUCGGCUCACAUGCCGUCAAGCGAUCCUCUACCAGCUCAAGGUGGCGCACAGCAUCAUCAAGAUCUUCCAUAACAUGGUCAAGAGCUUCUAGUGCUUCUAACUUUUCCAGCACAUAUUGAAUCUUAGUACUCAAUAUUCCACAAUUGUUGCCGUUCAUAUCAGCAAUUACGUUCUUAGUUGCUGAAACUAUCGAUCUGAACACAUCAGACUUAUAUGCACAAAUAAUUAAUGCCUAUCAUUAUGCAUCCCUAUUUGCAUAGACCCAUCAUANNNNNNNNNNNNNNNNNNNNNNNNNNNNNNNNNNNNNNNNNNNNNNNNNNNNNNNNNNNNNNNNNNNNNNNNNNNNNNNNNNNNNNNNNNNNNNNNNNNNNNNNNNNNNNNNNNNNNNNNNNNNNNNNNNNNNNNNNNNNNNNNNNNNNNNNNNNNNNNNNNNNNNNNNNNNNNNNNNNNNNNNNNNNNNNNNNNNNNNNNACAUCCAAUAAAAUAACAAUGCUUUCACAUGAUACAACUAAUAUAUCGAUUGCUACAUCAACAACAAUCAAGUAGUAAACAUUACAUAAUUAAUCAAAGAAAUAAAUAAGGAAUGUCCCUUAUAAUCUAUCAGCCAUAAUAUCUGAGAAAUUUGAAGGCACAUUUGCCAACCAUGGAAAAACUUUUGGAGAGCUUUCAUGUCGCCACCAAGGCGCAUUCACUCUACGGCCAUGUGGCGCUCAACCUAAGGGUUGAAGUUUUGGUUAACUCAAUCCUAUAGUGCUCUCUUACAAAAGCUUCCAACCAGCCUCCUAUAACUCAGGACCACGUUGAACCUCCCAUAGCCGAUCUAACACUGCUUACCAUUCAGGUGGAAGAGUGUUCAUCAAAGCCGGUACAUUCUCAAAAUCCGGCAUAAGAUAACCAUUAUUGAUGAUUUCUUGUAUCAUCUGAUUGACCCUGACCGCAUGUGAUACUAAAUCACCAUCAUGCCACCGAUAAUUAGCUAAUUCUGACAAUCUCCUUUUAAGUCUUGCAUUUCCCUCGUCCGUUCUCGGGAUUGCAGGUAUCCUUGCAUAACGCAUCAUAGUUCCUGCAACAAAUGCAGAACUAAAAAUGGAUCACUUAUAAUCCAUAAUAAAUAUAAGGGAAAAUACAUAAUUUUCCAAAAUUCAUGCAAAAAAUGAAGCAUUAAAAAUAGAUUACUUAUAACCCACAUAGGCAUGACUGAAAAAGAAACAAAAUUUUUUUUUUUUUUUUCGGGUCAACGGUCAACGGUCAGUCAACGGUCAACAGUCAAGGUCAAUGGCCAGUCAACGGUCAACGGUGGUCGGUCGUCGGAUCGGUCGAACCGGACAGACCGGUCGGACCAAUCGCGCCGGUCGGGCCGGUUCGGGCGAAACGACCGCACGUGCCGCCCGCGUGCGCGAGCUGACGUCAUGCAGACGUCAGCCGGCACGAGCCGCGCGCGUGCCGAGGGUCGCGGUUCGGGUCGGGUCGCCGGCCGGCCAACGGUCGUCGGCGAUGACGUCACCGAUGACGUCAUCCCGGCGGUUACCGUGACGUCAGCACGCGUCUGUUCGCCGACCGGCGCGUGCCCGUUCGCCACCGGCGCGUGUGUCGCAUGCGCUGGCGAAGCCAGCACUUCCAGGCGCUUCGCGCCCACGCGCAGCGGCUUCUGGCCGUGCGUGUGGGCGCGUGCGGCGUCUCCCGGCGGCGCUCGACGUGUCGCCGGACUCGUCUCGACGUCGCCUUUCUCCCCAUGUGUUCAGAAAACGAUUUCGACUUACGAAAACUCAGAAAAAUGGCCGAACAACGCUCGGGUGUCGGGAUUUCUCGCCCCGAUCCGUACGGCCGAAAAUUUUUCGUGAAAAAUCAAUCAAAAAACAUCAAAUUAAUCGGGAAAACGUGAACUAGGGCUCUGAUACCAAUGUUGGGAAUAGCGGAUCCCUGAAACCGGAUUCGACACCGAAUCGAACACCUAAAUCAAUGCGGAAGACGAAGCCCGGGAAAACACGUAUCACCGAUCGUAAAGCACACCACGGAUUCGAGCGUACCUUGUUAGCCACAGAUUAAGCACCGACGCCGACAAGAGGAAGAAAAUCUGGCCCCGUUCAAUCCGAUGACGCCUUGAAGGAAAGAAGAAAAGUGCCGUUUGCUUACUGUUUCUUUUUGGAAGGGAGAGAGCACGCGGGAGAAGAGAAGACGUACGUUUGUCUGUUUUUCCAACUGGUGCCAUCUCUCUCUCUCUCUCUCCUCCCUUUUAUACCUUCCCCCAUCCAUGGGCCCUAUUCCCGUGGGCCGGGCUUUUUGGGCCUAGCAUGGGCGGACGGGCCUUAAGCCCAUCUCAUAAAUCUAUCAAGCUCGAUAUUCAGCAUCGUCGCCCUUACUUGUUUUGGACUUUCUACUGGCGAAUCUCUUCAUGUAAAGGUUUGGCUUGGCAUUAUACUAGUCAGCAUACUUGCAUAGACAUGGUGGUUCUGUUCGUUUCCUCAUCAGUGCAUUCGACUUGUGGUGCAUCAAAUCUGAAAAUGAAAUAUUCCAGUAUCUAUAUUUAAUUAUUCGGAAGUUUGUUUUAAUAAGCUAGUACUAUGCUAUCAAUCAAUUAUCACUCAGUACAUCUCUUUAUACAUAUAGACACGGUUUGCCAUUUCCAGAGUUGUUAUCUUUCGGGAGUGGUCUCGAACGAUUUCGUAUUCUCCAAACCGAGACUCAUUCAGUCAUUGAAAGCCUUCAAUUUUUGACCUUGUACUAGGAUGGUCCUUUCUGCUGAUUAUUGUAGAUCCUUUGAAAACCAUUGAAGCAAUCGAAAAGACCUCGCAGAAAAUGUUAAUUGCUUUGUACUGGCGAGACGACCCAAGUUUUAAGCAGCAGCAUGCGCUUUCGCUGCUUUCUAUGUUUUCUUAGUCUGAUGAAUGACAUUAUUUGAAUCUCAGUGGGGGAGUACCUCGCUAAUUUUGGCAUCAAAUCAGGGCUCUCUGUCUGCGAUCUCUAAGUGAAGUGGAUAUCGCGGGUUCCUUAUCAACAUCAAUGUCUGGAGGAAUAUGAUACUUGUUUGCAAGCACGUGAGGUACCAUCUCAUGUCUUAUCAUCGAGUGAACGCAUAAAUUCUCACUGCAUUUAGGGAUUGAGCUUUUGUAAUACAUCACAUGCUCUAAAACGACACUACCUGCUCAAUUUCCAUUCAUCGUAAAGGCAAAUUUGUCGGCCUACUCUAUCUUUCGUCUUUGACAUGUGCCAGUCAUUCAUCGGUUAGGCCCUAACCCAUCCCGUGACAUGAGGUCAAAGUCGGAGAUUGCUUGAGCAUGUAGCAGUUGUAGAGGUGGGUGAUCGAGCGGGGUCGAAGGGUGGGGGUGAGAGGUUUUGAUGGAAACGAGAGAGAUUCACAUGAAACAAAAAUUAAAUGAAUGCCAUAGAACAUUCAUUGUCAUUUAUAAAAUAUGAACAUAAUGAGUCUAUCGGAAACACUAGUGCUAUAUGAAAAACAUGUAAAAGCUUCACGGAUUACAUUGCGAAUAAUGAUACAUGUUGAUAGUACUAUUUAAAUUUUGCACCUCAUUUCUAUGAUAGGGGAACAAUCACACAAUACAUGAUUUCGUAAACUCAUUGUCAUGGUAAAAUUGGUAACCGCCCGAAAUUAUCGAAGCACUUGACGAAGCUGAGACCGUUUCAAGUUCUAUAUCAGUGUUGACAUCAUCAAUUGGCGCCUCUCUUGGAUACAAAAGUGGUUUUGGAGGCAGCUGUAGUUUAGCCAUAUCUCCCUCAAGCAUAUCUAGGACUUUCCUCAUCGACGGCCGAUCAUUAGGACUCAAUUGUAUACACCAUGAUGCAACGAUUAUCAUCUUCCUCGUUGUUUCUCUUUCCUCUUCUAUGACAUCUACCAUUUCAACCUCCUUUUCUUUGCCAAGUUGAUCAUAAACCCACAAAGGAAAGUAAAUUUGACUUGAACGCUCUGCACGUGCAUUUAGAUUUCUCCUUCUACCAGCCAUUUCCAUCAACAUCAUCCCAAAACUAUAAACAUCGGCUUUAUAAGAAAUGCCACCAAUGUCUUUAUAGAAUAGCUCAGGUGCCAUAUAACCCAAGGUUCCUCUUGCUGCAGUCAAUGAUACUAUGCUGUGACUGGUGGGAUAAAGUCUUGCAAGUCCAAAGUCAGAAAUUUUCGGAGUGAAACUUUGGUCUAGGAGAAUGUUGUGUGGCUUGAUAUCAAAGUGCAGAAUUUGCAUAUCACAUCCCUAAUGUAGAUAUUCUAUCCCUCUAGCUAUGCCAAGAGAGUUCUCAUACAUUUUCUUAUGAUCAAGAGGAUCAUCACCAUCCUUAUUCGAAAUGUGUUUAUCCAGGGAGCCAUUUGGCAUGAAAUCAUAGACUAGAGCUUGUUUGGAGUAAUCGAAGCAAAAACCAACAAGUUGCACCACAUUGACAUGGUGAAUCCUUCCAAUUGUGGCCACUUCGCUAAUAAAAUCUUGGCUGUUAGAUUCUGAUUUGUUCAAAAUCUUAACCGCAACUUCAUUGCCACUUCGAAGGAUUCCUCUGCAGACAGAACCAUAUCCCCCCUCACCUAACUUGUAUUUGAAAUUUUUUGUAAUCUUCUUAAUAUCGGAGUAAGAGUACCUUAUGGGUAAAAAGUUAUUGUGAGCUUGUAGGAAUUCUUCGAUGAUUGCGUCAAUCGCUUGGCGCCUUCUCAUCCACUUAUAGAUUAGAAGUAUCAACACACAUAGAACUCCGAGUACGAAUUUUGCUGCAACAUAGUUGGCUGGAUAGAAAUUGUCCAUAGAUUAGCACGGUGCAAUAAAAAAAAAUUAAACGUAAUUUUUUUUUUAUCAGAGUGCUGCUUGAGAUCUUCAUAGUUGUGAGGAGAAAAGGGCUAGGAAGUCAUACCCAAGACGAGGGCAAGGCUCCGACCCACAUAUGGCGCAUAAUAAUGCCUAGCCCACGUAGCAUAAUCUAAGGUGACCGAAAAUGACUAAUUAGAAUCGACAAUCAAUCAAUGAAGAAUUAAAUCUAUCAUUUUAGCAUUUAAACAUAAAAAUAAUUUACUAUCCUAAAUAGGUGCUCAUAUCGCAGCUUAUUCUAUUCACAUGGGAAAUCCAUGUUACGGUAGCAUGAUAUUUUCUCUAAAAAAAUAAAAUAAAGAACACGAUCUCGCUUUUGUUCCCUCAAGACGUACCAAACAAUUAAUAAGUUCACAUCUCACUGCAGCAUAAUUCUAAUUUACAAACAUCAUUCAGGACGCGUGCAAUUUAUUCAUCUACAUAGGAGUAACAGCCACGCAAUGGACACGAGCAACUAUUAAAUCAACCAUUUUCCCCAAACAAAUAUAAAGUAAUAGUGUCAAAUCCAGAAAAAAAGGUUCAUAAAUUGUAAAAUUAAAAAGAGCAAUGCAUGCCUAAUCUACUAAGAAAUCUUAUUAGACUUUUCAAAUUAAGUGAUGUGGCAAUUUUUUUUUUUUCUGUUGUGUUUUUAGAGAAAAUAGUGUCUUAAUUUGUGGAUUGUAUUAAAAAUCCCCAACUAAAACUUGCCACAUCUCUUGGUAAGUAAAUUUUGGUAAGAUCUCUUAGUAAAGCUAGGAUUUAAGAAAAGGAAGAAGAAGAAGAAGAAGAAAAAAGAAAGAAAGAAAGAAAGAAAGAACACCUUUAAGGGGAAGUCCCUUGAGGAAAUAAAGGUCCCCGCAACUCUCCAUUCGGUAUCCGAAACUUAAGUAGCGACACCGAAAAGCUCUUCCUGACAUGGUCCAGGGUUCUCCAGAAUAGUAGAGAUUGAAUCCCUCGGCCAUCUUGUUGUGGAGGUCCUUGUAUGUUAAGCUCCCAUUCUGAUCCCCUUCCCGCCCCGAGAUUUGAUCUGAUGCGUAUGCCGUCAUGGUUACGGUGCAGGAGUCCUUGAAAUCCCCUGCUUUUAAGUUCUGUACAGCGUAUGAGUACACCUUCAUCUAGGAAAAAUAAGGAGGCGUGUCGGCAGAGUAUCCCUCAAUACAUGGUCUGGUAUCGACAUAUAAACUAGAAGCAAUGGGUUGGGAACACUUCAUGAAGGCCACCACCGUAGCUUAUCGAUCAGCGUAUCUAUCAUCAUGACUGAAGUUGGAGUAUGUCAAUGGGUAACGAGGGAGGGACUAGCAAUUACCCUUUUGCAGUCCAUUGUCAACCACCGUGAUAUUACCAUCAAAGUCAUGUUGGUUGUAAUAGAAACUAUAAUGGAUCAACUUCGCAUUAUAUUGGCCAGCAUAUAGAUAUAGAAUAGUGUCGCGACCAAUUUUUCAGGGUGUGAAUCACCUAGGAUUUAGCUAAUAGAUUGCUAAGCCUAGACCUAGCUCGGGCUCUCCCAAGCCCAUACCAAUUCGCGACUUAAGUUCAAAUUUCUUAACAUGCAGAUGGAUUUUAUGUAGGAGUCGCCACUAAUCUAUUUUUUGGUGGGUCAAUUAGAAACCCAAGUAAAAUAACGGGAGUUUUACUUUACUCCUAUGAACCAGAUAUUCUAGGUACGGGGACUUAUUACACUAGAUUUUUCUAAUGCCCUUUCGAUACCAUUCUUUUAUUUUCAAAAAUGCUUUUGCAAGCAGCUUAAAUUGAUUUUAAAUCUAAUUUCCUAACAUGUGAGGUGAUCAUGCGAGUGCGCAAACCAUCAAUUUAACAUCCAAAUAAAGCAGUAAAUAAAUUGCAGGACUUACCUCAUAGCAACGAAAGCAUCUGCGUUGUUAGAUCAAAAUUCACAUCAACAGUCAUAGAUAUGAUUUCUAAUUAACACGAAAUUUUUGUUUUUCUUUUUCACUUGAUUAGUGAGAAUCGAACCCGUAUGCAAUGCGAUGCUUCUAAUCUAACAUGAAAUGAUAUAACAUGGCAGAAUAACCUAAAUUAUAUGACAUGAAUAAAAAAAUGCAAUGAUUAAAUAUGUAAUCUAAACUAAUCUAAUGACUUAACUCUAAUGACAAUCAAUUUCUAGCCAAAUGGACCUAACCAUAAUCACUAAGUAAUAUGCAUUUCAUGAACCUAAUUCUAUAUGACAUGCACAUGACAUUUUUUAUUUUCUUAAAAAGUAUGCAAUCUAUCCUAGAGAUUGAAACUAAUUUAUCCUAAGAUAUUUUUUGUAUUUUUUAAUAAAAAAAUCGAAAUUAAGACUAUCAAAUAAUUAACAUGCAAUUUAAAUCAGUGAAACGAAAAUCUAACAUCCUAAAUUUAUGUUUUUUGUAUUUUUUAUUUAAGAAAUUCGAAAGAAAUAAAUUUCCUGUUCUAGACAUGCAAAAUAACCUAAAACAAGUAAUAUCCUAACAUGCAUCUAAUCUAACUCAAAAAAAAAUUUCCUUUUACGGGAGCAAACAAAUAAAGGCAUCAAGAACAGCACGGCAACAAAUCAAACAAGAUAUCAUCCAUGUCCAUUUAAUUUUGGGAAAUAAAUUGACGAAUCGUAUCUCGCGCAUGAGAUCAGAUUGGCCAAUAUUUUAAGUAAAAUCACGAAUCGUAUCUCAAGCGUGAGAUCGGAUUGGUGAUUUUUUCGUACAAUUGCGGGUCAUAUUUUGGGCGUGAAAUCAGACCGUCAACCGUGUGAAAUUAAGAAUUAAUCUCUAAUUUCAAAUGCUAUCUGAACUUCGAUCAUGUGCAACGAGAUAUUUUAAAUAAGGAAACGGAAUAUUCGGAAAUUAAAUUAGACAAAAAUAUUACCUAAUCCAAAUAUUGACUUCCAAAAUUUGGACUUUGCGCAGUUAACGGAGAUUGCAGUGCUCAACAAUUUCGCAGCCAGUUGUCGAGGACAGCAGCUUAGUCACGAAAGAGCAACGGCAACGUCACGGCAGCAGGCCUGAACCGCUACAAAAUUGUCGCAGGGGACUCCACCGAUGUUGGACCACGAUUGGCUUUGAAUGUGGACCCAAGUUCGCUGGACUGUGGCAAGAUUUUUUUGAAAAAAAAACCUGCAAGAUUUGGUCAAAGAAAACUGGUUUGGGCUGCCUUCAACAGAUCAUGCACGAGAGAGACAAAUUCGAGAGAGACAAAUUCUUGUGCUUUUUAUCAUAAACUUGUGUUCAGACUAUAAGGGUUCUCUUUUGUGCACGUCCACUCCUCUCCCUCCAGGUGGAAGUGCUUGACUUUGUGGACAAAAAUUGCGGAGAUUGAGAGAAAUUUCCCCUUUUAAUCUAUGACCGUCUCCUGGCUUAACAGCGAAGCUCCGUGGCUUUGGAUGAAACUCGCCACAAAAAUUUCGGUCUUCUCGAGCAGUGGUUGGAUCGGCCAGUGCGAGCAGCAAAACAAACCAGGCUCGAGCAACAAGUCGCUGUGGAGUAUAUUACCAAUGCCUGACAGCGGAUAGGCAAAGAGUGGGUUAGGCUCACGUCAGGGAUAGCGACCUGCAAAUGCGUUUCGUCACAUCGAGGCAGCAAGCACUGGCGUUGCGAGUUCACGAAUGGUGCAGCAGCAAGUAGCGUUGGGGAUCAGCAGCACUGUCGUCAGCUCGGGAUGACGACACGAAUCGCUACAGAGGGUGGUGCUUUGCUGAAACCAAGCUUGCUAAAUUUUAUUGGUCAACGAGACAAGGUGGAGCGUGAGUGACCUGCAAAGAAGAAGAGAGAAAUCCUUCUAUAUAUAUUUAUUUUUUUGGCUCCCAUGUGGCCCCCUCCCUCUUCGCUGGUGGACUUCAGGAGGAUAGAGAUUUGCUGCAAAAUUCAACCGGGAUCUUGAAGGCUUGCGAUUGAUUAUCAGGAAAGGCCGCUGAGUCGGCGGGGUUGGAGAUGACGCCGGUGCUGGACUGGAAUGCGCCGGGAUUGCUGAGUUCUUCGAUGGGCUGAGAAAUUGUGGCAAGUGGCGCACAAGCAGGAGCAGCCGCUGGGGACAGAUGUGAAGCGUCGAAGUGCCGCCAGGACUGCUUAACGUUGCUCGCUGGAUGUCGGCAUUACUGAGCAUUCGCUGAGCAAGUUCUCGUGAAUCAGCGUCGAGAAAAAACACACAAUGGACAGUGAUGUUGCUGGUACGGGAAUUUGGGCACGACUGUUGAAAGUGACCAGCCUUGACCAUUAAAAAAUGAAAUCUCUCCUCUCUCUUGUGGUCCUUUCCAUUCUGGCCGUAUAUUCAAUAUGUGGCCUCCCCUCGAAACCCUACGCGAAAAACCUUUUUAUAGGCCGAAGAUUAGGGUUUUAAUUUCCUUUUCAAAUCAGCAUCCGCGAAGAUUUCUUUUUCGCACACAAUAUCACUUUUUUUUUUUUUUAUUUUCCACAUCUCCUGAUUUUAUUGCCUAAAGAUAAGAUUGUAACCCGAUUUUCUUAAAUUCCAAAAAUCCACCGUAAUAUUAUUUCAAAACUCCAUUUAGGUAAUUUUUGUAAUUAAAAGAAAACGGGCUCGAGCCAAUUUACUUGCUUCGUGGGCUUUAGUCCGGUCUAUCAAUUUAAAGCUUAGAACCACUAAUUCAAACACAUCCGCCACCGGUCCAAUAAAUGCAAAAAAAAAUGUAAAUGCACAUAAAUCUAUAUGCUAUGUAAUUAAUUAAUUAACUAAUAUUUUUUUAGGGGUUAAAAUUAAUCCCUAAUUUUUUAAUGAAUAAACGGGUCACCAAAAUUUAGGUGUCAACAAAUAGUGCCGUUAUUUUCACAAGCUAGCUCAUACCGAGAGCUGCCGCAAUGUUUUGGAUCGCCUUUCAAUUGAAAAGGAUAACUUAUGUUAUGGAUCUCAUCGCAAGAUGAGGGGUCACACAAAUGAUUGUUCUUCGCAUUGUAACUUAUCCUUGAUAGUAGCAGUGUCACGCCCCAAACCUUGAGUGCGCCAAUAUCCCAUCAUGGUCAUGCAAAUGCGACAUUCCCAGGUAGUGUCGCCGACCCCAUUCAUUUAUUAUUGCGUAAGCGGAACGUAUUGUAAAACCCUUGACAAUGAACUAUGGGAUAGAAAAACCAGGAAGCAGAACCAUAACAUAACACUUUCAUAAUUCAACAGAAUUACAAACAGAGGUCUACGGCCAAAAGUCUACAAAAGACCGGCUCUCAAAAAUGAACUAUCCUACGACCUACAAGUCGGACAUGCUCUCCAAUCUUAUGACUUCACCUAUGCAACUCCUCAAGGCCAACUAAAGCUAUCUGGCCACUCCGUCCACCAGGGACUUGAAAUUUUAAUCACACAAUCGGGAUGAGACUUUGUCUUAGCAAGUUCAACCCCCUAAACCCCUAUUAGAAAGAAAAUACGCUCAAGGGUGGCCUAGCCACAACAUCAAAAAGACUUACCUCGCAUUAGUCUUCAUCUGCAGGUUAGCACAGUUUAUAUAAUUCAACCACGUGCAAUUAUGAUAACCAAACAACUGUGGGACAAUCACAUCAUCAGAACAAUUUAACCACUUGGAUCGUUUCAGCGAUCAAUCGACUCGGCCGAUUACAUGUCAUUCUAGCAAAUCAAUCAUUGCCUCCAAUCACGACCCUAUAGGAAGGUUUAACAACCAACGGCAAUCACGGCCCCACUCGGCAAAAUUAGUAUUAGUGGCAUCACGGCCCCACUCGACACAACCUUUAAAAGGUGGUAGAUCCCGGCCCGAUGGGCAUGACCUCUAAUAGGUGGUUAAUCACGGCCCGGUUGGGCGCGACCUUGAUCAGGUAGCGAAUCACGGCCCCAUUGGGCACGACCUCUAAUAGGUGGUUAAUCACGGCCCGAUUGGGUGCGACCUUUAUCAGGUGGCGAAUCACGGCCCCAUUGGGCACGACCUCUAAUAGGUGGUUAAUCACGGCCCGGUUGGACACGACCUUUAUCAGGUGGCAAAUCAUGGCCCCACUGGGCAUGACCUAUAAUAGGUGGUUAACCACGGCCAAUCUCUCAUCAAUUUCAACACUUGGGAUUUUAUAAGAAGAAUCCCUAUUUAUCGCUAUCACACUCAAUUUGCCACAAUCGAUUAUCAAAUUCAAAUUCUAAAGACACAGACUUCCAAAGAUAAUUUUCGAAAUUUAUUAAAUAAUUAAUUUUAUUCCAAAAUUGAUUUAAUAAUAAUAUUUUAAUAAUUUCGAAUAGAUAUAUAUUAUUAAAUAAUUUAAAAUUUUCGGAAUACUUAAAUAAAUCAAAAAAAAAUUCUUUAAGUCACAUCAAAGCUUAUAUUAAUAUAAACAUUCACUUAGCCUUAAAUUAAACACACUUUAAGUAAAUCAAGCACCUUAAUAUAAUCUACACUUAAAUAAAUUAAACUAACCACCUCAUAACACUUAACAUAAACUAAACCUCCCUAAGUAUAAUUAACCCUCUAAGCGAGGUUUAGUGAGUUAAACUCAUCGGAUUAGCGAGCUGAGCGGACCAAAACGACGGGGACGCCGAGGGGAACAACUUCCUUUAAAGCAGACCAAGCAUCCGAGGUCAGGAAGCCGACAAAACGGGCCAAAACCAAGCUGCCAUACCCAUUUUUGAUUGAUGUUGUCCGCUGCAGUUUGAGGCCAAGGAAGGGUAGAGCUGGAGCUUGGAUGAGAUGGAGAAGGACCGGGGAAGGUUGAGGGGUCGAAUCGAACCUAGGCAGGGCUCGAACGGUGGCCGGAGGUGGUUGAUCCGAGGCUGGUGCUGGCCGAACAGCCUCCUAGAUGCACAAGUAGAGGCCAACAGAGACGGCCGGGCGUCGGCCAAGCGCGGACAAGCGCGGGCAGCAGCGAAGCGCAAGACGGCGAGUGGCAACGACGGUCCUAGCUCUGGCAGCUUACUGGUUGAUCUUCGCUGCUGCUGGCGCUCUCAGAUUUGCUAGAGACGUCGAGCACGAGCAGGAGAUGGAGUAGAGAGGGAGGCGAUGGCGCAGGUGGGCGGCAAGCGGCCUAGCGGUGCAAAUGGCAACGGUAACUGGCGAUGAAAGGAGCUGAGGGUUGCUGCAUCCGCUUUCUUCGGUUGCUGGGCGAGCGAAGAAGGAGAAGAAGAUGGAGAGGGGGGUGCCGACGGGAGAGAGAGAGAGAGGGAGGAGAGAGAAGGAAGGGGCCACCCCUUUUCUUUUCUUUUUUUCUUUUUCUUUAAUCCAACACAAAUGGUCCACCAUGACCUAAGAUGACAUCACCUUCCACUAAAUUCAAAUCUCCCACAACAAUCUUCAAUAGGUCCAAUUUCUUUUUCCGCUGAGGCAUGAAAUCUUGAACGCUAACUUCUUCAAUUCCAAUCAAUUCUCUUCCAAAUGAGUAUAAUUAAAGUCCAUAAAUUAAUCCAAUGAUCCUAAUAAGAUUUGUGACACACUAUGACUUCCAAUUUCAGAAUUCGAUCUCAAUUUCACGGUUAAUUUCACUUUGGCACGAUACUAGCGCGUCCUAAUCUAUCGGGUAGCUUUUAGAAAUUUUCGUGCAUUUGACCUAUGGUUGAUCGAUUCAAGCCACAAUGUGCAUCUUUGACACAUUGGCGACUCUCGGUUGUCGGGAUAAUUUCAAGGUUUCAAACACGAACACGGGGUACCCAAACGACAGAAAAGCCAGUCCAGUGCCGAUCAACAAGAAUUGUGCGAUCUGGUGGAAUCACCCACAUCCGAUCACAUGCCUCUGUCGAGUUGACCUAUCUUCGAUUUCUAAUCGAUUUUUAACUGUGUCGUAAUGACCCUUGCAGAUUAACUCGGUCGAAAGGUCGUUUCCUGGUCAAAUUCUCGAGUCCGAUGCAUUAGAAUUUCUUAACGGCUUCACCUGAUAGAUUAGUUAUCCCAUGAGUGAUCAGUCCAAGGAAAAGAACUAUAUGCGUGCCAACGAAAUGCCCAUCUUAAUUUAUUGAAAAUAGUAUUGGAAAAUCGAGAUGUCACAAUGCGAACGUGCGAUACGAGAAGUAAAACACGGAGUGUAAAUAUGGAGCUGAGAGAAAUAAUCAUCUCUUUAUCGUUAGUAUGGUGCAAUGAAGGUUUUAGCUCAUUUGGUAAUGCGAGAGAGGCUUUAUAAAGGGUUAUGAGUCGUCGGUCAUCGAAAUGUCCAAGUCAACCCUAAAACAAAGUCUAGCGAAGAAAGUCUUAAAAAGUAUGGCCCAGCUAAAACCUAUGUAGCAUCGACACGAACAUGUGACAUGCGACACGACACAACACGACACGCCCACACGUCAUUUAUUAAAAAUAGAGAAUUUCGACACAUUCCGACACAUUAUAUAUUAAAUAUAUUUUAAUAAUAAUAAUAAAAAUAGCCUAGAAUUAAUUUACGCGAAAAAUAUUAAAUAAUAUCAUUCAAUAUUUUAAUUUGUUACAAUAAUACACAAAACUUAGAGGAAAAAAACAUUGUUUAAAGAAAAAUGCUAAAAUGAUAUUUUUAAAUUUAUUUAUUUAUCAUAUAUAGCAUUUUUUUUUAUUACUUCUUUCAUAGUAAAAGACUUUAAAAAAAAAAAACAAUUCUAUAAAACCAAAACUGAAAAAAGAAAAAAUUGAUCCCGUGCGUGUAUAUUUAUAGCAAUUUUAUUAUUCUUUUAUUACUUCUUUUGUGCAUAUUUAUAUUUUGACCCCUCAAGUAUUAGAAAUUUUUAAAAUUGACUCAAUGCGUGUCGGAAUCACGUGUCGAAAUUCUGGACUGUCGAAGCGUGUCGGAGAGAGUUGAACAUGUGUUGGAUUUUUCAACACUCGUUGACCACGUGUCGGAGCGUGUCGGGACGUGUUGGAGCAUGUCAGACACGUGUCGGAGUGUCGAACACGACAUGAAGGCUUCCGGAGAGUGUCCGUGCUACAUAGGCUAAAAUACGGUCUCGGAAUUAGUAAUGGAUAGCUUUCACAUCAUGACGGAGGAAACCUCUUACAUUUCCCAAAAUUGAUUUUCUUGGCAAAUCAAUCUCUCUUUAUUUUAGUAUCGUAAAAAAGAAUCAGUUUCAAUGUUUUGUACCCUAAACUCAAUCAAAAUCCUUUCAAAUACGGCAUCUGGUGUUCUAUUUUAUUUUCAAGGCCAAUAUUUCGUAAAUGUCAUUUCGUUAAAUUUUGAAGACGGAAAGAAAAAAGAUGAUGUAUUUCAUCGUAUAAGAUUUUUCAUUUUUUGAGAAAAAAUUAGUAACCAAGAAAGAGGAUCAUGUUAAUUAACGGGUACAUAGAUUUUAACUCGUAUAAUGUGGCUUUCCGUAAAUAUAGAAAGGAAAUAAGGAGUCGGCGCUUCUUGCUCAUGGAUGUUGUGAAACUUUAUGAAAGAAAAAAGCAAUAUGGUAAAUUCUCAACUAGCAAUGGGACUGACACAUCUCGAUUAGAAACUCACUUGCAUCAUCGUGGAUCGACACACGCAAGGACUAUAGACACGGCAUUUGAAUUCACAAAAAUAAUGUGAUGUUUACUUAGUCACUAUGCUGAAAUUUUAAAAUCACUCUUUUCCAUAAUUGAACCACUUAAUGAACGAAUAAACUGAUCUCAAUAAAAAAGGCAAUACGAUAAUUUCUCAACCAAUGACCAAUUGAUGCGGGUCUCAAUUAGAAAUUCACUUGCUUCGUCAUUCUCAACACAUGCAAAGACUAUAGGUGUAAUAUUUUUUUUUUUGGUAAAAGACUAUAGGUGUAAUAUUCGCAUGCACAUAAAUCAACUAAUACGUACUUAUUCAUUGUCAAUUGAAAUAUCAUUCUUGUGGAUCAGUCAAUCACUCGCCUAUAAAAUAAUCUCAUCUUUUGCUCGCAAUAAAUCGAACUGACCUAUUACAAUAUCCAAUUGAAACAUGCCACAUCACUUAGUAAGUAAAUUUUUAUACGAUCCCUCAGUAGAGCUAACAUUUAAGAAGAGGAUGAGGAUGAAGAAAGAAACAAAGAAAGAACUGGGAAAGUCAGCUUACGGGAAUCAUGGUGUCUCCACCUCUCCGUUUGGUAUAUGAAACCUAAUUAGCAAAACUCGAAACUUGUUGGUGGCGAGAGUUUAUAAUAGGAGAUAGUGAAUCCCUCGACCGUCAUGUUGUGGGGGUCCUUAUACGGUGAGCUCGCACGAUUAUACCGAUCGUUUUUCCACCUUGGGAUAUAAUGCGGUAUUAAAGCCUCUGUGGUCAUGGUGUAAGUAUCCUUGAUGUCCCCUACUCGGAGAUCAAACCCAUGUACAGCAUAUGAGUACAACUUAAUUUGGGAAAAAAUAGGGGGCAUGUCGGAAGGAUAUGCUCCCUCAAUACAUGGUUCAGUAUUGACUUACGAAGUAGAAGCAAGGGGCUGUGAGCACUUCAUGAAGACCACCGGCACAGCUAACGAACCGUGUGGAUCAUUAUCACUAAAGUUGGAGAGCGCCAAUGAGUAAUGAGGGAGGGUUGAGCAAUUACUUUUUUUUGCAGUCCAUCUUCAACCACAGCGAUUUCGCCGUUGAAUAAACAUUUGCUAAGAUGGGAAUGGUAGUAAAUUGAUUUCACAUAAUAUUGGCUGUCAUAUAGAUAUAGAACAAUGUGAUUAUUUUCACAAGCUACCUUAUGUUCAUAGUGGCCACAUCCUUUUGGGUUGCCUUUCAAUCGAAAGUGAUAGCGUAUGUCAAGAACCUCGCCGCAAGAUGAAGCGGCAGACAAGUGAUUCUUCUAUGUACCGCAACUCAUCCCAAGUAGCAGCAGAACAUACAAUAUGAAAAGCAAAACACUGAACAUGCUUAUGGAGCUCAGAGACUUAAUCGUCUCUCUAUCGUUUGAUCCGAUGCAAUGAAAGUUUUUGCUAAUUGGUAAUGCGAUGGAGGCCCAGUAAUAUUGCGAUUGAGGCCCAGUAAUAUGAAUGAAAAGAGCCUGGAGUCCUCGGUCAUUCAAAUGUCUAAGUCAACCAAUAAAGCAAAGUCUAGUGAAGAAAAACUGGAUAUCACGUGGAAAUUGCAGUCCUUGCGGUCAAGGUAUCAAAACACGGUGGUGGAAUUAUUUAUGCAUAGCUUUCACAUUGAUUAAAAAAAAAACACUUCUCUGCAGUUUCCAGAUUGAAUCAAAAUCAUUUCAAGUGAGGCAAUGACGUUCUAUUUUCUUUUCAAGACUAAUAUUCCAUAAGUGUCCCUUUGUUAAAUUGUGACGACGAAAGGAAAAAGAUGUUGUAUUUCAUCAUCUAAGCUUUUUAUUUCUGACAAAAAUACAGAAAAUGGUAAGAAAAAUAGACUAUGAACAAGAAUAUAACUUGUAUAAUGUCGCUUUUGGCAAAAGUAAAAGAAAAAUAAGAAAUAAGUGCUUCUUGGAUGGUGUAACACGUUAUGAAAGAAAGAAAGCAAUACGAUAAUUUCUAGUGGUGGACCGACGCGCCCUAACUAGAAACUCACUAACUUCGUCGUCACGCAAACACCAUAGAUGCAAAUUUCCAAGUUCACCAUCAACACAAAGUCUAGCGAAAAAAAAAAGUGGGUCUCAUGUGGAAAUUGCAGCCCUUGCGGUCUAGGCAACAAAAACAGAGUGUUGGAAUUAUUUAUGGCGUGGCUUUCACGGUGAUUAGAAAAGAAACUUUUCUGCAGUUUUCAGAUUUAAAUUUUCUUGGCAAAUUGACUCUUUAGGAAUCAAUUUUAGUUCAAUAAAAAAAGAAUCGAUUGGAAUGUUAUGUACUCUAAAUUGAAUCAAAAUCCUUUCAAGUGAGGCAUUGGCAUUCAAUUUUAUUUUCAAGGCCAAUAUUCCACAAGUGUUGGUUCGAUAAAUUGUGAAGACAAAAUGGGAAAAACAAAAUGUCGUAUUUCACUGUAUAAGCUUUUUCAUUAUGGACAAAAAAAAAAAAAACAGAAUUGGUAACAAAGAUAGACUAUUAAAGGGAAUAUUAGCUUGUAUAACAAAAAUAAAAGGAAAAACAUGAGUUAGUGCUUUUUGGAUGGUGUAACAGAUUAUGAAAGAAAGAAAGCAAUUCGAUAAUUUCUAGCGAUGGGACCGACGCGCAUUGACUAGAAUCUCACUAACUUCGUCAUUGCACAAAGACUUUACAUGCAAUAUUCAAGUUCAAAGAAAAGAAAAACAAUGUUUAUUUAUUCACUAUCAACUUCAAUAUUACAAUCACUCUCCCAUACUUGUGUUAGAUCUAUGAACAAUAUUGUCAUCUCUCUGGGAACUCCCUUGCUUGGUUUUAUUUAAAAUCGAACUGAAAUGAUAGCCGAGCGUCGUUUUCCCUAGUCCACGAGCAUGCCCGGUUUGGACGAGCCAUCCUUUUGUCGAGUUUGAGUGUCACUUGCUGUUCUUUUUUGAGUUUGGACAUGAGUUAGAGUCUAGAAUGGAGGACCAUUCUCACGUGGAAUUUCACGACCACUAAAGAGAUUAAAUUUGUUAAUUUUUUCCAUUUUCUAUUUUUUUAGCAUCAAUUUAAAUGCUGCUUUAUUUUGAUAAUAAUAAAACGUAAAAAUUUAUACUUCUCUGUCUGCGAUCUCUGAAUGAAACGCGUUCCUUAUGAACAUCAGUGUCUUGAGGAAUGUUUGCUUAGUAAGAAAACUCAUGUGUAGGGGACAACAGUGAGGAAUAUAAUGCUUGUUCUUAGGAAUGCAAGGCACCAUCUCAUGUCUUAUCAUCGAGUGAAUGCACAAGUGAUGCAGCCCGCAUUGAAGACCAGCUCUCUCAACCAAGAAGAUCGGCCUGCAUUCAAGCUCGACGAAACCGAGAAGCCAUAUCGACAUCUUGAGUCCAUCUCGAAAGCUGGAAAGACACCGGGGGAGCCGUGAAGACAUUAUGCUUUUACUAUUUCUCCUAGUUUCAAUGUUCUGUCUUUAUUUCUCCUAGUGUCAGUGCUCUGUCUUUAUUUCUUUGAUGAUAUAAGACAUCCAAUUUCUUGUAGAAGACAGACGACUUUUGAUGAAUGAAAACUUUGCUUUGAAGCAAGUAUCGUGAACAUUGUAGAGUUCAUAUCCCCUUGAAAACCUAGAAGAGUUUUCACUCCAUCCUUGAAGAGUCGGAGCUUUCGAAAUCUGCAUCCUUGAAGAGUUGCAAUCAUCAAUCUAGAAGAAUCGGUGCCCCCUCAACUUCCUCGGAGGCCUAGAAGAGCAACCAACGGAGUUUCUAUCUUUUCCUGUUCUGUUCAUUAUUUCCAACCCAAAUUCGACCAUCCUACAGUGCUUAUUUCAGAAAACCCAAAACAGAGAAAUUGUAUAUCCAGAAGUCUUUGUUCAUUUGGCUUUGGAAUCAAGUCGAUCCGAUCUGUAUCAACAAUGAUACGACUGUUCUCCUGAGCUCACACAGUGCCGAAAUUUCUGUUUGUCCUGUUUUCCCGCAUGUGAGUCACUCUCCCGAUCCUACUGUUUGAGAAAGCCUACCCUUGGCUUGCAUCAUUUGGUAUCAAAGCUUUGGAGGAGAGGACAAUGCCACCAAGACAAGCUAGAUGUCGUGGUGGUAGAACCAUUCCCCUUGAUGAAUUGCACACACUCGUUGAGAAUAUGCAACAACAAAUUGACGAAUUGACAUAAGAAGUUCAGCGUUUGAGGGCUGAAGCAAAUAAUUCUCCACCCCAUUCCAGGACUGAAGAUUCCCAUGGUGACUCUUCCUCUUCGGAGAGUGUUCAAUCAAUUUACGGUCGGAGGCAUGUUCGACAUUGCUUACAACAUAUUCGUGAGCCAGAUUGGGAAAAGGAAGUCAAGAAAGAUGUUCCAGAAUUUACAGGUACUGAGUCUCCUAAUGAAAUUGUUGAUUGGCUAACACUUGUGAAUGAGUGUCUGAGCAUCGAAAUGUUCUGAAGAAUCAUUGAGUUGGGAUAUGAUAUGCGAUUCUGAGGCAAGCGAGGAUCCCGUGGAGACGUGAAAAACAAACUCGCCAAGCCGUUGGCAAAGCACCAAUCACUUUGUGGAGAAAGAUGGGGAGCAAGAUUCAAAAAUAUUUUCUUCCCAAAGGAUAUAAGAGAGAGCUCUACCAACGGUACCAAAAUCUAAAACAAGGUACGCGAACGAUGGACCAAUACACCAAUGAAUUCAAUGAGUUGGUGAUUUGUAACAAUAUCCAGGACUUGGAGGAGGUGCUUGUGAACAAAUACUUGAAUGGUCUUCAAUUUUACAUUCAAGACGCCUUGGAAGUCCUCAACAUUUGGGACUUAGGAGAUGCACACCAACGAGCACCCAAAAUGGAGUGCUCUCAUUCUCGAAGACAGUAAUCAACUACCAUGGCAAGUUGGGCCACUAAGAGUACCACUAGCGCUGCUAAAGUUGCUGAGGCUACAACACAAUCUGCUAGUAAGCCUUCUACUUAGCCCCAUGUUUCAAAGCAACCUGUUAUGUCCGAAAUACGUUGCUAUUCUUGUGGGGAGUUGGGUCGUCAUGCAAGCAAUUGUUGAAUCAAUAAGAAUCGACCAGCCGGUAAAGCCUUCUUGGUGGAUAAUGAUUCUGACGAGAAUGCUAAGGAUCCAGUUGAAGAGGAGUUGAACAAUGAUGAAGAAGCUAUGGAUGAUGAACAAAUAGUGCAUGCUGACACUAGCGAACUUCUUAUGGUGAGGAAAAUUUUUCUUACUCCUCGAGAUGACACUGGAGAUAGGUGGCUACAUACCAAUAUUUUUCAUUUUGCUUGCACAAUCAUGGGAAAGGUGUGUCAAUUAAUUAUUGACUUUGGUUGUUGUGAGAAUAUAAUUUGUGAAGUAGUGGCAAACAAGCUGAAGUUGGAAUUAAAAAUGCACCCUAUGCCUUAUAAAAUGUCGUGGUUGAAGAAAGGUGCUGAGGUAACUGUUUUAAAAUGAUGCCUUGUUAAUCUGCCCAUUGGUUAUGUUUAUAAUGACAAGAUAUGGUGUGAUGUUCUGCCGAUGGAUGCUAGUCACAUUAUUCUUGGUCGACCAUGGCAAUUUGAUAGGAGGACUAUGCAUGAUGGUUAUCGAAAUACAUAUUCUUUUGAAUUUGGAGGUAAGAAGAUUUGUUGGCACCUAGUAGGGAACCUUUGAAAACUCCUGUAGUUGAGAAUUCCUUCUCCCCUACGUUGUUUACAAUGAAGGAUAUGAAGGAUGCUUUGAAAGGAGUUCAUAUCUUGUAUAUUUUGCUUAAUAAAACAGGUGAGAAGAAUGAAGUACCUCAUCGAGUUUAACCUCUUUUGGAAGAGUUCAAGGAUGUCUUCCUGAUGGACUUACCCAAUGGUCUCCCUCCUAUGAGAGAUAUUCAGCAUCAAAUCGACUUGAUGCCCAGAGCCUCUUUGCCAAAUCUUGUUCAAUACCGAAUGAGUCCGACCGAACAUGAGGAAUUGCACCAACAAGUUAUGGAGCUAUUGAAUAAGGGUUUUAUAAGGGAGAGCCUCAGUCCAUGUGCCAUUCCAGCUCUUUCAGUGCCUAAGAAAAAUGGUACUUUGAGGAUGUGUGUCGACAGUAAAGCGAUCAACAAGAUCACCAUCAAGUAUUGAUUUCCUAUUCCUUGCCUUGAUCAUCUCUUAGAUCAACUUUCUGGUGCAAUUAUAUUCUCGAAGCUGGAUUUGAAGAAUGGAUAUCAUCAAAUUAGAAUCAAACCCGAAGAUGAAUGGAAGACAGCAUUCAAAAUGAAAGAUGGGCUAUAUGAGUGGCUAGUCAUGCCAUCGGAUUGUUGAAUGCACCAUCGACAUUCAUGAGGUUUAUGACUCGGGUGUUGAUGCCUUUUCUGGGAAAGUUUGUUGUUGUUUAUUUUGAUGAUAACUUGAUUUUUAGCAAGUUUACUGAUGAGCACUUGCAGCAUCUUCAAGAAGUAUUAUGUGCGUUGAGGUAGGAACAAUUGUAUGCAGCUCUUGACAAGUGCUAUUUUAUGGUACCACAAAUCCUUUUCUUGGGGUUUCAUAUUUCAAAGAAUGGCACUUCGGUAGAUGAUUCUAAGAUCAAGGUGAUUCGAGAAUGGCCAACUCCAACAAAUGUGCAUGAAGUGUGCAGUUUUCUUGGCCUCGCUUCGUUCUAUCAAUGGUUUAUUGUGCAUUUUAGCACCAUUACGGCCCCACUCACUUCUUGCAUGAAGAAGGGAGUUUUCAAAUGGACGAAUGCAGCUCAGAAAAGUUUUGAAUAGCUCAAAGAAAAAUUGAGCACAGCCCCGGUACUUGCAUUGCCUAAUUUUGAUCUUAUUUUUGAAGUGCAUUGUGAUGCAUCAAGUACUGGCAUAGGAGGAGUUCUAAGUCAAGGAGGUCGACCCAUCGCCUUCUUUAGUGAAAAAUUGAAUGGUGCCAAACUUCAUUAUAGCACCUAUGAUAUGGAAUUCUACGCAUUAUUUCACACACUUGAGUAUUAGCGGCCAUAUCAUAUUCAUCGAGAGUUUAUUUUAUAUACCGAUCAUGAAGCUCUGAAGUAUAUUUUUAGAUAGCAAAAGCUUAACUCUAGGCGUGCAAAAUGGGCUAAAUACAUCCAGUAGUUCACUUUCAUUAUUAAGCAUAAGGCUGGAGCUCAUAAUCAAGUUGCCGAUGCCCUUAGUCGAAAGAAGAGCUUGCUCUCUACAAUACAUCCUAAUGUUCUUGGAUUUGAUUAUUUUUCAAGAGUUAUAUUAAGAAGACCCCUACUUUUCCAAGAUCAUUCCCGAUGCACAUGAAAAGAAGCUUGCUGAUUUUACUGUCUGUGGUGGUUUUCUUUUCAAAGGAAACCGUUUAUGUGUGCCGGACUGUUCUCUUCGGCAAAGGGUGAUCGAUGAAGUUCACCGUGAAGGACAUUUUAGGCGUGACAAAACUGUACAACUCGUCUUAGCUAAAUACUUUUGGCCUCAUUUGAAACGUGAUGUACAUCAACAUGUGAUGAGGUGUCGGCGUUGCCAAAUUGGAAAGGGACAAGCUACUAAUGCUGGCCUUUAUUUGCCCUUGCUGAUUCCACAUGCCCCAUGGGAGGAUAUCUCUAUGGACUUUGUCCUUGGACUACCACGAACAAAUAGAGAUAUGGAUUCGAUCUUUGUUGUUGUCGAUCGAUUUUCAAAAAGUGGCACAUUUUAUUCCAUGUCAAAAAACUAUGGAUGCUUCACGUAUUGCCAACUUAUUUUUCAAGGAAGUCUAUAAGUUGCAUGGUAUUCCAAAGACCAUUACUUCAGAUCGAGAUACAAAAUUUCUUAGUCAUUUUUGGCGACAACUGUGGAAGAACGUUUGCAAUAUAGUACUAUGUUUCAUCCCUAAACGGAUGGACAAACUGAGGUCGUCAAUCAAACAUUGGGAAAUCUAUUAAGGACUUUGAUAAAAUUAAAAAAAAAAAAAGUUAUCCCCGUCCUUGGGAGACGCGGUUGUCACUUGGAUAAUUUGCAUAUAAUUGUGCUGAGAACCAUAGCACUGGAUAUAGCCCAUUUAUGAUCGUAUAUGGUCAACAACCGAACACUGCUCUUGAUCCUGCACCAAUUCCUUUUGCUGAGAAGUCGAGCAGCAAGGUUGACGAUAUUGUUUCUCAAAUGAGGACAAUUCAUGAAGAUGUGUGCCAAAGACUAGAGAGCAAAACUGAAUCCUAUAAAACGAACAUUGACAAGCAGCGGCGUGAAGUUAUCUUUGAACCUGGAGAUUUUGUUUGGGCUUAUUUGCCACCGGAAUGGCAUCCCAUUGGAAGUUAUAACAAGCUUAGUGAUCGAAAGCUUAGACCUCUCAAAGUUCUUGAGCGCAUCAAUCUAAUGCGUAUUGAUUAAAUCUUCCUUCUCAUUUGAAGAUUCACGACGUCUUCAACAUUUGACAUUUAACACCUUAUGUGGGAGAUUCUUCUGAUGAUGAUGGCGAGAAUUCGAGGACAAAUUCUUUUAAAGAUGGGGAGGAUGAUGCAGCCUGCAUUGAAGACCAGCUCUCUCGACCAAGAAUAUCAGCCUGCAUUCAAGCUUGACGAAACCGAGAAGCCAUAUCAACAUCUUGAGUCCAUCCCGGACAUCCCGGAAGCUGGAAAGACACCUUGGGAGCCAUGAAGACGUUAUGCUUUUACUAUUUCCCCUAGUUUCAAUGUUCUGUCUUUAUUUCUCCUAAUUUCAAUGCUCUGUCUUUAUUUCUUUGAUGAUAUAAGCCAUCCAAUUUUUUGUAGAAGACAGACGACUUUUGAUGAAUGAAAACUUUGCUCUGAAGCAAGUAUCGUGAACCUUGUAGAGUUCAUACCCCCUUGAAAACCUAGAAGAGUUUUCACUUCAUCCUUGAAGAGUCGGAGCUUUCGAAAUCUGCAUCCUUGAAGAGUGGCAAUCAUCGAUCUAGAAGAAUCGGUGCCCCCUCAACUUCCUUGGAGGCCUAGAAGAGCAACCAAUGGGAGUUUUUAUCUUUUCCUGUUCUGUUAGUUAUUUCCAACCCAAAUUCGACCAUCCUACAGUGCUUAUUUCAGAAAACCCAAAACAGAGAAAUUGUAGAUCCAGAAGUCUUUGUUCAUUUGGCUUUGGAAUUAGGUCGAUCCGAUCUGUAUUGACAAAGAUACGACUGUUCUCCUGAGCUCGUGCAAUGCUGAAAUUUCUGUUCGUCCAAUUUUCCCAUGUGCGAGUCACUCUCCCGAUCCUACUGUUUGAGAAAGCCUACCCUUAGGGAUUGAGCUUUUGUAAUACAUAAUAUGCUCUAACAUAACAUCACAUGUUCAAUGUCCAUUCAUCAUAAAGGCAAAAUUGUCAGCCUACUCUGUCUUUACUUUUUGACAUGUGCUGGUCAUUCAUCAGUUAGGCUUGGACCCAUCCCAUGACAUGAGGACCAAGUCGGAGAUAGCUUGAGCAAGUAGCUGUCUUUAACGUGGGUGAUCAAACAGAGGUCAACGGGUGGGGAUGAGAGGUUUUGAUGGAAAUGAGAGAGAUUCAUUGCUCAAAAUGCAAACAUUGACAUGAAGAAAAAAUUACCUUGUUAUACCAAGACGAUUCACAUAAAAAAAAAAUUGAAUGAAUGCCAUACAACAUUCAUCAUCAUUUAUAAAAUAUGGACAUAACGAGUCUACCAAAAAACACUAGUGCCAUAUGAAAAACAUGUAAAAGCUUCACAGAUUACAUUUUGAAUGAUGAUAGAUGUUGAUAGUACUAUUUAUAAUUUUUGCAUCUCAUUAUAGGGAAACAAUCACACAAUACAUGAUUUCAUAAACUCAUGGUCAUGGUAAAGGGAACCGCUAGAAAUUGUUGGAGUCCUUAAUGAAGAUGAGACUGUUUCAAGUUCCAUCUCAACGUCAACAUCAUCAGCAAGUGCCUCUCUCGGAUACAAAAGUGGUUUUGGAGGCAGUUGUAGUUUAUCCAUAUCUCCUUCAAGCAUAUCUAGGACUUUCCUCAUCGAUGGCCGAUCAUUAGGACUCAAUUGUAUACACCACAGUGCAAUGUUUAUCAUCUUCCUCGUUGUUUCUCUUUCCUCUUCUAUGACAUCUACCCUUUCAAGUUCCUUUUCUUUGCCGAGUUGAUCAUAAACCCACAAAGGAAAGUAAAUUUGACUCGAACGCUCUGCAUGUGCAUUUAGAUUUCUCCUUCUACCAGCCAUUUCCAUUAAUAGCAUUCCAAAACUAUAAACAUCGACUUUGUAAGAAAUGCCACCAAUGUUUUUAUAGAAUAGCUCAGGAGCCAUAUAACCCAAGGUUCCCCUUGCUGCAGUCAACGAUACUAUAUUGCGAUCAGUGGGAUAAAGUCUUGCAAGUCCAAAGUCAGAAACUUUCGGAGUGAAACUUUGGUCUAGGAGAAUGUUGUGAGGCUUGAUGUCAAAAUGUAGAAUUUGCAUAUCACAUCCCCGAUGUAGAUACUCUAUCCCUCUAGCUAUGCCAAGAGAGAUCUCAUACAUUUUCUUAUAAUCAAGAGGAUCAUCACCAUCCUUAUAGGAAAUGUGUUUAUCCAAAGAUCCAUUCGGCAUGAAAUCAUAGACAAGAGCUUGUUUGGAGUAUUGGAAACAAAAACCAACAAGUUGCACCACAUUAACGUGGUGGAUCCUUCCAAUUGUGGCCACUUCACUUAUAAAAUCAUGGCCAUUAGAUUUUCCUUUCUUCAAAAUCUUAACCGCAACUUCAUUGCCACUUCUAAGUAUUCCUCUGUAUACGGAACCAUAUCCCCCCUCACCUAACUUGCAUUUGAAAUUUUUUGUGAUCCUCUUGAUAUCUGAGUAAGAGUACCUUAUGGGCAAAAAGCUAUUGUGAGCUCGUAGAAAUUCUUCGAUGUUUGCAUCGGUCGCUUGAUGCCUUCUCAUCCACUUCAAGAUUAGAAAUAUCAACACCCACGGAGCUCCGAGUAUGAAUUUUGCUGCUAGGAAGUGGACUGUGGAGAAAUUUGACCAUCAAUUAGCAUAGUGUGAUAAUGUUUUUUAACACAUACAAUUUUCGUUUGUCAAAGUGCUGAAUGAGAGCUUCAUAGGUGUGAAGAGAAAAGGACUUAUCAUACCCAAGACAAAGAAGAGAUUCCAUAUGGCAAUUGGACCAAAAUUGUUCAUGAUAUACCACGUAGAAUCAUCUGUAGAUAGUAAGAGAAUUCAUGAGAGAUUACUAGAUAUGGUUAAUUAGAAUAAACAACCAAUCAAUAAAGAACUAGAUCCAUUGUUUUAGCAGUUAAAUAAUAAAAGCAAUUCAUGUUAAGAUAUACCCCAAGUGAAGGAUAACUUCAUACAAUCACUGCAAAGUGCAAAGACACACUUUUGUUAAUUGAAAUUUGCAAGUAGAGAAGUCUAGAAUAAAAAAAAGAGUGAACGAGUUUCACUUUUCUAGAUAAUGCUUAGAUCCAACCUUAUUCUAUUCACUCAUGAAAUCCAUGUUAUCGUUGCAUGAUCUUUUCUUUUGAAGAAAAACAUUUUCGCUUUUAUUCUCCUAAAUGUACCAAUUGUUCAUAAGUUCCCCAUAACACUAACAUCAAUUCAAGGGACACAAGCUAUGACCAAAUCAAACAAUUUUUCCUAAAAAACCCUCAUUCUAGUCCAAUUUUGGCCCAAACUUUUUUUGUCUCAGAAGAAACCCCAAACUUUAGGUACAGUCCCAUAUUUGCCUCAAACUUUUCUUUUGUUUAAAAAAAUCACCAACUUUUAAUAUAUUCCAAAAUUUACCCCCAUGGUACGGUCCCAUUGACAUGACAUUUCCACAUCGAUAACAACGCCACAUCAGUAAGGUGACAUGGAAAAUUAUUUCCAAAAUGAAACCAUUCUAAGAUAUGAAAAUUAGGGACGACUAAUGGCAAUUUUCGGUCAAAGGGCUAAUGGGGUAGAUUUGCAAUUAGAGUAAAAAUUGGUGUUUUUUAUUUUAGACAAAAAAAAGUUAGAUAUAGAUUUAGGAUUUGGCCUAAAGUUUGAGGGUCUUUAUAGAUAAACAAAAGUUCGAGGCAAAUUUGGACUAGACCUAAACUUUAGGGUUUUUUUUAGACAAAAAAAGUUCGGAGCAAAAUUGGGACUAAACUUAAAGUUGUGGGUUUUUUUAGUGAAUAAGGCCCAAAAAAAUAAAAAUAAAGAAAGAGUGUCAAGUCCAAAAAAGCUCCACAGAUGUAAAAUAAAAGAGCAAUGCAUGCCAAAUCUACUAAAAAAUCUUACUGAGCUUUUUCACUAAAUGGAUGUGGCAAUUUUUUUAUUGGGUAUUAAAGAAAGUAAUGACUCAAUAAAUCGAACCAAUGUAUUACAAUAUCCAAUAGAAGCAUGCUACAUUACUCAGUAAGUAAAUUUUGAUAAGAUCCCUCAGUAGAGCUAACAUUUGAGAAAAGGAUGAGGAUGAAGAAGAGAAAGAAAGAAAGUAAGAGAGUAAAGGAAGAAAAGCUUCAGAGAAAGUCAGCUUAGAGGAGUAAUAUGGUUCACACCACACCUCUGGGUACAUAAUCAUGCAAAGCUGGAAAAUUACCGAAGAUAGCGUAGACGGUGAAGACGAUGCAGAUGGCGGAGAUGGCGAAGAUGAUGCACACGGCAAAGAUGGCGAAGACGAUGCAGACGGCGGAGACGGCGAAGACGGUGGAGGCGGUGGCGGCAGAGACGGCGGAGGCGGUGCAGAUGGCGAAGAGGGCGCAGACAGCGUAGAUGACAGAGAAGGCGAAGACGGCGGAGACAACAGAGAUGGCAGGAGACGACGGAGACAGCGAAGACCGCCAAGACAGCAAAGACAGCGAAGACGGCGAAGACAGCGGAGGCUGCGAAGACAACAAAAAAGAAGGUCCAAGAUAAUAGAGAUUGAAUCCUUCAACCAUCGUGUUGUGGAGGUCCUUAUACGUUGGUCUCCACAUCGGGUUAUAAUCCGAGAAGCAAGUCAUCACGGUUAUGCUGCAAGAAUCCUUGAUGUCCCCUACUUGUAGUACUUUUGUAAAAGACCAAUACACUGCGUAAGAGUACCACUUCAUUUGGGAAAUAUUAGGGGGCGUAUCGGAAGGGUAUGCUCCCUCAAUACAUGGUUCAGCAUUGAUAUACGAAGGAGAAGCAACGGGCUGUGAGCACUUCAUGAAGGCCACCGUCGCAGAAUAUGAAAGAUAACCAUGAUCACUCAAGCUGGAGCUCGCCAAUGAGAAACGAGGGAGGGAUGAGCAAUUACCUUUUUGCAAUCCAUCGUCAACCACUGUGAUAUUACCAGAGAAUUGAUCGUCGAAAUUAUUAUCAUAGUAAAUCGACUUCACAUAAUAUCGACCGGCAUACACAUAUAGAAUGGUGUGAUUAUUUUCACAAGCUAGCUCAUACUCAGAGCGGCCGCAGCCUUUCGGGUCACCUUUCAAUCGAAAAGGAUAGUGUAUGUCACGAACCUCACCACAAGAUGAAGCGGCACACGAGUGAUUCUUCUCCACACCAUAACUCGUCCUCAAUAGCAGUAGAACAUGCAAUAUGAAAAGUAAAACACGGAACAUGCUCAUGGAGCUCAAAGACUUAAUCGUCUCUCUAUCGUUUGAUCUGAUGCAAUGAAAGUUUUUGCUAAUUGGUAAUGCGAUGGAGGCCUAGUUAUAUGAAUGAAAAGUGUCAGGAGUUGUCGGUCAUACAAAUGUCCAAUUCAACCAAUAAAGGCAAGUCUACUGAAGAAAAGAGGACGUGGGUAUCACGUGGAAAUUGCAAUCCUUGCAGUCAAGGUGUCAAAACACGGUGUUGGAAUUAUUUAUGCUUAGCUUUCGCAUUGAUUAAAAAAGAAACUUCUCUAUAGUUUUCAAAUUGAAUCAAAAUCCUUUCGAAUGAGGCAUUGACGUUAUAUUUUCUUUUCAAGAUUAAUAUUCCAUAAGUGUUGCUUCGUUAAAUUAUGAAGAUGAAAAGGGAAAAGAUGUCGUAUUUCAUAAUCUAGGCUUUUUUUUUUUUUUUGACCCAAAAAAAACAGAAAUUGGUAACAAAAAUAGACUAUUAACAAGAAUAUGAAUUUUUAUAAUGUUGCUUUUGGCAAAAGUAAAGGGAAAAUAAAAAGUAAGUGCUUCUUGGAUGAUGUAACACUUUAUGAAAGAAAGAAAACAAUAUGAUAAUUUCUAGUAGUGGGCCAACACGUCUUGAUUAGAACCUCACUAACUUGGUCAUCACGCAAAGACUAUAGAUGCAAAUUUCCAAGUCAACCAUUAACACAAAGUCUAGCGAAGGAAGAGUGGGUCUUACGUAGAAAUUGCAGCCCUUGUAGUCAAGGCGACAAAAACACGGUGUUGGAAUUAUUUAUGGAGAAAAGAAACUUCUCUACAAUUUUCAAAUUUGACUUUUCUUGGCAAAUUGACUCUUUAGGAAUCAAUUUUAGUUCCAUCCAAAAAGAAUUGAUUGGAAUGUUAUGUACUCUAAAUUGAAUCAAAAUCCUUUCAAGUGAGGCAAUGGCGUUCAAUUUUAUUUUCAAGGCCAAUAUUCCGUGAGUGUCACUUCGAUAAAUUGUGAAGAUGAAAAAGGAAAAAAAAUGUCAUGUUUCACCGUAUAAGCUUUUUCAAUAAUGACAAAAAAAUAGAAUUAGUAACAAAAAUAGACUAUUAAAGGGAACAUUAACUUGUAUAAAAUAAUGUCACUGUUUACAAAAAUAAAAAAUAAAAUAGGAGUUAGUUCUUCUUGGAUGAUGUAACAAGUUAUGAAAGAAAGAAAGCAAUUUGAUAAUUUCUGGCGAUGGAAUCGAUGCGCAUUAACUAAAACCUAACCAACUUUGUCAUCGCACAAAGACUAUACAUGCAAUAUUCAAGUUCACCAAAAAAAAAAAAAGACGUUUACUUAUCCACUAUUAACUUCAGUAUUACAAUCUCUCUUCCGUAAUCAUGCUAGAUCUAUGAACAAUAUUGUCAUCUCUUUCCCAGAGUAGAACCACUUAAUAUUGAACUAUCGAUUACUUUUGCUCUAUCAAAUGAAAAAGAAUGUUUUUACCUAUUGUUGACACCUAAAUUCUUCCCUUUUUAUUUGGGACUUAAUUAUAUAGAAAAUUAAGGAUUAGUCUCUAAAAGAAAAAAAAAGUAAAUAUUUUUCAUUAAAUUGCAUCACUUAUAGACAUUAGGAACAUUUACAUUACUAGCACUAAAAAAUUAACAAAAAAUGAAAGCGCAGCCAGGAUUGGCUAAGCCUGUCCCCCCCUUCUUUUCCUUUUUCGUUUUCCCCCCGCGCGGCCCACCUCUCUUGUUCUACGGCCCAGCUCGCUGUUCUUCCUUCUUCCUCCUCCUUCCCUCGCUAGGACGCUAGCUAUAGGACAAAACAGAGAGAUGGUCGCUGGCCGAAGGACGUAAGGACGCGAGGCUGCGCGCGAUGGUCGCCCAGGAAUGUCGUGCGGUACAAAGCCAGCUGGUCUCGUCCUUGAAGAAAGAGAGAGAAACGAGAUAAAUGGGUGAGAAUUGGGUUUGUUCGGCCGAGGAAGAGCAACCAUGAGAGAGAGAGAGAGAGAGAGAGAGAGAGAGAGAGAGAGAGAGAGAGAGAGAGAGAGAGAGAGAGCUGGUGAGAGUGAGAAGGCGAGCUCGAGAGAGAGAGAAGGAGCGAGCCAGAUAAGAGAGGGAGCUCCAGGGUGGCUGCUUCUGGAAGGGUGCGGCUGAAAACCAAGGAGGGCCGGAGCGGCUCGAGAGAGGAGACCGAGAAAGUGGAUAGCGAGGGAGAGCGGGAGAGAGAGGCGACUGCGUUCUUGAGUUCUUCGCGGGAGGCUGGAGAAAACGAGAGCAAUAGAGAGAGUAAGAUCGGAGAGAGUGAGCAAAGGGUGAAGUUGAGAGAGAACCAAGAGUGAGCAGAGGGAUGGACUGAGAGAAAGCGAGACCCAGAAGCCGAACUUCGUCCUCGGCAAGCGUUACCCAACCAUCCCUAACAUAAAUGGGCGAUCUUCAGCCAACACCCUCGAGCCCGUGGCUACCUAUUCCUCACCACCCGAAUUCCCAGUGAGUUCUCUUUAGGUUCGAUCCACUUUUAUCCCGAUGAUCCUAGCUUGGUGCCACAUCGACGCGGCCGACCAUAGCUCGUUUUGCUUUAGGCUCACCUUCUUGCUGUCGUCGCCAAGCCGGGGAGGGAUAUUCCCGGUCGAACACUUCUCUCUGGGAACUCCGUUGCUUGGUUUUUUUAAAACGGAACCAAAACGAUAGCUGGGUUGUUAGACGUAAAAAUUCAUAUGCGGAAGCCAGGAUCAAUUGAAGACAACCCUCCAGUCAUUGUUCUUGUUCGCGUUCGUCAGAAAAACCUGAAAUCAAAGAAAAUUGGGGACACUCUACUACCCCAAUUCACUCUCGUACUGAUGGUGUAUUCUGAAUGAGAGAGUUUGAGUUAGACCUUGUCAUCACCCGUCAGAAAUGAACGUACGUUCCUUUUUAUAUCCCGUCUCCUCUUAAAACGGUUACCAAAUGGGCGGUUGUCACGAAAGGGUACAAAGCGUGGAAAAACUUUAUGUCGAACAGUCGCAACUUUAAAAGAAAAUGUGGAUCUAAAAUAUGGGAUCACAAAAAAUAAAUAACAUUCUUCCACUUGAUCCCAUCAUUUUCAUCAUAUGGAUUAUUCAACUAAUUCCACAAAAACUUUAUGCUAAAAAAAAAAGAAACAAAUACAUGGAUCAUGGCGACAUGUCCUCUAAGAGUGAGUAAUAUCUUCCAUGUAUCACAAUGCACCUUAUUUCUUCAAUGUCAACCUAUAUGUGACAACAAAUCUUAAUGAAUAAACCCCAUGUUUAUUCUAGAACCAAGGAUAAAUGUUAUUCUCAUAAACAACAAAAUGUGUACACAAAAAUUGAGAAUCAACAUUACAACUGAAUAAGAGUUUCAUACAACAAAUAUCGUUCAUAUGACGACAAAUUACAUGAUGGGACUUAUUCCCAUACUAGUUACAUGAUCCUUAUACUUCAUUGGUGGCAUGCCUUUAGUUAAAGGAUCGGCUAUCAUCAAUUCAGUGCUAAUGUGUUCAAUGACCACUUUAUUCUCCUUAACACGUUCCAUUAUGACUAAAUACUUAAUGUCGAUAUGCUUACUUUGACUGCCACUUUUGGCAUUUUUAGCCAUAAAGACCGUAGCUAAAUUGUCACAAUAUAUUCUUAAUGGCCUAGAAAUAAAAUCAACAAUUCUAAGCCCAGCAAUGAAACUCUUCAACCAUACACCAUGCGAGGUAGCCUCAAAACAAGAAACGUACUCAGCCUCCAUAGUGGAAGUAGCAGUCAAAGUCUGCUUGGCACUUAUCCAUGACACGGCUUCGCCAGCUAACAUGAAAAUGUAUCCAGAUGUUGAUUUUCGUGAAUCAACGCAACCCGCGAAGUCCGCAUCCGAAUAACCGACCACUUCCAGGUUGUCAGUCCAUCUAUACAUAAGCAUAUAGUCUUUGGUACCUUGAAGGUAUUUCAACACUUUCUUUGUAGCUCUCCAGUGGUCUAAACCUGAAUUACUCUGAUAUCUUCCCAACAUUCCCACAACAAAAGCGAUGUCAAGUCGAGUGCAAACCUGAGCAUACAUCAAGCUUUCAACAGCAGUAGCAUAUUGAAUGUUGUACAUUUGUUCCCUUUUUAGAUCAUUCUUCGGGCAUUGGUUCAAAUUGAACCUGUCAUCCUUCACAAUGGGUGCUAUACUUUGUGAACAAUCUUUCAUCCGAAAUCUCUCUUGGACCUUAUUGAUAUAGGUUUCUUGAGAUAGUCCUAAAAUUCCUCGAGGUCUAUCUCUAUGAAUCUUAAUGCCAAUGACAUAAGAUGCCUCACCCAUAUCCUUCAUGUCAAAACUCUUAAAGAUGAAUUAUUUCACCUCAUGUAACAACCUCUUAUAAUUAGUUGCAAGUAGUAUAUCAUUCACAUACAGCACAAGGAAACAAAUUUUGCUCCCACUGACCUUCUGGUAUAUACAUUGAUCCAUGACAUUCUCUAUAAAACCAAAUGAAGAGAUGACAUCAUGAAACCUUAAGUACCAUUGGCGGGAUGCUUGUUUCAAGCCAUAUAUAGAUUUCUUAAACUUGCACACCAAAUGCUCACCUUUACUAGAGGAAAAUCCUUCAGGUUGUUUCAUGUAAACCUCCUCCUCUAGUUCUCCAUUGAGGAACACCGUUUUCACAUCCAUCUGAUGUAAUUCCAUAUCAAAAUGGGCAACCAAAACCAAAAUAAUAUGAAGAGAAUCUUUCUUAGAUACAGGAGAAAAAGUCUCCGUGUAAUCGAUUCCUUCCUUUUGAGUGAAUCCUUUGGCAACAAGUCUAGCUUUAUAUCUUUCAAUGUUAUCCAAUGAAUCCUUCUUAGUUUUGAAGACCCAUUUACAACCAAUGGCCGUCACACCAUUAGGUAACUAAACCAAAUCCCAGACUUUAUUAGAUGCCAUAGAAUUCAUAUCUUCAUUCAUGGUAUUGUACCACAAAUUAGAUUUAUCACUAUCAAUGGCUUGUGAAAACAUUUCGGGAUCAUUCUCAGCUCUAAUAUUGUAGUCAGACUCUUGUAAAUACACAAUAUAAUCACUAGGAAUAGCCGAUUUCAUUAUUCUAGCAGAUCUUCUCAAUGUUGGAUCAACAUUCUCUUGAGGAGCAUGUUGCUCAACUGGUUGUUCAACAGUUUCUGGUAAUUGCUGAACAACUGGAUCUACUUAAUCAAUAUCAGCAGGUUGUGGAACUUCAACAAUUGGUUGUUCAAUAGCCGGCUGAACUGAAAGGACAUUAUGAGCAACAACCAACCUUAAACUUGAGGUGGAAGGUUGAGUGUCUGAAUGAUCUUUCUUAGGAACAAGAUCCCUCGGUCAAUCGCUCCCACUAAUCAAGUCAUUUUCAAGAAAUUUAGCAUUUCUUGAUUCCAGAAUCCUAGUGGUAUGAGAUGGACAAUAAAACUUGUAUCCCUUAGACCUUUCGGCAUAUCCAAUGAAAUACCCACUUAUGGUCCUUGGGUCCAACUUCUUUUCUUGUGGAUUAUAAAUUCUCACUUUAGACGGGCAUCCCCAAACGCACACAUGAUGUAAACUCGAUUUCCAACCCUUAAAUAACUCAAAAUGUGUCUUUGGGAUAGCCUUGGUCAGAACUCGGUUUAAUAUGUACACUGCCAUCUUAAGUGCUUCAGUCCAUAAGAAUUUAGGAAGUUUGGAGCUACUAAGCAUACUACGCACCAUGUCUAAUAAUGUCCGAUUUCUUCUUUCCGCUACGCCAUUUUGGUCUGGAGAACCAGGCAUAGUAUAUUGGGCAACUAUCCCAUGCUCUUGAAGAAAUCUUGCAAAUGGACCAAGUGCUUGUCCAUCUUCAGUGUAUCUACCAUAGAAUUCUCCACCUCUAUCUGAUCUCAUGAUCUUAAUUUGCUUAUUGCAUUGUUUCUCUACUUCCACCUUAAAUACCUUAAAGGCAUCUAGUGUUUCAUAUUUAUUAUAAAUCAAGUAGAGAUACAUAUAACGUGAAUAAUCAUCUAUUAAGGAUAUGAAGUAUUUAUGACCACAUGAGUCCAUAUCCGAACUACAAAUAUCCGUGUGUAUGAUUUCUAAUAUUUCUGUACUUCUCUUGGCAUCUUUCUUUGUUUUGUUAGUCUGCUUUCCCUUUAUGCAGUCCACAUAAGUAUCACAAUCAGUAAAAUCUAAAGUACUGAGUACUCCAUCAUUUAUUAAUCACUUAAUUCUUUCAAUGGAGAUAUGUCCCAAUCUCUGGUGCCACAACAUAGAGGAAUGUUCUUUCACAACACAUCGUUUCAUACCAGCUUUAUCAUGAACAUGCAUCGCAUCAUAAUAGGCAUUGUCUUGUAAAUUAAUUCGAAAAAGACCAUCAGACAAAGUAUCACUCCCGCCAAUUUCAGAUUUAAAUGAUAAACAAAAGUUUGAAUCUGAAAAGUUAAAAGAGUAUCCCAAAGGUACAAGUCUUGAAACUGAAAUUAAGUUUCUAGAAAAACUAGGAACAUAAAAGGUCUUUUCCAAAUCUAAAACAAAACCACUAUUGAGAACUAGUCUAUAUGUCCCAAUAGCUUCCACAUGCGAACACAUCUUGUUUCCUGAAUAGAUGCUUUGUUCACUUCCCACUGGCUUCCUGUGGUUUUGAAAACCCUGCAAGGAAUUCGAAAUAUGGAUUGUAGAUCCAGAAUCAAUCCACCAAGUGUUGUGACUUACAUCAAUCAUAUUAGAUUCAUAACAAACACAAGAUAUUGGAUUACCUUUCUUCUCGGGCCAGGCCUUAAAUUUGACACAAUCCUUCCUUAUAUGCCCUUUCUGUUUACAGAAGAAACACUUGGAUUCUUUCUUAAUGUUAGCUUGGGGAGGUAUAUUACAUUUUCCCUUAUACUUGCCAUAGCCCUUAUUCUUUUCUUGUGUUGCCAAAUGAGCACUUACUCCCAAUUCCAUAAUCAAUCUUUCUUCCUCUUGAACACACAUGGUCAUGAGUUCAUUAAUUGACCAUUUAUUCUUAUGUGUGUUAUAAGAGAUCUUGAAAGGUGCAUACUGUUGUGGGAGUGUUCAAAAUAUAAUAUACAAGGAAUAAUUCAGAUAUCUCAACCUCAAGGUUCUUAAGCUAAGCUGCAAUGUUCUUCAUUUGCAUGAUGUGCUCACGCAUACCUCUAACACUAGUGAGCUUCAAUGAUGAAAACUUCAUAAUCAAGGUCAUGGCAUGCGCCUUCUCAGAACUUUCAAACUACGCAUCUAUGGCCUCCAAUAAAGCCUUAGCAUUGCUAUGCUGAGCAAUUGAACCACGAAUACUAUGAGAUAUCUUAGCUCUUAUAAACAUGGCACAAACGCGGUUAGACCGCUCCUAUUGGUUAUAAAGAGCUAUCUCAGCUGGAGUGCUCGAAUCAGUAAAAGCAGGUGGUUCGUCUUUCCUUAUAGCAUAAUCAAUGUCCAUCCACCCCAAUUGAAGAAGAACCGACUCCUUCCAAACUUUAUAGCUCUCACUAUUCAGUAUAGGAACAUCAAACUUAAAUUCAGAGAAAUUCACAGGUUGCGAAACUGCAUAUCAAAUAAUCAUGCUUAUGUCACAAAAUUUGAGGCAAAUAUAAAUAAAUCACGUUUUACCAAUGUAAACAUGUCACAAUAUGAAUCACAUAACAUAAAAACUACUUGUGGGCUAAGUUUUUAAUUUAGAUUCAUAAUUACUUCAUGAAGAAAUUACCAUAUUAUAUGCCUUUUCUUAAUCCCUAUGGGUAAAUUAAGAAAAAUAAUAUGAUAUUUCAUCCUAAUUAAUCAUAUUAAUAUAAUGAAAAUUCUUGUGGGAUAAAAUUCAUCAUAUUAAUAUAACUAAUUACAAUCAAUGUCCUUUUUUAAAUAUGAUUUGGAGGCUUUUAAUAUAGAAUUUAAUUAAUUAAAGAUGCUGUGGCCACUCCCUAAUUAAUUAAAUAUAUGGACCAUUGGACAUUUAAUUUCAUGCACAAAAUAUUCAUAAAAUACAUGAAAUGACAAAAUAGUAAAUAAAAACAUUGAAGGGCAGAAUAGUAAAUAAAUCGGCCAAGGGCACGAUUGCAAAAACUUAAAAUGAAUGGGGCAAAAAGGUAAAAGCAGCCGUGGGUGGGAGACAACAGGCGUGCCGAGCACGUGCACGUCCAGCCCUCAGGCGCGUGCCGAGCAGCGCCAGAAUCUGCGCAGGCGCGUGCUCGCACGCACGCGGUUCAACGCGCAGGCGCUUGCGUUGCACGCGCCUGGCAACUACCGCGCGCAUGGAUCCCACACACGCAAUGGUUGAGCGUGCGCAUGAGGGCGUGUGGCGCAUGGAUUCCACGCGCCUGCAACCGCAGCGCGCGAGUGGGCUCCAUGCACCUUCUUCCUUGUGCGAACAUAAGCUUUUCUUCUCCGUUUUUUGCUGUUCCGCCGCGGUUUCGCCGGCCGUUUCUUCUCCGACAGCCCAUCUCAGACACAAAUUAAUAGUGGGUUUUGAAGAGCAUGCCAACACGACCACAUGGGUUCAAGUUUCGACAAAAAUGAUGAAGAAAUAAGCCCCAAAUCAUACGAAAAUUUCCCAAAAAACACAAAUCCUCAACCACCGCGACUUCCGCCGCUCAAUUAGCCUCCAGCGAACACCGAUAUGCCGAAAUAACUCAUGACUAAUAUUCCUCAUGGCGGUGCGACCGUACGGGUCCGAAUUCGAGGGGUGGAUCGCGCGGAUUUGCCGGGAAUCAACGAAUCUUUCUUGGCCUCAAAACUUCAAGUUACUGUUCAUCCUCCAAAAAAUGGCCAAAAAUACACUGAAAACACACAAAAUACAACAAAACAAGGCAGAGGCUCUUAACAUGCUCUGAUACCAAAUGUUAGAUGUAAAAAUUCAUAUGCGGAAGCCAGGAUCAAUCGAAGACAAACCUCCAACCAUUAUUCUUGUUUGCGUUCGUCAGAAAAACCUGAAAUCAAAGAAAAUUGGGACACUCUACUACCCCAAUUCACUCUCGUACUGAUGGUGUAUUUUGAAUGAGAGAGUUUGAGUUAGACCUUGUCAUCACCCGUCAGAAAUGAAUGUACGUUCCUUUUUAUAUCCCGUCUCUCAUCAAAACGGUUACCAAAUGGGCGAUUGUCACGAAAAGGUAUGAAGCGUGGAAAAAUUUUAUGUCGAGCAGUCGCAACUUUAAAAGAAAAUGUGGGUCUAAAAUAUGGGAUCACAAAAAAUAAAUAACAUGGGUCUCGUUUCCCUGGUCCUCGAGCAUGCUUGGUUUGAACGAGCAGUCCCUUUUGUCGAGUUUGAGUGUCACUUGCUAUUCUCUUUUGAGUCUGGACACAAGCUAGAGUCUAGAAUGGGUUUACGACCUCUCCAUAAUCUGUGCUCAUCGCAUGCCUGAUAUAAUGCCUCAGUUAGUGUUAUUCUAAAAAUGAGACGAGAUUUUGUUUGUCUUCGUGAAAGCAUACCAUGGAUCUGUCUGACAUAUUUUCAUUGACUUGAGAUGUCGUAAGAAGAGCUCGACACCAAAGUAGAGGUUCAUCAGUUUGCCAUGUCACUUUUAGUCAAACGCCUAAGACUUGCUCAAUGAAAUGUUUCUAAGAGAAUUGUUUAAGAAAUGGCUUCUAUUUUUGCUCAAAUGCGAAGGUACCACUUGAUGCAGUUCGUCCGGGGUCAUUAGUUUUUAAGCUCGAUUUUCACGAGCAAUGAAGUCACUGCAUCUCUGCAUUUCGUUCGAGACAUGCUGUGUAUUUUUCAUUGAACUUGAUGAGUGGCGGCGGCGGCCUGCGUGAUGGUAGACGUUGGCAGCGAAUUUGGUUUUGCGGUGGUGAGCCAAGAUGGCUUGGUGAUGGCUGGCGACGUUGGGUGUUGUCGUCGAUCCGUUUAAAGUUCUGCCAUGGGUCCGUCCGGCGAAAUUCCAGGGUGGAGUUCAUCGGUGUGGGAGGCUUCGGUAAAGGACGUAACAGUGGAGUUGGCACGAAGAAGAAGAAGACUUUGAAAGGCUGAGAGAGAAUAAAAGAAAAUCACGAAAAUAGGCCUGGUGCAGACGUUCGUGGAAAGAGGAUGGGAAGAUGGGCUUGAGGUUUUGUUUCAGUAGAUUUAGGUUUGGUUUAAGUUGGGCGGACUUGGGCUGGGCUUAAUUUGUGAAUUUUUGGGCUGAGCUUAAAUUUUCAUGAAGUGGAUCUUUGAGAGUCCAUUACUAAAAUGGAGGUCCGUUUUAAUAGAGCCCAAUUCAUGUUCCCGGUCCAAGCCAGCAAAGCCCAUAGCAACCCAUGUUCUCACUGGACCUUGGGGCCUAGCCCGAGUCCCCAUUUUCGGAAUUAAUUUUGUAAAAAAAUUUAAGAGAAAACUUAUUUUUUUUCUAAAAAUUAGGAAAAAGCUUAAGAGUUAGUUUUUUAGUAAAUACUCUCAAAAUUUGUUAAGGUCCUUGAUAAGAAAAUCGUGCUCAAGAAUUGAAUAAAUCCUUACAGCUUUACCAUAAGAUUCUAAUUGUCCUUAAAAAUAAAGGCCCUUGAUUACGCACUUUCAAUGUUGAUUACGGACUCCCUUUAGCUUAGUUAGAGAUUGCAUGCUCCUUAUUUGGUAAUAUUAGAUCUUUGUGUUCCUAUGCAAUUUAUUUAAUGCUUUCCUUGAUUGUUGAUUGUUAUUUUAAUGAUUGCACACCCACAUGAUUAUCUCAUAUGUUAGUGGAUAGGUUUAAAAUCAAUCCAAGCUGCCUGACAAUUUUUUUUUUUUUUUGUGAAAUGAAAUAGAUUAGAUACCAAAAUGGCAUUUGAUGAAUUAGUGUAAUUAAGUUCCCAACCCUAAAUUCUCUAGUUACGUAGGAAGUAAAGCAUACUCAUAUGUUUUACUUGAUUUUUAGUCAACCCAGUAGGCUAGUAGCAACUCCUCAUUGAAAAAUUCUCAUAGCAUCAAUUUGAAUAACCAAUGUGAUGCGAUGUAUGAGUUUAGGAGAGCUCACAUCUAAAACUAGGGUCGUAGGCCUAUCUUUUAGACAAUACCCCUAAACCUAAUUUCUUUACUAUCGAAGGGUAGGUCAUGACACCUACUUCAUAAUCAUCUUUCAUCUCUGAAUGUGUGGAAUUAGAGAUGUCAUGCAUUUUUAAAUGAGACGAUCAACCGAUUUACCACUAUGAACAUAACAGUGGAAAGUUUAGAAAAUAUAUUCAUAGAAAUUCUUUUCAGCGAUACAAACGCGCUUUCGAAUAAUUGUAAUUAGCACUUACCAUAUUUUUUUUCUCAAGCUAAUGGGUACCAUUAUAUAUAAUUGAAGAGAUUGAAAUGGAUUUUCCAUGUAAUACAACCAAGUUCAUUUUAAUUGACGCAUCCAAUGACGUUUUAACUGCACAUGUUUAAUUUUUUUUAUAGUAAUAUUAUUACUGAUUACAUUUUUCAUAUUCCCCUUUCUAAAAAUUGGUUUGUUGUGUGAGCAUCUCCACACGCGAUGAUACCUUGCUUUCUAUGUCGUCAUUAAAUAUUUAGCAAUGAUUAGUCAAAUUUUUAAGCGGAAAAUCUCUUGGUCAAAGUAUCCUAAAUUAUCUCUUGCACGUAUUCCAAAACAUUUGGACAUACAUUAUGCAAAUUGAUGUAUCAACUAUAGGUCCAUUCAGCGCCAUAUACUACUAUAAAAAAAAUGAUAAUGCAUUUUGCAGUGUAACGUUUUUCAAUUUUGACAAAAAUAAAAUUGGAUAAUGAAAAGAUAAAUAACAGCACCUGAAGACUAUUAUCAUACGUCCUGACCUCCAAAAAAAUAUGGAAGUGUAUGGUGCUAAUUAACGGCAGCAUAAAUUUUAUAGAAUUUGAGGUUGCCUUUCAUGAAAAGAAAAAGAAAAAUAAGGAGUAGGUGCUUCUUGCUGCUUGGGCAAUGCAACACAUUACGGGAAAAGAAAGAGGGCCACAUGAUGAUUUCUCAGUCAGAUAUAGACCGACACAAUUGAAAUAUUAUUCUCACGGACCAAUCAAUCACUCUCCAGUACAAUAAUCUCAUCUCUUUCCCGCAGUAAGAUUGCUCGAUGAAAGAACUGAAAAAUCUUGACAAUAACGUCAUUUUAUUGAACAAAAGAUGCUGUUGCCUGCUUCAAAAUCAUCUUCCAUCUCCGAAUGUGUGGUAUUGGAAGUGUCAUAUAAGCUCAACUGAGACUACAAGGAAAAGCAAUGAGUGAAUAACUUGGAGUGCCACCAUUUUCAUUCUCUGUUGAUGGCUGCUUGAAUGUGCUCAAGACUCCUCCCUUUCGUUUUAGGAACACCAUCCCCGCGGUGUUAAUCGCUGCAUAAAGAAGGAAGGUACCUGUGAAGCAAAGCCAGCAGAGUUAUUGUCUUUUGACAAGUUUUUCGGAUGCAUAUCAACAUUUUUCUCAUGGGAAGAAUGCUCUAUUAUAUACUACCUGUCUAUUAAUCAUUUUGCAGAAAAACGCACUUUUCUUUUCUAAAUGACACUUCAAACAAAUUUCGUGAUAUUCGAAUGUAGGUAGAAGUUGCUGUAAACAUGUUGAUUGCAAUAAAUGGACUGAAUAUGCAUUCGAGAGCGUGAAGAAUGGAGUGAUAACCUAUACCUCCAAAUAGGAUUGAAGAGUUCAGGAAAAGCUAAGUCUCGAGUCUGAAGUUUGGUUGAAUCCGUGCAAAAACUCACGUUCCAAUGUGACAAAAUGUUUAUCGAGCUCAAUUUGGUUAACUCAUAAAUUUCAUGGUAAAAUUUGAUGAAAACUAACGAAGGGUAAAUGUGUUAUGUGUGUACCAGUUUGCAUUUUUGGUGAUUCAAAAACUAAUUUUCAGUAAAUUUGUCACAUAUGUACUAGUUUGUGAUUUUUCAUUGUAUUAACCCUAUGGAUUUCCAUGUAAACUUGCCAUGUUAACUGUCUAUAUCAUUCAACUCAAUAAUUUAAUGAUAAAAUUUCACGGAAUCUAAUGGAGGGUAAAUGUGUCACGUGUGUAUAUGACCCAAAAUUUAGUUAGGGAUAAAUUUGUCACGGUGUAUAAGUUUGGGGUUUUUUCAUGAUAUUAACUCCAUAACCCACCCCGUGGUGAGCAAGUUGGUUAGGGCACACACUGGCCACACGAAAGGCCAGGGUUCGAUUCCCCAACUAGUCAUGUUGCGCAACUUAAGUGGGGUGCCGUGGGUGGUGGGUCCCCGUCCUAGUGCUCCCCCGAGUUUACGUUGCUGGCUGCCAGCUGUACGGCGGUUCCUAGGUUGCCAAAAAAAAACUCCAUAUUAAAAAGAAGAAUUCGUUUUCCCAAACUCCUUUUCCAUGUGCACACUCACACAUAAUGGAGGACCAUUCUCAUGUGGAAUUUCAUGACCACUAAAGAGAUUAGGUUUGUUAAUUUUUUGCAUUUUCUACUUUUUUAGAAUUUUUUUUUGCUUUAUUUUGAUAAUAAUAAAAAUUAAAAUUUAUACUUCUCCGUUUGCAAUCUCUGAAAGAAGUGGAGAUCACGCGUUCCUUAUCAACAUUGGUGUCUCGAGGGAUGUUUGCUUAGUAGAAAAACUCUUGUGCAAGGAACAACAGUGAGGAAUGUAAUGCUUCUUCUAAAUAAUGUAAGGUACCAUCUCAUGUCAUAUCAUCGAGUGAACGCACAAGUUCUUACUGCAUUUAGGUAUUGAGCUUUUGUAAUACAUCAUAUGCUCUAACAUAACAUCACGUGUUCAAUUUCCAUUCAUCGUAAAGGCAAAAUUGUCAGCCUACUCUGUCUUUACUCUUUGACAAGUGCUGAUCACUCAUCGGUUAGGCUUGGACCCAUCCGUGACAUGAGGUCCAAGUCGGAGAUAGCUUGAGCAGGUAGCUAUCUUCAACGUAGGUGAUCAAAUAGAGGUCAAAGGGUGGGGAUGAGAGGUUUUGAUGGAAAUGAGAGAUUUGUUGCUCAAAAUGCAAACAUUGACACGAAUAAAAAAUUACCUUAUUAUACCAAGAGGAUUCACAUGAAACAAAAAUUGAAUGGAUGGCAUACAACAUUCAUCGUCAUUUAUAAAAUAUGGACAUAACUCGACCAAUAAAAAAACUAGUGCCAUAAGAAAAAUAUGUAAAAGUUUUACAAAUUACAUUUUAAAUGAUGAUACAUGUUGAUAGUACUAUUUAUAAUUUUUGCAUCUCAUUAUAAGGUAACAAUCACAAAAACAUCAUUUCGUAAACUCAUGGUUAUACUAAAAUUGGUAACCACUAGAAACUAUUGGAGUACUUGACGAAGAUGAAACUGUUUCAAGUUCUAUCUCAGCAUCAGCAUCAUCAACCGGUGCCUCCAUUGGAUACAAAAGUGUUUUUGGAGGCAGUUGCAGUCUAUCCAUAUCUCCUUCAAGCAUAUCUAGGACUUUCCUCAUCGACGGCCGAUCAUUAGGGCUCAAUUGUAUACACCACAAUGCAACGAUUAUCAUCUUCCUUGUUGUUUCUCUUUCCUCUUCUAUGACAUCUACCCUUUCAAGUUCCUUUUCUUUACCGAGUUGAUCAUAAACCCACAAAGGAAAGUAAAUUUGACUCGAACGCUCUGAUGUGCAUUUAGAUUUCUCCUUCUACUAGCCAUUUCCAUUAAUAACAUCCCAAAACUAUAAACAUCGGUUUUGUAAGAAAUGUCACCAAUGUCUUUAUAGAAUAGCUCAGGAGCCAUAUAACCCAAGGUUCCUCUUGCUGCAGUCAGCGAUAAUAUAUUGCAAUCGGUGGGAUAAAGUCUUGCAAGUCCAAAGUCAGAAACUUUCGGAGUGAAACUUUGGUCUAGGAGAAUGUUGUGAGGCUUGAUGUCAAAAUGUAGAAUUUGCAUAUCACAUCCCCCAUGUAGAUACUCUAUCCCUCUAGCUAUGCCAAGAGAGAUCUCAUACAUUUUCUUAGAAUGAUGAGGAUCAUCACCAUCCUUAUAGGAAAUGUGUUUAUCCAAAGAUCCAUUCGGCAUGAAAUCAUAGACAAGAGCUUGUUUGGAGUAAUCAAAGCAAAAACCAACAAGUUGCACCACAUUAAUGUGGUGGAUCCUUCCAAUUGUGGCCACUUCGCUUAUAAAAUCCUGGCCAUUAGAUUUUGAUUUGUUCAAAAUCUUAACUGCGACUUCAUUGCCACUUCUAAGUAUUCCUCUAUAUACAGAACUAUAUCCCCCUUCACCUAACUUGCAUUUGAAAUUUUUUGUGAUCUUCUUUAUAUCCGAGUAAGAGUACCUUAUGGGCAAAAAGUUGUUGUGAGCUAGUAGGAAUUCUUUGAUAUUUGCAUCGGCCGCCUAAUGCCUUCUCAUCCACUUCAAGAUUAGAAGUAUCAACACACACGGAGCUCCAAAUAUGAAUUUUGCUGCUAGGAAGUGGACUACAGAGAAAUUUGGCCAUUGAUUAGCAUAGUGUCAAAAAAGAAAAAAUUUACACAUACAAUUUUUGUUUGUCAAAGUGCUGAAUGAGAGCUUCAUAGGUGUGAAGAGAAAAAGGACUUAUCAUACCCAAGAAAAAGAAGAGAUUCACUACUGCAACAGGCACAAGACAGAGCGCAAAAAGGCGCAUGCCAUCACCUGUAGAUAGUAAGAGAAUUCGUGAGAAAUUACUAAAAAUGGUUAAUUAGAAUUAAAGACCAAUCAGUGAAGAAGCAAUUCAUGCUAAGAUAUACCCCUAGUGAAAGAUAAAUUCAUGCAAUCACUGCAAAGUGCAAAGCCACACUUUUGUUCAUUGAAAUUUGCAAGUGGAGAACUCUAGAAUAAAAAAAGAGUGAACGAGUCUUUUCUAGAUAGCGCCCAGAUUUGACGUUAUCCUAUUCACUCAUGAAAUCCAUGUUAAUGUUGCAUGAUCUUUUCUUUUGAAGAAACACGCUUUUGCUUUUGUUCUCUUAAAUGUACCAAAUGUUCACAAGUUCCCCGUAACAUUAACAGCAAUUGAAGGGACAUGAGAUAUUAUUAAAUCGAACAAUUUUCCCCAAAAAAAGACCUAAUUCCCUGAAAAACCCUUUAAUUCUAGUCCAAUUUCAGCUUGAACUUUUUUGUCUCAGAAAAAACCCUAAACUUUAGGUACAAUCCCAAAUUUACCUCAAAUUUUGUUUUGUUUUAAAAAAUCAGUAACUUUUAAUAUAUUCCCAAACUUACCCCCACGGUCGGGUCCCAACUUGAUGUGGCAUUUCCACAUCAAUAACAAAUCCACUUCAGUAAGGUGACAUGGAAAAUUACUUUCAAAUGAAGCUAUUCUAAGAUAUGAAAUUUUUGAACAGAGGGCUAAUGGGUAGAUUGGGAUUAGAGUAAAAAUUGGUGUUUUUUCUUUUAGACAAAAUAAGUUUGAGGUAGAUUUGGGAUUAGGCCUAAAGAUUGAGGUUUUUUCUGGACAAAGAAAAGAUUGAGGCAAAUUUGGACUGGACCUAAGUUUAGGUUUUUCUGAUAAAAAAAAGUUCGAAACAUAAUCGGGACUAAAUUUAAAGUUGGGUUUUUUUUAGUGAAUAACGCCCAAAAAAAAAAAAUACAGAAAUAGUGUCACUUCCAGAAAAGCUCCAUAGUUGUAAAAUAAAGGAGCAAUGCACGCCCAAUCUACUAAAAAAAUUUCUAAACUUUUUCACUGAACGAAUGUGGCAAUUUUUUAAAUUGGGUAUUAAAGAAAAGUGAUGACUCAAUAAAUUGAACCAAACGUAUUGCAAUAUCCAAUUGAAACAUGUCACAUCACCAAGUAAAUUUUGAAAAGAUCCUUCAGUAGAGUUAACAUUUAAGAAAAGGAUGAAGAUAAAGAUGAAGAAGAAGAAACAAAGUAAGAGAGUAAAGAAGGAAAAGCUUUAGGGAAAGUCAGCUUACAGGAGUCAUAUGGGUUGCACCGCGCCAUUCGGUAUCUGAAACCUAUCGCGCAAAUCUGGAAUAUUUCCAACGAAUAAGAUUCAGAAUAUAAGAGAUUGAAUCCUUCAGCCAUCAUGUUGUGGAGGUCCGUAUACGGUGGGCUCACACGUUUAUACCGAUCCACUUCCUGGCUUGAUAAGAGAGUGAUCAUGGUUAUGUUGCAAGAAUCCUUGAUGUCCCGUAUUAGUAGAUCAGACCCAUACAAAGCGUAUGAGUAUGCCUUCAUUUGGGAAAAAUUAGGGGGUGUAUCAGAAAGGGAUGCUUCCUCAAUACAUGGUUCAGUAUUGAUAUACAAAGCAGAAGCAACGGGCUGUGAGCACUUCAUGAAGACCACCGGAUCAGCCGAGGGAAAAAGACCACCACAGUAUGGAUCAUGAGCACUAAAGUUGGACCUCGCCAGUGAUUGACGAGGGAGGGAUGAGCAAUUACCUUUCUGCAAUCCAUCGUCAACCACCGUGAUUAUACCGAAAAAUGAAUCAGCUAAAUUAGAAUAGUUAAUUGACUUCACAUAAUAUUGACCGGCAUAUAGAUAUAGAAAAGUACGAUUAUUUUCACAAACUAGCUCAUACUCAUAGCAGCCACAGUAUUUUGGGUCGCUUUUCAAUCGAAAGGGAUAGUGUAUAUCAUGGAUCUCACCGCAAGAUGAAGUAGUGCACAAGUGAUUCUUCUUCGCACCGCAACUCAUCCUCAGUAACAGUAGGACAUGCAAUAUGAAAAGCAAAACACAGAACAUGCUUGUGGAGCUCAAAGACUUAAUGGUCUCUCUAUCGUUUGAUCUGAUGCAAUGGAAGUUUUUGCUAAUUGGCAAUGUGAAGGAGGCCCAGUUAUAUGAAUGAAAAGAGUCGGGAGUCAUCGGUGAUGCAAAUUUCCAAGUCAACCAAUAAAACAAAGUCUAGCGAAGAUUGCGGCCCUUGCAUUUAUGGUGACAAAACACAAAGUUGGAAUUAGUUAUGCAUAGCUUUCACAUUGAUUAAAAAAGAAAGUUCUCUGCAGUUUUCAUACUGACUUUUCUUAGUACUAUUAAAAGAGAAUCGAUUUUAAACCAGAGAGAGAGAGAGAGAGAGAGAGAGAGAGAGAGAGAGAGAGAGAGAGAGAGAGAGAGAAUCGAUUUGUAUGUCAUGUACUCUAGAAUGAACAAAAUCCAUUUGAGUGAGGCUUUGGCAUUCUAGUUUCUUUUCAAGGCUAAUAUCCCAUAAGUGUUGUUGCGACCAAAAUUUCGGGUGAACCACCUAGGUUUGGCUAAUGGAUUGUCAAGCCUAGAUUUUGCUCAGACUCUCCCAAACCCAUUAUCAAUUCAUGACUUAGGUUCAAGUUUCUUAACAUGUAAAAGAUUUUUUAAUCAAGAGUCGCCACUAAUCUAUUUUCGGUGGGUCGAUUAGAAACUCAAGUAAAGUAACAUGAGAUUUACUUUACUCAUACAAACUAAAGAUUUAUAAAUUUUGGGACUUGUUUAUGCUAGAUUUCUCUAACGCCCUUUUGGUAGCUUUCUCUUUUGUUUUGAAAAAAAUGUUUUGAUUUUAACCUACUCCCCUAAACAUGUGAGAUGAUUAUACGGGUGUACAAACCACCAAUUUAACACCCAGAUAAAGUAGUGAAUAAAUUAUCCAGAUAAAGCAGUGAAUAAAUUGCAAGACUUUAUCUCAUGGCAACGAAAACAUCUGCAAUGUUAGAUCAGAAUUCACAUCAACAAUCCUAGAUAUGAUUUCUAAUAAACACGCAAUUACAUUUUUUUUUGUUUUAUUUUCACUGAAGAUCAUGCUUUAUGUAAUGCAUGCCACUAAUCUAACAUGAAAUGAUAUCACAAGAUGACCUAAUUCUAAUGACGAACAAUUCCUAAUUAAAUUGACCUAGCAAUAAACACUAAAUGACGUACAUUUCAUGAACCUAAAUGACACGCGCAUGAUUUUUUGUAUUUUUUUUAUAAAAAUUCAUAAUUAAAAUUGCUAAAAAAUGUUUUAAAAGAAUCUAACUAAAGUGAGAUAUUAUCUAUUUUAAGUUAGGAAAUAGACCAAUAUGAAUCAUAUCUUAACUUAGAAAAAUUUUUACGACAUGCAAUUUAAUUCAAAGAUAUUAUCUAACCUAGAUACCAUCUAAGCUUGCAUUCUAAUAUAAUCAAAAAGGAAUCUAACUAUUAUAUCAUGCAACUAUAUCUAGAAAAUCAAUUCUAAUCUACAUGAUAUGCAAAUGCAAUUUUUUUUUUGUAUUUUUGGGAUAAAUAAAGCGAUUAAAAGAUAAGCAAAUCAUUCACGAUCAUCAAAGAUAUUAUCCAUCGUUCGAAUUUGGAAACGAUAUCUAAUCAAACUUAAUUAUUUUGCUAAUAAAAUCGAUAAAUUGAUCUUAAGCCUUAAAGAUCAAAAUAUCAAUUUCAUUCCCGUUUGAUUAAUUAUUCCAACUAUAAGGCUUUAGAUGGAAUAAAAAUUUGGCAUGCAAUUGCGAAUUAGGCAAUAAACCAUAAUUGAGGGGAUAUGCUUAUCGCUGAAAUAUAUAUUAGGUAAUAAAAUAUCCAAAUCAAAUUUAUAUAAGAUAAUUACCUAAUUUCGCAAGUAAUAUUGCCAAACUUGAACUAAAUGGGAUCGACUCAAGGAUAAUGGUUGGUGGGUGAGAUUCGGCGCAAUGGUGCUCCUCGGUAAAGGAUGAUCGUGGGCUCACGGUCAACGAACCUGCAAAAAUAGGAACUUCGUGGAUCGGCGAUUGUGGGCAAUUGGCAACGACAGGCUCGUGGCCGCUUGAAUCAGGAACGUUGUAUGGGAUGACUUGUAGGCGAGGCAGAACAGGUGGCCUUUGAUGAUGAGUGAACGCGUCGAAUUGCGGGUUGAUCCUUUUUGCCCACACGACUGAAUUUGGAGUUCAAACUUCGCCACGUUGGCUCUGACAUCUUUUGCAAGUCAAAGUGCAUGGAUCUUCUUCAUGCAGCAAGCGGAAUUGCCUUCUUUGACUGGAUAAUAUUCAACGUGAAUACUUCGGCAAAAGAACCUCUCCUNNNNNNNNNNNNNNNNNNNNNNNNNNNNNNNNNNNNNNNNNNNNNNNNNNNNNNNNNNNNNNNNNNNNNNNNNNNNNNNNNNNNNNNNNNNNNNNNNNNNNNNNNNNNNNNNNNNNNNNNNNNNNNNNNNNNNNNNNNNNNNNNNNNNNNGGAGCAGCGACGUCCAUGGGCGGUGGGAUUGCAACAUCGUCAAGGGUCAGCAUCGAGCAAGCAGGGGCAAAUCAGAACAACUUGUCCUUCGGAAGCUGCAGCUCGUCACGAGGCUACUGGUGGUGUCAAUGGGCUUGGCGAACCUGGCUUUUCAUAUGGGACUCCUCAAUCGGCAAUAGGAGGCGUUGCGAUUCCUGGUGCUGUGAAGAAUCGGCAAGUGGGUCAACUUCGCGAGUAUGUGGGGCCCUCUUCCAACCGUGGACUAAGUGUGGCCUUUUUAGCCUCUUUAUUCACUCUCACCUUCACGAGCACUCUGUACAGAAGCUUCCCCUCACGAUUUUUCCCUCAAUUCAGUGUAUGGCCAUGUCUUCAAUUGUGUGUGGCCCCCUCGCUAUCGUGUUUUCUCCCUCCAAAAAAAAAAAAAAAACCGAGAAAAGCCCCUUCUACCAAGUGAUGAAAAGAGAAGCCCCUUUUUUGUCUGUAUGCGGGCCAAUUUAUAAGCGAGGGACUGAAGCUUUUAUCAACAUACCCAAAGAUCUCAUCCUGCCGAUUUUAUCACAUAUUGCUAAAGAUUCAAGAUUGAAAUAUGAUUUUUCUCAAAUUUCAAAUCUUGCAAAGAUGAGCUCAUGAUAUCUCCUCAAGGAUAUUGAAAAAUCCACUGUCAUAUCACCGAAAGUAUCAAAUCUCAAUUUCUCACAAAAUAAUUUUCGGUCAUAAAAUAAAAAGGGGCUCGGGCUAAUUUGCUCUUUUCGUGGGCUUAGUCCUACUCGUCAAAUUAAAGCUCAAAACUACCAAUUCAAACCCAUUUGUCACCAGUCCGAUACAAAUAAAAAAAAUAUCCUAAAACUAUAUACUAUGCAAUUUAAUUAUAAUAUUUUUUUAGGGAUAAAAUUAAUCCCUAUUUUUUAUAUAAUAAAUAAAUGACUGGGUCGUUAAAAUUUAGGUUUUAACAAGUGUCCCUUCGUUAAACUGUGAAGAUGAAAAGGAAAAAGAUGUCAUAUUUCAUCAUCUAAGCUUUUUAUUUUUGACAAAAAAACAGAAAUUGGUAACAAAAAUAGACUAUGAACAAGAAUAUUAACUUGUAUAAUGUCGCUUUUGGCAAAAGUAAAAGGAAAAUAAGAAAUAAGUGCUUCUUGGAUGGUGUAACACAUUAUGAAAGAAAGAAAGCAAUAUGAUAAUUUGUAGUGGCGUACCGACAUGCCUUGACUAGAACCUCACUGGCUUCGUCAUCUCGCAAACAGUAUAGAUGCAGAUUUCCAAGUCAACCAUCAACACAAAGUCUAGUGAAGAAAAAGUGGGUCUCCCGUGGAAAUUGCAGCCCUUGAAGUCAAGGUGACAAGACACGGUGUUGGAAUUAUUUAUGCAUAACUUUCACGUUGAUUAAAAAAUAAACUUCUUUGCAGUUCCAGAUUGACUUUUCUUAGUCCCAUAAAAAAAGAAUCGAUUCAUUCAGCACCAUAUUUUACUAUAAAAAAUGAUAAGCGCCAUAUUUUACUAUAAAAAAUGAUAAUGUAUUUCACAGUUAAGAUUUUUCAUUUUUGACAAAAAUGAAGUUUGUAACUGAAAAGAUUAAUAAUAGCACUGAAGACUAUCGUUGCACAUUAUGAGAAAAGAAUAUAGGCCAUACAAUAAUUUCUCAACCAACAAUAGAUGGAUGCGAGCCUUGAUUUGAAAGUCACUUGCUUUGUCAUUGCCCGACGCACAUGAAGACUAUAGGUGUAAUGUUCGAAUUCACAAAAAUAAAGCAAUACACGCUUUUUCACUAGCAAUUGAAAUAUUAUUCUCAUAGAUCAAUCGAUCACUCUCCUAUAAAAUAACCCUAUCUCUUUCCUGCAAUAAAACCACUCCAUGAAUGAACUGAUAAAUCUCAACAAUAACGUCGUUUUAUGAAGGAUGUUGUUGCCUGCUUCAUAAUCAUUUUCCAUCUUCGAAUGUCUGGUAUUGCGAGUGUCAUGUAAGCUCAAAUGGGACUACAUGGAAGAGUGCAGGCAUUUUUCAUUCUUUGUUGAUAGCUGCUUGAAUCUGCUCAAGACUCCUCCCUUUCGUUUCAGGGACCACCGUGAUCAUGAACACCAUCCCUGCGGCGUUAAUCACUGCAUAAAGAAGGAAGGUACCUGUGAAGCAAGCCGGCAGAGUUGCUUUUGACAAGUUUUGCGGAAGCAUAUUCUUACAUUUUUCUCAUGGGAAGAAUGCUUUGAUAUAUACUACCUGUCUAUUAAUCAUUCUGCAGAAAGACCCAAUUCACUUAUUUUCUUUUCUAAAUCACACGUGGACUCAAUUUUCGUGAUAUUCGAAUCUAGUUUCUUUUCUAAACACAUUGAUUGAAAUAAAUGGACUGAAUAUGCAUUCGAGACCGUGCAGAACAGAGUGGCAGACACCUCCAGCUCCAAAUAGGAUUGAAGUUUUCAGGAAAAGCUAAGUCUCAAGUCUAUAGUUUGAUUGAAUUCUCGCAACAACUCAUGUUCCAAUGUGACAAAUGUUUAUCGAGCUCCUGCCAGAGCAACAGUUCAAAGAGCGUUUUCAGCAGAGUCGUACCAUAGGAGCUCCAGCUCAUUAAGUAGUUGAAAGUGUAGGAAACUGCCCAAGCGCCGCACCAGUUUACUAGUGUUGCAAACCCUCCAGCUACUCCUUUGAUAUUGAUGGGGAAAAUCUGAACACCAGCACCACAUUACAUGAUUGGAAAAUUUUUUAAACACUCGUAACAACACCAGUUACGGAAACGGCCCUUUAAUUUGAUAAGCAUGAAACUUCGGGGGAUGUUUAGGAUUACCUCGGACAUCACGACCCAAGGAACCGCGCCCAUUCCAGCGGAAAAUGCUGCUAUGUAUAGCUGAGCAUUGGAAAAAACAGAACAGAAAAAUUAAUAGUGGAGAGUUGUUGUGGCGGCCAACCAGAUAGAGCCAGAAAGAGAUCAAGGAAGGUGAGAUUAUUACCAGAAUGCCGGUGACGGCAAGUAUCGGGACAGCAUCAGCUGCCAGAUCAUGAACCUGGCUCAGAAGAUUCUCAAAAAGUUACUGGUUGACAAGCAUUGCAAAGCAGAAGGAAGAUACUAGGACGGAUAGUAUUUACCUUUAGAAAGAAUGAAAGGGCAGUUACUAUGCAUCCUAGGACCAAUCCUGUCCCUGAGAUCUGCGAUUGAGAGAGAGAGAGAGAGAGAGAGAGAGAGAGAAGGUUACUGUUCAAGUUGCAGAACUCGCGAAAGGUUAUGAUUUCUUAGCGACUUUCAUCUAUUUUACCAAGAGAAGGGGCUUUCUUCCAGCUCGAUCGACCAGCGCAGCGCCAAUAGCCGUGACAAUGACCUGCAAAAAUUUACUCUUUAAGCGUGACGAGUGUAAAACUAGAUCCCCAGCAAAGAGGAAAGGGCGAGAAUUACAGACCUGGAGGAUUGCAUAGGUUAUGGUUCCAACGCUAGAGGAGAAACCUGAGGAGAGUGUACAAAUGCGAUUAUAAAGGCGAGACUAAUACCUUGCUUGUGAGAUUCAACCCUAAAUUAUGUGUACAGCUCAUUCAGUGACAAUUAAGUAGACCAAAAGCAUUCGACAUUGCGAAUUUUACUAACCCAUUUGAAUAUUAACUGGAUUAUAUAAAUUGGAACCCCUGCUUUGCUCUUUAUUUAGUUAUCCGUUCUGGAAUCAUAAAAUGCAAUGCAUAGUUUCAUUUCUGUGGUGCCCAAGAGCUUCUUGCUAUGACCUUCAUACCUGCUUCCUCGANNNNNNNNNNNNNNNNNNNNNNNNNNNNNNNNNNNNNNNNNNNNNNNNNNNNNNNNNNNNNNNNNNNNNNNNNNNNNNNNNNNNNNNNNNNNNNNNNNNNNNNNNNNNNNNNNNNNNNNNNNNNNNNNNNNNNAGUACAACUACUUAAAGUCUCCCGAUCCACAGGGCAUUCUAAGAAAGCAAGGAAGGAGGGAAUUUAUUGGAUACAUAGCAAUAAAUACAGAAAGAAGAUUACGAUGACGGAGCUCAGAUAUCUUCUCUGAAAUAAAUCAAGCACGGUGGCUUUUGGGAGCCGUUGGAGAGUUUCGAUAUACUCCUGUCAAGAAAAACAAAUUCAAUCAUUCCAUCAGCUGUUCGUACUUAUAAAGUUGAGCUUUAAGAUGAAACAGGUAUAGACUUAAAGCCUUUUACUUGUAUUUCAGCAGCCUCUUCAGAAAUAUCUGCAUCCUUUCCACGGAGUUUCUGCAGCACAGCUUCAAACUACUUUUCGUGGCCCAUUUUCGCCUGCAUUUGGCAGAAUCCUAAAAUUCAUUCCAACACUACAAAUCCCUCUCUUCCAACAAUUCAGAUAAGAAGAGUCUGGUGUUCAUCUUGAUUUGUUACCAGCCAUCUAGGAGACUCUGGAAUGAAAAACAGGCCAAACAGUAGGACUGCACAGGGGACUAGACCUGCAUAAACCGCAGACGUUCAAGGUGGUUUCAGACUUGGACUUUUCGAUGCAAGAUUGGCACUAAACUUGAAUUAUGCUACUUUUUUCUGUUUUACCAAUUAAUGCCAAAACCCUCCAAGCUAAUACUGUCCCGAUUAUGAAGGAAACGGACACUCCAGCAACGAUCAUAAGCUGUGGAGAGAAGAGAACAUGUUAGGCCUAGUAGGUUCUGUAGGAUGUACAUAUAUACACCAUCUUGCACUUGCAAAAGGGAAAAAUUUGCUACAAGCACGCGCUUGGCAGGUGCCGGCUGACGUCUGCGUGACGUUAGCCCGUGCACGCGCGCGGCACGUGCCGUCAAUUCGCUCGAGCCGGCCCCUCCGGCCCAACCGGUUUGACCGGUCCGACCAGUCUGUCCGGUCCGACCGGUACGACGACCAACGACCGUUGACCGUUGACGACCGUUGACCGUUGACCAAAAAAAAAAAAGAGGAAUGUGUUUCUUUUUUCAAUUAAGUCUAUGUGGAUUAUAAUGUGAUCCCUUAUUUGUUCUGCAUUUGUUGCAGGAACAAUGCCUCCCCUGAGGUUGCACACACCUAUUCGCACAAUUACCGAUGAACAAAAGGAUAUGGUGUCUAAGUUGAUAGCUGAACUGACUGAUCAUCGAUGGGAGAGAGGUGACUUAAUUGAUCAUGUCCUUGAAGUCAACGGGAAAAUUCAACAGGUCAUAUGGAAUGGUCGUCCUAUGUCACAGUCAGAGAUGGUGCGAUUUUUCAUAAACACUCUUCCACCUGAAUGGCAAGAUGUGUUGAAUCGCAUAUGGGAUGUCAAUGGAGCUGCUUCCUAUAAGAAAAUUGUGAUGGACUUUGUAAAUGAAUAUUACUGUAUUGUUACAAGGGAAAAGAUCAAGAAAUUGAACAAAAGAGGAUCUUUCCCAGUUCGUGUGCUGACUUGGUGUUAGUUGUAUUGACUGAUAUAUGUUAAGUGUGAUUUGUGGACAUAUUAUGUAAUGAUUACUACCUAAUUGUGUUAAUUUAAAGCAUUAUUGUUUUUUUAAUUGUAUGUCAAUUAUCUGUUGCUUUCUGUUAUUGCUGGUUGCUGUGGGUAAUUAGCUGUGGGUAGUUUUAGAAGUUUUUGUAGCUUCAUAGAAUUGAUUUUGCAUAUGACAAUCAUAUUAAUGAUAGUUUUAAGUUAGGAUUUUGGAGGAUGAUUGGAAACAUAGUGACCUUUUGAUUCUAAAGCCUUACUUGAAAUUAUUCAUUGAUAUGAUGGGUCUAUGUAAAUAGGGAUACAUAAAUGAUAGGCAUUAAUAAUUCGUGCAUAUUUGUCUGAUUUGUUCAGAUCAAUGGCUUCGGCCACAAAGAGCAUAGUUGCCGAGCUGAACAAAGGUGAAAAGCUCAAUGGAGACAACUAUGAAAUUUGGCAAAUGAAAAUCCAGUAUGUGCUGGAAGAACAAGAAGCACUUGAGGCUCUUAUCCUGACCAUGGUAGAACCUGAAGAGGGAACCACUGCAUAGCACAAAAGAGACAAAGAAGCUUUUUCUGCGUGGAAAAGAAAGAACUCUCUAGCUUGCAUCACGUUGCUGAGCAGCAUGGAAAAUGACGUCAUGCGAGAGUUUCGGCGUUUUGACAAUGCCAAGGAAAUGUGGGAGGCAUUGGCAGCUAGAUUUGGUCAUACUUCGGUGACUAGACUGAGGCAGCUCACUAUCAGGUUUGACUCUUAUAAGAAGCCUCAUGGUCAGACCAUGAAGCAACAUCUUAGAAAGAUGUCAAACAUGAUAACUGAGCUGAAAGAUGCUGGCCAUGUCCUCACAGAUGAGCAGCAAGUGCAAGCAGUGAUUCGUUCCUUGCCUCAGAGUUGGGAGCAUAUGAAGGUGCACCUGACUCAUAAUGAAAAUAUCAAAACCUUUGAGGAUGCAAUGCGUCAUCUUGAGCUAGAAGAGGACUGCCUCUUGGCGGCUAAGCCGGAUGCUGAACUUUAUCAUGCUAGUUCUAGCUCACAUGGAGUUUCGAGCUCCAAACGCAAGCGUCCUAACUAGUUUGAUAAAGGGAAAGGCAAGGAAGAAGCAGGUCCUUCAGGGAAGAAACCCAAGUUUAACCAACAUGAUAGAGGAAAGCGUCCUCGCAUGAAGAAGCUUACAAGGGUGAAAUGCUACAAUUGUGACAAGAAGGGUCACUAUGCUCGCGACUGUCGUGAGCCAAAGAAGGUAUGCACCCCUUGUACUUUUCAGAACUUUGCUUUUGUGUCGAGUUCUGUGUUCUUAACUGAGUCUAAUCCUUUGUGGACUGUGGAUUUAGGAGCGACGGACCAUGUAGCGAAGGAUAGAUGAUCCUUCGUGGAAUUCCGACGAGUACCAACUGGAACUAAGUGGAUCUAUGUGGGAAAUAACUCCAGAGCUGAAGUGAAAGGAAUUGGCACAUGCCAAUUGAAUAUGCGUGGUGGACGCACUUUGUUCCUUCAUGAUGUGUUGUAUGCUCCGGAGAUUUGUCAGAAUUUAAUGUCUGUAUUAGUGUUGGUUAAAUUAGGUUUUAAUAUGAACUUCUAUAGUAGAGGUGUGAAUUUGUUUUUGGAUACAAAUUACUAUGCUUGUGGUUAUUUUCUGGAUGGUUUCAUUGUAUUAGAUGUUGAGUAUGUUAAUGCAAAUGUUUGUUAUUCCCUUAUCACGUCUCCUAAUUCAUAUGAUAAUGAUGUGAAUGUGUGGCAUGCUAGACUUGGUCACAUUGGCCAACAGCGUAUGAAUAGACUAGCCAAAGAGGGCUUGUUGGGCAAUAUUGAAAAAGUCGAUUUGUCCAUAUGUAAGCAUUGCAUAGAAGGGAAAACGACAAGGAAACCAUUUGGAAAAGGAAAAAGAGCUGAAUUUCCUCUGCAUUUAAUCCAUUCUGAUGUCUGUGGUCCAAUGAAUGUGAAAGGAAGGCAUGGGGCUGUUUAUUUUAUCACCUUUAUAGACGAUUAUACUCGAUUCGGAUAUGUCUAUUUGAUUUCUCAUAAAUCUGAAGAAAUAAGUUGUUUCAAAAGGUUUAUGAACCUAGUAGAGAAUCAAUUGGACAAGAAAAUAAAAGCAUUGAGAUCCGAUCGAGAUCGAGAAUAUUUAUCUAAUGAGUUCAGAAAAUUAUGUGAUGAAAAAGGAAUAGAAAGACAGUUGUCUAUUCCGUAUACUCCUCAACAAAAUGGUGUUGCGGAAAGAAGAAACAGAACCCUACUGGAAAUGGUUAGGUCCAUGAUGGCGCAUGCUAACUUACCCAUCACCUUUUGGAGUGAUGCAUUGUUAACCACUGCCUAUAUACUUAACCGGGUGCCUUCCAAAUCAGUUACUUCCACUCCAUAUGAGUUAUGGAUAGGUAGAAAACCAGACUUAAGUUUUCUUAAGCCAUGGGGUUGUGCUGCCUAUACCCAUGAGUCUUCUCACAAGUUUGGGAAAUUGGGUCCCAGAGGAAAGAAGAUUAUUUUCAUAAGAUACUCGGAACACUCGAAAGGAUAUGUGUUCAUUGGUGAGCAGGAAAGUGGGAGUAUAACUGAAUUUGAAUCACGAGAUGUCACAUUCUUAGAGGAUGAGUUUCCUAAGAAGGGCGGAAUAGGGGAAGAUCACUCCCUAUUUGAGACCUUGGAUCAAGAUAAUGAUAUUAGUGGAGUUCAUCCAAGUGGGAGCAUAAUAGGGAAUAAUGUGCAAAGUGUACAAUCUCCUAUACGGCGAACAAGUCGCCAAAGUAUUCCCCGUCGACAUUUUGACAUUGAAGGGGAAACUUUUAUGGUUGCUCCACAAGAUGAGGAUGAGCCAAGAAAUAUCAAUGAGGCUUUGAAUUGCCCUAGUAAGAAAAAAUGGAUUCAUGCAAUGGAAGAUGAAAUGGAGUCAAUGAAAUCAAAUCAAGUCUGGGAACUGGUUGAUCUUCCAAAAGGACGCAGAGCUAUUGGGAACAAGUGGGUCCUCAAAAUAAAGCGAAAGGCUGAUGGCUCGAUAGAAAGGCAUAAGGCUCGCCUUGUGGCAAAGGGGUAUAAUCAACAGGAAUGAAUUGAUUAUGAAGAUACGUUUUCUCCUGUAGUAAGAUUUACCUCGAUUCGCAUUAUUCUGGCAAUAGUGACUAGUCUGGAUCUUGAGUUACAUUAGAUGGAUGUAAAGACUACUUUCCUCAAUGGAGAAUUAUAGGAAAAAAUAUAUAUGGAACAACCUGCUGGUUUCAUAGUGAAAGGCCAAGAAGAAAAAGUAUGUCGACUUUUGAGGUCGAUAUAUGGUCUUAAGUAGUCAUCAAGACAAUGGUAUAUACGUUUCAUAAUGCCAUAAUGGCAUAUGAUUUUAAAAUGAUUGAUGAGAAUCAUUGUGUAUAUAUCAAAAGAUCCAAGGAUCAAUUUGUGAUCAUAUCAUUGUAUGUUGAUGAUAUACUGAUUGCCGGAAGCAAUAUGGAGUUGGUUAAUACUGUCAAGAGUUGGUUGUCUUCCAACUUUGAGAUGAAGGAUAUGGGUGAGGCUGUAUACAUUCUUGGAGUUAAGAUUUCAAGAGAUCGUUCGAAGAGAUCGUUGUCUCUUUCGCAAGAAACCUAUAUAAAUAAGGUUCUUAAACGAUUUCGUAUGCAAGACUGUAAACCCAUAGACACUCUUAUUGCAAAAGGUGAAGGAUUGAGCCACAGAUUGUGUCCAGGGACUCCACAAGAGAAGGAACAAAUGAAACAUGUUCCUUAUGCUAGUGCUGUUGGGAGCUUGAUGUACGCUAUGAUGUGUACAAGACUCAACAUAUGUUUUGCAGUUGGAAUGGUGAGUAGAUACCAAUCCAAUCCAGGUCCAGCACAUUAGAAGGCCGUCAAGAGAAUACUGAGGUAUUUGAAGGGAACUGCUGAUUUCAAGUUGAAUUACCAAGGAAAGGAUCUGCGACUUGAAGGCUAUUCAGAUGCUGAUUGGGGAGGAGAUUUAGAUGAAAGGAAAUCUACCUCUGGAUUUGCUUUCUUACUGAACAAUGGCGCCAUAUCAUGGAGCAGUAAGAAGCAAACGUGUAUAGCCUUGUCCACGAUGGAAGCUGAGUUCGUGGCAUUAUCAGCAGCAGUACAAGAAGGAGUUUGGCUUAAGAGAUUUUUGGAUCAUUUAGGUGUUAAUGAGAAAGCUGCAAAUCCAUUGUUGGUUAACUGUGAUAGCCAAGCAGCUAUAGCGUACACCAAAGAUCCAAAGUAUUAUGGCAAGACCAAACAUAUAGAUACCAAGUAUAACUUUGUGAAAGAUAUGAUUGCACGAAAGGAUGUGAACUUACAGUACAUAUCUACGCAUAGAAUGGUAGCAGAUCCUAUGACAAAGCCAAUACCUAGAGAUGUGUUUUGUGGUCAUGUAAAAUCUCUAGGAUUGCGUAGAAUCUGAUGUACUGGAUUGUAAUUUCCCUGAGUUGUUCACAUUUAUGAAAUUUUGUUUUUUUAUUGAUUAAUGCCUAUGAAUCUAUGUAUGAUCUUUAUGCAUCUUAAUGCUCAGUGCAUUAUUUUAAGUUGAGAAGUAUGUCGGACAGAUAUAAGAUUAGCCCACUCACACGGGUAAUCGCCUCCGUUUACUAUGUGAUAAAUAGAGAUGAGACUGUUUUUAAGCUUAUUAUCUAGGUGAUAAUCGAGAGCUCAAGCUUAAAAUACGUAUGUCACCUUAAUUGAGUGUUAAGAUGAUGACAUAAUACUAAAGAUGUCCGAAAGUAAAAUAGCCUACAUAUUUUACUUUAUCUGUCUAUGAUGCUAGAUGUGAGUUCUGAUGAAUUUUGUGAUUGAGUAGAUACUUGAACUCAAGUUAGACAUUAGGUAUGUCUGAACUAUCAUCUGUAUGGUAUUGACAGGUGUAGACAUACGCUCCAUGGGAAAUGAGUUAAUACCGUAAUACGUAUUUCAUACUACGUAUGCAUGAGACGACCAAUAAGAGUGGCAAAAAGUUUGAUCUCAACUUUUAUGACGUGUGAGACUCUUGAGGAAAAGAGUUCCUCAAUUUUUAGUCCCCUCAGGACUCUUACUUAUUCUCAAGAUUUCUAUUUAGUGUUUACUAUCUUAGGGUGUUGCCAAUGGUCAUGAGAUGAUUCGAUCUAAUGGGGCAUUUCUAGAAAAGCAAGCUGGACUGAAAUUGAGAGUUUAAAGGAAAGAGGAAGAUCGUUUUUGGAUAAUCACAUUGUGGUUUUGUAUUCACUGGUCGACCAAUUAUGACUGUCAUUGUGAUAAUUAUAAUUGUGAAUACAAUAUAUAUAUAUAUAUAUAUAUAUAUAUAUAUAUCAUGUUUAAAAGAGAUCAAGAGAGAUAUAAAAUGUGAUCGAUCGAUCUAGGGUACUGCAUACUAAAUCUACUCGAAGUAUGACACCCAUUAUGAGCUGCUAUAUAUUCCUAACAGAUGUAUAGAAACGAGCUCUCAAAGUAUGCUGGUCGCACGGAUUAUUCACCAGUAUGAAUGUUGAAGAGAGGUAAAGAGAAUCCUGUUCAGCCCACCAUGUGCGAGUGGGAGAUGAUGGUUUUAAUUGGUGAUGGGCUUAAGGCCCGUCCGCCCAUGCUGGGCUCAAAAGGCCCGGCCCAUGGGAAUAGGGCCCGUGGAAAGGGAGAUGUAUAAAAGGGAGGAGAGAGAGAGAAAUAAAGAAAAAGUUGGAAAUAACGUACGUACGCUUUCUCUUAUGUGCUCUCUCUCUCUCUCCAAAAAGAAAAGGAAACAGUAACGCACAAGGCGAAUUUUCUCCUUUCUUCCAAGUGAAUUGUCGUCGUCGGAUUGAACAGGGCCAGUUUCUCUUCCUCUAUUGGCGUUGGUGUUUGAUCUGUGGCUAACAAGGUACGCUCGAAUCCGUGGUGUGCUUUACGAUCGGUGAUAUGUGUUAUUCCCAGGCUUCGUCUUCCGCAUUGAUUUAGGAGUUCGAUUUGGUGUCGAAUCCGGUUUUUGGGGAUCCGUUAUUCCCUACACCUUCUUUAUACAAGAAUUCUGGUGAUGACAGAAUAUCUCUUUCAGAUGUGGGGGUGCCCAGGCAGGAAUGUUUCCUGGACAGAAUGACUUUAGUUUGGCCAAGUUCUUGGGUUUCGAGUUAUUUCAGUCAGGCUUUUGGGGUCUAGAAUUGGGUUUAAGGGGGAAAAGUGCUGGUGAUAUCUGCUUGUUCCCUUCAAUACAAUGUCUUCCGUUGAUUGCAAAAAGUACCAACUCACAUUUUUUGCAAAGAUUACACCAAAGAACCUUGCCCUCUGUUUGUAUCAGCAGAAGAAGUGUUUGGGGAUAUUUCUAAUUCAAACGGGGAAAGCAAGCCACCUGCAGAUUCUCUGGCAAUUCCUUGUGAAGCAGAGAGCAUGAGAAACAAUGUCUUCAUCAGCCUCUGGUUUUUCUCAAGCAUCAAAUAAUGUGCCCAGAGCUGGAGGCUCUGGGGGUGGCAGUGCUAGAAAAUAUUCCUUGGGAUAUAUGUGGGGAAGUACCAACGAAAGCCACAAAUGGAACAAGAAAAGGAUUAUCACCAUGACAAGGGAGAGAUUUGAAACGCAGAAGACAAUCUCCAUGGUCUAUAUAAAGUUUUGGAUGGAGAACAUGUUUAAUCUCUUUGGCCUCGAAAUAAACAUGGUGGCCUUGCUCCUUGCCUCCUUUGCUUUGUUAAAUGCCAUUUCAAUGCUAUAUAUUGCACUUCUCGCUGCUUGCAUACUUCUAAAUUGCAAUGUCAUUCAGAAAUUAUGGCCAGCAGCACACUAUCUGCCAAUUCACAAAAAGCAAGGCUGAGUCUGUAUUUCCUUUCGAAUUUCAUGAUUCUCCUGCCAGUUUGAAUGCUGAAAGUCUUCAUGUGAUGAAUUCAGCUGACCACUCAUUUGAGUUUUCCCAUUGUGAGAUCACUAAGGCUGAGAAGGAUGGUGGAGGUUCUUUAUAUGAUUCAGAUAAGAAAGAGAGAGCCAGAGGUCAAGCUGAGGUUAACUCUGUAGUUUCUGCUCUGCAGCUUUUAGGAGAUGGCGGUUAGUUCUCUUGUAACCUUCCCGAAAAUCAAGCCAGAAGACAUGGAUGCCAGGGGCAUACUCAAGCAGUCUCCCCUGCACCCGAUCAACGGCCAGGAUCACCUGACGAAGCAGCAGAAGUUCGCGAGAUCGAAGCUCCGGGUCUCCAUCAACCUGCCGGACAACGAAAUCUCCCUCCUCCGCAGCCGGCGGAACCUGAGCUUCAGCGGAUCGUCCGCCGCCGCCGAACCUCGGACUUCUCCUUCUCCAUCUCCCCACUCGUCGUCCUCGGCCUCGGCGCCGAUCGGUCGAAUCUUCAAAGGGAAGGCUCCGGCGACGGCGAGGGGGAGCCUCGAGAACGGCGGUAGUGGCGGCGACCCCCACGGCGGCCGGCAGGCGUACAGGAGCACGAGGACGGUGGUAGAGGUGCUGCGGGAGCUGGACGCGGCCAUAGUGGCGCUGCAGGACGUGAAGGCGGAGGAGGAGAGGGAGAUGAGGUCGCUGUCGGAGCUGGCGGCGGCGCUGGGGAUGAGCUACGCGUUCGCUGAGAGCUGGGCGCCGGAGUACGGCAACGCCGUCCUCUCCCGGUGGCCGAUCAAGCACUGGAAGGUCCAGAAGAUAUUCGACGACACCGAUUUCAGGUCCGUCAUUUCGUUUUAUUUUAUUUAUUUAUUUAUUUGCAUAUAUUUUCGUAAUUAUGGUGACAUGAUAUGCUCUCUUUCUCGCUGAGCAAGUGGUCUUCCUGGGCGAUUUCGAAUUUUAAAAGAUAUUUUCAUUUAUUUAUUGAGGGUCCACUGUUGAAAGUGAAGUUAAAAUAAUAUGUCAUAAUUAAUAUUCCCUCUGGGCAUAUUAUAUCAUUUUUUCUUACAUUCUUCUAAGUGAAAAAGAUUAAUUUUGGUAGAACCAUCUAUAACGGUGCAAAUCCACUUCGGACAAUCAAAAUUUUCGUUGAAAUUAAGGUAGGGUGGAUGUAAUAAAAAUUUGCAAGACCAAAAAAAAAAAAAGAAAAAAAAAAGCUGUUGUUUAUCCAUCAGAAUUUGCGGAUGAAGAUGAAAAUCUUGCUGUUACUUGGUUUAUAUUUUGUCUUUUUUUUUUCCUUCCCCUUUGUUUAAUUGUUCUAUUUGGAAUUAUCUGAAUGGAGUUGUCCAAGAAUUGAUUUGGGAAGAAUUUAGAAUAUUAUUCACGAGAACCCUACCACCAAAAAUUCAAGAAUUCCCCAAAGCUUUUCUCCUCCAGCCUGUUUGCCUUUGCACAACUUACGGAAAGCUAUCUGCAACAACAAUGGUGGGCCUUUCCAAGGAUCCCAGCGCCAGCUGUGAGCAAUGCCAGUCAGAAUUAAAAUAUAAAUAAAUUUUAAAAAAAAACCUUUUUUUUUCUUUCUAUGAUUUUAGAUAUGGGUUCUCCAGAGAAUUGUCAUUUAAUAAUAAUAAUAAUAAUAAUAAUAAUAUCUUUAGUUAUAACUAUUCGAAAUUCGUGCGAGUGUGUGUGAUGAAAGACUGUCUUGGACUUCUUCCAUUCCUCCUUUUUUCAUUUCUGGUUGCAUUUAGUGGGUUGAUGAGAGUCAGCGUUGAAGAUCAUUCUGUAUUAAUUGCUGAUAUAGUCAAGAGAAUGCUUAGGAACCUGCUAAAUUAUCUAUAUAUAUAUAUAUAUAUAUAUAUAUAUAUAUAUAUAUCUCUUUAGUAUUUAAAUGAGGAGAUAAACGAAGGAUAAGAUCGUACAUUAAAUGAGGGCAGGGUAAGGUGUAUGUAGAUAGGACAAGUAACGUGGGGAGGAUUUUGCUUUUGCUUUAUUUUAUGUAUUUGCCAAAUUAGAUGCUUGACCUGAAGACUAUACAAGGACUCCUCAUCUUCAAGGAAAACUACAUUUCUCUCCAGCGAGACAGGCCAGAUAGAAUCAACUUGUCUGAGAUAGCAUGCAAUUGCUUGUCAUGGAGUCAAUUUCUGAGACUUUGGCGUUCGAUUAAUUAAGCCACUCCUUAGGUAGUGAAGGGGUUAUGUGCUUUCGUUGCACGAAAAUUCAGAAAAAGAAGAAAAGAGUGGAUUGAAAUAUAAUCGAUCGACAUAUUAAAUUGACUAAGAAUCGAAGUGGCUGUGAACUCGAUAUGUUUUAUUACACAGGAAUGUUCUGAAGGCAACAAUAGAAGUGCCCCAUGUUGGGGAAGUGAACUUCCAGCGCACCCACCUGGAUCAUCUCGACGAGAACUGGCGGAUGAAGCAAGUCGGCGCCAUCAUCCACUCGAGCGACUCUCCCCACAUCUUGGCUGGUGGCCUCAACUCUCUCGAUGACACCGAUUACUCGCAAGAGCGGUGGACCGACAUCGUCAAGGUAUGUACAUUUCUGUCAUGUUUGAUGUGAUAUUCGUUAGCACGUCAAACUCGAUUACUAAAUAGCUUAAGCUACGGCGAUUUUGUAAUCAUGGGCAGUGUUUGUUACAGUACUAUGAAGAGAUGGGAAAACCGACCCCGAAGGUUGAAGUCAUGAGGUUUCUAAAGAGCAAGCAGUACAUUGCUGGAGAAUGCGAGUCCGUGGUUGUCAUUGCCAAAGGACAAAGUAAGGACUCACUUGUUCGCUUUCCCAUCUUUCAAUUUUUCUUUUUCGCUCUAUCAAAUGGCUAAUCUAAGGUGCUUUUCGAGCACGAUGCUCCUCUUGCUUGAUGAUCACAUGAUUUGCUUGAAUGGACGGAAAUUCAUAACAUUUGAAGCAUGAUGAUCAUGUUGAAUAAAUACAUCCGUUGUUGUCAUCACUUUGUCGAUAUCAACUUUUGGUGUGAAAAUCCAUGGUAAAAUUGAAGUCCAAAGUCUUUUUUUCGAGUGAUUAUUGUCCGAAUAUGAAUUUGAAACUGUUUAUUCUAUUGCAGGUGUGCAAGGGACGUGCAAAUAUGGAACGAGGGUGGACUACCUACUGGCGUCACCAGAUUGUCCAUACAAGUUCAUUCCGGGGUCGUAUUUGGUCUUGUCAUCGAAAGGGACAUCGGAUCACCACAUCAUAAAGGUCAACGUAACGAAAUGCGAAAACAAUCCUCCCCCAUGAAAGCAAUGGCAACAACAAUAAAAUUACCAAGAAAAGGCGACGACAGUGCAAGCACCAGGCCGUUGUAAAGAUCUCAGGCACAGCUCCUCCUUCAAAGGGUAUAUGGACAACGAACACAUUAAGCAAAGUCGAAUGACAUUACAUUUAUAUCUCCCUUUUCUUUCCACUCUUUUCUCAGCUGCUGCUCCUGUUGCUACUGUUGAGUGAUCUUGGGCAUGCUGGCUUCGUCAAUCUGUGUGUAAAUCUUCGAUUGUUUUGUGCAUCUUGUCUUCUCUGUUUUUUUUCUUCAGUUUAGAGUUGAAGAGGGGAGGGUUCUGGUGUGAUGGCUUCCUCACAUCUGUAUAGAUUUCGACGCGACAGAAAUGAAUUCUUACGUUUCAACUAGGCAUUGGAGCUAAGCGGCUCUGCCAAGUUCUUUUUCAGUAUUUUAUGCCUUUUCUUUCCGCUUGUAAUCUUAACUGCAAGAUUCAGAUUAGUUUUGUCGAGGGCGACAUCUCAAGUUGACUUUGCUGAGAUUGAGGUUAGAGAAUGCGAUCUUGUAUCUUUACAUUUAACUGAAAGUUGAAACGUUUUAGAUUAAAAGUCCUUGGAAUAAAAUUGCAAAUUUCGAAAAUUGGAUUUUUUUUUUGUUAAGUUGGACAUCAAGUGAUUGAUAAAAGACCCAAAGAUUUCAAAUGAAAUACCUUUAAAAAGCAAAUAAGGAAAAAAAAAAAAAAGCUGCGAAGUCUGGUAAUUAUGAAUCCUAAACAUAUGUGACAGUAGUCAAUGUCUUCAUUCUUUUUUCUCCCUUUUGAAAUUAGCAUUGGAAAGAAGAAAAAUGGUAAGUUAGUGCAAUCUACUUCGAGAUCUUAACAAAUACCUUAUGUGAUCUCUAAAUGGAGCCUUAAUGAGCAUUAUAAGUAAAAGUGUAAUGAAAAGAGAAAGAAAUAAAUUUUCUAUAUAAUAGACAUUGUUGGCUGAUGUAUCAUGCUAAUUAGCUUAUGAAUAAAAAACCGCCUCUCCCUUAUAAUGGUUAGCAAACCGCGCCCCUUGCAUCAGCAUCGUAGAGGACUCAAGUAUCUCUCAAUUGGUGUAUACUCUUCAAUUGAUCCUCCUUGAUGUUAUUUAUAUCAAUUGACUUAUUAAUUUCGAUUUUGCUUGGGAUCUCAAUUUAGAAAGUCAUGGGAUCUAAAGCUCAGAUAAAAAGAGGAAUUAAAAAAAAAAAACACUAAAGACAUUGCGUCAAUAUCGUUGACCGGUAAGAAUCCUGGUACUUGCGACCUUGUAGGUCUGCUACUCGGGACCUCACUAAUAUAUGACAUUAAAAAUAAUUUUUUUUUUUUAAUGAGAUAGAAAGAUAGUUAAUUAUUAAUAUUUGAUACUUCUACCCUUUGUUUAAGGGCAAUGCUAGUAGGUCACAUGACACAUCCAAUGAUGUUUUCACUGCACAUGUCCAUUUUUUUUUCUAUAGUGAUAUAGUCAGUUAUUAAAAUGUUUUUUUUUUCCUUUUUGUUGCGAAUUUCCCCUUCUAUAAAUCACGAACACGAACACGAGCACAAAAUUUUUUCGUCGAAAUAAUUGAUCUAUUCAGCACAUGCUGAUACCUUUAAUUGUUUUCUAUAUCGUGAAUAAAUUAUUAAGUGAUGAUUGGACAAAUCAUUAAACAGAAAAAUCUCUUGACGAAAAGUAUCCUAGAUUAUCUCGCGCGUGUAUGCUGAAGAUCUAGAUAUACAUUAUUGUAUUUUAGGGUACAAGAUUGGCUCUCUUUGUCACUGAUUUUGUAAGUGUCCUAUUGCCUUUGGAUGGUAAUUCUUUUUGUAACUGUUCGACUUCGAAAUCGGCAAUGACCAGGAGUAACCAUCAUCGAUCAAGCCCUCUUAAGUGAACACUUAAAAAGAAUUAGUCUCUUAAUCACUUGAAUUGUGUUAAAUCAGAGGUAUUGUUUGUAGAUAUCAUGAAUAAUGGGAAAAUUUCCAAAAAGGUCCUAAAUCUAUUGCACUUUAGCCAAUUAAGUCAUAAAUCUUUUAAUUACGUCAAUUGAAUUCUAAAUCUUUUCACAUUUUGCCAACUGAGUUUAUUGGGCCAAUUUUAAGAAAAAAUCACCGAUGUGAAUGCCAGCCGUCUUACGUAAGAUGGUUGAUACUAAUGUUGGCAAAUUCUUAUAAUUUUUUUUAAAUGGAAUUUUUUAAUUCUUUUAAUUUUUUUUAAUUUUACCAUGGCUUGUGAGAGUCGUCGGGUCCUUGUAGCUACUAGCGAAGACUCAGUGACCCUUGCCAGACAUGGCGAAAAAAAGUAAAGGAGGAAAAUAGAAGAAAAGAAAAAAAUGGAAAAAUAAGAGAAAAAGGUCCAUAAAAAUUCAAAAAAAAAUGUUUAAAAUAUUUUAAAAAUUCUCCACAUUAGCGUUGCUUGUGCCACGUAACAUAACCGGUAUCCGCAUUAGCGAUUUCCUAACAAAAUUGAUCAGAUGAACUCAACUGACAAAAUGUGAAAAUGUUUAAAAUUCAACUGGCAUGACUAAAAGAUUAAUUACUGAAUUUGUAAAAGUACAAUGAGUUUUUUCUGGUAAUUUUCCCAUGACUAACUAGCAUCUCUCUUCCAUCCUGAUUCUGAUCAUAGUUUAAACAUGAUAUCAUAAACAAACCACUAAGAAGGUUAGUUAGUAACCUUUUUUUUUAUCGUUUGCCAAGCAUGUCGUUCCAUCAUCUUUCAAUAAAUUGUCAAGUGGCAUUUGUAGAGAAAAGUUUUCAUCUCGGCUCACUGGCAAACUGAAAAUUGUAAUGGUCAUGAGUAAACGGUCAGGAUGAUAACGAUAUUUAAAAGUACUUGUGUAGUUCUUCGCCUGUUAGUAUGCUAAACUUGGAAAAUGUCGAAUCAACAUCAAUUUAACACUGUCUUUACUCGAAUAGCUACAGAACUAUGUAAGAAAACACAAAGAACAAGAAGAGAAUCCCGAAGCUCUAGACAUGGCAUGACCAUGAAAACUCCACCGAGAGCUGGUUUUUGUCCUCAGAGUAGAUGUGAAAAUGUUGCAGAAUUAAAGAAUAAGCAAAGAUUCUUCGUAUCUAGCACUGUAAGCUUGCUCGAUAUAGAGUGAAACAAAGGGACAUUGCAUAGAGUUUGCACCUAUAUGAAGUUCACGAUGGCCGGGAGCAAUCCGUGCCACAUGACCUCAACUUAAGUGCAUCGCCGUAUCAAUAAUCAGUUCUUCCACAAGUAGAAUCGAUACGCAAUUUAUGCUCGAAUUGUCCUCUAUUCACCUUUCACUUGGGGAUGGUUUUCCAUGAAUCUCUUCCAGCUCCUCGAACCUGUUAUCGAGGGCUCUUCUAAGUGAGGCCAUCUAUAUAUGAUCGUUUGCUUCUGGAAGUCGGUUUAUGGAGACCUUGAAGUUCAGCCUAUGAAUUUUGCUGUACACUAGACGGGUCCUGUUGUCGUACUUCGAACACCUAUGUGAGGUUUCAAUUGUUCUCGCCUUCCUCUCAUGGUGCAGCAGAGCAACAAAUGUCAAAGGAAUUGGAAGAGACAGUUCCACAGCCUCCUGUCACAAUGAAUGGUCUUUCUCAUCAGGAUGAUUCUCCAAUGAGCGUAAUGAACUGCAGGAAUAAGUAAGAAACUCGAUUCUUGAGAUGUUUCUGUCUCAUAUCGUUUACUUUUUUCUCCAUUGCGUCGAAUAUAGUACCUACUCUAGUGAUUAGCUUAACUUUUCAUUUCAAUCUGAAAGCUACUCACCUACAUUUAUAGGACUCUUAAUAUAAAUUACCUGCUUGUGCACACUAUCUUACUUGGCGAAUUCUGUCAUCUGCACUAGUUUAAAUACAUGCAUCAUUCGAGAGCGCAAGUGCCUUUGAUGGCUUAUGGCCUGAGGCAUGGCGUAAUUGUUUUUUUGCCUUGUCAAAAGUGUUGCGCAGAGGACCUGAAUAUUCUUUUGAUAGGAAUUGUCUGUUUAGAUGAUCAUAAUUGCUACCAUUGCUAGAACAUACUACCAAUAACAACAUGAUAGUCGCGGUGUGCAUUCUAGUUGAACAUAGUUUCAACUUCGAGUUGUGAUGCUAACUGUUCUCGCACUUGUGGUUCUAAAGUGUUGAUGGACAGAGCUGAAUCUGACAAGCUACUAGCCAUUCCUGUCGGUUUUGUUGGAUCAGAAGAGGUGGUAAGGUCUGUUCCACAUCUUGUACCUGGCAGUAAUCUUGCUUGUCCUUCAUUGGAAGAACAAGGAAUGAGAAUAAAUGCUGCAUUAGACGCUGCCCUUGCACCAAUUUCUCAUCUCUCGAACCUCAUUGCCGACGGCCACCGGGCUGCAAACUUCAGGGGACCUUUCCAACCAUCAGACUUUUAAUGGCUCGAAGCUGGAGCCACUUGGAUUCAUACCCUAUCCCUUACUUUCUCUGAAGGUAUUUAUGAUAUUUAACACUUAGCUCGACAUUCUGCGUCGUCGAUCUUACUUGGUUUGGACUACCUACUGGCGAAUCUCUUCAUGUAAAGGUUUGGCUUGGAAUAUUACUUGUCAGCAUAGUUGCAUAGACCCGGCGGUUCUGUUCUUUUACCCAUCAGUCCAUUCGACUCGUGGUGCAACAAAUCUGAAAAAUGCUUUUAAUAUGCUAUUUUAGAGUUAGCUUUCAGCAGUGAUCUCGAACAAUUUCUUGUUCUCCAAACCGAGACUCGUUCAGAGUCAUUGAAAGCCUUCAAUUUCUGACCUUGUACUAGGAAGGUCCUUCCUGCUUUAUCUGUUUCUAGAUACUUCAAAAACCAUCUAAAGUAAUUGAAAAGACCAUGCGGAAAAAGUUAAUUGCUGUUGUACUUGGCGAGGCAACCCAAGUUUAAGUAGCAGCGUGCACUUUUGCUACUUCUCUAUGUAUUCUUACUCCUGAUGAGUGGCGUUGUUUGUAGCUUCCAUUCAGGAGUACCUUGCUAAUUCGGCAUCAGGUCAGGGUUCUCUGUCUGCAAUAUCCGAGUGAAGUGGAUAUCGCGCGUUCCUUCUCAACAUCGGUGUCUGGUGGAAUGUUUGCCAAGCAAGAAAACUCAUGUGCAGGGGACAACAGUGAGGAAUAUAGUACUUGUUUGGAAGAAUGUAAGGCACCAUCUCAUGACUUAUCAUCGAGUGAAUGCACAAAUUCUUACUGCAUUGAGAUAUUGUGCUUUUGUAAUACAUCACAUCCUCUAACAUGACAUCACGUGUUCAAUUUCUAUUCAUCGUAAAGGCAAAAAUUGAUAGCCACAAUCGUUCAUCGGUUAGGCUAGGACCCAUCUAGAAACAAGAGGUCGAAGUCAGAGAUUGCUUGAACAGGUAGCUGAUGUCGAGCUGGUUGAUCGAGCGGGGGUUGAAGGGUGGGGGUGAGAACUUUUGAUGGAAACGAGAGAGAUUCGUUGCUCAAAAUGCAAACAUUAACAUGAAGAAAAAAUUACAUUGUUAUGCCAAGAGGAUUCACACGAAACAAAAAUUAUAAUGAAUGCCAUACGACAUUCAUUGUGAUUUAUAAAACAUGGACAGAAUGAGUCUAAUAGAAAACACCAAUGCUAUUACAUUAUCAAUGACAGUACAUGCUGAUAGGGUUAAUUAUAUUUCGCAUCUCUUUUCUACAAGAGGAGAACAAUCACACAAUACAUGAUUUCGUAAACUCAUUGUCGUGGUCAAAUUGAUAACUACUAGAAAUUAUCGGAGCACUUGACGACAAUGAGACCAUUUCAAGUUCUAUCUCAUUGUUGUCAUCAUCAAUUGGUGCCUCUAUCGGAUACAAAAGCGGUUUUGGAGGUAGUUGCAGUUUAUCAAUAUCUCCUUCAAGCAUAUCUAGAACUUUCCUCAUUGAUGGCCGAUCAUUAGGGCUCAGCUGUAUGCACCAUAGCGCAACGAUUAUCAUCUUCCUUGUUUCUCUUUCCUCUUCUAUGACUUCUACCCUCUCAACCUCCUUUUCUUUGCUGAGUUGAUCAUAAACCCACAAAGGAAAGUAAAUUUGACUUGAAUGCCCUGCAUGUGCAUUUAUAUUUCUCCUUCUACCGGCCAUUUCCAUUAACAGCAUCCCAAAACUGUAAACAUCGGCUUUAUAAGAAAUGCCACCAAUGUCUUUGUAGAAUAGCUCUGGUGCCAUAUAACCCAAGGUUCCUCUUACUGCAGUCAACGAUACUAUACUAUGACCGAUGGGAUAAAGUCUUGCAAGUCCAAAGUCAGAAAUUUUCGGAGUGAAACUUUGGUCUAGGAGAAUGUUGUGCGGCUUGAUAUCAAAGUGUAGAAUUUGCAUAUCACAUCCCCGAUGUAGAUACUCUAUCCCUCUAGCUAUGCCAAGAGAGAUCUCAUGCAUUUUCUUAUAAUCAAGAGGAUCAUCACCAUCCUUAUUCGAAAUGUGUUUAUCCAAAGAGCCAUUCGGCAUGAAAUCGUAGACCAGAGCUUGUUUGGAGUAAUUGAAGCAAAAACCAACAAGUUGCACCACAUUGAUGUGGUGGAUCCUUCCAAUUGUGGCCACUUCACUAAUAAAAUCUUGGCCAUUAGAUUCUGAUUUGUUCAAAAUCUUAACCGCAACUUCAUUGCCACUUCUAAGGAUUCCUCUAUACACAAAGCCAUAUCCCCCCUCACCUAAUUUGCAUUUGAAAUUUUUUGUAAUCUUCUUGAUAUCCGAGUAAGAGUACCUUAUGGGCAAAAAGUUGUUGUGAACUUGUAGGAAUUCUUCGAUGUUUGCGUCAAUCGCCCGGUGCCUUCUCAUCCACUUAUAGAUUAGAAGUAUCAACACACACGGAGCUCCGAGUAUGAAUUUUGCUGCGACGUAGUUGGCUACAUAGAAAUUGUCCAUAGAUUAGCGCAGUGCAAUAAAUUUUUGGUAAACAUAAUCGUUUUAAAUCAGAGUGCUUCUUGAGAUCAUCAUAGUUGUGAGGAGAAUAGGCCCAGCAGUCAUACCCAAGAAAAAGGCGAGGCGCCAACCUACAAUUUCCGCGUACCGAUGCUUGGUCCACGUAGAACUAGGGGUGUCUGCAACAGAUUAAUUAGAGUCGGUGAUCAAUCAAUGAAGAAUUAAAUUUAUCAUUUUAGCAGUUAAACCUAAAUAUAAUUUACUCUCCUUGACAGCGCUUAGAUCACAGUUAAUUCAAGUCACCUAGCGAAUCCAUGUCAUCGUAGCAUGACAUUUUCUCUUGAAGAAAAGCGAUUUUGCUUUUGUUCACCUAUAUGUACCAAAUGAUUCAUAAGUUCACGUCUCGUUGCGCGUAAUUCUAAUUUUCAAACGUCAUUCAAUACGCGUGCAGUUUUUUCAGCCGCAUAACAAUAACAGCCGUGCAAGGGACACGAACAACAAUUAAAUCAACCAUUUUUCCCCAAACAAAAAUGAAGUAACAAUGUCAAAUCCAGAAAAGCUCCAAGACUCGUAAAAUAAACGAGAGCAGUGCAUGCCGACCCUACUAAGAAAUCUAUUUAAACUUUUCUACUUAAGUGAUGUGGCAAUUUUUCUAUUAUGUUUUUAAAGAAACUAGUGUCUUAAUGUGUGGAUUUUAUUAAAAAUACCCAAUUAAAACCUGCCACGUCACUUGGUAAGUAAAUUUUGAUCAGAUCUCUUAGUGAAGCUAGCAUUUAUGGCAAGGAGGAGGAGGAGGGAGAGAAAAAGAAAGAACAGCUUAAGGGAACGUCGCUUACGAGCACGAUAGCCGCAAUGCCCCCUUCGGUUAAUAAAACUUAAGAAGUGACAUCGAAAGAAUACUCUCACGGCACUAAAGCGCGGAUAGGAGAGAGUGAAUCCCUCGACCAUCUUGUUGUGGAGGUCCUUGUAUGGUAAGCUACCAUACUGAUCCCUUUUCCAACCUAAGAUUUGAUCCGAUGGGAAUACCAUCAUGGUUACGGUGCAAGAGUCCUUGAUAUCCCUUGCUCGUAGAUCUCCAUAUACAGCGUAUGAGUAUACCUUCAUUUGGGAAAAAUAAGGAGUUGUGUCGGCAGAGUAUGCGCCCUCAAUACAUGGUUUGGCAUCAAUAUAAGAAGUAGAAGUAACAGGUUGUGAGCACUUCAUGAAGGCCACAGUGACAUUGUCAUAUGGAAAUUCAUAUAGAUCACCAAAUGGACUAGACUUAGUAAAGUUGGAGUACUCCAAUGGGUAACGAGGAAGGGAUGAGCAAUUACCCUUCUGCAGUCCAUCAUCAACCACCGUGAUAUUACCAGAGAAGUCAUUUUGGUCAAUAUAGAAAUCGUAAUGAAUCGACUUCACAUAAUAUCGGCCAGCAUUUAAAUAUAGAACAGUGCGGUUAUUUUCACAAGCUAGCUCAUACUGAGAGCUACCGCAGUCUUUUGGAUCGCCUUUCAAUCGAAAAGGAUAACUUAUGUUACGAAUCUCACCGCAAGACGAAGGGGCACACAAGUGAUUCUUCUUCGCAUCGCAGCUCAUCCCUAACAAUAGCAGAACAUGCAAUAUGAGAAGUAAAACAUGGAGCAUAAAUAUCGAGCUGCGAGAAAUAAUCAUCUCUUUAUCGUUUGGUCUGAUGCAAUGGAAGUUUUAGCUCACUUGGUAAUGCGAGGGAUGCUUAAUAAAGGGUUGGGAGUCAUCGGUCAUCGAAAUGUCCAAGUCAACCCUAAAACAAAGUCUAGCGAAGAAAAACUUAAAAAGUAUGGCCCUGCAAAAACACGAUCUUGAGUGAAGAAAAAGUGGGUCGCAUGUGGAAAUUGCAGCCCUUGCAGUCAAGGCGACAAAAACACAGUGUUGGAAUUAUUUAUGGUGUGGCUUUCACAUUGAUUCGAAAAGAAACUUCUCUGCAGUUUUCAGAUUUAAUUUUCUUGGCAAAUUGACUCUUUAGGAAUCAAUUUUACUUCAGUAAAAAAAGAAUCGAUUGGAAUGUUAUGUACCCUAAAUUGAAUCAAAAUCCUUUCAAGUGAGGCAUUGGCAUUCAAUUUUAUUUUCAAGGCCAAUAUUCUCACGGUGGUGGGUUCACACGAUUAUACCUAUCCAUUUCCCGCAUCAGGUCAUCAUCCGAUAAGAAAGUCAUCAUGGUUAUGUUGCAAGAAUCCUCGAUGUCCUUUACUUGUAAACCUAACCCAUAAAUAGCGUAAGAGUACACCUUCAUUUGGGAAAUAUUAGGGGGCGCAUUGGAAGGGUAUGCUCCCUCAAUACAUGGUUCAGUAUUGAUAUACAAAGGAUAAGCAACGGGCUGUGAGCACUUCAUGAAGACUGCCGCAGAGGAUGAAGCAUUUUGAUAGUACGGAUACCGAUCACUCAAGUUGGAGCUCGCCAAUGAGAAACGAGGGAGGGAUGAGCAAUUACUUUUUUGCAAUCCAUCGUCAACCACCAUGAUUGCGCCCAAUAUUUUAUCCCCGAAAUUAUUGUAAUUGUCAAUCGACUUCACAUGAUAUCGACCAGCAUAUAAAUAUAGAACGGUGUGAUUAUUUUCACAAGCUAGCUCAUACUUAGAGCAGCCGCAGCUUUACGGGUCACCUUUCAAUCGAAAAGGACAGCGUAUGUCAUGAACAUCACCACAAGAUGAAGCAGUGCACAAGCGAUUAUUCUUCACACAGCAACUCAUCCCUAGUAGCAGUAGAACAUGCAAUAUGAAAAGCAAAACAUGAAACAUGCUCAUGGAGCUUAGAGACUUCUUUGUCUCUCUAUCGUUUGAUCUGAUGCAAUGAAAGUUUUUGCUAAUUGGUAAAUAUGAAUGAAAAGCGUUGGGUCGUCGGUCAUACAAAUGUCCAAGUCAACCAAUAAAGGCAAGUCUAGUGAAGAAAAAGUGUAUAUCCCGUGGAAAUUGUGACCCUUGCAAUCUACGUGACAAAACACAGUGUUGGAAUUAUUUAUGUAUGGCUUUCACAUUGAUUAGAAAAGAAACUUCUCUGCAGUUUCCAAAUUGACUUUUCUUGGUACCAUAAAUAAGAAUUGAUUUGAAUGUUUCGUAUUCUAAAAUGAAUCAAAAAUCCUUUCGAGUGAGGCAUUGGCAUUCUAUUUUCUUUUCAAGGCUAAUACUUCAUGUAUGUCGCUUAUUAAAUUGUGAAGACAGAAAGGAAAUACAUAUCGUAUUUUAUUAUAUGAGCUUUUUCAUUUUUAACAAAGAACAAAAAUUGGUAACAAAAAUAGCUUAUUGAUGGGAAUAUUAACUUGUAUAAUGUCGCUUUUGGCAUAAGUAAAAGGAAAACAUGGAGUAAGUGCUUCUUGGAUUGUGGAAUAGAUUAUGAAAGAAAGAAAGCAAUGCAAUAAUUGCUAUGGAGGGACCGACGCACCUAGAAAGCAGUACAAUAAUUGCUAUGGAGGGACCGACGCACAUAGAAAGCAAUACAAUAAUUGCUAUGGAGGGACCGACGCACCUAGAAAGCAAUACAAUAAUUGCUAUCGAGAGACCGACGCGCCUUGACUAGAACCUCGCUAACUUUGUCUUCACACAAAGACUAUAGAUGCAAAAUUUGACUUCAAAAACAUAAAGCAAUGUUUAUUUAUUUACUUUCGACUUUAAUAUUUCAAUCACUCUCCCACAAUUUUGCUAGAUCUAUGAACAAUACAAUCAUCUCUUUCCUAUAACAUAACCACUUAAUGAUUGAAUUGAUCAAUUUCAAUAAAACUGUCAUUUUGUCAAAUGAAAGAAAUGUUGUUGCCUACUUCAUCAUCAUCUUCCAUAUCUCUGAAUGUGUGAUAUUGAAGGUGUCAUGUAAGUUCAAAUGAGACUAUCGGUCAAUUUGCUUUUGUGAACAUAACAUCAAAGAGUUUCGCAUAGAAAUUCUUCUCAGUGAAACAGACACGCCUUCAAAUAGUUGUAAUUAGCAUUUACCAUAUAUUUUUCAAGCUAAUGCGUACACCUAAGUAUAAUUGAAGAGACUGAAAUGGAUUUUCCAUAUAAUACAGCAAAGUUUAUUUUAACUGACGCAUCCAAUGACGUUUUAACUGCACAUGUUCAAUUUUUUGUAGUAAUAUUAUUACUGAUUACGUUUUUAGUUUUCUUUUUAUUGCAUAUUACCCUUUCUGGAAAUUGGUUUGUUCUGCGAGCAGUUCCACACGCAAUGAUACCUUAGUUGCUUUCUAUAUCAUCAUUAAAUAUUCGGCAAUGAUUAGUCAAAUUUUUAAGUAAAAAAUCUCUUGUUGAAAGUAUCCGAUAUUAUCUCUUGCACGUACACCAAAAGAUUUUGGACAUAAAUAUGCAAAUUGAUGUAUCAACUAUCAAUUCAUUCAGUGCCAUAUAAUACUAUAGAAAAAUAAUAAUCUGUUUCGUAGUGUAGGAUCUUUCAUUUUUGACAAAACUGAAAUUUGUAACUGAAAAGAUUAAUAACGGCACUAAAGACUAUCGUUGUAAGUUAUAAGAAAAGAAUAAAGACCACACAAUAAUUUCUCACCCAGCAAUAGAUGAACGCGAGCCUCAAUUUGAAAGUCACUUGCUUCAUCAUUGCCUGACAUGCACGAAGACUAUAAGUGCAAUAUUCGCAUUCAUAAAAAUAAAGCAAUACGUGCUUCUUCACUAGCAAUUGAGAGUAUUAUUCUUGUAAAUCAAUCACUCACUCUACUCACUCUCCUGUAAAAUAACCCCAUCUCUUUCCCGCAAUAAAACCGAAUGAACUGACAGAUCUCAACAAUAACGUCGUUUUAUCAAACAAAAGAUGCUUUUACCUGCUUCAUAAUCAUUUUCCAUCUCCAAAUGUGUGGUAUUGCAAGUGUCAUGUAAGCUCAAAUGGGACUACAAGGAAGAGUGCUGCCAUUUUCAUUCUCUAUUGAUAGCUGCUUGAAUCUGCUCAAGACUCCUCCCUUUCGUUUCAGGGACCACCGUGAUCACGAACACCAUCCCAGCGGCGUUAAUCACCGCAUAAAGAAGGAAGGUACCUGUGAAGCAAGCGAGCAGAGUUAUUUGCUUUCGACAAGUUUUUCGGAAAGCAUAUUCUGACAUUUUUCUCAUGGAAAGAAUGCUUUAGUAUGUACUACAUGUCUAUUAAUCAUUAUGCAGAAAAACCCACUUAAUUUUUUUCUUUUUUAAAUGAUAUGUCGGCUCAAUUUUCAUGAUAUUCGAAUCUAGGCAGAAGUUGCCGUAAACGCGUUGAUUUGAAAUAAAUGGUCUGAAUAUGCAUUCGAGAGCAUGAAGAACGGAGCGACAGACACCUCUAGCUCCAAAUAGGAUUGAAAUGUUCAGGAAAAGCUUAAGUCUCAAGUCUGUAGUUUAGUCGAAUUUGCGCAACAACUCAUGUUCCAAUGUGAAAAAUGUUUAUCGAGCUCCUGCCAGAGUAACAGUUCAAAGAGUGUUUUCAGCAGAGUCGUACCGUAGGAGCUCCAGCUCAUUAAGUAGUUGAAAGUGUAGGAAACUGCCCAAGCGCCGAACCAGUUCACUAGUGUUGCGAAACCUCCAGCAACUCCUUUGAUAUUAAUGGGGAAAAUCUGAACUCCAGCACACAUUACAUGAUUGGCAAAAGAAUUUUGAAACUCUUGUACUAAUAACACCAGUUACGAAAACAACCCUUUAAUUUGAUAAGCAUGAAACUUCGGGGGAUGUUUAGGAUUACCUCGGACAUCACGACCCAAGGAACUGCGCCCAUUCCAGCUGAAAAUGCUGCUAUGUAUAGCUGAGCAUUGGAAAAAACAGAACAGAAAAAUUUAUACUAGGGAGUUGUUGCGGGGGCCAACUGGGUAGAGCCAGAAAGAGAUCAAGGCAGUUGAGAUUAUUACCAGAAUGCCGGUGACGGCAAGUAUUGGGACAGCAUCAGCCGCCAGAUCAUGAACCUGGCUCGGAAGAUUCUCAAAAAAUUACUGGUUGACAAGCAUUGCAAAGCAGAAGGAAGACACCAGGACUGAUAGUAUUUACCUUUAGAAAGAAUGAAAGGGCAGUUACUAUGCAUCCCAGGACCAAUCCUGUCCCCGAGAUCUGCGAUUGAGAGAGAGAGAGAGAGAGAGAGAGAGAGAGAGAGAGAGAGAGAGAAGGUUAUGGGUCAAGUUGCAGAACUUGCGAAAGGGGCAGAACCAGAAAAGCUUUGUUACUAUAGACAUGAUUUCUUAGCUUUCAUCUAUUUUACCAAGAGAAGGGGCUUUCUUCCAGCUCUAUCGACCAGUGCAGCGCCAAUAGCCGUGACAAUAACCUGCAAAAAUUUACUCUUUAAGCGUGACGAGUAUAAAACUAGAUCCCCAGCAAGAGGAAAGGGCAAGAAUUACAGACCUGGAGGAUUGCAUAAGUUAUGGUUCCAACGCUGGAGGAGAAACCUGAGGAGAUUGUACAAAUGCGAUUAUAAAGGCGAGACUAAUACCUUGCUUGUGAGAUUCAACGCUAAAUUAUGUGAACAGCUCAUUCAGUGAUAAUUAAGUAGACCAAAAGCAUUCGACAUAAUACCUUGCUUGUGAGAUUCAACACUAAAUUAUGUGAACAGCUCAUUCAGUGAUAAUUAAGUAGACCAAAGCAUUCGACAUUGAAAAUUUUACUAACCCAUUUGAAUAUUAACUGGAUUAUAUAAAUUGGAACCCCUGCUUUGCUUUUUAUUUAGCUUUUCAUUCUGGAAUCUAAAAUGCAAAGCAUACUUUCAUUUUUGUGGUGCCCAAGAGCUUCUUGCUAUGAACUGCAUACCUGCUUCCUCAAAAAUAUUGCUUGUAUAGAAACAGACACCAUUUAUCCCUCCGAACUGCUGGACGACCAUCAAUCCAACACCAAUCUGGCCAAAAUUUAACAAAUUUGUCAGCAAAAAGAACAACAAUGGGAAAUAUCACCAAAAGUACAACUACUGCACAUUCCCGAUUCACAGGAUAUUCCUAGAAAGCAACGAAGGAGGGACUUUAUUGGAUACAUAGCAGUAAAUACAGAGAGAAGAUUACAAUGACAGAGCUCAGAUAUCUUCUCUGAAAUAAAUCGAGAAUGCUGGCUUUCGGGAGCAGUUGAAGAGUUUCGAUGUAGUCCUGUCAAGAAAAACAAAUUCGAUCAUUCUGUCAGUUAUUUGUACUUAUAAAGCUGAGGCACUACGAUGAAACGAGUAUAGACUUAAAGCCUUUUACUUGUAUUUCAGCAGCCUCUUCAGAAAUGUCCGCAUCCUUUCCACGGAGUUUCUGCAGCGCAGCUUCAAACUCCUUUUCGCGGCCUGUUUUUGCCUGCAUUUGGCAGAAUCCUAAAAUUCAUUCCAACACUACAAAUCCCUCUCUUCCAACAAUUCAGGUAAGAAGAGUCUGGUGUUCAUCUUGAUUUGUUACCAGCCAUCUAGGAGACUCUGGAAUGAAAAACAGGCCGAACAGUAGGACUGCACAGGGGAUUAGACCUGCAUAAACAGCAGAUGUUCAAGGUGGUUUCAGACUUGGACUUUUCAAUACAACAUUGGCACUAAACUUGAAUUAUGCUACUUUUUUCUGUUUUACCAAUUAAUGCCAAAACCCUCCAAGCUAAUACUGUCCCAAUUAUGAAGGAAACGGACACUCCAGCAACGAUCAUAAGCUGUUGAGAGAAGAGAACAUGUUAGGCCUAGUAGGUUCUGUAGGAUGUACAUAUAUACACCAUCUUGCACUUGCAAGAGGGCAAAAUUUGCUACAAGCUAAGGCCUUUUGCCAAUAGCUCCAUGCUUGCAAUUUUAACCGAGAAUGUUCAUACAAAAUCUUUGCCUGAUUGACAGCAGUCAAAGCUCCACGGAGAUUUUUGGGUGUAAUUUCAGCUAUAAAUAUCGGUACCUGGACAUAAAUUAGAAAAAGAUUAACCAAUCUAAACCGAAGAGAGAGCCUCAUGUUGUCACUGUGAAUCGAGUCCAGCAUGUUGUCGUAGAACAACUUGCUACAUCAAAUUUGUGUGGUACGAAGUGAGGAAUUACCACAUAGGAAAAGACUCCCAUUCCAUAUCCCGUGGCCAAUCUUCCAAUAUCCAGAGCCAGUGCUCCCUAAUUUACUCAAAAUUAAACAGAACAGAGAGUUGAUGAGACUUGAAGUUCUUAUGAAACUAAUCGAUCUUCAUGUUUGAUUAGGCUUGUAAAUAGGAUAUGGACACACCUCAGCAAAGUAAAUAGCAAGCCAUCCUGCUACACAAAGAGCGCUCGCUAUUCUCAUUGUCUGUAUUUUGAGGCAAAUGUUUAUGCUGUCACAUCCUCCGUCCAUGAUAUGACUAAAUCCCAAAGCUAAAACUCUCAGAGAGUCUUGAACAACACUGUUCUGUUUUACAUUGUGAAAGACGCACUCAUUUGCUGCUUACCCAUUUACGGCCAACAAAAUCAGCUAUUGGUCCUCCGGUAAUUGCACCAAUCAUUGCACCGAAUGUCAGUAUGGAUCCAAAGACUGAAUACUGUUGAAAGACACAUAAAGAGUAACUGCAAAUCAGCUUGAGUUCAGUGAGAUUAAGAACUUCAGUUACCAUCUAGCUAACGAUGCUAUAAGUCACCGAAUGUCCGAGAAUCUCAGUGGAAAGCUAUUCUGAACAAACCUAUUACUUCGAUCAGAAACCUGAAUGAUAUGCAGUCGCAAUUUUCAGCUGACGAUACCCAAUCUAAAUCUCUUCAUUUUUUGGUUUUGUUGUCCUGAGGUGUCCAACAAUGGAACUCGAUGUGAAAAUUCGGUAUGCAUUUCACUCGUUACAAUGCAGAAAGAAUAAGAUGUCUAGAGAAAGAAGUAUCUCUACCUCAAAGCCAACAUCCUUAUUUUUGAGAGAGUCUUGUUUACAAAGUUUUUGAUCAUAUAACUCGUCCAUAUUAUGGAGCCAUAAUAUGAGCAGAUCGUUACUUUGAUUUCUUGUAUAUGGGCGCCUUCAGUGACAAGUCCGAUAGAAGCAACGGACAAAGACAACAUGACAUGUGCUUCUCAACACUCGCAGGUAAAUUCGACAUACCUCAGCUGUAGAGAGACUAAGUUCCUCCACUAUAGCAUCCUGAGUAGGUGAUGAAUAACCUGCCUGAAGAUCCAAUGGAACAAUUUCUCAUAAGAUUCAAUUAAUCACAUCCUUUUCAUUUUCACCAUUACUAUUGGACCUGGACUUUUCAAAAAAAAAUUGCAUUUCCUACUUACGCAGGUCCCGAAUUCAUAUGAACCGCAAACUGCAACAAAUGUGGUGAAAUAGACCAUCCACGGACGACCCUUAUCAAUUCCUUCAUCUUUGCCAGCUCGGUCCUUCUCUUGCGGCACGAGGAGCCGCUCUCUUAUUCCUUCUCUGUCCCCGGUUUCUUGAUUUUCAAUGUCCUCGUUAAUCGCCAUGCUUGCUCGCCUUCCAAAAAUGCUCCUUCGUUCCCUAUCUGACUAUGUACAAGGAACUAGCAAAUCUAUAAGCUCCAGAGAAGAUAAGUUCUCUUUCCACCGUGGCCAGUCUGCUUGCUUUAUAUGGAUGACUCGAAAUGAGAAACCCCAAGUGCUAAUAUGGAAACCCCAUCUCAGAUCGGUUUAUACUAGUGGUUUCUAGGAAUUCCUCGCUGACCUCAGUCUUGCAAACUGGCAAGCAACUCCUUGCUUUUCUGACUCGCCCCCGUUAAUGGUAUUGGAAUCACUAAUGGAACAGAGUCUCCGAAUACAGCAGGAUCACAGAUGUAAAGGGCUGCAUCGCUCUUUAUGGGCAAGGAGUAAGUGAAAACAUGGAACUGGACUUUCUCAAUGAUACGGCUCUGGAUAAAGACAAAGUAAAAACCACGGACAAAGUUCUAUCUUUUUCAGCCAACCACCGGCUAGGAAAACCAGAGUGUUUUUCUAACCUGGAAAGUAAUUAAGUUCUGUCCAUUUUUCCAUGGAGGCAUUGUUAUCUUCAACUUUAACCCACGUUUAUCGUGUAAGAAAGAUAAGAUCUCAAUUAAUAGUUUCUUAUCUCUUUGGUGCAAUAAGAAACUAUCAAGAAAAAGAACUGUUCUGCUAGAAUAUUACUUUUCUUUUGGGAAUUUUCUUAACCAAAACCCUUUUUUUUUCCCGAUUGGACGAUGAGCAGAAGAUAAUUUCUGCCGGACCUUCUUCUGGGGACACAUUAUCUUCCUUUUCUAUUAUUUAAAAGAAUCACUACAUAUGCGAACAAAAAGCAUGCAUAUAGCCUCCUUUGUGGUCAGUGACGCUUUUGAUGUCUGCUCAAAUGGUAAAGACUAGAUAGCAGGAAUUUCAAAAAGAGAUGUUUUUCAUCUUUCCUUAGUGGCCAAUUUUGCGGAAAAUGGCAAUUUAUAGAGGCAAGAGGUGGACAGAAUUACUUUCUACUAAGGACGUCAUGUACUGCCGAGGCCCACGAAUCUAAAGAAUUUAGCCACCAUGAAGCCAGCCGACGGGAAAGAAUUCGCAGGCACAACGCAAUGGACCAUAAAGUUGCAGAGGACAUUAGCCAAAAAUGUCCAACCACCAUUCUCCAACUACUUUAUUGGUCCACAUUUGCUGCAUCUCCCUCUUCUCUCACUUCACGAUUCGGAAUAGGCCAACAAAAUCCAGCAAGAAUAUAUGGCUGUGGCCUGCUUGAGAAAGGGAAAAUAUCAAAAUAUAUCUUACUCUUGAUCUAAUAGCCACUCACAUAUUUUCGUUUUGAUAAAUAUCAUUCAUAUACUUCCAAGAAAAUCCCCACAUUGAGAACAUUAAUUUGCCCCUCCAUGUAAACUCAUUUUAGCAUAUUCCUUACGGUUUAAGUAGACUGAAAAAGUGAAUUUUGAAUGGUAGAAUUCGUGUAGAUAUUUGUUAUUUUCAAAAGAAGAGGUAAAUGGUCAUGGGAUGAGAAAUAAUGUGUAUUUCGUUAUAUUUUUCUCAAAAAACUUAGACAAAACAAAUAUGCUAAUCUUAUAAGCACAUAGUGAGAUUUGUAUUUCAAGUGUAUUAGAAGAAAAAAGACCCUGCAAAUGUCAUAACUUUUGUAUAACGACCACUUAAAUACCAUAACUUUUUUUUCAAUCACUUAAAUGUCAUAAUGAAUCACUUAAGCAUUGUAAUUUUUCAUUAAUAAGGAAAUCCGAUGUGACAUGGCACUUAUGGUAAACAUUCUUUAAAAAUUACAACACUCAAAUGAUCAAUUAAAAGUUAUGGCACUCAAGUAAAGAUUUUUUUUUUUUUUAAAGUCAUGAUACUCAAGUAAUAAAAAAAAUAAAAUGUUAUGGCACUUAGGCGAGCACUGCACGAAAAUUAUGAUACUUGUGGUGUCAUUAUCUCAAUAUCUUAAUAUCCUUCUUCCAUUCAUGACACCAAAUCCCAUAAAAUAUAAUAAAAAGCACACAGAAACAAAAUUAUUUUAGCUAAUGUAAGCAUCUAAUUAAGUAGAGAUUAAUCAAGCUGAUUUAGGUUUUAGAGGUUGCCAGUCAUUUUUGCUCAACCCCUACUAAACAAAGCUACGAACAACAAGCGAUUGUUUUAAGCUAGUGGCUCCGUUUAAGCAUCCAAUUAAAAUCAGCAAGAUUAUUUAGCACAACCCUUUCAAUAUAAGAAGUUUUAGGAACCCUUAUCAUCACCUUGAAGAAGGGCAGCUGCGCAAUUGUGAUUAAAACACCUAGGACAAAGACAAAGCAGCCUUCCCUAAUUUAAAGGGAAAAUAGGUGGACGCCAUACAACUUGCCUCACCUCAUAUAUAUAACCCCAAGGCAUGGACUAAAAUUAGUCAUUUGUGGGUCCCUCUUUUGAAAGGUCAACCCACUUGUUGGAAUGGAAUGAAUUUGAUUGAUAGAGAAGGUCUGGAUUACUUGAGGGAGCGGAUAUAUCCUAAUUGCAUAAAUAAUAUAUUAAAUGUAAUAGAGCAUAUGCCACUUUCAUUUUGCAUGAUUGCAUCUAAUCUUAGAGAUUUGGACUCCUUCCUUCCUUCCUUCCUUCCUUUCUUUCUUUCUUUCUUUCUUUCUUUCUUUCUUAUUUUCCCUCCAAUCUUCCAAUUUGUGUAGAAAAAUAUGAUCCUUUUAGCAUGAGGAACUUGAAAAAUCGUUCUGCUGGGCUCGCACUGAUGAAACAAAAAUAAUAAAGCUGAGAGGUUAGGUGAGGUGAGCUGUGAAAGAAAUUUAUGUAUGAGUUAGAUUGUAAAAUAACCUUGGUCUAAAUUCUCAAUAUUUCUUUUGCUAUACGUUCUGAAAUGAAAAAUCUCUAUUUGGACAAGAAAUAUUUCUUUUCUUGAUGACUGUGGAUUAUAAUUAUACAAUUAUGCAUUACUAUAAGUUUUCACCAACCUGUUCAAUGAACAUGGCUUCAUCCAUAAGGAUACAUCCACGGAUGCACAAGAAUCGGAUUUCGACCAAGUCCAGAGAACUAAACAAGGCCUGGUUUUCCUCUCUUUAGGUAGACAUCCUGAUCGUGUUGACAAUCUUAUCCACCAAGACAUGUAAAUUCCCUAUUUUUAAGAGUACAAUGCCUAAGGAAACGAACAUUCGGUACUCUUCUUUCAUCCCGCUCUUAUAUUUUACUAGACAAGACAGAUUGCCAUACGUAUAAAGAUGUAUAAUUAGAGAAGAUCCAAGAGAAUAUAAUAUUAAAGGAUCGACUUAUUAAGACAUGACAAAUGCAACUUGAGUUCAUUAUUUGACCUACACCUUUUAAAUAAAAAUACAAAUAUAUUUUCGUUACUUAUAAAUUCCUAUGUAGGCUUGAUAUGAAAAAAAAAAAAAUUGUCCUAACCAUUACUAUUUUAAUACGAAACUAGAAAAAAGAAAGUCACCCAACACUUUUUAUGCCCAACAAAAGAAACAAAGAAAAGAUUUGCAUAUAUUUUGAGAAAGAAAAUCUAAAGAUUUCGACUUUGCCUGUAUGGAUGAAACAAUAUUUUUUAUUAAAUUUUAGAGAUUUUUGUUCUUAUCUUAUUAACCAACAUCUUUGCUAGUGAAUACAACAUAUUAUUACAACUUUCUUUUUUCUUGGACAUAAAAAAGAGUUUGGGCUCCAAACUAAAGAUAGUAUUACUUUUUAUGUAAUAUAGAUUAUAAAUUCUUUAUUUUAAGGAAGGGCAGGGGUGAAUCACCUAUAAUUAAUUUUUUUCCCCUAGAUAUCAACAUAGAGUACAUAAAACAACUACUUGCCCCCUCUAGACUUUUCUAGUUCUGCACAGCGUAUAUAAAUUCAAUUUGUUUAUGGCAACAUGGAAUAUUCUCUGAGCAACGAACUGUUGCUUUGAACUCACUUCCUCCUUCCUCCUCCCUUCCCUCGCUUGGACGUUAGCUCCAGGACAAAACAGAGAGCGGGUCGCUGGCCGAAGGACGCAAGGACGCGAGGCUGCGCCCGACGUUCGCCCGCGAAUGUCGUGCGGUACGAAGCCAGCUGGUCUCGUCCUUGAAGAAAGGGACAUAAACGAGAUAAAUGGGAGAGAAAGGCGGCAAAGGGAAGGGGAAGUCUCUCCCGUCUUUUUGGGUUUGUUCGGCCGAGGUAGAGCAACCGAGAGAGAGAGAGAGAGAGAGAGAGAGAGCUAGAGCUCGUGAGGGUGAGAAGGUGAGCUCGAGAGAGAGAGAAGGAGCGAGCCAGAGAAGAGAGGGAGCUCGAGGGUGGCUGCUUCUGGAAGGGUGCGGCUGAAAACCAAGGAGACGCUAGAGCCGCUCGAGAGGGGAGACCGAGAAGGUGGAGAGCGAGGGAGAGCGGGAGAGAGAGGCGACUGUGUUCUCGAGUUCUUCGGGGGAGGCUGGAGACAGCGAGAGCAACAGAGAGAGUGAGAUCCGAGAGAGUGAGCAAAGGGUGAAGCGGAGAGAGAACCGAGAGUGAGCGGAGGGAUGGACCGAGAGAAAGCAGAGACCCAGGAGCCGAACUUCGUUCUCGGACAAGCGUUACGCAGCCAUCCCCAACAUAAACCAGCGAUCUCCAGCCAACACCCUCGAGCACGUGGUGAGUUUUCUUUGGGUUCGAUCCACUUUUAUCUCGAUGAUCCUGGCUCGGUGCAACGUCGAGGCGGCCGACCAUAGCUCGUUUCGCUUCAGGCUCACCUACUGGCCGUCGCCGCCGAGCCGGGUAGGGAGUGGUCAAACACUUCUCUCUGGAAACUUCAUUGCUUGGUUUCAUUCAAGACGGAACCAAAACGAUAGCUGGGUCUCGUUUUCCCUAGUCCACCAGCAUGCUCGAUUUGAACGAGCCGUCCCUUUUGUCGAGUUUGAGUCGUCACUUGCUGCUUUCUUUUGAGUAAAUGACUUGGAGUGCUGCCAUUUUCAUUCUCUGUUGAUGGCUGCUUGAAUAUGCUCAAGACUCCUCCCUUUCGUUUCAGGAACACACCCUUUAAAUUCCCCCCUGGAGUUUCUGCAUGAAAAUUGAUUAUUCACUGGUUUAAUAGCAUGCGAGUAAUGACUGGACUUUAUCUAUUUAGAUAUGGUGGCGACUUUUGACUAGUUAUGCACUGUUCAGAAUGCCAGAUUCAUUUGUAGAGGUUUCUAGAGGAAGGAUUUUGUUUACCAUUUUUCUAAAUUAUACAGCAGGUAUUUAUAAUUUGCAUUUCUAAAAUGUAAUUUCCUUUCAAUUUCCAGAGAGAAGGAUCACAUUGUUUCUUGGUGCAACUGGGCAGAAGUUUCUAUCUAUGCUCGUGUGGCACGUAUAUUGAUUUUUUGACAGUCCUCCUAACGGUUUACUUGGUGACACCCAAUCACAUAUCGUUUGGCUACAUUUUGCUCCUCCUAUGUUGGAUCAUAGGAAGACAACUCUUUGAAAGGAAGAGAAGACACCGUUGGUUUCCAUUGAAAGUAUAUGCAAUCACUGUGUUUAUCUUAAUAUACAGCUUGAGCAAUUUCUCCGCCUUUGAGAUGUGGUUGUCAGGAUUGAUUGAUCUUCAUUUUUACUUGGCCUACAACUCAGAAGCUUUGCUAUUUGCAGAAUAUUUGGCAGUCUAAUGCAAUAUGGAUUGUGAUGCAGCUUUACAGCUACGAGAGGAGACAGAGCAAGUAUAUCCAGUCUGAUGACUCCAAACUUAUGGAAUUUGGAGUACUUGGAUUUAUGGAGAGCUUCCUCAUUUGGCACAGCGACAAGAUAGUGUGUGUAGCAAAGUUCUAUGCAUCAUUGUCACCAAUUAGUCUCUGCUCGGUCUUGUCAUUUGUUCCCUUUCACCUAAAGCAUCUUGAAUCCCAUCAAAGUUAUUCCUUCUUCAUACAGGAAUUCUGGUGAUGACAGAAUAUCUCUUUCAGAUGUGGGGUGCCCAGGCAGGAAUGUUUCCUGGACAAAAUGACUUUAGUUUAGCAAAGUUCUUGGGUUUUGAGUUAUUUCAGUCAGGCUUUUGGGGUCUAGAAUUGGGUUUAAGGGGGAAAAGUGUUGGUGAUAUCUGCUUGUAUCCUUCAAUACAAUGUCUUCCGUUUGGUUGCAAAAAUUACCAACUCACAUUUUGAGCAAAUAUUACACCAAAGAACCUUGCCCUCUGUUUGUAUCAGCAGCAGAAGUGUUUAGGGAUUUUUCUAAUUCAAACGGGGAAAGCAAACCACCUGCAGAUUCUCUUGCAAUUCCUUGUGAAGCAGAGGCCGUGAGAAACAAUUUGUCUUCCUCAGCCUCUGGUUUUUGUCAAGCAUCAAAUAAUGUACCCAAAGCUGGAGGCUCUGGGGGUGGUAGUGCUAGAAAUAUUCCUUUGGAUAUAUUUGGGGAAGCACCAACAAAAGCCAGAAAUGGAACAAGAAAAGGAUUAUCACCAUGAGAAGGGAGAGAUUUGAAACGCAGAAGACAAUCUUCAUAGUCUAUAUAAAUUUUUGGAUGGAGAAAACAUGUUUAAUCUCUUUGGCCUCAAAAUAAACACGGUGGCCUUGCUCCUUGCCUCCUUUGCUUUGUUAAAUGCCAUUCCAAUGCUAUAUAUUGCACUUCUUGCUGCCUGCAUACUUCUAAAUCGCAAUGUCAUUCGGAAAUUAUGGCCAGCACUUGUCUUUUUGCUUGCUUCCAUUCUCGUCCUACAAUACUUUGUCAUUUGGAAGAGCACACCAUCUGCCAAUACACAAACAUCAAGCAAGGCUGAGUCUGUAUUUCCUUUCGAAUUUUAUGAUUCUCCUGCCAGUAUGAAUGCUGAAAGUCUUCAUGUGAUGAAUUCAGCUGAUCAUUCAUUUGAGUUUUCCCAUUGCGAGAUCACUGAGGCUGAGAAGGAUGGUGGAGGUUCUUUAUAUGAUUCAGAUAAGAAAGAGAAGGUAAGCAUGUGAUAUCUAUGACUUUGCCUUUGACUGUCUACUCAUGCUAUUUUCAGUUCUCUGUGACAUCUAAAUUCUAUUGACCCUUCUUUGCAACAGGUUAUAUUUGUUGAUGCAGAGCAGGUGGUGCGAGCAGACAUGGGAGAACUUUAUGACAUGGAUCUGAAAGGAAGACCGCUUGCAUAUACUCCUUUUUGUGACAACAACAAGGAGAUGGAUGGAUAUUGCUUUUGGAGACAAGUACAUAUUGAAUCAAUUUAUUCUUGUGUUCUAUUUCAAGCAAUAGAAUGCCUUUGCCUUUUCCAAUCAAUCUAUUCGUGUUUUAUUACAAGCAAUAGAAGGCUCUUGCCCUUUCAGAUCAUUGCUGUCUACAUCCCUAAGUAAGCUCUUUUAUUUUCUCACAAAAACAGGGUUUCUGGAAGGAGCACUUACGCGGAAGACCAUAUCAUAUGAGGUAGAUUUUUUAGACGGUUCCAUUCUGUUUUGGCGCCAUUGGUAUCAUAUAUGGGUUUUAAUUAUGAUAUCGUUCUGCAGUGCACUGUACGUUGUUGAUUUGGAGAAAUUUCGAGAGACUGGGCAGGAGAUAACCUGAGAGUGUUCUAUGAAUCUCUCAGCAAGGAUCCAAACAGUCUGUCCAAUCUUGAUUAGGUCAGUUCUUGGAUAAUAAACUGCAAAUUCUUCAGCAUGAGAUAUUCUUUGCAAGCUUAUAGCUGUGACUUUCUAAAAAGAUUCUCGCAAGGUGUUAAUUUGUAAAAGCACUGCUUAAAUAUCCGUGAGCAUAAACAUAGCAGUUGUUUGUCUAAGUGCCCUCUCUCAUGCUUCAGGACCUCCCGAAUUAUGCUCAGCACACCGUGCCUAUCUUCUCAUUACCCCAAGAAUGGUUGUGGUGUGAGUCGUGGUGUGGUACAGCCACUAAAUCCAAGGCAAAGACUAUUGAUCUUUGCAACAAUCCUAUGACGAAGGAAACCAAGCUUCAGGUAAGUUCAUUAGGUUGGGUUCUUUUCCUACUGCCAAAAUGAUUCGUAUAGUUGUGAUGUAAUUUUGUUUUUGUUGUCCUCUCAGGGUGCGAAGAGAAUAGUUUCUGAAUGGCCUGAUCUUCACUUAGAGGCAAGAACGUUUACUGCGAAAAUUCUCAGAGAUGAAUCUGAGCUUCAAGAAGCAGUGGCUUCAGAUAAGUCGCAGGAUUCACAGGGUGAUGAGUCAUCGGUAGAGGAGCUUGGCCUUGAAUCCAAGUCAGAGCUGUAAGGCACGGUUUCAUUCAGCCAUGACAUGAUUGAUCCCAAAGUGUAAUCCUGAUCGAGGAUGGAAGGGUAACUAUCAGCAAAGAACGUUUUGGAGUUGCAUCAACUAAGCAAAAACAAGUGGUUAUGGUGUACGUAUGCUGUCGAGAUUGGGGAUGGAGAUGCACACCAUCAAGAAAAUGAGGUCAUGGGGAGGCUGUGAGAAAGGCAAGGUAGCGCCGGUAGAGAUUUAAAAUUUUCUCGAGAAUUUUAGAGAGAAGCGAGCUAUUCAUUUUGCUUAGUUUUUGUUAAUCAGCCGGGUAAUCUUAUUUUAAUUGGGCUAUUUGCAAAUGCGUGAAAUAACGCGCUUGAUUGUGGAAUUUCUUCCUCGAUGAUAAAAUCACAGGUGAAAGGUCAACGUUUCGAUUUUGUUAGAAUGCCCUAGUACACACACUUGGUUAUGUAGUCAAAUAGGGAAAACUUGUAAAAUUUUUUGAUGGAUGAACUUUUUAUCGUGAUGCUUUCGGAGACUACCGAAAGUUACGUACUAGCCAUAAGUGCUAUGUUCGAUUAUUUUAAUGGAGGCAUGGAGUGGGCCUGUGUGUUUUGCUUAAACCUGAUCUCGGGUCUCGGCCCGGCCUAGUUUAAUGACCUCAACCGGUCAUUGCCCCUCGUGCCUUAAGAUGUCCACACCUUGCAGCGCUGGACGUUUGGGCCUUCCUCUACCCACUUCUUAGGCGUUUGUCGUAUGGCCCGGCCCAUUAUUUGGCCUAAUACUUAUUGGUCCGGCCCAUUAUUGGGCUUAACUUGGGUCCUCUUAGCCUUUGCUGCCGAUGUCACCACCUUCGGAUCUCUACCCUCGGAGCCGAAUUGAUAUCUCUGAAAACUCGGCGCGAAUCUGAGCCUCGUGCCACAAGUUCCUCGAUCAGCAGCUGCUCCGUCUUCUAGGGUUCGAGAGGGUCCGGAGGAGGUAGAGAUCGAGAGAGAACGAAAUCGAUCCCCCCUCGUGAUUCCCAACCGCUGGCGCUCAAUCUCCAAUCUCCCGCCAAUGGAGGAAAACCCUGUUGGGAAUAACGGAUCCCCGAAAAACGGAUUCGACACUAAAUCGAACCCCUAAAUCAAUGCGGAAGACGAAGCCAGGGAAAACACGCAUCACCGAUUGUAAAGUACACCACGGAUUCGAGCGUACCUUGUUAGCAACAGAUUAAACACCAAUGCUGAAGAUUGAGGAAGAAAUUCUGAUUCAAUGAUGUCAAUUUGCCUUGAAAAGGGAAACGACGUUGCCUUGAGCGUUUUGGAAGAAAAGAGAGCGUUUUUCUUUUCUUUUUCUUGGAGGGAGAGAGGGAGAGGAACGUACGUACGUUCUGAUUUCCCAAGAGUUGUCUUCUCUCUCUCUCUCCUCCCUUUUAUACCUUCCCCCAUUCACGGGCCCUAUUCCCGUGGACCGGGCCUUUUUGGGCCCAACUUGAGCGGAUGGGCCUUAAGCCCAUCUCAUAAAUCCAUCAUCUCCCACUCGCACAUGGUGGUCCAAAACCAACAUGGGCGGAUAGGCCCUACUCAACCCCAUCAGAGAAAAAUCCAUCAUAGACUCUCACUUAACAUGGUGGGCCGAACAGAAUCCUCUUUUCCUCUCUUCAACAUUCAUACCGGUGAAUAAUCCGUGUGACCAGCAUACUUUGAGAGCUCGUUGCCAUACAUCUGUUAGGAAUGUAUAGCAGCUCAUAAUGGGCAUCACACUUCGAGUACAUUUAGUAUGCAGUACCCUAGAUCGAUCGAUCACAUUUAUAUCUCUCUUGAUCUCUUUCAAACAAUGAUAUAUAUAUUGUAUUCACAAUUAUGAUUAUCACAGACAAUCAUAAUUGGUUAACCGGUGAAUACAAAACUACAAUGUGAUUCUCCAAAAUCGAUCUUCCUCUUUCCUUCAAACUCUCAAUUUCAGUCCAGCUUGCUUUUCUAGAAAUGCCCCAUUAGAUCGAAUUACUCAUGACCAUUGGCAACAUCCUAAGAUAGCAAACACUAAAUAGAAAUCUUGAGAAUAAGUAAGAGUCAUGAGGAGACUAAGAAAUUGAGGAACUCUCUUCCUCAAGAGUCUCACACGACAUAAAAGUUGAGAUCAAACUUUUGCCACUCUUAUCGGUCGUCUCAUGCAUACGUAGUAUGAAAUACGUAUUAUGGUAUUAAUUCAUUUCCCAUGGAGCGUAUGUCUAUACAUUUCAAUACCGUACAAAUGAUAGUUCAGACAUACCCAAUGUCUAACUUGAGUUCACGUAUCUACUCAUUCACAAAAUUCAUCAGAACUCACAUUUGGCAUCUUAGACAGAUAAAGUAAAAUAUGUGGGGUAUUUUACUUUCGGACAUAGUAAGUAUUAUAUCCUCAUCUUAACACUUAGUUAAGGCGACAUACAUGUUUUAAGCUUGAGCUCUCGAUUAUCACCCAGAUAAUAAACUUUAAAACAGUCUCAUCUCUAUUUAUCACACAGUAAAUAGAGGCGAUUACCCGUGUGAGUGGGCUAAUCUUAUAUCUGUCCGACAUACUUUUCAACUUAAAGUAAUGCACUAAGCAUUAAGAUGCAUAAAGAUCAAACAAAGAUUCAUAGGCAUUAAUGAUGAAAACACAAAUUCAUCAAAUGUGAACAUUUAUGGAAAAUACAAUAUUUAGUACAUCAGCCUCUACGCAAUUCUAGAGAUUUCAUAUGGCCACAAAACACAUCUCUAGGUAUUGGCUUUAUCAUAGGAUCUGCUACCAUUCUAUGCGUAGUAUGUACUCUAAGUUCACAUCUUUUCGUGCAACCAUAUCCUUGACAAGAUUAUACUUGGUAUCUAUAUGUUUAGUCUUGCUAUGAUAUUUUGGAUCUUUGGUAUAGCUUUUUGCUGCUUGGCUAUUACAGUUAACCAACAACAAAUCUGCAGCACUUCCAAUAACACCUAAAUGAUCCAAAAAAUCUCUUAAGCCAAACACUUUCUUACACUGCUGCUGAUAAUGCAACGAACUCAACUUACAUCGUGGACAAGGCUAUACACUUUUGUUUCUUACUGCUCCAACAUAUGGUGCCAUUAUUCGGUAAGAAAACAAACCUAGAGAUAGAUUUUCUUUUAUCUAAAUCUCCUCCCCAAUCAAUAUCACAAUAGCCUUUGAGUUGCAGAUUCUUUCCUUAAUAACUCAACGUAUAAUCAGCAGUCCCCUUUAGAUACCUUAGUAUUCUCUUAACGGCUUAAUGUGCUUGACCUGGAUUGGAUUGGUAUCUGCUCACCAUUCCAACUGCAAAGCAUAUGUCGGGUGUUGUACACAUCAUAGCAUACAUCAAACUCCCAACAGCACUAGCAUAAGGAACAUGUUUCAUUUGUUCCUUCUCUUGUGGAGUCCCUAGACACAAUUUAUGGCUCAAUCAUUCACCUUUUGCAAUAGGAGUGUCUAUGGGUUUACAAUCCCAUAUCAUUCAACUCAAAGUUAGAAGACAACCAUCUCUUGACAGUAUUAACCAACUCCAUAUUGCUUCCAGCAAUUAGUAUAUCAUCAACAUAUAAUGAUAUGAUCACAAAUUGAUCCUUGGAUCUUUUGAUAUAUACACAAUGAUCCCCAUCUAUCAUUGUAAACUCAUAUGCCAUUAUGGCACUAUGAAAAACGUAUAUACCAUUAUCUCGAUGACUGCUUAUGGCCAUAUAUCGACCUCAAAAAUCGAUACAACUUUUCUUCUUGGCCUUUCAUUAUGAAACCAGCAAGUUAUUCCAUAUAUUUCUUCCUCUAAUUCUCCAUUGAGGAAAGCAGUCUUUACAUCCAUUUGAUGUAACUCAAGAUCCAUACUUGCCAUUAUUGCCAGAAUAAUGCGAAUCAAGGUAAAUCUCACUACAGGAGAAAAUGUAUCUUGAUAAUCAAUUCCUUCCUGUUGAUUAUACCUCUUCGCCACAAGGCGAGCCUUAUGCCUUUCUAUUGAGCCAUCAGUCUUUCGCUUUAUUUUGAGAACCUACUUGUUCCCAAUAGCUUUGUGUCCUUUUGGAAGAUUAACCAGUUCCCAGACUUGGUUUAAUUUCAUUGACUCCAUUUCCUCUUUCAUUACAUGAAAUCAUUUUUCCUUAUUAGGGCAAUUCAGAGCCUCAUUAAUAUUUCUUGGCUCAUCCUCAUCUUGUGGAGCAACCAUAAAAGUUUCCCUUUCAAUGUCAAAACAUCGACGAGGAAUACUUUGGCGACUUGUUCACCGUAUGGGAGAUUGUACACUUAGCACAUCAUUCCCCAUCAUGCUCCCACUUGGAUUAGGUAAUGAUGAUGUCGUUACAUCAGGUGGUUGCAAUUGAGAAUGAGUUGAAUUCAAUUCAUCACAUCUCAUAUUACUCCCACUUGGACGAACUCCACUGACAUCAUUAUCUUGAUCCAAGGUUUCAAAUAGGGAGUAAUUUUCCCUUAUUUCGCCCCUUUUAGAAAAUUCAUCCACUAAGGAUGUGACAUCCCGUGAUUCAAAUUCAGUUAUACUCCCACUUUCCUGCUCACUUAUGAACACAUACCCUUUUGAGUGUUCGCAGUAUCUCAUGAAAAUACUCUUAUUUUCUUUCGGGACCCAAUUUUCCAAACUUGUGAGAGGACUCAUGAGCAUAGGCAGCACAACCCCAUGACUUAAGAAAACUUAAGUCCGAUUUUCUAACUGUCCAUAACUCAUAUGAAGUGGAAAUAACUGAUUUGGAAGGCACCCGGUUAAGUAUAUAGGCAGCAGUUAAUAACACAUCACUCCAAAAAGUGAUAGGUAAGUUAGCAUGCGCCAUCAUGGACCUAACCAUUUCAGUAGGGUUCUGUUUCUUCUCUCCGCAACACCAUUUUGUUGAGGAGUAUAUGGAGUAGAUAGCUAUCUUUCUAUUUCUUUUUCAUCACAUAAUUUUCUGAACUUAUCAGAUAAAUAUUCUCAACCUCGAUCGGAUCUUAAUACCUUUAUUUUCUUGUCUAAUUGAUUUUCUGCCAGGUUCAUAAACCUUCUGAAACAAUUUAUGCUUCAAAUUCAUGAGAAAUCAAAUAGACAUAUCCGACUCGAGUAUAAUCAUCUAUAAAAAGUGAUGAAAUAAACAGCCCAUUGCCUUCCUCUCACAUUCAUUGAACCACAGACGCCCAAAUGGAUUAAAUGCAGAGAAAAUUCAGCUCUUUUACCUUUUCCAAAUGGUUUCCUUGUCAUUUUCCCUAUUAGGCAAUGCUCACAUAUGGACAAAUCGACUUUUUCAAUAUUGCCCAACAAGCCCUUUUUGGCUAGUCUUUUUAUAUGUUGUUGGCCUAUAUGACCAAGUCUAGCAUGCCACCAUAUUCACAUCAUUAUCAUAUAAGGUAGAAGACGUAAAACAAGGGAAUAACAUAUUGACAUCAUCACAGUCAACAUUUAGUACAAUAAAACCAUUCAGUAAGUGACCACAACUAUAGUAGUUUGUAUCUAAACACAAAUCUACACCUUUAUUAUGGAAGUUCAUACCAAAACCAAGCUUAACCAACACUAAGACAGACACUAAAUUUCGACGAAUCUCCAGAGCAUAUAGAACAUCAAGAUGCGUCCACCUUGCAUGUUCAAUUGGCAGGUGCCAAUCCCUUUAACUUCAGCUCUAGAGUUAUUUCCAAUAUAGAUCCACUUAGUUCCAGUUGGUAUCGUCGGAAUUCCACGAAGGAUCCUCUAUCCUUCGCUACAUGGUCUAUCGCUCCUGAAUCUACAGUCUACAAAGGAUUAUACUCAGUCAAGAAUACAGAACUCGACACAAAAGUAAAGUUCUGAAAAGUACAAGGGGUGUUUACUUUAUUUGGCUCACGACAGUUGCGAGCAUAGUGACCCUUCUUGUCACAAUUAUAACAUUUCACCCAUGACAUUUUCUUCACUUGAGGAUGUUUUCCUCUCUUGUGUUGGUUAACUCUUGAUUUCUUGCAAUAAGGACUUGAUCCUUUGCAUUCCCACAUAUUGAACGAAUCAAUACGUUUGCGCUUAGAGCACAAAGCCCUUUCUGAGCUAGAACCAGCAUUGAAAAUAUCUAUUUUCGGCUCAAAUACCGUUAGGCGGUCCUCUACUAGCUCAAGGUGGCGCAUGGCAUCCUUAAGAUCUUCCAUAACAUGGUUAAGAGCUUCUAGUGCUUCUUGCUUUUCCAGCACAUAUUGAAUCUUCUUAUUUAAUAUUUCACAAUUGUUACCGUUCAUAUCAGCAAUCACGUUCUUAGUUACUGAAACCAUCGAUCUGAACACAUCAGACAUAUAUGCACGAAUAAUUAAUGCCUAUCAUUUAUGCAUCCCUACUUGCAUAGACCCAUCAUAUUAAUGAAUAAUUUCAAGUAAGGCUUUAGAAUCAAAAGGUCACUAUGUUUCCAAUCAUCCUCCAAAAAUCCUAACUCAAAAUUACUAUUAAUAUAAUUGUCUUAUGCAAAUAAAUUCUAUGAAGUUACAUUAAACUUCUAUUACUACCCACAGUUAAUUACCCACAGCAACCAGCAAUAGCAGAAAGCAUAUAAAAUCUUAACAUCCAAUAAAAUAACAAUACUUUCACAUGAUACAACUAACAUAUCGGUUGCUAUAUCAACAACAAUCAGGUAGUAAACAUUACAUAAUUAAUCAAAGAAAUAAAUAGGGAAUGUCCCUUCUAAUCUAUCAGCCAUAAUAUCUGAGAAAUUUGAAGGCACAUUAGCUAACCAUGGAAAAAAUUUUGGAGAGCAUUCAUGUCGCCUCCAAGGCGCAUUCACUCGGCGCCAUGUGGCGCUCAAUCUAAGGGUUGAAGUUUUGGCCAACUCAAUCCUAUAGUGCUUUCUUACAAAAGCUUCCACCAGCCUCCUAUAACCAGGGACCACGUUGACCUCCCAUAGCCGAUCCAACACUGCUUGCCAUUCAGGUGGAAGAGUGUUCAUCAAAGCCCGAACCUUCUCAAAAUCCGGCAUAAGAUAAUCAUUCCAGAUGAUUUCCUGUAUCAUCUGGUUGACCUUGACCACAUGUGAUACUAAAUCACCAUCAUGCCACUGAUAAUUAGCUAAUUCUGACAUCAGCCUUUUAAGUCUUGCAUUUCCCUCGCUCGUUCUCGGGAUUGCAGGUAUCCUUGCAUAACGCAUCAUAGUUCCUGCAACAAAUGCAGAAUUAAAAAUGGAUCACUUAUUAUCCAUAAUUAAUAUAAGGGAAAAUACAUAAUUUUCCAAAAUUCAUGCAACAAAUGCAGAAUUAAAAAUGGAUUACUUAUAAUCCACAUAGGCAUGACUGAAAAAGAAAACAAAUUCCUUUUUUUUUUGGGUCAACGGUCAACGCUCGGUCAACGGUCAACUGGUCAACGGACGGUCAACAGUCAACGGUCUUCGGUCAACGGUCAACGGGUCGGGUCAACGGGAGUGCGGGUCGGACCGCUCGCGCGGACCGACCGCACGUGCCUCGCGCGUGCGGGGAAUGACGUCACGCAUAUGUCAUCCGGCACGUGCCGGGCGCGUGCCUGCGUCCGCGAGUCGGGUUGGGUCGCCGGUCGGGUCGGGUCGCCGGUCGGUGACCGCCCGGCGAAACGUCGUCGGCGAUGACGUCAUCGGUGACGUCAUCCGAGCGGUUACCGACGUUGGAUGACGUCAUCGUGUGACGUUAGCACGCGUCGGUCCGCGGACCGACGCGUGCCGGUUCGCCCGCCGGCGGCGUGCACGUGUCGGUUCGCCGACCGGCGCGUGUGCCGCACACGCUGGGCGAGCUGACUCUUUCGGGCGCGUCGCGCCCACGCGCAGCUCCUUCCGGUCGCGCGUGUGGGCGCGUGCGGCGUCGCCCGACGGCGUUCGACCUAUCCCCGGACUCGUCUCGACGUCGCCUUUCACCCAGUGCCUUCAAAAUUUGAUUUUGACUUACGAAAACUUAGAAAAAUGGCCGAACGACGCUCGGGUGUCGGGAUUUCUCGCCCCGAUCCGUACGGCCGAAAGUUUUUUCGCGAAAAAUCAAUCAAAAAACAUCAAAUUGAUCGGGAAAACGUGAACUAGGGCUCUGAUAUCAAUGUUGGGAAUAACGGAUCCCCGAAAAACGGAUUCGACACUAAAUCGAACCCCUAAAUCAAUGCGGAAGACGAAGCCCGGGAAAACACGUAUCAUCGAUCGUAAAGCACACCACGGAUUGGAGCGUACCUUGUUAGCCACAGAUUAAACACCAAUGCCGAAGAUUGAGGAAGAAAUUCUGAUUCGAUGAUGUCAAUUUGCCUUGAAAAGGGAAACGGCGUUGCCUUGAGCGUUUUGGAAGAAAAGAGAGCGUUUUUCUUUUCUUUUUCUUGGAGGGAGAGAGGGAGAGGAACGUACGUACGUUCUGAAUUCCCAAGAGUUGUCUUCUCUCUCUCUCUCCUCCCUUUUAUACCUUCCCCCAUUCACGGGCCCUAUUCCCGUGGGCCGAGCCUUUUUGGGCCCAACUUGAGUGGAUGAGCCUUAAGCCCAUCUCAUAAAUCCAUCAAACCCUUGCGGCGAGAUCAGCUCCGGCGAUGAUAGCGUCGCCGAUCAAAAACCGCGCUUCGUCAUGGAUGAAUUCGCUCCGGUAGGACGCCAGAUCGAAGCUCCGGGUCCCCAUCAACCUGCCGGACAAUGAAAUCUCCCUCCUCCGCAGCCGGCGGAACCUGAGCUUCAGCGAAUCGUCCGCCACCGAAUUCCCGACUUCUCCUUCUCCAUCUCCCCACUCCUCGUCCUUGGCCUCAGCGUCAAUCGGUCGAAUCUGCAAAGGGAAGGCUCCGGCGACGGCGAGGGUGAGCCUCGAGAACAGCGCUAGCGGUGGCGACCCCCGUGGCGGCCGGCAGGCGUACAAGAGCAUGAGGACGGUGGUGGAGGUGCUGCGGGAGCUGGACGUGGACAUAGUGGCGCUGCAGGACGUGAAGGCGGAGGAGGAGAGGGAGAUGAAGCCGCUGUCGGAGCUGGCGGCGGCGUUGGGGAUGAGCUACGUGUUCGCCGAGAGCUGGGCGCUGGAGUACGGCAACGCCGUCCUCUCCCGGUGGCCGAUCAAGCACUUGAAGGUCCAGAAGAUAUUCGACGUCACCGAUUUCAAGUCCGUCAUUUCGUUUUAUUUUAUUUUAUUUAUUAAUUUAAUAAUUUCCACAUAUUUUUUACCUGUUAUUCUUGCUAUCAUUUUCGUAAUUAUGGUGACGAUGAUAUGCUCUCUUUUUCAUUGAGCAAGUGGUCUUCCUAGGCGAUUUCGGAAUUUAAAAGAUAUUUUCAUUUAUUUAUUGAGGCGUCCACUGUUGAAAGCAAAGUUUGAUAAUAUAUCAUAAAUUAAUACUCCCACUGGACAUAUUAUAUAAUUUUUUUUUUAUAUUUUCCAAGUGGAAAGAUUAAUUUCGCAGACCAUCUACAACAGUGCAAAUCCACUUCGGACAGUUGAAAAUUCGUUGAAAUUAAGGUAAGGUGGAUGUAAUAAAAAUUCACAAGACCAAAAAAUAAAAGCAAAAACAUAAGCUUUUGCCUAGCCAUCAGAGUUUGUGGAUGAAAAUCUUGCUGUCACUUGGUUUAUAUUUUGUCUUUUUUUUUCCCUCCCCUUUUUAAAACUGUUCUAUUUGGAAUUAUAUGAAUGGAGUUGUCCAGGAACUGAUCUGGGAAGAAUUUGGAAUAUUAUUCACGAGAACCCUACCACCAAAAAUUCAAGAAUUCCCCAAGGCUUUUCUCCCACAGCCUGUUUGCCUUUGUACAACUUACGGAAAGCUAUCUACAACAACUAUGGUGGGCCUUUCCAAGGAUCCCAGCACCAGCUGUGAGCAAUGCCAGUCAGAAGUAAAAUAUAAAUUAAAUUUUUAAAAAAACCCAUUUUUUUCUUUCUAUGAUUUUAGAUAUGGGUUCUCCAGAGAAUUGUCAUUUAUCAAUAAUAAUAAUAAUAAUAAUAAUAAUAAUAAUAAUAAUAAUAAUAAUAACAAUAUCUUCGGUUAUAACUAUUCGAAAUUCGUGCGAGUGUGUGUGAUGAAAGACUGUCUUGGACCUCUUUCAUUCCUCUUUUUUUUUUUUUUUUCAUUUCUGGUUGCAUUUAGUGGGUUGAUAUAGUCAAGAGAAUGCUUAGGAACCUGCUAAAUUACAUAUAUAUUUUUUGCUCUUUAGUAUUUAAAUAAGGAGUUGGGAAGAUAAACGAAGGAUAAGAUCUAUGGCGUACAUUAAAUGAGGGCAGGGUAAGGUGUAUGUAGGUAGGACAGUAACGUGGGGAGGAUUUUGCUUUUGCUUUAUUUUAUGUAUUUGCCAAAUCAGAUGCUUGACCCGAAGACUGUACAAGGACUACUCAUCUGCAAGGAAAACUACAUUUCUCUCAAGUGAGACAGACCAGAUAGAAUCAACUUGUUUGAGACACCACUCAAUUGCUCGUCAUGGAGUCAAUUUCUGAGACUUUUGCGUUCGAUUAAUUGAGCCACGCCUUAGAUAGUGAAGGGAUUAUGUGCUUCGUUGCGCGAAAAUUCAUAAAAAGAAGAAAAUGGUGGAUUGAAAUAUAAUUGAUUGACAUAUUAAAUUGACCAGGAAUGGAAGUGGCUGUGAACUCGAUAUGUUUUAUUACACAGGAAUGUUCUGAAGGCAACAAUAGAAGUGCCCCAUGUUGGGGAAGUGAACUUCCAGUGCACCCACCUGGAUCAUCUCGACGAGAACUGGCGGAUGAAGCAAGUCGGCGCCAUCAUCCAGUCGAGCGACUCUCCCCACAUCUUGGCUGGUGGCCUCAACUCUCUGGACAAAACCGAUUACUCGCAAGAGCGGUGGACCGACAUCGUCAGGGUAUUUACAUUUCUGUCAUGUUUAAUGUGAUAUUCGUUAGCACGUCAAACUCGAUUACUAAAUAGCUUAAGCUACGGCGAUUUUGUAAUCAUGGGCACCUGUGUUUGUUACAGUACUAUGAGGAAAUGGGAAAACCGACCCCAAAGGUUGAAGUCAUGAGGUUUCUGAAGAGCAAGCAGUACACAGAUGCUAAGGACUUUGCCGGAGAAUGCGAGUCCGUGGUUGUCAUAGCCAAAGGACAAAGUAAGAACUCACUUGUUCGCUUUCCCAUCUUUCGAUUUUUCUUUUUCGCUUUGUCAAAUGGCUAAUCUAAGGUGCUUUUGAAGCACGAUGCUCCUUUCGCUCGAUGAUCAUAUGAUUGACUUGAAUGGACGGAAAUUCAUAACAUUUGAAGCAUGAUGAUCAUGUUGAAUAUAUACAUCCGAUGUUGUCAUCACUUUGUUGAUAUCAACCUUUGAUGUGAAAAUCCAUAGUAUAAAAAUUGAAGUCCAAAGUCAUUUUUUCGAGUGAUUAUUGUUUGAAUAUGUAAUUUGAAAUUGUUUAUUCUAUUGCAGGUGUGCAAGGGACGUGCAAAUACGGAACGAGGGUGGACUACAUACUGGCGUCACCAGAUUGCCCAUACAAGUUCAUUCCGGGGUCGUAUUCGGUCCUGUCAUCGAAAGGGACAUCGGAUCACCACAUCGUAAAGGUUGACGUAACGAAAUGCGAAAACAACCCUCCCUAUGAAAGCAAUGGCAACAACAAUAAAAUUACCAAGAAAAGGCGACGACAGCGCAAGAACCAGGCCGUUGUAAAGAUCUCAGGCACAGCUCCUCCUUCAAAGGGUAUAUGGACAACGAACACAUUAAGCAAAGUCGAAUGACAUUACAUUUAUAUCUUCCUUUUCUUUCCACUCUUUUCUCAGCUUCUGCUCCUGUUGCUGCUGUUGAGUGAUCUUGGGCAUGCUGGCUUCGUCAAUCUCUGUGUAAAUCUUCGAUUGUUUUGUGCAUCUUGUCUUCUCUGGUUUUUUUACUUCAGUUUAGAGUUGAAGAGGGGAGGAUACUGGUGUGAUGGCUUCCUCAGAGGGUUCUGGUGUGAUGGCUUCCUCACAUCUGUAUAGAUUUCGACGCGACAGAGAUGAAUUCUUACGUUUCAACUAGGCAUUGGAGCUGAGCGGUUCUGGCAAGUUCUUUUUCAGUAUUUUAUGCCUUUUCUUUUCGCUUGUAAUCUUAACUGUAAGAUUCAGAUUAGGUUGAGGUUUGAUAAUGCGAUCUUGUAUCUUUAGAUUUAAUUGAAAGUUGAAACGUUUUAGAUUAAAAGUCCUUAGAAUAAAAUUGCAAAUUUCGAAAAUUGAUAUUUUUUUUUUUGUUAAGUUGGACAUCAAGUGAUUGAUAAGGGCCGUUUGUUAAAAACAAUUUCUGUUCCCCGGAAUAACAAUUUCUAUUCUUUUGUUCCAAGAAAUGAAAAAAGAAUAGAAACGUGUUUGGUAAAACUUUUGCUCCCCGGAAUAAAAUAUAGAUCUUUUGUUCCCGAGAUUAGAUUUGGAACAGAAACAUCUGUUUCCCAGAAUAACAAUUUCUAUUCUUUUGUUGCAAGAAAUGAAAAAAGAAUAGAAACGUGUUUGGUAAAACUUUUGCUCCCCGGAACAAAAUAUAGAUCUUUUGUUCCCGAGAUUAGAUUUGGAACAGAAACAAGAAGUAAAAAAAAGUAGCUUCUUAUUUCCGAGAUCAAUUUCUAAAAUCAAUUUUCCUCUCUUUUUUUUUUUUUUUCUUCUUCUUCUUCUUAACAAUUUCUAUUCUUUUGUUCCAAGAAAUGAAAAAAGAAUAGAAACGUGUUUGGUAAAACUUUUGCUCCCAGGAACAAAAUAUAGAUCUUUUGUUCCCGAGAUUAGAUUUGGAACAGAAACAAGAAGUUAAAAAAAGUAGUUUCUUAUUUCCGAGAUCAAUUUCUUCUUCUUCUUCUUCUUCUUCUUCUUCUCGGUGGUGGUCGGCGAUCCGCCAAAGAGAAAAAGAAAAAGGAAAGAGGAAAAAAAAAAGAAAAGAAAAAAGCUCUUUUCUAGCUUCCAUUUUCAACCAUACUUGCCUAAGUGUGCGAUCAAUAUGGACUUUAGAAAAGCUUAUGACACGGUCAAUUGGGAUUUCCUUGAGAGAGUCAUCUUGGCUUUUGGUUUCCCUGAGUUUAUAACUCGGCUAAUUAUGACGUGUGUUCGCACUUCUAAGUUUUCGAUUGCUUUGAAUGGAGAGCUUCAUGGAUUCUUUGCAAGUGGUCGUGGACUUCAUCAAGGUGAUUCUAUCUCUCCCUAUUUAUUUACUUUAGUGAUGGAAGUCCUAUCAGGGAUCUUAUUCAGAUGCACUUUGAAGCCAGAGUUUAAGUUCUUUUGGAGAUGCAAGCCCACGAGCCUUUCACAUCUUUUCUUUGCAGAUGACGUUUUCUUGUUUUCGAAGGCGGAUUUGCCCACUAUAGCCAUCCUUAAAGAAGGUCUUCAAACCUUCUCUACUUGGAGUGGCUUGUUCCCAAAUCCAAAUAAGAGUGAAAUCUUCCUUGUUGGAGGCACGCCGUCCUUAAGAAACCAGAUUAUCUCUGAGUUGGGUUUUCACGAAGGUAACUUUCUGGCUCGCUAUAGGGGGUUCCUAUCAUUACCUCGAGGCUCACUAAGGUUGACUGUUGCACUCUCGUCAACCGCAUCAUGGCGAGGGUUCAAUGUUGGACUCAUUGCUUCCUUUCUCUGGUUGGGUGUUUGUAGCUCAUCAGGUCAGUUCUUCAAGCUAUCCAAGCCUAUUGAGUGAGUGCUUUUUGUUUUACUUGUAGUUGUUCUAGAUCAUAUUGAAAAAAUUCUCAGACAAUUCAUUUGGAAAGGGCCGGAGUUAGGUAGAGGGGGUGCCAAGGUUACUUGGGAGGAUGUGUGCCUUUCAAAGAAGGAAUGAGGGCUUGGUAUCAGGAAGGUUAAAGAUUGCAACAAGGCUGCCAUGUUGAAACAUAUAUGGCUCUUGUUCUCAUAUAAAGAGGCUUUGUAGUGCAAGUGGGUUCAUUUCACGUUUUUAAAGGACAUGAACUUUUGGGUCGGUAGGAAGCUAGCCUUUUGUUCUUGGGCCUGGAAGAAGCUUCUAAGUCUUAGAAGCGAAUUUCGGGACGCCUUCUUUUGGAGGAUUGGGGAUGGCCGCUUGGUCUCUCUUUGGUUUGACAACUGGCAUUCUAGAGGACUGUUGAAUUUAAUCUUCUCAGACUCACUUAUCUACAGCUCAGGAUUAUCUAGAUAGGCCUUAGUUGCAGAUUUUUUCUCUAAUGCUGGCUAGGCUCUCAAAACAAUCCUUGAGUCGUGGGAUUAUCUUCUUUCGACCCCUACUCAGGUAGCGGAUUGCUGUUGUUGGAGGGAGAACCCAUUGGGCCGGUUCACGGUAGCAACUGCUUUGGAAACCAUCAGGCGCGAGCGGAACAUCAUUUUUUGGCAUGAUUUCAUCUAGGAUAAUGCAAUCACGCCAAGGUAUUAGCUUAACCUUUGGCUUAUGGCUAAGCACAGAUUACCCACACAAUCUCUGUUAUUGUCUCAUGGUAGAAUAGAGAGGGGAUCUUCUGCAUUCUAUAAUGGGUUGCCUGAUUCCAUAGAUCAUUUGUUUUUUGAUUGUUCUGUCACGGCCGGUGUUGCUUUCUUUUGGGUGGCGAGAUACAAUUUGCCUUGGCAGAACAGGUCUUAGGGAGAGAAUUUCCAUUGGGCCACCUCUUUCUUGAAGGGUAAGGACUUCUUUAAAUGCAUUGCUCGCUUUUCCUUUGGGGCUCUUUGUCACAUUAUUUGGAAAAAUGGGAAUAGCAUCCUAUUCAAAGAACAACCCUUUACCGUCUCGACUAUGAAGAACCAUCUUUUUAAGGUAGUUAGGGAUAGAGCUAGCACCUUCAGAAACGUUGAGGAUAGCUUCAGAAAUAGAAGGUUGCUAAGGAGUUGGGGCAUCAAUAACGUUAUCUUUUCGGGGGACUCGUAAUUGACCUGGUUUUGGCCGAUGCUUCAAGGAACUACUGGUGCUCUGGAGCCGAUGUCUCUCUCCUCCGUCGCUGAGGUGUUUGUUUCUUUGCCAUGCCUUUCUAGUUGUUGUUUGUCUUCUUUUGGGCGUUGCCUUGGGUUUUACAUCAUGGCAUCAUUCCACUCAUUAUGUUUGUUCAUCUUGAGUGCAAGUUUUUGGUGCCGUGAUCUUUUGUACUUUUGACCUUUCCUCUUUAUAUUAUUACCUUUUACCGAAAAAGAAAAAGAAAAAUAAUAAAAUGAUUAAAAAAUUAAAAGAAAUGAAAAAAUCUAAGAAUUUUACUAAACGUAUUUCUAUCCCAGGAGUAGAAAUUUUGAAAAGUUACCAAACACGUCUUUUUACUCAGAAAUUGUUUUUCAUAACAGAAAUAGAAAAAAUCAUUUUUGAGCAAAAAUUGCUCUCUAGAACAUAAGCGUUAACCAAAUGCCCCCUAAAAGACCCAAAGAUUUCAAAUGAAAUAUCUUUAAAAAGAAAAUAAGGAAAAAAAAAACCUGUGAAGUCUGGUAAUUAUGAAUUCUAAACAUUUGUGAUUGUAGUCAAUGAGUCAAUGCCUUCAUUCUUUUUUCUCCGGUUUUGAAAUUAGCAUUGGAAAGAAGAAAAAUGGUAAGUUAGUGCAAUCUACUUUGACAUCUUAACAAAUACCUUCUGUGAUCUCUAAACGGAGCCUUGAUGAGUAUUAUAAGUAAAAGUGCAAUGAAAAGAGAGAGAAAUAGAUUUUGUAUAUAAUAGACAUUGUUUGGCUGAUGUAUCAUGCUUAUUUAGCUUAUGAAUAAAAAACUGCCUCUCCCUUAUAAUGGUUGGCAAACUGCGCCCCUUGCAUCAGCAUAGUAGAGGAUGCAAGUAUCUCUCAGUUGGCGUAUACUCUUCAAUUGAUCCUCCUUGAUGUAAUUUAUGUCGAUUGAAUUAUUUAUUUCGAUUUUGCUUGGGAUCUCAAUUUAGAAAAUCAUGGGAUCUAAAGCUCAGAUAACAACAAGCGGAAUUAAUUUUUUUUUAAAAAAAAUACAGUUAAGACAUUGCGUCAAUAUCGUUGACCAGUAAGAAUCCCGGUACUUGUGACCUUGCAGGUCUGCUACUCGGGACCUCACUAAUAUAUGACAUUAAAAAUAAAAAUAUAUUUUUUAAUGAGACAGAAAGAUAAUUAGUCAUUAAUAUUUGAUACUUCUACCCUUUGUUUAAGGGCAAUGCUAGUAGGUCACAUGACACAUCCAGUGACGUUUUCACUGCACAUGUCCAUUUUUUUUUUCUAUAGUGAUAUAGUUAAUUAUUAAAAUGUUGUAUUAUUUUUUCCUUUUUGUUGUGAAUUUCCCCUUCUAUAAAUCAUGAACACGAACACGAGCACAAAAUUUUUUCGUCGAAAUAAUUGGUCUAUUCAGCACAUGCCGAUACCUUUAAUUGUUUUCUAUAUCGUGAAUAAAUUAUUAAGUGAUGAUUGGACAAAUCAUUAAACAGAAAAAUCUCUUGACGAAAAGUAUCCUAGAUUAUCUCGCGCAUGUAUGCUGAAGAUCUAGACAUACAUUAUUGUAUUUUAGGCUACAAGAUUGGCUCUCUCUUUGUCACUGAUUUUGUAAGUGUCCUACUGCUUUUGGAUGGUAAUUUUUUUUGUAACUGUUCGACUUUGAAAUCGGCAAUGACCAGGAGUAACCAUCAUCGAUCAAGCCCUCUUAAGUGAACACUUAAAAAGAAUUAGUCUCUUAAUCGCUUGAAUUGUGUUAAAUCAGAGGUAUUGUUUGUAGAUAUCAUGAAUAAUGGGAAAAUUUCCAAAAAGGUCCUAAAUCUAUUGCACUUUAGCCAAUUAAGUCAUAAAUCUUUUAAUUACGUCAAUUGAAUUCUAAAUCUUUUCACAUUUUGCCAACUGAGUUUAUUGGGCCAAUUUUAAGAAAAAAUCACCGAUGUGAAUGCCAGCCGUCUUACGUAGGAUGGUUGAUACUAAUGUUGGCAAAUUCUUAUAUUUUUUUUUAAAUGGACUUUUUUAAUUUUUUAAUUUUUUAAUUUUUAAAUUUUACCAUGGCUUGUGAGAGUCGUUGGGUCCUUGUAGCUACUAGCGAAGACUCAGUGACCCUUGCCAGACAUGGCAAAAAAAAGUAAAGGAGGAAAAUAGAAGAAAAGAAAAAAUGAAAAAAUAAGAGAAAAAGGUCCAUAAAAAUUCAAAAAAAAUGUUUAAAAUAUUUUAAAAAUUCUCCACAUUAGCGUUGCUUGUGCCACGUAAGAUAACCGGUAUCCGCAUUAGCGAUUUCCUAACAAAAUUGAUCAGAUAAACUCAAUUGGAAAAAUGUGAAAAUGUUUAAAAUUCAAUUGGCAUGACUAAAAGAUUAAUUACUAAAUUGGUAAAAGUACAAUGAGUUUUUUCUAGUAAUUUUCCCAUGACUAACAAGAUAAGUACACUAAUGGUGCCAUAAGUUGUGUACGGCGCUCACUUUGGUGCCAAAAGUUUCCGUCGGAUCACUUAAGUGCCAAAAAAUUUGAAAAAUGCUCACUUUGGUGCCAACUCCGACGAAAUUGGCCAGAAAUCCGACGUGGCCUUUUUUUAUUAAUUUUUGACGCCGACGUGGCUCGUCGGAGAGUUGAGUCAGCAUCCAAAUACCAAAACGACACCGUUUGGUGUCUCACCCAAUUCAAAACCCUAAUCUCCGGCCGUCGCCAUCCUCGACGGUCCUUGCGCUCGGUGGCCACGGCUUCGACCCCGACCUCGACCUCGACCCCAAUGCCGACGAUGGCCACUCAACGGCAGCGGCUCCGACCUCAACCCCGACCCCAACCUCGACGAUGGCCACUCGGCGGUCGUAGCUCCGACCCCAACCUCGACCCCGACUGCGACGAUGGCCACUCGACGGCCGCGGCUCAAACCCUAACCCCGACCCCAACGAUGGCCACUCGACAGCCGUAGCUUCGACCCCGACCCCAACCCCGACCUUGAUGAUGGCCACUCGGCGGCCGCAGCUUCGACCCCGACUCCGACCGCAACCCCGACAACGGCCACGUCUUCGACCCCAUCGAAACCCUAAUUUCUUCCCCAUGUGAGCUAAACGGCGUCGUUUCCAUGAAGCCAUCCACGUAGGACGGCAAAACGACGUCGUUUUCUUAAGGAGGACCGAAAACGACGUCAUUUAAAGGCUUAUCGAUUUUUAUUUUUUUAAAAAAAAAAAUUCAUUUUGGCAGAAAUCUUUCGCCAGAGGCCAGAAUCUUUCGCCGGUGGCACCAAAGUGAGCGUUUUUCCUCCGAUUUGGCACUUAAGUGAUCCGACAGAAACUUUUGGCACCAAAGUGAGCGCCGUACACAACUUAUGGCACCAUUAGUGUACUUAUCCCCAUGACUAACUAGCAUCUCUCUUCCAUCCUGAUUCUGAUCAUAGUUUAAACAUGAUAUCAUAAACAAACCACUAAGAAGGUUAGUUAGUAACCUUUUUUUAUCGUUUGCCAAGCAUGUCGUUCCAUCAUCUUUCAAUAAAUUCUCAAGUGGCAUUUGUAGAGAAAAGUUUUCAUCUCGGCUCACUGGCAAACUGAAAAUUGUAAUGGUCAUGAGUAAACGGUCAGGAUGAUAACGAUAUUUAAAAGUACUUGUGUAGUUCUUCGCCUGUUAGUGUGCUAAACUUGGAAAAUUUCGAAUCAACAUCAAUUUAACACUGUCUUUACUCGAAUAGCUACAGAACUAUGUAAGAAAACACAAGGAACAAGAAGAGAUCCCCGAAGCUCUAGACAUGGCAUGACCAUGAAAACUCCACCGAGAGCUGGUUUUUGUCCUCGGAGUAGAUGUGAAAAUGUGGCAGAAUUAAAGAAUAAGCAAAGAUUCUUCGUAUCUAGCACUGUAAGCUUGCUCGAUAUAGAGUGAAACAAAGGGACAUUGCAUAGAGUUUGCACCUAUAUGAAGUUCACGAUGGCCAGGAGCAAUCUGCGCCACAUGACCUCAACUUAAGUGCAUCGCCGUAUCAAUAAUCAGUUCUUCCACAAAUAGAAUUGAUACGCAAUUUACGCUCGAAUUGUCCUCUAUUCACCUUUCACUUGGGGACGGUUUUCCAUGAAUCUCUUCCAGCUCCUCGAACCUGUUAUCGAGGGCUCUUCUAAGUGAGGCCAUCUAUAUAUGAUCGUUUGCUUCUGGAAGUCGGUUUAUGGAGACCUUGAAGUUCAGCCUAUGAAUUUUGCUGUACACUAGACGGGUCCUGUUGUCGUACUUCGAACACUUAUGUGAGGUUUUAAUUGUUCUCGCCUUCCUCUCACGGUGCAGCAGAGGAAUGAAUGGUCUUUCUCAUCAGGAUGAUUCUCCAAUAACGUGAAGAACUGCAGGAAUAAGUAAGAAACUCGAUUCUUGAGAUGUUUCUCUCUCAUGUCGUUUACUUUUUCUCCAUUGCGUCAAACAUAGUACCUACUCUAGUGAUUAGCUUAACUUUCCAUUUCAAUCUGAAAGCUACUCACCUACAUUUAUAGGAUUCUUAAUAUAAAUCACCUGCUUGUGCACACUAUCUUACUUGGCGAAUUCUGUCAUCAGCACUAGUUUAAAUACAUGCAUCAUUCGAGAGCGCAAGUGCCUUUGAUGGCUUAUGGCCUGAGGCAUGGCGUAAUUGUUUUUUUGCCUUGUCAAAAGUGUUGCGCAGAGGACCUGAAUAUUCUUUUGAUAGGAAUUGUCUGUUUAGAUGAUCAUAAUUGCUACCAUUGCUAGAACAUACUACCAAUAACAACAUGAUAGUCGCGGUGUGCAUUCUAGUUGAACAUAGUUUCAACUUCGAGUUGUGAUGCUAACUGUGCUCGCACUUGUGGUUCUAAAAUGUUGAUGAACAGAGCUGAAUCUGACAAGCUACUAGCCAUUCCUGUCGGUUUUGUUGGAUCAGAAGAGGUGGUAAGGUCUGCUCCACAUCUUGUACCUGGCGGUAAUCUUAAUUGUCCUUCAUUGGAAGAACAAGAAAUGAGAAUAAAUGCUGCAUUAGACGCUGCACAUGCACCAAUUUCUCAUCUCUCGAACCUCAUUGUUGACGGCCACCGGGCUGCAAACUUCAGGGGACCUUUGCAACCAUCAGACUUUUAAUGGUUCGAAGCUUGAGCCACUUGGAUUCAUACCCUAUCCCUUACUUUCUCUGAAGGUAUUUAUGAUAUUUAACACUUAGCUCAACAUUCUGCGUCGUUGAUCUUACUUAGUUUGGACUACCUACUGGCGAAUCUUUUCAUGUAAAGGUUUGGCUUGGAAUAUUACUUGUCAGCAUAGUUGCAUAGACAUGGCGGUUCUGUUCUUUUACCCAUCAGUGCAUUCGACUCGUGGUGCAACAAAUCUGAAAAAAGCUUUUAUAUGCUAUUUGAGAGUCAGCUUUCAGCAGUGAUCUCGAACAAUUUUGUGUUCUCCAAACUGAGACUUGUUCAGAGUCAUUGAAAGCCUUCACUUUCUGACCUUGUACUAGGAAGGUCCUUCCUGCUUUAUCUGUUUCUAGAUACUUUAAAAACCAUCUAAAGUAAUUGAAAAGACCAUGCGGAAAAAGUUAAUUGCUGUUGUACUUGGCGAGGCAACCCAAGUUUAAGUAGCAGCAUGCACUUUUGCUACUUCUCUAUGUAUUCUUACUCCUGAUGAAUGGCGUUGUUUGUAGCUUCCAUUUAGGAGUACCUUGCUAAUUCGGCAUCAGGUCAGGGUUCUCUGUCUGCAAUAUCCGAGUGAAGUGGAUAUCGCGCGUUCCUUAUCAACAUCGGUGUUUGGAGGAAUGUUUGCUAAGCAAGAAAACUCAUGUGCAGGGGACAACAGUGAGGAAUAUAGUACUUGUUCGGAAGAAUGUAAGGCACCAUCUCAUGACUUAUCAUCGAGUGAAUGCACAAAUUCUUACUGCAUUGAGAUAUCGUGCUUUUGUAAUACAUCACAUCCUCUAACAUGACAUCACAUGUUCAAUUUCUAUUCAUCGUAAAGGCAAAAGUUGAUAGCCACAAUCGUUCAUCGGUUAGGUCGAAGUCAGAGAUUGCUUGAGCAUGUAGCUGAUGACGAGUUGGUUGAUCGAGCAGGGGUUGAAGGGUGGGGGUGAGAGCUUUUGAUGGAAACGAGAGAUUCGUUGCUCAAAAUGCAAACAUUAACAUGAUGACAAAAUUACAUCGUUAUGACAAGAGGAUUCACAUGAAACAAAAAUUAUAAUGAAUGCCAUAAGACAUUCAUUGUCAUUUAUAAAACAUGGGACAUAAUGAGUCUAAUAGAAAANNNNNNNNNNNNNNNNNNNNNNNNNNNNNNNNNNNNNNNNNNNNNNNNNNNNNNNNNNNNNNNNNNNNNNNNNNNNNNNNNNNNNNNNNNNNNNNNNNNNNNNNNNNNNNNNNNNNNNNNNNNNNNNNNNNNNNNNNNNNNNNNNNNNNNNNNNNNNNNNNNNNNNNNNNNNNNNNNNNNNNNNNNNNNNNNNNNNNNNNNNNNNNNNNNNNNNNNNNNNNNNNNNNNNNNNNNNNNNNNNNNNNNNNNNNNNNNNNNNNNNNNNNNNNNNNNNNNNNNNNNNNNNNNNNNNNNNNNNNNNNNNNNNNNNNNNNNNNNNNNNNNNNNNNNNNNNNNNNNNNNNNNNNNNNNNNNNNNNNNNNNNNNNNNNNNNNNNNNNNNNNNNNNNNNNNNNNNNNNNNNNNNNNNNNNNNNNNNNNNNNNNNNNNNNNNNNNNNNNNNNNNNNNNNNNNNNNNNNNNNNNNNNNNNNNNNNNNNNNNNNNNNNNNNNNNNNNNNNNNNNNNNNNNNNNNNNNNNNNNNNNNNNNNNNNNNNNNNNNAAAACUGUAACAUCGACUUUAUUAAGAAAAUGCCACCAAUGUCUCUGUAGAAAUAGCUCAGGCGGCCACAUAACCAAAGUUUCCUCUUGCUGCAGUCAACGAUACUAUGCUAUGACAGAUGGGAUAAAGUCUUGCAAGUCCCAAAAUCAGAAAUUUUCGGAGUAAAACUUUGGUCUAGGAGAAUGUUGUGAGGCUUGAUAUCAAAGUGUAGAAUUUGCAUAUCACAUCCCCGAUGUAGAUACUCUAUCCCUCUAGCUAUGCCAAGAGAGAUCUCAUGCGUUUUCUUAUAAUCAAGAGGAUCAUCACCAUCCUUAUUCGAAAUGUGUUUAUCCAAAGAGCCAUUUGGCAUGAAAUUGUAGACCAGAGCUUGUUUGGAGUAAUCGAAGCAAAAACCAACAAGUUGCACAACAUUGAUGUGGUGGAUCCUUCCAACUGUGGCCACUUCACUAAUAAAAUCUUGGCUAUUAGAUUAUGGUUUGUUCAAAAUCUUAACCGCAACUUCAUUGCCACUUCUAAGGAUUCCUCUAUACACAGAGCCAUAUCCCCCCUCACCUAAUUUGCAUUUGAAAUUUUUUGUAAUCUUCUUGAUAUCCAAGUAAGAGUACCUUAUGGGAAAAAAGUUGUUGUGAACUUGUAGGAAUUCUUCGAUGUUUGCGUUGAUCGCCCGGUGCCUUCUCAUCCACUUAUAGAUUAGAAGUAUCAACACACAUAGAGCUCCGAGUAUGAAUCUUGCUGCGAUGUAGUUGGCUACAUAGAAAUUGUCCAUAGAUUAGCGCAGUGCAAUAAAUUUUUGGUAAACAUAAUCGUUUUAAAUCAGAGUGCUUCUUGAGAUCAUCAUAGUUGUGAGGAGAAAAGGCGAGGCGCCAACCUACAAUUUCCGCGUACCAAUGCUUGGCCACAGAAUUAGGGGUGCCUGCAACAGAUUAAUUAGAGUCGGUGAUCAAUCAAUGAAGAAUUAAAUUUAUCAUUUUAGCAGUUAAACAUAAAUAUAAUUUACUCUCCUUGACAGCGCUCAGAUCACAGUUAAUUCAAUUCACCUAGGGAAUCCAUGCCAUCGUAGCAUGACAUUUUCUCUUGAAGAAAAGCGAUUUUGCUUUUGUUCACCUAUAUAUACCAAAUGAGUCAUAAGUUCACGUCUCGCUCCGCGUAAUUCUAAUUUACAAACGUCAUUCAAUACGCGUGCAGUUUAUUCAACUGCAUAACAAUAACAGCCAUGCAAGGGACACGAGCAACAAUUAAAUCAACCAUUUUUCCCCCAAAAAAAGAAAUGAAGUAACAAUGUCAAAUCCAGAAAAGCUCCAAGAUUCGUAAAAUAAACGAGAGCAGUGCAUGCCGACCCUACCAAGAAAUCGAUUUAAACUUUUCUACUUAAGUGAUGUGGCAAUUUUAUUAAAAAUACCCAAUUAAAACCUGCCACGUCACUUCGUAAGUAAAUUUUGAUCAGAUCUCUUAGUGAAGCUAGCAUUUAAGGAAAGGAGGAGGAGGAAGAAGAGAAAAAGAAAGAACAGCUUAAGGGAACGUCACUUACGAGUACGAUAGCCGCAAUACCCCCUUCGGUUAAUAAAACUUAAGAAGUGACAUGGAAAGAAACUUGUCAUAUAAAAGUAGCGCGGAUAGGAGAGAGUGAGUCCUCGACCAUCUUGUUGUGGAGGUCCUUGUAUGGUAAGCUCCCAUUCUGAUCCCCUUUCCGCCAUGAGAUUUGAUCCGAUGUGAAUGCCAUCAUGGUUACGGUGCAAGAGUCCUUGAUAUCCCCUACUUGUAGAUUUCCAAGUACAGCGUAUGAGUACACCUUCAUUUGGGAAAAAUAAGGAGUUGUGUCGGCAGAGUAUGUGCCCUCAAUACAUGGUUUGGCAUCAAUAUAAGAAGUAGAAGUAACAGGUUGUAAGCACUUCAUGAAGGCCACAGUGACAUUGCCAUAUGGAAGUCCAUAUGGAUCAGACAUACUAAAGUUGGAGUUCGCAAAUGGGUAACGAGGAAGGGAUGAGCAAUUACCCUUUUGCAGUCCAUCAUCAACCACCGUGAUAUUACCAAAGAAGUAAUUUUGGUUAAUAGAGUAAUCGUAAUGAAUCGACUUCACAUAAUAUCGGCUAGCAUUUAAAUAUAGAACAAUGCGGUUAUUUUCACAAGCUAGCUCAUACUGAGAGUUACCGCAAUAUUUUGGAUCGCCUUUCUUUCAAUCGAAAAGGAUAACUUAUGUUACGGAUCUCACCGCAAGAUGAAGGGGCACACAAGUGAUUCUUCUUCACAUUGCAGCUCAUCCCUAACAAUAGCUGAACAUGCAAUAUGAGAAGUAAAACACGGAGCAUAAAUAUCAAGCUGUGAGAAAUAAUCAUCUCUUUAUCGUUUGGUCUGAUGCAAUGGAAGUUUUAGCUCACUUGGUAAUGCGAGGGAUGCUUAAUAAAGGGUUGGGGGUCAUCGGUCAUCGAAAUGUCCAAGUCAACCCUAAAACAAAGUCUAGCGAAGAAAAACUUAAAAAGUAUGGCUCGGCAAAAAGACGAUAUUGGAAUUAGUGAUGGAUAGCUUUCACAUUCAUUAGGGAGGAAAUUUCUCUGUAUUUUCCAGAUUUGAUUUUUCUUGGCAAAUUAAUUCUCUCUAGAAAUUUAUUUUAGUGUCGUAAAAAAGAAUCGGUUUUAAUGUUUUGUACCCUAAACUCAAUCAAAAUCCUUUCAAAUGAGGCAUUUGGUGUUCUAUUUUAUUUUCAAGGCCAAUAUUUCAUAAGUGUCACUGUAUUAAAUUUUAAAGACGAAAAAGGAAAAGGAUGAUGUAUUUCAUCGUAUAAGGUUUUUCAUUUUUGAGAAAAAAAAAUAGUAACCAAGAAAGAGGAUAAUGUUAAAUAACAGGUACAUAGAUUUUAACUUUUAUAAUGUCGCUUUCCGCAAAAAUAGAAAGAAAAUAAGGAAUGGGCGCUUCUUGCUUUUGGAUGAUGUGAAAGAUAGCAAUAUAGUAAAUUCUCAACUAGUGAUGGGACCGACACACCUUAUUAGAAACUUACUUGUGUUGUCGUGGAAUGACACAUGCAAGGACUAUAGACGCAACAUUUGAAUUCACAAAAAUAAUGCGAUGUUUACUUAUUCACUAUGCUUAAAUUUUAAAAUGAUUCUCUUGUAAUUGUGCUAUAAUUAUGAAUAUGACCGUCGUCUCUUUUCCAUAAUUGAAUCACUUAAUGAAUGAACAUACUGAUCUCAACGAAAAAAGCAAUAUGAUCAUUUCUCAACCAACGAUCAAUUGAUGUGGGUCUCGAUUAGAAAUUCACUUCCUUCGUCAUUCUUGACACGUGCAAAGACUAUAGGUGUAAUAUUCACAUGCACAAAAAUAAACUAAUAUGUACUUAUUCAUUGUUAAUUGAAAUAUUAUUCUUGUGGAUUAGUCAAUCACUCGCCUAUAAAAUAAUCUCAUCUUUUUCUCACAAUAAAUCCAAUCGACCUAUUACAAUAUCCAAUUGAAACGAGCCAUAUCACUUAGUAAGUAAAUUUUUUACGAUCCCUUAGUAGAGCUAAAAUUUAAGAAAAGGAUGAGGAUGAAGAAAGAAACAAAGAAAGAACUAGGAAAGUGAGCUUUCAGGAAUCAUGGUGUCUGCACCUCUCCCUUUGGUAUCCAAAACCUAAGUAGCAAGACUCGAAACUUGUUGGUGUCAAGAGUUUAUAAUAGGAGAUAGUGAAUCCCUCGACCGUCAUGUUGUGGAGGUCCUUAUACGGUGAGCUCGCACGAUUAUACCGAUCCUUUUUCCACCCUGGGAUAUAAUGCUGUAUUAAAGCCUUUAUGGUCAUGGUGUAAUUAUCCUUGAUGUCCCCUACUCGGAGAUCAAAUCCAUGUAUAGCGUAUGAGUACACCAUCAUUUGGGAAAAAAUAAGGGGCAUAUCGGAAGGAUAUGCUCCCUCAAUACAUGGUUUAGUAUUGACUUACAAAGUAGAAGCAAGGGGCUGUGAGCACUUCAUGAAGACCACCGGCACAACUAACGAACCGUAUGGAUCAUUAUCACUAAAGUUGGAGAGCGCCAAUGAGUAAUGAGGGAGGGAUGAGCAAUUACUUUUUUGCAGUCCNNNNNNNNNNNNNNNNNNNNNNNNNNNNNNNNNNNNNNNNNNNNNNNNNNNNNNNNNNNNNNNNNNNNNNNNNNNNNNNNNNNNNNNNNNNNNNNNNNNNNNNNNNNNNNNNNNNNNNNNNNNNNNNNNNNNNNNNNNNNNNNNNNNNNNNNNNNNNNNNNNNNNNNNNNNNNNNNNNNNNNNNNNNNNNNNNNNNNNNNNNNNNNNNNNNNNNNNNNNNNNNNNNNNNNNNNNNNNNNNNNNNNNNNNNNNNNNNNNNNNNNNNNNNNNNNNNNNNNNNNNNNNNNNNNNNNNNNNNNNNNNNNNNNNNNNNNNNNNNNNNNNNNNNNNNNNNNNNNNNNNNNNNNNNNNNNNNNNNNNNNNNNNNNNNNNNNNNNNNNNNNNNNNNNNNNNNNNNNNNNNNNNNNNNNNNNNNNNNNNNNNNNNNNNNNNNNNNNNNNNNNNNNNNNNNNNNNNNNNNNNNNNNNNNNNNNNNNNNNNNNNNNNNNNNNNNNNNNNNNNNNNNNNNNNNNNNNNNNNNNNNNNNNNNNNNNNNNNNNNNNNNNNNNNNNNNNNNNNNNNNNNNNNNNNNNNNNNNNNNNNNNNNNNNNNNNNNNNNNNNNNNNNNNNNNNNNNNNNNNNNNNNNNNNNNNNNNNNNNNNNNNNNNNNNNNNNNNNNNNNNNNNNNNNNNNNNNNNNNNNNNNNNNNNNNNNNNNNNNNNNNNNNNNNNNNNNNNNNNNNNNNNNNNNNNNNNNNNNNNNNNNNNNNNNNNNNNNNNNNNNNNNNNNNNNNNNNNNNNNNNNNNNNNNNNNNNNNNNNNNNNNNNNNNNNNNNNNNNNNNNNNNNNNNNNNNNNNNNNNNNNNNNNNNNNNNNNNNNNNNNNNNNNNNNNNNNNNNNNNNNNNNNNNNNNNNNNNNNNNNNNNNNNNNNNNNNNNNNNNNNNNNNNNNNNNNNNNNNNNNNNNNNNNNNNNNNNNNNNNNNNNNNNNNNNNNNNNNNNNNNNNNNNNNNNNNNNNNNNNNNNNNNNNNNNNNNNNNNNNNNNNNNNNNNNNNNNNNNNNNNNNNNNNNNNNNNNNNNNNNNNNNNNNNNNNNNNNNNNNNNNNNNNNNNNNNNNNNNNNNNNNNNNNNNNNNNNNNNNNNNNNNNNNNNNNNNNNNNNNNNNNNNNNNNNNNNNNNNNNNNNNNNNNNNNNNNNNNNNNNNNNNNNNNNNNNNNNNNNNNNNNNNNNNNNNNNNNNNNNNNNNNNNNNNNNNNNNNNNNNNNNNNNNNNNNNNNNNNNNNNNNNNNNNNNNNNNNNNNNNNNNNNNNNNNNNNNNNNNNNNNNNNNNNNNNNNNNNNNNNNNNNNNNNNNNNNNNNNNNNNNNNNNNNNNNNNNNNNNNNNNNNNNNNNNNNNNNNNNNNNNNNNNNNNNNNNNNNNNNNNNNNNNNNNNNNNNNNNNNNNNNNNNNNNNNNNNNNNNNNNNNNNNNNNNNNNNNNNNNNNNNNNNNNNNNNNNNNNNNNNNNNNNNNNNNNNNNNNNNNNNNNNNNNNNNNNNNNNNNNNNNNNNNNNNNNNNNNNNNNNNNNNNNNNNNNNNNNNNNNNNNNNNNNNNNNNNNNNNNNNNNNNNNNNNNNNNNNNNNNNNNNNNNNNNNNNNNNNNNNNNNNNNNNNNNNNNNNNNNNNNNNNNNNNNNNNNNNNNNNNNNNNNNNNNNNNNNNNNNNNNNNNNNNNNNNNNNNNNNNNNNNNNNNNNNNNNNNNNNNNNNNNNNNNNNNNNNNNNNNNNNNNNNNNNNNNNNNNNNNNNNNNNNNNNNNNNNNNNNNNNNNNNNNNNNNNNNNNNNNNNNNNNNNNNNNNNNNNNNNNNNNNNNNNNNNNNNNNNNNNNNNNNNNNNNNNNNNNNNNNNNNNNNNNNNNNNNNNNNNNNNNNNNNNNNNNNNNNNNNNNNNNNNNNNNNNNNNNNNNNNNNNNNNNNNNNNNNNNNNNNNNNNNNNNNNNNNNNNNNNNNNNNNNNNNNNNNNNNNNNNNNNNNNNNNNNNNNNNNNNNNNNNNNNNNNNNNNNNNNNNNNNUCAUAGCAGCCACAUCUUUUGGGUUGCUUUUCAAUCGAAAGUGAUAGUGUAUGUCAUGAUUCUCGCCACAAGAUGAAGCGGCGCACAAGUGAUUCUUCUAUGCACCGCAACUCAUCCCCAGUGGCAGCAGAACGUACAAUAUGAAAAGCAAAACAUUGAACAUGCUUAUGGAGCUCAAAGACUUAAUCGCCUCUCUAUCGUUUGAUCUGAUGCAAUGAAAGUUUUUGCUAAUUGGUAAUGCAAUGGAGGCCCAAUAACAUGAAUGAAAAGAGCCUGGAGUCCUCGGUCAAUAAAGCAAAGUCUAGUGAAGAAAAAAGUGGAUAUCGCGUGGAAUUUGCAGUCCUUGUAGUCAAGGUGUCAAAACAUGGUGGUGGAAUUAUUUAUGCAUAGCUUUCACAUUGAUUAAAAACUUCUCUGCAGUUCCAGAUUGAAUCAAAAUUCUUUCGAGCGAGGCAAUGACGUUCUAUUUUCUUUUUAAGGCUAAUAUUUCAUAAGUGUUUUUUGUUAAAUUGUGAAGAUGAAAAGGAAAAAGAUGUUGUAUUUCAUCAUCUAAGCUUUUUAUUUUUGACCAAAAAAAAAACAGAAAUUGGUAACGGAAAUAGACUAUGAACAAGAAUAUAACUUGUAUAAUGUCGCUUUUGGCAAAAGUAAAAGAAAAAUAAGAAAUAAGUGCUUCUUGGAUGGUGCAACACGUUAUGAAAGAAAGAAAGCAAUACGAUAAUUUCCAGUGAUGGACCAACCCGUCCUGACUAGAACCUUACUAACUUCGUCGUCACGCAAACACUAUAGAUGCAAAUUUCCAAGUCAACCAUCAACACAAAGUCUAGCGAAGAAAAAGUGGGUCUCCUGUGAAAAUUGCAGCCCUUGCAGUCAAGUUGACAAAAACACAGUGUUGGAAUUAUUUAUGGCGUGGCUUUCAAUUUGAUUAGAAAAGAAACUUCUAUGCAUUUUUCAGAUUUAACUUUUCUUGGCAAAUUGACUCUUUAGGAAUCAAUUUUAGUUCAUUAAAAACAGAAUCGAUUGGAAUGUUAUGUACUCUAAAUUGAAUCAAAAUCCUUCAAGUGAGGCAUUGGCAUUCAAUUUUAUUUUCAAGGCCAAUAUUCCACGAGUGUCAGUUUGAUAAAUUGUGAAGACGAAAAGGAAAAAGAAUGUCGUAUUUCACUGUAUAAGCUUUUUCAUUACUGGCAAAAAAAAAAAAAAGAUUUGGUACAAAGAUAGACUAUCAAAGGGAAUAUUAACUUGUGUAACGAAAAUAAAAGGAAAAAUAGGAGUUAGUGUCUCUUGGAUGGUGUAACACAUUAUGAAAGAAAGCAAUUCGAUAAUUUCUAGUGAUGGGACCGACGUGCAUUGACUAGAACCUCACUAACUUCGUUGUUGCGCAAAGACAAAACAUGCAAUAUUCAAGUUCACAAAAAAAAGAAAAAAAAAAGCGAUGUUUACUUAUUCACUAUCAACUUCAAUAUUGCAAUCACUCUCCCGUAAUUGUGUUAGAUCUAUGAACAAUAAUGCCAUCUCUCUGGGAACUCCGUUGCUUGGUUUUAUUUAAAACUGAACCGAAAUGAUAGCUGGGUCUUGUUUUCCCUAGUCCACGAACAUGCCUGGUUUGAACGAGCCGUCCUUUUGUCGAGUUUGAGCGUCACUUGCUAUCUCUUUUGAGUCUGGACACGAGCUAGAGUCUAGAAUGGAGAACCAUUCUCAUGUGGAAUUUCACGACCACUAAAGAGAUUAAGGGGGUGCAUGACAACCCAAAAUUUCUGUUCCAGACCUGUUUGUGGAAGAGAAAUCUAUUUGAUAAACCUAUUUAGUUUUUCUAUUUCAGAAAUAGGUUUGGAAAAGAAAUCAGAAGCUAAAAUUUUAUACUUCUGAUUUCUAGAAGAGAAAUCAGAAAUAAUUUCUCUCACUAAACCCUAAUUUCGGUGAGUCCUCCCUCAUCUCCUCUACAUCUUUGCCUCCUCCUCUUCCUCCGCCUCUCCUCAAUUUAUUAAAAAAAAAAAAAAAUUAAUUUUUAUUCAUUUAAAAAUAAAAAUAAAUUUAUUAAAAUAAAUAAAUAAUUUUUAUUUAUCAUUUUAUUUUUAGUUUAUUAAAAAUAAAAUUAUUAAAUUUAUUAAAAAUAAUUUAUUUAUGAUAAAUAAAAAUAAAUUUAAUAAAUUUAUUUUUAUUUGCCUUGAGUGUUUUGCCAAAUAAAAUUAAUUUUAAUUUUAAUUUUAAUUUUAUUCAUUUUAAAAUAAAUUUAUUUGUAAAAUAAAAUAAAAUAGAAUACAUAAAAUAAAUUUAUUUUUAUAUUUUAAUUUUAAAAUAAAAUGAUAUUUUAAUUUUAAAAUAAAAUGAUAUUUUAAUUUUAUAAUAAAAUAAUAUUUUAAUUUUAAAAUAAAAUGAUAUUUUAAUUUUAAAAUAAAAUGAUAUAUUUAUUUAAUUUUUUAUGAUUUAUUUAAUUUAAUUUAAUUUUAUUGUAUUCAUUAUUUUUUUUGUUACUAAAUCAUUUUUAUUUUUAUUUUUAUAUUAAAGGUUGUCGGUCGUCGCCGCCGCCGUUCGAAAGUAAGAAAUUUUAUGUCGUUAUCAAACGAAUUUCUAUUUUUAGAGUAGAAAUUUUGUGCCGUUAUCAAACGGUUAUUUUUGCUUAGAAAUUCUUCUAGAAAUAGAAAUAGAAAAAUCUAUUUCUGUUCCAGAAACUAUUUUAGGAAUAUAAUGGUUGUCAUGCGCGCCCUAAGUUUGUUAAUUUUUUCCAUUUUCUACUUUUUUAGCAUCAUUUUUUAUGCUGCUUUAUUUUGGUAAUAAUAAAACUUAAAAUUUGUACUUCUCUGUCUGCGAUCUCGAAACAAAGUGGAGAUCACGUGUUCCUUAUGAACAUCGGUGUCUCGAGGAAUGUUUUCUUAGUAAUAAACUCAUGUGUAGGGGACAAUGGUGAGGAAUAUAAUACUUGUUCUGAAUAAUGCAAGGCACCAUCUGUCACGCCCCGAUCCUCGGGCGCGCACCCAUCCCUCAUUGGUCGAUUAAAUAGUGAAGUUUUAGGACGCAUCGCCGACCCUUUUCAUUUUGAUAUGCAUGCAAAAGCAUAAUAAAAUCCCUAGACAAUAAAGUAAUGGGAUAAAAAAGUAGGGCCAAAUUUUAAACUUUAAAAACAACCACACUUAUAUACAUUGCAACCCAUAAUGCAAAUAUAUACAAGGUUAACUACUAAGUCAAGUCCUAAACAACCAGUUCACAAACAAAGUCUACAGACAGGGUGGGGUUUUCAAUCCUCUCCUAGAUCCUCUUCUGGGUCCUCCUCCGGGUCCUCUUCGACAAUCUUGCCUUCUUCCAUACUCUAGCUGGAGUCCAUUGCUAAGUUCACCGGGGAAUCAAGAUUAUUACCAAGCUUGGGAUCCUUUGCAUCCACUACCGAUCCACCCUUAGGAUCUGCUGUCCCCUUCCCGAACGCUACAUUUAAAACGUAUAGAGAUACAUCAUAUUCCGAUACAGGGCCCACCCUUCGUUCAUCAUUGUAAUGGCGAUACCACGACCGUUAUUUGUGAGGCACUUUUUGGGGUUCACCCACAUCAACCCAGACGGUGGAUUUCACUAGCACAUAUUCCAAGCCUCCAGGAUAAUGGUGUAUCGAAAUAUGAUAACCUAUCUCAGUGAUUUCCUCUAGUAUACCAAAAUGCUCAGGAGGAGGUGAAGGUACUGCCAUCUAAAGACCUGAAAUGUUGUCCCACAACGGGGUGAGAUUACGUCUUAGCAAGUUCUACCCUCCUAAGACUCGAUUAGGAAGAAAAUACACUAUGAGGGCUACCUAAACACAACAUAGGUCGGAGGACUUACCUUGGCCUUAGUCUCUUCCUGAAAGUAAGUUAAAUCAAUAAAUACUAACAAACUACACCAUCCAAUCAAAUCAGAUUGAAUCGUCGAUCAAUCGACUUAAUCAAUUACAUGUUACCAUGAUAUUCUCCUGGUCGGUACAUUCAAUACUAUCUAUAAAGUCCUAUUAAUUCAUGACCGCUCACCCAAAGCUGAAAAUAGAUAGUAUAUAGUAUAUUGUAGAUAUAUGCUCGCCCAAAGCUGAUAGAUUAUGGCCCUCAAGCCACCAUAAUAUACUAUAUAUGCUUGCCCAAAGUUGAUACUAUGUGCUCACCCAAAGCUAAUAAUAUGGUAUACUAUAUAUGCUCGCCCAAAGUUGAUAGAUUUAGGGUCCCCUGGCCAAAAUAGUAUACCACUUUAAUUGUAUAGUUAAUUUCUCAUAUUUAUCACACCCGAUAAAAAUAGCCGUGUGUGCGUACACGAUCGACCUUAGCCAAAAUGCCAUAAUUUCACUUUUGAUCUUCCCACUACUUUCAACAAUCCAAAAUUAGAUUUUUGGUGUUGUAUACCGGCGCCCGGUAAUUUUCCAUUUAAUUAUCCAAAUUAAUUAAUUUAGGAAUAAAAUCAUAAAAUCACAAUUAAAUCAAUUCAGCACAACUCAGAGGUCAAAUAAAUAAACAAAUUGCACCACAAUAACUAGCAUAAAAUUCUGGUCACUGGCUAUCCCGGCCUAAUUUUCGAAAAAUAAAUAAAUAAAUAAAUAAUUAUGGAAAAUAUUAAAUAAAUGCCGAUAAAUCCAACUUAGACCCGUAAUGCCUAAUUAGACAUUGAAAUGGACUUGGAAAAAUUUCGAGACUCGUUAAAUAGAUACUAGAGUCUAUUUACUCGCUAAUUACACUAACUAUUCACCUAACAUGCACCGGCAGUUAACUAAAUUCACUAAUCUAAUCUAAUCUAACCACCUAAUCCAUCUUAGCCUAAACUAUCAACCCUUAAGCGUGAUUAACUUACUAAGCGAGGAUUAGUGAGUUAAACUCACUUGUUCGGCGAUCCAAGCGGCUCAAAUCGUUGGGAACGCAAUGGGGCUCGAUACUCUCCAAAGCGGGCCUAACUUUCGGGGUCGGGAUUGACCUCAAAACAGGCCUUGAAGGUUGCUGGAAACCCACUUUGCUUGCUGCUGAUCUUGGCUGGAAAAGAGGGCAACAAGCUCAGUUUAAGGCGACAACAGGUUGAGGAAGGUUGAAAGGACUAAAUCGGACCUAGAUGGCGACUCACGGUGGUCGGAGGAAGCUCCGACAGCGGCUCAUGGUGCUGGACAACCUCUUGGAAUGGCGAGCUGGGUGGGAUGGAGCAGUGAGGACACCGGGAUCGUGCAGUCGAGCACGAGGCAGCAGCAGCAUGCGCGCCGGGCGGGAGAGGCGGACGGUGGUAGCGAGCGGUCUUGGUGGCGUGCGGGCUUGCUUCGGUGACUUCUCCUUGGUUGUUGGCGUUCAAAACUGGUGAGAAAGGAGGGAUAAGAGAGGUACGGACGCAGCUUAAGGGAAAGAGGGAACAAGAGGGGGCCAUAAGUCUUAUUUUCUCUUCCAUGGUCCCCUUGACCCUAUCCCAUCCACAGCUACAUCCCUUUGGUUGAAAAUUAGCCACCACCACCCUUUCGAGAAGCUAAUUUGAAGUGGUCCAAUAGUCAUGGGUGGGGGCAUACGAAUUUCAAGCAUUUUCCCUCAAAUUAGACUUCAUCUCCUUCUUAAAUCAACACAAACCGGCCUCUAUAAAUUCAAUCAACCCACCAUUGAUCAUUUUGGCAUUUUCCUCACCAAUACAACUCACUUGAUUCUCAAAUUUGCGAUAAAAAAAAAAUCCCCCACAUUUUCUGAACAAAACAGCCCUACCUCAACUUUUUCCCAAAAGUCUUGGUUUGCAGAAAAAUCUUCUGAGACUGAGUUGACACUCCUAGAAUUAAUUGUGACAUGAUAGAACUUUCAAUUUCUGAAAUCGGACUCAAAUUGAUGAUUAAUUUCAAUCUGGUGCAUUUUUAGUGUGACUUAGGCUACCAUGUAAUUUUCAGAAAUUUUUAGUGUAAAUGACCUGUGGUCUAUUUUUCCGAGCCACAAUGAACCCAUUCGACGCAUUGGUGACUCUCGGUUGUCAUGAAAAUCUCGAGGAUUUAAAUACGGACACAAAUACCAAAAUGAUAGAAAAAUCAGUCUAGUAUCAGCCGACGAAAAUUUUCCAAAUUAGUGGUGUCACGCCUCGAUCCUCAAACAUGUGCCCAUCCCUUAUCUAGUCAAUUUAUAGCAAUGUCCUAGGACGCAUCAUCGACCCUUUUGUUUAAUAUGUGCAUACGGAAGCAUAUAAUAAAAUCCCCAGACAAUAAAACAAUGGGAUAAGAAAGUAGGCCAUAUUUUCCACAACUGAAAUACUACAACCACACUUUUAUACAAUACAAACCACAUAGUAUAUAUUACAAUACUAUUCACUAAAGGUUGGACUAUCACACAUCAGUUUUCAACCUAGGUUUGUAAGCAGGAUGGGAUCUCAGUCCUCAUUCGGGUCGUACUCAGGAUUCUUCUCUGGAUUGUCCUCUUCUUCAGAUUCUUCUUCUUCUUCAAGUUUGUCCUCGAGCUCUCCUUCCUAAAAAUUCACCUUAGGCUCGUCCUUAGGUUCCUCCUCCGGCUCUUCCCACUCCUGAUCCUCCUCCGAUCCCUCCUUUUGCUUGACUAUCUCCCUUUCCUCUUCACUCCAGUUAGCACCCUUGGCUGAGUACACUGGUGACUUAGGAUCGCCCUCGAGCUUGGGAUCCUUGGCAUCUACUAUCGACCCAUCCUCUAGCCUUUUUGAGUGGUGGUGUAUUGGAAGUGGUAUCCUACCUUGGUGAUCUCUUCAGGAAUACUAAAAUGCAUAGGAGGAUGAGGAGGUGGAGGUGCUGCCAUCUAGGGACUUGAAAUGGUUAUUCAAUAACCAUUGAGAUCACGUCUCAGCAAGUUCUACCCCUUACGACCCGAUUAGUAAACCAAUACACUAUGGGCUGCCUAUGCACACAUGGGUCAAAGGACUUACCUUGGCAUCAGAUUUCAUCUAUAAAUCAACACUAUUUACACAUGCCUUAUAUCACAUCACUCAAUCAAUUCAUAACAUCAGAUUAAAUCAUUGAUCAAUCGACCUAGUCCAUUACAUGUCAUCUCGAUCCUUUCUUGGUCGGCUCAUCUUAUUUACUCAAAUUCACUGUUGACUUACAGCUCAGUGAGCAUAGCCUACACGAUCAUCUCCAAUACUCAACACUAACGUUGAAUUACGGCUCAACGAGCACGGCUUACUAAAACUUUGGCAGGAAUGUUGAAUUAUGGCUUAGUGGGCACGGCUUACUAAUUCAUCGGUGGUUAAUGCUGAAUUAUGGCUCAACGGGUACAACCGAUUCCAAAUCCGGUGGAAAUGCUAAAUUAUGGUUCAUCGUGCACAACCGGUUCCAAGUUCAAUGGUGGUGCUGAGUUACGGCUCAGUGAGCACAACCUAGAUUAGGUGGUAACUUACGGUUUAAUGGACAUAACCAUACUUUGGUGGUAAUGCUGAAUUAUAGCUUAGCGAGCACAACCAAUUCUAAAUUCGGUGAAAAUUUUGAAUUACAGCUUAGCAAGCAUAACCUAAAUUAGGUGGUUUCCAUGCCUAAUCCCACACUGUCACACACCCAUCAUACAUCAUUUCAUCUUUCAAUAGUCUUUUCAAGAUGACUAAUAACCCUCACACGAUUAAUUACUCUCGGCUAAGGAUUGUACGCUUCACACUUAGGCUGCAUUUGGUUGACCGGAUAAAAACUAGGAUAGGAUAUGUUUUAUCCUAUCUCGUGUUUGAUAGCUGUCUAGGAUAUGAUGAGGUCAGAUAUAGACGGGAUAUAAACCGGAUAAAAAAAAAUCCAAGGCGGGAGGUGGGAUAAGAUUGGAUAGGAUUUCUUUUAUCCGAAACCUAAAACCUACACUUUUUUUAUUUCUCCGUCAUUCACCCACAGACGACUCUCUGUUUCCAAAGUAUUGAUGUUGAAGCCUUCUCCUCAAUAGCUCUCCGAUUCUCAUCGAAAUUUUACGAAAGCCUUCUUCCUCCACCAAGGUAAGACCCCCCGUCCACUGGCGAUCGCCCGCCGGUCGCCCUCCCGAUCAAUUCCCUCCCACUCACCGGGUCACCUAAGCUUGCCGGUCUGCCGAUGAGCCCAGGUCUGAAUUCCAAAUGCAAAUCUGGUUGCCGGGCCGAUGCCCCACCGAUGGUCGCCGAGGGUGGCCGAGGGUGGCCGAGGUUCACCUAGGGUUUGGGUUCGCUCGUGUUGAUCGAUGAAUGCAGGGCUGGAUUGCCUAGGGUCUGGGUUUGCCAUGUUCUCUCUCUUCUCUGUCUCCAUUUACUUGCUUCGCAAGGAUGGUGAUGUUAAUUGUUAGCUCAUUUCACUCUUUGUGUACUAGUUCAACAAAGGCUCAUUUCAUUGGUGCUAAUCAAUUAGCGAGUCGUGCGUGCCACAAAUUUAGAGUGAGUGGUUUUAAUUUAUGGCUCUUGAGAGAGAGUAUGUAUCCAUCCACACCCAUUUCUCAGAACAGGAGGAUGAAGCUAAAAAUUCUUUGUUGGGUUUUCUCUUUUGCAGCUUCAUCACUGCAAUUUCUUAUCUGGGUUUGUUCUGUCUUACGGUACUUUUUCUGUAUAGACCCAUUGUUUGUGGGUAAUUUUCAGCUCACUCAUUAACAUGUGUUAUGAGUUAAUUGAUCAAUCAAUUUGUGAUUUUUUCUUCUUUCUAUUGGAUUUAUGAAAUUUAUUUAAAAGGUUAUGUAGAUAUAGAUGAUAGCAGCUGUGUUUUUGGGAGAGGAAGAGGCGAUCUGGUUACUGAUCUGUUACUUGAAUGAGUUCUUAUUGAAGCUCAGGGGUCUUUUUUCCCCCCUCUCUAGAGACCCAGGAACCACAAUGAAAGGAAAUGUAAUGUACUUUAUAAAUGCGAAUUGUUCAGAGAUCAUUUGUUAACGUAAUUAACUGUCAUUGCAUCCUCGUGACAUCUGGAAAAAAAAAACGAAUGAACUUUGGACUUUAUGCUUUGUUCUAAUUGGGCAUUUGUUUGAUUUGGUAUUGGACCUGUAACAAAAUGGAAACAAAUGAAAAACUUGUAAGAGACAAAAAGAAUUCAUGUUUCAAAUGAAUAUAUUGAAAUUGAAGUUAUUCUAAAAACGUUUGAUUUGAAGGGGUAUCCAAAAGAUUAUUUCAAAGGAACGGAAGAGAUUAUUACAAUGCGUAAUCGUGAAAUUCGAUGAAAAUCUGUUAAUUUGAAAAAGAUAUAUUGUUUUGGAAGAUUUUGUGAAUAUUAAACUUGUAAAUUUGUACUUGCCUAAAUUAUUGUUUUUAAAAUAUCCGAAUUUAAAUCCGUAGUUCACCAAACCAUAGAUUGGAUAAGAUAUGAGGAUAUCCGACUUUAAAUCCGUAGUUGACCAAAUAGUAGAUUGAAUAGGAUAUGAGGAUAUUCGACUUUAAAUCCGUAGUUCACCAAAUAGUUGAUGGGAUAUGAAGAAAUCCAUGGAUUUCUUAUCUAUCCUAUUUAGAAAUCCGGACGACCAAACGCAGCCUUAGAAUCCUCAAUCAAAAUAACCAUUGGCCUAUCUCCCUCGUAUUAACGAUACCUGAUAAAAAUUUAUUAUGUGUGGGUUCACGGUCGGCUUUUGUUAAAAUAUAAUAAUUUCAUUUCCACAAAUCCUACCAUUUUUUGUACUCCACCAAAACAUUUUUGGCAUUAUUAACCGAUGCCCAGUUAUUUAUCAAUUAAUUUUCCAAAUUAUGUAAUUUAGGAAAUAAAUCCUAAAUUCACCAAUAAUUCAUUUGAGCACAAAAUAAAGCUCAAUUAAAUAAACGAAUUGCAUCACGAUAAUCAAUAUAAAAUUCCGGUCGUCGACUAUCCUGGUCUAAUUUCUGAAAAAUAAUAAAUAAUUGAUUAAUUUUGAAAGUUAAUAAAUAAAAACCAUAAAUCCAAUUUAGGCCUGUAAUGCCUAAUUGGAGCCUGAAACGGGUCAAGAAGAAUCCCAAAAGUCAUUCAAUAAAUACUAUAGCACUUCUACUCCCUAAUGACUAUGUCUGACCACCUAACAUGCAUUGCAAUUAACUAAUAAUCACUAAUCUAUUCUAAUCUAACCACAUAAUCCUAAUUAAUUAAUACUAAUUAACCCUUAAGCAUCAUUAACAACUAAGCAGUGAUUAGUAAGCUAAACUCACCCAUUUAACAAUCCGUUCGAUCGAAACAUCGGGAAUGUCACAUGGGACAUUUUUCUCCAAAGCGGGCCUAGGGUUCGGGGUCCAGAAACACCUCAAAUUGAGUCUCAAAGGUGCUGAGAAACCCACUUUCUGAGUUGCUGGUUGAGCUGCAAAAACAAGAGGAAAUGAGCUGGUUUGGAGCGGGAUUAGUGACGGUGGACCGAUGAAUGGAUUGGUGGAAGUUCGGUGGCCCAAAUGGCAGUCUAAGGUGGUAGAACGGCUCCAACACGAGCUGAGGAGUUGCUGGAUGGUGGUUGAACAGGUGGCUGUAUGUGGAGAGUGUAGAUGACGCUUGGCUAGGUGCAGGUGGAGGUGUGCAGACGGCGACGGCGGCUGCUCACGGUGGCAGCUUGGUGUCUAGGCAGUGGCAAGCUACUCCUGCUCUUCCUUUAGUGGCUAUUGGUCGCAUGAACGGAGGGGAGAGAGAGAGAGAGUCUUCCACGGCAACAAAGGGGGGUGAGGGAGAGAUAAGAGAGAGAGUGGGCCACCAUGGCCAAUAUUUUCCACAAAAAUAUCUCCUACAAUCAUUCUAGGCCAAGUAUCAACCCUUGGCUCACAAUGGACCACCAUAGGUUACCUUUUCAACCUUGAGAUGGUCUAAUUUGGCUAGGGCAUGGGGAAGCUACGAAUUUGCAAGCCAUUUCCUCCAAUUGGACUCUCACACUCACUUGAUUAAGUGUCAAUAAUUUUCCCCAUCCAAGAAUCCAUCAUGCUUCUCAAUUUUGUGACCAAAAUUAAUCCCCGACCUUAAUUGCAUAAAAACGAUCCUAAACUGAUUUUUUCCCAAAAAGUCUCGGUUGUUAGAAAAAUCUUCUGAGACUAAGUCGAUGCUCCUAGAAUUUAUUGCAACAUGACAGAAUCUUUAAUUUCUGAAAUCGGACUUGAAUUGGUGGUUAAUUUUCAUUCGGCACGUUUUUAGCGUGACUUAGACUACCAGGUAGUUUUUAGAACUUUUUAGUGCAAAUGACCCAUGGUUAAUUUUUUUCUAGCCACUAUGAACCCACUCAACACAUUGGAAACUCUUGAUUAUCGUAAAAAUCUCGAGGAUUCAAAUACAGAUACAGGGUACCAAAACGACAGAGAAAUCAAACUAGUGCCAGUCGACGAGAAUUUUCCAAUUUAGUGGAGUCACCCACUAUCGGCCACAUAUCUCCAUCGAACCGAUCUAUCUCUGAUCUCAAUUCAAUUUUUAACUGUGUUGUAAUGGCCUCUAAAGAUAAACACUGUCGAGAAGCCAAUUCCUGGUCAAAUUCUCAAGUCUAUUGCAUUAAAAUUCCUUAAUGGCUUCCUUGGAUAGUCUAGUUAUCUUAUGAGUGGCCAUAUCAAAGAAAAGACUAUAGGCGUGUCGAUGAAAUACCUGAUUUAUCCAGCAGAAAACAGGACCGAAAAUCUGGGAUGUCACAACUCUUCCCCUCUUAUAAAAAUUUCAUCCUCGAAAUUUAAACCUUUACUCAUCCUUAAAUAAAAAGGUGGGGUAUUGUCAUCUCAUCUAGCCUCACUUUCCCCGGUUGCUUCUUCAGUCCCGUUGCGUUGUCAAACCACUUUGACCAAGGGGACUAUCUUGGUUCAUCGAAUCCAAUCUUUUUGAUUCACGUGAACUGGGUUUUCAGCGUAUGACACUCUGUCAUCCACGUCUAAUUCUUCAAGAUUUAGCACGUGGGUCGGGUCAGGCUCAUACGUCCUCCAACCCUUGACACGUGAAAGACGUCAUGCACUUGUGCCUGCCUCGGCGACAAUGUAAGAUGAUACGUUAGGAUCCCGAUUCUUCUCAGAAUCUCAAAGGAAUCUACGUACCUCAGUUUCAGUUUUUCCGUCCUUGCUGAAGUGCAAGGUAUCCCUCAUUGGUGACACAUUCAGAAAGAUGUAAUCACCAAUUUGGAACUCUAAGGGCCUUCAAUGCUCAACGAUGCAACUUUCUUGGCGGCUCUAAGCGGCCCAUAAUCUGAUUUUGAUCACGACAACUGCAAUCACUGACUGUUGAGCUGAUGCUGGGCCUGUGAUCUUUCUUUCUCUGAUCUCAUUUCAGCAAACUAAAGUUCUAUACACUCUGCUCUACCCUGCUUCAAAAAGGAACUAUAUGACUGUUCUACUGAAACUAGGAACCUUGGUUCUAGAUCUGAUAUAAGUUCGUCAGUGAUACUUCCUACAGAUGAACUGACUGACACAAGUACACUUUUGCAUGCCUAUUCCAAUCAAGAUCCUUCCAUACAGCGAUAAAGUGAGCCGACUUCAUCAGUUUGUCGACCACUACCCCAAUUAGAGUUAAUACCUUUCUGACUCAUAGGUAAGCCUGUUACAAAAUCCAAUAUGACGUGUACCCAUUCCCACUCGGGAAUCUCGAGAGGCUGUAAAAGUCUUCCUGGUUUGCAUUAUCGAACUUCCACUCACUGACACAUUUGACACUCGUAACCUGUCCGGCAACAUCUAUCUUUAUAGCGGUCUACUAAUCGGGCUGACGCCGAUUCAGACCUACUUUGUACCAUCGGGUCAAAUACUGCAAUACUGUAGUGAAAUUCCUAACAAGGUCUUCUCCUCAAGUUCCGUACUGUUUGACAUCUAUCAUCACCCAUGAUACUUCGACGUUCCAUCUUCCAAAAUUUGAAAGUUAAUCUUUCUCUUACCGGUAUCCUCUUGUAGGAUUUUCUGAACAUCCCAAUCUAUCAACUAAAAUGUCUUAAUCCUUAACUGGACUUCUAGUUUAGUUUUGAGGGUGGCCAUAAAAUUCGUAAGGUGGCCUACCUUAGACUUGAAAAUCGAAUCUCAAGUUCUCUCGAGUACCUUCUACUUUUUGAUCACCAUUUGUGCAACUGAAGAUCUCUGACUCGGUGCACUUGCGAUUUAAUUCGUCUUUCCAGGGCGACACAGGACAUCACAAUCAUAGUUCUUCCAAAAUUCUAACUCAUAACACUGUCUCAUUUUCAACUCCUUCUGAGAGAAUAAACAUUUUGAGACUUUAGCGUUCAACAAAGGUCUAGAGUUUUUCUCCACACAAAUAACAUUUUCAAAAUUUCAGAGCAAAAAUUAUUGCCGCGAGUUCCAAGUCACGCACUAGGUAACUCAACUCAUGGGGUAUCAACUGAUGGGAUGCAUAUGUAACACUCUACCACAUUACAUCUACACACAACCCAAUCCUAUAAGUGAUGCGUCACUAUAAUUUUCGCAUCCUUCAGAACCAUAAGGAAUGGUUAACACAAGUGUGGUAGCUAACUUCUACUUAAGCUCUUAGAAAUUAUCCUCACACUUGUCUAUCCAUAUGAAUUUCUCUCAUUUCUUCAAGAGUUGAGUCAAUGGCGACACUGAUAUUGAGAUUCCUUCAGCGAACCUCCUAUAAGGAUGUUGACACCUAAAUUUUGGCGACCCAUUUAGACAUUUAUCGUAUUAAAAAAUUAGGGGUUAAUUUUAUCCCUGAAAAAAUAAAAUCACAUGGCAUAUAGUUUAGAAACAUUUUAUUUUGUUUUAUUUUAGGCCGUCGGUGAAGGGAAGAUUUUUCACAUAUUCCGUUCAGAUUUUUCACACAUUUAGGCAAUAUACACCAAAGGAUGUAUUUUCAAGCAAAAAGGAAAAUUUUGGAUGGGAUACUUGAGAAAUACAAAAGGUAAUAUUGCGCGGGGUGCAACGAUAUAUUCAGUGGUAUUUGCAUGAGCAAAAUUGAAAGUAAAUAUACNNNNNNNNNNNNNNNNNNNNNNNNNNNNNNNNNNNNNNNNNNNNNNNNNNNNNNNNNNNNNNNNNNNNNNNNNNNNNNNNNNNNNNNNNNNNNNNNNNNNNNNNNNNNNNNNNNNNNNNNNNNNNNNNNNNNNNNNNNNNNNNNNNNNNNNNNNNNNNNNNNNNNNNNNNNNNNNNNNNNNNNNNNNNNNNNNNNNNNNNNNNNNNNNNNNNNNNNNNNNNNNNNNNNNNNNNNNNNNNNNNNNNNNNNNNNNNNNNNNNNNNNNNNNNNNNNNNNNNNNNNNNNNNNNNNNNNNNNNNNNNNNNNNNNNNNNNNNNNNNNNNNNNNNNNNNNNNNNNNNNNNNNNNNNNNNNNNNNNNNNNNNNNNNNNNNNNNNNNNNNNNNNNNNNNNNNNNNNNNNNNNNNNNNNNNNNNNNNNNNNNNNNNNNNNNNNNNNNNNNNNNNNNNNNNNNNNNNNNNNNNNNNNNNNNNNNNNNNNNNNNNNNNNNNNNNNNNNNNNNNNNNNNNNNNNNNNNNNNNNNNNNNNNNNNNNNNNNNNNNNNNNNNNNNNNNNNNNNNNNNNNNNNNNNNNNNNNNNNNNNNNNNNNNNNNNNNNNNNNNNNNNNNNNNNNNNNNNNNNNNNNNNNNNNNNNNNNNNNNNNNNNNNNNNNNNNNNNNNNNNNNNNNNNNNNNNNNNNNNNNNNNNNNNNNNNNNNNNNNNNNNNNNNNNNNNNNNNNNNNNNNNNNNNNNNNNNNNNNNNNNNNNNNNNNNNNNNNNNNNNNNNNNNNNNNNNNNNNNNNNNNNNNNNNNNNNNNNNNNNNNNNNNNNNNNNNNNNNNNNNNNNNNNNNNNNNNNNNNNNNNNNNNNNNNNNNNNNNNNNNNNNNNNNNNNNNNNNNNNNNNNNNNNNNNNNNNNNNNNNNNNNNNNNNNNNNNNNNNNNNNNNNNNNNNNNNNNNNNNNNNNNNNNNNNNNNNNNNNNNNNNNNNNNNNNNNNNNNNNNNNNNNNNNNNNNNNNNNNNNNNNNNNNNNNNNNNNNNNNNNNNNNNNNNNNNNNNNNNNNNNNNNNNNNNNNNNNNNNNNNNNNNNNNNNNNNNNNNNNNNNNNNNNNNNNNNNNNNNNNNNNNNNNNNNNNNNNNNNNNNNNNNNNNNNNNNNNNNNNNNNNNNNNNNNNNNNNNNNNNNNNNNNNNNNNNNNNNNNNNNNNNNNNNNNNNNNNNNNNNNNNNNNNNNNNNNNNNNNNNNNNNNNNNNNNNNNNNNNNNNNNNNNNNNNNNNNNNNNNNNNNNNNNNNNNNNNNNNNNNNNNNNNNNNNNNNNNNNNNNNNNNNNNNNNNNNNNNNNNNNNNNNNNNNNNNNNNNNNNNNNNNNNNNNNNNNNNNNNNNNNNNNNNNNNNNNNNNNNNNNNNNNNNNNNNNNNNNNNNNNNNNNNNNNNNNNNNNNNNNNNNNNNNNNNNNNNNNNNNNNNNNNNNNNNNNNNNNNNNNNNNNNNNNNNNNNNNNNNNNNNNNNNNNNNNNNNNNNNNNNNNNNNNNNNNNNNNNNNNNNNNNNNNNNNNNNNNNNNNNNNNNNNNNNNNNNNNNNNNNNNNNNNNNNNNNNNNNNNNNNNNNNNNNNNNNNNNNNNNNNNNNNNNNNNNNNNNNNNNNNNNNNNNNNNNNNNNNNNNNNNNNNNNNNNNNNNNNNNNNNNNNNNNNNNNNNNNNNNNNNNNNNNNNNNNNNNNNNNNNNNNNNNNNNNNNNNNNNNNNNNNNNNNNNNNNNNNNNNNNNNNNNNNNNNNNNNNNNNNNNNNNNNNNNNNNNNNNNNNNNNNNNNNNNNNNNNNNNNNNNNNNNNNNNNNNNNNNNNNNNNNNNNNNNNNNNNNNNNNNNNNNNNNNNNNNNNNNNNNNNNNNNNNNNNNNNNNNNNNNNNNNNNNNNNNNNNNNNNNNNNNNNNNNNNNNNNNNNNNNNNNNNNNNNNNNNNNNNNNNNNNNNNNNNNNNNNNNNNNNNNNNNNNNNNNNNNNNNNNNNNNNNNNNNNNNNNNNNNNNNNNNNNNNNNNNNNNNNNNNNNNNNNNNNNNNNNNNNNNNNNNNNNNNNNNNNNNNNNNNNNNNNNNNNNNNNNNNNNNNNNNNNNNNNNNNNNNNNNNNNNNNNNNNNNNNNNNNNNNNNNNNNNNNNNNNNNNNNNNNNNNNNNNNNNNNNNNNNNNNNNNNNNNNNNNNNNNNNNNNNNNNNNNNNNNNNNNNNNNNNNNNNNNNNNNNNNNNNNNNNNNNNNNNNNNNNNNNNNNNNNNNNNNNNNNNNNNNNNNNNNNNNNNNNNNNNNNNNNNNNNNNNNNNNNNNNNNNNNNNNNNNNNNNNNNNNNNNNNNNNNNNNNNNNNNNNNNNNNNNNNNNNNNNNNNNNNNNNNNNNNNNNNNNNNNNNNNNNNNNNNNNNNNNNNNNNNNNNNNNNNNNNNNNNNNNNNNNNNNNNNNNNNNNNNNNNNNNNNNNNNNNNNNNNNNNNNNNNNNNNNNNNNNNNNNNNNNNNNNNNNNNNNNNNNNNNNNNNNNNNNNNNNNNNNNNNNNNNNNNNNNNNNNNNNNNNNNNNNNNNNNNNNNNNNNNNNNNNNNNNNNNNNNNNNNNNNNNNNNNNNNNNNNNNNNNNNNNNNNNNNNNNNNNNNNNNNNNNNNNNNNNNNNNNNNNNNNNNNNNNNNNNNNNNNNNNNNNNNNNNNNNNNNNNNNNNNNNNNNNNNNNNNNNNNNNNNNNNNNNNNNNNNNNNNNNNNNNNNNNNNNNNNNNNNNNNNNNNNNNNNNNNNNNNNNNNNNNNNNNNNNNNNNNNNNNNNNNNNNNNNNNNNNNNNNNNNNNNNNNNNNNNNNNNNNNNNNNNNNNNNNNNNNNNNNNNNNNNNNNNNNNNNNNNNNNNNNNNNNNNNNNNNNNNNNNNNNNNNNNNNNNNNNNNNNNNNNNNNNNNNNNNNNNNNNNNNNNNNNNNNNNNNNNNNNNNNNNNNNNNNNNNNNNNNNNNNNNNNNNNNNNNNNNNNNNNNNNNNNNNNNNNNNNNNNNNNNNNNNNNNNNNNNNNNNNNNNNNNNNNNNNNNNNNNNNNNNNNNNNNNNNNNNNNNNNNNNNNNNNNNNNNNNNNNNNNNNNNNNNNNNNNNNNNNNNNNNNNNNNNNNNNNNNNNNNNNNNNNNNNNNNNNNNNNNNNNNNNNNNNNNNNNNNNNNNNNNNNNNNNNNNNNNNNNNNNNNNNNNNNNNNNNNNNNNNNNNNNNNNNNNNNNNNNNNNNNNNNNNNNNNNCAUGAUAAAGAGGUUCAGGAAACUGAACAAAAAGGGAAGAAGAUUCAAUUGGAAGAAACAAAACUCUCAAAGAUUUCAAAACAAAUUAGUUGAGGAUGAUGAAUCCAAUAAAGAUGUGAUUUGCUUUGAAUGCAAGAAAAAAGGACACAUCAGACCCAACUGUCCCUUAGUGAAGAAAAAAAAGGAAAAGCUGAGAAAUAUAGAAAGACACUCAAAGCAGAAACUUGGAGUGAUAAUAAAUGCGAAGAGAGUGAUGAUGAUUAUGCUAAUAUUUGGUUAAUGGAAAAAUCAAAAUUAGAUUUAGACUCAAAAAUCAAUACCGACUCAAAUUCAGAUAGUGAAAUCGAGGUAAGUAAUUUUCAAAUUCCUAUUAAGGUCUCGAAAUAUAUUAAUAAACUGUCUCUUAGUCUUAAAACCUUUCUCAAGAGGAUUUCGGAGCUAAAAAGGAAGAAUUCUACACUGAAGCAACAUGAAAUUUUAUGGAAAGAAAAGUUUGAAAAUCUAGAUAAAAGUUUUAUUACUUUAAAAGAAAAUGCAGAAUCUCUUUCAAAAGAAAACACACUUUUGAAAAAUGAUAUUUCAAACAUUUCAAAAAGGUUUUCCAUGGGAUCUGAGAAAUUGGAAAAGAUUCUUUCAAUACAAAGACCUUACUUUAAUAAAUCAGACUUGGGAAUGACAUAUGAAACUGUUCAUUUAAUUAAUUUUCCAAAAAUAAAAGAAAGAAUCAAACAAAGACCCAUAAAAGCCUUCUAUAGAAAUCAUUUUCAAAAAUUCUUUGUAAAACCUAAUGGUCGAAGUGCUCUUAGAUGUUCUAAGUGUAACAGUUCAUAACACUUUGAGAAAAAAUGUCCUAUGGUUUGGAGGCUUGUUAAGAAGGAUUGGGCAAAGACUGUAUAUUGUACUAACUCUACUAGACCCAAGAAAGUGUGGGUAUCAAAAAAAAGCUAAAGUUUCUUUUUUAAUUGCAGGUCACUAUCAAGAAAAAAAUCAAAUGGUAUUUGGAUAAUGGCUGUUCAAGGCAUAUGACUGGAGAUUCAAAUUGUUUUAUUAAACUUAAGCAAGUAAUUGGUGGAAAAGUCUCCUUUGGCGAAAACAACAAGAGAAGAAUUGUUGGUUGUGGAACUGUACAGAUAGAAAGUCUCACAAUCAACAACGUCUCCUUAGUGGAAGGAUUCAACUACAACUUGCUCAGCAUCAGCCAAUUGUGUGACACUGGAUUCAAGAUCAAUUUUUAAGAAGGAAUAUGUUUGGGCACUAGUAAAAAUCUUUCACAAUCCUUUAUUGGGCGAAGACAUGGAAAUAUCUAUCUUUUGGAUAUCAAUCCAGAAAGAUCUCAAUGUCUAAUUUCAAUUCAAGAUGAAGAAAAUCUCUGGCAUCGAAAGCUUGGCCAUAUCAACAUGAAGCAAAUUGCCAAGAUCUCUUCAAAGAAGCUUGUUCGUAGAUUACCCAACUUGAAGUACCAAAAAUCUGACUUAUGCACACCAUGUGUAUUGGAAAAACAUGUUAGAAAUUCUUUCAAACCAAUAAAUCAAGUUUCCAUUAAUUGUGUGCUGAAGCUCCUGCAUAUGGAUCUCUUUGGAUCAACUAGAACUCAAAGCAAUGGUGGAAAGAAAUAUUGCCUAGUAAUAGUGGAUGAUUAUUCACGAUUUACUUGGGUCUACUUUUUGUCAAGUAAAUUUGAAACCUUCUCUUAUUUUACUAAAUUUGCCAAGAAGGUUCAGAAUGAGAAAUUGUAUGUUAUUUCAAGCAUACGGAUAGACCAUGGAGGUGAGUUUGAAAAUCAAAAUUUUGCUAAAUUUUGUGAUGAAUCUAGUUUUUAGCAUAUGUUCUCCUCACCAUACAGUCCUGAAUAGAAUGGAGUUGUGGAAAGAAAUAAUAGAUUGUUGUAAGAAAUGGCUUGAGCUCUUUUAAUUGAAAGCAAUAUUUUUUCUCGUUUUUGGGCUAAAGCAAUUUCUACAGCAUGUUAUAUUACUAACGGAGUUUUCUUAAGGCCUAUUUUGGAGAAAACUCCCUAUGAGUUAUUCAAAGGAAAGGAGCCAAUUGUUUCUUAUUUUCAUGUGUUUGGUUGCAAAUGUUUUAUCUUGAAAAAUGCAAAUGAUCGAAUUGGUAAGUUUAAAGAAAAAUCAGAUGAAGGAAUCUUCCUUGGAUACUCAACAUCCAGCAAAGCUUAUAGAGUAGACAACAAGAAGGCUUAGUCUAUGGAAGAGUCAAUGAAUGUCAAAUUUCAAGACUCUAUACAAAAUCAAUUGAUCUAGACUUAACCUAAAGAAUCUGAACUUGCUCUAGACUCUAUAAAGUCUACUUCCCCUGAAGCAGCUUAGACUUCAGAAGGACAACAACGAACAAAUAUCGAAGAAUCAACUGAAGAAGAAGUUUAGCAAUCUGUCAAACCAACUAGCAACUGGAAGCACAAGUCCAGUCAUCCCAAAGAACUCAUCAUUGAUAACAUUGAUGAAGGAAUUCAUACAAGAUCCAAAAGGCAUGAAGAGUCUAGCGCUAUAGCUCUUAUUUCUAAAAUAGAACCCAAGAGCAUAGAAGAAGCUUUAAUCAUGAAGUGACCACNNNNNNNNNNNNNNNNNNNNNNNNNNNNNNNNNNNNNNNNNNNNNNNNNNNNNNNNNNNNNNNNNNNNNNNNNNNNNNNNNNNNNNNNNNNNNNNNNNNNCUGGAUCGAAGCCAUGCAAGAAGAGCUCAGAUAGUUUAAUGUUAACAAUGUUUGGGAACUAAUUCCUAAACCAAAAGGUAAAUUUGUUAUUAGAGCUAAAUGGGUUUUUAGGAACAAGAUGGACGAAAAAGGAAAAGUUGUAAGGAACAAAGUAAGACUCGUAGCCAAAGGAUAUACGCAAGAAGAAGGGAUAGACUAUGAUGAGACUUACGCACCAGUAGCAAGGUUAGAUGUAAUUAAAUUAUUACUUAUUUUUGCUUGUUAUAAGAAUUUCAGGUUAUUCCAAAUUGACGUCAAAAGUGCAUUCCUGAAUGGAUUUAUCCAAGAGGAAGUUCAUAUGGAACAACCUCCUGGUUUUGAAGAUCCAAGGAAACCAGACUCUAUAUUCAGACUGAAGAAGACGCUAUAUGGAUUAAAGCAAGCACCUCGAGCUUGGUAUGAUAGGUUAAGUAAGUUUUUAAUCCAAAGUGGUUUUGUCAAAGGUAAAGUAAACACUACUCUGUUUAUUAAAAUGGAAGGUAAAAUUUUUUUACUUGUUCAAAUUUAUGUUGAUGAUAUAAUAUUUGGACCAUCUAACGAAAAUCUAUGCAAGAAAUUCUCCAAGUUUAUGUAGGAAGAAUUCGAGAUGAGCAUGAUGGGUGAAUUAUCUUUCUUUCUUGGACUUCAAGUAAAGCAAUUGAAGGAAGGGAUUUUUAUUCACCAAGAAAAAUAUGCAAAAGAACUUGUUAAAAAGUUCGGAUUAGAUAAUUGCAAAAAGACUGAAAUACCAAUGUCUAGCUCUUCGAAGCUGGAUAAAGAUGAAGGAGGAAAGAAAGUUGACCAGAAACUUUACAGGAGUAUUAUUGGUUAUCUUCUUUAUCUUACUGCUUCUAAACAUGACAUUUUGUUUUAUGUUUGCAUUUGUGCCAUAUUUCAAUUAGAUCCGAAAGAAUCUCAUCUAAAUGCUGCGAAACGCAUCAUCAAAUACGUAACAACAACCUCGAAGAUAAAUCUAUGGUAUCUCAAAGAGGGAGACUUUACUCUCCUUGGAUAUUCAGAUGCAGAUCUAGCAGGUUGCCGAGUUGAAAGAAAAAGCACUUCCGGUACUUGUCAAUUGCUUGGUAACAUGACAGUAUCAUGGUUUUCAAGGAAGUAAAAUAUAGUAGCUAUUUCAACAACAGAAGCAGAAUAUGUGGCUCUUGGAAGUUGUUGUUCUCAAAUUUUAUGGAUAAAACAACAACUAAGAGACUUUAGAAUCAAAGAUUUGUGCACUGAGAUCAGAUGUGAUAACACCAACACUAUUAAUCUCACAAACAAUCCAAUUCUUCAUUCAAAAGCAAAUCAUAUAGAGAUUCGAAAUCAUUUUAUUAGAGAUCAUGUUCAAAAUGGAGAAGUUAUGAUCCAAUUUAUUGACUCAAAGAAUCAACUAACGGAUAUAUUUAAAAAGCCACUGGAAAAAAGUCUAUUUGAGUCUAUUUGUACCAGACUGAACAUUAUAUCUCUUACAUAGUAGAGUCUGGAUGUGCACAAGACUCAAAAGGUAAAGUCUGAAUGUGUUCAAACUCAAAAAACCAAGAAUUAUAACGGUAAGGUAUUUCUAAUUUUUAAAUUUGAAAAGGUACGGUUGUUUAUUAUUUGCUAAUUGAUUGAAAUUAUCUUUCCAAGUUUUCUUUACUUUUUCAAAAAGGCAGUUAUCAAUUUUGAAAAGAUUGUUAUUUUCAAAAAGAGAAGUUAUCCUUUUCAAAAAGGUAUUUUUAUUUUCCUUUUACGACGUUUCGUUUACCUCGCUUCACUUGCUUUAUAUACUGCCGAGACUCAUCUUCUUCGUUUUCACUGAAACCCUAGAAUAUAAAAUUCCUAUUUGCUUUCACUUUCGCUUUUGAUCUGUCAAAAAGUUAUCUCCUUUUUCGGGCAAGUGGUGAAUUCCUCCCUUGAAGCAACAAUGUCUUCGAGAAAGUCUUCAAGAAUUGCAAGCAGGGGAGCACGAUCUAUGCCUGAGGGUCCUACCCAUUUUGACUUAACCUUCUCAGCAGCGUCAACCUUCUUCACUGACUCAACCUGAAGAUGAGGUCAUAGAGGAUGCUGAACCUGUAAGAACUCUAACUCCCAAGGUUGCUUAUAAGCUCUACUCUAAUCUGAAGAAAGGAGGUACACCAAUUUCCUUAAUCGAUGAAUUCUUAAAAGAUAGAGGAUUCAAGAAUGAAACCUUGUUUUUAAGGGAUUUGGAAAAAUUAGGAGUUGUAGAGAAAGGAACGGUUGAUAGAACAUUUGAGAACAUACCGAGUGACCCAUCUAUGGCUUUGCAAAUCAUCCUCAGGACGAUGAUGAAUGGUUGUUUGCUCAUUUUGAACCUAGAUCGGAUGUGGCUGCAAACAUUACUGAUGGCUCUAAUCUGUUUAAAUCAAAGGGGCACAAGAAGGUUUAUUCAAAACUUCUGAAGAGAGGGGUAAUGAACCCUAGAACUGUUGAUUUUGAUUUUCUUGAUUCAAUAAAGGUCAAUCUCCACGAGAAGUUUGCUUUACUGCAACUGGAACGAUUCUCUUCCAAAUCCACCGCUACUUUUCCAGAACUCACUGCAUACUUUUAUUCGAACCUAUCUUUCUUGGAUGCAAACAGUUUUAUUUUCACUGUAAAGGAUAAAGAGUUUUUUGGUGGAUACAGACACACUAGGCCGACAUAAUUGGGGUGGAAAGAUCGAGUUUCCAGCCAAUUAAUGUGUCUAUUGCUCAUGCUAUUCUGUCAUUGGGGAGAGAUAUGAAUGUUGAUGGCAAGAUUUCUUACUCAAGGAUGAAUGCCUCUAGCAUUUUGCUACACAAAAUUGUGAUAAAACUGCAUUCAUCCUAAAUCAACAUCCAAAACAGAUGUUUCUCGAUCGGAAACUAAGUUGAUGUGUGCCAUCAACUCUGGAUAUAAAUUCUCUUUGCCUCACACCAUAUUGUUUCAUAUGUACCGCACUGUUGAAAAAGAUAAGGGACAACUCCCUUACUCUGCUCUUAUCUCAAGGCUCUUUCGGCACUUUAAAAUUCACAUCUCUGCACCAUUAUACCUGUCAACCAUCUCUCCUAUGGUUAUUGGGUUCAAAAUGGUGACAAAGAUGAGAUUGAAAGAGUUGAACAAAGUGUUGAAGCAUGUGAAGGAAAAGUCUCCCACAAAAGCAAAACAAGACUCUGCUGCUGCGAAAAGCAAAAAGGCAAGGAGCCCAUGGUUGCUCCUAUGAAGAAGAAGAAAAGAAUUCUCAUCUUGCAAGAUGAAGAAGAUGAGGAUGAAUUGACCAUAGCAGCCUUGAGAAAAAGAGUUUUGUCAGCUUUCGUUAAACAAGAGAAGAGCCAGGAGAAGAGGAAAGAGAGAGAGAGAGAAGUCACAGAGAAGGAAGAAGAACAAAGGAGGACAGAGGAAGAAAGAAGAAGAAGAAGAAGAAGAAGAAGAAGAAGAAGAAGAAGAGGAAGGAAGAGGAGAAGAGGAAGGAAGAAGAGAAGCAGAAGAGGAAGAGGAAGAAUAAGAGAGAGAAGGAGAACAAGAUUAGGGUCAAGAGGACUCUUUCGAGCCAACCUUGGCUAUCUCUCUGUCUAGUGCGUCUGCAGAUGAGGAAACUUCACCUACUCCACCUGAGGGCAUCAAAAUAGGGGGAGCUGUUGAUCCAAAAGGUAUUUCUUCAUCUUUGCCUACUAGUGAUGUGAGUCGUUUUGCAGCAGAUCCUGAGGAUGUGUAUGCCUCACACAAUCCAGAAGACAGUCAUGAUGAACAAUCUGCUGAAGCUCCAUUGAUUCUCAAAAUCCCAGUCCUUGACUCAGCUAGUCCUAGUGAUGCAUCUGCUCAGACAACAGACUUUUCAAGAUUGAUGGAAGUUCUUUUGGACGUUAGAAAGCAGCAAUAUGCCAUGGGGUUUGAGAUGCAGGAUCUCAAGAAUGCUUUUAAGGCCACUUCAAUAUCGUUGCAUGAGUAGUUGAACACCCUGAAGCUUCAAGUUCAGUCUUUGCAGGGUGAAGAUUUUCCGUGACUGAAGCAGAGUUUUGACAGGCUUGAGAAGACACUGCAUUCUAUGGGAGAAUUCACGCUUGUUCGCCUGGCCAAACAAUCUUGAUUUUAACUCAUUUUUCCAUCCAUCUCUUUAGUCUAUUCUCCACUUUUUGCUGUUGACAAAAAGGGGGAAAGGUUUUAUGCAGAUUUGAUUGACUUUAUUUUUACUUUUUGUUGGACUUUAACUUUUGUUUGAUGUGGUUUUGAUUUAGACUGGUUUGGACUGAUGAUGCUUGCAACUUAAGCUAAAAUAUUAUUGAUUACAUUAAAGAUAGUUGUGUUUACAAGAUUAACAUGUUUUCUGUGGUUGCAGAAUUGCUACUAUCUCUAUCAUAAUAUCUAAUUUUCAUCUAUAAGAAAUCUUGGUUUGCUUAAGUGUUGUCUUGCAGGUCAAAGUGUCCAGGUGUCCAAAUCUACGAGAAAAUUUUGUCACCAUCAAAAAUGGGGAGAUUGUUGGAGAAAACUUAUCUAUUUUGAAGUUGACAAAACGUUUCCUUCCAUCAAAAUCUGAAGACCGCCAGACUUAAGAUUUAAAGUCUGCCCUCAUUGACAGUUUCUAGACCGACGAAGAAAUCUUAUUCAGAUGCAAGUUUAUCUUUAAGGAUUUGAUCCGUUUGGUUGAAGAUUAUCUCACGACUGGAGAUAGCAUCUAAAGAUCUGUUAUUCGUAUUGCAAAUAAUUCGAGUAAUUCAGAUCCAUUGAUUGGUGAAGUAAACUUGGAAGGUUCUACUUAUGGAAACCUAGAUCCUGAUUGUAUGGGCGAGCAGGAUUAGUGGGCUAUUUUCAUUUUCCUUAAGUAACUCGAGAUCUUUCUAAUUGAUUCUAUCCAAUAGUUAGAUUGGAAGAACUCUUUUGAAAGGUGCCAACGGUUAUGGAGGCAUGGAGGAGUAUAUAAGGAGAAUGCUCUAGUUAUUCGAGUGAGUGCGAGAUAGAAAAAUUCCAAAGUCCGAAACUUCUAGUUCUUUGCUGAUUCGUUUAUUGAGUGUAAACUUGUACUCAAAAGAGGGAUUAGAUGUUGGAGAAAUCUUCGUGAAGUGUUUUGAUGCUAACAAAACGUUUCCAUCAGUCUAGUCUGAAGAUCUCUAGACUCUGCUAUUUAAAGUCUGAAGACCUCAGGAUAGCCAGACUUAAGACUCAAAGUCUAUCCUCAUUGACAGUUGCUAAUCCAUUGAAGAAAGGCUAUCCAGAAUUGGAUGUUUCAUUAAGGAUAUGACCUUAUCGACUGGAGAAGAUCUCUUGGCUGGAUAAGACAUAACGGAAUCCUUUAUUUGAUCAUGAUUGACUCGAAGAUUAAGGAUCCGAUGAUUGACAAAGUAUACUUGGAAGGUUCUACUUAUGGAAACCGAGAUCCUGAUUGUAUGGGCGAACAUGAUUGAUGGACUAUCGACAUGUUCCUUUAAUAGCUCGAAUGAUCUUCCUAAUUAAUUCCGUCCAAUGAGUAGAUUAGAGGAAUUCUUUUGGUAAGUGCCAACGGGUAUGAUGGCAUAAAGGAGUAUAUAAGGAAGACGUUCAAGUUGUUCGAGGUGUGCACGAUAGAAGAAUUCCAAAGUCUGAAGCUUAUUGUUGUUAGUUAAUUCAUUUGAGCGAAAUCUUGUAUACAAAAGAGAGUCUAUAUUUGUGAGAAUCCUUGAGGAAGUGUGGUAGAAUAUCUACACUGUGGAAUCAAGGAAAAGCUGUACUGUAACUUCUCUUUUGUCCAUAGUGAAAUCCAGCCGGUGGGCUGUCAGUGCGGAAGAGUGGACGUAGGCUUGGAAUAAGCUGAACCACUAUAAACCUUGCGUUCAAUCUUCUCUUCCCUACUCUUUACUUUAAUUUGGUCGUACUUCAUUUUAUUAAUCAAAAGAGAACUCCCUUUCUAUUAUCUGCCUAGAAUCGCUUCCAUAUCUCGAGAAAUUAUUUUUUGCACCUAUUCACCCCCCUCUAGGUGCUUAUACUAGCUAUCUCAAUUGGUAUCAAAGCCUGUGUACUCACUUUGUUUGAAUUGUUUUACUUCAUAGUUAAAGAUCCAUUGCUAGUAUGUUGGCUCUAGGGCUGGUAGAAGGGCAAAGCAACACUAGACCACCUUACUUUGAUGGAAAUGAUUACAAUAUAUGGAAAAAAAAUGAAGGCAUUCCUAAGAUCAAAUGAUCCUCUAGAAUGACAUGUUGUAGAAAAAUGAAUCAUUCCUAAAGCUGCACCAGUCUCAGAAAGAGGAAAAGAUACUGUUGAGUCUAGUGAAAUGACUCAGGAAGAGAUAAUCAAGCGACAAGCUCUUGAUGCAAAAGCAAUUUAUUCUUUAUAUUUUGCUUUAUCACCUAUUGAAUAUAACAAAAUAUCUUCUUGUGUUACAGCCAAAUAAGUCUGGGAUAGAUUACACAUUACUUAUGAAGGAACCGAUCGAGUGAAAGAGACUAGAAUCAACAUUCUUCUCGAUUAAUACGAAGCCUUCAAAAUGAAAUUAGGAGAAUUUAUAACUGAUAUGUUUAGUCGUUUUACAGAAAUCGUGAAUGGUCUUGAAAAUCAAGGUCAACCAAUUUCUGAUCCCAUGAAAGUAAACAAGCUACUGUGUGGACUCUCCAAGGAUUGGAAUUACAUAAAGACCUCAAUCAGAGAGACCCAAAGAGUCAUGCCACUAUCUGUUGAUGAGUUGGUUGGGACUCUUCAGUCUUAUGAAGUGGAACGAAUCAAUGAAGACGAAGACCCUAAAGGUAAGAAAUCCUUUGUAUUAAAAUCUAAUCAUGAUUCUGAUGUUAUAGAUUUUGAAGACGAUAUGGAUGAUGAGGAGCUUGCUCUCAUGAUAAGAAGAUUCAGAAGCUGAACAGAAAAGGAAGAAGAUUCAAUUCAAAGAAUCAAAUUUUUCAAAAGCAACAAACCGAGUCUAUUGAAGAUGAUGAAUCAAACAAAGAUGUAGUCUGCUUUGAAUGUAAGAAAAAGGGACACAUCAGACCCAACUGUCCUCUUCUAAGGAAGAAGAAAGGAAAAGCUGAAAAGUAUCGAAAAGCUCUUAAAGCAGAAACCUGGAGUGAUACAGAGUGCGAAGAUAGUAAUGAAGAUAAGGCCAAUGUAUGUCUAAUGGCACAAUCGAAUUCAGAUUCGAAUUCCGAGACAGAUUCAGAUUCAGAAAGUGAAUUUGAGGUUAGUAACUUCAAAAUCCCUAUUAAAGUUUCAAAAUACAUUGAUGAAUUGUGUUUUAGUCUUAAGACUUCUCUUAAAAGAAUUUCCGAACUCAAAAAGGAAAAUUCUGCUCUAAAACAACAAGAAAAUGUUUUGAAAGAAAAAGUGAAAUGCUUAGACAAGAAUGUUUCUUCUCUUAAAGAAAAUGAAAAUGAUCUUUUAAAAGAAAAUGCAUUCUUGAAAAAUGAUAUCUCAAAUAAUUCCAAAAGAUUUUCUUUAGGAUCUGAAAAACUAGAAAAAAUACUUUAUGUUCAAAGACCUUAUUUCAAUAAAUCUGGUUUAGGAAUGAUUGCUGAAACCAUUCCUUUAAUUGAUUUUCCUAAAGUGAAAGAAAGAAUAAAAAAAAGACCCACAAGAGAUGCUUACAAAAAUCAUUUUAAAAGGACCUUUGUAAACCAGUAGGUCGCAAUGCUCUCAGAUGUGCAAAGUGUAAUAGUGCAAAUCAUUUUGAAAAAGAAUGUCUUAUGGUUUGGAAACCUGUUAAAAAGGUUUGGGCAAAAACCACAUAUCAUACUAACACCAAUGGACCCAAGAAAAUUUGGGUACCAAAGAAAGUUUGAGUUUCUCUUUUAAAUGCAUGUCACUAUCAAGAAAAAGGUAAAAUGGUAUCUGGAUAGUGGAUGCUCAAGACACAUGACAGGAGAUUCAAAUUGUUUCAUAAAGCUUGUACGAGUAAAUGGUGGAAAAGUCUCAUUUGGAGGAAACAGCAAGAGAAAAAUUGUGGGAUUUGGAACUGUAAAGAUUGGAAAUCUCACAAUAAGCAAUGUUUCUUGGAUGUGAAACCAGAUGAAUCACAAUGCUUAAUUUCAAUUCAAGACGAAGCAAGCUUAUGGCACAGAAAGCUUGGGCACAUUAACAUGAAGCAGAUAGCCAAAAUCUCAGCAAAGAAGCUUGUUCGUGGUCUACCCAAUUUAUCAUACCAAAAGUUUGAUCUAUGUACACCAUGCUUAUUGGGAAAAUAGGUAAGAAAUUCCUUUAAACCAAUAAAUCAACCGUGUACUGCAGCUUUUGCAUAUGGAUCUUUUUGAACCAACCAGAACACAGAGCAUUGGAGGUAAGAAAUACUGCCUAGUAAUUGUGGAUGACUACUCAUGAUUUACUUGGGUAUAUUUCUUGGCAAGUAAGUCUGAAACUUUCUCUUACUUUGAAAAAUUUGCUAAGAAGGUUCAAAAUGAAAAUGAGUAUGUUAUUUCAAGUAUAAAAACAGACCAUGGAGGUGAAUUUGAAAAUCAAGAUUUUACAAAAUUUUGUGAUGAAUCAGGUUUUCAGCAUUUGUUCUUCUCUCCAUAUACUCCAGAGCAAAAUGGAGUUGUGGAAAAAAAGAAUAGAUCUCUUCAAGAAAUGGCUAGAACUCUUUUAAUUGAAAGCAAUAUCUCUUCACAAUUUUGGGCCGAAGCAGUUUCAACAGCAUGUUAUAUUAUUAGUAGAGUUUUUCUAAGGCCUAUUCUAGAAAAAAAACCCCCUAUGAGUUAUUCAAAGGAAAGAAGCCUAUUGUUUCAUAUUUUCAUGUGUUUGGAUGCAAAUGUUUUAUAUUGAAAAAUGCAAAUGAUCGAGUUGGUAAGUUUGAAGAAAAGUCAGAUGAAGGAAUCUUCCUUGGAUAUUUAAGCUCAAGCAAAGCGUACAGAGUCUACAACAAGAAGACUCAAAUGUGGAAUAAUUAAUGAAUGUUAAAUUUCAAGACUAUAUGCAAAAUGAAUCCAUUCAGACUCAUCUUGAAGAAUCUGAACUUGCUCCAGACUCUACGAAGUCUAAAUCUCAAGAAGCAGCUCAGACUCUAAAAGACCAGCAACAAAUGAUUAUUGAAGAUUCAAAUGAAGGAAGUGAUCAUCAACCUGACAAAUCAAGUAGCAACUAGAAGCAUAAGUCCAGUCAUCCCAAAGAUCUUAUCAUUGGCGACAUUAAUGAAGGAAUUCGCACAAGAUCCAAAUGGUGUGAAGAGUCUAGUGUUGUGGCUCUUAUUUUUGAAAUACAACCCAGAAGCAUAGAUGAAGCUUUAUCUAAUGAAAGCUGGAUUGAAGCUAUGCAAUAAGAACUCAGACAAUUCAAAAUUAAUGAUGUUUGAGAGUUAACUUCUAAACCAAAAGGUAAAUCUAUUGUUGGAGCUAAAUGGGUUUUCAGGAACAAGAUGGACAAGAAAGGAAAAGUCAUAAGAAACAAAGCAAGACUCGUGGCCAAUGGAUAUACGCAAGAAGAAGGGAUAGACUAUGAUGAAACUUACGCACCAGUAGCAAGGUUAGAAGCAAUUCGAUUAUUACUUGCAUUUGCUUGUUAUAAGAAUUUCAGGUUAUUCCAAAUGGACGUCAAAAGUGCUUUCCUCAGUGGAUUUAUCCAUGAGGAAGUCUAUGUGGAGCAACCACCUGGGUUUGAAGACCCAAGAAAGCCAGACUCAGUAUUCAGACUGAAAAAUGCUUUGUAUGGUUUAAAGCAAGCACCUCGAGCUUGGUACGAAAGGUUGAGUAAGUUUUUAAUUCAAAAUGGUUUUAUAAAAGGUAAAGUAGACACUACUUUGUUUAUCAAAAGAGAAAGCAAAAGUUUUUUACUUAUUCAAAUAUAUGUCGAUGAUAUUAUUUUUGAAUCCCCUAAUAAAAGUUUAUGCAAGAAAUUCUCUAAGACGAUGCAUGAUGAAUUUGAAAUGAGCAUGAUAGGUGAGUUAACCUUCUUUCUUGGGCUUGAAGUAAAACAACUGAAAGAAUGAACUUUUACUCAUCAAAAAAAGUAUGCUAAAGAUCUUGUCAAAAAGUUUGGAUUGGAUAAUUGCAAAAAGGCUGAUAUACCAAUGUCAAGUUCCUUGAAGAUAGACAAAGAUGAAGGAGGAAAGAAAAUCGAUCAGAAGUUAUACAGGAGUAUCAUUGGCUCACUUCUUUAUCUUACAGCUUCUAGACCUGACAUUUCGUUUAGUGUUUGUAUUUGUGCCAGAUUCCAAGCAGACCCUAAAGAAUCUCAUUUAAAUGCUGCAAAGCGUAUUAUCAAAUAUAUUUCAUCAACUUCAAGCUUUGGUCUCUAGUAUCCAAAAAGGGGAGACUUUACUCUUCUUGGAUACUCAAACGCAGACCUUGCUGGAUGUAGAGUUGAUAGAAAGAGCACCUCGGGUACCAGUCAACUACUUGGAGGCAGGACGGUGUCUUGGUUCUCAAUGAAGCAGAGUACAGUAGCUCUUUCUAUAGCAGAAGCAGAGUAUGUAGCUCUUGGAAGUUGCCGUUCACAAAUUUUGUGGAUAAAACAACAGUUAAGAGACUUUGGAAUUGAAGAUUCAUGCACGGAGAUCAACUGCGACAACACCAGCGUUAUCAAUCUCACCAAAAAUCCAAUUCUUCACUCAAGAGCAAAGCAUAUAGAGAUUCGAUAUCACUUCAUUAGAGAUCAUGUUCAAAAUGGAGAAAUCUCGAUUCAAUUUGUUGACUCAAAGAACCAACUGGCGGAUAUAUUUACAAAGCCUUUGGAGAAAAAUCAAUUUGAAGUCAUCCGUUCCAGACUCAACAUUUUGAGGUUUGAAGAAGUGAAAGUCUAGAGACUCUCAGACUCAGAUAUACAAGACUUUGACUAUAAAUAUACGAGACUUUGAAUGUAAGUUAUUUUCUCUCUCGAAUCUCAUCUUGAAAAGGUACGAUCGUCAAUUGUGUUUGAUUAUUGCUAUAUUUAAUUGACUUGACUAUUGCAACGUUUCCUUUUUGAAAAAAGAGUUAUUUUGAAAUGACCAUUUUUUCGAAAAAGGCAGUUAUUUUUGAAAGGGCAUCUUUUCACUUUCCUUUAUGACGUUUUGUAUUCCACCCUUUCGACUAAGUUAUAUAUAGUCGGUUUCUCUUUUGUUUUAACUUCAAAACCCUAAAAAGCACCGAUCUACCAUUCCUGUUCUCUUCUCUUGUUUAAUCUUUGAAAAAGUUGUCAUCUUUCUUGGGAAAGUCAAGCAAGGAAUCUUUCAAAGAUUGAGGAAGAUGUCAUAUUCAAGAAAGUCUUCAAGGAUCGCAAGCAGGGGACCACGGCGAAUGAGUGAGGGGCCUACGCACUUUGAUCUCACCAAUGAAGAAGAGUCUCCAAAUCAGUAGCAGAGCCCACAACAUUCUCAGCAGCGUCAUUCUCCUCCAUCUAGUCCUCAAGGUGUUGAUCAUCAACAAGAGGAAGAAAUUAUUGAAGACGCAGAUCCUGUAAGAGUUCAAAGACCCUCUUUUAUUUAUAAGCUUUACCGUGCUUUAAAGAGGACCGGUACUCCGUUGAUCUAUAUCGAUGAAUUUCUUAAGGACAAAGGAUAUGUGAAUGAAUAUAUCUUUUUGCGAAAAAUGGAGAGUUGGGGAAUUGCUCCUAAAGGGUUGGCUGAAGAAACCCUUGCAAAUAUCCCAAGUGAUCCGCGUGUUGGGGGAUUUAAUCCUAUAGAUAGGAAUGAUGAUGAUAAACUGUACAUUCAAUUUCAACCAAGGAUGGGUGUUGCAGUGAAAAUUCGAGGAAAAAGGACAGAGAUGUUUAGAUCGAAGGAACAGAAGGUUAUCUAUUCAAAACUAUUAAAGCGAGGGGUGAUAAACCCUAGGAGUGUGGAUUUUUUUAUUUCCUUGAUGCUGUAAAUGUCAAUUUGAGAGAAAAGUUUAGUUUUCUUCAACUUGAGCAGUUUUAUUCUGACACCACAGAAGCCUAUGCUGAAUUAACCGCUUAUUUCUAUUCGAAUCUUAGUUUCUUGGAUGCAAAUAGAUUCUCUUUUAGUGUCAGAGAUCAAGACUUUGUGGUGGAUAUGGAUAUGUUGGCGGAUGUCAUUGGGGUUGAGAGAGGAAGAUAUCAACCUAUCAACGUUUCUAUUGCUCGUGCUACAUUGGAACUUGUUAAGGAUAGAAGAACAGAGGAAAAGAUUUCCUACUUGAGGAUGAGUGCGUUUAACAUUUUGCUUCACAAGAUUGUGAUCAAUUGCCUCAGACCGAAAUCAACUUCCAAGACUGAUGUUUCAAGUUCAGAGGCAAAGCUGAUGUAUGCCAUCAUCACUGGAAAAAAGUUUUCUCUCCCUCACACUAUUAUGUUCCACAUGUAUAGAGCAGUGGUGAAAGGACAGGGGUCAACUUCCUUAUCUAGGUCUUAUGAUGAAGUUAUUCAGACAUCUGAAUAUUCAGCCUCCACAAAUUCUUUGUGUUCGAUCGUGCGAUCAUAUGGUGGUAGGACUAAAAAUGGUGGACUAAAUGCAUAUAAAGGAACUAGCAAGGCGUUGGAGAAAUUCAAGGAGAAGACUCCAGUCAAAACUCAUCAAAUCUCUUCUUCAUCAAAAAGGAAAGGGAAGGAGCCCAUGGUUGCUCCAUCCAAGAAAAGAAGAGCUCUCAUCAUUGAAGAUGAAGAUGAUGAGAAAAACAUCACAAUCUUUGCAAUGGCAUUGAAGAAUCUAAGUCGUUCUAUUCUAGAGAAAGACUCAGAACAGAGGGCUAGAGAAAGAGAAGAGAAAGAAGCAGAAGAGAAAGAAGUAGAGGAGAAGGAAGAAGAAGAAAGGGAUGUUGAGAAGGAAAGAGUUGAGAAAGAAGAAGAAGAGAAAAGAGAUCAAGAGGAAAGGAGAACAUGAGGAACACUCUUCUCCACCUGAAGGCAUGAAAACAGGGGGAGAUUAAGAGAAAAGAGGAAUGUCCUCAUAUCCUGCUACUAGUGAGGGAGUCAGUCGCUCUCCAGCUGAUCCAGAGGACAUUUAUGCCUCUCAAUUUCCUAAGGAAGGACAUGAUGUUUCAUCGCCAAAUCUGCGUGAUUAUGCUGAUCAGCCAUCGUCUGCUUUUACUCCAUCAGAUCGUGCCGAAGCUAGUAUGCAGACUGAUAAUUCAGCAGAUUUUCGCAGAAUCCUGGAUGUUCUUUUGGAAAUGCGAGGUCAGAUAUAUGCUCUGGGAUGCGAAUUUCAGAAUUUGCAGAAUGCAGGUCAAUCUUCUUCGGGUUCCUUGAAUGAUCAGAUCCAAGCCAUUUCUCUUCAAAUUCAGGCUAAUUCUAAGGGUAAGGAUGUUGCACAACUAAAGGAAGACUUGAAAAGACUGGAAGGCAUCGUUCAGUCAAUGGGAGAUUUCCAGCUUGUUCAUGUUCCCAAGCAUUCUUGAUUCUACUCCACUUUCAUCUCGACCUUUUUUAUGUUGACAAAAAAGGGGAGAGAUGCGAGAUUUGCAAACUUUGAAUCUUUACAACUUUUGAUUGGAUUAAUGUUUGAAGAUUGUUUUGAUGUUUGACUUACUUUUGUGUUCGGAUGUGGACUGAAUUUGGAUUUGGAUUUGACUGCUUAUAUUAACUACUAUUGAUAUCUUAUGAAUGGCUUUAUCACAUAAAAGACUAACCUAAUUUCUGUGUGGUUGCAGAUUCUAGUGUUAUCAUUCAUCAAGCCAUUUAUUUUUAUAAGAUAUUCAUAUUUUUUUUAGUAACAUUUUGCAGGUCAAAGUUAUCCAAAUUUGCAGGAAAGUUUUGUCACCAUCAAAAAUGGGGAGAUUGUUGGGGAAAUCUUCGUGAAGUGUUUUGAUUCUAACAAAACGUUUUCAUCAGUAUAGUCUGAAGAUCUCCAGACUCUGCUAUUUAAAGUCUGAAGACCUCCGGACAGCUAGACUCAAGACUCAAAGUCUAUCCUCAUUGACAGUUGCUAAUCUGUUGAAGAAAGGCUAUCCAGAACUAGAUGUUUCAUUAAGGAUAUGACCUUAUCGACUGGAGAAGAUCUCUUGGCUGGAUAAGACAUAACGAAAUCCUUUAUUUGAUCAUGAUUGACUCGAAGAUUAAGGAUCCAAUGAUUGACAAAGUAUACUUGGAAGGUUCUACUUAUGGAAACCGAGAUCCUGAUUGUAUGGGCGAACAUGAUUGAUGGGCUAUCGACAUAUUCCUUUAAUAGCUUGAAUGAUCUUCCUAAUUGAUUCCGUCCAACGGGUAGAUUGGAGGAAUUCCUUUGAUAAGUGCCAACGGGUAUGAUGGCAUAAAGGAGUAUAUAAGGAAGACGUUAUAGUUGUUCGAGAUGUGCAUGAUAUAAGGAAGUCUGAAGCUUCUUAUUGUUAGUCAAUUCAUUUGAGCGAAAUCUUGUACACAAAAGAGAGUCUAUAUUUAUGAGAAUCCUUGAGGAAGUGUGGUAGAAUAUCUACAUUGUGGAAUCAAGGAAAAGCUGUACUAUAACUUUUCUUUUGUCCAUAGUGAAAUCCAGCCGGUGGGCUGUCAGUGCGGAAAAGUGGACGUAGGCUUAGAAUAAGCCGAACCACUAUAAACCUUGCGUUCAAUUUUCUCUUCCCUACUCUUUACUUUACUUUGGUCGUACUUCAUUUUGUUAAUCAAAAGAGAACUCCCUUUCUAUCGUCUGCCUAGAAUCGCUUCCGUAUCUCGAGAAAUUAUUUUUUGCACUUAUUCACCCCCCUCUAGGUUUUUAUACUAGCUAUCUCAUUAGAUACCUGUGAGACCUUGAGGAAGUGUAGUAGAGUUUCUACACUAUGGAAUUAAGGACGUGUGAUUGUAACAACUCUUUUGAUUCAUAGUGAAAUCCAGUCAGUGGGCUGUUAGUGCGGGAGAGUGUAUGUAGGCUUGGUCUAAGCGGAACCACUAUAAAACAUCGUGUUUCAAUUCUCUUUCCCUUAUCUCUUUACUUAAUUCGUAGUCUUAUAUAUUAUUGCAGGUCUUUUAAAUCUUAAGUCUUCCGUUGUUUUAUAAGUUGAAUUAAGUUGCUGAGUUUUAUAAAAUUCAUUUUUACACCUAUUCACUCCCCUCUAGGUGUUCAUACUAGCACUAUCAAGCGCAAGCACCAGGCCGUUGUAAAGAUCUCAAGCACAGCUCCUCCUUCAAAGGGUAUAUGGACAACGGACACAUUAAGCAAAGUCGAAUGACAUUACAUUUAUAUCUCCCUUUUCUUUCCACUCUUUUCUCAGCUACCGCUCCUGUUGCUGCUAUUGAGUGAUCUUGGGCAUGCUGGCUUCGUCAAUCUCUAUGUAAAUCUUCGAUUGUUUUGUGCAUCUUGUCAUCUCUUUUUUUUUUCUUCAGUUUAGAGUUGAAGAGGGGAGGGUUCUGGUGUGAUGGCUUCCUCACAUUUGUACAGAUUUCCACACGACAGAAGUGAAUUCUUACAUUUCAACUAGGCAUUCUAAGCGGUUCUGCCAAGUUCUUUUUCAGUAUUUUAUGCCUUUUCUUUCUGCUUGUAAUCUUAACUGCAAGAUUCAGAUUAGUUUUGUCAAGGGCGACAUCUCAAGUUGACUUUGCUGAGGUUGAGGUUAGAGAAUGCGAUCUUGUAUCUUUAGAUUUAACUAAAAGUUGAAAUGUUUUAGAUUAAAAGUCCUUGGAAUAAAAUUGCAAAUUUCGAAAAUUGAUUUUUUUUUUGUUAGGUUGGACAUCAAGUGAUUGAUAAAAGACCCAAAGAUUUCAAAUGUAAUACCUUUAAAAAGCAAAUAAGGAAAAAAAACAAAAAAGUUGCGAAGUCUGGUAAUUAUGAAUUCUAAACUUUUUUCUCUGGUUUUGAAAUUAGCAUUGGAAAGAAGAAAAAUGGUAAGUUAGUGCAAUCUACUUCGACAUCUUAACAAAUACCUUCUGUGAUCUUUAAAUGGAGCCUUAAUGAGCAUUAUAAGUAAAAUUGUAAUGAAAAGAGAAAGAAAUAGAUUUUCUAUAUAAUAGACAUUGUUGGCUGAUGUAUCAUGCUAAUUAUCUUAUGAAUAAAAAACUGCCUCUCCCUUAUAAUGGUUGGCAAACUGCGCCCCUUGCAUUAGCAUAGUAGAGGACGCAAGUAUCUCUCAAUUGGUGUAUACUCGUCAAUUGAUCCUCCUUGAUGUAAUUUAUAUCGAUUGAAUUAUUUAUUUCAAUUUUGCUUGGGAUCUCAAUUUAGAAAAUCAUGGGAUCUAUAAAGCUUAGAUAACAACAAGAGGAAUUAAAAAAAAAAAAAACGGUUACGACACUGCGUCAAUAUCGUUGACAGGUAAGAAUACCAGUACUUGCGACCUUGCAGCUCUGCUACUCGGGAAAUCACUAAAAUGUGGCAUUAAAAAUAAAAAUAAUUUUUUUAAUGAGACAGAAAGAUAAUUAAUUAUUAAUAUUUGAUACUUCUACCGUUUGUUUAAGGGCUAUGCUAGUAGGUCACACGACACAUCCAAUGGUGUUUUCACUGCACACGUUCAUUUUUUUUUCUCUAUAGUGAUGUAGUCACUUAUUAAUAUGUUGUAUUUUUUCCCUUUUUGUUGCGAAUUUCCCCUUCUAUAAAUCAUGAACACGAACACGAGCACAAAAUUUUUUCGUCAAAAUAAGUGGUCUAUUCAGCACGUGCUGAUACCUUUAAUUAUUUUUUAUAUUCGGAAUAAAUUAUUAAGUGAUGAUUGGACAAAUCAUUAAACAGAAAAAUCUCUUGACGAAAAAUAUCCUAGAUUAUCUCGCGAGCGUAUGCUGAAAAUCUAGACAUACAUUAUUGUAUUUUAGGGUACAAGAUUUGCUCUCUCUUUGUCAUUGAUUUUGUAAGUGUCCUAUUGCCUUUGGAUGGUUAUUCUUUUUGUAACCGUUCGACUUUAAAAUCGGCAAUGACCAGGAGUAACCAUCAUCGAUCAAGCCCUCUUAAGUGAACACUAAAAAAAGAAUUAGUCUCUUAAUCGCUCGAAUUGUGUUAAAUCAGAGGUAUUGUUUGUAGAUAUCAUGAAUAAUGGGAAAAUUUCCAAAAAGGUCCUAAAUCUAUUGCACUUUAGCCAAUUAAGUCAUAAAUCUUUUAAUUACGUCAAUUGAAUCCUCAACCUUUUCACAUUUUGCCAACUGAGUUUAUUAGGCCAAUUUUAAGAAAAAAUCAUUGAUGUAAGUGCCAACUAUCUUAUGUAAGAUGGUCGAUACUAAUGUUGACAAAUUCUUAUAAUUUUUUUAAAGAAUGGAUUUUUUAAAUUUUUUUUUUCUUUUUUUAUUUUACCGUGGCUUGUGAGAGUUGUUGGGUCCUUGUAGCUACUAGCGAAGACAGUGACCCUCGUCGGACAUGGAGAAAAAAAAGUAAAGGAGGAAAAGAGAAGAAAAAAAAGGAAAAAGAAGAGAAAAAGGUUCAUAAAAAUUCAAAAAAAAUGUUUAAAAUAUUAUAAAAAUUCUCCACUUUAGCACCGCUUGUGCCACAUAAGAUAACUGGUGUCCACGUUAGUGAUUUCCUAACAAAAUUGGCCAGAUGAACUCAAUUGGGAAAACAUGAAAAUGUUUAAAAAUUCAAUUGGCAUAAUUGAUAGAUUAAUGACUGAAUUAGUAAAAGUACAAUGAGUUUUUUUUGGUAAUUUUCCCAUGACUAACUAGCAUCUCUCUUCCAUCCAGAUUCUGAUCAUAGUUUAAACAGGGCAAAGUCCCAAACUUAUCUAACGAAUUUAAAUCUCAAAAGGAGAUGCAAUAUCUAGUAUAAAGUUCACACUUUAUGACUUGUGUCCAAUCACAUAGCGUUGCUGCAACAGAUAGUUUGGAGACAUGUUUCAGCGGGUCUUCUUACAUGCUAAACAUGAUAUCAUAAACAAACCACUAAGACGAUUAGUUAGUAACCUUUUUUUUUAUUGUUUGCCAAGCAUGUUGUUCCAUCAUCUUUCAAUACAUUCUCAAGUGGCAUUUGUAGAUGAUGGUUUUAUGUGAUGGGCUUAAGGCCCAUCCACCCAUGUUGGGCCUAAAAGCCUGGCCCACAGGAUUAGGGCCCAUGGAUGAAGGGGUACGUUUCUAUUUUUUGAGGGAACGUAUAUAAGGGAGGAAAGAGAGAGACAAAGAUACCUUUUGGUAUUACGUACAUUCCUCUCCCUCUCUCCCUCCAAGAGUAAAACAAAACGUAAAAGGCGAUGCUCUCUUCCCUUCAAGGCCAAUCAACGUCAUAGGAUCAAACAUGAUCGGUUUCUCUUCCCCUUAUUGACAUUGGUGUUUAAUCUGUGAUUAACAAGGUACGCUCGAUUCCGUAGUGUGCUUUAGGAUCGGUGAUACAUGUUUUUUUCCCGGGCUUCGCUUCCAUAUUAUUUUUUAGGGGUUUGAUUUAGUGUCGAAUCCGGUUUUUGGGAAUUCGAUAAUCCCAACAUUGGUAUCAGAGCCCUAGUUCAUGUUUUCCCGAUCCCUUUGAUGUUUAUGAAUGAUUUUUGAUUGAUUUUUCGCGAAAGUAUUCAGCCAACACGGAUCGGGGCGAGAAAUCCCGACACCCGAGCAUUGUUCAUCCAUUUUUUCCAGUUUCUGUAAGUCGAAAUCAAAUUUUGAAGGCAUAGGGUGAAAGAUCUCGUCGAGAUGAGUCCGACGAUGUGUCGUGCGUCGCCGGGCGACGUCGGACGCGCCCACACGCACAGCCAAAAGGCGAUGUGCGUGGGCGCCAUGCGCCGGGGGCGAACCGGCACGUGCGUGUCGGCGAUCGGCAAACCGGCAUGCGCUGGUCGGCGAACCGGCGCGUGCUGACGUCACUGUGACGUCACCCAACGGUUGGUAACCGCUGGGAUGACGUCGCCGGUGACCCGACCCGACCCGACAUGCGCGGAAGCGGGCGCGUGCCAUGCGCGAGCCAGCUGAUGUUUGCAUGACGUCAGCCCGCACACGCAUGUGGCAUGUGCUAGUCGGUUCGUCCGACCCGCCGCCCGUUGACCCGUUGACCGUUGACCGACGACCAUUGACCGUUGACUGACGACCGUUGACCAAAAAAAAAAGAAAAAAAGAGAAUUUGUUUGUUUUUCAAUUAUGUCAGUGUGGGUUAUAGGUAAUCCAUUUUUUAUUGUGCAUUUGUUACAUGAAUCAUGGAAAAUUAUAUAUUUUCCCUUAUAUUCAUUAUGGAUUAUAAAUGAUCCAUUUUUAAUUCUGCAUUUGUUGUAGGAACUAUGAUGUGUUCUGCACGGAUACCUACAAGCCUGAGAACGGACGAGGGAAAUGCAAGACUUGAAAGACUGAUGACAGAGUUAGCUAAUUAUCGGUGGCAUGACGGUGAUUUAGUAUCACAUGUAGUCAAGGUCAAUCAGAUGAUACAGGAAAUCAUCUAGGAUGGUUAUCUUAUGCCAGAUUUUGAGAAGGUGCUGGCUUUGAUAAACACUCUUUCACCUGAAUGGCAAGUAGUGUUAGAUCGGCUAUGGGAGGUCAACGUGGUCCCGGGUUAUAGGAGGCUAGUGGUAGCUUUUGUUAGAGAGUAUUAUAUGAUUGAGUUAACCAAAACUUCAAUCCUUAGUUUGAGCACCACUUGGCGCAGAGUGAAUGCGCCUUGGAGGCAACAUGAAAGCUCUCCAAAAGUUUUUCCAUGGUUGGCAAAUGUGCAUUCAAAUUUCUUAGAUAUUUUAACUGAUAGAUUAGAAUGAACAUUCCCUAUUUAUUUCUUAGAUUAGUUUGAGAUGUUUUUUAAGUGUAAAUAUCUCUUUCUAUGUUGAUGUUUUCUUCUGUAUAUAUUACUUAGUGUAAUUGAUAGUUGUAUUAUGUGAAAGCGUUAUUAUUCUAUUGGAUGCCAAAUAUUAUUUGCUUUCUGUUAUUGUUGACUGCUGUGGGUAAUUCAUAGAAGUUUUUGUAAUUUCAUAGAAUUUAUUUUGCAUAAGACAAUUAUAUUAAUAAUAAUUUUGAGUUAGCAUUUUUGGAGGAUGAUUGGAAACAUAGUGACAUUUUGAUUCUAAAACCUUACUUGAAAUUGUUUAUUGAUAUAAUGGGUCUAUGUAAAAUGGAUGCAUAAAUGAUAGGCAUUAAUCAAUCGUGUAUAUAUGUCUGAUGUGUUCAGAUCGAUGUUUUCAGCAACUAAGAACGUAAUUGCUGAUAUGAACGGCAAUAAUUGUGAAAUAUGGAAUAUGAAGAUUCAAUAUGUGCUGGAAAAGCAAGAAGCACUAGAAGCUCUUGACCAUAUUAUGGAAGAUCUUGAGGAUAUUGUGAGCCACCUUAAGCUAGUAAAGGACCGCCUAAUGGCAUUUGAGCUGAAAAUAGACAUUUGCAAUGCUGGUUUUAGCUCAGAAAGGGCUUUGAGCUCUAAGCACAAGCGUAUUGAUUUAUUCAAUAUAUGGGAAUGCAAAGGAUCAAGUCCUUAUUGCAAGAAAUUAAUAGUUAACCAACACAAGAGAGGAAAACGUCCUCAAGUGAAGAAAAUGUCCAGGGUGAAGUGUUACAAUUGUGACAAGAAGGGUCACUAUGCUCGUGACUGUCGUGAGCCAAAGAAAGUAUACACCCCUUGUACUUUUCAGAACUUUGCUUUUUGUGUCGAGUUAUGUGUUCUUAACUGAGUCUAAUCCUUUGUGGACUGUAGAUUUAGGAGUGACAGACCAUGUAGCGAAGGAUAGAGAAUCCUUCAUGGAAUUCCGACGAUACCAACUGGAAUUAAGUGGAUCAAUGUAGGAAAUAACUCCAGAGCUGAAGUUAAAGGGAUUGGCACCUACCAAUUGAACAUGCGUGGUGGACACACCUUGUUCCUACAUGACGUUUCAUAAGUUUCAGGGAUUUGUCGAAAUUUAGUGUCUGUUUUAGUGUUGGUUAAGCUUAGUUUUUGUGUGAACUUCCAUAAUAUAUGUGUAGAUUUGUAUUUGGAUACAAACUACUAUAGUUGUGGUCAUUUUCUGGAUGGUUUUAUUAUAUUAAAUGUUGACUGUGAUGAUGUCAAUAUUUGUUAUUCCUUUUUCACAUCUUCUACCUCAUAUGAUAAUUAUUUGAGUGUGUGGCAUGUUAAACUUGGUCAUAUUGGCCAACAUCGUAUGAAUAGAGUAGCCAUAGAGGGCUUGUUGGGCAACAUUGAAAAAGUCGAUUUGCCCAUAUGUGAGCAUUGUCUUGUAGGGAAAACGACAGGGAAACCAUUUGGAAAAAUGUAAAAGAGCUGAAUUUCCUCUGCAUUUAAUCCAUUCUGACAUCUAUGGUCUAAUGAAUGUGAGAGGAAGGCAUAGGGUUGUUUAUUUCAUCACUUUUAUAGAUGAUUAUACUCGAUUCGAAUAUGUCUAUUUGAUUUGUCAUAAAUCUGAAGCAUUUAGUUAUUUCGAAAGGUUUAUGAACUUGGUAGAAAAUCAAUUAGACAAGAAAAUAAAAGUAUUAAGAUCCGAUCGAGGUCGAGAAUAUUUAUCUAAUGAGUUCAGAAAAUUAUGUGAUGAAAAAGGAAUAGAAAGACAGUUGUCUAUUCCAUAUACUCUUCAACAAAAUGUUGUUGCAGAGAGAAGAAACAGAACCCUACUGGAAAUGGUUAGGUCCAUGAUGGCACAUGCUAACUUACCUAUUACUUUUUGGAGUGAUGCGUUGUUAACUGCUGCCUAUAUACUUAACCGAGUGCCUUCCAAAUGAGUUAUUUCCACUCCAUAUGAGUUAUGGAUAGGUAGAAAACCGAACUUAAGUUUUCUUAAGCCAUGGAGUUGUGUUGCCUAUACUCAUGAGCUCUCUCACAAGUUUUAGAAAUUGGGUCCCAAAGAAGAUAAGAGUAUUUUUAUGAGAUACUCCGAACACUCAAAAAGGUAUGUGUUCAUAGGUGAGCAGGAAAGUGGGAGUAUAACUAAAUUUGAAUCACGAGAUGUCACAUUCUUAGAGGAUGAAUUUCCUAAGAAGGGCGAAAUAGGGAAAGAUUACUCCCUCUUUGUAAUCUUGGAUCAAGAUAAUGAUAUUAGUGGAGUUCGUCCAAGUGUGAGUAAUAUGAGAAGUGAUGAAUUGAAUUCAACUCAUUCUUAAUUGCAACCACAUGAUGAGACGACGUUAUCAUUAUCAAAUCCUAGUGAGAGCAUAAUGGGAAAUGAUGUGCUAAGUGUACAAUCUCCCAUACGGCGAACAAGUCACCAAAGUAUUCCCUGUCGACGUUUUGACAUUGAAAGGGAAACUUUUAUAAUUGCUCCACAAGAUGAGGAUGAGCCAAGAAAUAUUAAUGAGGCUCUAAAUUGCCCUAGUAAGGAAAAAUGGAUUCAUGCAAUGGAAGAGGAAAUGGAGUCAAUGAAAUCAAACCAAGUCUGGGAACUGGUUGAUCUUGAAGAAGGACGCAAAACUAUUGGGAACAAGUGGGUUCUCAAAAUAAAGCGAAAGACUGAUGGCUCGAUAGAAAGGCAUAAGGCUCGCCUUGUGGCGAAGGGGUAUAAUCAACAAGAAGGAAUUGAUUAUGAAGAAACAUUUUCUCUUAUAGUAAGAUUUGCCUCGAUUCGCAUUAUUUUUGCAAUAGUGGUUAGUAUGGAUCUUGAGUUACAUCAAAUAGAUGUAAAGACUACUUUCCUCAAUGGAGAAUUAGAGAAAGAAAUAUAUGUGGAACAACCUGCUGUUUUCAUAGUGAAAGGCCAAGAAAAAAAUGUAUGUCGACUUUUGAGGUUGAUAUAUGGCCUUGAGCAGUCAUCGAGACAAUGGUAUAUACGUUUUCAUAAUGCCAUAAUGACAUAUGACUUUACAAUGAUUGAUGAUGAUUAUUGUGUAUAUAUCAAAAGAUCCAAAGAUCAAUUUGUGAUCAUAUCAUUAUAUGUUGAUGAUAUACUAAUUGCCGGAAGCAAUAUGGAGUUUGUUAACACUGUCAAGAGUUGGUUGUCUUCCAACUUUGAGAUGAAGGAUAUGGGUGAGGUUGCAUACAUUCUUGGAGUUAAGAUUUCAAAAGAUCGUACGAAGAGAUCGCUAUCUCUUUCCCAAGUAAAUAAGGUUCUUGAACGAUUUCAUAUGCAAGAUUGUAAACUCAUAGACACUCCUAUUGCAAAAGGUGAAGGAUUGAGCCAUAGACUGUGUCCAAGGACUCUACAAGAGAAGGAACAAAUGAAACAUGUUCUUUAUGCUAGUGCUGUUGGGAUGCUUGAUGUACACUAUGAUGUGUACAAAACCUGACAUAUAUUUUGCAUUUGGGAUGGUGAAUAGAUACCAAUCCAAUCCAGGUCAAGCGCAUUGGAAAGUCGUUAAAAAAAUUCUAAGGUAUCUAAAGGGAACUGCUGAUUAUACGUUAAGUUAUUAUGGAAAGGAUCUGCGACUCUAAAGCUAUUAUGAUGUUGAUUAUGGAGAAGAUUUAGAUUAAAGGAAAUCUACCUCUGGCUUUGUUUUCUUAUCGAAUAAUGGCACCAUAUGUUGGAGUAGUAAGAAACAAAAGUGUAUAGUCUUGUCCACGAUGUAAGUUGUGUUCGUGGCAUUAUCAGUAGCAGUAUAAGAAAGUGUUUGGUUUAAAAGAUUUUUUGGAUCAUUUAGGUGUUAUUGGAAGUGCUGCAGAUUCAUUGUUGGUUAACUGUGAUAGCCAAGCAGCAAAAGUGUACACCAAAGAUCCAAAAUAUUAUGGCAAGACCAAACCUAUAGAUAUCAAGUAUAACUUUUGUCAAGGAUAUGAUUGCACGAAAAGAUGUGAACUUAGAGUACAUACUACGCAUAGAAUGAUAGCAGAUCCUAUGAUAAAGCCAAUACCUAAAGAUGUGUUUUGUGGUCAUAUGAAAUCUCUAGGAUUGCGUAGAGGUUGAUGUACUGAAUAUUGUAAUUUCCCUAAGUGUUCACAUUUGAUGAAUUUGUGUUUUCAUCAUUAAUGCCUAUGAAUCUUUGUUUGAUCUUUAUGCAUCUUAAUGUUCAGUGCAUUACUUUNNNNNNNNNNNNNNNNNNNNNNNNNNNNNNNNNNNNNNNNNNNNNNNNNNNNNNNNNNNNNNNNNNNNNNNNNNNNNNNNNNNNNNNNNNNNNNNNNNNNNNNNNNNNNNNNNNNNNNNNNNNNNNNNNNNNNNNNNNNNNNNNNNNNNNNNNNNNNNNNNNNNNNNNNNNNNNNNNNNNNNNNNNNNNNNNNNNNNNNNNNNNNNNNNNNNNNNNNNNNNNNNNNNNNNNNNNNNNNNNNNNNNNNNNNNNNNNNNNNNNNNNNNNNNNNNNNNNNNNNNNNNNNNNNNNNNNNNNNNNNNNNNNNNNNNNNNNNNNNNNNNNNNNNNNNNNNNNNNNNNNNNNCGCUCCAUGGGAAAUGAGUAUAUCGUAUACGUACUUCAUACUACGUAUGCAUGAGACGACCCAUAGAGUGGCAAAAGUUUGAUCUCAACUUUUAUGCCGUGUCAGGCUCUUAAGGGAAAGAGUUCCUCAAUCUUUAGUCCCCUCAUGACUCUUACUUAUUCUCAAGAUUUCUAUUUAGUGUUUGCUAUCUUAGGAUGUUGACAAUGGUCAUGAGUUGAUUCGAUCUAAUGGGACAUUUCUAGAAAAGCAAGCUGAACUGAAAUUGAGAGUUUGAAGGAAAGAAGAAGAUCGAAUUUGGAGAAUCACAUUGUAGUUUUGUAUUCACUAGUUAAUCAAUUAUGAUUGUCUUUGGAAUAAUCAUAAUUGUGAAUACAAUAUAUAUCAUUGUUUAAAAGAGAUCAAGAGAGAUAUAAAUGUGAUCGAUCGAUCUAGGGUACUGCAUACUAAAUCUACUCAGAGUGUGAUGCCCAUUAUGAGCUGCUAUAUAUUCCUAACAGAUGUAUAGUAACAAGCUCUCAAAGUAUGCUAGUCGCACGGAUUAUUCAUCGGUAUAAAUGUUGAAGAGAGGUAAAGAGAAUUCUAUUUGGCCCACCAUGUGCGAGUGGGAGAUGAUGGUUUUAUGUGAUGGGCUUAAGGCCCGUCCACCCAUAUUGGGCCUAAAAGCCCGGCCCACAGGAUUAGGGCCCAUGGAUGAAGGGGUACGUUUCUAUUUUUUGAGGGAACGUAUAUAAGGGAGGAAAGAGAGAGACGAAGAUACCUUUUGGUAUUACGUACGUUCCUCUCCCUCUCUCUCUCCAAGAGUAAAACAAAACGUAAAAGGCGACGCUCUCUUCCCUUCAAGGCCAAUCAACUUCAUCAGAUCAAACAUGAUCGGUUUCUCUUCCUCUUAUCGGUAUUGGUGUUUAAUCUGUGGCUAACAAGGUACGCUCGAUUCCGUGGUAUGCUUUAGGAUCGGUGAUACAUGUUUUUUUUCCUGGGCUUUGCUUCCGCAUUCGUUUUAGGGGUUCGAUUUAGUGUCGAAUCCGGUUUUUGAGAAUCCAAGAAUCCCAACAGUAGAGAACAAUUUUCACCUCGGCUCAUUGGCAAACUGAAAAUUGUAAUGGUCAAGAGUAAACGGUCAGGAUGAGCAACGAUAUUUAAAAGCACUUGCGUAGUUCUUCGCCUGUUAGUAUGCUAGACAUGGAAAAUGUCGAAUCAACAUCAAUUUAAGACUGUCUUUACUCGAAUAGCUACAGAACUAUGUAAGAAAACACAUGGAAUAAUAAGAGAAUCACGAAGCUCUAGAUACGGCAUGACCAUGAAAAAUCCACCGAGAGCUGGUUUUUGUCCUCGGAGUAGAUGUGAAAAAUGUGGUAGAAUUAAAGAAUACGCAGAGAUUGUUCGUAUCUAGCACUGUAAGCUUGCUCGAUGUAGAGUGAAAGAAAGGGACAUUGCAUAGAGUUUGUACCUAUAUGAAGUUCACGAUGGCCAGGAGCAAUCCGCGCCCUAUGACCUCAACUUAAGUGCAUCACCGUAUCAAUAGUCAAUUCUCCCACAUGUGGAAUUGACCUCAACUUAAGUGCAUCACCGUAUCAAUAAUCAGUUUUUCCACAAGUGGAAUUGAUACGCAAUUUACGUCCGAAUUGUCCUCUAUUCACCUUUCACCUGGGGACGGUUUUCCAUGAAUCUCUUCCAGCUCCUUGAGCCUAUUAUUAAGGGCUCUUCUAAGUGAGGCCAUCUGUAUAUGAUCGUUUGCUUCUGGAAAUCGGUUUAUGGAGACCUUGAAGUUCAGCCUAUGAAUUUUGUUGUACACUAGACGGGUCCUGUUGUCGUACUGCGAACACUUAUGUGAGGUUCCAAUUGUUCUCACCUUCCUUUCAUGGUGCAGCAGAGCAACAAAUGUCAAAGGAAUUGGAAGAGACAGUUCCACAGCCUCCUGUCACAAUGAAUGGUCUUUCUCAUCAGGAUGAUUCUCCAAUGAGCGUGAUGAACUGCAGGAAUAAGUAAGAAACUCAAUUUUUGAGAUGUUUCUGUCUCAUAUCGUUUACUUUUUCUCCAUUGCGUCUAACAUAUUACCUACUCUAGUGAUUAGCUUAACUUUUCAUUUCAAUCUGAAAGCUACUUACCUACAUUUAUAGGAUUCUUAAUAUAAAUUACCUGCUUGUGCACACUAUCUUGCUUGGCGAAUUCUGUCAUCUGCACUAGUUUAAAUACAUGCAUCAUUCGAGAGCGCAAGUGCCUUUGAUGGCUUGUGGCCUGACGCAUGGCGUAAUUGUUUUUUUGCCUCGUCAAAAGUGUUGCUUCAGAGGGCCUGAAUAUUCUUUUGAAAGUGAUGCUUCAGAGGACCUAAGUGUUCUUUUGAAAGGAAUCGUCUGUUUAAAUGAUCAUAAUUGCUACCAUUGGUAGACCACACUACCAAUAACAUGAUAGUCGCAGUGUGCAUUGUAGUCGAACAACGUAGUUUCAACUUCAAGUUGUGAUGCUAACUGUGCUUGCACUUGUGGUUCUAAAAUGUUGAUGAACAGAGCUGAAUUUGACAAGCUACUGGCCAUUCCUGUUGGUUUUGUUGGAUUAGAAGAGGCGGUAAGGUCUGCUCCACAUCUUGUACCUGGCGGAAAUCUUGCUUGUCCUUCAUUGGAAGAAUAAGGAAUGAGAAUAAAUGCUGCAUUAGACGCUGCACAUGCACCAAUUGCUCAUCUCUCGAACCUCAUUGCUGAUGGCCACCGGGCUACAAACUUCAGGGGACCUUUCCAACCAUCAGACUUUUAAUGGCUCGAAGCUUGAGCCACUUCGAUUCAUACCCUAUCCCUUACUUUCUCUGGAGGUAUUUAUGAUAUUUAGCACUUAGCUCGACAUUCUGCGUCAUCAAUCCUACUUGGUUUGGACUACCUACUGGCGAAUCUCUUCAUGUAAAGGUUUGGCUUGGAAUAUUACUUGCCAGCAUAGUUGCAUAGACAUGGCGGUUCUAUUCUUUUACCCAUCAGUGCAUUCAACUCGUGGUGCAACAAUCUGAAAAAAAGCUUUUAAUAUGCUAUUUGAGAGUCAGCUUUCAGCAGUGAUCUCGAACAAUUUCGUGUUCUCCAAACUGAGACUUGUUCAGAGUCGUUGAAAGCCUUCAAUUUCUAACCUUGUACUAGGAAUGUCCUUCCUGCUUUAUCUAUUUCUAGAUACUUUAAAAACCAUAUAAAGUAAUUGAAAAGACCACGCGGAAAAAGUUAAUUGCUGUUGUACUUGGCGAGGCAACCCAAGUUUAAGUAGCAGCAUACACAUUUGCUACUUCUCUAUGUAUUCUUACUCCUAAUGAAUGGCAUUGUUUGUAGCUUCCAUUCAGGAGUACCUUGCUAAUUCGGCAUCAGGUCAGGGUUCUCUGUCUGCAAUAUCCAAGUGAAGUGGAUAUUGCACCUUCCUUAUCAACAUCGGUGUCUGGAGGAAUGUUUGCUAUGCAAGAAAACUCAUGUGCAAGGGAUAACAAUGAGGAAUAUAGUGUGGACGCAAAUUGCGUAAUCCCAAGAUCUCCAUAACUAGAACAAGAACAUGCAUAAUUGAGUNNNNNNNNNNNNNNNNNNNNNNNNNNNNNNNNNNNNNNNNNNNNNNNNNNNNNNNNNNNNNNNNNNNNNNNNNNNNNNNNNNNNNNNNNNNNNNNNNNNNGCAAGGUCUUUCUCCUCUAUUGCCAUCUGUAUCACUGGCUCAAUGAGGUAGCCCCCCUCACGUUUAGCGUUAGGUAAAUGUCUCUUAGGUGAGGAUACAUGUGAGAAUUAGGGUUAGAGGAGAGACUUGAGCACUAUUUAUAGAGUUUCCAGCCAGUCCCCCUCAUUACGGGUUAGACUCAACUCGGCCCACACUAGCCAGCCCAUAUUAGACUAAUUAAGAAACCUUCUAUCUCACCUUAGACCAACCCUGUGUUAUGGUAACCGUAAAAACAAUAAAUUACAAUAUCAAUUAAUUUAGUCCACAUUAGGAAAACUCUUACAUUCUCCCACUUGGACUAUAUUAAUUGAAAUCGUACUGUAUGUGCGCACAUUGGUCCAAAGAUAAUUCUUAAUAGUCAAUCAUAUCCCAUAAAGUCUUAAACACCGAAUCAUGGUGAUAACCGCAUGUAUACACACAGAGCCUUCCAUGGUCACGAAUGUUCUCAACUUUAUUGAUAUGGAUUCAAUAUGGUAGCGUAGCAAUGGAUAACAUUUCUCAUAGAGAGGUCAUAUUUGUCAGUCACCUUUCUCUUAACUUUAAGCGUCACAAAAACUUGUGUCACUAGAGAAUGCUUUAUGGUUCCCAUGAAUCCACAUAUGUCUUGUUUUUAUGGUUAACCUUUCUUUAUAUAUCACAAGACAUAUGUACAAGGCUAAUAACCGGAUGCCUGAAUGUCCCUAGCCUUCACUCAAGAUUUAUACAAUCCCUUGAGACUUUAUCAAUAUGUAUUCAACAUAAUAACAAUACAUUAAAAAAUAUUUUAUUGAAUGCAAAAGUUGAUACAUAUUAAACUGUUACAAAGUGUAACGAACACAAAUGAAACUUUUAUCAGAGUAAAGCCAAAAUAGCUCCCACUAAACAACAACAUCUCAUGAUGCUCCUAGGCCCAUACUAACGAUAUGUCACUCAAAUACACAUGGGCGUAGGCCUUUAGUUAGUGGAUCUGCAAUCACAUCAACUGUGAAAUAUAUAUUAUAUUAAAACGUCACCUUUCUGUACCAUUUGCUUUUGGUCAAAAAUUUUGACCACCAUAUAUUUAGAUCCCUUGAGACCUUUGUAGUAAAUAAAUAAUACUACAAAUUUGUUAUCUCAAUACAAUCGUAUGGGUCUAUCCAUAAAGUUAAAACGAUUAACUUCUUCAUGAGGUUUUGGAGCCUAAAAGAAUGUUACUGACACUGCUUAUAUAGUAAAAGAUGAUAUAGAACUUUAUUUACUGCACUUACUGCUAACAUAAAUAUGUAUUCCGUUAUUGAUUGUAUAUCAUUAGAAUAGCCAGCAAAGUUUACAUCUAAAUACCCUACUAACUGCAAGAAUUGAACAUGUCUGUAAAUUAGCAUAUAAUCUCUUAUCUUUUUUAAGUACCUUAAAACCUUUUUGACAGCAACCCAGUGAUUAUGUCCUGGAUUUGACUGAUAUCUGCCUAGAAGUCCCGUCACAAAGACAACAUUUAGUCUAGUACAAAUUCGAGUAUACAUUAUACUUUUAAGUGCACUGACAUAAGGUACUCCCUUUAAUUAAAUUUUCUCAAUAUCUAAAUAAGGACAAUGUGAUAGAUUUAGUCAAUCACCCUUAACAACAGGAACAAUUCCUAGCUUGCAAUAAUAUAUAUUGAAUAUUUCCAAUAUACAAUCAACAAAUGUCCUCCGAGAAAAUCUAAUAUAAUAUGACAAAAACAAUCCUUACAGACCUCAGUACAAAGGAUAUAAGAUGUCUCAAGGUUACAACUUGUAAGCAAAAUAUUAUGUACAUAGAGUAUAAGAAAAAAUAAAUUUCCUCCCAUUGACCCUACAGUAUAUUAAAUUAUUUUAUUCCCAAUUGAACAAAAUAAUAAGACUAUGAAACUUUAAUAAUAUUGUCUGGAAACUUGCUUAUAAAUAUGAAUAAGACUUUUCAGUCUACACAUAAGUUUACUUGAAACAUUUGUUGCAAAAUUCUCCAAUUGCACAAUAUAGAUUUUGUAUCUAUUUGGCGUAACUUUAUAUCAAAAUAAAUUAUUAAUGUCACGUUCACUCUGAAAGAAUAUUUAAAGAAAUAAUUAUUUCUUCACUAUAAAUAAUCCACCCCUCUUUCAGAGUGAAAACUUUAGUUACCAAUUUGGCUUUAAACUUCACAAUUUUUCUUUGAAAUCCUUUUAGUUUUGUACGCCAAUUUGCAACUAAUGAACUUAUGAUCUUUAGACAAGUCAAUAAGUUUCCAAACAUCUUUCAUAGAUUGUAUAUCGCCUUUUGUGGCAUCUAAUCACAUACUUAAUUGAGGAUAAGAAACGACAUUUAUUUAUGUCGAUAAAUCAACCAUAUAGUGGAUAUUGUGGUCAUGCUCUCACAAAAAGACUAUAUAGUCUAAUGGAAUAACUGAUCGUCUUUCCCUAACAAAUCUCCUGAGUAAAGCUAUAACCACUUCAUUCUAUACUUGAGAGAUUUGAAAAAAUUUCGUCAUAAACUAUAUCAAUAAUAGUAUCUUGAACCUCAUCAAGUUUAGUCUAUGGUAUAGAAGAUUCCACAAUUGUCUGUAUCACAAUUAUCUAUUUAGGCAAAGACAAAUACACAGUGAUUUUCCAUCGUACUAUUAUCCUUAAUAGUUUGAGAGCAGCUAUCCUCGUCAAACUGUAGAAACUUUAUAGUAUUAAUACCAUAAUUCUUGUAUCUUCUAAAUUCCAAUGCAUUUAAUAUUGGAUUAGAUAAUCUCACUUCUGCAUAACACCUCUAAAUUUAAUAUGAUUCAAGUAAUCUAUGUCCAGUGUAUAACUCAAAAGAAGUUUAUGAAAUAACUUUGAUAAGAGACACCUUUUGUAUGUGAAAAAAUUGCUUUCAUAAUAUCAGCCCACAGAAAACCGGAUAAAUUAAUCUUACGGAUUAUACUUAUCACCAUGUUCAUUAUGGUGCAUUUAUGCCUUUCGGCCAAAUUUUUUUGUUAGAAUUUUCAGGUAUAGUAAUUAAAUUACCACCCCAGAAUCUACCAAGUAUUUGACAAAUGACCCUUUAAGCUAUUUUGCAUUGUCAUACUUGCCAAAAUACUUACAGCCACUGUUAAGCCUGACAACCUUUUAAAACUAAUUGUAAUUGUUUUAUUCUUUAUCUCGGUCAUUUUCUUUAAAUAGAAAACUCUCGGAAGCAACAUUUUAAUCAUAUACGAGAUGUAUAUAUCAUUAAGUCUUAAAUAUAAUCUUUGCAGAUGUGUCCUAAUUUCAAUAUCAGACGACAUAAUUUCAAGCAACUAAGGCUUCCGUCAUCUUAUAGCAGUGCAGUCUGCAGGCAAACCUUUUUUCAAGUGGUCUAUAAUGGAACGCUUCAUGGACAGUAAGCAAAUUCAAUUGCUCUUUUUUCAAGCAACAAAUCAUAUGUUCACAACUUAAAAUUUGAAGCAGUAAAAACCUCAAUAAUAAUAAAGUUAUUCAUUACAGAAAAUGUGACUAAAAACCAAGCAAUGUAUAUAAUUAGUAUCAUGUGAGUACUGUGUAACUUGACGUAUAAGUACACAUCUAGAGAGUUACACGCAUAAUCAUAUAAUCACCUUUGGGCAGAAUACAUGACAUGUAGUUGUACACUCCCCACAUGAUAGCGGUUAUGAGAAUAUAUUCCAAUUUUUCGUGAAUUCAUCACCUUUGGGCACAUGAAUCACUAGAAUCAGUCACUCCUCCACCACACUAUCAUGUAUCCCUCCAUGAACUAAUACACAAUCACCUCCUUUGGAAGUAUGACUACGCAUUAGAUCAGGAGACAUCCCAAUCAUCAUACGAGACCGAAAUUUCUCAAACCCAAUCAAACGUGCCACUUUGGCGGUCACUACUCAAUUGAAUCAUUGAAAUUCUCUCAUACUAGGGAUAUAAACUUUACUCCCCACAUACACCAUAUACAUGUGAUUUUAACUUUAGUGAUAGGGGCAGUAUAUCACCAAAAUCACAUAUCAUACUAAUUACAUUGCCUUUAUUCAUUAAUAAAAUUUUUAUUUAUACAUAUAUAUAUAUAUAUAUAUAUAUAUAUAUAGCGAACCUGAAAGACAAAUUCCAAUGAGAUCACUGAUCACAGUAACACAAGAAAAUUCUCAUAGAAGCAAGCAUCUUGUGCAACCCGAUUAUUGAUUACUAAAACAACAUUAAAAGAAUGCCGAUCCAAAGGAUUUCUCACAAGUUAACAUCAAUAGCAAUACAGGGUACUCCAGAUUGACAAGCUUGAUAACUAAUCAACUAUUGCUCAUGAGUUUCAUACGGCAAAACAUGACUCCAAAGCCAACAACUGAUUUAUUAGCCAAUUUUUAAGUAACAAAUUAUCAUUGUAAUCAACUAAUGGCCUAUUAAUUGAGUCAAACCAGAGAACCAAAUAUCUCAAAUUUAACAGUAGAUACUAUUGCUCUGCGUAAAUAUUGCCAUACUCCUUUACCAUAAAAAUAUUUAACUCGAUAGACAUUAACCAGUGACCAUAUGAGUUUAGGUAUAAUAUGCAAUAACUUUACAAACAUGCAUUACCUACACUCAGCAUAUGUGUUAAUUAGUACAAUCAGUUUGAUCAUAGACUCUUAAGACGUCUAUCAUUCAAAGGUUACCAACAUGUAAAAGAGUAUCCAUGAGCAAUAAAAAUUUCAUGACUUUUACUGUUUCUCAUUAUCUCAAGAUAUAUACAAUUACUAUCUCAUAAUGAUUGUAUCUUAUUAAGCCAGCUUUAGUUCACAAUAAAGUUUGAUUUUUAUUGAUGAAUCACACUUUUAUAAUGAUUAUGUGAUAAUAUACCUAUAACCCAACACUUGUAUCUCCAAAAUCACAGAAAAAUACAAGGAAAAAUACGCAAAAUUUCAUUUAAAAUACAUGUAUUUAGGGUUUCAUAUGAAAUUUCACAUCAAUAAAACCAUCAAACAUAUAAAAUAAAUAUACCACGAGAUAGGAAAUCACCAUACGAGUCUAAUGCCACCAGCAACGCGCCAAACGGAGGCUCCACGCGCUCACACGCGCCGCCUGAGUGCACGGCGUGCGUUCGACACCCAGGCAGCGCGUGGCCGCGCAUGGGGGCGCGUGCGACAUCCCCUGGCGACGCGCCGCUGACCCUCUUGCUUGUCUCGUCUCCCCCAAUCCAAAUUUUUGAUUUAAUUUAAUUUUUAUUGAACAAAAAGUCUCGAAAAUCACAAAUUAUGGCAAGAUCCGUACUGAUUAGGGCUAAUCCGUACAAAUUAUGGCAAAAUCAAUUGCAUUCAAGUUCUAAAGUUAUGGAGGCUCUAAUACCACAUGUUGGACGCAAAUUGCAUAAUCACAAGAUCUCCAUAACUAGAACAAGAAUAUGCAUAAUUGAGUAGAAAGAUUAACGCAUCUGUUUUGGGAUCCAUUGUUCUUGAAACGGAAGCGAAAACACAAUAUUUCACGCGCAAGUCCUUCUCCUUUAUUGCCCUCUGUAUUACUACCUCAAUGAGGCGGCCCCCCUCACGUUUAGCGUUAGGUAAACGCCCCUUAGGUGAUGAUACAUGUGAGAAUUAGGGAUAGAGGAGAGACUUGAGCACUAUUUAUAGAGUUUCUAGCCAGUCCCCCUCAUUACGAGCCAGGCUCAACUCAGCCCACACUAGCUAGCCCAUAUUAGACUAAUUAAGAAACCUUCUAUCUCACCUUAGACCAACCCUGUUUUACGGUAACCAUAAAAACAGUAAAUUACAAUAUCAAUUAAUUUAGUCCACAUUAGGAAAACUCUUACAUAUGGUACUUGUUUAGAAGAAUGUAAGGCACCAUCUCAUGACUUAUCAUCGAGUGAAUGCACAAAUUCUUAUUGCAUUAAGAUAUUGUGCUUUUGUGAUACAUCACAUCCUCUAACAUGACAUCAUGUGUUCAAUUUCUAUUCGUCAUAAAGGCAAAAAUUGAAAGCCACAAUCGUUCAUCGGUUAGGCUAGGACCCAUCUAGAAACAAGAGGUCGAAAUCAGAGAUUGCUUGAGCAGGUAGCUCAUGUCGAGCUGGUUGAUCGAGCGGGGGUUGAAGGGUGGGGGGGAGAGCUUUUGAUGGAAACGAGAGAGAUUCGUUGCUCAAAAUGCAAACAUUAACAUGAAGAAAAAAUUACAUUGUUAUGCCAAGAGGAUUCACACGAAACAAAAAUUAUAACGAAUGCCAUACGACAUUCAUUGUCAUUUACAAAACAUGGACAUAAUGAGUCUAAUAGAAAACACGGAUGCUAUAUGAAAAACAUGUAAAUGCUUCAUAGAUUACAUUAUCAAUGAUGGUACAUGCUGAUAGUGUUAAUUAUAUUUCACAUCUCAUUUCUACAAGAGGAGAACAAUCACACAUUACAUGAUUUCGUAAACUCAUUGUCGUGGUCAAAUUGGUAACUGCCAGAAAUUAUCGGAGCACUUGACGAAGAUGAGACCAUUUCAAGUUCUAUCUCAUUGCUGUCAUCAUCAAUUGGUGCUACUAUUGGAUUCAAAAGCGGUUUUGGAGGUAGUUGUAGUUUAUUGAUAUCUCCUUCAAGCAUAUCUAGAACGUUCCUCAUUGACGGCCGAUCAUUAGGGCUCAGCUGUAUGCACCAUAGCGCAACGAUUAUCAUCUUCCUUGUUUCUCUUUCCUCUUCUAUGACUUCUACCCUCUCAACCUCCUUUUCUUUGUUGAGUUGAUCNNNNNNNNNNNNNNNNNNNNNNNNNNNNNNNNNNNNNNNNNNNNNNNNNNNNNNNNNNNNNNNNNNNNNNNNNNNNNNNNNNNNNNNNNNNNNNNNNNNNNNNNNNNNNNNNNNNNNNNNNNNNNNNNNNNNNNNNNNNNNNNNNNNNNNNNNNNNNNNNNNNNNNNNNNNNNNNNNNNNNNNNNNNNNNNNNNNNNNNNNNNNNNNNNNNNNNNNNNNNNNNNNNNNNNNNNNNNNNNNNNNNNNNNNNNNNNNNNNNNNNNNNNNNNNNNNNNNNNNNNNNNNNNNNNNNNNNNNNNNNNNNNNNNNNNNNNNNNNNNNNNNNNNNNNNNNNNNNNNNNNNNNNNNNNNNNNNNNNNNNNNNNNNNNNNNNNNNNNNNNNNNNNNNNNNNNNNNNNNNNNNNNNNNNNNNNNNNNNNNNNNNNNNNNNNNNNNNNNNNNNNNNNNNNNNNNNNNNNNNNNNNNNNNNNNNNNNNNNNNNNNNNNNNNNNNNNNNNNNNNNNNNNNNNNNNNNNNNNNNNNNNNNNNNNNNNNNNNNNNNNNNNNNNNNNNNNNNNNNNNNNNNNNNNNNNNNNNNNNNNNNNNNNNNNNNNNNNNNNNNNNNNNNNNNNNNNNNNNNNNNNNNNNNNNNNNNNNNNNNNNNNNNNNNNNNNNNNNNNNNNNNNNNNNNNNNNNNNNNNNNNNNNNNNNNNNNNNNNNNNNNNNNNNNNNNNNNNNNNNNNNNNNNNNNNNNNNNNNNNNNNNNNNNNNNNNNNNNNNNNNNNNNNNNNNNNNNNNNNNNNNNNNNNNNNNNNNNNNNNNNNNNNNNNNNNNNNNNNNNNNNNNNNNNNNNNNNNNNNNNNNNNNNNNNNNNNNNNNNNNNNNNNNNNNNNNNNNNNNNNNNNNNNNNNNNNNNNNNNNNNNNNNNNNNNNNNNNNNNNNNNNNNNNNNNNNNNNNNNNNNNNNNNNNNNNNNNNNNNNNNNNNNNNNNNNNNNNNNNNNNNNNNNNNNNNNNNNNNNNNNNNNNNNNNNNNNNNNNNNNNNNNNNNNNNNNNNNNNNNNNNNNNNNNNNNNNNNNNNNNNNNNNNNNNNNNNNNNNNNNNNNNNNNNNNNNNNNNNNNNNNNNNNNNNNNNNNNNNNNNNNNNNNNNNNNNNNNNNNNNNNNNNNNNNNNNNNNNNNNNNNNNNNNNNNNNNNNNNNNNNNNNNNNNNNNNNNNNNNNNNNNNNNNNNNNNNNNNNNNNNNNNNNNNNNNNNNNNNNNNNNNNNNNNNNNNNNNNNNNNNNNNNNNNNNNNNNNNNNNNNNNNNNNNNNNNNNNNNNNNNNNNNNNNNNNNNNNNNNNNNNNNNNNNNNNNNNNNNNNNNNNNNNNNNNNNNNNNNNNNNNNNNNNNNNNNNNNNNNNNNNNNNNNNNNNNNNNNNNNNNNNNNNNNNNNNNNNNNNNNNNNNNNNNNNNNNNNNNNNNNNNNNNNNNNNNNNNNNNNNNNNNNNNNNNNNNNNNNNNNNNNNNNNNNNNNNNNNNNNNNNNNNNNNNNNNNNNNNNNNNNNNNNNNNNNNNNNNNNNNNNNNNNNNNNNNNNNNNNNNNNNNNNNNNNNNNNNNNNNNNNNNNNNNNNNNNNNNNNNNNNNNNNNNNNNNNNNNNNNNNNNNNNNNNNNNNNNNNNNNNNNNNNNNNNNNNNNNNNNNNNNNNNNNNNNNNNNNNNNNNNNNNNNNNNNNNNNNNNNNNNNNNNNNNNNNNNNNNNNNNNNNNNNNNNNNNNNNNNNNNNNNNNNNNNNNNNNNNNNNNNNNNNNNNNNNNNNNNNNNNNNNNNNNNNNNNNNNNNNNNNNNNNNNNNNNNNNNNNNNNNNNNNNNNNNNNNNNNNNNNNNNNNNNNNNNNNNNNNNNNNNNNNNNNNNNNNNNNNNNNNNNNNNNNNNNNNNNNNNNNNNNNNNNNNNNNNNNNNNNNNNNNNNNNNNNNNNNNNNNNNNNNNNNNNNNNNNNNNNNNNNNNNNNNNNNNNNNNNNNNNNNNNNNNNNNNNNNNNNNNNNNNNNNNNNNNNNNNNNNNNNNNNNNNNNNNNNNNNNNNNNNNNNNNNNNNNNNNNNNNNNNNNNNNNNNNNNNNNNNNNNNNNNNNNNNNNNNNNNNNNNNNNNNNNNNNNNNNNNNNNNNNNNNNNNNNNNNNNNNNNNNNNNNNNNNNNNNNNNNNNNNNNNNNNNNNNNNNNNNNNNNNNNNNNNNNNNNNNNNNNNNNNNNNNNNNNNNNNNNNNNNNNNNNNNNNNNNNNNNNNNNNNNNNNNNNNNNNNNNNNNNNNNNNNNNNNNNNNNNNNNNNNNNNNNNNNNNNNNNNNNNNNNNNNNNNNNNNNNNNNNNNNNNNNNNNNNNNNNNNNNNNNNNNNNNNNNNNNNNNNNNNNNNNNNNNNNNNNNNNNNNNNNNNNNNNNNNNNNNNNNNNNNNNNNNNNNNNNNNNNNNNNNNNNNNNNNNNNNNNNNNNNNNNNNNNNNNNNNNNNNNNNNNNNNNNNNNNNNNNNNNNNNNNNNNNNNNNNNNNNNNNNNNNNNNNNNNNNNNNNNNNNNNNNNNNNNNNNNNNNNNNNNNNNNNNNNNNNNNNNNNNNNNNNNNNNNNNNNNNNNNNNNNNNNNNNNNNNNNNNNNNNNNNNNNNNNNNNNNNNNNNNNNNNNNNNNNNNNNNNNNNNNNNNNNNNNNNNNNNNNNNNNNNNNNNNNNNNNNNNNNNNNNNNNNNNNNNNNNNNNNNNNNNNNNNNNNNNNNNNNNNNNNNNNNNNNNNNNNNNNNNNNNNNNNNNNNNNNNNNNNNNNNNNNNNNNNNNNNNNNNNNNNNNNNNNNNNNNNNNNNNNNNNNNNNNNNNNNNNNNNNNNNNNNNNNNNNNNNNNNNNNNNNNNNNNNNNNNNNNNNNNNNNNNNNNNNNNNNNNNNNNNNNNNNNNNNNNNNNNNNNNNNNNNNNNNNNNNNNNNNNNNNNNNNNNNNNNNNNNNNNNNNNNNNNNNNNNNNNNNNNNNNNNNNNNNNNNNNNNNNNNNNNNNNNNNNNNNNNNNNNNNNNNNNNNNNNNNNNNNNNNNNNNNNNNNNNNNNNNNNNNNNNNNNNNNNNNNNNNNNNNNNNNNNNNNNNNNNNNNNNNNNNNNNNNNNNNNNNNNNNNNNNNNNNNNNNNNNNNNNNNNNNNNNNNNNNNNNNNNNNNNNNNNNNNNNNNNNNNNNNNNNNNNNNNNNNNNNNNNNNNNNNNNNNNNNNNNNNNNNNNNNNNNNNNNNNNNNNNNNNNNNNNNNNNNNNNNNNNNNNNNNNNNNNNNNNNNNNNNNNNNNNNNNNNNNNNNNNNNNNNNNNNNNNNNNNNNNNNNNNNNNNNNNNNNNNNNNNNNNNNNNNNNNNNNNNNNNNNNNNNNNNNNNNNNNNNNNNNNNNNNNNNNNNNNNNNNNNNNNNNNNNNNNNNNNNNNNNNNNNNNNNNNNNNNNNNNNNNNNNNNNNNNNNNNNNNNNNNNNNNNNNNNNNNNNNNNNNNNNNNNNNNNNNNNNNNNNNNNNNNNNNNNNNNNNNNNNNNNNNNNNNNNNNNNNNNNNNNNNNNNNNNNNNNNNNNNNNNNNNNNNNNNNNNNNNNNNNNNNNNNNNNNNNNNNNNNNNNNNNNNNNNNNNNNNNNNNNNNNNNNNNNNNNNNNNNNNNNNNNNNNNNNNNNNNNNNNNNNNNNNNNNNNNNNNNNNNNNNNNNNNNNNNNNNNNNNNNNNNNNNNNNNNNNNNNNNNNNNNNNNNNNNNNNNNNNNNNNNNNNNNNNNNNNNNNNNNNNNNNNNNNNNNNNNNNNNNNNNNNNNNNNNNNNNNNNNNNNNNNNNNNNNNNNNNNNNNNNNNNNNNNNNNNNNNNNNNNNNNNNNNNNNNNNNNNNNNNNNNNNNNNNNNNNNNNNNNNNNNNNNNNNNNNNNNNNNNNNNNNNNNNNNNNNNNNNNNNNNNNNNNNNNNNNNNNNNNNNNNNNNNNNNNNNNNNNNNNNNNNNNNNNNNNNNNNNNNNNNNNNNNNNNNNNNNNNNNNNNNNNNNNNNNNNNNNNNNNNNNNNNNNNNNNNNNNNNNNNNNNNNNNNNNNNNNNNNNNNNNNNNNNNNNNNNNNNNNNNNNNNNNNNNNNNNNNNNNNNNNNNNNNNNNNNNNNNNNNNNNNNNNNNNNNNNNNNNNNNNNNNNNNNNNNNNNNNNNNNNNNNNNNNNNNNNNNNNNNNNNNNNNNNNNNNNNNNNNNNNNNNNNNNNNNNNNNNNNNNNNNNNNNNNNNNNNNNNNNNNNNNNNNNNNNNNNNNNNNNNNNNNNNNNNNNNNNNNNNNNNNNNNNNNNNNNNNNNNNNNNNNNNNNNNNNNNNNNNNNNNNNNNNNNNNNNNNNNNNNNNNNNNNNNNNNNNNNNNNNNNNNNNNNNNNNNNNNNNNNNNNNNNNNNNNNNNNNNNNNNNNNNNNNNNNNNNNNNNNNNNNNNNNNNNNNNNNNNNNNNNNNNNNNNNNNNNNNNNNNNNNNNNNNNNNNNNNNNNNNNNNNNNNNNNNNNNNNNNNNNNNNNNNNNNNNNNNNNNNNNNNNNNNNNNNNNNNNNNNNNNNNNNNNNNNNNNNNNNNNNNNNNNNNNNNNNNNNNNNNNNNNNNNNNNNNNNNNNNNNNNNNNNNNNNNNNNNNNNNNNNNNNNNNNNNNNNNNNNNNNNNNNNNNNNNNNNNNNNNNNNNNNNNNNNNNNNNNNNNNNNNNNNNNNNNNNNNNNNNNNNNNNNNNNNNNNNNNNNNNNNNNNNNNNNNNNNNNNNNNNNNNNNNNNNNNNNNNNNNNNNNNNNNNNNNNNNNNNNNNNNNNNNNNNNNNNNNNNNNNNNNNNNNNNNNNNNNNNNNNNNNNNNNNNNNNNNNNNNNNNNNNNNNNNNNNNNNNNNNNNNNNNNNNNNNNNNNNNNNNNNNNNNNNNNNNNNNNNNNNNNNNNNNNNNNNNNNNNNNNNNNNNNNNNNNNNNNNNNNNNNNNNNNNNNNNNNNNNNNNNNNNNNNNNNNNNNNNNNNNNNNNNNNNNNNNNNNNNNNNNNNNNNNNNNNNNNNNNNNNNNNNNNNNNNNNNNNNNNNNNNNNNNNNNNNNNNNNNNNNNNNNNNNNNNNNNNNNNNNNNNNNNNNNNNNNNNNNNNNNNNNNNNNNNNNNNNNNNNNNNNNNNNNNNNNNNNNNNNNNNNNNNNNNNNNNNNNNNNNNNNNNNNNNNNNNNNNCCCACCGUGAUCUCACCAGAGAAGUCAUUUUGGUGAAUAUAGAAAUCGUAAUGAAUCGACUUCACAUAAUAUCGGUCAGCAUUUAAAUAUAGAAUAACGCGGUUAUUGUGACAUCCUGAAUUUUAGGUUCUGAUUUCGAUUGGAUAAGUUGGGCCUUUCAUCGACACGCUUAUAAUGUUUUUCUCUGAGAUGGCCACUCAUGAGAUAACUGGCCUAUUAAGUGAAGCCAUUAAGGGAUUUCAAUGCAAUAGACUUGAGAAUUCGACUAGAAAUCAACUGCUCGACCGUGCUAGUUUGCAAAGGUCAUUAUGGCAUUGUCAAAAUCGAUCAGAGACUGGAGAUAGGUCGAUUUAACUGAGAUGUGUGAUCAAAGUGUGGGUGAUUCCACCUGAUUGCAUAAUUCUCGUCGAUCGACGCUAAACCGAUUUUCUGUCGUUUUGGGUACCCUGUGUCCGUAUUUAAAAUCUCGAGAUUUUCAUGACCAACAAGAGUUGCCAAUGUGUUGAAGAGGUACGUUGUACCUCAAAGAAAAUUGAUCACAGUCAAUUGCACCAAAAAUUUCUAAAAACUACCCGGUAGGUUAAGUUAUGCUAAAAUCAUGUUUGAUUGAAAUUAACCAUGAAUUUGAACCCGAUUAUAGAAAUUGAAUGUUCUAUCAUGUCACGAGUCAUUGUAGGAACGUCAACUCGUCUUUCGAGAAAUUUUCGGCGAGUUCGGGAUUUUUACAGAAAAUCAAUUCGGACGAUUCGGAAAACAAAUGGAAAUUCGGAUUGGUCAAAUUGAAGGGAUUUUUGGCUUCCUGUGUGAGUUACUUGGUAAAAGGAAAUUGUGUGGACUUUUUCUUCAACAAAAUUGGACAUCAAUUGGAGAGAUUUGUUAAGAAAUCAGAUUCCGAGAAAACUGAAAUAGAAUUUAGAAUUGAGAGAAAUUCAUAGGCUUGAGAGGCUGUCACAUUUUGAUCUUUAUUUGGUCUUCAAUUGGAAUAAGUUGGUGUGGAAAUUGGCCUUAGAUAAUCAAUUGUUAAUGUUGUGUGUAGCUGAGCUAAAGUUAACUGUGUUUGAUUUUCUUCCUUCCCCUCCACCGGACCCCCCUAACGCCCACGUCACUCCCCUCUCCUUCUCGCGCACGGCUCUCUCUCUCUCUCUCUCUCUCUCUCUCUCUCUCUCUCUCAUUUCCCCCAGCCGACAUUCCCUUGCAAUCUUGGCCUUUCUUUUUCUUUAUUUCUUUAACUUUCCCUCAUCCUUAUCUCUCCAUUUUCUCGCACGUUUCCCCCCCUCCAAUCGGUGUCUCUCUCCUCCCUCUCUCCUUUUCCCCUCCUUUUCUUUCCUUUGAGCGACCACCCCUUUUGCCCAUUCAUCCGCUGCUUCAUCUUCUUUUAUUUUUGGGUUCUGAUUCUGUUGAAGACUUCCGCGGCCCACCGAUGCCCCCAUCUCCACCGAAGAAGCCGAUUUUUCCCUAUAGCUCACCGCCACUUGUCAGUGGCUCAACCUUCCUCGGUCAACCCUUGCUUUUCUUCAACGCAGCAGCAGCGUCGCAUGUCCAUCUCCACGUCCGAAGCAGCCGCACGUCCUCUGUUGACACCUAAAUUUUGAUGACAUGAUUAGUCAUUUAUCGCAUUAAAAAAUUAGGGAUUAAUUUUAACCCCUAAAAAAUAUUAGCUAAUUAAUUAAUUGCAUAGCAUAUAGUUUUAGGUGCAUUUAUUUUAAUAUGCAUUUACAUUGACUCGGUGACAGGUGGGUUUGAUUUGAUGGUUCUGAGCUUUAGGUUGACAAGUCGAACUAAGCCCACGAAGAGAGCAAUUUGGCCCAAGCCUGUAUUUGAAAAAAAUCCUAUCACAAUUUUUGAAAAAAUCAAUAGAUAAUAUUCAAUUUUGCAAAGGAAAUCUAGAAGAGGUAUCGAAAAUAAAAAGUGGUAUUGCAUACGGAAAAGAAAUCUUUGCGGACAUUGAUUUGAAAAGGAAAUUAAAACUCUAAUAUUUGGUUUAUAAAAAGAUUACUCGUGUGGGUUUCGAGGGGAGGCCACACAAUGAAUACACUGCCACAUUAAGGGGGCUUUUCUUGAUUUUAUAGGUCAAAAAUUGAAGAUUCGUUUUUAGGGUGUUCGGGGGAAGGGAUUUGUUCUUGAUUCUUCUUCUUUGGGAAAAGUAAUAUAAAAGAAAAAAGAGUGCAGAGGGAAAAAGCAGAAUACCAGAGUGACGUGAGAGAGAGACAGGAGGAGUGUUCUUCUUCUCCGGUGGCUUGUUGCCGUCUAACCAUGCUUUGUCUUCUGCCUGCUAGACGUCACCGCUGUGCCUCGUUGUGCCACCCAGCUCCACCGCACCUCCGCGAUCACCCGAGCCGAAUUUGCACCUCUGCCCGAUCCACAAGAGCUCACGCUGCUGCUCGCGACCUCGUCCGCUGUUGCCGCCCAUUCGAGCCCUUGCUCGGCAUCCCGCGAGCUCGCUCUGUCGCUCCACUGCUCAUCAUUGCACGUCCGAGCGUCGCCGCUGCUGCUCGUGACCCCGACAAUAGUAGAUCUCGAGCCUUCCUUGCCACCUCUGCACUCAAACACUCGCCCCUGCCUCAGUCGUUCCACAUCAUCACCCUUGAUGCCCCACUGCUCGAUCUGCUGCUACCUCGCUGACACUCGCUGAAGCCACAUGGAUCCUUGCCGCCCUAACCAGCCACAACACCAGCAGCCCAUCGAAGCCACUGCUGUGCUGAUUCAUGUCGACCCGACGUCGCCGCGUCCCGCCGAGCCCCCUGUUGCAGCGCCUCACCUGUCUUGUGUUAUAAUUAUGGUUAUAAUUAUGGUUAAUGGAUCAAUGAAUGCCAAUAAAUUAAGAUACAUCUUUUCUAUUCACGUAUCUCUUUUGGAUUCAUGAAUUUCUUAAACUUUUUCGUUCACGUAUCUAUUGAAUUCAUGAAUUUCCUAGAUUCAUGUAUAUUUGAGUUCAUGUAUUUAUUGAGUUCACAAAUCUCUUAAAUUCACGUAUCUCUGGAUUCGUGAAUCUCUUGAAUUCAUGUAUCUCUUGAUUCAUGAAUUUCGUGGAUACAUGCGUCUAUUUAAUUCAUGUAUCUCUUCAGUACAUGAACUAAAAAUCUCUAUAAAUAGAUGGGAGCAUAGAGCUUCAUCAUGGUUUUUGAUUUUUUCGACUUGAUUCCAAAAAGGCUCUGAUACACUUUUCUACUCUUCUGAUUUUUCUGAGUGUGCUGGUUCAAUUGAACGGUUCAACUAAGUCCUGUUUGUAUUGUGACAUCCAGAUUUUUGGGUUCUAAUUUUGACUAGAUAAAUAGGGCCGUUUUUUUUCAGAUGAAGUCGGGGAUUGUGAAAUUGAGUAUGAGGGAUUCUUGGAUAAAGAAAAGAAUCAAUUUGAUAAGUGAGACAUCAAUUGAUUUAAUGAGAGUCAUUUGAGAGAAAUUCAAUAGGGAUAUUGGAUGCAAAAAUGCAAGAGGGGAAUCAAGAAUUCUAAUAUGAAAUUCUUUUGGGAAUAUAUGAGCUUAUUCAAAAGAAAGUGAAAUAAGAAUUUUCUAUUUGAAAAAAUCCUUUCUUUUGAGAUUAUCCUCAUUUCCCCUUCCUUAUUUGGCCCAACACCUUUUUCCCUUUCUCUCCCCCUCUUUCCCCCUUUCUUUUCCUUUUCCCCCUCUCCCCUUCCCUUUUCNNNNNNNNNNNNNNNNNNNNNNNNNNNNNNNNNNNNNNNNNNNNNNNNNNNNNNNNNNNNNNNNNNNNNNNNNNNNNNNNNNNNNNNNNNNNNNNNNNNNGCUGCCGAUCCAACUUGCUUCUUCUCACUUUUCCUUUUACUUUUGACUUUUCAAACCCUCACUCUCUCUUAUCUCUAACUCUCUCUCUCUCUCGAUUCCCUCACUCUCUCGACAUCUCUCUUCUUCCCCCUCUCCAUGUGCCGAACGAGCAGAAACAGGAACGAAGACAGUAGCUCGCCGUCGCACCGGAGCACCGCCGCCGGGCCGCCGUCCGCACCACCCGUGCACGCCGUGCGCUCCGCCACCGCCCCUUCGCGUUUGCCGUCCCCGCCGUGCGUCGUCCAACUCCCGUGCCACCUCUAUUCAGCUCCGUCUUGGCCAGCACCGGCCACGAUCUGGCCACCUCCGGCCACCGUGGGCCACCACUCGGCCUCGCCAAGCCACCACCCGCUCUCCCGACCUCUUGCCACCCCCAACCCUCUCUCUUUCUUGCUGUUUUGCGGCCGAACCAGCAAACCCACGGAGUGGGUAUCCAGCUGUUCGUGGGCUGUUUUGGGCCGUUUCCCGGCCCCGAACCCGAGUCGUGCUUUGGGGACAAUCGUUCCUCGCGCCGCCGCCGUCGGAUUGAUCCGAUUUGCGCGCGAUUUGGUGAGUAAUCUCACUAAUCCUGGAUUAGUUGGUUAAUUAUGCUUUAGGUUGGUUUAGUUUUAAUUAAUUAUAUUUAGGUUGUUAAAUUAGAAUUAAUUAGCAAUUAUUAGUCAAUUGUGAUGCGAUUUAGAUAAAUUGAUUGCGCAAUUAGCAAGUAGACGUGGUCUACUAUUUAUUGGGAGUGUCUCGGGAAUUUUCCGACGCCUAAUCGGGCUUCAAUUUGACGAUUCGGGCCUAAGUGAGAUUUUUGGCAUUUAAAUAUUAAUUUUCGGAAUUAAAUUAAAUAAUUAUUUAUUUUCCGAAAAUUCAAGGGAGAUGGUUUGGAACCGGAAUAUUAUGCUGAUGAUCGUGGCGAAGUCCAUUUAUUUAAUCGGACUUUAUUUUAAGCUAAAUUGAAUUUUUAAUAUUAAUUAAUUUUCGAAAUUAAUUAAAUAAUUAUUUAUUUCCUAAAAAUUCAAUUGGGAUGGCCCGUGACCGGAAAAUUAUGCUGAUGACCAUGGUGAAGUUCCUUUAUUGAAUUGGGCUUUAUUUUGGGCUAAACGGAAUUUGUAAUAUUUAAUAAUUAAUUUUCGAAAUUAAUUAAUUAUUCAUUUAUUUUUCAGAAAUUAAGAUUUUGAUGGCCGACGACCGAAAUCUCGUGCUGAUUGUCGUGGCGCAGUUCGUUUAUUUAUUUGAGCUUUGAAUUGUGCCAAAUUGAUUUAAUUGUGGAUAUUUAGGAUAUGUUCCUAAAUUGAUUAUUUGGGUAAAUUGAGUGCGAAUUAAGGUUGUGGAUAAUUACUUUAGAAAUGGGAUGAAUCAUCAUGAAAGGCACGGGGCUUGAUGAUUAGAUAUAUCACCUCGGAGAAUGCACAUGGCUCGGUGACGAAGUAUGUCGCCUUGGAGAAUGCAUGUGGCUCGGUGAUUAAGUUUGGCAUCUAAAAGGACACGUGGGCUCGGUAAUUUGAUGCAUUACCUCGGAGAAUGCACGUGGUCCCAAUGAGUACAUUUGGCAUCUAAAAGGACACGUGGGCUCGGUAAUUUGAUGCAUUACCUCGGAGAAUGCACGUGGUCCCAAUGAGUACAUUUGGCAUCUAAAAGGACACGUGGCCUCGGUAAUUUGAUGCAUUACCUUGGAGAAUGCACGUGGUCCCAAUGAGUACAUUUGGCAUCCUGAAGAGACACGUGGGCUCGGUGACUUGAUGCAUCGCCUCGGAGAAUGCACGUGGGCUCGCUGAUUCAAAAUGGCAUUUUAAAGGGCACGUGGGCUCGGUAAAUUAAUGCAUUACCUCGGAGAAUGCACGUGGCUCGGUAAUUGGUUUUGUCAAUUGAGACUGUAUAACAAUAGCUUGAAUGACCGGGAAAGGGUCAGUCUGAUACGUAAUCGACUAGGUCGAUUGAUCAUUGAUUUGAUUUGAUGUCGUGGAUUGAUUGAUUGAUUAGAAAUGACCGUGAGUGGUCUUGUUGACAUGUAAUCGACUAGGUCGAUUUGAUCGAUGCUUCGAUCAGUGAUAUGAUUGCUUGGGUGCCUAUUAUGAAUUGUACUGACUUGCAGGUGGGAUAUGAGGCCAAGGUACGUCUUCUGCCCUAUGCGUGUAUAGGCAGCCUAUAGUAUAAUAGUUUACUAAUUGGGUUUAGUGGGGUAGAACUCGCUGAGACGUAGUCUCAUCCCAGUUUGGGGAAAAACAUUUCAGGACCCCGAUGAGGAGCUGAUGAGGAGGAGUCUGAGAAGGAGAACUCGGAGGUGAAACUUAAAGAGAAUGAUUUUUAGAAGAAGAAGAUAAUUCCGAGAGGGGCUUUGAGUAAUGCCUGGAUGGGCUGAGAGUCUAUCUUCUUUUGAGAAUUUCUUUUGAAGUGAAUAGUUAUGAAUUUGUUUGUGUUUUGUAUAAAAGUUUGGUUAUAAGUUUCAAUAUGAAAAAUAUGGCCCUGCUUUUCUAUCCCAUCGUUUUAUUGUCUGGGGAUUUUAACUGCUUCCGCAUGUGCUUAAUAAACGAAAGGGUCGGCAAUAAUUUGUCCUGGGAUAUCGCAUUAUAAAAUCGACCAAGUGAGAAGGAUGUGUGCGUACCCGAGGAUCGGGGCGUGACAUGCAUAGUGCUAAUCCAAACAGGUUCGAUGUGUUGUAUCUUAGGAGGCAUAGUUUGUGAAUCUGCGGAGCACCAUUGGUAGGAACUAAUUGCCUUAAAGAGAUUCGGAUAUGUGUACCUCACCUCCAAUUUCAUGUUCUGAUUGCAACAAACAGUUUGUGUUUUCUUUGAAGUAUAUUCCAACAAUCUUAAGGCAAUUAGCUCACUCACUAUUUGUUGUUCUUGUCAGAUUAUUGAGAUGGCUAGAAAUAACCAAGUGCCCUUCAAUGUCCCGAAUGUUUUAGGAGACACUCCUAUGGUCGAUUUGACCGUUGCUAUGGAAGAUGUUCAACCCUCAGGGCCUGAAUUUGUAGCAGCCAAUGCUACGGGCCCUUGGGCUAACAUCAAUUUUGGUAGUGUGAGUACAAGUCAUACAACUGGUAUGCCCAGGACUGUUUUUCAGAACAGUACAAGCCAAAUGGCUUUUGGCUCCGUUUCUGGAGGCAUAGUCCAACAAACUUUGCCUACUGUGAUGGCAAUGCCUCUAGUUACAGCUAAUGAGAAAUCGGAGAAAUUUACCGAAAUGGGCUUUAAACAGUGGUAGCAGAAAAUGUUCUUCUAUCUGACUAUGCUCAAUUUGACGAAAUAUUUAUCGGAGGUGUGCCCGAUAAUUAGUUCAAACGAGCAAGAUGUCACGACGCUCGAUGCAUUGGAGGCUUGGAAGCAUGGGGACUUCUUAUGCCGAAAUUAUAUCCUUAACUGUUUAGUGAAUUCUCUUUAUAAUGUUUAUUGUAAUAUUGAAUAUGCUAAACAGUUAUGGGAGUCCUUAGAGAAAAAAUACAAAACUAAGGAUGCCGGCACCAAGAAAUUUGUGGUUGCCAAAUUUUUGGACUACAAGAUGGUGGAUUCUAAAUCUGUCAUGAGUCAGGUUCAAGAAUUGCAAUUAAUUCUGAUUGACAUCUCGGCUGAGGGAAUGAUACUUAGUGAAUCAUUCCAAGUGGCGGCUAUGAUUGAGAAACUACCACCGGGCUGGUCAGACUUCAAAAAUUAUUUGAAGCACAAACGGAAGGAGAUGAGCUUUGAAGAUCUCAUUUUGCGCCUUAGAAUCGAGGAGGACAAUAGAAGGAGUGCGAAUCCUUCUUCUGAGCCAAAGGCCAACAUUGUGGAAUCUUCCAAAUCCAAGCAAGAUAGAAAAAGGAAGAUGUCUUUUCAAGGAAAAGGCAAGCAGAAAGAGUAGUUCCAAAAAUUCCAAGGAACGUGUUUUAUAUGCAACAAGCCUGGCCAUCGUGCUAAGGAUUGCAAGAAGCGGCCGAAAAAAGGCAAGAACGAAGGUGCAGCUCGGCAACUAAAUUUGACAGAGCAUGACAAUAUUGAGAGAUUAUCUGCUGUGGUAAUGUCCGAAGCAUCUUUGGUGUCGAACACUAAUGGCUAGUGGCUAGACACAGGUGCCACAUAUCACAUAUGUGCAGAUAAACACAUGUUCUCAUCUUAUGAGAAGGUUGAAGAAGAUGAGAAGCUUUAUAUGGCUAACUUUGCAUCAGCAAAGAUUGUUGGAAGAGGAAAUGUGAUCUUGAAGUUUACAUCUGGCAAUGAGGUUGCCCUGCUGAAUGUGCUGCAUGUACCAGAGAUUUGGAAAAAUCUAAUUUCCGGCCCUAUACUUGUCAAGAAAGGUUUUAAAGUUGUAUUUGAAUCUGACAAGUUUGUACUUUCAAAAGGAGGGAUGUAUGUGGAGAAAGGGUACUUGUGUAAUGACCUGUUUAAGGUCAAUGUGGCUGUCAUUGAUGUAAACUCAAAGUAUGUGUACCCAAAGACUAUUAAUAAAGAAAAGUCUUCAGUUUACAUUGUUGUGUCUCCUUUUCUAUGACAUGGUAGAUUAGGACAUGUAAACUAUGGUACAAUGAAGAUAAUAGCAAACUUGGGGUUAAUUCCAAGAUUUGAGUUGGAUGCUUGUUACAAGUGUGAGACUUGUGUUGAGGCUAAGUUUGCCAAGAAACCUUUCAAAUCCAUUGAAAGAACAAGUAAACCUCUACAAUUAAUCCAUAGCUAUCUAUGUGCUUUAAAGUUUGUACAAAGUAGAGGUGGAAAGAAGUACUUCAUGACAUUUGUGGAUGAUUGUACUAGAUUUUGCUAUGUUUAUUUACUAACUAGCAAAGAUGAGACUAUGAGCAUGUUUGUCGAGUAUAAAAAUGAAGUUGAAAACUAACUUGAUAAACGAAUCAAAGUGCUUAGGUUUGAUAGAGGAGGAGAAUACAGUUCAAUCAAUUUAAAAGAGUUUUGUGCUAGUUUUGGAAUAAUUCUCCAAACGACUGCACCUUAUACUCUACAACAAAAUGGAGUUGCUGAACGAUUGAACGGGACACUAAAAGAGAUGGCUAACACCAUGCUUUUGAGUUCAGGUUUACCUUAGAACUUGUUUGGGGGGGCAGUUUUAACUGUAAAUUAUAUUCUUAAUAAAAUACCCCACAAAAGGACAGGUAAAACUCCAUACGAGUUAUAAAAUGGAAAGUUGCCAUCCUACAAUUUUCUAAAAGUGUGGGGGUGCUUAGCCAAGGUGGCGAUUCCUCCUCUGAAACAAACUCGGUUGAGACAUAAAAUGGUGGAUUGCAUAUUCAUUGGUUAUGCUCAAAAUAGUAGCGCAUAUAGAUUUUUGGUUCACAAAUCUGAAAAUGAGGAAAUCCAUGUCAAUACAGUCCUAGAAUCAAGGGAUGUUGAAUUUUUUGAGGAUAUAUAUCCUGCAAAAAGAAAUCAAGGAGAACUUUCUUAGAAAAGGCUUAGAGAAUCAAAAUAUGAGAAUGAUGAAGUUGUGACCAAAGAAGCCGAACUUCGAAGGAGUAAAAGGUCUCGAAUCGAAAAAUCUUUCGGGCCUGAUUUUCUAACAUACAUGUUAGAAGGUGAGCCCCAAACAUAUAAAUAGGCAAUGUCAUCUCCAGAUGCUCCUUUAUGGAAAGAAGCUAUUGACAAUGAAAUCCAUUCUAUCCUAAGUAACCAUACUUGGGAAUUGGUUAAUCUUCCACCUGGAAAUAAACCAAUUGGACGUAAAUGGAUUUUCAAGAAAAAACUAAAAGCUAAUGGGUCCAUUGAUAAAUACAAAGCUCGGCUUGUAGCCAAAGGGUUUAGAUAAAAAGAGGGUCUUGACUACUUUGAUACUUAUUCACCUGUCACAAGAAUAACAUCAGUAAGGAUGUCGAUUGCUAUAGCUUCGCUAUACAAUUUGCAGAUACAUCAAAUGGAUGUGAAAACCGCAUUCUUAAAUAGUGAUAUGGACAAGGAGAUUUAUAUGGAACAACCUGAAGGGUUCAAGGUCAAAGGACAAGAACACAAAGUGUGUAGACUUGUCAAAUCAUUGUAUGGACUUAAACAAGCUCUUAAGCAAUGGCAUGAGAAAUUUGGAUCGGGUAAUGAUUCAAAAUGGGGUAUAGAAUCAAUGAGUGUGACAAAUGUGUGUACACUAAAUUUACUACAGUUGGAUAUGUACUUAUUUGUCUAUAUGUUGAUGACUUAUUAAUUCUUGAAGAUAACAUUGAGGUCAUCAAAAUCACCAAGAACAUUCUCAAGAAGAACUUUGAGAUGAAAGAUUUAGGUGUCGCAAAUGUUAUACUCGGCAUCAAAAUUCUAAGGAAUUCUAAUGACUUAGGUUUAACAUAAUCUCAUUACAUUGAAAAGGUAUUUGAGAGAUUUAAAGGAUUCGGCAUUAAAGAUGCAAACAAUCCUUUUCUUCCACACCUAACUUUAAGAAAGAACACUGGAAAUAGUGUUAGACAGCUGGAAUACUCUCAAGUAAUCAACAGCAUCAUGGAUAUCAUGAAUUGCACUAGACCUGAUAUUGCGUACUCAGUAAGCAAACUGAGUAGAUAUACCAGUAACCCAGGUCAUGAGCACUGGAAUGCUUUGAUGAGAGUAUUAGGAUAUUUGAAAAGGACAAAAGACUAUGUUCUACAAUAUGGCAAAUAUCCAGCUGUUUUGGAAGGUUAUUGUGAUGCCAACUAGAUUUUAGAUUCUGAUGAAUCAAAAUCGACUAGCGGAUAUGUGUUCACGCUAGGAGGUGCUGCAGUAUCAUGGAAAUCCUCUAUAAAAAAUCUAAUAACGCGCUCUACAAUGGAAUCAAAGUUUGUUGCUUUGGAUAAAGCUGCUGAAGAAAGAGAAUGGCUUCGACAUUUUUUAGAAGAUGUUCCAAUGUGGCCAAAACCUAUGCCUGCAAUUUGCAUACAUUGUGACAAUCAAGCGGCAAUUGCAAGGGCACAUAAUGCGAUUUAUAAUGGUAAGUCUAGACAUAUUCGUUGUAGACAUAACACAGUAAGGUAGUUGCUCUCAAAUGGAAUCAUUUCUUUAGAUUUUGUAAAGUCAAAGGAAAAUAUUGCGGAUCCGCUGACAAAAGGUUUGUCGAAAGAGCAAAUAAACUGUGCAUCGAGGGGAAUGGGUUUAAGAGCCUUAACCCAAUAAAGAGAUUCCAGGGUGGAAACCUAACCUAUGCGAUUGGAGAUCCCAUGGUCAAGGUUCAAUAGGACAACGCAAAUUUUGGAAACUCUAGUGUAAGCAUUGUCUACCAUUCCUAUGAUGCAACAGUGCUUUCCUACAGUAUUAUUAAGGGUACGCUAUGCGUUUAAUGAUUCCUAUAACUUGGAAUAUAACAUCCAAGUGAGAUAUGGUAGGAUAUCUUUAAUAGGAAUGCACCUAUAUGCGUGGAGCUGGCCGACUCUAUGAAAAUCUUUAAAGGCUAGAUUUUUUAAAGCACGCAUGAAUCCCGAGAGGUUCAGGGCCGAAAGAACGAACACAACCAAGAACCAAUCUUGAAUUGGAAAUACUCUGUGUGAGGUUUAUUGUCUAGGCUUACACAAACAACUGGCGAUUCAAGGCCUAGUCCAUUGACUAGUUAAGUAAGUCUGAUAGGCUUUCACUAAAGAAGGUUCAAGACGAAAGCUACCUAUCUUGAUGCAGUGUAUUUCAAUAGGUAUACUCAGAUUCCUUUGAGUCAAAAAUGUUUUGUUGAUCCAUUAAUGUGGGAGAUUGUUAUAAUUAUGGUUAUAAUUAUGGCUAAUGGAUCAACGAAUGCCAAUAAAUUAAGAUACGUCUUUUCUAUUCACGGAUCUCUUUUGGAUUCAUGAAUUUCUCAAACUUUUUCAUUCAUGUAUCUAUUGAAUUCAUGAAUUUCCUAGAUUCAUGUAUCUUUUAGUUCAUGUAUUUAUUGAGUUCUCGAAUCUCUUGAAUUCACGUAUCUCUGGAUUCAUGAAUCUCUUGAAUUCAUAUAUCUCUUAAUUCAUGAAUUUUGUGGAUACAUACGUCUAUUUAAUUCAUUUAUCUCUUCUGUAAAUGAACUAAAAAUCUCUAUAAAUAGAUGGGAGCAUAGAGCUUCAUCAUGGUUUUUGGUUUUUCCGACUCGAUUCCAAAAAGGCUCUGAUACACUUUUCUACUCUUCUGAUUUUUCUGAGUGUGCUGGUUCAAUUAAACGGUUCGACUGAGUCCUAUUUGCAUAGUGCUAAUCCAAACAGGUUCGAGGUGUUGUAUCUUGGGAGGCAUAGUUCGUGAAUUUGCGAAGCACCAUUGGCAAGAACUAAUUGCCUUAAGGAGAUUCGGAUAUCCGUACCUCACCUCCAUGUUCUAAUUGCAAAAAACAGUUUGUGUUUUCUUUGAAGUAUAUUCCAACAUCUUGCCCUCCUUGCGAAGCUGCCGUUACCCCUGCUCUGGCCGAGAUCUGCUCAACCCAAGGCCUUCUUUGCUCGUCACUCUGCCAGUCGCUGUCAUUGCGCCUUCGCCAGAACUGGACCCGAGCCGGAUCUGCACUACUAGCAACGACUACAGUUCCAAACCACUGCUGUCCCCUCCGAACAACGGCACAGUAGCUCGCCACCUCGCCGUGCUGCUGAUCCCCCUCGCCAGAGCUCCGACGCCCGCAAUUGCCUGUCACGCCCCGAUCCUCGAGCACGCACACAUCCUUCACUCUUGGUCGAUUUUAUAAUGCGAUAUCCUAGGACUAUAUAUCGCCGACCCUUUCAUUUAUUAAGCACAUGCGGAAACAGUUAAAAUCCCCAGACAAUAAAACGAUGGGAUAGAAAAGCAGGGCCAUAUUUUUCAUAUUGAAACUUAUAACCAAAUUUUUAUACAAAACACAAAACAGAGCACUUCAUAACUUUUUACUCUAAACUUUAAUCACAUCAAAAAGGAGAUCUCAAAAUAAGACAAACUCUCAGCCAUCCGAGCCGUACUCAAGGUCCCUUUUGGGACUAUCUUCUUCUUCCAAAAAUCCUUCUCCUCAAGAUUUACCUCCGAGUUCUCCUUCUCGGAUUCCUCCUCCUCAGCUCCUCAGCGGGGUCCUGAAAUGUUUUCCCCAAACUGGGAUGAGACUACGUCUAAGCGAGUUCUACCCCACUAAGCCCAAUUAGUAAGCUAUUAUACUAUAGGCUGCCUAAACACGCACAAGGCAGAUGACUUACCUUGGCCUCAGAUCCCACCUGCAAGUCAGUACAAUUCAUAACAGGCACCCAAGCAAUCAUAUCAUCGAUCGAAGCAUCGAUCAUAUCGACCUAGUCGAUUAUAUGCCAACGAGACCACUCACGGUCAUUUCCAUUCAGUCAAUCAAUUCACAACAUCAAAUCAAAGCAAUGAUCAAUCGACCUAGUCGAUUACAUGUCAGACGGACCAUUCUAGGUCAAUACUCUCAGGCGUCAAGUUCACCAAUGUGACUCAUCCACUAGACAAUUGCGUGCGUUCUUUAAGGCGCCGUUUUCGCCAGUGACAUCCUUAGUCACCAAACCACGUAUGCCUAUAACCAUGUACUCAAUAGACAAUUGUGUGUGUUCUUUAAGGUGUCGUUUUCGCCAGUGAUAUCCCAAAUCACCGAACCACACAUGCCUACAACAAUGUACUCAAUAGACAAUUGUGUGCGUUCUUUAAGGCACCGUUUUCGCCAAUGAUAUCCCAAAUCACCGAACCACACAUGCCUACAACAAUGUAUUUGAUAGACAAGUGUAUGCGUUCUUUAAGGCGCCAUUUUCACCAGUGAUGUCGUUAAUCACCGAACCAUACAUGCCUAUAACAAUGUAUUUGAUAGACAAGUGUAUGCGGUUCUUUAAGGCACCGUUUUUGCCAGUGAUGUCCUUGAUCACCGAACCAUACAUGCCUAUAACAACGAGUACUAGACCAAUACGUGCGUUCUUUAAGGCGCCGUUUUCGCCAGUGAUGUCCCAAUCACCGAACCACGUAGGUCCAUACACUGAGUUUGAUUGGUUCAAUCCUAGAGUAUUUCCAAUUCUCUCAUAACUCUAUCCACUUUACAACUCAAUCAAAACAUUAUAAAUGCUAAACAAACAUACUCGGCCAUUUACCAAUCAAUCAUUCAAUCUCAAUCAAUUCCAAAUCAAUUUAGGGUAAAUCCUAAAACAUCACAAUUUAUUUAAUUCCAUGCAACAUAGAGCUCAAAUAAAUAAACGAACUGCGCCACGACAAUCAGCACGAGAUUUCGGUCGUCGGCCAUCUCAAUCUUAAUUUCUGAAAAAUAAAUAAUUAAUAAAUAUUAAAAAUUCAAUUUAACACAAAAUAAAGCCCAAUUAAAUAAACAGACUUCACCACGGUCAUCAGCAUAAUAUUCCGGUCUCGGGCCAUCCCAGUUGAAUUUUCGGAAAAUAAAUAAUUAUUUAAAUUAAUUCCGAAAAUUAAUAUUUAAAUACUAAAAAUUCCACUUAGGCCCAAAAAGCCUAAUUGGAGCCCACUAAGGGUCGGGAAAAAUCCCGAGGCACUUCCAAUAAUUAGUAGACCACGUCUACUUGCUAAUUGCGCAAUCAAUUUAUCUAAAUUGCAUCACAAUUGACUAAUAAUUGCUAAUUUAUUCUAAUCUAACAACCUAAACAUAAUUAAUUAAAACUAAACCAACCUUAAGCAUAAUUAGCCAACUAAUCCUGGAUUAGUGAGAUUACUCACCAAAUCGCGCGCAAAUUGGAUCAAUCCGACGGGGGCGACACAAGGAACGAUUCUUCCCAAAGCACGGCUCGAGUUCGCGGCCCGGCCCAAAAGUGGGCCUAAAGCCGCUGGAAACCCAUUUCGUGGGUUGCUGGAUGGCUGCGAAACAAGGGAAAAUAGAGAUGGUUAGGGGCGGGGAAGGCUUCGGGAGAGCGGGCGGUGCUCCGGGGAGGGCCGGCGGAGGUCCGGCGGCUUCAAACGGCGGCCGGAGGUGGCCGGAUGGGGUGGAACGAAGGCUGAGCAGAGGCUGAACCGCGCGGGGGAGCACGCCUGGGCGCGAGGGACGGCCGACGGAACACGCGGCGUUCGCGCGCCGUGGGCCGUCGCGGGCGGCGGUCCCGGCUUCGGUGUGGCGGCGAUGGCUUCGGCGAGCAGUUGCUUCCGUUCUUCUUCAGCUUCUGGUUUUUCACGAACAAGAGGGGAAGAAGAAAGGAGUUAGUUCAGUCAUGUGGGGAAAAUGGGGGAGAAGAGAGAGGAGAGAGAAGAAGAGAGAAAGAAGAGAUAAGAAGGAGGGUUUUCUUUUGACUAGUCAAAAGUAGAAACAAAAGAGAGAGAAGCCAAAUUAAAAUUGGCAAGGGGGCAUUCGGUCGGUGGGGGCUGGCUACGCACGAAGGAGAGGGGAGAGGAGAGAGAGAGAAAAGGGAGAGAGAGAGAAAAAGAAAAAGAAUAAUACUAUUCUAAAUUUUCUUUUCUCUUUCCCAUUUCCCUUUUUAAUUUCUUCCGGUCUUCAAUUUUUCCUCCGAUAAUUUCUUUCUUGAAAUUUCAGACUCGUCGAUAAUUUGACGGACGAUGAGACGAGGUCCUAAAAAUGAAUUGUGACAUGCUUGGAUAUUCGAUUCCCAAAACCGAAUUAAAUUUCAUGAUUAAAAUUGACCGAACGUGAUUUUAGUCCAAUCUAACAAAUUAGGUAGCUUUUAGGGAUUUUACCGCGGAUAUAUCCUUUAACGGCUUCACCCAAUAUGUUAGUUAACUCAUGAGUGAUCUGCUCAGAGAAAAAGGACCAUAGGCACGCCGACAAUAUGCACAUUUCAUUUUAUUGAAACGGGAUCGAAUUUCAGGAUGUCACAUUGCCCCUCAUGGGACCUUCGGCAGACCACCACGUUGCUGGCUAUUUUAUUUGGGAAAAAAAAAGCAAAAUCAAUUUAGGUAGUUUUUUCUUUUAUAUAUUUAUCUUAUUUUUUUAAUUAUUUUUGUUAUUUUAUUUUAUUUGUUCUUUUAGUAUAAUUAUUCCUUAGUGUAAGGAUGAAAUGUUUGACAUGAAAUAGCUUAUGAAAUUUGUGAUUGACAGUCCGAUUUUCAUGCUCGAAAUCCAACUUGCAAUCGCUUGAAAAAUCGCCAAUCCGAUCUCAUGCCCGAGAUUUGAUUCGCGAUUUAUGUAAAAUUGGUCAACCCGAUCUCAUGCGCGAGAUAUGAUUCAUCAAUUUGGAUAUCAAUCUUAGCUCUGAUUUGAUGUCAUGCCGUUUAAGUUAAUUUUCUUUUCGUAAAAAAAAAUCAAAAAAUGUAGGUUAGAAUUAGGUUUAUUUCCUGUUUUAGGGUUUGCAUAUUUAGAAUAAGAAUUUUAUUUCGAAUUUAAAAAAUAAAAAAAAAAUCAAAUCAAUCAAUUUAGGUUGCUAUUUUUUUUUUAAAAAAACUUAGGUUGCAUGUUUAAUUAUUUGACAAUUUUUAAUUUCGAAAUUUGAAAAAAAAAACACAGAAAAAUCAUCUUGCAUAUGUCAUGUAGAAUUAGGGUAUCCUUUAUACAUCAUUCUAUAUUAAGGUAAAAUUGCACGUAGUUUAAUUCUAGAUAAUACUUUUUCUUAAUUUAUUAUAAGUUUAGAUAUUAGAUAGAUUGCAUUUUUAGGAUUAUUUGGGUUAAGAUAAUAUUUUAGUUUAAAUUAGGAUUUGGCUUAACCUAAUUCCUAAUGCAAAUUGAAUAGAAUCUUAAUCUAGUUAGAUAAUUUUCACAUUUUUCCUAAUUCCGAAUUUCAUGAAAAAUACAAAAAAGUAUUAGAAUAACUUAGUUCCAUUCUCUAGGAUAGAUUGCAUUUUUUAGAAAAAAUAAAAAAAAAUGUCAUGUAAAUGUCAUAUAUGAUUAGAUUCUUGAAAUGCAUGUCAUUUAGAGAUUGUUAUUAGGUCCAUUUAAUUAGAAAUUGCAUGACAUGAGAAUUAGGUCAUUUAGUUAUAUUGUAUUGCAUAUUGCAUGAUUUUCAUUAAAUAAGUGAAAAAAAAAGAAAUCGCGUGUUAAUUAGAAAUCAUAUCUAGGACUAUUGAUGUGAAUUCUAAUCUAACAACGCAGAUACUUUGGUUGCUAUGAGGUAAGUCCUAUAAUUUAUUUAUUACUUUACUUGGGUAUUAAAUUGGUAGUUUACGCACUCGCAUGAUCGUCUCACAUGUUAGGAAAUAGAUUUAAAAUCAAUUUAAGCUGCCUGCAAAUGUAUUUUUGAAAAUAAAAGAAUGGUACCGAAAUGACAUUAGAGAAAUCUAGUGUAACCAAGUCCAAGUACCUAGAAUCUCUGGUUCGUAAAAGUAAAGUAAAACUCCCGUUACUUUACUUAGGUUUCUAAUUGACCCACUCAAAAAUAGAUUAGUGGCGACUCCUGGAUAAAGUCUAUCUGCAUGUUAAGAAUCUGAACAUAAGUCGUGAAUUGGUAUGGGCUUGGGAAAGCCCGAGUUAAGUUUAGGCUUAACAAUCCAUUAGCUAAAUUUUAGGUGAUUCGCCCCAAAAUUUUGGUCACGACAUCCUCUCCUUGUCCACAAGUCGAACAGCCCACUGAGUCGGUUUUCCCCUCCGUUGUUGCCACGCCACCGAGGUCAACUCAGCCCGCAAGCUAUAGCCCUAUCAAGGUGAGCCCAAUAGCUCAGCCCCCUUCGAAUCUAGACUGAGUAGCCCCAUCGUGGGACUUUGUGGCCGAUUUCAGCUUGGUCUGGGCUCCUAUUGGCAUCGCCGCUUUAGAGUUUAUCGGCCGCCGUCACAUCGCCGUUGCCAUGAACCGGUUUUCACGCAAAUCUAGUGAGUUUAACUCACUUAUCCCUGCUUAGUAAGUUAAUGAUGCUUAAGGGUUGAUUAGUUUAAGUUAAGUGUGGAGUAAGUGGAUAAUUAAAAUAGAUUAGCAAUUUAAUCGUUCGAUUUUGCAUGCUAGGUGAUUAGAGUAGUGCAAUUAGAGCCUAGAUAAGCUCUAGUAUUUAUUUAACAGGUUCGAAAAUUUUCUGGGCCCAUCUUAGUUUUUAAUUAGGUUUUUCCGGCCUAAGUGUGAAUUAUUGGUAUUUAAUAAUUAAUUUUCAUAAUUAUUUAAUUAUUUAUUUAUUUUCCAAAAAUUAGACCGGGAUAGCCGGUAACAAGAAUUUUAUGUUGAUUGCAAUGGUGUGAUUGAAUUAUUUAUUUAAUUGUUAUUUUGUGCAAAUUGGAUGUGAUUUGCAAUUUUGGGUAUUUAUUCCAAAAAUUAUUAAUUUCGGUAAUUAAUUAGAAAAUGAUCGAACGUCGGUUUACAACGCCAAAAAUGAGUUUACGGAUCAAUGAGAUUAGUGGGAUUUUAUAAAAUAAAGAUAUUAUAUUUUUGGCUCGGACCGACCGUGUACCCACACACGACUAUUUUUAACACGAAGAAAAUAGACCAGGACGUUAUUUUAAUUGAGGAAUUCAAGCGGGAAGCUCAAUGUCCUUGGCCAUGGAUGAAUAAUCAUGUGGUGGUUUAUAGUCAUGGUAAGAUGACUAUUGAAGGAUGAGGUGACGUAUGUUGUGCAUGACGAUAUGGGAUGGGUCAAGAAAACCGCCGAAGUAUGGCUGUGCCUAUUAGGUCGUGAUUAACUGCCAAAGUAUGGUUGUGCCUAUAGGGCCGUAAUUGACCACCGAAGCAAGCUAUGCCUAUUAGGCCAUGAUUUUCCGCCUAACUUGGAAUAGGCUGUGCCCAUUGGGCCGUAAUUUACCGCUGGACAUUUAAUAGGCCGUGCCCGUUGGGCCGUGAUUAAAUUUGAAAUCCAUGUGAUUGAAUGAAUUGACCAAGAGAUGAUCAUGAUGACAUGGAGUCAACUGAGUUGAUUGAUCGAUGAUUUGAUCCGAUUGGAUGAAUUGUUUUGUGAAGUGAUUGAUUGAGUGGUUCAAUUGUUUUGAUUCGCAAGAAGGGAUUGGGGCCAAGGUAAGUUCUCUCACUCGUGUUUGUGCUUAGGCAGCCCUUAGGGCCUAUUUUCUUCCUAGUCGGGUCUUAGGGAGUGAACUUGAUGAGACGUCGUCUCACCUCGUUGUGGGAUAACAUUUUCAAGUCCUUAGAUGUCAGUUGAGGAGGACCCGAAGCUCUAGAGACACUUGAGGAGGAGACCGAAGAAUCGGCGAACGUUCUGACUAGUGGGUCAUAGGAUAGUUCUCUUUUUGUUGAGCUGAUCUUUCGUAAAUAGCCUAGUAUGGUGUAUGAACUUGAAGUGUUUAUAAAAUGUUUGUUUUGAUUGUGAAUUAUAACCCCACUUUUCUAUCCCAUUUUGUUGUUGUCUGGGGAGUAUUGAUUAUUUAUUUGCUUUUGCAUACGUAUUAAAAUGAAUGUGUCGAUGAUGCGUCCUCAAACGCCACUAUUUAAUCGACCAAUGAGGGAUGGGCACGCGUUUGGAGGAUCGAGGUGUGACAGUUAUUUUCACAGGCUAGCUCACACCGAGAGUUACCGCAGUCUUUUGGAUCGCCUUUCAAUCGAAAAUGAUAACUUAUGUUACGGAUCUCACUACAAGAUAAAUGGACACACAAGUGAUUCUUCUUUGCAUCGUAGCUCGUCCCUAACAAUAGCAAAACAUGCAAUAUGAGAAGUAAAACACGGAGCAUAAAUAUCGAGUUGCGAGAUAUAAUCAUCUCUUUACCGUUUGGUCCAAUGCAAUGGAAGUGUUAGCUCUCUUGGUAAUGCGAGGGAUGCUUAAUAAAGGGUUGGGAGUCAUCGGUCAUCGAAAUGUCCAAGUCAACCCUAAAACAAAGUCUAGCGAAGAAAAACUUAAAAAAUAUGGCCCGGCAAAAACACGAUUUCGGAAUUAGUGAUGGAUAGCUUUCACAUUCAUUAGGGAGGAAAUUUCUCUUCAUUUUCCAGAUUUAAUUUUUCUUGGCAAAUUAAUUCUCUCUAGAAAUUAAUUUUAGUAUCGUAAAAAAGAAUGGCUUUAAUGUUUUGUACCCUAAACUCAUUCAAAAUCCUUACAAAUGAGGCAUUUAGCGUUCUAUUUUAUAUUCAAGGCCAAUAUUUCAUAAGUGUUGCUGCGUUAAAUUUUAAAGACGAAAAGGAAAAGGAUGAUGUAUUUCAUCGUAUAAGGUUUUUCAAUUUUGAGAAAAAAAAAUUAGUAACCAAGAAAGAGGAUAAUGUUAAAUAACGGGUACAUAGAUUUUAACUUUUAUAAUGCCGCUUUCCGCAAAUAUAGAAAGAAAAUAAGGAAUGGGCGCUUCUUGCCUAUGGAUGAUGUGAAAGAUAGCAAUAUGGUAAAUUCUCAACUAGUGAUGGGACCGACACACCUUGAUUAGAGACUCACUUGCGUCGUAUGACAUCCCAAAUUUUCAGUUAUGUAAUCUACUGAAUAAAUCGGGCAUUUCAUUGAUGCGUCUAUAGGACUGUUUUUAGAGCUGAUCACUCUCAAGAUAACUAGACUAUAUGGGGAAACCAUUAAGGAACCUUAAUGCAAUAGAUUUGAGAAUUCGACCAGGAAUUGGCUUCUCAACGUGCUCAUCUUUAGAGGUCAUUACAGCAUAGUUAAAAAUCGAUUUGGAAUCAAAGAUAGGUUGGUUCGACUGAGAUGUGUGGCUAAUCGUGGGUGACACAACUAAAUUGAAAAAUUCUCAUCGGCUGGCACUAGAUUGAUUUUUUUAUUGUUUUGGUACCCUGUGCCCAUUAUGCCCUGAUCCUCGGGCACACAUCCAUCCCUCAUUGGUCAAUAUAAUUGCAACGUCCCAGGACGCAUCGCCGACUCAUUCAUUUUAAUACGCAUGCGGAAGCAUAUAAUUAAUCCUCAGACAAUAAAACAAUGGGAUAGAAAAGUAGGACCAAUUUUUCACAAAAUACAUUUUUAUAAACACACGGGUCUAUACACAAAGGUUUACAAAAGGAAUUGGCUCCCUACAAAAGAGAGUUGUCCUUCGACUAACUAGUCAAAUAUGGUCACUAAUUCUUCAGGCUUCACCUCAUGAACUCUGGGGCUCCUAAUCCUUUACCAACACCGUCUAUGGACCUAAAAAUAGUUAUACAAUAACCAGUAAGAUAAUGUCUCAACGAGUUCUACCCCCUAAGAUUUAAUUAGGAAGUCAAUACGCCAUAAGGGCUGCCUAAGCACAGUCACGAGUCAGAGAACUUACCUUGGCCUCAGUCUCCUCCUUGCAAGUCAGCACAAUUCAUAAACUCAUUGAGUAACGUCAACACAUCGAUCAUUCACUCAGAUCGACUUAUUGAUCAAUCGACCUAGUCAAUUACAUGUCAACCAAACCAUUCCCCGGUCAUUUUAAUGAAUACCAUGCAUUAUCCAAGAUGAUAUAUCUAGUCACCGAGCGCACGUGCCUUUUCCAAGAUAAUAUAUCUAGUCACCGAGCCCAUGUGCCUUCUCCAAGAUGAUAUAUCUAGUCAUUGAGCCCACGUGCCUUCUCCAAGAUGACAUACCUAGUCAACAAGCCCACGUGCAUUCUCCAAGAUGACGUACUUGGUCACUGAGCCUACAUGCAUUCCCCAAGGUAAUGUACCAACUAAACAAGCCAACAAAUCAUAACGUCUUUUUUCGAGAUGACAUACUUAGUCAUCAAGCUGACGUAACAUAGUGUCUUUCUCCAAGAUGACACACUUAGUCAUCGAGCCGGCGUAUUACAGUAUUUUUGUUCACCUUUUAUCAUACCCAAUAAAACAGCCGUGUGGGGAUACACGGUUAGCUUUAACCACUAGCUUCAACAAUCUAGAAAUAUAAUUCUGGCACUAUAAAUCCAUACCCGGUAAAUAUUCAAUUAAUUAUUAAAAUUAAUUAAUUUAAAGAUAAAUUCCUAAUUUCAUAAUUAAAUCGAAAUCAACACGAUAUAAAGCUCAAUUAAAUAAACAAAUCAAACCGCUGCAAUUAGCGUAAUUUUUUGGUCACUGGCCAUCCCGGUCAAAUUUCCAAAAAAUAAAUAAAUAAUUAAAUAAUUACAGAAAAUAUUAAAUAAAUGCAAUAAAUCUAACUUAGGCCUGUUAUAGCUUAAUUGGAAGCUAAAACGGGUCCAGAAAAUUUUCGAGGUUCAGUCAAUAAUUAUUAGAACCUAUUUACUCGCUAAUUACACUAACCAUUUGACAAACAUACAUCAGUAAAGCACUAAAUUAAUUACCCUACUAUAAUCUAUCAACCUAAUUGCACUUAAUUAAAUAUAAUCAACCCCUAAGCAUCAUUAACCUACUAAGCGAGAUUUAGUGAGUUAAACUCACUUGUUUGGCGAGCCGGUCGGUUCAAAUCGACGGGGACGAAAUGGGGCUUGAUUCCUCCCAAGGCGGGCCUAGGUUUCGGGGUCUGAAAGCGGGCCAAAAUAGGCCUACAAGCUGCUGCAAUACCCAUUGCUUUGCUCUCUGUUUUGGGCUGCAAAAGAAGAAAACAAAGGCUAGUUCGGCUUUUGCUUCUGCUUGCUGUACAAAGGAGAACCAACUACUAAACAGCGAGGAAACGGGAAAAUCGAAGCUCUGACGAGCAGGUGGUCAACAACCGGUGGCACCCGGGGGUCAAGGGGGACCUGCUGGUGGUUGGUAUUGGUGGAUGUAGGGUCGGGAUGGAAGAAAAACAGAAGAAAACGUUGAAAUGGCAAAACCAGGCGAACUAGGUGGCGGAUCGACGGACCGACGACCGGCAGCUUGCGCCGGCCAUACGAGAUAGCCGGAGGCUUCGUUCUGGGCAAGGUAGGGCUCUUUGGAACGGUCUCGAUGUGCUAGUCACAGUGAUGGGUGGCUUGUUGGCUAAUUCAUCCAGGAAGACCACUUUCAACUCAGAUCUUUGGCGAAAGGUCAACUGGAGCAGAAGCUGGCAAAAGGAGAAAACAAUAGGGAAAACGGCGGGCUUGGCUGGUCCGGUGGGCAUGCGAUGGUGGAGCUGGCUCAGCUGACUUCCUCUAGUUCUCUCCAGGUUUCUCAAGGCCACAACAAUGGAGAAAGGAGGGGGAAAGAGGAAAAAGAAUCAGUUGGUCAAGGAUGGGGGGUCCCAUUUGCCUCUAAAGUCUAUCUUCUUGCCCCCUUGACCCUUGUCCACCACCAGCUGGUCCCUUGACCACCAAUCAGCCACCAAGGCUCACUUCUAGAAGCUCGAGAUGGUCCAAAUGUCGUGGGUGAUGGGGGCACACGAAUUUGGCUCGGUUUCUCUCAAAUUGAAUGCUUGAUCCUUCUUGAAUUAACACAAACCAACCUCUAUAAAUUCAACCAACACCUCAUCAAUCGAAUUUGUAUUUUUCCUCACCGAUUAAUCCCACUUGCAUCCUAAUUUCACAAUAAAAAAUGGUCCUCGACACUUUCUGGACAAAAACGACCCUACCUCGAUUUUUUCCCAAAAAGUCUCAAUUUGUAGAAAAUUUUUCUGAGACUAAAUCGAUGUUUCUAAAAUGACUUGUGACAUGACAAAAUUUUCAAUUUCUGAAAUAGGAUUCAAAUUCGUGAUUAAUUUUAAUUUGGUGCGAUUUUAGCGUGACCUAGGCUACUGGGUAGUUUUCAUAAAUUUUUAAUGCAAAUGACUAGUGGUCGAUUUUCUUUGAGCCACAAUGAACCCACUCAACACAUUGACGACUCUCGGUUGUCGUGAAAAUCUCGAGGAUUCAAAUACGGACAUAGUGUACCAAAACGAUAGAAAAAUCGGUAUAGUGUCGAUCGACAAGAAUUUUGCAAUUUAGUGGAAUUACUCACGUUUAACCACGCAUUUCAGUCGAACCGAUCUAUCUCUGAUAUCUAAUCGAUUUUUAACUAUGUCAUAAUAAUCUCGGCAAAUGAGCACGGUCGAGCAGCCGAUUCCUCGUUGAAUUCUCAAGUAUAUUUGUCUUAAAAUCUCUUAAUAACUUCUCCAGAUGGUCUAAUUAUCUCAUGUGUGGCCAACUCCGAAAAAAACACUAUAGUCGCGUCGAUGAAAAGCCCAACUUAUCUGAUUAAAAUCAAAACUUGAAAAUCAGAAUGUCACAAUUCUUCCACUCUUAUAAAAAUUCCGUCCUCGAAAUUUAAACAUUUACCAAUCCUUAAACAAAAGGUGGGGAUAUCGUCAUCUCACUUUCCCCGAUUGCUUCUUCAGUCCCGUGGUGUUAUCAGACUACUUUAACCAAGAGGACCCUCUUGGUACAUAGUAUUUGUUCUGUUUGAACUAGGCUUUCCACGUACGACAUUCUGUCGUCCACGUCUAUUUUUUCAAGAUUUAGCGCGUGGGUCGUGUCAAAAUCAUAUGUCCUCAACAUCGACACGUGGAAGACGUCAUGCACUUGCGAGGUAAUGCAAGACUAUACGUUAGGAUCUCGAUUCUCUCUCUAGAAUCUCAAAGGGAUCUACAUACCUCGGUUUCAGUUUUCCCUUCUUGCCGUAGUGCAAGGUAUUCCUCUUUGGUGACACCUUCAGAAAUAUGCAAUCACCAAUUUGGAACUCUAAGGGCCUUCAAGGUUCAACGAUUCAACUUUUCUAGCAGUUCUAAGUGAUUUUUUUUCAUCUAACUUCCUUAUCACAAAUUUAAUUAUGUACACUCACUAUACCAUUCAAAAGCUCUGCUGAAACUGUGUUUAGAUUUGAUUUAGUUUAGUCAUUAGCAUUCCAUGCAGACGAACUAUCUGACUUCCAUACAACUUUGCUUGUCUAUCUAAGUCAAGAUCCUUUUGUACUACCAAGAAGCGAGCUGACUUCAUCAAUCUAUCGACCACUACCCCAAUGGAAUCAUUACUCCCCUGACUCCUUGGUAAGCCGGUCACAACGUUCCGUUGCGUUAUAUUUCCAUCCUCACUCAAGACUCUCAAGUGUUUGUAAAAGUCCUCUCAGUUUGCAACCGAGCCCACAUGCAUUCUCCAAGAUGACAUACUUGGUCACCGAGCCCACUACCAUUCUCCAAGGUGAUGUACCAACUCAACGAGUCAACAAAUCAUAACGUCUUUCUCCAAGAUGACAUUCUUAGUCAUCGAGCCAACGUAACAUAUCGUCUUUCUUUGAGAUGACACACUUAGUCAUCAAGCCGACGUAUUACAGUAUUCUUGCUCACCUUUUAUCAUACUCGAUAAAACAGCCGUGUGGAGGUACACGAUUAGCCUUAGCAAAAAAUAUAACCAUUUCACUAUUUAAACUUUCCACUGGCUUUAGCGGUUUUGAAAUAUAAUUCUGGCACUAUAGACCCACACCCGGUAAAUAUUCAAUUAAUUAUUAUAAUUAAUUAAUUUAAAGAUAAAUUCCUAAUUUCGCAAUUAAAUCAAAAUCAACAUGUAAUAAAACUCAAUUAAAUAAACAGAUCAAACCGCUACAAUUAACGUAAUUUUCUAGUCACCAGCCAUCCUAGUCUAAUUUCCGGAAAAUAAAUAAGUAAAUAAAUAAUUAUGGAAGAUAUUAAGUAAUUGCAAUGAAUCCAACAUAGGCCCGUUAUAGCCUAAUUGGAAGCCGAAACGGACCAAGAAAAUUUUCGAGAUUUGUUCAAUAAUUACUAGAACCUAUUUGCUCGCUAAUUACACUAACCAUUUGCCUAACAUGCAUCGGUAAAGCACUAAAUUAAUUAGCCUACUCUAAUCUAUCCACCUAAUUGCACUUAAUUAAAUCUAAUCGACUUCUAAGCAUCAUUAACCUACUAAGCAAGGUUUAGUGAGUUAAACUCACUUGUUCAGCGAGCCGAUUGGUUCAAAUCGACGGGGACACAACGGGGCUUGAUUCUUCCCAAGGCAGGCCUAGCUUUUGGGGUCUGAAAGCAGGCCAAAAUGGGCCUACAAGUUACUGGAAUACCCACUGCUUUGCUCUCUAUUUUGGGCUGCAAAAGAAGAAAACAAAGGCUGGUUCGGCUUAUGCUUCCACUUGCUGGACAAAGGAGAACUAAUUCUUGAACGGUGAGGAAAUGAGCUGAUCGGAGCUCCGGCGAGCGGGUGGUUGGCAACCGGCGGCACUCGGGGGUCAAGGGGGACUUGCUAGUGGUUGGUAUGGGUGGAGGUAGGGUCGGAAUGGAAGAAAAAUGGAAGAAAACACUAAAAUGGCAAAAUUGGGCGAACCAGGCAGUGGACCAACGACCGGCGGCUUGCGCCGGCCGUACGAGACAGCCAGAGGCUUCGUUUUGGGCAAGGUUGGGCUCUUUGGAACGGUCUCAAUAUGCUGGUCAAGGUUAGUUGGAGCAAAAACUGGCAGAAAGAGAAAACAAUGGGGAAAAUGACGAGCUUGGCUGGUCCAGUGGGUGUGCGAUGGUGGAGCUGGCUCAGCUGGCUUCCUUUGGUUCUCUCCAGGUUUCUCAAGGCCACAACAAUGGAGAGAAGAGGGGAAAAGAGGAAGAAGAAGCAGUUGGUCAAGGAUGGGGGGUCCCAUUUGCCUCCAAAGUCUAUCUUCUUGCCCCUUGACCCUUGUCCACCACCAGUUGAUCCCUUGGCCACCAAUCAGCCACCAAGGCUCACUUCUUGAAGCUCAAGAUGGUCCAAAUGUCGUGGGUGGUGGGGGCACAUGAAUUUCGCUCGGUUUCUCUCAAAUUGAAUGCUCGCUCCUUCUUGAAUCAAUACAAACCGGCCUCUAUAAAUUCAACCAACACCUCAUCAAUCCAAUUUGUAUUUUUUCUCACCGAUUAAUCCCACUUGCAUCCUAAUUUCGCAAUAAAAAACGGUCCCCGACACUUCCUAGACAAAAACGGCCACACCUUGACUUUUUCCCAAAAAGUCUUGGUUUGUAGAAAAAUCUUCUAAGACUGAGUCGAUGUUUCUAAAAUGACUCGUGACAUGAAAGAACUUUCAAUUUUUGAAAUCAAAUUUAAGUUCGCGGUUAAUUUUAAUUUAGCGUGACUUAGGUUACUAGGUAGCUUUCAAAAUUUUUUAGUACAAAUGACCUGUGGUUGAUUUUCUUCGAGCCACAAUAAAUCCACUCGACACAUUGGCGACUCUUGGUUGUCGUGAAAAUCUCGAGGAUUCAAAUAUGGACAUGGGGUACCAAAACGAUAGAAAAAUCAGUCUAGUGUCGAUCGACGAGAAUUUUGCAAUUUAGUGAAAUCACUCACAUUUAACCACGCAUCUUAGUCGAACCGACUUAUCUCUGAUCUCUAAUCGAUUUUUAACUGUGCCGUAAUGAUCUCGGGAGAUGAGCACGGUUGAGCAGCCGAUUCCUGGUCAAAUUCUCAAGUCUAUUUGCCUGAAAAUCUCUUGAUGACUUCCCUAGAUGGUCUAGUUAUCUCGUGAGUGGCCAACUCUGUGAAAAGCACUAUAGUCGUGUUGAUGAGAAGCCCAACUUAUCCAAUCGAAAUCAGAACCUGAAAAUUGGGAUGUCACAACUUUUCCUCUCUUAUAAAAAUUCUGUUCUCGAAUUUUAAACAUUUACCAAUCCUUAAACAAAAAAGGUGGGGGUAUCGUCGUCUCAUCGAGUCUCACUUUCCUCGAUUGCUUCUUUAGUCCCAUGGUGUUGUCAAACCACUUUAACCAAGGGGACCCUCUUGGUACAUAGUAUCUAUUCUGUUCGAACCAAGCUUUCCACAUACGACCCUGUCAUUCACGUCUAUUUCUUCAAGAUCUAGUGUGUGGGUUGUGUCAGACUCAUAUGUCCUCAACAUUGACACGUGGAAGACGUCAUGCACUUGCGCCAACCUCAGCGGCAAUGCAAGACGAUACGUUAGGAUCUUGAUUCUCUCUUUAGAAUCUCAAAGGGAUCUAUAUACAUUGGUUUCAAUUUUCCCUUCUUACCAAAGUGCAAGGUAUUCCUCUUUGGUGACACCUUCAGAAAGAUGUGAUCAUUAAUUUGGAACUCUAAGGGCCUUCAAGGUUCAACGAUUCAAUUUUUCUGGCGGUGCUGAGCGGUCUUUUUUCAUCUAACUUCCUUCUCACAAAUUAAAUUAUGUACAUUCACUAUACAAUGCUUCAGAAGGAACCAUUCAAAAGCUCUGCCGAAAGUGGGUCUAGAUCUGAUAUAGUUCAGUCACUAGCACUCCAUGCAAAUGAACUAUCUGACUCCCAUACAACUUUGCAUGUCUGUCUAAGUCUAGAUCCUUUCGUACUACCAAGAAGCGAGCCGACUUCGUCAAUCUAUCGACCACUACCCGAAUGGAAUCAUUACUCCUCUGACUCCUUGGUAAGCCAGUCACAACGUUCCAUUGCGUUAUACUUCCAUCCUCACUCAAGACUCUCAAGUGUUUGUAAAAGUCCUCCUGGUUUGCAUUACUAAACUUCCACUUAUUGACAUAUCUGAUACUUGCAACCUAUCCGGCGAUAUCUAUCUUUAUUUUGGUCUACCAAUUGAAUUGACAUCGGUUUUGACCUACUUUGUACUGUUUGGUCGAAUACUACAACUACUAUAGUGAAUUCCUAACAAGGUCUCCUCCUUAAGUUCUGUACUGUCUGACACCAAUCAUCACCCACGAUACUUCGGUGUUCCAUCUUCCCAAAUAUGGAAGUUAACCUUUCCCCUUAUCAGUAUCCUCUUGCAGGAUUUUCUGAACAUCUGGGUCCGUCAAGUGAAACGUCUAAUUUUAAUCUGAAUAUCCAGUUCAAUUCUGAGGGUGGCCAGAAAAUUCAAAAGGUGGCAUACCUCAAAUUUGAAAACCGACUUUCGAACUCUCUCGAGUAAAUUCCACUCCUAUAUCACUAUCUGUGCAAUUGAAAACUUCUGACUCAAUGCACUUGCGACUUAAUUCGUCUUUCCAAGGUGACACAAGACAUCACAAUCUCAGUUCCUCCAAAUUUCUAACUCACAACGCUAUCACGUAUUCACUCUUGAGGUCUCCAUUGAUGGGAUGCAUAUGUAACACUCUACCACGUUACAUCAACAUGCAACGCAAUCCUCUAAACAAUGCAUCAUUACAAAUCUCGCUUCUUCCAAAACCAUAUGGGAUGAUUAGCACAAGUGCAGUAGCCCGUUACUGCUUAAACUCUGGAAACUAUCAUCGCACUUGUCUAUCCAUAUGAAUUUCUCUCAUUUCUUUAGGAGUUGAGUUAAUGGCGACGCCAAUGCUAAUAAUCCUAUUGUGAACUUUCUGUAGUACCCUGUCCAACCCAUACGGCUUCUGAUCUCUAAUAUUGUUGUCGGCCUUGGUCCACUAAUAACUAUUUCGGUCUUGAUUGGGUCCAUGGAAAUUCUUUCACCAUUCUCAGAUGUCUCUCGUGCUCCUUAGCAUUCCUUGAAUACACCAGAAUAUCCUUGAAAGAUACGAUCACAACCAAUCUAGAUAUUCUUCAAACACUCGGUUUGUCAAAUCCAUGAUAGCUGUUGGGACGUUCGUUAGACCCAACGGCCUUACAUUACUCUCACAAGGUCCAUAUCAAGUACAAAACACUUUUUUCAAUAUGACCUCUUUCUUGAUUCUCAACUGAUGAUAACCUGUCCUCAAGUUGACCUUUGAAAACAUCUACACUCUUUAUAACUAGUCAGGCAAUUUGUCGAUCUUUGGCAAUGAACACUUGUUCUUGAUUGUCACUUGAUUGAGUUGACGAUAGUUGAUGCAUAAUUGCAACGAACCAUAUCUCUUUUUCACAAACGAAAUUGGUGCUUCCUAAAGUGAUGCACUGCCAUGUAUAAAUUUCUUAAUUAGUAAUUCUCGCAUCUGUACCAUCAAUUCUUUCAAUUCAGACAACGACAUUUGGUAUGAAGCCUUAGAAAGUGACUCUGUUUUGGGUGCUAGCUCGAUCGCAAUUUCUAUCUCUUUCUCUAACGACGGCCUGACAAUUCUUGUGACAACACAUCUCGAAGUUCUUAGACUACUGAGAUGUCCUCAAUCUUUAGUUCUCCAACCUAUCUUAUCUAUGACCAUCACUAAUUAACCUUGGCAAUCUUCUUCUAACAAAUGAGUUGCCUUCAAGCGAUGGAAUUACUACAAUUGAGCGUCUUUCUCGACUCCCAAUGAACUCAACACUUUCACAUGCUUACGGAUUAGACUAGAUCAUUUCUCGGUAAUAAUCCACUACUACAAGAGGCUCUUUGAGUCAACUCUGUUCAUUUGUGACACCAAAGUUAUAUCUCAGCAACUAAUCAAGUACAACUAUAGCUAGAGAUUCCCAUUUCUUCCACUUUAUUUCAACAAACUAGAGUUCUGCGAACUUAACCAAAAUUCUGCUGUGCCACUCUAAUAAAAUCUACCCAAGAACAUUCUUCCUCUGAUUGGUGCAGGGUCGGCUCCAUUCCCAUUCCUUUCGCCAACCUAGUGGCAUCCCACCUGCGGUAGCUGUGCUCCCUUGGAUUCUCAUUAACAGUCCCUUACCUGAUGGCCAUGCUAGUUACAAUCACAGCACAUUCUAGCCAUACUUGAACACUAGAUUCAUCCAUGCUUCCUUCCACAAAUUCGACACUCAUCUGGUGAGUUCUCUAUCUCCUGUCAGGUGACAUCAUGCACUCUUUCUUGUACUGGAGGCAUGUUCCAAAAACGCCACGGUGCGUUCUAUGGCGCACUCCCUCUGAUCUGUCCUAUCGAUAGUGACAGCAAUAACCAUUGCCGAGGUUCCAUCUACCUGAGUGGACAAUCCAUGAGCCAAUGGUCGUGCUGGCGACACCUGCCACAAAUUCUUGUCCUCGAAAAACACGAGACUAAUCCAUGUCAUCUCCCAUGGGAACAGCAUGUUCCAUUUUAACUCGAUGCUGACCUGACUAUCCCAUCCUUCCUAUUGGGUGGAACAUAAUACUUUUCUCUCGACAUCAAUCUUUUCCCUGACUGAUUUCCAUUUCUAUCUGAACUGAAUCUUGGCUUAGAUACUGAAGUUUGUUCCCUGAUCACAAUUCCAGGUUGGACAUCAACAAAGGCGACAACAACAGUGGCUCAGUCCUGAGCUUAUUAGCUCAACAAGUUCCCAAGGAAUACUAGCGCCUAAACGAUCCCAUCAAACCUAGGAUCGCUCGGUGCUGCUACCCUAGCACUGGCCUACGGCGGUACUCUUACACUCACGCUAGCCUAAGCCGGCGCUCUUGCUUAACCAUCUCGGGCACCGAUCCUUGUCGGCGCUCUAUCUCGAGUCACAAAGGCUACUGUCCUCUUAUUAGAAGUUCUCAGCUCCUGAUCACUCAUGCUACAGGAUCUUUAUAGAAACUUGUUUUCUAAUUCCAAUACCAUAUUGGAAUUUGAGUGACCCACACAAAUAAGUUACCAAUCAGCUAUCAAAGACAUGCACCAGCAUGAAAUAAAUGUCCUUCCUACUAACUAUCCCAUGACUCAUCGCACCUUAUCACUCCAAACACAAACCUACUCUGAUACUACAAAAUGGGGAUGUCAUGCCCCAAUCCUCGGGCACGCACCCAUCCCUCAUUGGUCAAUAUAAUUGCAAUGUCCUAGGACGCAUUAUCGACCCAUUCAUUUUAAUACUCAUGUGGAAGCAUAUAAUUAAUCCCUAGACAAUAAAACAAUGGGAUAGAAAAAUAGGACCAAUUUUUCAUAAGAUACCUUUUUAUAAACAUACAGGUCUAUACACAAAGGUUUACAAACGGAAUUGGCUCCCUACAAAAGAGAGUUGUCCUACGACUAACUAGUCGGACAUGGUCACCGAUUCUUUAGGCUUCACCUCAUGAACUCCGAGGCUCCCGGUCCAUUACCAACACCAUCUAUGGACCUGAAAAUGGUAAUAUAAUAAGCAGUGAGACAAUGUCUCAGUGAGUUAAACCCCUUAAGACUCGAUUAGGAAGCCAAUACGCCCUAAGGGCUGCCUAAGCACAAUCAUGAGUUAGAGGACUUACCUUGGCCUCAAUCUCCUCCCUACAAGUCAGCACAAUUCAUAAACAUAUCGAGUUACAUCAACACAUCAAUCAUUCACUCAGAUCGACUUAUCGAUCAAUCGACCUAGUCGAUUACAUGUUAAUUAAACCAUUCCCCGGUCAUUUUAAUCAACCAUGCAUUCUCCAAAAUGAUAUAUCUAAUCACCGAGCCCACAUGCCUUCUCCAAGAUGAUAUAUCUAGUCACCGAGCCCACGUGCCUUUUCCAAGAUGAUAUACCUAGUUACCGAGCCCACAUGCCUUUUCCAAGAUGAUAUACCUAGUCACCGAGCCCAUGUGCCUUCUCCAAGAUGACAUAUCUAAUCACCAAGCCCAUGUGCACUCUCCAAGAUGACAUAUCUAAUCACCGAGCCCACGUGCAUUCUUCAAGGUGAUAUACCAACUCAACGAGCCAACAAAUCAUAACGUCUUUCUCCGAGAUGACAUACUUAAUUAUCGAGCCGACGUAACAUAGCGUCUUUCUCUGAGAUGGCACACUUAGUCAUCGAGCUGACUCAUUAUAGUAUUCUUGCUCACCUUUUAUAAUAGCCAAUAAAACAGCUGUGUUUGGGUACACGGUUAGCCUUAGCAAAAAAUAUAAUAAUUUCACUUUUUAAACUGUCCACUGGUUUCAGCAGUCUAGAAAUAUAAUUUUAGCACUAUAGACCCACACCCUGUAAAUAUUCAAUUAAUUAUUAAAAUUAAUUAAUUUAAAGAUAAAUUCCUAAUUUCACAAUUAAAUCGAGAUCAACAUGAUAUAAAGCUCAAUUAAAUAAAUAGAUCAAACCGCUACAAUCGGCGUAAUUUCCCGGUCUCCGGCCAUCUCGGUUUAAUUUUCAAAAAUUAAUUAAUUAAUUAAUUAAUAAAGGAAAAUAUUAAUAAAUGCAAUAAAUCCAACUUAGGCCUGUUAUAGCCUAAUUGGAAGCCAAAACGGACCCAAAAAUUUUUGAGGUUCAUUUAAUAAUUACUAGAACCUAUUUACUCGCUAAUUACACUAAUGAUUUGCCUAACAUGCAUCGGUAAAGCACUAAAUCAAUUACCCUGCUCUAAUCUAUCUACCUAAUUGCAUUUAAUUAAAUCUAAUUAACCCCUAAGUAUCAUUAACCUACUAAGCGAGGUUUAGUGAAUUAAACUCACUUGUUCGGCAAGCUGGUAGGUUCAAAUCGAUGGGGACGCAAUGGGGCUCGAUUCUUCCCAAGGCGAGCCUAGCUUUUGGGGUCGGAAAGCGGGCCAAAAUGGGCCUACAAGCCGUUGGAAUACCCACUGCUUUGCUCUAUGUUUUGGGCUACCAAAGAAGAAAAUAAAAGCUAGUUCGGGUUCUACUUCUGCUUGCUGGACAAAGGAGAACCAACUCCCGAAUGACAAGGAAACGGGUUGAUCGAAGCUAUGGCAAGUGGGUGGUUGGCAAUUGGCGGCACCUAGGGGUCAAGGGAGACCUCCUGGUGGUUGGCAUGGGUGGAGGUAGGGUUGAACUGGAAGAAAAAAGGAAGAAAAUGCUGAAAUGGCAAAACUGAGCAAACCAGGCGGCGGACCGAUGGACCGACGACUGGCGGCUUGUGCCAACAGUACGAGACGGCCAGAGGCUUCGUUCUGGGCAAGGUCGGGCUCUUUGGAACAGUCUAGAUGUGCUUGUCACGGUGAUGGGAGGCUCAUUGGCUAAAUCAUCCGGGAAGACUACUUUCAACUCAAAUCCUUGGCGAUAGGUUAGCUGGAGCAAAAAUUGGCAGAAGGAGAAAAUAUAGGGGAAACGGCGGGCUUGGCUAGUCCGGUGGGCGUGCGACGGUGAAGCUGGCUCAGUAGGCGUCCUUUGGUUCUCUUCAGGUUUCUCAAGGCAUCAACAAUGGAGAAAGGAGGGGGGAAAGAGGAAGAAGAAGCAGCUGGUCAAGGAUGGGGUGUCGCAUUUGCCUCCAAAGUCUAUCUUCUUGCCCCUCUGACCCUUGUCCACCACUAGCUAGUCCCUUGGCCACCAAUUAGCCACCAAGUCUCACUUCUAGAAGCCUGAGAUGGUUCAAAUGUCAUGGGUGGUGGGGGCACACGAAUUUGGCUCGGUUUCUCUCAAAUUGAACGUUCGAUCCUUCUUGAGUCAACACAAACCAGCAUCUAUAAAUUCAACUAACACCUCAUCGAUCCAAUUGGUGUUUUUCCUCACCGAUUAAUCCCACUUGCAUCCUAAUUUCGCAAUAAAAAAUGGUCACCGACACUUUCUGAACAAAAACGGCCCUACCUCGACUUUUUCUCAAAAAGUCUCUGUUUAUAGAAAAGUCUACUAAGAUUGAGUCAAUGUUUCUAAAAUGACUCGUGACAUGACAAAAUUUUAAAUUUCUGAAAUCGGAUUUAAAUUCGUGGUUAAUUUCAAUUCAGCGCAAUUUUAGCGUAACUUAGGCUAUUGGGUAGCUUUCAAUAUUUUUUAAUGCAAAUGACCCGUUCAAGCCACAAUGAACCCACUUGACACAUUGACGACUUUCGAUUGUCGUGAAAAUCUUGAUGAUUCAAAUACGGACAUAGGAUAUCAAAACGAUAGAAAAAUCAGUCUAGUGUCAAUCGACGAGAAGUUUGCAAUUUAGUGGAAUCACCCAUGUUUAACCAAGUAUCUCAGUCGAACUGACCUAUUUUUGAUCUCUAAUUAAUUUUUAACUGUACCGUAAUGAUCUUGGCAGAUAAGCACAGUCUAGCAACCGAUUCCUAGUCAAAUUCUCAAGUCUAUUUGCCUUAAAAUCUCUUAAUGAAUUCUCCAAAUGGUCUAAUUAUCUCGUGAGUGGCCAAUUCCAAGAAAAGCACUAUUCGUCUCCGGACAAUAGUUNNNNNNNNNNNNNNNNNNNNNNNNNNNNNNNNNNNNNNNNNNNNNNNNNNNNNNNNNNNNNNNNNNNNNNNNNNNNNNNNNNNNNNNNNNNNNNNNNNNNUCUAUCCCACGAGUCAGGAUGUCAUACUGCCUAUAUUUGAAUCCUCUAGAUUUUUACGACAACCGAUAGUCGCCAAUGAGUCGAGUGGGUUUUGAAAAUGUCAGGGAUCGUUUUGAUUACCAAUUUGGGAAGCAUGAUCGAUAUAUGGGUGAGGAAAAAAAAUCGAGGGGAGCCUUGAGGUGCCAAUUGAAUUUAUUGAAGCUAAUUAGGAUUGAAUUAAACUGGAACAAGUGUUCAAUUGGAAGGGAAUCCAAACCAAUUUCGUAGCCCCCCAUCCACCACCACUUUUGGACCUCCUCAAACUUCUAGAACAGGGUAAUUUGGCCUAGAAUUGUUGGAUGGACACCAGCUGGUGAUGAGAGGCCAGAUGGAUGAGGUGAGAUCGGUCAAGGGGACCAAAACCGGUUCCACUUGCUGAACCGGUCCCCUCCCUCCUUCAAGCGGUCGACCAACUCCUUUUCCUAUCUCUAUUACUACUACUUGAAGUCUAGACAUCCAGAGGAGAAACCGAAGCAAGCUCGUCGCUAUCAAGACUGCUCGUAUCGUCGCCGUUACAUAACGUCUGCCCGCGAGACGUCGUGCCUUACCGCGCCUCUUGCCAUCCAGCAGCUCCUGCCCGUGCGUCCAGCAAGCUGCUAUGGUCGUCCAAGCCCCCGCCAAAGUCCACCAAAGCUCUUACGGCCGUCAAUUGCCUCGCCAAAAUGUCCACUAGUCCAUCGUCGCCAAGACCUCGCCGAACCAGCUUCAUCCCCUUGGUUUUGUAGCUCAAAACAACAAGCAGGAAAGUGGGUUUCUAGCAAGCUUCUCAGCCCGUUUUGAGGUGGUCUCAAGCCUCGAAAGUUAGGCCCGUCUUUGGAAAAGUUGAGCCUCGCAGCGUCCUCGACGAUUAGAUCCGAUUAAAUCUCGAAACAAGUGAGUUUAACUCACUAAUCCUCACUUAGUAGACUAAUGAUGCUUACGGUUUGAUUAGAUUUAAAUAAGUGCAAUUAGGUAGAUAGAUUAGAUUAGAAUAAUUAAAUUAGGGAUUUACCUAUGCACAUUAGGCAAAUGGUUAGUGUAAAUAGGGAGUAGAUAGGCUUGAGUAUUUAUUGAACGAACCUCGGAAAUUUUCCGGGUCCGUUUCGGCUUCCAAUUAGGCAUUACGUGCUUAAGUUGAAUCUUUAGUAUUUAUUUACUAAUUUUCAAAAUUAAUUAAUUAAUUAUUUAUUUUUCGAAAAUUAGGUUGUGAUAGCCAAUGACCAGAAUUUUAUGCUGAUUGUAGUGGUGCUCUUUGUUUAUUUAUUCGAGCUUUAAUUUGUGCUGAAAUGAAUUAAUGAUGAUUUUGGAUUAUUUUCCUAAAUUAAUUAAUUUUGGUAAUUAAUUGAAAAAUAACCGGGCGUCAGUUGACAGGGCCAAAUUUUUUUUUGGUGGACUACAGAAAAUGGUGGGAUCUGUGGAAAGUGAAAUUAUUGUAUUUUGGCUAAGGCCAACAGUGUACUCACACACGACUAUUUUUAUCGGUUAUGAUAAAAUGACAAAUUGAUUGUAUGAUUGGAAUGACAUAUUAUACUGGCUCGAUGACUCUAUAUGUCAUCUUGGAGAAAGAAUGGUAUAUUGAUAAAAAUGGUAAAUUGAUGUACCAUCUGAAUGUUAUAUAAUAUUGGCUUGGUGACUCUACUUGUCAUUUUGGAGAAAUGACGAUAUGUAAUGUCGGCUCGGUGACUCAACAUGUCAUCUUAGAGAAUGGACGACAUUUAUAUAAUACCGACUCAGUGACUCUACAUGUCAUUUUGGAGAAGGGACGCUAUGCAAUGUCGGUUCGGUGAUUAUAUAGGUCAUUUUGGAGAAAGAAUGGCAUGCCAUAACGGCUCGGUGACUCAACAUGUCAUUUUGGAGAAUGGACGUUAUGAUGAAUAUACUCGGUGACUUAGUAUGUCAUUUCGGAGAAUGAAUCGUAUAAUAUACUGGCUCGGUAACUCGAUAGGUUAUCUUGGAGAAUGGAUAAUAUUGAUUGAAAUGACCGGGAAAUGGUCUAAUUGACAUGUAAUCAACUAGGUCGAUUGAUCGAUAGUUCAAUUUGAUUGGGUGAAUUGAUGUGGUUUGUGUAUAUUUGCAAUAUACUGACUUGCAAGAAGGAAACAGAGGCUAAGGUAAGUCCUCUGACUCGUGUUAUGCUUAGGUAGCCUUUAAAGUGUAUUGGUUUCCUAAUCGGGUCUUAGGAGGGUAGAACUCGCUGAGAUAUUGUCUCACUGGUUAUUAUAUAACCAUUUUCAGGCCCUUAGUUGAUAGCGGUAGAGGACUCGAGGCUCGAAGUUUUGAAGGUGAAGCCCAAAGAUUUGCAAUCUUAUCAAACUAGUUAGUCAUAGGACAAUUCUAUUGUGUUGAAAGCCGAUCCCUUUUUAUAGGCUUAUGUGUAUAAACCUGUUUGUUUAUAAAAAUGCUAUUUUGGUCGGAAAAGUUUGUAGCCCUACUUUCCUAUUCUAUUAUUUUAUUGUCUGGGGAUUUUUUAUAUGCUUCUGCAUGCGUAAAACGAAAGGGUCGGCGAUGCAUCCUGGGACGUCACUAUUAUAUCGACCAGGUAAAGGAUAGGUGUGUGCCUAAGGAUCGAGGCCUAACAUCUCCCUUUUGUGGUAUCGGAGCGAAGUUCAAGAUUGGAGUGAUAAUGUGCGAUGGUUCAUGGGAUAGUAGUAGAAAGGCCUUUAAAUUUAUGCUGGUGCAUGUUUGUGGUAGUCGAGUGAUAGACUUGCUUGUGUUUUAGAUCGCUCUGUUUCUAAUUCGGUGUGGAAUUAGAAGCAGGUUUCAGCAAAUAAAGCUAAGCUAUGAGCAAUCAGGGGUAAAAAACUCCUACCAAAAGGACCGUUCGCUCAGGCUAGCACGAGUAGAACAGCACCACUUGUAGUGGGUGUCGGGUAGCAGCCCCUGGUGAUCCCAGAAUAGAAGGGAUCAUGCAGGCGCUAGAGACCUUGAGAGACGUGGUGGCAGAACAGGCUCAGAAUUAAGCUGCUGCUACUACUGCACCUACUGCUGCACCUACCAAGGUUCAACCUGAGAACGUCAUGGCCUAGAGAGAGAGGCUGAUUCAUAAGCUUGUGGAGCAAUUUCUGAAGCUGAGUUCGCCAAGAUUCACGGGCACUAGAGACCCUGAGACCGCUUCGCUUUAGAUAUAGGAUUUGGAGAAGACCUUUGCCCUCUUGAUGUGUAUUGAAACUAAGAAGGUAACCCCGGCCGUCUAUUAGUUAGAGGGCAAUGUUAACAUUUGGUGGAGAGUGUUAGGGAAAUCCCUUAUGAUGUUUUGAAGAUGACAAAAUAAAUCAAAGGCUACUAACAUGUUUAAUGGUUGAGUAAUAGACCAUGCAGAUAAUAGAACAUGUAAAGGAUAUUAUCAAAGUCUGAAGACUGCCAGACUCAAGACUCAAAGUCUGAAGACUGUCAGACUCAAGACUCAAAGUCUGAAGACUGCUAGACUCAAGACUCAAAAAGACAGACUCUAUGCUGAAGCUGAACUGGGUACAGACCUUAAAGUCUAAAGACCCAGGUUGUAAAGUCUCAAGACUCAUAUCGUAAAGUCUCAAGACUCAGACUUUACAUCCAGAUUACGAUGAAUCGUAACUCAAGCCCAAUCAUACAACGGCUAGUGAUCUGGUUUGGAUACCACAUCAAGAUUGAUUUGAUUGAUUCAAUCUAAUUGAUUGACAAUUGGAUGUUGAAGACAAGAACUUUCUAUGCGAAGAAGCUUUACUUAUGGAAACCAAGAUUUCGUUUGUAUGGGCGAUCGGAAUCAAUUUGGGAUUUUACCUUUGUCACUCAACGGCUACCAAAUCUUCUAAGAUACAGAGCUGUCCAAUGGGUAUAUUGGAAGACGAUUCUCCGGGAUACUGUCCAACGGUAGUUUGGAAGUGGAGGAGUAUUUAAGGAGAUCAUGGACCGAUGAGCAAGUAAGAGACGGAGCGUAGAAUUUAUAAUUCCAAAGUCUAAGCGACUUUAGAUCAUAUACUUGUCUCUUGAGAGCUUAAACGUUUGUAAUCGUGAGAGAAAUACCAAGAGAGUGACUUAGUGAGAUAGUGUGAUCUACUACUAAGUGUUUGCACUCGGAGUUGUAAUCUCUUGUUGAUUGCAUAGUGGAAUCCAGCCAAGAAGGCUGUUAUCGUGGGAGAGUGGACGUAGGCUUGGAUUAAGCCGAACCACUAUAAUUUCUGUGUUCUUAUUCUCUUCCCUAACUCCUUUAUUUUGUUCAUACUAGCACUCUCAGAGAGCCGCCAAGGAUACAAUCUUUCCUGAAGGUGUGAUCCUAGUGUGGAACACCUUCCUUAGAGCCUUUAACGAUCAAUAUUUUUUAAAUAUGGCCCGAGAACAAAAGAUGGAGGAGUUCCAAUGCCUUCGUCAAGGAUCAAUGUCGGUUGACCAGUAUGGGGUCAAGUUUACGAAGCUCUCGCAAUAUGCUCCAAGGUUAGUCGAAGACCCAGAAGAGAAAGCCCAAAGAUUUCGAAAUGGUCUUCGUACUGAGCUGAAACAACCCCUACUACCGUUGGAUUUGACUAAGUACCAAGACGUCUAUCAUUGAGCUCAGAUGAUAGAACGGGGUUUGAAUGAACAAGCUGCCUCAUCUGGAUCGAGGUUUAACUCUCAUCGUGAAGGAAUCUACUAGGGAAAGAGGCCUAUGCCUAGAAAUAGAUUCCAAGUUCCACCUAAUAGGAAGGGUGGAAUUGUAAAGUCAGUAUCGAACUUGAAUGGUCUGUGUCAUCUAUGUGGAAGACAACAUGGUGUGAAUCAUUGCUAUCGAAGGAGGGCACUUAUUAUGAAUGUGGUCAGUAAGGCCACCUAUCUAGAGAUUGUCCUAGGAGGCCAAGAGGACAACCACAACUGUCGCCACCACCACUUAUGGGCCAGAUCAUGGGAUAUGUCCCUCAGAAUGUACCACAGGGAGGACAGCUGAGACCUUCAGUUCAGGGCACGGUGUACGCUAUCACACAGGGUCAGGUAGAAGCUGUGCCUGACGUGAUCACAUGUAUGGUUUCACUAAAUGAUCAUCCUGCUUAUGCUUUGUUUGAUCCAGGAGCAACUCAUUCCUUCAUUGCCGAGCAAUAUGUUAAGUUGAUAAAAGUCAGUCCUAUAUUAUUAGAGUCGGCAAUUUGCAUAUCUACACCGUUAAAGGAUAAAAUUAUUGCUGCUUUGGGUUGUUCUGGGUGCAAGUUAAAGAUUGGUGAGCGAGAGAGGAAAAUUGAUCUGUUAGUCCUAGCCAUGUGUGAUUUUGAUUUAAUUAUUGGCAUGGACUGGCUCACCAAGCAACGAGCUAAAAUGGAUUGCUAUCGCAAGGCAAUUCAGUUUGACUUGAUAGAGGGUGAAAGCUUCGAGUAUGUCGGAAGUCGAGAAGGACCCUCGAUUGUCCUGAUCUCAUCGCCAGAGGCAACUCAUCUGUUAGACGAGGGUUGCCAAGGUUACCUAGCAACUGUCAUGAAUACGACAGUUGAGAAACUGAAAAUGGAAGACAUUUCAGUCGUGCAAGAAUUUCCAGAUGUCUUUCCAAAGGAAUUGCUAAGACUACCACUAGAGAGAGAAAUCGAAUUCGUAAUUGAGCUAGCAUCGGGAACAAAGCCAAUCUUUAAAGCUCAUUAUCGGAUGACUUUAUUUGAGUUAAAAGAACUAAAGGUGCAGAUGUAGGAGUUAUUGGAUAAGGGAUUUAUUCGUCUCAGUGCAUCACCUUGGGGAGCACUAGUUCUGUUUGUACAGAAGAAAGAUGGUUUGUUGUGCCCGUGCAUUGACUAUCGGCAACUCAAGAAUAAGUAUCCACUCCUAAGAAUCGAUCAGUUGUUCAACCAAUUACAAGGAGCAUCGAUAUUCUUGAAGAUUAACUUGAGAACAUGAUAUCAUCAUCUGAGAAUUAGGAAGGAGGACAUUCCUAAGUCAGCAUUUCGCACUCAGUAUGGUCACUAUGAGUUCACAAUGAUGCCAUUCAGUUUAACAAAUGCUCCAGCUGCUUUCAUGGAUUUGAUGAAUCGAGUAUUCAAGGAAUACCUGGAUCAGUUUGUGAUUGUGUUCAUCAAUGAUAUUCUGGUGUAUUCGAGAAGUGACGAAGAGCACAAAAAUCAUUUGAGAUUAGUACUGUAAAAGUUGAGGGUCCAUCAGUUGUAUGCUAAGUUUAGCAAGUGUCAGUUUUGGCUAACUCGUGUUGCUUUCUUAGGGCAUGUGAUUUUAGACGAAGGAAUUUCAGUGGACCUGAGCAAGAUUGAAGCCGCGAUCAACUGGCCAAGACCGACUACAGUAAUAGAAAUCAUAAGUUUUCUAGGUUUGGCAAGUUAUUACAGAGGGUUUAUGGAAGGGUUCUCAUUUCUAGCAUUGCCACUAACAAAACUCCUAAAGAAAGAAGAAAAUUUUGUGUGGACAGACAAAUGCGAGCAUAGUUUCCAAGAGCUGAAGUAAAAGCUAACUAUCGCACCUGUGUUGACCAUUCCAUCUGGUCCUGGAGGAUUUGAGCUCUACAGUAAUGCGUCAUUCAGAGGGUUGGGUUGUGUGCUGAUGCAACAUGGCAGAGUUGUUGCAUACGCUUCUCGUCAAUUGAAACCUCAUGAGCAAAACUACCCGAUGCAUGACUUAGAACUCGCGGCGAUCAUCUUUGCCUUGAAGAUUUGGAGACAUUGUUUGUGUGGGGAAAGGUUCUAGAUCUCCACGGACCAUCAAAGUCUCAAAUACCUGUUUUCUCAAAAGGAAUUGAACAUGAGACAACGCAGAUGGAUGGAAUUACUGAAAGACUAUGACUGUGAUAUUCUAUAUCACCCUGAGAAGGCGAACAAGGUCGCCGAUGCUUUAAGUCGAAAUUCUUCAAUAGCUCAUAUAUUGAUUAAGGAGUGGAACUUAAUCGAGAGAGCUCGAGAUUCGGUAUUCAAGUUUAAGGUAGGCCACCUUUCGAGUCUUAUGACCACCCUCAAAAUUAAACAGGAUGUCCAGGUCAGAAUCAAGCUACUUCAAUCGACAAAUCUAGAUGUACAGAAAAUUCUACAAGAGGACACUGAGGAAAGAAAUGCUAACUUUCAGAUUCCUGAUGAUGGAACACUAAGGUUCCAAUGACGUUUGAUUGUACUUGACGAUGUGGAGCUUAGAGAAGAUAUUUUAUUUGAAGCGUAUCGCAGUAGUUACAACAUUCAUCUAGGAAGCACUGAGAUGUAUUAGAAUCUGCGCCAAAACUAUUGGUGGUCAGGUAUGAAGACGGACGUCACCCAGCAUGUCGCCAAGUGCCUAACAUGUCAGCAGGUUAAAGCUCAGCAUUGCAAGUUGGGAGGACUUCUGCAACCUCUCGCGAUCUCAGAAUGGAAAUGGGAACAUAUCAUGAUGGAUUUCGUGGCCAGAUUACCGAGCAGUCAGAGAGGAAAUGAUUCAAUUUGGGUAGUAGUUGACAAACUAACAAAGUCGGCUCACUUCAUUGCAGUUCGAAAAGACUUGAGUUUGGACAGACACGCAGACCUAUACGUGUGUCAGGUAGUUCGAAUGCAUGGAGUGUCGGUUACAAUAACCUCAAUUAGAGACCCGAGGUUUACUGUCGCUUUUUUGAAGAGCCUUUAGAGUGCUCUAGGUACAAAACUUCAGUACAAUAUGGCGUAUCAUCCUCUGAUAGAUGGCCAGUCCAAGAGGACAAUUUAGACCUGCGAGGACAUGCUGAGAGCUUGUGUAAUAGACUUCAAAGGAAGUUGGGAAAAUCAGCUUCAUCUGGUGGAAUUUGCCUACAACAAUAAUUAUCAACAGAGCAUCAAGAUGGCUCCUUUUGAAACGUUGUAUGGCAGAGCGUGCAGAACACCAGUAUGUUGGGAUGAAGUUGGGGAAAGGAAGAUUAUAGGCCCAGAGUUAGUCUAGCAGUCAAUGGAUGCCAUGGCAGUAAUCAGAGGCAGAUUAAAGACUGCACAGAGCAAACAUAAAAGUUAUGUAGAUAAGCAUUGAAGGCUUUUGGAAUUCCAAGUAGAUGAUCACGUUUUUCUAAACGUGUCACCAAUGAGAUGAACUUUGCACUUCGAAAAGAAUAAAAAGACCGAGUCCGAGGUACGUAGGUCCAUUUGAGAUUCUUGAGAGAAUCGGGACUUUAGUGUAUCGUCUUGCGUUGCCACCGAGAUUGGCGCAAGUGUACGAUGUCUUUCACGUGUCGAUGUUAAGGAAAUAUGAGCCUGACCCGACCCACAUACUCAAUUUUGAAGAAUUGUACGUGGAUGACUAAGUGUCAUACGUUGAAAGCCCAGUUUAGAUUGUCGACAGAAAGGAACAAGUUUUGCGUACAAAGACCAUCCCGUUGGUCAAAGUAGUCUGGUAACACCACGGUGCUGAAGGAGCAACAUGGGAGACUGAAGAGUCGAUGAGACAGUUGUACCUCCACCUUUUUGGUAUCUCCACCUUUUUGAUUAAGUUUUGUAAAGGUUUAAAUUUCGAGGACGAAAUUUUUAUAAAAAGGGAAGAGUUGUGACAUCCCAGAUUUUCAGUCCUAUUAUCUACUGAAUAAAUUGGACAUUUCAUUAACGCGUUUAUAGGGCUGUUCUCAAAGCUUAUUACUCUCAAGAUAACUAGACUAUAUGGGGAAACCAUUAAGGAACCUUAAUGCAAUAGACUUGAGAAUUCGAUCAGGAAUCAGCUUCUCAACCGUGCUCAUCUUCAGAGGCCAUUACGGCAUAGUUAAAAAUUGAUUUGGAAUUAGAGAUAGGUUGGUUAGACUGAGAUGUGUGGCUAAUCGUGGGUGAUACUAUUAAAUUGAAAAAUUCUCGUUGACUGGCACUAGAUUGAUUUUCUUAUUGUUUUGGUACCAUGUGCCUGUAUUUGAAUCAUCGAGAUUUUCACAACAACUGAGAGUCGCCAAUGAGUCGAAUGGGUUCAUUGUGGCUCGAAGAAAAUCGACCACGAUUCAUUUGCACUAAAAAUUUCUGAAAGUUACUUGGUAGCUUAGGUCACGCUAAAAAUGUGCCGAAUGGAAAUUAAAAUCGAAUUUAAGUUUAAUUUCAGAAAUUGAAGAUUUUUUCAUGUCACAAUAAGUUCUAGGAGUAUCGACUCAGUCUCAAAAGAUAUUUCUACAACCCGAGACUUUUUGGGAAAAAGUCGUCAUAGGACCGUUUUUGUUCAAAAAAUGUCAGGGAUCGUUUUUUAUUGCAAAUUUGGGAAGCAUGAUGGAUAUAUGGGUGAGGAAAAAAUAUCAAGGGGAGCAUUGAGGUGCCAAUUGAAUUUAUUGAAGCCAAUUGGGAUUGGAUUAAACUAGAACAAGUGUUCAAUUGGAAGGGAAUCCAAACCAAUUUCGUAGCCCCCCAUCCACCACCACUUUUGGACCUCCUCAAACUUCUAAAAGAGGGUAAUUUGGCCUAGAAUUGUUGGGUGCACACCAGCUGGUGAUGAGAGGCCAAAUGGAUGAGGUGAGACCAGUCAAGGGGACCAAAACCGGUCCCACUUGCUGAACCGGUCCCCUCCCUCCUUCAAGCGCUCGAGCAACUCCUUUUCCCAUCUCCAUUGAUACUACUUGAAGUCCAGAUGUCCAAAGGAGAAGCCAGAGCAAGCCCAUCGCUACCAAGACCGCCUGCAUCGUCGCCAUCGCACAUCAUCCUCCCGCGAGAGCCGCUCGCACGCCGUCGUGCCUUGCUGCGCCUCUCGCCGUUUAGCAGCUCCUACCUGUGCAUCGAGCAAGCUACUGUGGUCAUCCAAGCCCUCGCCGAAGUCCACCGGAGCUCCUACGGCCGCUGAUUACCUCGCCAAACAGUCCACCGGUCCACCGUCGCCAACACCACUCUGAACCAACUUCAUCUUCUUGGUUUUGCAGCUCAAAACAACAAGCAGGAAAAUGGGUUUCCAGCAAGCUUCUCAGCCCGUUUUGAGGUGGUCCUGGGCCUCAAAAGUUAGGCCCGUCUUUGGAAAAGUUGAGCCCUGUCGCGUCCCCGACGAUUUGAUUCAAUCAAAUCUCGAAACAAGUGAGUUUAACUCACUAAUCCUCACUUAGUAGACUAAUGAUGCUUAGGAGUUGAUUAUAUUUAAUUAAGUGCAAUUAGGUGGAUAGAUUAGAUUAAAAUAAUUAAAGCUUUAAUUUAUUCAAGCUUUAAUUUGUGCUGAAAUGAAUUAAUGGUGAUUUUGGAUUAUUUUCCUAAAUUAAUUAAUUCUGGUAAUUAAUUGGAAAAUAACCAGGCAUCGGUUGACAGUGCCAAAAAUGUUUUGAUGGACUAUAGAAAAUGUUGGGAUCUGUGAAAAGUGAAAUUAUUGUAUUUUGGCUAAGGCCAAUCGUGUACUCACACACGGCUAUUUUUAUCGGGUAUGAUAAAAAUGACAAAUUGAUUAUACAUUCGGAAUGGCAUAUUAUACUGGCUUAAUGACUCUAUAUGUCAUCUUGGAGAAAGAACGGUCUAUUGAAAAAUGGUAAAUUGAUGUACAAUUUGAAUGUUAUAUAAUACCGGCUCGGUGACUCUACAUGUCAUUUUAGAAAAAGGACGGUAUGCAAUGUCGGCUCGGUGACUCAACAUGUCAUCUUGGAUAAUGGACGACAUUUAUAUAAUACCGGCUCAGUGACUCUACAUGUCAUUUUGGAGAAAGGACGGUAUGCAAUGCCGGCUCAGUAUUCUAUAGGUCAUUUUGGAGAAAGAACGACAUGCCAUAACGGCUUGGUGACUCAACAUGUCAUUUUGGAGAAUGGAAAUUAUGAUGAAUAUACUCGAUGACUUAGUAUGUCAUUUCGGAGAAUGAAUCGUAUAAUAUACUGGCUUGGUAACUUAAUAGGUUAUCUUGGAGAAUGGACAAUAUUGAUUGAAAUGACUGGGAAAUGGUCGAAUUGACAUGUAAUCGACUAGGUCGAUUGAUCGAUAGUUCGAUUUGAUUGGGUGAAUUGAUGUGGUUUGUGUAUAUUUGCAAUAUACUGACUUGUAGGAAGGAAACAAAGGCCAAGGUAAGUCCUCUGACUCGUAUUGUGCUUAGGCAGCCUUUAAAGUGCAUUGGUUUCCCAAUCGGGUCUUAGAAUGGUAGAACUCGCUGAGACAUUAUCUUACUGAUUAUUGUAUAACCAUUUUCUAGCCCCUAGUUGACAGCAGUGGAGGACUCGAGGCCCGAAGUUUUGAAGGUGAAGCUUGGAGAUCGGUGAUCUAGUCAGACUAGUUAGUCAUAGGAUGAUUCUAUUGUGUUGAAAGCCGAUCUCUUUUUAUAGGCUUUUGUGUAUAAACCUAUUUGUUUAUAAAAGGCUAUUUUGGUUGGAAAAGUUUUAAGCCUUACUUUCCUAUCCUAUUGUUUUAUUGUCUAGGGAUUUUCUAUAUGCUUCCACAUGCAUAUUAAAACGAAAGGGCCGGCGAUGCGUUCUGGGACGUCGCUAUUAUAUCGACCAGGUAAGGGAAUGGUGCGUGCCCGAGGAUCAGUGCAUAACACGUCAUCAUGGAUCGACACACGCAAGGACUAUAGAUGCAACAUUUGAAUUCACAAAAAUAAUGCGAUGUUUACUUACUCACUAUGCUUAAAUUUUAAAAUCACUCUCUUGUAAUUUGGUAUAAUUAUGAAUAUGACCAUCGUCUCUUUUCCAUAAUUGAACCACUUAAUGAAUGAACAUACUGAUCUCAACGAAAAAGGCAAUACGAUAAUUUCUCAACCAAUUGUCUAUUGAUGUGGGUCUCGAUUAGAAAUUCACUUCCUUCAUCAUUCUUGACACAUGCAAAGACUAUAGGUGUAAUAUUCGGAUGCACAAAAAUAAACUAAUACGUACUUAUUCCCUGUCAAUUGAAAUAUUAUUCUUGUGGAUCAGUCAAUCACUUGCCUAUAAAAUAAUCUCAUCUUUUUUCUCAGAAUAAAUCGAACUGACCUAUUACAAUAUCCAAUUGAAACGUGCCACAUCACUCACUAAGUAAAUUUUUAUACGAUCCCUCAGUAGAGCUAACAUUUAAGAAAAGGAUGAGGAUGAAGAAAGAAACCAAGAAAGAACUCGGAAAGUGAGCUUUCGGGAAUCAUGGUGUCUGCACCUACCCUUUGGUAUCCAAAACCUAAGUAGCAAAACUCGAAACUUGUUGGUGGCGAGAGUUUAUAAUAAGAGAUGGUGAAUCCCUCGACCAUCAUGUUGUGGAGGUCCUUAUAUGGUGAGCUCACACGAUUAUACCGAUCCUUUUUCCACCCUAGGAUAUAAUGCGGUAUUAAAGCCUCUAUGGUUAUGGUGUAAGUAUCCUUGAUGUCCCCUACUCGGAGAUCAAACCCAUGUACAGCGUAUGAGUACACCUUCAUUUGGGAAAAAAAUAGGGAGCAUAUCGGAAGGAUAUGCUCUCUCAAUACAGUGUUCAGUUUUGACUUACGAAGUAGAAGCAAGGGCUGUGAGCACUUCAUGAAGACCGUCUGAUAUGCUCCCUCAAUACAUGGUUCAGUAUUGACUUACGAAGUAGAAGCAAGGGGCUAUGAGCACUUCGUGAAGACCACCGGUACAGCUAACGAACCGUAUGGAUCAUUAUCGCUAAAGUUGGAGAGCACCAAUGAGUAAUGAGGGAGGGAUGAGCAAUUACUUUUUUGUAGUCCAUCGUCCACCACCGUGAUUUCGCUAUCGAACAAACAUUGCGAAGAUUGUAACGGCGGUGAAUUGAUUUCACAUUAUAUUGGUUGGCAUAUAGAUAUAGAACAAUGUGAUUAUAUUCAUAAGCUAGCUUAUGUUCAUAGCGGUCGCAUCCUUUGGGUUGCCUUUCAAUCGAAAGUGAUAGCGUAUGUCACGAACGUUGCGCAGAUGAAGUGGCAGACAAGUGAUUCUUCUACAUACCGCAACUCGUCCCAAGUAGCAGUGGAACAUACAAUAUGAAAAGCAAAACACUGAACAUGCUUAUGGAGCUCAGAGACUUAAUCGUCUCUCUAUUGUUUGAUCCAAUGCAAUGAAAGUUUUCGCUAAUUGGUAAUGCGAUGGAGGCCUAGUAAUAUGAAUGAAAAGAGCCUAGAGUCCUCAGUCAUUCAAAGUCUAAGUCAACCAAUAAAGCAAAGUCUAGUGAAGAAAAAGUGGAAAUCGCGUGGAAAUUGCAGUCCUUGCGGUCAAGGUGUCAAAAUACGGUGGUGGAAUUAUUUAUGCAUAGCUUUCACAUUCAUUAAAAAAAAAACUUCUCUACAGUUUCCAAAUUGAAUCAAAAUCCUUUCAAGUGAGGCAAUGACGUUCUAUUUUCUUUUCAAGACUAAUAUUCCAUAAGGGUCUCUUGGUUAAAUUGUGAAGACAAAAAGGAAAAAGAUGUCAUAUUUCAUCAUCUAAGUUUUUUAAUUUUGACAAAAAAAUAGAAAUUUGUAACAAAAAUAGACUAUGACCAAGAAUAUAACUUGUAUAAUGUCACUUUUGGCAAAAGUAAAAGAAAAAUAAGAAAUAAGUGCUUCUUGGAUGGUGAAAACACGUUAUGAAAGAAAGAAAUACGAUAAUUCUAGUGGUGGACCGAUGUGCCCUGACUAGAAUCUCACUAACUUCGUCGUCACGCAAACAUUAUACAUGCAAAUUUCCAAGUCCACCAUCAACACAAAGUCUAGCGAAGAAAAAGUGGGUCUCAUGUGGAAAUUGCAGCCCUUGCGGUCUAGGUGACUAAAACACGGUGUUGGAAUUAUUUAUGGCGUGGCUUUCACGUUGAUUAGAAAAGAAACUUCUCUACAGUUUUCAGAUUUAACUUUUCUUGGCAAAUUGACUCUUUAGGAAUCAAUUUUAGUUCGAUAAAAAAGAAUCGAUUGGAAUGUUUCGUACUCUAAAUUGAAUCAAAAUCCCUUCAAGUGAGGCAUUGGCAUUCAAUUUUAUUUUCAAGGCCAAUAUUCCACGAGUGUUGGUUCGAUAAAUUGUGAAGACGAAAUGGAAAAAAAAAUGUCGUAUUUCACUAUAUAAGCUUUUUCAUUAUUGAAAAAAAAAAAGAAAAAAAAAAGAAAAUUGGUAACAAAGAUAGACAAUAAAAGGGAAUAUUAUCUUGUAUAACAAAAAUAAAAGGAAAAACAAGAGUUAGUGAUUCUUGGAUGGUGUAACAGAUUAUGAAAGAAAGAAAGCAAUUCGAUAAUUUCUAGUGAUGGGAUUGACGCACAUGGACUAGAACCUCAUUAACUUCGUCGUUGUGCAACGACUAUACAUGCAAUAUUCAAGUUCACAAAAAAAAAAAAAAAAGCGAUGUUAACUUAUUCACUAUCAACUUCAAUAUUACAAUCACUCUCCUGUAAUUGUGUUAGAUCUAUGAACAAUAUUGUCAUCUCUAUCGAAACUCCCUUGCUUGGUUUUAUUUAAAAUGGAACCGAAAUGAUAGCUGGGUGUCGUUUUCCCUAAUCCACAAGCAUGCCCAGUUUGAAUGAGCCAUCCUUUUGUCGAUUUUGAGCGUCAAUUGCUGUUCCUUUUUGAGUCUGGACACAAGCUAGAGUCUAGAAUGGAGGACCAUUCUCAUGUGGAAUUUCACGACCACUAAAGAGAUUAAGUUUGUUAAUUUUUUCCAUUAUCUACUUUUUUAGCAUAUUUUUUUAUGCUACUUUAUUUUGAUAAUAAUAAAACUUAAAAUUUAUACUUCUCUUUCUACGAUCUCUUAACAAAACGCAUUCCUUAUGAACAUUGGUGUCUCGAGGAAUGUUUGCUUAGUAGGAAAACUCAUGUGUAGCGGACAACAGUGAGGAAUAUGAUGCUUGUUCGGGAAGAAUGCAAGGCACCAUCUCAUGUCUUAUCAUCGAGUGAAUGCACAAGUUCUUACUACAUUUAGGGAUUGAGCUUUCGUAAUACAUAAUAUGCUCUAACGUAACAUCACAUGUUCAAUUUCCAUUCAUCAUAAAGGCAAAAUUGUCAGCCUGCUCUGUCUUUACUCUUUGACAUGUGCUAGUUAUUCAUCAGUUAGGAUUGGACCCAUCCCGUGACAUGAGGACCAAGUCAGAGAUAGCUUGAGCAGGUAGCUGUCUUCCUGUCUUCGAUGUGGGUGAUCAAACAGAGGUCGAAGGGUGGGGAUGAGAGGUUUUGAUGGAAAUAAGAGAGAUUCAUUGCUCAAAAUGCAAACAUUGACACGGAGAAAAAAUUACCUUGUUAUACCAAGACAAUUCACAUGAAACAAAAAUUGAAUGAAUGCCAUACAACAUUCAUCGUCAUUUAUAAAAUAUGGACAUAACAAGUCUACUAAAAAACACUACUGCCAUAUGAAAAACAUGUAAAAGCUUCACAGAUUACAUUUUGAAUGAUGAUACAUGUUGAUAGUACUAUUGAUAAUUUUUGCAUCUCAUUAUAGGGAAACAAUCACACAAUACCUGAUUUCAUAAACUCAUGGUCACGGUAAAAUUGGGAACUACUAGAAACUAUCGGAGUACUUGAUGAAGAUGAGACUGUUUCAAGUUCUAUCUCAGCAUCAACAUCAUCAAUGGGUGCCUCUCUCGGAUACAAAAGUGGUUUUGGAGGCAGUUGCAAUUUAUCCAUAUCUCCUUCAAGCAUAUUUAGGACUUUCCUCAUUGAUGGCCGAUCAUUAGGGCUCAAUUGUAUACACCAUAGUGCAACAAUUAUCAUCUUCCUCGUUGUUUCUCUUUCCUCUUCUAUGACAUCUACCCUUUCAAGUUCAUUUUCUUUGCUGAGUUGAUCAUAAACCCACAAAGGAAAGUAAAUUUGACUCGAACGCUCUGCAUGUGCAUUUAUAUUUCUCCUUCUACCAGCCAUUUCCAUUAAUAACAUCCCAAAACUAUAAACAUCAGCUUUGUAAGAAAUGCCACCAAUGUCUUUAUAGAAUAGCUCAUGAGCCAUAUAACCUAAGGUUCCUCUUGCUGUAGUCAGCAAUACUAUACUGCGAUCAGUGGGAUAAAGUGUUGCAAGUCCAAAGUCAGAAACUUUCGGAGUGAAACUUCGGUCUAGGAGAAUGUUGUGAGGCUUGAUGUCAAAAUGUAGAAUUUGCACAUCACAUCCCCGAUGUAGAUACUCUAUCCCUCUAGCUAUGCCAAGAGAGAUCUCAUACAUUUUCUUAUAAUCAAGAGGAUCAUCACCAUCCUUAUAAGAAAUGUGUUUAUCCAAAGAUCCAUUCGGCAUGAAAUCAUAGACAAGAGCUUGUUUGGAGUAUUCGAAGCAAAAACCAACAAGUUGCACCACAUUAACGUGGUGGAUCCUUCCAAUUGUGCGCACUUCACUUAUAAAAUCUUGGCCAUUACAUUUUGGUUUGUUCAAAAUCUUAACCGCAACUUCAUUGCCACUUCUAAGUAUUCCUCUAUAUACGGAACCAUAUCCCCCUUCACCUAACUUGCUUUUGAAAUUUUUUGUGAUCCUCCUGAUAUCCGAGUAAGAGUACCUUAUGGGCAACAAGUUAUUGUGAGCUUGUAGGAAUUGUUCGAUGUUUGCAUCAGUCGCUUGAUGCCUUCUCAUCCACUUCAAGAUUAGAAAUAUCAACACACAUGGAGCUCCGAGUAUAAAUUUUGCUGCUGAGAAGAAGACUGCAAAGAAAUUUGGCCAUUGAUUAGCAUAAUGUGAUAAUUGUUUUUACACAUACAAUUUUUGUUUUUCAGAGUACUGAAUGAGAGCUUCAUAGAUGUGAAGAGAAAAGGACUUAUCAUACCCAAGACAAAGAAGAGAUUCAUUACGGCAAUUCGACCAAAAUCGUUCAUGAUAUACCGCGUAGAAUCAUCUGUAGAUAGUAAGAGAAUUCGUGAGAGAUUACUAGAUAUGGUUAAUUAUAAUUAACGACCAAUCAAUAAAGAACUAGAUCCAUUUUUUUAGCAGUUAAAUAAUAAAACCAAUUCACGUUGAGAUAUACCCCAAGUGAAGGAUAACUUCAUACAGUCACUGCAAAAUGCAAAGACACACUUUUGUUAAUUGAAAUUUGCAAAUGGAGAAGUCUAGAAUAAAAAAAAAAGAGUGAACGAGUUUCACUUUUCUAGAUAACGCUUAGAUCCAACUUUAUUCUCUUCACUCAUGAAAUCCAUGUUAUCAUUGCAUGAUCUUUUCUUUUGAAGAAACACAUUUUCGCUUUUAUUCUCCUAAAUGUACCAAAUGUACAUAAGUUCCCCAUAACAAUAACAUCGAUCCAAGGGACACAAGCUACAAUCAAAUCAAACAAUUUCCCCAAAAAAAAAAGGCCUAAUUCCCUAAAAAAAAACCCUCAAGUUCUAGUCCAAUUUUGGCCCGAACCUUUUUUGUCUAAGAAAAAAAACCUCAAACUUUAGGUACAAUCCCAGAUUUGCCUUGAAUUUUGUUUUGUUUAAAAAAAUCACCAAAUUUUAAUAUAUUCCAAAAUUUACCCCCAUGGUCCAGUCCCAAUUUGGCAUGACAUUUCCACAUCGAUAACAACUCCACUUCUGUAAGGUGACAUGGAAAAUUAUUUCCAAAAUGAAACCGUUCUAAGAUAUGAAAAUUAGGGACGACUAACGGUAAUUUUUGGUCAAAAGGCUGAUGGGGUAAAUUUGCAAUUAGAGUAAAAUUUGGUGCUUUUUUUUUUAGACUAAAAAAAAGUCAGAUAUAGAUUUAGUUAUGGCCUAAAGUUUGAGGUUUUUUCAAGAUAAAGAAAAGUUCUAGGCAAAUUUGGAUUGGACUUAAAGUUUAGGGUUUUUUUUAGACAAAAAAAGUUCGGAGCAGAAUUGGGAGUAAACUUAAAUUUGUGGUUUUUUUUUAGUGAAUAAGGCCCAAAAAAUAAAAAUAAAGAAAGAGUUUCAAGUCCAAAAAAGCUUCACAUAUGUAAAAUAAAAGAGCAAUGCCCGCAAAAUCUACUAAAAAAUCUUACUGAACUAUUUCACUAAACGGAUGUGGCAAUUUUUUUAUUGGGUCUUAAAGAAAGUAAUGACUCAAUAAAUCGAACCAACGUAUUACAAUAUCCAAUAGAAACAUGCCACAUUACUCAGUAAGUAAAUUUUGAUAAGAUCCCUCAGUAGUAACAUUUGAGAAAAGGAUGAGGAUGAAGAAGAAGAAGAAAAAGAAAAAGAAAGAAAGUAAGAGAGUAAAGGAAGAAAAGCUUCAGAGAAAGUCAGCUUACAGGAGUAAUAUGGUUCGCACCACACCACUAGGUACAUAAUCACGCAAAGUUGGAAAAUUACCGGCGGAGACGGCAAAGACGGCGAGGACCGCGGAGAUGGCGAGGAUGGCGAGGACGGCGGGGACGGCAGGGAUGGUGGAGACGACGUAGAUGAGGUAGACGGCGAAGAUGGCGUAGAGGACGUAAACAGUGAAGAUGGUGAAGAUGGGGAAGAUAGUAGACUCUGUAGACGUCGAAGACGGCAUAGACGGCCAAGACAGCGAAGACAGCGAAGAUGGCCAAGACAGCCAAGACAGCCAAGACAGCCAAGAAGGAGGUUCUGUAUAAUUGAGAACGAAUCCUUCAGCCAUCAUGUUGUGGAGGUCCUCAUACAGUGGGCUCACACGAUUAUACUGAUCCAUUUUCGUCGUCGGGUUAUAACUCGAGAAGAAAGUCAUCAUGGUUAUGUUGCAAGAAUCCUCGAUGUCCCCAUAUGUUAGAAACCCAUACAUAGCAUAUGAGUACACCUUCAUUUGGGAAAUAUUAGGGGGCAUAUCAGAAGGGUAUGCUCCCUCAAUACAUGGUUCAGUAUCGAUAUACCAAGCAGAAGCAACGGGCUGUAAGCACCGCACGAAGACCACCGGCACAAAUAACAAACCAUAUAGAUAAAUAUCAAUAAAGUCGGAUCUCGCCAAUGAGUAUAGAUCAUUAUCAAUAAAGUCGGAUCUCGCCAAUGAGUAACGAGGGAGGGAUGAGCAAUUACUUCUUUGCAGUCCAUCGUCAACCACCGUGAUAUUACCAGAGAAACGAUAUCCUAGAUCAUUCUCAUAUUAAAUCGACUUCACAUAAUAUCGACCAGCAUACAAAUAUAGAACAGUGCGAUUAUAUUCACAGGCUAGCUCAUACUUAGAGAGGCCGCAAUCUUUCGGGUCGUCUUUCAAUCGAAAAGGAUAGUGUAUAUCACGAAUAUCGCCGCAAGAUGAAGGGGCGCACGAGUGAUUAUUCUUCACACCACAACUCGUCCCCGGUAGCAGCAGAACAUGCAAUAUGAAAAGCAAAACACGGAACAUGCUCAUGAAACUCAGAGACUUAAUCGUCUCUCUAUCGUUUGAUAUGAUGUAAUGAAAGUUUUUGCUAAUUGGUAAUGCGAUGGAGGCCUAGUUAUACGAAUGAAAAGUGUCGGGUCAUCGGUCAUACAAAUGUCCAAGUCAACCAAUAAAGGCAAGUCUAGUGAAGAAAAAGUGUGUAUCACAUGGAAAUUGCAACCCUUACGGUCUAGGUGACAAAAUACGGUGUUGGAAUUAUUUAUGCAGGGCUUUCACAUUGAUUAGAAAAGAAACUUCUCUGCAGUUUCUAAAUUGACUUUUCUUAGUACCAUAAAUAAGAAUCGAUUUGAAUGUUUUGUAUUCUAAAAUGAAUAAAAAAUCCUUUCAAGUGAGGCAUUGGCAUUCUAUUUUCUUUUCAAGGCUAAUAUUCCAUUAAUGUCGCUUAUUAAAUUGUGAAGAAAAAAAGGAAAUAUAUAUAUAUAUAUAUAUAUCGUAUUUUAUUGUAUGAGCUUUUUCAUUUUUUAACAAAUAACAAAAACUGGUAACAAAAAUAGCUUAUUGACCAGAAUAUUAACUUGUAUAAUGUCGCUUUUGGCAAAAGUAAAAGGAAUAUAUGGAGUAAGUGCUUCUUGGAUGGUGGAACAAGUUAUGAAAUAAAGAAAGCAAUACAAUAAUUGCUAUCGAGGGAUCAACACACCUGGAAAGCAAUACAAUAAUUGUUAUCGAGGGACCAACGCACCACAAUAAUUGCUAUCGAGGGACCGACGCACCUAGAAAGCAAUACAAUAAUUGCUAUCGAGGGACCAAUGCACCACAAUAAUUGCUAUCGAGGGACCGACGCACCACAAUAAUUGCUAUCAAGGGACCAAUGCACCUAGAAAGCAAUACAAUAAUUGCUAUCGAGGGACCAACGCACCUUGACUAGAACCUCACUAAUUUCGUCGUCACGCAAAGACUAUAGAUGCAAAAUUUGACUUCAGAAAUAUAAAGCAACGUUUAUUUAUUUACUGUCAACUUUAAUAUUUCAAUCACUCUCCCACAAUUGUGCUAGAUCUAUGAACAAUACUAUCAUCUCUUUCAAUUAAUAGAACCACUUAAUGAUUGAACUGAUCAAUUUCAAUAAUACUAUCAUUUUAUCAAACGAAACGAAUGUUGUUGCCCGCUUCAUGAUCAUCUUCCAUAUCUGAAUGUGUGGAAUUAAAGGUGUCAUGUAAGCUCAAAUGAGACUAUCAGUCAAUUUACCAUUGUGAACAUAACAUCAAAGAGUUUUGCAUAGCAAUUCUUCUCGGCGAAAUAGAAGCGCCUUCAAAUAGUUGUAAUUAGCACUUACCAUAUAUUUUCUCAAGCUAAUGCAUACCCCUAAGUAUAACUGAAGAGAUUGAAAUGGAUUUUCCAUAUAAUACAACAAAGUUUAUAUUUUUACUGAUUACGUUUUUAUUUUUCUUUUUAUUGCAUAUUACCCUUUCUCGAAAUAGGUUCGUUCUGCGAGCAUCUCCACAGCAAUGAUACUUUAGUUGCUUUCUAUCAUCAUUAAAUAUUCAGCAAUGAUUAGUCAAAAUUUUAAGUAGAAAAUCUCUCGGUAAAAGUAUCCUAUAUCUCUUGCACGUACACCAAAAGAUUUGGACAUACAUUAUGCAAAUUGAUGUAUCAACUAUCAAUUCAUUCAGUGCCAUAAUAUACUAUAGAAAAAUAAUAAUCUAUUUCGUAGUGUUGGAUUUUUCAUUUUUGACAAAAAUGAAAUUUGUAACUAAAAAGAUUAAUAACGACACUGAAAACUCGAGAAAAGAAUAAAGACCAUACAAUAAUUUCUCAACCAGCAAUAGAUGGACGCGAGCCUUAAUUCGAAAGUCACUUGCUUCGUCAUGGCCGACCCGCGUGAAGACUAUAGGUGCAAUAUUCGCAUUCAUAAAAAAAAAAGCAAUACGUGCUUUUUCACUAGCAAUUGAAAGUAUUAUUCUUGUAAAUCAAUCACUCACUCUCCUGUGAAAUAACCCCAUCUCUUUCCCACAAUAAAACCAAAUGAACUGACAGAUCUCAACAAUAACGUCGUCUUAUCAAACAAAAGAUGUUGUUACCUGCUUCAUAAUCAUUUUCCAUCUCUGAAUGUGUGGGUAUUGCAAGUGUCAUGUAAGCUCAAAUGGGACUACAAGGAAGAGUGCUACCAUUUUCAUUCUCUGUUGACAGCUGCUUGAAUCUGCUCAAGACUCCUCCCUUUCGUUUCAGGGACCUCCGUGAUCACGAACACCAUCCCAACGGCGUUAAUCACCGCAUAAAGAAGGAAGGUACCUGUGAAGCAAGCGAACAGAGUUCUUUGCUUUCGACAAGUUUUUCGGAAGCAUAUUCUGACAUUUUUCUCAUGGGAAGAAUGCUUUAGUAUGUAUUACCUGUCUGUUAAUCAUUCUGCAGAAAAACCCACUUAACUUUUUUCUUUUUUAAAUGAUAUGUCGGCUCAAUUUUCGUGAUAUUUGAAUCUAGGCAGAAGUUGUUGUAAACGCGUUGAUUGAAAUAAAUGGUCUAAAUAUGCAUUCGAGAGCAUGAAGGACGGAGCAACAGAUACCUCCAGCUCCAAAUAGGAUUGAAAUGUUCAGGAAAAGCUAAGUCUCAAGUCUGUAGUUUAGUCGAAUUCGCGCAACAACUCAUGUUCCAAUGUGAAAAAUAUUUAUCGAGCUCCUGCCAGAGUAACAGUUCAAAGAGUAUUUUUAGCAGAGUCGUACCGUAGGAGCUCCAGCUCAUUAAGGGUGCGUUUGGGAACCACUUUUGGGGAAAGUCUUUAGGAAAAUACAAAGACCUUUGACUUAAAGGUGUUUUUCAAAAUGCAAACCGUGUUUGGUAAAUUGUACUUUGAAAGCUCCUUGUGAAGUGCUUUGAGCAAAAUAGUGUUUGGGGAAUUACAUUUACAAAGGAGUUUUGUGGUAAAAAAAAUUAUUAAAAGAAAAAUUAAAAAAAAUGACUGGCAAGGACAGCGGCCGUCGGCGACCUCCGGCCACCCCAGAUCUGGGGUGGCGAGGUUGCGCGACGCUGUUGCGACCUCCAGCAACCCCGGAUGUGGGGCGGCAAGGUCGCGCGCGUCGCGCGACUCGGCCUCGACCUUUGGCGACCCCGGAUCCGGGGCGGUGAGGUCGUACGCGUCGCGCAACGCCGCCUCGACCUUCGGCGACCUAGGUCCGAGGCGUCGAGGUCGUGGGAGGACCUCGCCGCCCCAGAUCUGGGUCGCGACGGGGUCACGCGACGCCACCGCGACCCAGAUCAAGGGGCAGCGAGGUCGCGUGACCCAGAUUUGGUCGCCGCUCGAGCCUCCGAAACCAGAUCUGGUCGCGACCACCAGACCUGCGACCAGAUGGGUCGCGCAGCCCCGGCGAGCUUCGUACGGAGGUCACGGUGCGGCAAGCGACGGUCGUCGGCAACGCCACAACUCGCGGAGGUUGCCUGACUCUCCGACAACGAUCGCCUAGGUCGUGGCGUCCCUGUAGUAGUCGUCAACCCGAAGAAGAUGAAUAGUGUUUCUCCAAGGACACGAAUCGGAAAACAAAAAAUUCAUGAGGACAAUUUUGGAAAAAAAAAAGUGAACAGUAGAGCGAGGGCAUGCCGAGAAAGCUGAAAGCCCAAGGCAGGUCCUCCCCUACCUUGGGCUUUCAGCCUUAAAAAUACUUGCUUUGCCUUUAAGUCCCUUCCAAAGUUGGUUGCCAAACACUCUUAUUUUGGCCCAAGGGGCUUUGGACCCCUAAAGAGCUUUGGGAAGUGGUUCCCAAACGCACCCUAAGUAGUUGAAAGUGUAGGAAACUGCCGAAGCGCCGAACCAGUUCACUAGUGUUGCGAAACCUCCAGCUACUCCUUUGAUAUUAAUGGGGAAAAUCUGAACUCCAGCACACAUUACAUGAUUGGCAAAAGAAUUUUCAAACUCUUGUACUAAUAACACCAGUUACAAAAACAACCCUUUAAUUUGAUAAGCAUGAAACUUCGGGGGAUGUUUAGGAUUACCUCGGACAUCACGACCCAAGGAACUGCGCUCAUUCCAGCUGAAAAUGCUGCUAUGUAUAGCUGAGCAUUGGAAAAAACAGAACAGAAAAAUUUAUACGAGGGAGUUGUUGCGGGGGCCAACUGGAUAGAGCCAGAAAGAGAUCAAGGCAGUUGAGAUUAUUACCAGAAUGCCAGUGACGGCAAGUAUUGGGACAGCAUCAGCUGCCAGAUCGAACCUGGCUCGGAAGAUCCUCAAAAAAUUACUGGUUGACAAGCAUUGCAAAGCAGAAGGAAGAUACUAGGACUGAUAGUAAUUACCUUUAGAAAGAAUGAAAGGGCAGUUACUAUGCAUCCCAGGACCGAUCCUGUCCCCGAGAUCUGCGAUUAAGAGAGAGAGAGAGAGAAAUAGAGAAGGUUAUGGGUCAAGUUGCAGAACUUGCAAAAGGGCAGAACCAGAAAAGCUGUGUUACUAUAGACAUGAUUUCUUAGCUUUCAUCUAUUUUACCAAGAGAAGGGGCUUUCUUCCAGCUCCAUCGACCAGUGCAGCGCCAAUAGCCGUGACAAUAACCUGCAAAAAUUUACUCUUUAAGCGUGACGAGUAUAAAACUAGAUCCCCAGCAAAGAGGAAAGGGCAAUAAUUACAGACCUGGAGGAUUGCAUAAGUUAUGGUUCCAACGCUGGAGGAGAAACCUGAGGAGAUUGUACAAAUGCAAUUAUAAAGGCGAGACUAAUACCUUGCUUGUGAGAUUCAACACUAAAUUAUGUGAACAGCUCAUUCAGUGAUAAUUAAGUAGACCAAAAGCAUUCGACAUUGCGAAUUUUACUAACCCAUUUGAAUAUUAACUGGAUUAUAUAAAUUGGAACCCCUGCUUUGCUUUUUAUUUAGCUUUUCGUUCUGGAAUCUUAAAAUGCAAAGCAUACUUUCAUUUUUGUGGUGCCCAAGAGCUUCUUGCUAUGAACUGCAUACCUGCUUCCUCAAAAAUAUUGCUUGUAUAGAAACAGACACCAUUUAUCCCUCCGAACUGCUGGACGACCAUCAAUCCAACACCAAUCUGGCCAAAAUUUAACAAAUUUGUCAGCAAAAAGAACAACAAUGGGAAAUAUCACCAAAAGUACAACUACUGCAUAUUCCCGAUCCACAAGGCAUUCCAAGAAAGCAACGAAGGAGGGACUUUAUUGAAUACAUAGCAGUAAAUACAGAGAGAAGAUUACGAUGACAGAGCUCAGAUAUCUUCUCUGAAAUAAAUCGAGAAUGCUGGCUUUCGGGAGCAGUUGAAGAGUUUCGAUGUAGUCCUGUCAAGAAAAACAAAUUCGAUCAUUCCGUCAGCUAUUCGUACUUAUAAAGUUGAGGCACUAAGAUGAAACGAGUAUAGACUUAAAGCCCUUUACUUGUAUUUCAGCAGCCUCUUCAGAAAUAUCCGCAUCCUUUCCACGGAGUUUCUGCAGCGCGGCUUCAAACUCCUUUUCGUGGCCCGUUUUCGCCUGCAUUUGGCAGAAUCCUAAAAUUAAUUCCAACACUACAAAUCCCUCUCUUCCUACAAUUCAGAUAAGAAGAGUCUGGUGUUCAUCUUGAUUUGUUACCAGCCAUCUAGGAGACUCUGGAAUGAAAAACAGGCCGAACAGUAGGACUGCACAGGGGAUUAGACCUGCAUAAACCACAGAUGUUCACGGUGGUUUCAGACUUGGACUUUUCUGUGCAACAUUGGCACUAAACUUGAAUUAUGCUACUUUUUCUGUUUUACCAAUUAAUGCCAAAACCCUCCAAGCUAAUACUGUCCCGAUUAUGAAGGAAACGGACACUCCAGCAACGAUCAUAAGCUGUGGAGAGAAGAGAACAUGUUAGGCCUAGUAGGUUCUGUAGGAUGUACAUAUAUACACCAUCUUGCACUUGCAAAAGGGCAAAAUUUGCUACAAGCUAAGGCCUUUUGCCAAUAGCUCCAUGCUUGCAAUUUUAACCAAGAAUGUUCAUACAAAAUCUUUGCCUGAUUGACAGCAGUCAAAGCUCCACGGAGAUUCUUGGGUGUAAUUUCAACUAUAAAUAUCAGUACCUGGACAUAAAUUAGAAAAAGAUUAACCAAUCUAAACCGAAGAGAGAUCUUCAUGCUGUCACUGUGAAUCAAGUCCAGCACGUUGUCGUAGAACAACUUGCUACAUCAAAUUUGUGNNNNNNNNNNNNNNNNNNNNNNNNNNNNNNNNNNNNNNNNNNNNNNNNNNNNNNNNNNNNNNNNNNNNNNNNNNNNNNNNNNNNNNNNNNNNNNNNNNNNCGAUAUCCAGAGCAAGUUGUCCCUAAUUCACUCAAAAUUAAACAGAACAGAGAGUUGAUGAGACUUGAAGUUCUUAUCCAACUAAUCGAUCUUCACCUAUGAUGAGGCUUGUAAAUAGGAUAUGGACACACCUCAGCAAAGUAAAUAGCAAGCCAGCCUGCUACACAAAGAGCGCUCGCUAUUCUCACUGUCUGCAUUUUGAGGCAAAUGUUUAUGCUGUCACGUCCUCCUUCCAUGAUAUGACUAAAUCCCAAAGCUAAAACUCUCAAAGAGUCUUGAACAACACUGUUCUGUUUUACAUUGUGAACGACGCACUCAUUUGCUGCUUACCCAUUUACGGCCAACAAAAUCAGCAAUUGGUCCUCCCAUAAUUGCACCAAUCAUUGCACCGAAUGUCAGUAUGGAUCCAAAGACUGAAUACUGUUCAAAGACACAUAAAGAGUAACUGCAAAUCAGCUUGAGUUCAGUGAGAGAAAGAAAUUCAGUUACCAUCUAGUUAACAAUGCUAUAAGUCACCGAAUGUCCGAGAAUCUCAGUGGAAAGCUAUUCUGAACAAACCUAUCACUUCGAUCAGAUACCUGAAUGAUAUGCAGUCGCAAUUUUCAGCUGACGAUACCCAAUCUAAAUCUCCCCAUUUUUGGUUUUCUUGUCCUGAGGUGUCCAACAAUGGAACUCUAUGCGAAAAUUCGGUAUACAUUUCACUCGUUACAAUGCAGAAAGAAUAAGAUGUCUAGAGAAAGAAGUAUCUCUACCUCAAAGCCAACAUCCUUAUUUGAGAGAGUCUUGUUUAUAAAGGUUUUGAUCAUAUAACUCGUCCAUAUUAUGGACCCGGAAUAUGAGCAGAUCGUUACUUUGAUUUUCUUGUAUAUGGGCGCCUUCAGUGACAAGUCCAAUAUUGAAUCGAAGCAACGAACAAAGACAACAUGACAUGUGCUUCUCAACACUCGCAGGUAAACUCGACAUACCUCAGCUGUAGAGAGACUAAGUUCCUCCACUAUAGCAUCCUGAGUUGGUGAUGAAUAACCUGCCUGAAAAUCCAAUGAAACAAUUUCUCAUUAGAUUCAAUUAAUAACAUCCUUUUCAUUUUAACCAUUACUACUGGACCUGGACUAAUAAAUAUUUAAAUAAUCAAUUUCGAAAAAUAAAUAAAUAAUUAUAAAAAUCCAAUUUAGGCUCAUAAUGCCGAAUUGGAUACCGAGACAAGCCCAGAAAAUUACCGAGACUCGUUCCAUAAAUAACAUGGCAUGUCUACUUGCUAAUGUCUAUUUCUAACCACCUAACAUGCAUCAUUAAGUCUCUAAUUUAAUUGAUCUAAACUAAUCUAACCACCUAAUCGCAUUUAAUUAAAUCUAACCAACCUUAAGUAUAAUUAGCAAACUAAGAAAGCUUUAGUGAGUAAAACUCACUUGACAAAAACAGAGAUCGAAUCACCGCGACGACAAUGCGACGGUGGCUGAAAUUGGACAUUCGACAACACCAGCGGACUUGGACCGGGCCUUAAGCUUGGCCCAACAAAUCUUAGCCCAAAUGAGAUUUGUCCUUGCACUGGAAUGGGCUUGCUCUUGGACUUGGGUCUAGCCGCGAUUGGGCUUCAAAAACUGGGCUUGAAGACUACAAUUGCUUAAAACUGGGCCUUGCUUAAUUGGGCUUGCGAAAUUCACUUGGGCUUCAAUUGAGCUGCAACUUCAUGGGCUUCAAUUUACGGGUUGCUUGACUGACCUUCACGGAUUUUCUAGGCCCACUUGAGCUAAGAUGGCUAACGACUUGGGCUACUGGACAUCUCGAAGAUUGCUGUGCCGAGAAGUUUCUUCGCUGGACUAAGAUUCGUUGGACUGCUGGCCUUGAUCGGUGGUGUUGGCAGCUGCUCGGUUGAAGCUGGAUUCGUGACUUGCGGGUGUCGAGCUUAGGGAAACGAGGGCGACGCGGAUGUUGCUGAUGUUAGGGGCAGGCGCGGCCAAGUGGCAGCAAGGCACGGCCACUCGGUCAAAGUAGAAAUCUCGGUGGGCUCGUUGUUGACCGAAGCAAGUGGAGCCGUUGCUGGCGUGCACUGGCCGCGUGGAUGCUUGGAGCAGCUUCGUGGACGAUCAAUCUUCAAUGAAGCGGAAGAAAGAGAGCUUCGGUGGAGCUACUGCAGGGGUCUUCGCUGGCGGACGAGGCGUGGGCUUCAAGCGGUAAAUCAACGACUUCGCUGGUUCAUUUGUUGACCGAAGCAGAAGGAGAAGCAAGCAAGUGGCAGCGGCGGUGAGGAGAGACCACGAUCCUGGUCUUCGGUUUUGGAGAACUUUGACCGAACAGCUUGAAGAUUCGGCAGCUUGGAGGAAAAGAUCGAUGGGCUUUGAGCAGCUUCGACCGUGGGGGUGAGGGAGAGCAGAAAUGGAGAGAGAGAUGAGUAGAUGGUGUGAGGGACUCGCUCAAGAAAAGCGGCAGAGAGAGAGAGAGGAUUGUGAUGAGAGGUGAGGGCCCCUUAAGCUUGAUAUUUUGCAAAUAUCUUCCAAAGAUCAUUAUAGGCCAUGUAUAAUUACUUGGUCUUCAAUGAUCCAACAUGACCCCCUCUUCUAAAAGCCAAAAUGGUCCAAAUGUUGUGGCUAGGUGGGGGUACACGAAUUUGGGGGAGAUGGCUUAAAUUGCACAACCAUUCUCUCUUGAUUCCAUCUCAAUUUGAUUCUCACAAAUUCAAUUGAUCAUUCAUUGAUCGUCUCUACAUUUUUCCUCAUUCAAGAAUCCACCAAAAAUCCAAAUUGAUACCAAUGUUGCACACCCCCAUCUUAAGAUUCAAUUUUUAACUAAGUGCGAACUAAAUUUCAAUUCCAAUCUCUCCAAAUUGAGGUCCAAUUUUGAUGUAGAAAAAUCCCAAGAAAUUUUCUAUAAAUCUCCGACACACACAGGCUCAACCCGAAAGUCAAAUUUCCCAUUAAUUUAGCCAAUCUGAACUUCGGCCAAAUUUCCGCGACGUCCGAACCCAAUUUCCGUAAAAUUUCCCGAAUCUCCGAAAAAUCUUCUGAGACUGAGUCGAUGCUCCUAAAAUUUAUUGUGACAUGGCCAAAACUUCAAUUUCUGAAAUCGGACUCGAAUUAGCGGUUAAUUUUCAUUCGGCGUGUUUUUAGCGUGACCUAGACUAUCGGGUAGUUUUCAGAACUUUUUAAGGCAAAUGACCCGUGGUCGAUUUUCUUCGAGCCACUAUGAACCCACUCGACUCAAUGGCGACUCUUGAUUGUCGUGAAAAUCUCGAGGAUUCAAUUACGGACACAGGGUACCAAAACAAUAAGAAAAUCAGUCUAGUGUCGGCCGACGAGAAUUUUCUAAUUCAGUGAUGUCACCCACAAUUAGUCACAUAUCUCUGUCAAUCCAGUCUAUCUCUGAUUUCAAAUCGAUUUUUAACUGUGCCGUAAUGACCUCUAAAGAUGGACACGGUCGAGAAGCCGAUUCUUGAUCGAAUUCUCAAGUUUAUUAAUAAUUUUCCCAGAUAAUCUAGUUAUCACGAGAGUGAUCGGCUCUGAGAAUAACCCUAUAGACGCGUCAAUAAAAUGCCCGAUUUAUUCAGUUGAAGACAAGGUUGAAAAUUUGGGAUGUCACAAAAAACAUGUAAAAGCUUCACAAAUUACAAUUUGAAUGAUGAUACAUGUUAAUAGUACUAUUUAUAACUUUUGCAUCUCAUGAUAGGGAAAUAAUCACACAAUACAUGAUUUCAUAAACUCAUGGUCAUGGAAAAAUUGGAAACUGCUAGAAACUAUUGGAGUACUUGGCGAAGAUGAGAUUGUUUCAAGUUCUAUCUCAACAUCAACAUCAUCAACGGGUGCCUCUCUUGGAUACAAAAGUGGUUUUGGAGGCAGUUGCAGUUUAUCCGUAUCUCCUUCAAGCAUAUCUAGAACUUUCCUCAUCGACGGCCGAUCAUUAGGGCUCAAUUGUAUACACCACAACGCAACGAUUAUCAUCUUCCUCGUUGUUUCUCUUUCCUCUUCUAUGACAUCUACCCUUUCAAGUUCCUUUUCUUUGCCGAGUUGAUCAUAAACCCAUAAAGGAAAGUAAAUUUGACUCGAACGCUCUGCAUGUGCAUUUAUAUUUCUCCUUCUACCAGCCAUUUCCAUUAAUAACAUCCCAAAACUAUAAACAUCGGCUUUGUAAGAAAUGCCACCAAUGUCCUUAUAGAAUAGCUCAGGAGCCAUAUAACCCAAGGUUCCUCUUGCUACAGUCAGUGAUACUAUACUGCAAUCAGUGGGAUAAAGUCUUGCAAGUCCAAAGUCAGAAACUUUCGGAGUGAAACUUUGGUCUAGGAGAAUGUUGUGAGGCUUGAUGUCAAAAUGCAGAAUUUGCAUAUCACAUCCCCGAUGUAGAUACUCUAUCCCUCUAGCUAUGCCAAGAGAGAUCUCAUACAUUUUCUUAUAAUCAAGAGGAUCAUCACCAUCCUUAUAAGAAAUGUGUUUAUCCAAAGAUCCAUUCGGCAUGAAAUCAUAGACAAGAGCUUGUUUGGAGUAAUCGAAGCAAAAACCAACAAGUUGCACCACAUUAACAUGGUGGAUCCUUCCAAUUGUGGCCACUUCACUCAUAAAAUCUUGGCCAUUAGAUUUUGAUUUGUUCAAAAUCUUAACCGCAACUUCAUUGCCACUUCUAAGUAUUCCUCUAUAUACGGAACCAUAUCCCCCCUCACCUAACUUGCAUUUGAAAUUUUUUGUGAGCCUCUUGAUGUCCGAGUAAGAGUACCUUAUGGGCAAAAAGUUAUUGUGAACUUGUAGGAAUUCUUCAAUGUUUGCAUCGGUUGCUUGAUGCCUUCUCAUCCACUUCAAGAUUAGAAAUAUCAACACACAGGGAGCUCCGAGCAUGAAUUUUGCUGCUAGGAAGUGGACUGCAGAGAAAUUUGGCCAUCGAUUAGCAUAGUGUGAUAAUUUUUUUUACACACAAUUUUUGUUUGUCAGAGUGCUGAAUGAGAGCUUCAUAGGUGUGAAGAGAAAAGGACUUAUCAUACCCAAGACAAAGGAGAGAUUCCUUACGGCAAUUGGACCAAAAUCGUUCAUGAUAUACCACGUAGAAUCAUCUGUAGAUAGUAAGAGUAUUCGUGAGAGAUUACUAGAUAUGGUUAAUUAGAAUUAACGACCAAUCAAUAAAGAACUAGAUUCAUUGUUUUAGCAGUUAAAUAAAUAAAAGCAAUUCACGUUAAGAUAUACCCAAGUGAAGGAUAACUUCAUACAGUCACUGCAAAGUGCAAAAACACACUUUUGUUAAUUGAAAUUUGCAAGUGGAGAAGUCCAGAAUAAAUAUAUAAAAAAUGAACGAGUUUCACUUUUGUAGAUAACACUUAGAUCCAACUUUAUUCUAUUCACUCAUGAAAUCCAUGUUAUCGUUGCAUGAUCUUUUCUUUUGAAGAAACACGUUUUCGCUUUUAUUCUCCUAAAUGUACCAAAUGUUCAUAAGUUCCUCAUAACAAUAACAUCGAUUCAAGGGACAAGCUACGAUCAAAUCAAACAAUUUUCCCCAAAAAAGGCCUAAUUCCCUAAAAAACCCUAAAGUUCUAGUCCAAUUUUGGCCCAAACCUUUUUUGUCUCAAAAGAAACCCCAAACUUUAGGUACAAUCUUAAAUUUGCCUUGAAUUUUGUUUUGUUUAAAAAAAAUCACCAACUUUUAAUAUAUUCCAAAAUUUACCCCCAUGGUCUAGUCCCAAUUUGACAUGAUAUUUCCACAUUGAUAACAACUCCACUUCAGUAAGGUGAUAUGGAAAAUUAUUCCAAAAUGAAACCGUNNNNNNNNNNNNNNNNNNNNNNNNNNNNNNNNNNNNNNNNNNNNNNNNNNNNNNNNNNNNNNNNNNNNNNNNNNNNNNNNNNNNNNNNNNNNNNNNNNNNNNNNNNNNNNNNNNNNNNNNNNNNNNNNNNNNNNNNNNNNNNNNNNNNNNNNNNNNNNNNNNNNNNNNNNNNNNNNNNNNNNNNNNNNNNNNNNNNNNNNNNNNNNNNNNNNNNNNNNNNNNNNNNNNNNNNNNNNNNNNNNNNNNNNNNNNNNNNNNNNNNNNNNNNNNNNNNNNNNNNNNNNNNNNNNNNNNNNNNNNNNNNNNNNNNNNNNNNNNNNNNNNNNNNNNNNNNNNNNNNNNNNNNNNNNNNNNNNNNNNNNNNNNNNNNNNNNNNNNNNNNNNNNNNNNNNNNNNNNNNNNNNNNNNNCCUUCAGCCAUCAUGUUGUGGAGGUCCUUAUACGUUGGUCUCACACAAUUAUAAGAGUCCCUUUCCCACAUCAGGUUAUAACCCGAGAAGUCAGUCAUCAAGGUUAUGUUGCAAGAAAUCAAGGUUAUGUUGCAAGAAUCCUUGAUGUCCCCUACUUUUCGAUCAAACCCAUACAUAGCGUAUGAGUACACCUUCAUUUGGGAAAUAUUACGGGGCGUAUCGGAAGGGUAUGCUCCCUCAAUACAUGGUUCAGUAUUGAUAUACAAAGGAGAAGCAAUAGGCUGUGAGCACUUCAUGAAGACCACCAUCGCAGAAUAUGGAAGAUAAUAAGGGUACUGAUCACUCAAGCUGGAGCUCGCCAAUGAGAAAUGAGGGACGGAUGAGCAAUUACUUUUUUGCAGUCCAUCAUCAACAAUCGUGAUAUUAUGAGAUAAAUAAUUUUUGGAAUUAUUGCCAUAGUAAAUCGACUUCACAUAAUAUCGACAGGCAUACAAAUAUAGAACGGUGCGAUUAUUUUCACAAUCUAGCUCAUACUCAGAGCGGCCGCAGCCUUUCAGGUCACCUUUCAAUCGAAAAGGAUAGUGUAUGUCACGAACCUCACCGCAAGAUGAAGCGACACACAAGUGAUUCUUCUCCGCACUGUAACUCAUCCUCAGUAGCAGUAGAACAUGCAAUAUGAAAAACAAAACACGGAACAUGCUCAUGGAGCUCAAAAACUUAAUCGUCUCUCUAUCGUUUGAUAUGAUGCAACGAAGGUUUUUGCUAAUUGGUAAUACGAUGGAGGCCUAGUUAUAUGAAUGAAAAGCAUCGGGAGUCAUUGGUCAUACAAAUGUCCAAGUCAACCAAUAAAGGCAAGUCUACUGAAGAAAAGAGGAAGUGGGUAUCAAUUGGAAAUUUUCAAGGUGUCAAAACACGGUGUUGGAAUUAUUUAUGCUUAGCUUUCACAUUGAUUAAAAAAGAAAAUUCUUUGUAGUUUUUAGAUUGAAUCAAAAUCCUUUCGAGUGAGGCAUUGACGUUAUAUUUUCUUUUCGAGAUUAAUAUUCCAUAGGUGUUGCUUCGUUAAAUGAAGACAAAAAGGGAAAAGAUGUCGUAUUUCAUCGUCUAGGCUUUUUUAUUUUUGACAAAAAACAGAAAUUGGUAACAAAAAUAGACUAUUAACAAAAAUAUGAAUUUGUAUUAUGUCGCUUUUGGAAAAAGUAAAAGGAAAAUAAAAAGUAAGUGCUUCUUGGAUGAUGUGACACAUUAUGAAUGAAAGAAAACAAUAUGAUAAUUUCUAGCAAUGGACCAACACACCUUGAUUAGAACCUCACUAACUUGGUCAUCACGCAAAGUCUAUAGAUGCAAAUUUCCAAAUCAACCAUUAACACAAAGUCUAGCAAAGGAAAAUUGGGUCUCACGUGGAAAUUGCAGCCCUUGUAGUCAAGGUGACAAAAACACGUUGUUGGAAUUAUUUUUGGAGAAAAGAAACUUCUCUACAGUUUUCAAAUUUGACUUUUCUUGGCAAAUUGACUCUUUAGGAAUCAAUUUUAGUUCCGUCCAAAAAGAAUUGAUUGGAAUGUUAUGUACUCUAUAUUGAAUCAAAAUCCUUUCAAAGUGAGGCAUUGGCGUUCAAUUUUCUUUUCAAGGCCAAUAUUCCACGUGUGUCACUUCGAUAAAUUGUGAAGACGAAAAGGAAAAAAAAUGGUCAUAUUUCACCAUAUAAGCUUUUUCAAUACUAAAAAAAAAAUAGAAUUAGUAACAAAAAUAGACUAUUAAUGGGAACAUUAACUUGUAUAAAAUAAUGUCACUGUUUACAAAAAUAAAAGGAAAAAUAGGAGUUAGUGCUUCUUGGAUGAUGUAACAAGUUAUGAAAGAAAAAAAGAAAUUCGAUAAUUUCUGGCGAUGGAAUCGAUGCGCAUUAACUAAAACCUCACCAACUUUGUCGCGGCACAAAGACUAUACAUCCAAUAUUUGAGUUCACAAAAGAAAAGAAAAGAAAAAAAGACGUUUACUUAUCCACUGUCAACUUCAUUAUUACAAUCUCUCUUCCGUAAUCGUGCUAGAUCUAUGAACAAUAUUGUCAUCUCUUUCCCAGAAUAGAACCACUUAAUAGUGAACUAAUCGAUUACUCUUGUUCUAUCAAAUGAAAAAGAAUGUUUUUACCUGUUGUUGACACAUAAAUUCUUCCAUUUUUAUUUAUGACUUAAUCAUAUAGAAAAUUAAGGAUUAGUCUAAAAAAGUAGUAAAAAAGUAAAUAAUUUUCAUUAAAAUGCAUCGUGUUUUCAUUAAAUUGCAUUGCUUAUGACAUUAGGAACACUUACAUUACUAGCACUAAAAAAUAAACAAAAAAUUAAAAACGCAGCCGGGACGGGCUAAGCCCGUCCCCUCCUUCUUUUCCCUUUUCAUUUUCCCCCCGCACGGCCCAUCUCUCUUCUUCCGCGGCCCAGCUCACUGUUCCUCUUUCUUCCUCCUCCCUCCCUCGCUUGGACGCUAGCUUCAGAACAAAACAGAGAGAUGGUCACUGACCAAAGGACGCAAGGACGCGAGGCUGCGCGCGAUGUUCGCCCAGGAAUGUCGUGCGGUACGAAGCCAGCUGGUCUCGUCCUUGAAGAAAGAAAGAGAAAUGAGAUAAAUGGAUGGGAAAGGCAGCAAAGGGAGGGGGGUCUCUCUGGUUUUUUUGGGUUUGUUCGGCUGAGGAAGGGCAACCGAGAAUGAGUGGAGGGAUGGACUGAGAGAAAGCGAGACCCAGAAGCCGAACUUCAUUCUUGGACAAGCAUUGCCUGGCCAUCCCCAACAUAAAUCGACGAUCUCUAACCAACACCCUCGAGCCCGCGGCUACCUAUUCCCCGACGCCUUAAUUCCCGGUGAGUUUUCUUUGGGUUUGAUUCACUUGUAUCCCGAUGAUCCUGGCUCGGUGCCACAUCGAGGCGGCCGACCAUAGCUCGUUUCACUUCAGGCUCACCUCCUGGCCGUCGUCGCCAAGCCGAGUAGGGAUAUUCGCGGUCAAUCACUUCUCUCUGGGAACUCCAUGCUUGGUUUUAUUUAAAACGGAACCGAAAUGAUAGCUAGGUCUCGUUUCCCUGGUCCUCAAGCAUGCUCGGUUUGAAUGAGCAAUCCCUUUUGUCGAGUUUGAGUGUCACUUGUUGUUCUCUUUUGAGUCUGGACACGAGCUAGUGUCUAGAAUGGGUUUACAGAAGCGGCGGCGACCGACGACGGGUGACGGCGGCAACGGUGGCAACCGACAACUAACGGCGGCAGCAGCAGCGACGGCAACGACCGACGGACGGUGGUCGGUGACAACGGAUGAAGAACUAGUUGACAAACAAUGAGAAAAUUUUUAUUUCUCAUUUCUGUUCCAGAAAUAAAGAAGUAGAAAAUUUCUACUUCUGAUUUAUAUUCCAAACCUAUUUCUGGAAUAGAAGUCUAUUCCAGAAAUAGAAAAACGGAAUAAGUUUAUCAAAGAGAUUUCUAUUCCAGAAACAGGUUUGGAAUAGAAAAAUUGUUUCUAGAAUAGAAAUAGGCAGUUGUCAUGCACCCCUUAUGUCAUCCCUAACAGGUGCAUAAUUUGAGCUCCCAAGUGCAGGUGUACUCACUGGUCGCACAACUUACUUGCCAGUAUGAAUUGUUUUGCAAAGUUGAUGAAUGCUGAACGUCUUAUAUUAUUGAUAGAGUGUUAUCAAGCCCAUCAUAUCCGAGUGGGAGAUGUUGUAAUUAAACAAUACGUCCAUGAUGGGGUGCGAUUGGAACGCACCGUUUCGUCUUGAUAUGUUACGAUGGAAAGACACUAUUGAAAGGGUAUGAAGGGAGAUGUAUAAAAGCCUCUUGAAGACAACCGUUGAUGGUAAUUGUUGGUAGAAUGUACGCUCAGAGAGAACGUAUGCUCCUUUUCUCUCUCCCUUUCCAUCAAGGCGUUCCAUUUCGUCUUUAGGAGAACAAUUUGCAUUUACGCCGUGGAAAUCGAGUGCUUUCCUCGUGAUUGCAUUCAGACCAACGUGAGAUAGUUUUGUUCGUGAUUCAUCCGCAAUUCAAUGUUCGUUUCGAGAUUAAUUGUUGUUUGCGCAUCGAAAUCAGGUAAGUCGUCUUCUGCCAAUUUGAAUUCCAACAAGUUCAAAGAGUGUUUUCAGCAGAGUCUUACCAUUGGAGAUUGUACAAAUGCGAUUAUAAAAUCGAGUUGAUCAUAAACCCACAAAGGAAAAUAAAUUUGACUCGAAUGAUGUGCAUGUGCAUUUAGAUUUCUCCUUCUACCAGUCAUUUCCAUUAAUAGCAUCCCAAAACUAUAAACAUCAACUUUGUAAGAAAUGCCACCAAUGUCUUUAUAGAAUAGCUCAAGAGCCAUAUAAACCAUGGUUCCUCUUGCUGCAGUCAACGAUACUAUACUGUAAUCGGUGGGAUAAAGUCUUGCAAGUCCAAAGUCAGAAACUUACGGAGUGAAACUUCGGUCUAGGAGAAUGUUGUGAGGCUUAAUGUCAAAAUGUAGAAUUUGCAUAUCACAUCCCCGAUGUAGAUACUCUAUCCCUCUAGCUAUGCCAAGAGAGAUCUCAUACAUUUUCUUAUAAUCAAGAGGAUCAUCACCAUCCAUAUAGAAAAUGUGUUUAUCCAAAGAUCCAUUUGGAAUGAAAUCAUAGACAAGAGUUUGUUUGGAGUAAUCGAAGCAAAAAACAAGUUGCACCACAUUAAUGUGGUGGAUCCUUCCAAUUGUGGCCACUUCGCUUAUAAAAUCUUGGCCAUUAGAUUUUGAUUCGUUCAAAAUCUUAACCAUAACUUCAUUGCCACUUCUAAGUAUUCAUUUGUAUACAGAACCAUAUCCCCCCUCACCUAACUUGCAUUUGAAAUUUUUUGUGAUUCUCUUGAUAUCCGAGUAAGAGUACCUUAUGGGCAAAAAGUUAUUGUGAGCUCUAUGGGCAAAAAGUUAUUGUGAGCUCGUAGGAAUUCUUCAAUGUUUGCGUCAGUCGCUAGAUGCCUUCUCAUCCACUUUAAGAUUAGAAGCAUCAACACACACGGAGCUCCAAGUAAGAAUUUUGCUGCUACGAAUUGGACUGUGGAGAAAUUUGGCCUUUGAUUAGCAUAGUGUCAUAAUUUUUUUUACACAUACAAUUUUUGUUUGUCAGACUGCUGAAUGAGAGCUUCAUAGGUGUGAAGAGAAAAUGACUUACCAUACCAAAGACAAAGAAGAGAUUCCAUGCGGCAAUUCCAGCAAAACCGCCCAUGAUAUACUGUGUAGAAUCAUAUGUAGCUAGUUAGAGAAUUCGUGAGAGAUUACUAAAUAUGGUUAAUUAGAAUUAAAGACCAAUCAGUGAAGAAGCAAUUCACGCUAAGAUAUACUCCAAGUGAAGAUAAAUUCAUGCAAUCACUGCAAAGUGCAAAGACACACUUUUGUUCAUUGAAAUUUGCAACUAUAGAAGUCUAGAAUAAAAAAAAGAGUGAACGAGUUUCACUUUUCUAGAUAGCGCCCAAAUCCGACUUUAUCCUAUUCACUCAUGAAAUCCAUGUUAACGUUGCAUGAUCUUUUCUUUUGAAGAAACAUGUUUUUGCUUUUGUUCUCCUAAAUGUACCAAAUGUUCACAAAUUCCCCAUAACAAUAAAAGCGAUUCAAGGGACGCGAGCUACUAUUAAAUCGAACAAUUUUCCCCCAAAAAAGACCUAAUUCCCUGAAAAACCCUUCAUUACUAGUCCAAUUUUAGCCUGAACUUUUUUGUCUAAGAAAAAACCCUAAACUUUAGGUACAGUCCCAAAUUUGCCUCAAAUUUUGUUUUGUUUUAAAAAAUCACCAACUUUUAAUAUAUUCCCAAACCUACCCCCACGGUCCAAUCCUAACUUGACGUGGCAUUUCCACAUCAUUAACAAAUCCGCUUCAGUAAAGUGACAUGGAAAAUUAUUUUCAAAAUGAAGCUAUUCUAAGAUAUGAAAAUUAGGGAAGACUAACAGCGAUUUUUGGACUGAGGGCUAAUGGGUAGAUUGGGAUUAGAGUAAAAAUUGGUGUUUUUUCUUUUAGACAAAAAAAAGUUCAAGCUAGGUUUGGGAUUAGGCCUAAAGUUUGAGAUUUUUUCUGGACAAAGAAAAUAUUGAGGGAAAUUGGGCUAGACCUAAGUUUAGGUUUUUUUGAUAAAAAAGAGUUUGAAACAAAAUUUGGACUAAAUCUAAAGUUGGACUUUUUUUUAGUGAAUAAGGCCCUAAAAAAUAUAUAGAAAUAGUGUCACGUCCAAAAAAGCUCCACAGUUGUAAACUAAAGGAGCAAUACACGCCAAUUCUACUAAAAAAAUCUUACUGAACUUUUUCACCAAACGAAUGUGGCAAUUUUUUUUAUUGGGUAUUAAAGAAAGUGAUGAUUCAAUAAAUUGAACCAAACGUAUUGCAAUAUCCAAUUGAAACAUGCCACAUCACUGAGUAAGUAAAUUUCGAUAAGGUCCCUCAAUAGAGCUAACAUUUAAGAAAAGGAUGAAGAUCAAGAAGAAGAAAGAAACAAAGUAAGAGAGUAAAGAAAGAAAAGGUUUAGGGAAAGUCAGCUUACAGAAGUAAUAUGGGUUGCACCACGCCAUUCGGUAUCUGAAACUUAUCGAGCAAAUCUGGAAUAUUUCCCACGAAUAAGGUUUAUAAUAAAAGAGUUCGAAUCCUUUAGCCAUCAUGUUGUGGAGGUCCUUAUACGGUGGGCUCACAUGUUUAUACCCAUCCACUUCCUGGAUCAAUAAGAAAGUGAUCAUGGUUAUGUUGCAAGAAUCCUUGAUGUCCCGUAGGCCCAUACAAAGCGUAUGAGUAUGCCUUCAUUUGGGAAAAAAUAGGGGGUGUAUCAGAAAGCUAUACUUCCUCAAUACAUGGUUCAAUAUUGAUAGACAAAACGGAAGCAACAGGCUGUGAGCACUUCAUGAAGAACACCGGCUCAGCAAAGGGCGAAAGACCACCACGGUUUGGAGCAUUAGAGCUAAAGUUGGAGCUCACCAAUGAGUGACGAGGGAAGGAUGAGCAAUUACCUUUUUGCAAUUCAUCGUCAACCACUGUGAUUGUACCCGAAAAAUCAUUUAUAUGAUCGAAAGUAGAAUAGUUAAUCAACUUCACAUAAUAUUGACUAGUAUAUAGAUAUAGAAAAGUACAAUUAUUUUCACAAACUAGCUCAUACUCAGAGCGGCCGCAGCGUUUUGGGUCGCCUUUCCAUCGCAAAGGGAUAGUGUAUGUCACGGAUCUCGCUAUAAGAUAAAGCGGCACACAAGUGAUUCUUCUUCAAACCGUAACUCGUCCCCAGUAGCAGCAAAACAUGCCAUAUGAAAAGCAAAGCACGGAACAUGCUCAUAAAGCUCAAAGACUUGAUCGUCUCUAUCGUUUGAUGUGAUGCAAUGGAAGUUUUUGUUAAUUGGUAAUGUGAUGGAGGCCUAGUUACAUGAAUGAAAAGAGUGGGGAGUCGUCGGUGAUACAAAUUUCCAAGUCAACUAAUAAAACAAAGUCUAGCGAAGAAAAAAUGGGUCUUACGUAGAAAUUGCAGCCCUUGCUUUUAUGGUGACAAAACACAAAGUUGGAAUUAGUUAUGCAUAGCUUUCACAUUGAUUAAAAAAGAAACUUCUCUACAGUUUCCAUAUUGACUUUUCUUAGUACCAUUUUAAAAAAAAAAAUCAAUUUGAAACCAAAAGAAAAAAGAAAAAGAGAGAAUCGAUUUGUGUGUCAUGUGCUCUAGAAUGAACAAAAUCCAUUUGAGUGAGGCAUUGGCAUUCUAUUUUCUUUUCAAGGCUACUAUUCCAUAAGUGUCCCUUCGUUAAAUUGUGAAGAUGAAAGGGAAAAAGAUGUCAUAUUUCAUCAUUUAAGCUUUUUAUUUUNNNNNNNNNNNNNNNNNNNNNNNNNNNNNNNNNNNNNNNNNNNNNNNNNNNNNNNNNNNNNNNNNNNNNNNNNNNNNNNNNNNNNNNNNNNNNNNNNNNNCUUUUGGCAAAAGUAAAAGGAAAAUAAGAAAAUAAGUGAUUCUUGAAAGGGGUAACAUGUUGUGAAAGAAAGAAAGUAAUACAACAAUUUCUAGCGGGUGGACUGACACGUCUUGAAUAGAACGUCACUAACUUUGUCAUCACGCAAAGGCUAUAGAUGCAAAUUUCCAAGUCAACCAUCAACACAAAGUCUAGUGAAGAAAAAGUGGGUAACAUGUGGAAAUUGCAGCCCUUGCAGUCAAGGUGACAAAAACAUGGUGUUGGAAUUAUUUAUGGUGUGGCUUUCACAUUGAUUUGAAAAGAAACUUCUUUGUAGUUUUCAGAUUUAACUUUUCUUGGCAAAUUGACUCUUUAGGAAUCAAUUUUACUUCAGUAAAACAAGAAUCGAUUGGAAUGUUAUGUACUCUAAAUUGAAUUAAAAUCCUUUCAAGUGAGGCAUUGGCAUUCAAUUUUAUUUUCAAGGCUAAUAUUCCAGGAGUGUUGGUUCAAUAAAUUGUGAAGAUGAAAAGGAAAAAAAAAAUGUCAUAUUUCAUUGUAUGAGCUUUUUCAUUACUGACAAAAAUAUAGAAUUGGUAACAAAGAUAGACUAUUAAAGGGAAUAUUAACUUGUAUAACAAAAAUAAAAGGAAAAACAGGAGUUAGUGCUUCUUGGAUGGUGUAACACAUGAUGAAAGAAAGAAAGCAAUUCGAUAAUUUCUAUAAUUUCUAGCAAUGGGACCGACGCACAUUGACUAGAACCUCACUAACUUCGUCGUUGCACAAAGACUAUACAUGCAAUAUUCAAUUUCACAAAAAAAGAAUUUAAAAAAAAAUGAUGUUUACUUAUUCACUAUCAACUUCAAUAUUACAAUCACUCUCCCGUAAUUGUGUUAGAUCUAUGAACAAUAUUGUCAUCUCUUUCCGAUAAGAGAACCACUUAAUAAAUGAAUUGAUCUAUUAUUAUCUUUCAAUAAAAUGAAAAAAAAAAAAAAAGGUUUAUGUCUGUUUUUGACAUCUAAAUUUUGCCUUUUUUAUUUAGGACUUAGUCAUAUAUAAAAUUAUGGAUUAGUCUAUAAAAAAAGUAAAAAGUAAAAUAAACAAUUUUCAUUAAAAUGCACCACGUUUUCUUUAAAUUGCAACUCGUAUAGACAUUAGGAACAUUUGCAUUACUAGUAUUAAAAAAAUUGAAAUAAUUUUUUAAAUUAAGAUUAGAAAAAAAUUAACAAAAAAUAAAAAUGCAGCCGGGCCGAGCUAGGGGCCAACCUUAGUCCGGCCACCCCUUUUCCCUUUCUUUUUCCCCCCUUGUGGCCCAGCUUGCUUUUGUUCCUUUUAUUUUACCCGCGCGGCCCACCUUUCUUCUUCCGCGGCCCAGCUUCCUCCUUCCUCCUCCUUCCCUCGCUUGGACGUUAGCUUCGGGACAAAACAGAAAGCGUGUCGCUGGCCGAAGGACGCAAGGACGCGAGGCUGCGCGCAACGUUCGCCCAGGAAUGUCAUGCGGUACGAAGCUAGCUAGUCUCGUCCUUGAAGAAAGAGAGAGAAACGAGAUAAAUGGGAGAGAAAGGCAGCAAAGGGAAGGGGGGCUCUCUCCGGCCUUUUUGGGUUUGUUCUUGUUCGGCUGAGGUAGAGCAACAGAGAGAGAGAGAGAGAGAGAGAGAGAGAGAGAGAGCUGGUGAGAGUGAGAAGGCGAGCUCGAGAGAGAGAAGGAGCGAGCCAGAUAAGAGAGGAAAGAGAGGCGACUGUGUUCUCGAGUUCUUCCGGGGAGGGUGGAGAUAGCGAGAGCAACAGAGAGAGUGAGAUACGACAGAGUGAGCGGAGGGUGAAGCGGAGAGAGAAUCGAGAGUGAGCGGAGGGAUGGACUGAGAAAAAGCGAGAACUAGGAACCGAAUCUCGUUCUCGGACAAGCGUUACCCGGCUAUCCCCAACAUAAACCGGCGAUCUCCAGCGAACACCCUCGAGCCCGCGUCUACCUAUUCCCCGACGCCCGAAUUCCGGGUGAGUUUUUUUUUUUUUUUGGGUUCAAUCCCCUUUUAUCUCGAUGAUCCUGGCUCAGUGCAACAUCGAGGCGGCCGACCAGAGCUCGUUUCGCUUUGGGCUCACCUUCUGGCUGUCAUAGCCAAGCCGAGUAGAGAUAUUCUCGGUCAACCACUUCUCUCUGGGAACUCCGUUGCUUGGUUUUAUUUAAAACGGAAACGAAACAAUAGCUGGGUCUCGUUUUCCCUGGUCCACGAGCAUGCUUGGUUUGAACGAGCAGCCCCUUUUGUUAAGUUUGAGUGUCUUCUCUUUUGAGUCUGGACACGAGCUAGAGUCUAGAAUGGGUUUACGACCUCUCCAUAAUCCGUGCUCAUCGCAUGCCUGAUAUAAUGCAUCAGUUUUGUUUGUCUCCGUGAAGGCAUACCAUAGAUCUGUUUGACAUAUUUUCAUCACUUGAGAUGUCGUAGGACGAGCUCGACACCAAAGUGGAGGUUCAUCGGUAUGCCAUGUCAUUUUUAGUCGAACGCCUAAGACUUGCUCGAUGAAAUGUUUCUGAGAGAAUUGUUUAAGAAAUGGCUUCUAUUUUCGCUCGAAUGCUAAGGUACCACUUGAUGCAGUUCGUCCGGGGUCAUUAGUUGUUAAGCUCGAUUUUCACGAGCAACGAAGUCACUGCAUCUCUGCAUUUCGUUCGAGACAUGAUGUGUAUCUUUCAUUGAACUUGAUGAGUGGUGGUGGCGGCCUGCAUGAUGGGAGACGUUGGCAGCGAAUUUGGUUUUGCGGUGGUGAGCCAAGAUGGCUUCGUGACGGCCGGCGACGUUGGGUGUUGUCGUCGAUCCGUUUAAAGUUCUGCCGUGGGUCGGUCCGGCGAAAUUCCAGUGUGGAGUUCGUCGGUGUGGGAGGCUUCGGUAAAGGACGUAACAGGGGAGUUGGCACGAAGAAGAAGAAGACGUUGAAAGGGUGAGAGAGAAUAAAAGAAAAUCACGAAAAUAGGCGUGGUGCAAGACGUUCGUGGAAAGAGGAUGGGAAGAUGGGCUUGAUUCCAUUACUAAAAUGGAGGUCUGUUUUAAUAGAGCCCAAUUCAUGUUCCCGGUCCAAGCCCGCAAAGCCCAUAGCAACCCAUGUUCUCACCGGACCUUGGGGCCCAGCCCGAGUCCCUAUUUUCGGAGUUAAUUUUGUAAAAAAAUUUAAGAGAAAACUUUUUUUUUUUCUAAAAAUUAGGAAAAAGCUUAAGAGUUAGUUUUUUAGUAAAUACUCUUAAAAUGUGUUAAAGUCCUUGAUAAGAAAAUUGUGCUCAAGAAUUGAAUAAAUCCUUACAGCUUUACCAUAAGAUUCUAAUUGUCCUUAAAAAUAAAUGCCCUUGAUUAUGCACUUUCAAUGUUGAUUAUGGACUCCCUUUAGCUUAGUUAGAGAUUGCAUGCUCCUUAUUUGGUAAUAUUAGAUCUUUGUGUUCCUAUGCAAUUUAUUUAAUGCUUUCCUUGAUUGUUGAUUGUUAUUUUAAUAAUUUCACACCCACAUUGAUUAUCUCAUAUGUUAGUGGAUAGGUUUAAAAUCAAUCCAAGCUGUCUGACAUUUUUUUUUUUUUUUGUGAAAUGAAAUAGAUUAGAUACCAAAAUGGCAUUUGAUGAAUUAGUGUAAUUAAGUUCUCAACCCUAAAUUCUCUGGUUACGUAGGAAGUGAAGCAUACUCAUAUGUUUUACUUGAUUUUUAGUCGACCCCAGUAGGCUAAUAGCAACUCUUCAUUGAAAAAUUCUCAUAGCAUCAAUUUGAAUAACCAAUGUGAUGCGAUGUAUGAGUUUAGGAGAGCUCACAUUUAAAACUAGGGUCGUAAGCCUAUCUUUUAGGCAAUACCCCUAAACCUAAUUUCUUUACUACCGAAGGGUAGGUCAUGACACCUACUUCAUAAUCAUCUUUCAUCUUUGAAUGUGUGGAAUUAGAGAUGUCAUGCAUUUUUAAAUGAGAUGAUCAGCUGAUUUACCACUAUGAACAUAAUAGUGGAAGGUUUGGAAAAUAUAUUCAUAGAAAUUCUUUUCAAUGAUACAGACGCGCUUUCGAAUAAUUGUAAUUAGCACUUACCAUAUUUUUUUUCUCAAGCUAAUGGGUACCAUUAUAUAUAAUUGAAGAGAUUGAAAUGGAUUUUCCAUAGAGUACAACCAAGUUCAUUUUAAUUGACGCAUCCAAUGACGGUUUAACUGCACAUGUUUAAUUUUUUUAUAGUAAUAUUAUUACUGAUUACAUUUUUCAUAUUCCCCUUUCUAAAAAUUGGUUUGUUGUGCGAGCAUCUCCACACGCGAUAUUACCUUAGUUGCUUUCUAUAUCGUCAUUAAAUAUUCAGCAAUGAUUAGUCAAAUUUUUAAGCGGAAAAUCUCUUGGUCAAAGUAUCCUAAAUUAUCUCUUGCACGUAUUCCAAAACAUUUGGACAUAGAUUAUGCAAAUUGAUGUAUCAACUGUAGGUCCAUUCAGCACCAUAUAAUACUAUAAAAAAAAUGAUAAUGCAUUUUGCAGUGUAACGUUUUUCAAUUUUGACAAAAAUAAAAUUGGAUAAUGAAAAGAUAAAUAACAACACCUGAAGACUAUUAUCGUAUGUCCUAACCUCCAAAAAAAUAUGGAAGUAAUUUAUGUUGCCUUUCAUGAAAAGAAAAAGAAAAAUAAGGAGUAGGUGCUUCUUGCUGCUUGGGCAAUGCAACACAUUACGGGAAAAGAAAGAGGGCCACAUGAUGAUUUCUCAGUCAGAUAUAGACCGGCGCAAUUGAAAUAUUAUUCUCACGGACCAAUCAAUCACUCUCUAGUACAAUAAUCUCAUCUCUUUCCCGCAGUAAGAUUGCUCUAUGAAAGAACUGAAAAAUCUUGAUAAUAAUGUCAUUUUAUUGAACGAAAGAUGCUGUUGCCUGCUUCAAAAUCAUUUUCCAUCUCCGAAUGUGUGGCAUUGGAAGUGUCAUAUAAGCUCAACUGAGACUACAAGGAAGAGCAAUGAGUAAAUAACUUGGAGUGCCACCAUUUUCAUUCUCUGUUGAUGGCUGCUUGAAUGUGCUCAAGACUCCUCCCUUUCGUUUCAGGAACACCAUCCCCGCGGCGUUAAUUGCUGCAUAAAGAAGGAAGGUACCUGUGAAGCAAAGUCAGCAGAGUUAUUGUCUUUUGACAAGAUUUUCGGAUGCAUAUCAACGUUUUUCUCAUGGGAAGAAUGCUCUAUUAUAUACUACCUGUCUAUUAAUAAUUUUGUAGAAAAACGCACUUUUCUUUUCUAAAUGACACUUCGAACAAAUUUCGUGAUAUUCGAAUGUAGGUAGAAGUUGCUAUAAACAUGUUGAUUGCAAUAAAUGGACCGAAUAUGCAUUCGAGAGCGUGAAGAACGGAGUGAUAAACACCUAUACCUCCAAAUAGGAUUGAAGAGUUCAGGAAAAGCUAAGUCUCGAGUCUGAAGUUUGGUUGAAUCCGUGCAAAAACUCACGUUCCAAUGUGACAAAAUGUUUAUCAAGCUCAAUUUGGUUAACUCAUAAAUUUCAUGGUAAAAUUUGAUGAAAACUAACGAAGGGUAAAUGUGUUAUGUGUGUACCAGUUUGCAUUUUUGGUGAUUCAAAAACUAAUUUUUAGUAAAUUUGUUACAUAUGUACUAGUUUGUGAUUUUUCAUUGUAUUAACCCUACGGAUUUCCAUGUGAAUUUGCCACGUUAACUGUCUAUAUCAUUCAACUCAAUAAUUUAAUGAUAAAAUUUCACGGAAGCUAAUGGAGGGAAAAUGUGUCACGUGUGUAUAUGACCCAAAAUUUAGUUAGGGAUAAAUUUGUCACGGUGUAUAAGUUUGGGAUUUUUUCAUGAUAUUAACUCCAUAACCCACCCGGUGGUGAGCGAGUUGGUUAGGGCACACACUGGCCACACAAAAGGCUAGGGUUCGAUUCCCCAACUCGUCACGUUGCGCAACUUAAGUGGGGUGCCGUGGGUGAUGGGUCCCCGUCCUAGUGCUCCCCCGGGUUUACGUUGCCGGCUGCCAACUGUACGGCGGUUCCUGGGUUGCCAAAAAAAAACUCCAUAUUAAAAAUAAGAAUUCAUUUUCCCAAACUCCUUUUCCAUGUGCACACUCACACAGAAUGGAGGACCAUUCUCAUGUGGAAUUUCAUGACCACUAAAGAGAUUAGGUUUGUUAAUUUUUUGCAUUUUCUACUUUUUUAGAAUUUUUUUUUAUUUUUGCUUUAUUUUGAUAAUAAUAAAAAUUAAAAUUUAUACUUCUCCGUUUGCGAUCUCUAAACGAAGUGGAGAUCACGCGUUCCUUAUCAACAUUGGUGUCUCGAGGGAUGUUUGCUUAGUGGAAAAACUCUUGUGCAAGGAACAACAGUGAGGAAUGUAAUGCUUGUUCUAAAUAAUGUAAGGUACCAUCUCAUGUCAUAUCAUCGAGUGAACGCACAAGUUCUUACUGCAUUUAGGGAUUGAGCUUUUGUAAUACAUCAUAUGCUCUAACAUAACACCACAUGUUCAAUUUCCAUUCAACGUAAAGCAAAAUUGUCAGCCUACUUUGUCUUUACUCUUUGACAAGUGCUGAUCGCUCAUCGGUUAGGCUUGGACCCAUCCCGUGACAUGAGGUCCAAGUUGGAGAUAGCUUGAGUAGGUAGCUAUCUUCAACGUAGGUGAUCAAAUAGAGGUCAAAGUAGGGGUGAGCGGUUCCCGGUUCCUUACAGGUUCCACUUAGAACCUAGAACCUACCCUCGGGUACAGGUUCCUCAUUUUUUGGAACCUUGAACCUACCUGUCAAAACCAAGAACCUGGAACCUACCCUGUCACAGGUUCCGGGGUCGGUUCCAGGUUCCAACAGGUUCUUUAUUUAUUUUUUCAUUUUUAGUUAAAAAAAAUUGGAAAUGAAUGCAGCAAUAAUAACGACAUAGCCAUGAAUCCUGCAACCUGAUGCUAGAACACACUUCACAUGCUAAACCGACUUGAAGCUACUGAAGAUGCCCAAUAAACUGAUGAUUACUCUCAUUUAGACAUUGCAGAUAGCAAACCAGUUGGUAGGCGAAUUUGGGCACUUACAUCACUACUGCAUACAUACCACAUAAGUUGAAAUUCCUCAGAAUUGACACAACUAAAAGCUCCCCAAUGUCUAGAAGGACGACCACUAAUAAUCACUACCACACUAUGAGAACAAGCACCGUGACCUCAACAAGCACUGAACAGGAAAAUCAAGUCCAACACAAGCCUAUAAGUCUCAUCUAAAUAAGAAGAUAAGGCCAAUCAUUAGCAGAACCGAUCAAAGGCGCUGAACGUUGAACACAAUGUGUUGUAACAGCGACAAGCUUAACAAGACAUAAAGUUGAAGCAACAUUAAAAUUCACUAAAAUCCCAUCCUUGAUACUAUCAAAACCACAUGAAGCAACGGAAACUACCACAAUUCGUAGAUCAUCGAAUAUAAAAAAUGCUCGUGCUUGAGAGUAACAAAGCAGCAUUGUAUCUAAGCAGCUAUUUGCUUCCUUAAAAGUCUUCAAUUCGCUUAAAAGCCAUAAUCAGAAAAGCAUUGAGAGCUCUCUUUCACAACAACUAAAAAGCUCUAACCCGAAGCAAAAGCACCUCCUCCCAUGAAAACACCUCAAAACCCUAGCUUGGUGCGGCGCCAAUGCCUACACUUCGUGUUGUACCUGAACGAUUUUGACAACAAAAAUUAGGCCACAAAAAAAAAUAAAAAUAAAUAAAAAGACAGCUUUUUUGGGACAAAACGUGAAGGAAUUGGAUAUGAACCUGAUGGUGUUGUCAGUCCGCAUGCAAAUCCAGUGAGGGAUGGGCCUGUUCUGCCUCAUCUUCUUCGCUAGCUUCUUCUUGAUCUGGCGACGGCGAGCAUGUGGUGACGGUGGUGCGACGACGACGAAGGCAUGAGUCUCACAGCACCAACAACGGCAUGAACGGCGCACCAAAGACGGCGACGGUCGCGGCUCAACCCACGGCCAAGGGGGGAAGAGCUCAGUUUGGGUGGAGGUGGUGACAGUUUGGAGCAACGACGAUCCUAACGGCCGAGCAAGCGGCAUCAAGAGAUGGUGACGGUGACUUGGGGACGGCGGCAGUGCCUCACGUCGGCGUGGACGACGAGACAACUUGUCGGGCUCAACAGCGAGAUGGCUCGUCGAACGAGCAGUGGGUGGUGGGGGUUCAGUGGCCAAGAGGUGGUGGUGAGUAGGGCGUGGGGCGGCGGUGUGGUGGUGGGUGAAGCAGCAGUCGACGAGAGGAAGGAAGAAGAAGAAGAGGGGGGGGGUUCGGUUGAGAGAGAGGGAAAGAGAAAAGAGAGAGAGAGAGAGAGAGGAAAAGAAAAAAAGUGGGGGGCAAGAAGUGACGUGAGGAGGAAAAAGGGGAGAAGAGAGAGAGAGAGAGAGAGAGAAAAAAAGAAAGGGAAAGGGGGGAAAAUUGAACAUAAGGGGGGAAAAUCGCGUGGAAGGGAUUAGGGUUUUUUUUUUUUUUUCUUUUUUAACUUGGCCAGUUCCGGUUCCUCAGGUUCCGGUUCCUAUGAGAACCGGAACCGGUCCCCUUAGAACCGGGAACUGAACUGGAACCUCCGGUUCGGUUCUCCGGUUCUCGGUUCUACCUGGGAACCACGCUCACCCCGAGGUCAAAGGGUGGGGAUGAGAGGUUUUGAUGGAAAUGAGAGAUUUGUUGCUCAAAAUGCAAACAUUGACACAAAUAAAAAAUUACCUUAUUAUACCAAGAGGAUUCACAUGAAACAAAAAUUGAAUGAAUGCCAUACAACAUUCAUCGUCAUUUAUAAAAUAUGGACAUAACUCAACUGAUAAAAAAACUAGUGCCAUAAGAAAAAUAUGUAAAAGUUUUACGAAUUACAUUUUAAAUGAUGAUACAUGUUGAUAGUACUAUUUAUAAUUUUUGCAUCUCAUUAUAAGGGAACAAUCACAAAAACAUGAUUUCGUAAACUCAUGGUCAUGCUAAAAUUGAUAACCACUAGAAACUAUCGGAGUACUUAACGAAGAUGAGACUGUUUCAAGUUCUAUCUCAGCGUCAGCAUCAUCAACCGAUGCCUCCAUUGGAUACAAAAGUGGUUUUGGAGGCAGUUGCAAUCUAUCCAUAUCUCCUUCAAGCAUAUCUAGGACUUUCCUCAUCGACGGCCGAUCAUUAGGGCUCAAUUGUAUACACCACAAUGCAAUGAUUAUCAUCUUCCUCGUUGUUUCUCUUUCCUCUUCUAUGGCAUCUACCCUUUCAAGUUCCUUUUCUUUACCAAGUUGAUCAUAAACCCACAAAGGAAAGUAAAUUUGACUCGAACGCUCUGCAUGUGCAUUUAGAUUUCUCCUUCUACCAGCCAUUUCCAUUAAUAACAUCCCAAAACUAUAAACAUAGGCUUUGUAAGAAAUGCCACCAAUGUCUUUAUAGAAUAGCUCAGGAGCCAUAUAACCCAAGGUUCCUCUUGCUGCAGUCAGCGAUACUAUAUUGCGAUCGGUGGGAUAAAGUCUUGCAAGUCCAAAGUCAGAAACUUUCGGAGUGAAACUUUGGUCUAGGAGAAUGUUGUGAGGCUUGAUGUCAAUGUAGAAUUUGCAUAUCACAUCCCCGAUGUAGAUACUCUAUCCCUCUAGCUAUGCCAAGAGAGAUCUCGUACAUUUUCUUAGAAUUAAGAGGAUCAUCACCAUCCUUAUAGGAAAUGUGUUUAUCCAAAGAUCCAUUCAGCAUGAAAUCAUAGACAAGAGCUUGUUUGGAGUAAUUGAAGCAAAAACCAACAAGUUGCACCACAUUAAUGUGGUGGAUCCUUCCAAUUGUGGCCACUUCGCUUAUAAAAUCCUGGCCAUUAGAUUUUGAUUUGUUCAAAAUCUUAACUGCGACUUCAUUGCCACUUCUAAGUAUUCCUCUAUAUACAGAACCAUAUCCCCCUUCACCUAACUUGCAUUUGAAAUUUUUUGUGAUCUUCUUUAUAUCCGAGUAAGAGUACCUUAUUGGCAAAAAGUUGUUGUGAGCUAGUAGGAAUUCUUCGAUAUUUGCAUCGGCCGCCUGAUGCCUUCUCAUCCACUUCAAGAUUAGAAGUAUCAACACACACGGAGCUCCAAGUAUGAAUUUUGCUGCCAGGAAGUGGACUACAGAGAAAUUUGGCCAUUGAUUAGCAUAGUGUAAAAAAAAAAUUUACACAUACAAUUUUUGUUUGUCAAAGUGCUGAAUGAGAGCUUCAUAGGUGUGAAGAGAAAAAUGACUUAUCAUACCCAAGAAAAAGAAGAGAUUCAAUACUGCGACAGGCACAAGACGGAGCGCAAAAAGGUGCAUGUCAUCAGCUGUAGAUAGUAAGAGAAUUCGUGAGAAAUUACUAAAAAUGGUUAAUUAGAAUUAAAGACCAAUCAGUGAAGAAGCAAUUCACGCUAAGAUAUACCCCUAGUGAAAGAUAAAUUCAUGCAAUCACUACAAAGUGCAAAGCCACACUUUUGUUCAUUGAAAUUUGCAAGUGGAGAAGUCUAGAAUAAAAAAAGAGUGAACGAGUUUCACUUUUCUAGAUAGCGCCCAGAUCUGACGUUAUCCUAUUCACUCAUGAAAUCCAUGUUAAUGUUGCAUGAUCUUUUCUUUUGAAGAAACACGUUUUUGCUUUUGUUCUCCUAAAUGUACCAAAUGUUCACAAGUUCCUCGUAACAUUAACAGCGAUUGAAGGGACAUGAGAUAUUAUUAAAUCGAACAAUUUUCCCCAAAAAAAGACCUAAUUCCCUGAAAAACCCUUUAUAACUAGUCCAAUUUCAGCCUGAACUUUUUUGUUUAAAAAAAAACCCUAAACUUUAGGUACAAUCCCAAAUUUACCUCAAAUUUUGUUUUGUUUUAAAAAAUCACCAACUUUUAAUAUAUUCCCAAACCUACCCCCACGGUCGAGUCCCAACUUGAUGUGGCAUUUCCACAUCAAUAACAAAUCCACUUUAGUAAGGUGACAUGGAAAAUUACUUUCAAAUGAAGCUAUUCUAAGAUAUGAAAAUUAGGGACGGCUAAUGGUGAUUUUUGAAUAGAGGGCUAAUGGGUAGAUUGGGAUUAGAGUAAAAAUUGGUGUUUUUUCUUUUAGACAAAAAAAGUUCGAGGUAGAUUUGGGAUUAGGCCUCAAGAUUGAGGUUUUUUCCAGACAAAGAAAAGAUUGAGGCAAAUUUGGACUGGACCUAAGUUUAGGUUUUUCUGAUAAAAAAAGUUCGAAAUCGGGACUAAAUUUAAAGUUGGGUUUUUUUUUUAGUGAAUAAGGCCCAAAAAAAAAAAAAUACAGAAAUAGUGUCGCUUCCAGAAAAGCUCCAUAGUUGUAAAAUAAAGGAGCAAUGCACGCCCAAUCUACUAAAAAAAUUUCUAAACUUUUUCACUAAACGAAUGUGGCAAUUUUUUUAAAUUGGGUAUUAAAGAAAAGUGAUGACUCAAUAAAUUGAACCAAACGUAUUGCAAUAUCCAAUUGAAACAUGCCACAUCACCAAGUAAAUUUUGAAAAGAUCCUUCAGUAGAGUUAACAUUAAGAAAAGGAUGAAGAUGAAGAAGAAGAAACACAGUAAGAGAGUAAAAGAAGGAAAAGCUUUAGGGAAAAGUCAGCUUACAGGAGUCAUAUGGGUUGCACCACGCCAUUCGGUAUCUGAACUUAUUGCGUAAAUCUGGAAUAUUUCCGACGAAUAAGAUUCAGAAUAUAAGAGAUUGAAUCCUUCAGCCAUCAUGUUGUGGAGGUCCGUAUACGGUGGGCUCACACGUUUAUACCGAUCCACUUCCUGGCUCGAUAAGAGAGUGAUCAUGGUUAUGUUGCAAGAAUCCUCGAUGUCCCGUAUUAGUAGAUCAGACCCAUACAAAGCGUAUGAGUAUGCCUUCAUUUGGGAAAAAUUAGGGGGUGUAUCAGAAAGGGAUGCUUCCUCAAUACAUGGUUCAGUAUUGAUAUACAAAGCAGAAGCAACGGGCUGUGAGCACUUCAUGAAGACCACCGGAUCAGCUAAGGGCGAAAGACCACCACGGUAUGCAUCAUGAGCACUAAAGUUGGACCUCGCCAAUGAUUGACAAGGGAGGGAUGAGCAAUUACCUUUUUGCAAUCCAUCGUCAACCACCGUGAUUAUACCGGAAAAAUCAUAUAAAUCAUCUAAAUCAAAAUAGAUAAUUGACUUCACAUAAUAUCGACCGGCAUAUAGAUAUAGAAAAGUAUGAUUAUUUUCACAAACUAGCUCAUACUCAGAGUGACCACAGUGUUUUGGGUCAUCUUUCAAUCGAAAGGGAUAGUGUAUGCCAUGGAUCUCAUUGCAAGAUGAAGCGGGGCACAAGUGAUUCUUCUUCGCACCGCAACUCAUCCCCGGUAGCAGCAGAACAUGCAAUAUGAAAAGCAAAACACGGAACAUGCUCAUGGAGCUCAAAGACUUAAUCAUCUCUCUAUCGUUUGAUCUGAUGCAAUGGAAGUUUUUGCUAAUUGACAAUGUGGUGGAGGCCCAGUUAUAUGAAUAAAAGAGUCGGGAGUCGUCGGUGAUGCAAAUUUCAAGUCAACCAAUAAAACAAAGUCUAGCGAAGAUUGCAGCCCUUGCAUUUAUGGUGACAAAACACAAAGUUGGAAUUGGUUAUGCCUAGCUUUCACAUUGAUUAAAAAAAAAACUUGUCUGCAGUUUCCAUAUUGACUUUUCUUAGUACUAUUAAAAAAGAAUCAAUUUUAACCCCCCCCCCCAAAAAAAAGAGAGAGAGAGAGAGAAACGAUUUGUAUGUCAUGUACUCUCGAAUGAACAAAAUCCAUUUGAGUGAGGCAUUGGCAUUCUAUUUUUCUUUUCAAGGCUAAUAUCCCAUACGUGUUGUUGUGAUUAAAAUUUCGGAUGAACUGCUUAGGGUUUGGUUAAUAGAUUACUAAGCCUAGACUUUGCUCGGGCUCUUCCAAGCCCAUAUCAAUUUACGACUUAGGUUCAAGUUUCUUAAUAUGCAAAUGAUUUUUUUAAUCAUGAGUCAUCACUAAUCUAUUUUCGGUGGGUCGAUUAAAAACUAAGUAAAGUAACGGGAGAUUUACUUUACUUCUACGAAUAAGAGAUUUGUGAGUUCGGGAACUUGUGACACUAGAUUUUUCUAACGCCCUCUCAAUACCUUUCUUACCUUUCUCUUCUGUUUUUAAAAAAAUGUUUUGCAGGCAACUCGAAUUGAUUUUAACCUACUCCCCUAACAUGUAAGAUGAUUAUACGGGUACACAAACCACCAAUUUAACACCCAAUUAAAAUAUUAUUCUCGUAGAUCAAUCAAUCACUCUCCAAUAAAAUAACCCCAUCUCUUUCCUGCAAUAAAACCACUCUAUGAAUGAACCGAUAGAUCUCAACAAUAACGUCGUUUUAUGAAGGAUGUUGUUGCCUGCUUCAUAAUCAUUUUCCAUCUUCGAAUGUGUGGUAUUGCGAGUGUCAUGUAAGCUCAAAUGGGACUGCAUGGAAGAGUGCAGGCAUUUUUCAUUCUCUAUUGAUAGCUGUUUGAAUCUGCUCAAGACUCCUCCCUUUCGUUUCAGGGACCACCGUGAUCACGAACACCAUCCCUGCGGCGUUAAUCACCGCAUAAAGAAGGAAGGUACCUGUGAAGCAAGCCGACAGAGUUAUUUGCUUUCGACAAGUUUUGCGGAAGCAUAUUCUGACAUAUUUCUCAUGGGAAGCAUGCUUUGAUAUAUACUACCUAUCUAUUAAUCAUUAUGCAGAAAGACACAAUUCACUUAUUUUCCUUUCUAAAUGACACGUUGACUCCAUUUUCGUGAUAUUCAAAUCUAGGUAGAAGUUUCCAUAAACACAUUGAUUGAAAUAAAUGGACUGAAUAUGCAUUCGAGACCGUGCAGAACAGAGUGACAGACACCUCCAGUUCCAAAUAGGAUUGAAGUUUGCAGGAAAAGCUAAGUCUCAAGUCUAUAGUUUGAUUGAAUUCGCGCAACAACUCAUGUUCCAAUGUGACAAAUGUUUAUCGAGCUCCUGCCAGAGCAACAGUUCAAAGAGCGUUUUCAGCAGAGUCGUACCAUAGGAGCUCCAGCUCAUUAAGUAGUUGAAAGUGUAGGAAACUGCCCAAGCGCCGAACCAGUUUACUAGUGUUGCAAACCCUCCAGCUACUCCUUUGAUAUUGAUGGGGAAAAUCUGAACACCAGCAACACAUUACAUGAUUGGCAAAUUUUUUUGAAACACUUGUAACAACACCAGUUACAGAAACGGCCGUUUAAUUUGAUAAGCAUGAAACUUCGGGGGAUGUUUAGGAUUACCUCGGACAUCACGACCCAAGGAACCGCGCCCAUUCCAGCAGAAAAUGCUGCUAUGUAUAGCUGAGCAUUGGAAAAAACAGAACAGAAAAAUUAAUAGUGGAGAGUUGUUGUGGCGGCCAACCAGAUAGAGCCAGAAAGAGAUCAAGGAAGGUAAGAUUAUUACCAGAAUGCCGGUGACGGCAAGUAUCGGGACAGCAUCAGCUGCCAGAUCAUGAACCUGGUUCAGAAGAUUCUCAAAAAAUUACUGGUUGACAAGCAUUGCAAAGCAGAAGGAAGAUGCUAGGACUGAUAGUAUUUACCUUUAGAAAGAAUGAAAGGGCAGUUACUAUGCAUCCUAGGACCAAUCCUGUCCCUGAGAUCUGCGAUUGAGAGAGAGAGAGAGAAGGUUAUGGUUCAAGUUGCAGAACUCGCGAAAGGGGCAGAACCAGAAAAGCUUUGUUACUAUAGACAUGAUUUCUUAGCGACUCUCAUCUAUUUUACCAAGAGAAGGGGCUUUCUUCCAGCUCUAUCGACCAGUGCAGCGCCAAUAGCCGUGACAAUAACCUGAGAAAAUUUACUCUUUAAGCGUGACGUGUAUAAAAAUAGAUCCCCAACAAAAAGGAAAGGGCGAGCAUUGCAGACCUGGAGGAUUGCAUAAGUUAUGGUUCCAACGCUGGAGGAGAAACCUGAGGCGAGACUAAUACCUUGCUUGUGAGAUUCAACACUAAAUUAUGUGAACAGCUCAUUCAGUGAUAAUUAAGUAGACCAAAAGCAUUCGACAUUGCGAAUUUUACUAACCCAUUUGAAUAUUAACUGGAUUUUAUAAAUUGGAACCCUUGCUUUGCUUUUUAUUUGGUUAUCCGUUCUGGAAUCAUAAAAUGCAAUGCAUAGUUUCAUUUUUAUGGUGCGCAAGAGCUUCUUGCUAUGAACUUCAUACCUGCUUCCUCGAAAAUAUUGCUUGUAUAGAAACAGACGCCGUUUAUCCCUCCGAACUGCUGGACGACCAUCAAUCCAACACCAAUCUGGCCAAAAUUUGACAAAUUUGUCAGCAAAAAGAACAACAAUGGGAAAUAUCACCAAAAGUACAACUACUGCAUACUCCCGAUCCUCAGGGCAUUCCAAGAAAGCAACGAAGGAGGGACUUUAUUGGAUACGUAGCAGUAAAUACAGAGAGAAGAUUACGAUGACAGAGCUCAGAUAUCUUCUCCUAAAUAAAUCGAGAAUGCUGGCUUUCGGGAGCAGUUGAAGAGUUUCGAUGUAGUCCUGUCAAGAAAAACAAAUUCGAUCAUUCCGUCAGCUAUCCGUACUUAUAAAGUUGAGGCACUAAGAUGAAACUGAGUAUAGACUUAAAGCCUUUUACUUGUAUUUCAGCAGCCUCUUUAGAAAUAUCCGCAUCCUUUCCACGGAGUUUCUGCAGCGCGGCUUCAAACUCCUUUUUGUGGCCUGUUUUCGCCUGCAUUUGGUAGAAUCCUAAAAUUCAUUCCAACACUACGAAUCCCUCUCUUCCAACAAUUCAGAUAAGGAGAGUCUGGUGUUCAUUCUGAUUUGUUACCAGCCAUCUAGGAGACUCUGGAAUGAAAAACAGGCCGAACAGUAGGACUGCACAGGGGAUUAGACCUGCAUAAACUGCAGAUGUUCAAGGUGGUUUCAGACUUGGACUUUUCUAUGCAAGAUUGGCACUAAACUUGAAUUAUGCUACUUUUUCUGUUUUACCAAUUAAUGCCAAAACCCUCCAAGCUAAUACUGUCCCGAUUAUGAAGGAAACGGACACUCCAGCAACGAUCAUAAGCUGUGGAGAGAAGAGAACAUGUUAGGCCUAGUAGGUUCUGUAGGAUGUACAUAUAUACACCAUCUCGCACUUGCAAAAGGGCAAAAUUUGCUACAAGCUAAGGCCUUUUGCCAAUAGCUCCAUGCUUGCAAUUUUAACCAAGAAUGUUCAUACAAAAUCUUUGCCUGAUUGACAGCAGUCAAAGCUCCACGGAGAUUUUUGGGUGUAAUUUCAGCUAUAAAUAUUGGUACCUGGACAUAAAUUAGAAAAAGAUUAACCAAUCUAAACCAAAGAGAGAGCCUCAUGUUGUCACUGUGAAUUGAGUCCAGCAUGUUGUCGUAGAACAACUUGCUACAUCAAAUUUGUGUGGUACGAAGUGAGGAAUUACCACAUAGGAAAAGACUCCCAUUCCAUAUCCCGUGGCCAACCUUCCGAUAUCCAGAGCCAGUUCUCCCUAAUUUACUCAAAAUUAAACAGAACAGAGAGUUGAUGAGACUUGAAUUUCUUAUGCAACUAAUCGAUCUUCAUUUAUGAUAAGGCUUGUAAAUAGGAUAUGGAGACACCUCAGCAAAGUAAAUAGCAAGCCAUCCUGCCACACAAAGAGCGCUCGCUAUUCUCAUUGUCUGCAUUUUGAGGCAAAUGUUUAUGCUGUCACGUCCUCCGUCCAUGAUAUGACAAAAUCCCAAAGCUAAAACUCUCAAAGAGUCUUGAACAACACUGUUCUGCUUUACAUUGUGAAAGACGCACUCAUUUGCUGCUUACCCAUUUACGGCCAACAAAAUCAGCGAUUGGUCCUCCGGUAAUUGCACCAAUCAUUGCACCGAAUGUCAGUAUGGAUCCAAAGACUGAAUACUGUUGAAAGACACAUAAAGAGUAACUGCAAAUCAGCUUGAGUUCAGUGAGAGCAAGAACUUCAGUUACCAUCUAGCUAAUGAUGCUAUUCUGAACAAACCUAUCACUUCGAUCAGAAACCUGAAUGAUAUGCAGUCACAAUUUUCAGCUGACGAUACCCAAUCUAAAUCUCCCCAUUUUUUGGUUUUCUUGUCCUGAGGUGUCCAACAAUGGAACUCGAUGCGAAAAUUCGGUAUACAUUUCACUCGUUACAAUGCAGAAAGAAUAAGAUGUCUAGAGAAAGAAGUAUCUCUACCUCAAAGCCAACAUCCUUAUUUUUUAGAGUCUUGUUUAUAAAGUUUUUGAUCAUAUAACUCGUCCAUAGUAUGGACCCGGAAUAUGAGCAGAUCGUUACUUUGAUUUUCUUGUAUAUGGGCGCCUUCAGUGAUAAGUCCGAUAUUGAAUCGAAGCAACGAACAAAGACAACGCAACAUGUGCUUCUCAACAACGAACAAAGACAACGCAACAUGUGCUUCUCAACAACGAACAAAGACAACGUGACAUGUGCUUCUCAACACUCGCAAGAGCGACAUGUGCUUCUCAAUACUCGCAGGUAAAUUCGACAUACCUCAGCUGUAGAGAGACCAAGUUCCUCCACUAUAGCAUCCUGAGUUGGUGAUGAAUAACCUGCCUGAAAAUCCAAUGAAACAAUUUCUCCUUAGAUUCAAUUAAUCACAUCCUUUUCAUUUUAACCAUUACUAUUGGACCUGGACUUUUCAAAAAGAAAUUGGAUUUCCUACUUACGCAGGUCCCGAAUUCAUAGGAACCGCAAACCGCAAUGAAUGUGGUGAAAUAGACCAUCCACGGACGAACCUUAUCGGUUCCUUCAUCUUUGCCAGCUCGGUCCUUCUCUUGCGGCACAAGGAGCCGCUCUCUUACUCCUUCUCUGUCCCCAGUUUCUUGAUUUUCAAUGUCCUCGUUAAUCGCCAUGCUAGUUCGCCUUACAAAAAUGCUCCUUCGUUCUCUAUCUGACUACGUACGAGGAACUAGCAAAUCUAUAAGCUCCAGAGAAGAUAAGUUCUCUUUCCAACGUGGCUAGUCUGCUUGCUUUAUAUGGAUGACUCGAAAUGAGAAACCCCAAGUGCUAAUACGGAAACCCUAUCUCCGACUGGUUUAUACUCGCGGUUUCUAGGAAUUCCUCGCUGACCUCAGUCUUGCAAACUGGCAAGCAACUCUUUGCUUUUCUGAUUCGCCUCCGUUAAUGGUAUUGGAAUCACUAAUGGAACAGAGUCUCCGAAUACAGCAGGAUCACAGAUGUAAAGGGCUGCAUCGCUCUUUAUGGGCAAGGAGUAAGUAAAAACACGGAACUGGAUUUUCUCAAUGACACGGCUCUGGAUAAAGACAAAGUAAAAACCACGGACAAAGUUCUAUCUUUUUCAGCCAACCACCGGCUAGGAAAACCAGAGUGUUUUUCUAACCUGGAAAGUAAUUAAGUUCUGUCCAUUUUUCCAUGGAGGCAUUGUUAUCUUCAACUUUAACCCACGUUUAUCGUGUAAGAAAGAUAAGAUCUCAAUCAAUAGUUUCUUAUCUCUUUGGUGCAAUAAGAAACUAUCAAGAAAAAGAACUGUUCUGCUAGAACAUUACUUUUCUUUUGGGAAUUUUCUUGACCAAAACCCUGUUUUUUUCCAAUUGGACGAUGAGAACAAGAUAAUUUCGGCCGGACCUUCUUCUGGGGACACAUUAUCUUCCUUUUCUAUUUUUUAAAAGAACCACUACAUAUGCCAACAAAAAGCAUGCAUAUAGCCUCCUUUGUGGUCAGUGACGCUUUUGAUGUCUGCUCAAAUGGUAAGACUAAAUAGCAGGAAUUUCAAAAAGGGAUGCUUUUCAUCUUUCCAUAGUGGCCAAUUUUGCGGAAAAUGGACAGAUUUACUUUCUACUAAGGACGUCAUGUACUGCCGAGGCCCAUGAAUCUAAAGUAUUCACCCACCAUGAAGCCAGCCGACGGGAAAGAAUUCACAGGCACAACGGAAUGGACCAUAAAGUUGCAGAGCACAUUAGCCAAAAAUAUCCAACCACCAUUCUCCAACUACUUUAUUGGUCCACAUUUGCUGCAUCUCCGUCUUCUUUCACUUCUCGAUUCGGAAUAGGCCAACAAAAUCCGGCAAGAAUAUAUAGCUGUGGCCUGCUCGAGAAAGGGAAAAUAUCAAAAAUAUAUCUUACUCUUGAUCUAAUAGCCACUCACAUAUUUUCGUUUUGAUAAAUAUCAUUCACAUACUUCCAAGAAAAACCCCCAUUGAGAACAUUAAUUUGCCCCUCCAUGUAAACUCGUUUUAGCAUCUUCCUUACGGUUUAAGCAGACUGAAAAAGUGAUUUUUGAAUGGUAGAAUUCGUGUAGAUAUUUGUUAUUUUCAAAAGAAGAGGUAGGUGGUCAUGGGAUGAGAAAUAAGGUGUAUUUUGUUAUAUUUUUCUCAAAAAACUUAGACAAAACAAAUAUGCUAAUCUUAUAAGUACAUAGUAGAUCUGUAUUUCAAAUGUAUUAGAAGAAAAAAGACACUAUAAAUGUCAUAACUUUUGUACAAGGACCACUUAAAUACCAUAACUUUUUAUUCAAUCACUUAAAUGUCAUAAUUGAUCACUUAAGUGCUGUGAUUUUUCAUUAAUAAGGAAAUCCAAUGUGAACGUUCUUUAAAAGUUACAACACUCAAAUGAUCAAUUAAAGGUUAUGGCACUCAAGUAAAGAUUUUUUUUUUUUUUUUUUAAAGUCAUGACACUCAAGUAAUCGAAAAACAAUGUUAUGGCACUUAGGCAAGCACCGCACGACAGUUAUGAUACUUGUGAUGUCCUUAUCUCAAUAUCUUAAUAUCAUUCUUCCAUUCACACACCAAAUCCCAUAAAAUAUAAUAAAAAGCACAUGGAAGAAAAAUAUUUUAGCUAAUGUUACGUAAUUGUAAGUGUCUAAUUAAGUAGAAAUUAAUUAGGCUGAUUCAGGUUUUAGAGGUUGCCAGUCAUUUUUGCUUAACCCCUACUAAACAAAGCUACGUACAACGAGCGAUUGUUUUAAGCUAGUGGCUGCGUUUAAGCAUCCAAUAAAAAUCAGCAAGAUUAUUUAGCACAACCCUUUUAAUAUAAGAAGUUUUAGGAACUCUUAUUAUCACCUUGAAGAAGGGUAGCGGGGCAAGCGUGAUUAAAACACCCAGUUCAAAGACAAAGCAGCCUUCCCUAAUUUAAAGGGUGCCUCACCUCAUAUAUAUGUAACCCCAAAGGCAUGGACUAAAAUAAUUCAUUUGCGGGUCCCUCUUCUGAUAAGAUCAAUCCACUUGUUGGAAUGGAAUGAAUUUGAUUGAUAGAGAAGGUCUAGAUUGCCUGAGGGAGCGGAUAUAUCCUAAUUGCAGAAAUAAUAUAUUAAUUGUAAAAGAGCAUAUGCCACUUUCAUUUUGCAUGAUUGCAUCUAAUCUCAGAGAUCUGGACUCAGUUCUUUAUUUAUUUCUUUCUUUCUUUUUUAUUUCCCCUCCAAUCUUCCAAUUUGUGUAGAAAAAUAUGAUCCUAUCAGCAAGAGGAACUUGAAAAAUCGUUCUGCCAGCCUCACACUAACGAAACAAAAAUAAUAAAGAGUGAAAAGUGACAGAUUAUUACCAAAAUGAAAUUGACAAAAAACUGAGAUCUUAGGUGAGGUGAGCUGGGAAAGAAAUUUAUGUAUGAACCAUAUUGUAAAAUAACCUUAGUCUAAAUUCUCGAUAUUUCUUUUGCUAUACGAUAUGGAAUGAAAAAUAUCUAUUUGGACAAGAAAUUUUUCUUUUCUUGAUGACUGUGGAUUAUAAUUAUACAAUUAUGCAUUACUAUAAGUUUUCGCCAACCUGUUCGAUGAACAUGGCUUCAUCCAUAAGGAUACAUCCACGGAUGCACAAGAAUAAGAUUUCGACCAAGUCCAGAGAACUAAACAAGGCCUGGUUUUCCUCUCUUUAGGUAGACAUCCUGAUUGUGUUGACAAUCUUAUCCACCAAGACAAGUAAUUCCCUAUUUUCAAGAGUACGAUGCCUAAGGAAACUAACAUUCGGUACUCUUCUUUCAUCCUGCUCUUAUAUUUUACUAAACAAGACAGAUUGCCAUACGUAUAAAGAUGUAUAAUUAGAGAAGAUCCAAGAGAAUAUAAUAUUAAAGGGUUGACUUAUUAAGACAUGACAAAUGCAACUUGAGUUCAUUAUUUGACCUGCACCUUUUAAAUAAAAAUACAAAUAUAUUCUCGUUACUUAUAAAUUCCUAUGUAGGCUUGAUAUGAAAAAAAAAAAAAAAUUGUCCUGACCAUUACUAUUUUAAUACGAAACUAGAAAAAAGAAAAUCACCCAACACUUUUUAUGCCCAACAAAAGAAAGAAAGAAAAGAUUUGCAUAUAUUUCGAGAAAGAAAAUCUAAAGAUUUCGAUUUUGCCUGUAUGGAUGAAAUAAUAUUUUUGAUUUAAUUUGAGAGAUUUUUGUUCUUAUCUUAUUAAUCAACAUCUUUGCUAGUGAAUACAACAUAUUAUUGCAAUUUUCUUUUUUCUUGGACAGAAAAAAGAGCUUGGGCUCGGAACCAAAGAUAGUAUUACCUUUUAUGUAAUAUAGAUUAUAAAUUCUUUAUUUUAAGGAAGGGAGGGGUGAAUCACCUAUAAUUAAUUUUUUUCCCCUAGAUGUCAACAUAGAGUACAUAAAACAACUACUUGCCCCCUCUGGACUUUUGUGGUUUUGCACGGCGUAUAUAAAUCAAUUCAAUUUGUUUAUGGCAACAUGAAAUAUUCUCUGAGCAACGAACUGUUGCUUUGACCUCACUUCCUCCUUCCUCCUCCUUCCCUCGCUUGGACGUUAGCUUCAGGGCAAAACAGAGAGCGGGUCGCUGGCCGAAGGAUGCAAGGACGCGAGGCUGCGCGCGACGUUCGCCCAGGAGUGUCGUGCGGUACGAAGCCAGCUGGUCUCGUCCUCGAAGAAAGGGACAGAAACGAGAUAAAUGGGAGUGAAAGGCGGCAAAGGGAAGAGGGAUCUCUCCGGUCUUUUUGGGUUUGUUCGGCGGAGGUAGAGCAACCGAGAGAGAGAGAGAGAGAGAGAGAGAGAGAGAGAGAGAGAGAGAGCUGGUGAGAGUGAGGUGAGCUCGAGAGAGAGAGAGAGAAGGAGCGAGCAAGAGAAGAGAGGGAGCUCGAGGGUGGCUGCUUCUGGAAGGGUGCGGCUAAAAACCAAGGAGAGUAGAGCGGCUCGAGAGGGGAGACCGAGAAGGUGGAGAGCGAGGGAGAGCGGGAGAGAGAGGCGACUGUGUUCUCGAGUUCUUCGGGGGAGGCUGGAGACAGCGAGAGCAACAGAGAGAGUGAGAUCCGAGAGAGUGAGCAAAGGGUGAAGCAGAGAGAGAACCGAGAGUGAGCGGAGGGAUGGACCGAGAGAAAGCAGAGACCCAGGAGCCGAACUUCGUUCUCGGACAAGCGUUACGUGGCCAUCCUCAACAUAAACCGGCGAUCUCCAGCCAACACCCUCGAGCACGUGGUGAGUUUUCUUUGGGUUCGAUCCCCUUUUAUAUCGAUGAUCCUGGCUCGGUGCAACGUCGAGGCGGCCGACCAUAGCUCGUUUCGCUUCAGGCUCACCUACUGGCCGUCGGGGUAGGGAGUGGUCAAACACUUCUCUCUGGAAACUUCGUUGCUUGGUUUCAUUCAAGACGGAACCGAAACGAUAGCUGGGUCUCGUUUUCCCUAGUCCACCAGCAUGCUCGAUUUGAACGAGCCGUCCCUUUUGUCGAGUUUGAGUCGUCACUUGCUGCUUUCUUUUGAGUAAAUGACUUGGAGUGCUGCCAUUUUCUUCUAUGUUGAUAGCUGCUUGAAUAUGCUCAAGACUCCUCCCUUUCGUUUCAGGAACGCACACUUUAAAUUCCCCCCUGGAGUUUCUGCAUGAAAAUUGAUUAUUCACUGGUUUAAUAGCAUGCGAGUAAUGACUGGACUUUAUCUAUUUAGAUAUGGUGGUGGACUUUUGACUAGUUAUGCACUGUUCAGAAUGCCAGAUUCAUUUGUAGAGGUUUAUAGAGGAAAAUUUUGUUUACUGUUUUUCUAAAUUAUACAACAGGUAUUUAUAAUUUGCAUUUUUAAAUUGUAAUUUCCUUUCAAUUUCGGGAGAGAAGGAUCACGUCGUUUCUUGGUGCAAUGGGGCAGAAGUUUCUAUAUGUAUAUCACUUGUGUGGCACGUAUAUUGCUUUUUUUUUGACAAUUCUCAUAACAGUUUACUUGGUGACACCCAAUUGCAUAUCGUUUGGCUACAUUUUGCUCCUCCUAUGUUGGAUCAUAGGAAGACAACUCAUUGAAAGGACAAGAAGACACCUUUGGUUUCCAUUGAAAGUAUAUGCAGUCACUGUGUUUAUCUUCAUAUACAGCUUGAGCAAUUUCUCCACCUUUGAGAUGUGGUCGUCAGGGCUGAUUGAUCUUUAGUUUUACUUGGCCUACAACUCAGAAGCUUCGCUAUUGCAGAAUAUUUGGCAGUCUCUUGCAAUCCUCAUUGUGAUGCAGCUCUACAGCUACGAGAGGAGACAGAGCAAGUAUAUCCAAUCCGAUGACUCCAAACUUAUGGAAUUUGGAGCACUUGGAUUUAUUCAGAGUUUCCUUAUUUGACACGGUGACAACGUAGUGUAUAUAACAGUGUUCUAUGCAUCAUUGUCACCAAUUAGUCUCUUUGGUUUCCUUUAUCUGCUUGGUCUUGUCGUAUGUUCCCUUUUACCUAAAGCAUCUCAAUCCCAUCAAGUUUUGAGUUAUUACAGUCAGGCUUUUGGGCUCUAGAAUUGGGUUUAAGGGGAAAAGUGCUGGCGAUAUCUGCUUCUACCCUUCAAUACAAUGUCUUCCGUUGGUUGCAAAAAGUACCAACUCACAUUUGCGCAAAUAUUACACCAAAGAACCUUGCCCUCUGUUUGUAUCAGCAGAAGAAGUGUUUAGGGAUUUUUCUAAUUCAAACGGGGAAAGCAAACCACCUGCAGAUUUUCCUGCAAUUCCUUGUGAAGCAGAAGGCGUGAGAAACAAUUUAUCUUUCUCAGCCUCUGGUUUUUCUCAAGCAUCAAAUAAUGUACCCAAAGCUGGAGGCUCUGGGGGUGGCAGUGCUAGAAAAUACUCCUUUGGAUAUAUUUGGGAAAGCAUCAACGAAAGCCACAAAUGGAACAAGAAAAGGAUUAUCACCAUGAGAAGGGAGAGAUUUGAAACGCAGAAGACAAUCUUCAUAGUCAAUAUAGAUUUUUGGAUGGAGAAGAUGUUUAAUCUCUUUGGCCUCGAAAUAAACAUGGUGGCCUUGCUCCUUGCCUCCUUUGCUUUGUUAAAUGCCAUUUCUAUACUAUAUAUUGCACUUCUCGCUGCCUGCAUACUUCUAAAUCGCAAUGUCAUUCGGAAAUUAUGGCCAGCACUUGUCUUUUUGCUUGCUUCCAUUCUUGUCCUAGAAUACUUUUGUCAUUUGGAAGAGCACACCAUCUGCCAAUUCACAAACAUCAAGCAAGGCUAAGUCUGUAUUUCCUUUCAAAUUUUAUGAUUCUCCUGCCAGUAUGAAUGCUGAAAGUUUUCAUGUGAUGAAUUCAGCUGAUCAUUCAUUUGAGUUUUCCCAUUGCGAGAUCACUGAGGUUGAGAAGGAUGGUGGAGGUUCUCUAUAUGAUUCAGAUAAGAAAGAGAGAGCCAGAGGUCAAGCUGAGGAUAACUCUAUAGUUUCUGCUGUGUAGCUUUUGGGAGAUGGCGGUUAGUUCUCUUGUAACCUUCCCGAACAUCAAGCCAGAAGACAUGGAUGCUAGGGGCACAAUCAAGCACUCUCCCCUACACCCGAUCAACGGCCAGGAUCACCUGACGAAGCAGCAGAGGUUCGCCAGAUCGAAGCUCCGGGUUUCCAUCAACCUGCCGGACAACGAAAUCUCCCUCCUCCACAGCCAGCAGAAUCUGAGCUUCAGCGAAUCGUCCCCCGCAGCCACUGCCGCCGCCGCCGAACCUCCGACUUCUCCUUCUCCAUCUCCCCACUCCUCGUCCUUGGCCUCAGCGUCGAUCGGUCGAAUCUUCAAAGGGAAGGCUCCGGCGAAGGCGAGGGGGAGCCUCGAGAACGGCGGUAGCGGCGGCAACCCUUGCAGGGGCGGCAUGCGUACAGGAGCACGAGGACGGUGGUGGAGGUGCUGCGGGAGCUGGACGCGGACAUAGUGGCGCUGCAGGACGUGAAGGCGGAGGAGGAGAGGGAGAUAAGCCGCUGUUGGAGCUGGGGGCGGCGCUAGAGAUGAGGUACGCAUUCGCCGAGAGCUGGGUGCCGGAGUACGGCAACACCGUCCUCUCCCGGUGGCCAAUCAAGCACUGGAAGGUCCAAAAGAUAUUCAACGAAACCGAAUUCAGGUCCAUCACUUUGUUUUAUUUUAUUUAUAUAUUUAUUUAUUUCCAUAUAAUUUUUACCUGUUAUUCUUGCUAUCAUUUUCGUAAUUGUGGUGACGAUGAUAUGCUCUCUUUCUUGUUGAGCAAGUGGUCUUCCUAGGAACCACUGGGGGUUCGCCCCAGUGGCCACCCUUCCAACAUGAAAGGGGGAGGUGAGGGGUUCAAAUCUCUAGAGACAGGGCACAAGUCUGCGAGUGAGUGUAAAGUAGGAAUAGAGUAGGACUGACAAAAAAAAAAAGUGGUCUUCCUGGGCGAUUUCGAAUUUUAAAAGAUAUUUUCAUUUAUUUAUUGAGGCGUCCACCAUUGAAAGUGAAGUUUGAUAAUAUGUCAUAACUAAUAUUCCCUCUGGGCAUAUUAUAUCAUAAUUAAUAUUCCCUCUUGUUAUCAUUUUCGUAAGAACUCACUUGUUCGCUUUUCCAUCUUUCGAUUUUUCUUUUUCACUCUAUCAAAUGGCUAAUCUAAGGUACUUUUCGAGCACGAUGCUCUUCUCGCUCGAUGAUCACAUGAUUGGCUUGAAUGGACGGAAAUUCACAACAUUUGAAGCUUGAUGAUCAUGUUGAAUAUAUACAUCCGUUGUUUGUCAUCACUUUGCCGAUAUCAACUUUUGAUGUGAAAAUCCGUGGUAUAAAAAUUGAAGUCCAAAAUCUUUUUUUCGAGUGAUUAUUGUCUGAAUAUGUAAUUUAAAACUGUUUAUUAUAUCGUAGGUGUGCAAGGGACGUGCAAAUAUAGAACAAGGGUGGACUACAUACUGGCGUGUUGCCCAUACAAGUUCAUUCCGGGGUCGUAUUUGGUCUUGUCAUCGAAAGGGACAUCGGAUCACCACAUUGUAAAGGUCAACGUAACGAAAUGCAAAAACAACCCUCCCCAUGAAAGCAAUGGCAACAACAAUAAAAUUACCAAGAAAAGGCGGCGACAGUGCAAGCACCAGGCCGUUGUAAAGAUCUCAGGCACAGCACCUCCUUCAAAGGGUAUACGGACAACGAACACAUUAAGCAAAGUCGGAUGACAUUACAUUUAUAUCUCCUUUUCCUUUCCACUCUUUUCUCAGCAGCUGCUCCUGUUGCUGCUGUUGACUGAUCUUGGGCAUGCUGGCUUCGUCAAUCUGUGUAAAUCUUCGAUUAUUUUGUGCAUCUUGUCUUCUCUGUUUUUUUUUUUUUUUUCUUCAGUUUAGAGUUGAAGAGGGGAGGGUUCUGGUGUGAUGGCUUCCUCACUUUUGUAUAGAUUUCGACACGACAGAAAAGUGAAUUCUUACGUUUCAACUAGGCAUUCUAAGCGGUUCUGCCAAGUACUUUUUCAGUAUUUUAUGCCUUUUCUUUCCGCUUGUAAUCUUAGCUGCAAGAUUCAGAUUAGUUUUGUCGAGGGCGACAUCUCAAGUUGACUUUGCUGAGGUUGAGGUUAGAGAAUGCGGUAUUGUAUCUUUAGAUUUAACUGAAAGUUGAAACGUUUUAGAUUAAAAGUCCUUGGAAUAAAAUUGCAAAUUUCGAAAAUUGAUUUUUUUUUGUUAUGUUGGACAUCAAGUGAUUGAUAAAAAGACUCAAAGAUUUCAAAUGAAAUACCUUUAAAAAGCAAAUAAGGAAAAAAAAAAAAAAAAGCUGUGAAGUCUGGUAAUUAUGAAUUCUAAACAUCCGUGACAGUAGUCAAUGUUUUCAUUCUUUUUUCUCCGGUCUUGAAAUUAGCAUUGGAAAGAAGAAAAGUGGUAAGUUAGUGCAAUCUACUUCGACAUCUUAACAAAUACCUUCUGUGAUCUCUAAAUGGAGCCUUAAUGAGCAUUAUAAGUAAAAGUGUAAUGAAAAGAGAAAGAAAUAGAUUUUCUAUAUAAUAGACAUUGUUGGCUGAUGUAUCAUGCUAAUUAGCUUAUGAAUAGAAAACCGUGUCUCCCUUAUAAUGGUUGGCAAACUGCGCCCCUUGCAUCAGCAUCGUAGAGGACUCAAGUAUCUCUCAAUUGGCAUAUACUCUUCAAUUGAUCCUCCUUGAUGUAAUUUAUAUCGAUUGACUUAUUUAUUUCGAUUUUGCUUGGGAUCUCAAUUUAGAAAAUCAUGGGGCCAAUUCCAUAAAAAAAAGCACGAACUUUAUGGUUUGGGACAAAUCUGGCCCGAACUUUAUUUUGUCUCGAAAAAAAGCACCAACUUUUAAUCGUGUCCCAAAUCUGGCUUGCCGUUAACUCUCCUUCACGCUCAUCCGACCUGGCAUUUCCAUGUCAGAUAUCUAACAAGGCAAAAUUGUUAUGGGCUUUCUCUUAUUUCUCUUCUUCUAUGAACGCACGGCUCAUGAGUUUGGGGAAAAAAAUUUCUAGGGUUUCAUUUUGUCGGUGAGUUCGGGCGCGGGAGUCUUCAAUCCGUUGGAAGAUCUCGCGCACUAGCUUGCUCACUCAUUCUCUCACACGGAGAUGCUCGAUCUUGUACAUACACACGUUCGAUCGCUCGAAGACAUCCUUUCUGUCGGAAGUUUUGGCCUCGAAGGAUUUAUGCUUCCUUAAGGUCGAAGGACAGAGCAUCAAAAGGUAUUCUUCUUCUCCUCCUCCUCCUCCUCCUUCUGUCUACGGUUUCCUUUCUUCAGCGAAUAAGUGCGCGAGCAAUCUUCAAUCCGUUGGAAGAACUCGCGCCCUGACUUGCUCGCUCAUUCUCUCACACGGAAACUAUCACUCUCGCACAUAUUCACACUCGUUCGCUCGGAGACAUCGUUUCCCUCGAAAAUUUUAGGCUCGAAGGAUCUGUGCUUGCUUAAGGGUUGAAGUCGACAGAGCGUUGAGAGCGUUGAAGGCAUUCAACUCUUUGCUAUUGGACAUAUUAAAUUACGGUCACCAUGUGCUCGAUGGUUUGUCUAGAAGUGAUCUACCUCAUAGGAACUGAAGUUGAAAUUUUCUAGGCUUAAUGAACUUGUGAAUUUGCUAGGUCUUUAGAAUCUUAUGGUUUGGAAUGAAUUUGAUCAUGGCCAUAGGUGGAUAUGUCAUGACUUGGGAGUCUUGGACUUUGUUGAUACUUUCACGCCUAUCGGGUAAUUUGUCUUCUGUUGUCUACAGGGGCAUAUGAAGAAUGGGUGAUGAAAUUUGGAAAAACAAGACUUGUCCAUCCUAAUGGAAGUGUAAAAGUGCAGCGUGCUAAGGUGAAGUGUCGUGUUUGUGGGGAAGAGAAACAGAGGAGGAUUGAUAAUGCUUGUAGAGCUCUAUGACUUCUUCGGACAGCUUGCGUAGUUUGGCCAAAUUCAGCCACGAAGGUGCUUUUAGUUGGGUCAUUUGAUGGUUGAGCCACCCAGGUUAGUUCUCAUCAUUGAGAUCUAUGUAGUUCAUGGUAAACUUUGGAGUAGUUGUGAUUUUCUGUUGUGAACUGUUUGGUUGCACCAUAUAUUUGCUUUGAGCAGUUUAGCUACUGGAGUUAUAAAAAUCGAAAAUUCUUUAUGAAGAUAUGAAUGAAAGUUACUGAAUCAGAGUAGGCAAACAUCAUCUAUGAGCUAAUUAUUGAACUUAUAUGCAAAUUUUAUGUCAUGUUUAAAAAUAUUUUACUGAGGCAUUUCCAGAGAAGUGGAACAUUUUGUUAGGAUAAUGACUCGAUUGACAAAACCACUAGACACUUAAGUUUUCUAGGAGAAUUGCCUCGUAAACAUUUAAAGUAUUAGGAAUGACACUUGGGCAUUUAGUACAUCAUGAUUUUUCUAAUUAGUUCGUAGAUCAAGACAAUCAAUCUGAGCCACCUGGGAAUUUAUUAUGCUUAAUUGGACUGCUUGGGUGUUUUAUUAGAACUGUCAAACUAUGCAUGUAAAUUGUCAAAAAUGAGACUUGCAGAGCAGAUUGCGAAACGAGGGAAGUUUGGUACUUUGCAAGUAUCGCUUCACCAAUAUAAGUUACAUGUUACAUGAUAGUAUACUUUCCCCCUAACAUCAUGCUGGUUAUUUAUAGUUAUCUACAAUGUGCAAAAAAAAAAGAAACAGGAAAUGCUGCAGCUAAUAUUUUUAGCCAUAAAUAUAGUAUAAAAUUUGAUUUGCCCACUUUCUUUGGUCUAUUUGCUAAUUCCACAGGAUCUUGGUCCAGCUUAAACCUAGCCUUUUGCACUUCACCACAUUCAUCUUAUGGAAGAUUUAAAAGGAGCAGAAUGCCUAAGAGCUCGUGGUACAAAUCCUAAGCACAAAAUGUCCCAUAAACAGUAUACAAUUCACUUUGUAAACAGAGUAGCCUAGCUGCAAUCAACUCUUUAUUCAUUGUCAUGUCUAUGAUCAUAUUUUUUUGGGAAGCUCAAAUUCCCUUACUCCUAUUUUAUCAUUUUGGAUUAGUUCAAAUAGUUAUGUAUUUCAAAUAGGUUGUCAUGUGUUUAGAUAUUGGGAGCUAGAACUUAUUCUUUUCUUUAGAGCUUCUGAUUAAUAAGCUAUUGUUGUGUGAAAUGCUUCUUCACAAUGUGAAGUGUGUCGUCACUUUUUAUUAUGCCUUACAAAUAGUAGAGUUAUUGCUGUCUUACUAGGAAUUUGAUUAGCAUGAUAAGUCCAACACUGAACUUUAAAUGUCUAAUUUUUUGCUCUACCUCUGUUUUAUAGGAUUGGGCUGGUUGGGAUUCUAGGUUGAUUGUCGUUUUACUUGUGGAGAAUUGAAGUGUUGCAAGUUGAAUAAGAAGUAAUGGUGAGUUCAUUCAAUUGUUCACCCUUUACGUUUGAAUAUUGUUUUUAGUUUCCAGCGUAUGACUUUGUGUUUUUUACACAGAAUGAAAGUGAUAGUGACGAGGGUUCAUUAGACUUAUGUGAUAAUGAACUAUAUAUAUCCGAUGAUGAAGAGAUCAAUACAAGGGAGAUGAGGAAAGAAUUUAUGGAAGCAAUAAUAUAGGAGGUGGAUGAUAGUAGAGACUUACCUGAAGGUUCCAUCGAUAUAAGAAUGGAGGAGGAGGUUGGUGCUGUUCCACACGAUAGGGGGGAUGAUGAUGAAGAUGCAAUAUUGGAUGAUGAACUUCUAAGUGGUCCCGAUAUUGAUGAUUCUGAAGAAACUAAUAGCACAAUUGGACAAAUGGUUAAUAGGUAUGAUCCUAUGUGUGACCAUAAUGAGAAUAUGUUUAGUCUAGGCAUGAGAUUUGAAUCUCAUGAACAGUUCAAGAAUGUUGUGCGAAAAUAUGCUGUGAUUAAUGGAUUUGACAUUUUUUGGCCAAGGAGUCAAAAGAAAAGAAUGGAAGCAAAGUUUGCAAGUGAUUGUGGUUGGAGGUUGUAUGGUAGUUGGGUUCAAGCUGAGAAAACUUUUGAAAUAAAGAGAGUUGGAAGUCUGCAUAGCUGCAAUAGAAGCCUCACAAACAGGCAAGCCACUUCUACAUGGCUUGCUCGAGAGUACAUGCCUAAGAUUAGAGCCAGACUCACUUAUUCAGCUACUGAAAUGCAAACAGAUGCAAGAGAAAGGUUUGCCCUGAUCCUGAACAAAAAAAAAAAUGCUAUAGAGCCAUAUGGACAGCCCUUAGUCAUAUAAGAGGGCCUAUAGGAAAGCAAUAUGAUAUGCUAAGAUCUUAUUUGGAGGAGCUCAAGAGAGUUAGCAAAAAUGGAACAUUCAUGAUGGAGGUCAACCCAGCAACCAAAGUAUUUGAGAGGUUUUAUGUAGGCUUUGAUGAGUUGAAAAAUGGGUUUUUAGCAGGAUGUAGGCGUGUCAUAGGCUUGGAUGGGUGCUUCCUUAAGACUGGAUUGGAAGGUAUGUUAUUAUGUGCUAUUGGACGAGAUGGAAACAAUCAAAUGUUUCCAGUAGCUUGGGCAGUUGUGGAAGUUGAGUCCGAGGCAUCAUGGACUUGGUUUCUCACUCGGUUAUUUAUUAACUUGAAUGUGGGCACGGGUGAAGGUUGGACUUUUAUCAGUGAUAAGCAAAAUGUGAUAUCUCGCUUUUUUAUUUUAUUACCAUUACACUACACUAGUACAAUCAUUGCUGUGACAUAUUUCUUUUUCAUUGGUUGAUUUUGGUUGCAGGGAUUAAUGAAUGCAGUUUCAUGGCUAUCGCCACAAGUAGAACAUCUAAAUUGUGCAAGACAUAUAUAUGCUAAUUGGAAAAAACAACAUAAAGGGGAUGCUUUGAAGAAUCUCUUCUAGAGGGCUAUGAGAUGUACUUUUGAAGCUGAUUUUGACUUGGUAAUGGUAGAUUUGAAGAUGGAGUGCCCUAAAGGUUAUGAAGACUUCAUGAGACAAGACCGUAAGCACUUCUGCAAGGCUUUCAUUAGGACAUGUACUAAGUGUGAUGCAGUUGAAAAUAAUUUAAGUGAGACUUUUAACGGAUACAUUUGCAUACCGAGAGCAAAACCCAUUCUUGAGAUGCUUGAAGAAAUGCGAGCCAUGUUGAUGGAAAGGAUGACAGAGAGAAGCCAAUUAAUGGUUGAUCGAAUGGAUCCAAUUUGCCCAAGAAUUAGAAUGAAGCUGGAGAAAACUAAACUGGAGUCUAGGUAUUGUUUUGCUAGAGCAUCUUUGGGGAAUAAAUUUGAGGUUGAAGGGGAUGGCAAUAGAUUUGUGGUUGACUUGGCUAGAAAGACUUGUGCUUGUAGGGAAUGGGAUAUCUCUGGAAUAUCAUGUAGACAUGCCAUAUGUUGCAUUGCUUUUAUGAAGUUAGAGAUCAAUGAUUAUGUUGAUGAUUGCUUUAAGAAAGAUGCUUAUGAAAAUUGUUAUAAAUUUCCCUUCCCGGUCAUGAAUGGGGAAAAAAUGUGGCCCAAAGUUAGUGGUGAGCCAAUCAAACCCCCACCUUACAGAAGGAAAAGGGGUAGAGAGAAGAAAAAUAGAAUCAAGGAUAAGGAUGAGCGAAGUAGUGAUGGUAAGAAGUUGACGAAGGUUGGAAUUCAAAUGCAAUGUUCAAAUUGCUUUCAAUAUGGGCAUAACAAGAAGACAUGCAAGAAUCCUAUGACAUCAAGGCCACCCAAAGUAUGUCUUAUUGGACAAUUUUGUAAUUGUUAAUUAAGAUUUUUGUUGGGUUUUUAUGAAUGAUAACAUUGCUAUUUCUUGUGUUUUUCCACAUGUAGGCAAAAAGAGGAAGAUCAAAGAAAGUUGAUGAAGCUAGUGGUGCACAGGCUAGUUCACAGGCCAAUAGACCAUCUAAUAGGGACUCCACUAUCAUCAGGAAGGAGAAAGCACAGGCUAGUGCUUUAUCAAGCAUAAUUUUACUUUCAUAUCAUGUGUAUAUUGUCAUUAAUGUUUUAUGCUCAUUUUGUUUCUUUAGGCUUGACAAGGUUAUGGACUUUUCAUAUCCGAAGCUACUGGGAAUUCUUAUUUAAGGGUAAUCUCUAUCUAAAGUUUAUAUAUAUAUUGAAAAGAAAAGUGAGUUCAUUUGUUUUUUUUUCUUGUAGAUGCCUGGUAGUGAUAAAGUUAUUGACAUUGGAGGUCCAUCUAUUUCCAAGAGGCAAACAAGAGCAAGGAAUGUCGUUGAAGUUUCACUAGGCCAAUCUUCCAUUGAUGUCUCGGAACCUCCAUGCACUCAAGAAUCUGGAAUUGGUGGUUAAAGAUGCAAUUGUGGACCUUGAAAUGCUUGUGUAGUGCCUACUACUUGAUGUUGAGUUGUAGACCAAAAAGUGCUAGUUUGAUGUUGUCUAUAGGUUAAUUUGGCUAUGCAUUGUGUUUGGGGAUUUGGCAAUGUCCUUUUGUAUUUGCGAUAUUUUUGCUAUGCACUAUGUGUUUCAGCUGGUUCAGAAAGCUUGACAAAAGUGAGUUUGGAACAUUUGGAUUUUGCAAACUUAGUUUUUGUAGUUUACAUCUUCAAGGGAGAGUUUGAUUUGAAUCUUGUUGAACCAGUUUCUAGCUUAUGAAUAUUCUUCACAUCGAGUGCAAACUGGUUGAGCUGAUCAGGAGCGAUGUGAUUUGUAAUUUACAUCUCGGCAUGCUUGAAUAAUUGUGCAUAUGGUGUGGAAUGAUAAGCGUCUCGAAUUCUGGAAAUGUAGGCACUAUGGCAGGAUGAGGAGGGAAAUUUCCACAAUGACAAUGCAAUUCUGACUGAUAAGACAAGGGAAACAGAUUCGGUUUUAGCAUUUUUCUUCCUUACACAAUUUGUGCAGGCUUGACCAUGUACAGAUAGUUGUAUUUGCAUAUGUUAGCAUCAGUCUUGUUAAUUUCAGUCUUGAAUUUUUGACACUUACUCAUUAAUAUCAUCAACCAACUUCGAUUCAACUUGCUGGGACAUACCGCUCCUGCCCAGGCUGGUUCACUGCUCUUGGUAGGCCCAUUUCUGGACUAUUGGAUGACAAGCAAGAGAGUUGACGCUUAUGACUACACCUCAGUUGCUGUGCUAAGCCUACAUAUUCAUAGUCUUUAAAGUAACAUUUUAGUUGUCUGCAUUGCAAUAAACUGAGCCUUUGCUCUCUGAAUCUUGUGCUACAAGUAAUAUAUGUAAUGUACAAUUUCCUUGCUCCAGUUAGAUUCGUAGAUGAGGCUAGCACUUUGUUGAGGUAUAUUCUAACAGUGUUUAACCUGAUUUAUUGGACAUUCUAGGAAUGUGCUUGCCUAUAUUUGACCUGUUGAUGAACCACAUGCACCUUCCUACUGUUGUUGUUCUUGUUGGAGUUCAGAAACUGAUGUUGGCCUCCUUACAGUUUUAUUUACCAGGGACCAGAUAACUUUCAUGACCAGUAUGGAUGUCGUGGAUAUCAUACACUUAAUAUAUGGGAUUUUGAUAUUGCUUCUUUGAUUUUGUUUCAUCUUUGAGUUUCCUAGCCACAGAAAAUUGAUGUUUCAUAAGAGGGAAACAUAAAGACUCGAGGUUGUGUUGAAUGAUACCAUAAGAAUGGGCAGUUACUCUAUUAAAGCUUCUCAAUUAGUUCUAAUCACGAAGAGCAGUUACUCAACUCCUGCUUUUCUUGUUGGAUUUUGCAGAUGUUUAUUAUUCUAUCCUGCACCAUUGCUGUGGGGACUAAUCUCAGCCAGUUCAUGCUGCAGCUUUCAGUCCCAGUCAUUUAGGGUUCCUACUUAGGUGAAGUGACUUUUUAUUGAGCGGUCAUCUAUCUCUAUUCUGAGUUGCCUUAUUACUGCUUGGUAACGAACUGAUGUGCAUUUAAAUUAAAUUAAUUAUCAGAAAUACCAAACCUACUGAAUAAAGGUUCAAGCGUCAUCAGGAAAUUAGUUUUAGCCAAUUAAUUUUGCCUGUGAUCGGAAGUAGCCAAAUUUUUUUUUUUAAUUGGCUUUUGGACAGUUACAAAAAUCUAUCUUCAAAUUUCAUCUGUCAAUUGCACUUUGCAUCUUAUAAUAUUUAAACAUACACUCGGCAAGUCAUACUUUAAAAUCCUAGACGUCGGAUUCUGCAUUUUCUGGAAGAGACCUCAUACUUUCCACCUGGUAUUUUCAUAAUUAUUUCCUAGUUUUUUCAAGUCUCGGGUGCAAUGUUAAAUGUUCUAAAGUAAGUUUUUCCAAAUGGUAAAUAAGGGGAAGAGGAGCAUUUUCAUCUUGCAUGGAAGUAGCGUGGGGAGGACUCCUGUCGCGUAGAAUUGAUCAAAUUCAUGCGGUCCGUUUCCCUCGUUUGAGGAUAGAAAUGUGUGGGUUCUCUUUUAACUGUUAUUAUGACGAAGCAUGAUGAAAUCCGAGCGGCAGCUCCAUGGUCUGUUUGAGGGGAUGGACCAUAACGGAUGGUGGCGUUUCCAUUUUACCCACAACUCUUAUGUAAAAUUGCUGUAACGCACAAAAUGGUAAAGCUUUACAAUUAACGGACAAGAUUUAUUUCUUUUUUCCUUUUUUUUUCCUAUUCGAUUGGUCAUCGAGGAGUUGGGAUCGAUCACCCAACAUCCGAGACGAAGAUUCAGACAGCAGAGGCUAAAAUAGAGAAUAGCCUCUUUCUCUCGUCUGCCAAUCCGAGAAUGACAGUGAAACAAAAACGUGCAAUGAGCAAAACGUGCGAUGAGCAAAGGAAGGUGAAUGUGUCCCCUAGUCAGUUCAUGUGGCACGAUAAGGGUUGAAGAUUCUAAUAUACACAUAACAUUACCUCAACAGGACAAUCUGGUGGACCAAGCAAAUAUCGAGUAAACGAGACAGGGAUGCCAGAUAGAUCAACGUCCACGCCUUCGUGGCUGUCAGUGAAAGAUUCAAAGGUGGAGGCUAGUAAUGUACAACCAACAACCGAAAAAGACUGGAAUGCGAAUCUUGGACUUGUCGAUUGUUAUCAAAAUUGAACAUCUCAAUGGCUUCCACGGAAGGAAUGUAAGAGGAUAAAGAAGAUAAAGCCCCUCGUCACCGCAAAACACCCAAAUAACCAGUGUCCUUUCCCCCCACGAUUUGAAGUAUUAUCGUCUAGCAUUAAAGUAGUUCAGACCUUUGCAAGUCCACUUUAGAUGGCGACAAUUAUAUGCAAGUUGGGUACUUAACAUUCAUCUAUUGAUCCCCGAAGUUUCAUAUGCCUGAGUGACAGCCGAAUUUUGAUGGCAACACCUGAUAUACUAUCACAUCCCAUAAAAAUGACAGAAUACAUGUCCAAUUUACUUGCAAGCUGUAUGGAAUCAAUGACAUUGUUAGUUAUGGUCUAAGUUUCAGUAGCUUUUGGUGAAUGUGCCCCCAUUGAUUCAAAGGCCUAAAAUUUGUUGAAAAGAUGCCAAUCAAUGUGGUAUAUACAUAUCAAAAGCCUGGCAUAAGUUUACAAUUGUGUAAAAGAAAAGGGCAGAAGGAUCUAUGUAAUCAUCCUCCAUCAGUUAUAAGACAACGAAUCUUCUCAUGUAAAUGUUUGUGUCAGCUCUCUCUUUCGGAUGGCUUUGUGAUAAUGAGCAAGUUAUUCUCAUAUCCAUUGUUAUGAACAAUUGGUUGCAAUGGAUUGAUCCUCCAUGUUCCAUCGACUAUGAACUUUAUCUGCAUCAGGAAGACCACGGAGGUUAUGAAGCUCAUCCAGAGACAGCAAUUGCUUGUAAUUUUAGACCGCCUUAGACUAAAUUGAGAGAAGACCUACCUCAUAUCUUCCAGGAUACAACUGGAGGCACAUGGAGAAAACUCCGGUGCUCGACUUCUCCAUCUUUCCCUGCAAUGAAGCACAUUACUCUACUGAGCAUCAUUUAGAGAAAGCUACUCAUAUGUAUGAACCACAGAACAUAAAUCUAAAAGCAUGAAGUCUGAAGAACUUCUCAACUCAUAUAAAGCGGAUCCCAACCUCCUUUCUUUUAACCAGUGCACAUGAUGGGAUAAUAUGCGCAUUGGUGAGGAUUAAUCGAGUUGAUAUGUUUAGAUCUAGUGUUAAGACAAAAACGAAACUUUCACAAAGACAAAAAGAAGAAAUGUUAUUAAGUUAAAUUUGUUAAGACGCCAAAGGCUUGAGAAUCACCGAUGCUUCAAACAAAAGGUUGACUGCCUGAUUUUUGAAGGCAAGAUGGACUAGACAUGCAUUGACCGCACAGAUAAUAACAUCCUACAAAAAUGCUUUGCGCUCCUACUCGGCAUGGAUGAAACAACAAUUUAAUAAACUUGAAAAUUAUGAGUAAAGAUCGAUUCAUGUGCCUGAUUCACUCAAUAUCAUCCAAUCUGGGUACGAAAGAUAUGAAGCCAUGGGGCAUUUUCAUAGUCACGGUACCAAACUUCCACGAGCAAAACUGAAAUGUAAAACUCAUAUGUACGCCACAACUAGAGCUCCACGGGCAUUAUACCAUGCUAUUGCAGGUAGAUUCUAAUUUGACUGCCUAUCACAUCUGCAAUGAUUUGAAUACCAGUCCAUACUACCUAAACUGCUCAAAGCAAAUAUAUGGUGCAACCAAACAGUUCACAACAGAAAAUCACAACUACUCCAAAGUUUACCAUGAACUACAUAGAACCCAAUGAUGAGAACUAACCUGGGUGGCUCAACCAUCAGAUGACCCAGCUAAAAGCACCUUCGUGGCUGAAUUUAGCCAAACUACGCAAGCCGUCCGAAGAAGUCGUAGAGCUCUACAAGCAUUAUCAAUCCUCCUCUGUUUCUCUUCCCCACAAACACGACACUUCACCUUAGCACGCUGCACUUUACACUUCCAUUAGGAUGGACAAGUCUUGUUUUUCCAAAUUUUAUCACCCAUUCUUCAUAUGCCCCUGUAGACAACAGAAGACAAAUUACCCGAUAGGCGUGAAAGUAUCAACAAAGUCCAAGACUCCCAAGUUAUGACAUAUCCACCUAUGGCCAUGAUCAAAUUCAUUCCAAGCCAUAAGAUUCUAAAGACCUAGCAAAUUCACAAGUUCAUUAAGCUUGGAAAAUUUCAACUUCAGUUCCUGUGAGGUAGAUCACUUCUAGACAAACCAUCGAGCACAUGGUGACCGUAAUUUAAUAUGUCCAAUAGCAAAGAGUUGAAUGCCUUCAACGCUCUCAACGCUCUCAACGCUCUGUCGACUUCAACCCUUAAGCAAGCACAGAUCCUUCGAGCCUAAAAUUUUCGAGGGAGACGAUGUCUCCGAGCGAACGAGUGUGAAUAUGUGCGAGAGUGACAGUUUCCGUGUGAGAGAAUGAGCGAGCAAGUCAGGGCGCGAGAUCUUCCAACGGAUUGAAGAUUGCCCACGCACUUAUUCGCUGAAGAAAGGAAACCGUAGACAGAAGGAGGAGGAGGAGGAGGAGAAGAAUACCUUUUGAUGCUCUGUCCUUCGACCUUAAGGAAGCAUAAAUCCUUCGAGGCCAAAACUUCCAACGGAAAGGACAUCUUCGAGCGAUCAAACGUGUGUAUGUACAAGAGCGAGCGUCUCCGUGUGAGAGAAUGAGCGAGCAAGCUAGUGCGUGAGAUCUUCCAAAGGAUUGAAGACUCCUGCGCCUGAACUCACCGACGAAAUGAAACCCUAGAAAUUUUUUUCCCCAAACUCAUGAGCCGUGUGUUCAAAGAAGAAGAGAAAGAAGAGAAAGCCCAGAACAAUUUUGCCUUGUUAGAUUAUCUGACGUGGAAAUGCCAGGUCGGAUGAUCGUGAAGGAGAGUUAACGGCAGGCCAGAUUUGGGACACUAGUGAAAGUUGGUACUUUUUUUUCUAGACAAAAUAAAGUUUGGCUAGAUUUGUCCCAAACCCUAAAGUUCGUGCUUUUUUAUGGAAUUGGCCUGAAAAUCAUGGGAUCUAAAGCUCAGUUAACAAGAGGAAUUAAAAAAAAAAAAAACACUAAAGACAUUGUGUCAAUAUCGUUGACCGGUAAGAAUCAUUAAUAUUGAUAUUUCUGCCGUUUGUUUAAGGGCUAUGCUAGUAGGUCACAUGACACAUCCAAUGACGUUUUCACUACACAUGUUCAUUUUUUUUUCUAUAGUGAUAUAGUCAGUUAUUAAAAUGUUGUAUUUUUUUCCCUUUUUGUUGCAAAUUUCCCUUCUAUAAAUCAUGAACACGAACACGAGCACAAAUUUUUUUCGUCGAAAUAAGUGGUCUAUUCAGCACGUGCUGAUACCUUCAAUUAUUUUCUAUAUCGUGAAUAAAUUAUUAAGUAAUGAUUGGACAAAUCAUUAAAAAGAAAAAUCUCUUAACGAAAAGUAUCCUAGAUUAUCUCGCGAGCGUAUGCUGAAAUCUAGACAUACAUUAUUGUAUUUUAGGGUACAAGAUUGGCUCUCUCUUUGUCACUGAUUUUGUAAGUGUCCUAUUGCCUUUGGAUGGUAAUUCUUUUUGUAACCGUUCGACUUUAAAAUCGGCAGUGACCAGGAGUAACCAUCAUCGAUCAAGCCCUCUUAAGUGAACACUUAAAAAGAAUUAGUCUCUUAAUCACUGGAAUUGUGUUAAAUCAGAGGCAUUAUUUAUAGAUAUCAUGAAUAAUGGGAAAAUUUCCAAAAAGAUCCUAAAUCUAUUGCACUUUAACCAAUUAAAUCAUAAAUCUUUUAAUUACGUCAAUUGAAUCCUCAACCUUUUCACAUUUCGCUAACUGAGUUUAUUAGACCAAUUUUAAGAAAAAAUCAUUGAUGUGAAUGCCGGCUAUAUUUUGUAAGAUGGUCGAUACUAAUGUUGGCAAAUUCUUAUAAUUUUUUUAAAGAAUGGAUUUUUUUUAAUUUUUUCUUUUUAUAUUUUACCGUGGCUUGUGAGAGUUGUCGGGUCCUUGCACCUACUAGCAAAGACAGUGACCCUCGCCGGACUUGGUGAAAAAAAGUAAAGGAGGAAAAGAGAAGAAAAGAAAAAAUGGAAAAAGAAGAGAAAAAGGUUCAUAAAAAUUCAAAAAAAAUGUUUAAAAUGUUUUAAAAAUAUUUUAAAAAUUCUCCACAUUAGUGCCGCUUGUGCCACUUAAGAUAACGAGUAUCCACAUCAGCGAUUUCCUAACAAAAUUGACCAGAUGAACUCAAUUGGCAAAAUAUGAAAAUAUUUAAAAUUCAAUUGGCAUGACUGAAAGAUUAAUGACCGAAUUGAUAAAAGUACAAUGAGUUUUUUAUGGUAAUUUUCCCAUGACUAACUAGCAUCUCUCUUCCAUCCUGAUUCUGAUCAUAGUUUAAACAGGCAAAGUCCCAAACUUAUCUAAAGAACUUAAAUCUCCGAAAGAGAUGCAAUAUCAUAGUAUAAAGUUCAAAUUUAUGACUUGUGUCCAAUCACAUAGCGUUGCUGCAACAGAUAGUUUGGAGACAUGUUUCAGCUGGUCUUCUUAUAUGCUAAACAUGAUAUCAUAAACAAACCACUAAGAAGGUUAGUUAGUAACCUUUAUUUUAUCGUUUGCCAAGCAUGUCAUUCCAUCAUCUUUCAAUAAAUUCUCGAGUGGCAUUUGUAGAGAAAAGUUUUCAUCUCGGCUCACUGGCAAACUGAAAAUUGUAAUGGUCAUGAGUAAACGGUCAGGAUGAGCAACGAUAUUUAAAAGCACUUGUGUAGUUCUUCGCCCGUUAGUAUGCUAAACAUGGAACAUGUCGAAUCAACAUCAAUUUAACACUGUCUUUACUCGAAUAGCUACAGAACUAUGUAAGAAAACACAGGGAACAAGAAGAGAAUCCCGAAGCUCUAGACAUGGCAUGACCAUGAAAACUCCACCGAGAUCUGGUUUUUUGUCCUCGGAGUAGAUGUGAAAAUGUUGCAGAAUUAAAGAAUAAGCAAAGAUUCUUCGUAUCUAGUACUGUAAGCUUGCUCGAUAUAGAGUGAAACAAAGGGACAUUGCAUAGAGUUUGCACCUAUAUGAAGUUCACGAUGGCUGGGAGCAAUCUGCGCCACAUGACCUCAACUUAAGUGCAUCGCCGUAUCAAUAAUCAGUUCUUCCACAAGUAGAAUUUAUACGCAAUUUACGCUCGAAUUGUCCUCUAUUCACCCUUCACUUGGGGACGGUUUUCCAUGAAACUCUUCCAGCUCCUCGAACCUGUUAUCGAGGGCUCUUCUAAGUGAGGCCAUCUGUAUAUGAUCGUUUUCUUCUGGAAGUCGGUUUAUGGAGACCUUGAAGUUCAGCCUAUGAAUUUUGCUGUACACUAGACAGGUCCUGUUGUCGUACUUCGAACACUUAUGUGAGGUUUCAAUUGUUCUCGCCUUCCUCUCAUGGUGCAGCAGAGGAACAAAUGUCAAAGGAAUUGGAAGAGACAGUUCCACAGCCUCCUGUCACAAUGAAUGGUCUUUCUCAUCAGGAUGAUUCUCCAAUGAGCGUGAUGAACUGCAGGAAUAAGUAAGAAACUCGAUUCUUGAGAUGUUUCUGUCUCAUAUCGUUUACUUUUUCUCCAUUGCGUCGAACAUAGUACCUACUCUAGUGAUUAGCUUAACUUUCCAUUUCAAUCUGAAAGCUACUCACCUACAUUUAUAGGAUUCUUAAUAUAAAUCACCUGCUUGUGCACACUAUCUUACGUGGCGAAUUCUGUCAUCUGCACUAGUUUAAAUACAUGCAUAUUCGAGAGCGCAAGUGCCUUUGAUGGCUUAUGGCCUGAGGCAUGGCGUAAUUGUUUUUUUUGCCUCGUCAAAAGUGUUGCGCAGAGGACCUGAAUAUUCUUUUGAUAGGAAUCGUCUGUUUAGAUGAUCAUAACUGCUACCAUUGGUAGAACAUACUAUCAAUAACAACAUGAUAGUCGCGGUGUGCAUUCUAGUUGAACAUAGUUUUGACUUCGAGUUGUGAUGCUAACUGCGCUCGCACUUGUGGUUCUAAAAUGUUGAUAAACAGAGCUGAAUCUGACAACCUACUAGCCAUUCCUGUCGGUUUUGUUGGAUCAGAAGAGGUGGUAAGGUCUGCUCCACAUCUUGUACCUGGCGGUAAUCUUAAUUGUCCUUCAUUGGAAGAACAAGGAAUGAGAAUAAAUACUGCAUUAGACGCUGCACAUGCACCAAUUUCUCAUCUCUCGAACCUCAUUGACGAUGGCCACCGGGCUGCAAACUUCAGGGGACCUUUCCAACCAUCAGACUUUUAAUGGCUCGAGGCUUGAGCCACUUGGAUUCAUACCCUAUCCCUUACUUUCUCUGAAGGUAUUUAUGAUAUUUAACACUUAGCUCGACAUUCUGCGUCGUCGAUCUUACUUGGUUUGGACUACCUACUGGCGAAUCUCUUCAUGUAAAGGUUUGGCUUGGAAUAUCACUUGUCAGCAUAGUUGCAUAGACAUGGCGGUUCUGUUCUUUUACCCAUCAGUGCAUUCGACUCGUGGUGCAACAAAUCUGAAAAAAGCUUUUAUAUGCUAUUUGAGAGUCAGCUUUCAGCAGUGAUCUCGAACAAUUUCGUGUUCUCCAAACCGAGACUUGUUCAGAGUCAUUGAAAGCCUUCAAUUUCUGACCUUGUACUAGGAAGGUCCUUCCUGCUUUAUCUGUUUCUACAUACUUUAAAAACUAUCUAAAGUAAUUGAAAAGACCAUGCGGAAAAAGUUAAUUGCUGCUGUACUUGGCGAGGCAACCCAAGUUUAAGUAGCAGCAUGCACUUUUGCUACUUCUCUAUGUAUUCUUACUCCUGAUGAAUGGCGUUGUUUGUAGCUUCCAUUCAGGAGUACCUUGCUAAUUCGGGAUCAGGUCAGGGUUCUCUGUCAGCAAUAUCCGAGUGAAGUGGAUAUCGCGCGUUCCUUAUCAGCAUCGGUGUCUGGAGGAAUGUUUGCUAAGCAAGAAAACUCAUGUGCAGGGGACAACAGUGAGGAAUAUAGUACUUGUUCGGAAGAAUGUAAGGCACCAUCUCAUGACUUAUCAUCGAGUGAAUGCACAAAUUCUUACUGCAUUGAGAUAUUGUGCUUUUGUAAUACAUCACAUCCUCUAACAUGACAUCACGUGUUCAAUUUCUAUUCAUCGUAAGGGCAAAAAUUGAUAGCCACAAUCGUUCAUCGGUUAGGCUAGGACCCAUCUAGAAACAAGAGGUCGAAGUCAGAGAUUGCUUGAGCAGGUAGCUGAUGUCGAGCUGGUUGAUUGAGCGGGGGUUGAAGGGUGGGGGUGAGAGCUUUUGAUGGAAACGAGAGAGAUUCGUUGCUCAAAAUGCAAACAUUAACAUGAAGAAAAAAUUACAUUGUUAUGCCAAGAGGAUUCACACGAAACAAAAAUUAUAACGAAUGCCAUACGACAUUCAUUGUCAUUUAUGAAACAUGGACAUAAUGAGUUUAAUAGAAAACACCGAUGCUAUAUGAAAAACAUGUAAAAGCUUCAUAGAUUACAUUAUCAAUGAUGGUACAUGCUGAUAGUAUUAAUUAUAUUUCGCAUCUCAUUUCUACAAGAAGAGAAUAAUCACACAAUACAUGAUUUCGUAAACUCAUUGUCGUGGUCAAAUUGGUAACUGCCAAAAAUUAUCAGAGCACUUGAUGAAGAUGAGACCAUUUCAAGUUCUAUCUCAUUGUUGUCAUCAUCAAUUGGUGCCUCUGUCGGAUAUAAAAGCGGUUUUGGAGGUAGUUGUAGUUUAUCGAUAUCUCCUUCAAGCAUAUCUAGAACUUUCCUCAUUGAUGGCCGAUCAUUAGGGCUCAGCUGUAUGCACCAUAGCGCACGAUUAUCAUCUUCCUUGUUUCUCUUUCCUCUUCUAUGACUUCUACCCUCUCAACCUCCUUUUCUUUGCUGAGUUGAUCAUAAACCCACAAAGGAAAGUAAAUUUGACUUGAAUGCUCUGCAUGUGCAUUUAUAUUUCUCCUUCUACCGGCCAUUUCCAUUAACAUCAUCCCAAAGCAGGGGAGACUGCUUGAGUAUGCCCCGCAUCCAUGUCUUCUGGCUUGAUGUUCGGGAAGGUUACGAGAGAACUAACUGCCAUCUCCUAAAAGCUGCACAGCAGAAACUAUAGAGUUAUCCUCAGCUUGACCUCUGGCUCUCUCUUUCUUAUCUGAAUCAUAUAAAGAAGCUCCACCAUCCAUCUCAGCCUCAGUGAUCUCGCAAUGGGAAAAAUCAAAUGAAUGAUCAGCGGAAUUCAUCACAUGAAGAGUUUCAGCAUUCAUACUGGCAGGAGAAUCAUAAAAUUCGAAAGGAAAUACAGACUCAGCCUUGCUUGAUGUUUGUGUAUUGGCAGAUGGUGUGCUCUUCCAAAUGACAAAGUAUUCUAGGACAAGAAUGGAAGCAAGCAAAAAGACAAGUGCUGGCCAUAAUAUCUGAAUGACAUUGCGAUUUAGAAGUAUGCAAGCAGCGAGAAGUAUAAUAUAUAGCAUAGAAAUGGCAUUUAACAAAGCAAAGGAGGCAAGGAGCAAGGCCACCAUGUUUAUUUCGACGCCAAAGAGAUUAAACAUGUUCUCCAUCCAAAAAUUUAUACAGACUAUGAAGAUUGUCUUCUGCGUUUCAAAUCUCUCCCUUCUCAUGGUGAUAAUCCUUUUCUUGUUCCAUUUGUGGCUUUCGCUGGUGCUUCCCCAAAUAUAUCCUAAUGAAUAUUUUCUAGCAUGGCCAGCCGCAGAGCCUCCAGCUUUGGGUACAUUAUUUGAUGCCUGAGAAAAACCAGAGGAUGAGGAAGACAAAUUGUUUCUCAUGCCUUCUGCUUCACAAGGAAUUGCAGGCGAAUCUACAGGUGGCUUGCUUUCCCCGUUUGAAUUAGAAAAAUCCCUAAACACUUCUUCUCCUGAUACAAACAGAGGGCAAGGUUCUUCGGUGUAAUCUUUGCUCAAAAUGUGAGUUGGUACUUUUUGCAACCAACGGAAGAAAUUCUAUUGAAGGGUACAAGCAGAUAUCGCCAGCACUUUUCCCCUUAAACCCAAUUCUUGAGCCCAAAAGCCUGACUGUAAUCACUCAAAACCCAAGAACUUGGCUGAACUUAUUCUGUCCAGGAAACAUUCUUGCCUCGGCACCCCACAUCUGAAAUAGACAUUCUGUCAUCACCAGAAUUCAUGUAUAAAGAAGGAAUAACUUUGAUGGGAUUCGAGAUGCUUUAGAGAAAAGUUUUCAUCUCGGCUCACUGGCAAACUGAAAAUUGUAAUGGUCAUGAGUAAACGGUCAGGAUGAGCAACGAUAUUUAAAAGCACUUGUGUAGUUCUUCGCCUGUUAGUAUGCUAAACAUGGAAAAUGUCGAAUCAACAUCAAUUUAAUACUGUCUUUACUCGAAUAGCUACAGAACUAUGUAAGAAAACACAAGGAACAAGAAGAGAAUCCCGAAGCUCUAGACAUGGCACGACCAUGAAAACUCCACCGAGAGCUGGUUUUUGGUCCUCGGAGUAUAAGCUUGCUCGAUAUAUAGUGAAACAAAGGGACGUUGCAUAGAGUUUGCACCUAUACGAAGUUCAUGGUGGCCGGGAGCAAUCCGCGCCACGUGACCUCAACUUAAGUGCAUCGCCGUAUCAAUAAUCAGUUCUUCCACAAGUGGAAUUGAUAUGCAAUUUACACGCGAAUUGUCCUGUAUCCACCUUUCACUUGGGGACGGUUUUCCAUGAAUCUCUUCCAGCUCCUUGAGCCUGUUAUCGAGGGCUCUUCUAAGUGAGGCCAUCUGUAUAUGAUCGUUCGCUUCUGGAAGUCGGUUUAUGGAGACCUUGAAGUUCAGCCUAUGAAUUUUUCUGUACACUAGACGGGUCCUGUUGUCGUACUUCGAACACUUAUGUGAGAUUUCAAUUGUUCUCGCCUACUUAUGUGAGGUUUCAAUUGUUCUCGCCUUCCUUUCAUGGUGCAGCAGAGCAACAGAUGUCAAAGGAAUUGGAAGAGACAGUUCCACAGCCUCCUGUCACAAUGAAUGGUCUUUCUCAUCUGGAUAGAUUCUCCAAUGAGCGUGAUGAACUGCAGGAAUAAGUAAGAAACUCGAUCCUUGAGAUGUUUCUGUCUCAUAUCGUUUACUUUUUCUCCAUUGUGUCGAACAUAGUACCUACUCUAGUAAUUAGCUUAACUUUUCAUUUCAAUCUGAAAGCUACUCACCUACAUUUAUAGGAUUCUUAAUAUAAAUUACCUGCUUGUGCACACUAUCUUGGCGAAUUCUGUCAUCUGCGCUAGUUUAAAUACAUGCAUCAUUCAAGAGGCGGUAAGGUCUGCUCCACAUCUUGUACCUGGCGGUUGUCUUGCUUGUCCUUCAUUGGAAGAACAAGGAAUGAGAAUAAAUGCUGCAUUAGACGCUGCACAUGCACCAAUUUCUCAUCUCUCGAACCUCAUUGCCGACGGCCACAGGGGCUGCAAACUUCAGGGGACCUUUCCAACCAUCAGACUUUUAAUGGCUCGAAGCUUGAGCCACUUGGAUUCAUACCCUAUCCCUUACUUUCUCUGAAGAUAUUUAUGAUAUUUAACACUUAGCUCGACAUUCUGCGUCGUCGAUCUUACUUGGUUUGGACUACCUACUGGAGAAUCUCUUCAUGUAAAGGUUUGGCUUGCAAUAUUACUUGUCAGCAUAGUUGCAUAGACAUGGCGGUUCUGUUCUUUUACCCAUCAGUGCAUUCGACUCGUGGUGCAACAAAUCUGAAAAAAGCUUUUAAUAUGCUAUUUGAGAGUCAGCUUUCAGCAGUGAUCUCGAACAAUUUCGUGUUCUCCAAACCGAGUGUUCAGAGUCAUUGAAAGCCUUCAAUUUCUGACCUUGUACAAGGAAAGUCCUUCCUGCUUUAUCUGUUUCUAGAUACUUUAAAUACCAUCUAAAGUAAUUGAAAAGACGAUGCGGAAAAAGUUAAUUGCUGUUGUACUUGGCGAGGCAACCAAAGUUUAGGUAGCAGCAUGCACUUUUGCUACUUCUCUAUGUAUUCUUACUCCUGAUGAGUGGCGUUGUUUGUAGCUUCCAUUCAGGAGUACCUUGCUAAUUCGGCAUCAGGUCAGGGUUCUCUGUCUGCAAUAUCCGAGUGAAGUGGAUAUCGCGCGUUCCUUUUCAACAUCGGUGUCUGGUGGAAUGUUUUCUUAGCAAGAAAACUCAUGUACAGGGGACAACAGUGAGGAAUAUAGUACUUGUUUGGAAGAAUGUAAGGCACCAUCUCAUGACUUAUCAUCGAGUGAAUGCACAAAUUCUUACUGCAUUUAGAUAUUGUGCUUUUGUAAUACAUCACAUCCUCUUAACAUGACAUCACGUGUUCAAUUUCUAUUCAUCGUAAAGGCAAAAAUUGAUAGCCACAAUCAUUCAUCAGUUAGGCUAGGACCCAUUUAGAAACAAGAGGUCGAAGUCAGAGAUUGCUUGAGCAGGUAGCUGAUGUCAAGCUGGUUGAUCGAGUGGGGGUUGAAGGGUGGGGGUGAGAGCUUUUGAUGGAAAAAAGAGAGAUUCGUUGCUCAAAAUGCAAACAUUAACAUGAAGAAAAAAUUAAACUGUUAUGCCAAGAGGGUUCACACAAAACAAAAAUUAUAAUGAAUGCCAUACGGCAUUCAUUGUCAUUUAUAAAAUAUGGACAUAAUGAGUUUAAUAGAAAACACCGAUGCUAUAUGAAAAACAUGUAAAAGCUUCAUAGAUUACAUUAUCAAUGAUGGUACAUGCUGAUAGUGUUAAUUAUAUUUCGUAUCUCAUUUCUACAAGAGGAGAACAAUCACACAAUACAUGAUUUCGUAAACUCAUUAUCGUGGUCAAAUUGGUAACUGCCAGAAAUUAUUGGAGCACUUGAUGAAGAUGAGACCAUUUCAAGUUCUAUCUCAUUGUUGUCAUCAUCAAUUGGUGCCUCUGUCGGAUAUAAAAGCGGUUUUGGAGGUAGUUGUAGUUUAUCGAUAUCUCCUUCAAGCAUAUCUAGAACUUUCCUCAUUGAUGGUCGAUCAUUAGGGCUCAGCUGUAUGCACCAUAGCGCAACGAUUAUCAUCUUCCUUGUUUCUCUUUCCUCUUCUAUGACUUCUACCCUCUCAACCUCCUUUUCUUUGCUGAGUUGAUCAUAAACCCACAAAGGAAAGUAAAUUUGACUUGAAUGCUCUGCAUGUGCAUUUAUAUUUCUCCUUCUACCGGCCAUUUCCAUCAACAUCAUCCCAAAACUGUAAAGAUCGGCUUUAUAAGAAAUGCCACCAAUGUCUUUGUAGAAUAGCUCAUGCGCCAUAUACCCCAAGGUUCCUCUUGCUGCAGUCAACGAUACUAUGCUAUGACCGAUGGGAUAAAGUCUUGCAAGUCCAAAAUCAGAAAUUUUCGGAGUGAAACUUUGGUCUAGGAGAAUGUUGUGAGGCUUGAUAUCAAAGUGUAGAAUUUGCAUAUCACAUCCCCGAUGUAGAUACUCCAUCCCUCUAGCUAUGCCAAGAGAGAUCUCAUGCAUUUUCUUAUAAUCAAGAGGAUCAUCACCAUUCUUAUUUGAAAUGUGUUUAUCCAAAGAGCCAUUCGGCAUGAAAUCGUAGACCAGAGCUUGUUUGGAGUAAUCGAAGCAAAAACCAACAAGUUGCACUACAUUGAUGUGGUUGAUCCUUCCAAUUGUGGCCACUUCACUAAUAAAAUCUUGGCCAUUAGAUUCUGGUUUGUUCAAAAUCUUAACCGCAACUUCAUUGCCACUUCUAAGGAUUUCUCUAUACACAGAGCCAUAUCCCCCCUCACCUAAUUUGCAUUUGAAAUUUUUUGUAAUCUUCUUGAUAUCCGAGUAAGAAUACCUUAUGGGCGAAAAGUUGUUGUGAACUUGUAGGAAUUCUUCGAUGUUUGCGUCGAUCGCCCGGUGCCUUCUCAUCCACUUAUAGAUUAGAAGUAUCAACACGCAUGGAGCUUCGAGUAUGAAUUUGUCUGCGACAUAGUUGGCUACAUAGAAAUUGUCCAUAGAUUAGCACAGUGCAAUAAACUUUUUGUAAACAUAAUUGUUUUUGAUCAGAGUACUUGAGAUCAUGAUAGUUGUGAGGAGAAAAGGCCCAGCAGUCUUACCCAUGAAAAAGGCGAGGCGCGAACCUGCAAGUUCCGCGUACCAACGCUUGGCCCGCGCAGAAGUAGGGGUGACUGCAACAGAUUAAUUAGAGUCGGUGAUCAAUCAAUGAAGAAUUAAAUUUAUCAUUUUAGCAGUUAAACAUAAAUCUAAUUUACUCUCCUUGACAGCGCUCAGAUCACAGUUAAUUCAAUUCACCUAUGGAAUCCAUGCCAUCGUAGCAUGAUUUUUUCUCUUGAAGAAAAGCGAUCUUGCUUUUGUUCACCUAUAUAUACCAAAUGAUUCAUAAGUUCACGUCUCGCUCCGCGUAAUUCUAAUUUACAAACGUCAUUCAAUACACGUGCAAUCUAUUUAACCGCAUAACAAUAACAGCCGUGCAAGGGACACGAGCAACAAUUAAAUCAACCAUUUUUCCCCAAACAAAAAUGAAGUAACAAUGUCAAAUCCAGAAAAGCUCCAAGAUUCGUAAAAUAAACGAGAGCAGUGCAUACCGACCCUACUAAGAAAUCUAUUUAAACUUUUCAACUUAAGUGAAGCGGCAAUUUUUUCUAUUAUGUUUUUAAAGAAACUAGUGUCAUAAUAUGUGGAUUUUAUUAAAAAUACCCAAUUAAAACCUGCCACGUCACUUGGUAAGUAAAUUUUGAUCAGAUCUCUCAGUGAAGCUAGCAUUUAAGGAAAGGAGGAGGAAGAAGAGAAAAAGAAAGAACAGCUUAAGGGAACGUUGCUUACUGAUAUAAUAGCCGCAGUACUCCUUUCGGAAUCCAAAACCUAAGAAGUGACAUGGAAAUAAUCUUUUCCAAGAAUUGUCGGGCGGAUAGGAGAGAUUGAGGCCCUGUUUGGUUCAGCAUUUGGAAUGCUCAUUUGGGCUCUAAAGUCCCUUGGCCAAAUGCAAAGGUGUUUGGUUCGGUUUUUUGCUCGACUUUGGCGAGAUACAAUUGUAUCUCCAAGUGGCUCUAAGGGCCUUUAGCCCAAUGUAGCUCUUGACGUCCUUUGGAAAGUUGCAUCUUCGAAAUGUAACUUCCGAUAUUGUUCAUCUCUUCGGUGGAAAAGCCGAUCGGCCGCCUGAAUAAAAAUAAAUAUAAAAAUAAAUAUGUUUAUAUUUUUUAUAUAAAAUAUAAAAUAUAUUUUUAUAUAAAAAUAUAAACAUAUCUAUUUUUUCAUAUUUUAUGUUUAAUAAAUAUAUAUUUAUAAAAAAUAUAAUAUAUAUUUUUAUAUAUUGUUUAUAUAGAUAUAAACAUAUCUAUUUUUUUCUCCAAUUGUUUUAUAUAAAUAUAUAUUUAUAUAUUUAUAUAAACAUAUCUAUUAUAUAUAUAUAUAUAUAUAUUUUAUGUUUAAUAAAUAUAUUUUAUGUUUAUAUAAAAAAUAUAAUCAUAUUUUUUAUUCAAGCUAUUAUAUAUAUAAACAUAUCUAUUUUUUAUAUAAAUAUAUUUUAUGUUUAUAUUUUUAUAUUUUUAUAUAAAAAUAUGUUUAUAUAAAAAAUAUAAACAUAUUUUUUAUUUGGGCUAUUUUAUAUAUAUUUCAUAUAUAUUUUAUAUAGAUAUAAACAUAUCUAUUUUUUUAUAUAAAUAUAUUUUAUAUUUAAUAAAUAUAUUUUAUGUUUAUAUUUUUAUAUUUUUUAUUCAGGCGGUUCGGCCGCCGGAUUCGGCGGUCUGGUGGCCGGACUUCAAAAAAAAAAAUAUAAACAUAUUUCUUCUUUUUUAAUUUAAUAAAAGUUAAUUACAAAUGCAAAUUCCACCAAACGGUAUUUUGGCAAAAGUUGUUUCUCAAUGCAAAUUUUACCAAACGACAUUUGCAUUUCGGAAAACCCCAUUCACCCAAAGGUAUUUGCAUUACUACAAAUACAUUCCCCAAAAGCCGAACCAAACGGGCCCUGAAUCCCUCGACCAUCUUGUUGUGGAGGUCCUUGUAUGGUAAGCUCCCAUUCUGAUCCCCUUUCCACCUUUAGUCUCUAAAAAAAGUAAAAAGUAAAAUAAACAAUUUUCAUCAAAAUGCAUCACGUUUUCUUUAAAUUGCAUCUCAUAUAGACAUUAGGAAAAUUUGCAUUACUAAUAUUAAAAAUUUUAAUUUUUUUUAAAAUUAAGAUUAGAAAAAAAAUUAACAAAAAAUAGAAACGCAUACGGGCCGGGCUAGGGGCCAGCCUUAGCCCGGCCAAUCCUUUUCCCUUUCUUUUUCCCCCUUGUGGCCCAGCCCGCUUCUGUUCCUUCUAUUUUACCCGCGCGGCCCACCUUUCUUCCUCCGCGACCCAGCUCGCUCUUCUUCCUCCUUCCUCUUCCUUCCCUCGCUUGGACUUCAGCUUCAGGACAAAACAGAGAGUGGGUCCCUGGCCGAAGGACGCGAGGACGUGAGGCUGCGCGUAACGUUCGCCCAGGAAUAUCGUGCGGUACAAAGCCAGCUGGUCUCGUCCUUGAAGAAAGAGAGAGAAACGAGAUAAAUGGGAGAGAAAGGCAGCAAAGGGAAGGGGGGUCUCUUUGGUUUUAUUGGGUUUGUUCGGCCGAGGAAGAGCAACCGAGAGAGAGAGAGAGAGAGAGAGAGAGAGAGAGAGAGAGAGCUGGUGAGAGUGAGAAGGCGAGCUCGAGAGAGAGAAAGAGCGAGCCAAAUAAGAGAGGAAAGAGAGGCGACCGUGUUCUCGAGUUCUUCGGGGGAGGCUGGAGAGAGCGAGAUCAACAGAGAGAGUGAGAUCUAAGAGAGUGAGCAAAGGGUGAAGCGGAGGGAUGGACCAAGAGAAGCGAGACCCAGGAGCCAAACUUCGUUCUCGGACAAGCGUUCCUCGGCCAUCCCCAACAUAAAUCGGCGAUCUCCAGCCAACAACCUUUAGGUCCAAUCCACUUUUAUCCCGAUGAUCUUGGGCUCGGUGCAACAACGAGGCGACCGACCAUAGCUCGUUUCGCUUCAGCCUCGCUUUCUGGCCGUUGUUGCCGAGCCGGGUAGGGAUAUUCGCAAUCAAACACUUCUCUCUGGGAACUCCGGAACCGAAACAAUAGCUGGGCCUCGCUUUCCCUAGUCCACCAGCAUGCUUGGUUUGAACGAGCCGUCCCUUUUGUCGAGUUUGAGUGUCACUUGCUGCUUUCUUUUGAGUAAAUGACUUGGAGUGCUGCCAUUUUCAUUCUCUGUUGAUGGCUGCUAGAAUAUGUUCAAGACUCCACCCUUUCGUUCCAGGGACACACCCUUUAAAUUCUCCCAUGGAGUUUCUGCAUGAAAAUUGAUUAUCCAUUGGUUUAAUAGCAUGCGAGUAAUGACUAUACCUUAUCUAUUUUGAUAUGGUGGCGGACUUUUGACUAGUUGUGCACUGUUCAGAAUGCCAAAUUCAUUUGUGGAGGUUUAUAGAGGAAGAUUUUGUUUACUGUUUUUCUAAAUUAUACGACAGGCAUUUGUAAUUCGCAUUUCUAAAAUGUAAUAUCCUUUCAAUUUCCAGAGAGAAGGAUCGCUUCGUUUCUCAAUGCAAUGGGCAGAAUUUUCUAUCUGUAUAUUGCUCCUGUGACACAUAUAUUGUUUUUUUAUUGACAAUCCUCUUAACACUUUACUUGGUGACACCCAAUUACAUAUUGUUUGGCUACAUUUUGCUCCUCCUAUGUUGGAUCAUAGGAAGACAACUCUUUGAAAGGACGAGAAAACACCGUUGGUUUCCAUUGAAAGUAUACGCAAUCACUGUGUUUAUCUUCUUAUACAGCUUGAGCAAUUUCUCCACCUUUGAGAAGUGGUUGUCGGGGCUGAUUGAUCUUCAGUUUUACUUGGCCUAAAACUCAGAAGCUUCGCUAUUGCAGAAUAUUUGGCAGUCUAUUGCAAUACUGAUUGUGAUGCAGCUUUUCAGCUACGAGAGGAGACAGAGCAAGUAUAUCCAAUCUGAUGACUCCAAACUUAUGGAAUUUGGAGUACUUGGAUUUAUGGAGAGCUUCCUCAUUUGGCACAGUGACAAGAAAGUGUGUAACUGUGUAUAGCAAAGUUCUAUGCAUCAUUGUCACCAAUUAGUCUCUUUGGUUUCCUUUAUCUGCUCAGUCUUGUCAUUUGUUCCCUUUCACCUAAAGCAUCUCGAAUCCCAUCAAAGUUAUUCCUUCUUUAUACAGGAAUUCUGGUGAUGACAGAAUAUCU
rnacentral:lncRNA from 1 species